rnacentral:lncRNA from 1 species
AGCGUAUAGUCCAACGGUUUUAAUGAUACAAUACAGAAAAAUAAGAUGCGUAUUUAAUAAAAUUAGGUUUAGAUACAGGUAUAAACGAAUUUCUUAUGUGUAUCUAACAUUUGAAGUAGUGUCUAGAUUGUAGACGCAUAAAUUCGGGAACUCAUAGCUGAGAACUUCAUUGCCAUGGCAUCGUCAUAGUUAAAUUACAGCUGUGAAGAACCAACUACAUCAUGAUUCGACCGAUAACCCAAACUCCAGAACCCGGCACAUCUCUACACCUUCUAGCCAGACGGUGAUGACAGAAACUGCGACUACUACUUCGACCUCCACCGCCACGACGCCUAGGCCCUCUCCACACGGAUACGGCGGGCGAGCUGGAUGUCCUUGGGCAUGAUGGUGACGCGCUUGGCGUGAAUGGCGCAGAGGUUGGUGUCCUCGAAGAGACCGACGAGGUAGGCCUCGGACGCCUCCUGCAGCGCGGCGACGGCGGAGCUCUGGAAGCGAAGGUCGGUCUUGAAGUCCUGGGCGAUCUCACGCACCAGGCGCUGGAACGGCAGCUUGCGGAUCAGCAGCUCCGUGCUCUUCUGGUACUUGCGGAUCUCCCGGAGCGCGACGGUGCCGGGGCGGAAACGGUGGGGCUUCUUCACUCCGCCGGUCGCCGGGGCAGACUUGCGCGCCGCCUUGGUGGCCAGCUGCUUCCUUGGCGCCUUGCCGCCAGUGGACUUCCUCGCCGUCUGCUUCGUGCGGGCCAUCGGGACAGUAGGAAGGCUAGCGCUUUGCGUUGCACGAGGAUCUGCUGCUAGGGAGAUUGAGAUCGUUGUGUGAGAUGGAGUUGAGCGGCGGGGCGAUUAAUAAUAGGGGACGGGUGGGCGGGCGAGUGGGAAACUCGGGGGCAGCGGCGGGACUUCAUGGAGGGAAAUGGGGUUUCGAGCGUUCGAUUAGAACAGAACGGACGGUCUGGAUUGGAUAUGCGUGUGAGCGCGCGGAUCGUGGCAGAGCGAUCCGUGGGAAGGAGGUUACUGCGUUCUUAUUAGCUGGAAUACUUGCGGAGAGAAGGGUGGUGUGCUGGCGACUUGGCAUACAUGGGGCGAUCCGUGAGUAUGGAUUCCUGCUUUGUGAUUGGAUGAUUGCCGCGCUGCGCGGAUUGCUGAUCUGCUUCUGCUGCAAAAGUCCGUCUGCAGUGUAGUGCAUAAUUUUAGCUUCUUCGUUUGCCUAAUAUGUACCGGUUUCUAUUCAUUUUAUAGUUUUGUCUCUAUAAAUUGUAGCUGCUACGGUCCAAACAACUAGUUUUAAUUUAAAACGAACAGUUAGUAUUUUAACUAUUUAUAAGCACGGAGCAACACAACAACGGUGAAAAUUGUGGAGUAACAUAGCUGCCUUUGUACACCAGGCGCCCCGCCGGGAGGGAGGAAGCUGUCGGGAGAGUCAUGCUGCUCCGUGUGGUACCCGCCCCGCGCUCCGUGCCUCCAGCCCCAGGCUGCUUCGUGGGGCGCCCCGCCGGGAGGGAGGUAGCCGCCACCAGGAGGGACCCGCUGCUCCGUGCUUCCGCGGAUCCGGUCGCCUCCGCUGCUCCGUGCCUCGAGUCCACGGAUCCGGUUGCCUCCACUGCUCCGUGCCUCACGGUUAGGGUUUAGGGUUCGGCCGCCUCCAGUCCUCCAGUUGGUCCCGCGGUCUCAUGCACCGCACAUCCUCGGCGGCGGCCUGCUUCUUCGACGGCGCGAUGUAAGUCACCUUCUCCUCAUGGUAGCCUGGUGAUCUUCUCCAGUGCUGUUGUCCAUGCUCUUAGCAGAUGAUUGGAGCUAAAAAUAUCUUCUUGGAUUAGUUCAUGCACAUCUUAGAUUAGUUUAUGCACAUCUCAUGCUCUUAGCAGUUGAUUGCUUAAAAUUUGCUAACUAAAAUUUGCAAACUGAAGCAAAGCUAUUUGCUUGAUUACCAUUUUUUCUUUAUCAAUGUGUAACAACAGCAGUUAUAACUGAGAGAAAGAAAUAAUUGUGUUUGUGUUUAGUAGCACGGAUUCACGCAUGUCGCGGGCGAGCGGCUCCUCCGAUGGAGGACAAGGAUGGCCCAUGUAUGGUCCGGUGUCGCUCAUUCGGUGCCCCAAAUGUGAAAGGUCGGAGUCACUUGUUAGACUCAGAUCGAAGAGAUGGGAGAACGAGAAUUUUGGUCGAGAGAUCGUGAAGUGUGAAAGCAGUAUGUCCUUAUUUGCCCAUUACGGUUGAUUUCAUUUUUGUGCUUACUGCUGAAUUGUGGAACUUUAUUUGGAUUGUUUAGGUUCUUAAAUUAUGCAAUUUUUUAUGUGGAUGGACGAUUAUGUGAAGAUGCUUGAAGGGGCAGGGUUGGUGGGUGGCUCAGGAGAGAUGAUGGUGUCUAAUAUGUGGGACGAACGGGCGACAAAUAGGGCAGAUGUGACUACGAAUUGGAACAAAUCUGCUGACGACUUUCUGUAGGAACCAUGUCCAACUUUCUGUUGACUCUGCCUCGAGAACACCAUAAGCCACUGGAAAUCUAUACUACUCUAUAAGAGUCUAAUGUAGACCAUCCGUGCACCAAGUUCUGCCUUUCUCUCGCCGACAGGUGGGACCUACACACUCGCGGUGCAUCCCCUACCGGCCUCCACUUCUUCCCCUACACACUCCGAUCCACAAAGCGCCUCCGUCCUCCCCUUCCCUCCCCCGCCGCCGUCAUGCGUCCUCCCCCUCCCUCCCCCGCCGUCGUUGCGCGUCCACUCCCGCUCGCGCACCCCGCCCCCUCCUACCACCUAUGUGGCCACAGCUAGCGCCGCCCCCGCCCUCUACCAGUGCGCACAUGCGUUGUUCGUGACAUCCCCACCCCACCCUUGUUGUCAUCGCUCCGCCUCGCCUUGCCCUAUUCUUCCUCGCUGCAGAUCACGAUGGCCACGCCUCGGCCCACCUUCUCCUCGUUGCCCCCUAACCUUUGUUCCAUUUCCGCGCCUCCCCCUUCCAUCCCUCGCCUCCUUCGCCAUGCCGCAGCCACCACCUCCGGCGGCUGGAGCCUGACCUAGAUGCGAUGGAGACCUCAAUCCCACGCCGCCAGUGGAUUUGGAGCGCUGGCCCUCACCAUCGCGGAGCGGUGGCACAAGGCGAUGGACACGCGGGAGCGCGUGCUGUCGUGGAUUUGCAACCGCUCCCCCAAUCCUCGCCCGCAUUUAGCGCCCCUCCCUCGCUCAUCCACGCGCACGUAGCCACUGCAUCGUCGACCCCGACCGCCGUCGCACGUCCGGUCGCGUCGGUGCUCAUGGACCUUGAGCCUGGCACCAUGGACGCCUUCCGCAUUGGCCCCUACGGUCAGAUCUUCCGCACAGACAACUUUGUCUUUGGCCAGUCCGGCACCGGCAACAACUUGGCCAAGGUGCUCUACACCGAAUGUCGUAGUCCAAGGUCCACGACCUAGAGAGCCUGGAUGGGUGGUACAAAGUGGUGGUGUGACUGGAUAUGCUACUUCGACUUCCUCAUGUGCGUGGUGGAGUUGUUCCCAAGCCAGUCCAAGGCCAUGCACGCCUAUCUAUGCGCCGAAACAUGCGCAUACCCUCUAUGGAGGAUGUCGUUCGCCAGGCUGGCUGGCAAGUCGCCCCCGUAGAUUCAUCUCCAUUGAGGGGAAUGGGAACAAGAGGAGGCCACUACACUUGGGACUUCGGAAACUUAUAGAUAGUUAUGUAAGUUUCUAAUUGCUUGUUUAUUUAAUUUCCUAAUUGAUAUACUAUAAUCUUCUGCUGCUGAUUCAUACAACACAGGGAACCCUGAGGGUCAUGGGGCUUCACCUUCUAUCCGUGUUUUUACUGAACGCAGUUGGGCACACUUGGUGUCUGGUUUUCUGCUUAACAUCAUGUGUAUGAUCAACAAUUAGAGAAGGUAACAUUUUUGUUCAACACACUUAUGGAAUAAGCAUUUGUUAUUUUUCUAGAAUUUUCAGUGAACUUUAUAUAUGGUAGGUUAUCAAGAGCGAAACAGACUCAUAAGUUAAUUGUGCCAUUUACAUAAACUGCAAGCUCGAGACGUCCUUUCAACUUUUAUCCUUUGCUGCUCUUGUUUGUUUAUCUUGAAUGUAUCGUCAAUAGGAAUACAAAUGCUUUUCUGUAGUCUGCUUAAUAUACUUGUGCUAGCCAGUUCUUUCGACUUGCAAAUUUCCCCAAUGCGCAUGCACCGGAUAUUCCACUAAACUUAUAUUGGUCUUUUUUUUGUAAACAAUUAAUUUCUAAAUUGUCACGCAGUUUUGCAUGGUACAUACUUUCUUGGCACAGAGUUUCUUCGUGUCAUGAACUUAUUUUUUCAUAUCAAUUUUAGAAAUAUACUGAAAGGGAAUUAGGCUUACACCUAGUCCCUAAUUAAUUUUGGUGGUUGAAUCGCCCAACACAAACAAUUGAACUAACUUGUUUGCUCUAGAUUAUAUGUUCUACAGGAGCCAAAGGUUAAUCUAUAUCUAUACUAAAUCGACUGUCCGGAAUACCGUAGAUUAUUCCGGACAGGAGAAGCUUUUUGGAAAAACAGGCCAAGCGCGGACCGUCCGGGCCCUUGCGGCGGACCGUCCGCGACACGAGUAUGUCACUCGGACAGAACCAAUGCAAAAAUCCAAGUCUGCACUAUGGACUGUCCGGAGGAAAAGCAAAGACCGUCCGGGCCCUUGCGCGGACCGUCCGGCUGCUGGCGCGGACCGUCCGGUAGGUGAGAAACCGAAAAUCCCGAAGGUAACGGGUUCGGAGAAAUGAAUUAUAGCGGGUUCGCGGACCGUCCGGGCCAGGCUCGCGGACCGUCCGCGACUGGCUCUGUCUGACAUCUGACGACGCAUUAAAUGCAAUAUAGCCGUUGAUAUAGCCGUUACUGCUGACCGUUGCAUUUUCAGCCGUUGAUCUACAGGGGCGGACCGUCCGCACCAGGAGGGCGGACCGUCCGCGCGCAGCAGAAUGGCCCAACGGCUAGGAAGUGGUUGGUGGCUAUAAAUACAACCCCAACCACCUCCAUUCACGUCAUCCAAGCAUUCCAACCUUCAACAUUCAAUACAAGAGCUAGCAAUCCAUUCCAAGACACAUUCAAAGCCUCCAUCUCUCCAAGUUUCACAAUUGAGAAAAGAGAUCAUUAGUGAUUAGUGGCUUGAGAGAGAAAGUGAUCCGUGUGUUAUUUGUCGCUCUUGUCGCUUGGCUUUUUAAUCGUGCUUUCUUGAUUCCUUCAUUGCGAUCAUACUCACUUGUAAUUGAGGCAAGAGACACCAAACUUGUGGUGGUCCUUGUGGGAACUUUGUGUUCCAAGUGAUUGAGAAAAGAAAGCUCACUCGAUCCGUGGAUCGUUUGAGAGAGGGAAGGGUUGAAAGAGACCUGGCCUUUGUGGCCUCCUCAACGGGGAGUAGGUUUGCAAGAACCGAACCUCGGUAAAACAAAUCUCCGUGUCUCACUUGCUUAUUCGCUUGGGAUUUGUUUUGCGCCCUCUCUCGCGGACUCGUUUCUUUGUUACUAACGCUAACCCGGCUUGUAGUUGUGUUUAUAUUUGUAAAUUUCAGUUUCGCCCUAUUCACCCCCCCUCUAGGCGACUUUCAAUUGGUAUCAGAACCCGGUGCUUCAUUAGAGCCUAACCGCUCGAAGUGAUGUCGGGAGAUCACGCCAAGAAGGAGAUGGAGACCGGCGAAAAGCCCACUACAAGCCAAGGGAGCACUUCAUCGGAAGAGUCCCGCACCAAAAGGAGGGAGAAGAAGAAGAGCUCCUCCAACAAAGGGAAGGAGAAGAAAUCCUCUUCUCACCACAAAGAGAAGAAGGAAAAAUCUUCUUCCCACAAACCGCACCGGAGUAAGAACAAGGAAAAGAGGAUGAGGAAAGUGGUCUACUACGAGACCGACACUUCAUCAACAUCGACCUCCGACUCCGAUGCGCCCUCCGUAACUUCUAAACGCCAAGAGCGUAAGAAGUUUAGUAAGAUCCCCUUGCACUACUCUCGUACAUCUAAACAUUUACUUUCCGUCCCAUUAGGCAAGCCACCAACUUUUGAUGGUGAAGAUUAUGCUAGGUGGAGUGAUUUAAUGCGAUUUCAUCUAACCUCACUCCACAAAAGUAUAUGGGAUGUUGUUGAGUUUGGUGCACAGGUACCAUCUAUAGGGGAUAAGGAUUACGAUGAGGAUGAGGUGGCCCAAAUCGAGCACUUCAACUCUCAAGCAACAACGAUACUCCUCGCCUCUCUAAGUAGAGAGGAGUAUAACAAGGUACAAGGGUUGAAGAGCGCCAAAGAGGUUUGGGAUGUGCUCAAAACCGCGCACGAGGGAGAUGAGCUCACCAAGAUCACCAAGAGGGAAACGAUCGAGGGGGAGCUCGGUCGGUUCCGGCUUCUCAAAGGGGAAGAGCCACAACACAUGUACAACCGGCUCAAGACUUUGGUGAACCAAGUGCGCAACCUCGGGAGCGUAAAAUGGGACGACCACGAAAUGGUUAAGGUUAUUCUAAGAUCUCUCAUUUUCCUUAACCCAACUCAAGUUCAAUUAAUUCGUGGUAAUCGUCGAUAUACAAAGAUGACCCCCGAGGAAGUUAUCGGGCAUUUUGUUAGUUUUGAGUGCAUGAUUGAAGGCUCGAGGAAGAUCAACGAGCUUGAUGAACCCACCACAUCCGGAGCUCAACCCGUCGCAUUCAAGGCGACGGAGGAAAAGAAGGAGGAGGCUACACCAACUCGACAACCAAUAGACGCCUCCAAGCUCGACAAUGAGGAAAUGGCACUCGUCAUCAAGAGCUUCCGCCAAAUCCUCAAGCAAAGGAGAGGGAAAGACUACAAGUCCCGCUCCAAGAAGGUUUGCUACAAAUGUGGUAAGCCCGGUCAUUUUAUUGCUAAAUGUCCUAUAUCAAGUGACAGUGACCGAGGCGACGACAAGAAGGGGAGAAGAAAGGAGAAGAAGAGAUACUACAAGAAGAAGGGCGGUGAUGCCCAUGUUUGUCGGGAGUGGGACUCCGACGAGAACUCAAGCGACUCCUCCGACGACGAGGAUGCCGCCAACAUCGCCGUCACCAAGGGACUUCUCUUCCCCAACGUCGGCCACAAGUGUCUCAUGGCAAAGGACGGCAAACGGAAGAAGGUUAAAUCCAACUCCUCCACUAAAUAUGAGUCUUCUAGUGAUGAUAAUGCUAGUGAUGAGGAGGAUAACUUGCGUACUCUUUUUGCCAAUCUUAACAUGGAACAAAAGGAAAAAUUAAAUGAAUUAAUUUGUGCUAUUCAUGAAAAGGAUGACCUUUUGGAUUCCCAAGAGGAUUGUCUAAUUAAAGAAAACAAGAAACAUGUUAAGGUUAAAAAGGCUUACGCUCUAGAAGUAGAAAAAUGUGAAAAGUUAUCUAGUGAGCUAAGCACUUGCCGUGAGAUGAUUGACAACCUUAGACAUGAAAAUGCUAGUUUAAAUGCUAAGGUUGAUUCACAUGUUUGUAAUGUUUCAAUUCCCAAUCCUAGAGAUAAUAAUGAUGAUUUGCUUGCUAGGAUUGAAGAUUUAAACAUUUCUCUUGCUAGCCUUAGAAAUGAAAAUGAAAACUUGCUUGCUAAGGCUAAAGAUUUUGAUGGUUGCCAAGUUACAAUUUCCGAUCUUAGAGAUAAAAAUGAUAUUCUUCAUGCUAAGAUUGUUGAUCUAAAUUCUUGCAAACCAUCUACAUCUACCAUUGAACAUGUCACUAUUUGUACUAGAUGUAGAGAUGUUGAUGUUAUUGCUAUUCAUGAUCUUAUGGCUUUAAUUAAACAACAAAAUGAUCAUAUAGCAAAAUUAGAUGCUAAAAUUGCCGAGCACAACUUAGAAAAUGAGAAAUUUAAAUUUGCUCGUAGUAUGCUUUAUAAUGGGAGACGCCCGGGCAUCAAGGAUGGCAUUGGCUUCCAAAGGGGAGACAAUGUCAAAAUUAGUGCCCCUCCUAAAAGAUUGUCUAACUUUGUUAAGGGCAAGGCUCCCAUGCCUCAGGAUAACGAGGGUUACAUUUUAUACCCUGCCGGUUAUCCCGAGAGCAAAAUUAGGAGAAUUCAUUCUAGGAAGUCUCACUCUGGCCCUAAUCAUGCUUUUAUGUAUAAGGGUGAGACAUCUAGCUCUAGGCAACCAACCCAUGCUAAGUUGCCUAGAAAGAAAACUCCUAGUGCAUCAAAUGAUCAUAAUAUUUCAUUUAAAACUUUUGAUGCAUCUUAUGUAUUAACUAACAAAUCCGGCAAGGUAGUUGCCAAAUAUGUUGGGGGCAAGCACAAGGGCUCCAAGACUUGUGUUUGGGUACCCAAAGUUCUUGUGUCUAAUGCCAAAGGACCCAAAACCAUUUGGGUACCUAAAGUCAAGAACUAAACUUGUUUUGUAGGUUUAUGCAUCCGGGGGCUCAAGUUGGAUACUCGACAGCGGGUGCACGAACCACAUGACAGGGGAGAAGAAGAUGUUCUCCUCCUACGAGAAAAACCAAGAUCCCCAACGAGCUAUCACAUUCGGGGAUGGAAAUCAAGGUUUGGUCAAAGGUCUUGGUAAAAUAGCUAUAUCUCCUGACCAUUCCAUUUCUAAUGUUUUUCUUGUAAAUUCUUUAGAUUACAACUUGCUCUCUGUAUCUCAAUUAUGUCAAAUGGGCUACAACUGUCUUUUUACUGAUAUUGGUGUCACUGUCUUUAGAAGAAGUGAUGAUUCAAUAGCAUUUAAGGGAGUGUUAGAGGGUCAGCUAUACUUGGUAGAUUUUGAUAGAGCUGAACUCGACACUUGCUUAAUCGCUAAGACUAACAUGGGUUGGCUCUGGCACCGCCGACUGGCUCAUGUUGGGAUGAAGAAUCUUCAUAAGCUUCUAAAGGGAGAACACAUUUUAGGACUAACAAAUGUUCAUUUUGAGAAAGACAGGGUUUGUAGCGCAUGCCAAGCAGGAAAGCAAGUUGGCAAUCAUCAUCCACAUAAGAACAUAAUGACGACCGAUAGGCCACUGGAGCUCCUACACAUGGAUCUAUUCGGCCCAAUCGCUUACAUAAGUAUCGGCGGGAGUAAGUACUGUCUAGUUAUUGUGGAUGAUUAUUCUCGCUUCACUUGGGUAUUCUUUUUACAGGAAAAAUCUCAAACCCAAGAGACCUUAAAGGGAUUCUUGAGACGGGCUCAAAAUGAGUUCGGCUUAAGGAUCAAGAAAAUAAGAAGCGACAACGGGACGGAGUUCAAGAACUCACAAAUUGAAGGCUUCCUUGAGGAGGAGGGCAUCAAGCAUGAGUUCUCUUCUCCCUACACACCUCAACAAAAUGGUGUAGUGGAGAGGAAGAAUCGAACUCUAUUGGACAUGGCAAGGACCAUGCUUGAUGAGUACAAGACUUCGGAUCGGUUUUGGGCCGAGGCGGUCAACACCGCUUGCUACGCCAUCAACCGGUUAUAUCUACACCGAAUCCUCAAGAAGACAUCAUAUGAACUCCUCACCGGUAAAAAGCCAAACAUUUCAUAUUUUAGAGUUUUUGGUAGCAAAUGCUUUAUUCUUGUUAAAAGAGGUAGAAAAUCUAAAUUUGCUCCUAAAACGGUAGAAGGCUUUUUACUUGGUUAUGACUCAAACACAAGGGCAUAUAGGGUCUUUAACAAGUCCACUGGACUGGUUGAAGUCUCAUGUGACGUUGUGUUUGAUGAAACUAACGGCUCUCAAGUAGAGCAAGUUGAUCUUGAUGAGAUAGGUGAUGAAGAGGCUCCAUGCAUCGCAUUAAGGAACAUGUCCAUUGGGGAUGUGUGUCCUAAGGAAUCCGAAGAGCCUCCAAAUGCACAAGAUCAACCAUCCUCCUCCAUGCAAGCAUCUCCACCAACUCAAAAUGAGGAUGAGGCUCAAUUUGAUGGAGAAGAAGAUCAAUCAAAUGAGCCACCUCAAGAUGACGGCAUAGAUCAAGGGGGAGAUGCAAAUAAUCAAGAAAAGGAGGAUGAGCAAGAGCAAAGGCCGCCACACCCAAGAGUCCACCAAGCAAUCCAACGAGAUCACCCCGUCGACACCAUUCUCGGCGACAUUCAUAAGGGGGUAACCACUAGAUCUCGUGUUGCACAUUUUUGUGAACAUUACUCGUUUGUUUCCUCUAUUGAGCCACAUAAGGUAGAGGAAGCACUACAAGAUUCGGAUUGGGUGGUGGCGAUGCAAGAGGAGCUCAACAACUUCACUAGGAAUGAGGUAUGGCAUUUAGUUCCACGUCCUAACCAAAAUGUUGUAGGAACCAAAUGGGUUUUCCGCAACAAGCAAGAUGAGCAUGGUGUGGUGACAAGGAACAAAGCUCGACUUGUGGCCAAAGGAUACUCCCAAGUCGAAGGUUUGGAUUUCGGUGAAACCUAUGCACCCGUAGCUAGGCUUGAGUCAAUUCGUAUAUUAUUGGCCUAUGCUACUUACCAUGGCUUUAAGCUUUAUCAAAUGGACGUGAAAAGUGCCUUCCUCAAUGGACCAAUCAAGGAAGAAGUCUAUGUUGAGCAGCCUCCCGGCUUUGAAGACAGUGAGUAUCCUAACCAUGUCUAUAAGCUCUCUAAGGCGCUUUAUGGGCUCAAGCAAGCCCCAAGAGCAUGGUAUGAAUGCCUUAGAGAUUUUCUUAUUGCAAAUGGAUUCAAAGUCGGAAAGGCCGAUCCUACACUCUUUACCAAAACACUUGAAAAUGAUUUGUUUGUAUGCCAAAUUUAUGUUGAUGAUAUUAUAUUUGGGUCUACUAACGAAUCUACAUGUGAAGAGUUUAGUAGGAUCAUGACACAGAAAUUCGAGAUGUCUAUGAUGGGGGAGUUGAAGUAUUUUCUAGGAUUUCAAGUGAAGCAACUCCAAGAGGGCACCUUCAUCAGCCAAACAAAGUACACUCAAGACAUUCUAAACAAGUUUGGGAUGAAGGAUGCCAAACCCAUCAAGACACCCAUGGGAACCAAUGGGCAUCUCGACCUCGACACGGGAGGUAAGUCCGUGGAUCAAAAGGUAUAUCGGUCGAUGAUAGGUUCUUUACUCUAUUUAUGUGCAUCUCGACCGGAUAUUAUGCUUUCCGUAUGCAUGUGUGCAAGAUUCCAAGCCGACCCUAAGGAAGCUCACCUUACGGCCGUGAAACGAAUCUUGAGAUAUUUGGCUUAUACUCCUAAGUUUGGGCUUUGGUAUCCUAGGGGAUCCACAUUUGAUUUGAUUGGAUAUUCGGAUGCCGAUUGGGCGGGGUGCAAAAUCAAUAGGAAGAGCACAUCGGGGACUUGCCAGUUCUUGGGAAGAUCCUUGGUGUCUUAGGCUUCAAAGAAGCAAAAUUCGGUCGCUCUUUCCACCGCCGAAGCCGAGUAUAUUGCCGCAGGCCAUUGUUGCGCGCAAUUGCUUUGGAUGAGGCAAACCCUGCGGGACUACGGUUACAAAUUAACCAAAGUCCCUUUGCUAUGUGAUAAUGAGAGUGCAAUCAAAAUGGCCGACAAUCCCGUCGAGCAUAGCCGCACUAAGCACAUAGCCAUUCGGUAUCAUUUUCUUAGGGAUCACCAACAAAAGGGAGAUAUCGAGAUUUCUUACAUUAACACUAAAGAUCAAUUAGCCGAUAUCUUUACCAAGCCUCUUGAUGAACAAUCUUUUAACAAACUUAGGCAUGAGCUCAAUAUUCUUGAUUCUAGGAACUUCUUUUGUUAAAUUGCUCACAUUGCUCUUCUAUAUACCUUUGAUCAUGUCUCUUUCAUAUGCUAUGACUAAUGUGUUUUCAAGUCUAUUUCAAACAAAGUCAUAGAUGUAUUGAAAGGGAAUUGGAGUCUUCGGCGAAGACAAAGGCUUCCACUCCGUAACUCAUCCUUCGCCGUCGCUCCAAGCAACUCUCCGUUCUAGGGGGAGAAAACAUGAGCACCCAGCAAAAGGCCUUCGUCUUUGGUAUAAUCUUAACUCAUUUAUUUAUGACCAAAGAGGAAGAUAGCACUUCGAGGGCUCUAAUGAUUCCGUUUUUGGCGAUUCAUGCCAAAGGGGAGAAAGUAAGAGCCAAAGCAAAAGGACCGCACCACCACCAAUUUCAAAAACUUAAGUGUUGAAUUUUUUCAAUCGGUAUCAUAUUGUGUUCAAAAGGGGGAGAAAGUAGUAUUUCAAAAUGAUAUAUCAAAACCCUCUUGAACACUAAGAGGAGAAUCUCUUUUAGGGGGAGUUUUGUUUAGUCAAAGGAAAAGCAUUUGAAACAGGGGGAGAAAAUUUCAAAUCUUGAAAAUGCUUCUCAAAAUCUUAUUCUUUUUGCCUUUGACUAUUUGCAAAAGAACUUUGAAAUAUAUUUACAAAAGAAUUUGCAAAAACAAAACAUGUGGUGCAAACGUGGUCCAAAAUGUUAUAUAAGAAAGGAACAAUCCAUGCAUAUCUUAUAAGUAUUUACAUUGGCUCAAAUUCCAAGCAACCUUUGCACUUACAUUAUGCAAACUAGUUCAAUUAUGCACUUCUAUAUUUGCUUUGGUUUAUGUUGGCAUCAAUCACCAAAAAGGGGGAGAUUGAAAGGGAAUUAGGCUUACACCUAGUCCCUAAUUAAUUUUGGUGGUUGAAUCGCCCAACACAAACAAUUGAACUAACUUGUUUGCUCUAGAUUAUAUGUUCUACAGGAGCCAAAGGUUAAUCUAUAUCUAUACUAAAUCGACUGUCCGGAAUACCGUAGAUUAUUCCGGACAGGAGAAGCUUUUUGGAAAAACAGGCCAAGCGCGGACCGUCCGGGCCCUUGCGGCGGACCGUCCGCGACACGAGUAUGUCACUCGGACAGAACCAAUGCAAAAAUCCAAGUCUGCACUAUGGACUGUCCGGAGGAAAAGCAAAGACCGUCCGGGCCCUUGCGCGGACCGUCCGGUUGCUGGCGCGGACCGUCCGGUAGGUGAGAAACCGAAAAUCCCGAAGGUAACGGGUUCGGAGAAAUGAAUUAUAGCGGGUUCGCGGACCGUCCGGGCCAGGCUCGCGGACCGUCCGCGACUGGCUCUGUCUGACAUCUGACGACGCAUUAAAUGCAAUAUAGCCGUUGAUAUAGCUGUUACUGCUGACCGUUGCAUUUUCAGCCGUUGAUCUACAGGGGCGGACCGUCCGCACCAGGAGGGCGGACCGUCCGCGCGCAGCAGAAUGGCCCAACGGCUAGGAAGUGGUUGGUGGCUAUAAAUACAACCCCAACCACCUCCAUUCACGUCAUCCAAGCAUUCCAACCUUCAACAUUCAAUACAAGAGCUAGCAAUCCAUUCCAAGACACAUUCAAAGCCUCCAUCUCUCCAAGUUUCACAAUUGAGAAAAGAGAUCAUUAGUGAUUAGUGGCUUGAGAGAGAAAGUGAUCCGUGUGUUAUUUGUCGCUCUUGUCGCUUGGAUUUUUAAUCGUGCUUUCUUGAUUCCUUCAUUGCGAUCAUACUCACUUGUAAUUGAGACAAGAGACACCAAACUUGUGGUGGUCCUUGUGGGAACUUUGUGUUCCAAGUGAUUGAGAAAAGAAAGCUCACUCGAUCCGUGGAUCGUUUGAGAGAGGGAAGGGUUGAAAGAGACCUGGCCUUUGUGGCCUCCUCAACGGGGAGUAGGUUUGCAAGAACCGAACCUCGGUAAAACAAAUCUCCGUGUCUCACUUGCUUAUUCGCUUGGGAUUUGUUUUGCGCCCUCUCUCGCGGACUCGUUUCUUUGUUACUAACGCUAACCCGGCUUGUAGUUGUGUUUAUAUUUGUAAAUUUCAGUUUCGCCCUAUUCACCCCCCCUCUAGGCGACUUUCAUAUACCACUACUGUCAUUUGGUGAAUGUGUUUAGCACAUUGCUACUGCUAGGAUUUGUGGGACUAAAUGGCUCUACAACUCAAACAUCAUCAAGGCCCAAGAUGUCAUAUGUAUGCUCAUGAGUCAAAAGAAUUUGUUAUUAACAAGGAAGAGGUGUUAGUGUACCAUGGGUAUGCAGAACACUGAAUUUAUUUUUACAGCCAUAGUGAACACUCUCUUAGUUGACCUUUUGGUUUGAAAUAAACCACUAUAGAACAUUGAUUUUUCUUUUACAGUCAUAGUGAACACAAGAUACCUUAAGCACAAUUAUAACAGUCUGUCCCAUCCAUGUAUCGAGGAAGGAAGUUUUUCUGAUUGACAAUUUGUUGCUUAAUUACCACUUUAUAUACUUUUGUAGGUUUCAUCACCUUGCUCUGUUGAAGUUAUAGAAUUUUCAGCAAGGAUAUGGAGUACACCCCCUACACAACAAGCUCCUAUGUAUCUCACAUCUCGCUGCUCGAGGAAGUUCUUGGCUGGAGGUUUUGACUUUACGGAGACUUCAUGUUCAUCUAUUUUGUCAACUGCACCUGAGGAUCAACCAACACUUAGCGACUGCCUUGAAUGGUCCCAUGUUGUCAGACAUUAGGUAUGUGCACACUCUCUAAUGUAGACAUGAUCUAUUUAUGACUUAUCAUUAUGCAGACGUAUUGUCGCAAAAAGCAUGGGAUUAGCAUACAUAACUUUGAGAGGAGUAUCCAGUGACUUUGGUGUUGUAACAUCCAAAUACACUCCUGUUAUACAACUGUUCUGAAAUAAGGGCAGUUUUGUGCACCACCAGCGAAUAAAAUGGAGAGGUGAAGAUGCUCUAUAACCAGAUGAUUAUAACAAAUUAGAAUAUUGUCUAAGCUGUUUGGAUAUCUUUUUACCUUGUUUUUGCAUUGAGCACUAAUGAAUAUAGUGUGUGAUAUAUGCUUAUACAAGAUCAUGCUAACUAAUGUAAUGUUCAUUUAAACAUUAGUCUUCUUAACCCUGAAAAUUAUAAAAUAUCUCAUUAGCCAUACCUGCCAUUCAUAUAAUCAUAUCCUUUUUAGUUACAUGUGUUAACUUUCCACUUUGAGAUAGAGAGCAUUGUAAGGAAAAUGGACCCCGGGUCUUUUGGCUAAAGAAGUUUUGGUGGUUGAUGACUGACACAAUCUGUGGACUAAUAUGUUUGCUAGUGUUUAUAAUUAUAGUUCACAGGAUGCGGUGAGGAUUGGACCAAGGCAAUGAGGAUGCAACACCUCAAAUGAAGACAUAAAAAGAUGCAUAGAAGUCCAAGACUCAAGAACAAAAGAAGCCCAUAGAAAUCAGCAAAGAAACCUGAGAAGAGGGCUGUCAGCCAGCGCCUGGUGGCGCACCGGACAGUGCACAGUACCUGUCCGGUGUGCACCGGACUGUCCGGUGGGACAACCGGACGGUCUGCGCAGAGAGGCCGCAGGCAGGCGCUCUCGGGCUGUAGCACCGGACUGUCCGGUGUGCACCGGACUGUCCGGUGUGCCAACGGGCAGACGGCAACGGUCGAAUCCAACGGUCGGAUCCAACGGUCGACUGCUACAGACGCCAACGGUCGGCUGACAUAGGCGCACCGGACAUCUACUGUUCAGUGUCCGGUGGUGCACCGGACUGUCCGGUGCACCCGACGACAGAAAGCUGCUGCUUUCUGUCCAACGGCUAGUUGAGGGUGUGGAGGCUAUAAAUAACACCCCAACCGGCCAUUCUCAAGUGUGAGAGCCCAAGCAACAUUCCAAUACACAUAGUGCAUAUUUCCAAGUGCUCAAACACCCAAGUGCUUAAUAGAAUCACUCGGUGAUUAGCGUAGGUGCUUUGCGAAGUGCUUAGGUUAGUUAGACCGCUUUAGCGCUUGCUCUAGGUGAAUCCUAGUUAGUUGAGUGAGUUUAGAUAAACCUCACAACCCCUCGGCUCUUGCGCGAGCCGUUGUAAUUGUACCGAGUGGGGCGAGAGUCUUGCGAGACCGUGACAACCGUGUUUGUGUCACGGCCGCCACCGUGUACCGGAGGGAACGAGGCCCGCGGCGUUUCGGCCGGAAGCUCGAUAGUGGAGACGGCGGGGAGCGUCCGAGAGGAGCCGGAAGCGGAGCACCACUUGCGCGUGGAGAAGGCCCGCGGCUCUCUACGGAGUUACUCGACCGAGGUGCUUGGCCCUCGCGUGGGCUUCCCUUUGCGUAGGGGCACCAACGAGGAUUAGUCGGGACCUUGCGCGGUUCCGGAUACCUCGGUAAAAAUACCGGCGUCAUCCACGAGAGUUUGCUUCUCUACUUAGCUCUUUACAUUCCGCAUUUAUAUUAAGCAUUUAAGUUUCAAUCUUGUUGUCAUACUUAUUUAGUGUAGAUUGAAACUUAGUCUUUGCGGUAGAGAUAGCAACACUUAGACCAAACCUAGUUUGCACAUUCUAGUUUUGAUUCUUGCAUAGGUUUUGCUCUAGGGAUUUAAUUGUGGCCAAGUUUAGUAAAAGUUUUAGAAGUCCUAAUUCACCCCCCCCUCUUAGGCGUCACCCGUUUUCUACAAUUGGUAUCAAAGCCCGGUUUGGCUCAUUUGAAACGUUUUAGCUUCACCGCUAAAAGGGCCGACGCUUUUUAGAGGAAGGGAUGGAUACCCAUAGGCCACCACACUUCGACGGCACUAACUUCCCAUAUUAUAGUGCUAGAAUGGCUUGUUACCUAGAGGCCGUUGAUCUAGGUGUUUGGAGAGUCACUUGUGACGGGAUGAAACCCCUCAAGAAUCCCGAGAAACCCACCACGAGUGAGGAAAAAGAAAUUCAUUUAAAUGCUAGAGCCAAAAAUUGCUUGUAUGAAUCUCUUAGCAUGGAUAUUUUCAAUCAAGUAUUUACCCUGAAAACUGCUAAUGAGAUUUGGCUAAAAUUGCAUGAGCUCCAUGACGGCACAUCCAAUGUCCGUGAGCAAAAACAUUGCCUAGUCUUAAAUGAGUAUAAUUCUUUUGCUAUGAAAAAUGAUGAGCUUGUUAGAGACAUGUAUUCUCGCUUGAAUCUAAUUAUCAAUGAGCUCAAUUCUAUUGGCAUUAAUAAGCUAGGUGAUGCGGACAUUGUGAGGAAGAUUAUCUCCCUGCUACCACAACAAAGAUAUGGGAGCAUCAUCACCAUCCUUCACAACAUGGAGGACUUGAGCAACAUGACCCCGACCAUUGUGAUUGGGAAAAUCGCGGCCUUUGAGAUGUCGCGAAAAAUGAGUCGGGGAGAGGAGCCAACUUCCUCAAGACCAUAUGCUUUUGCAUGUGAUGAAAGGAAGGGCAAAAAGAAGGCUCCCACUCCAAGUUCCUCAAGUGAAGAAGAGGAAGAAGAAGAAAGUGAUGAUGAUGAAGAUAAUCAACCAUGCACAUCAUCCUCCGAGGACGAAGAAACGAUCCGACGCGUCGGAAAGGUAAUGGGGAUGAUCCGCAAGAUUAAUCUAAUGGGUGUGCCCCUGCAGGUCGAGGAUCUUCUCUUUAACAUUGACAGGAAAAAGCAAAGGAAGAGAGGAUGCUUCGCAUGUGGGGAGAAGGGCCACUUCAGGGACAACUGUCCAAAUAUGGCCAAACCCAACAAGGAGAGGAGCAAAGGCAAGGCGCUAACAAGUGUUAGAACGUGGGAUGAUUCUUCAAGUGAAGAUGAACCUCCAAGGACGCGCAGCCACCGGUCCUCGUCACGAUCAUCACGGUCAUCACACAAAUGCCUUAUGGCAAGAGGUAACAAAAGCACUCCAUCCUCUAGUGAUGAAAGUAGUAGUGAUGAUGAAGGUGAGGGAAAAGCCUCUCUAGAUGAGCUUGCGGAAGCCGUAGAAUUUUUCCAGGAUGUUUGCACUAAGCAAAAAGCUCAACUUAAAACUUUGAAAAAUAAGUUGGUUAGCUCUCAAAAUGAUUACAAAGGUUUGCUAGAAAAAUUUGAAACUUUUGCAAACUUAAAUAGUGAGCUAUCAACUAAACUUGAGCUAUUAGAAUCUAGUGCUCCAUCCACUGCUACCGAUGAUAGCCUUAUUAAAAAGAAUGAAAAACUUAAGGCUAAGUUAGCUAGCUCCCAAGAAGCUAUUGAAAAUUUGCUAGAGAAAAUGGAAAUUCUCAGCAUACACAAUAAUGAGCUAACUACUAAGCUAGAAAACAUUGGUAGCACCCCAGCAGCAUCUUUAGUUGAAAUUCCUGAAAUUAUUAAGAAAGAUGCUUCUACUUCCUGCUUUGACUUAAUUGAUGAUUCUAACCCCUGCAACCAAGUUGUUGUUGAGAAUAUUGUUGUAGAGACAUGCUCUGAUGAGGUUGCAAAGGAAAAUGAACAAUUAAAGCAAGAAGUGACUCGUCUUGGCAAGGCUUUGUAUGACAAGAAAGGCAAAGCCAAACAAAUCCGACCUCCACAGGAUAACACCACUGCGGGAGUGAACAAGCCUGUAGAGGGAGAAACUGUGAUUUGUAGGCUAUGCCACAAGGAAGGCCACAAGUCUUUCCAAUGCAAGGCGAUGACCGGAGAUAAACAAAGGCAAAAGCUCAAGCAAAAGCCAACAAGCAAAAUCUCCAGCACCUACAUCAAAAAGGUGAACAAAAAGGACGCUACACCAUAUUUGAUCAAGAAGAAAAAGAAUGGAAAGGUGAUAGCAAUCAAGGCCAACAAGCAAGCCAACAAAGGAAAGGGGGCCAAACGCAUCUGGGUGCCAAAAGAGAUAAUUUCAACCAUGAAAAGCACCAAGAAGGUUUGGAUCCCGAAAGGGAAGUGAGUGGACCAAAAGUCUGCGGGAAAUUUGGAGACUUGGCAAAGUUGGGAUGUAUAUCAUGGGGUACAUCAUAUUGGAUCAAGUUUAUUGCCAAGUGGGUUAGUGAAAACUUUGGACCCAAAUUUCCCACCCAUGACCAAGGUAACUAGUUUUAUUGUAUUUCUCGUUUUUAGAUAUGUGUAUCUAUUUAUCUUUUAUCUAGUUUACCUUUCUUGCCUAGUAUUACAUUUGUUAUGUACUUUUGUUUAAAAUCAUGCAUACUAGGUAAAUCAUAUGGUAGGAUUGCUUGCGUUUAAUUCAUAUACUUAAGCAAACCUACAUGGCUUAAAAUGUGUAUUUAAGCACGGCACAUAGCUUUUAUAUCACUCCAUAGUAAAUGAUGCAUCAAUUGAAAAUCUUUGAUUUCCACAAGUGUAUCAUUUAACUUAUAUGUGCCAAAGUUUGGAUUAUAGAUAAUUUGCCCCUCUUGAUAUCAAAUCAAAGUGCAUGUCUCCUACAAGUAUUCAAAACUUGUAUGCACACCUUUAGGGGGAGGUUACUCUAUAAUCUAACACUUUGAGACUAACACCUUUUCAAGUCUAUUUCAUGUGAUAGUCUCAUUGUAAGGAAAAUGAAGUCCCUGGAGAAAGACAACAAUCUUCCACUGCAAAAUCUCUAAGAACUCUCAUGUCUCUCAAACUCGCCAUUGAUCAUCAAUUGGUAUCUUUUGAGACUACAUUCAGUAUCAUUUACAUGUCUUCUCCAAUAUUUGAUUAGACUAUAUUUCAUAUCAUAUGCUUCCAUGUUGCAAAAAUGCAUAAGUAGUUAAUUCAUAUUCUGUUACCUAUGCAUAAGGGAAGCUAGUCUUUUCAAAUCAUGUCUUGCACCUCUAAUUUUCACAUGCUUUUUCCUAAGUAGAGGAUCUCUGUCAGGGGGAGUAUUUCUUCAUCUCUAAAGGGGGAGAAAAACUCUUUCUAAAGGAGUCAACUCAUUUAGGGGGAGUAAUCUUUUGAGGACUCCUUCAAGUGGUAUCAUUCACUUAGUUUAAUUUUAAUAUCCUUCUAGUGAUAUCAUUUGAUACAAUUCUUGAUGAGGGCAAGCUUUUAUUUACUUCCUACAUGCUUUUAAUGUCUUCCUUUUCGGUGGUUGAUGCCAAAGGGGGAGAAGUUUAGGGACCAAAGCAAUGAAAACUUUAUCAAACACCAAAAACCACCACUUUAAAAUUUUAUCUGCAAAUGACUUUUCAAGUGGUUUUGGUUAUUUGGUCCAAAAAUAGGAAGUAAGUGAUUUAUGGAGUUAGGGGGAGGCUUAAGUCCAUAAUAUCACAUUAAGGGGACAAUCAUGCAUCUUAGCAAGUGAAAUGCAUAUUUACAUUCAAAUACUUGUAUUAUUUGCUUGCUUUGGUUGUGUUGUCAUCAAUCACCAAAAAGGGGGAGAUUGUAAGGAAAAUGGACCCCGGGUCUUUUGGCUAAAGAAGUUUUGGUGGUUGAUGACUGACACAAUCUGUGGACUAAUAUGUUUGCUAGUGUUUAUAAUUAUAGUUCACAGGAUGCGGUGAGGAUUGGACCAAGGCAAUGAGGAUGCAACACCUCAAAUGAAGACAUAAAAAGAUGCAUAGAAGUCCAAGACUCAAGAACAAAAGAAGCCCAUAGAAAUCAGCAAAGAAACCUGAGAAGAGGGCUGUCAGCCAGCGCCUGGUGGCGCACCGGACAGUGCACAGUACCUGUCCGGUGUGCACCGGACUGUCCGGUGCGACAACCGGACGGUCUGCGCAGAGAGGCCGCAGGCAGGCGCUCUCGGGCUGUAGCACCGGACUGUCCGGUGUGCACCGGACUGUCCGGUGUGCCAACGGGCAGACGGCAACGGUCGAAUCCAACGGUCGGAUCCAACGGUCGACUGCUACAGACGCCAACGGUCGGCUGACAUAGGCGCACCGGACAUCUACUGUUCAGUGUCCGGUGGUGCACCGGACUGUCCGGUGCACCCGACGACAGAAAGCUGCUGCUUUCUGUCCAACGGCUAGUUGAGGGUGUGGAGGCUAUAAAUAACACCCCAACCGGCCAUUCUCAAGUGUGAGAGCCCAAGCAACAUUCCAAUACACAUAGUGCAUAUUUCCAAGUGCUCAAACACCCAAGUGCUUAAUAGAAUCACUCGGUGAUUAGCGUAGGUGCUUUGCGAAGUGCUUAGGUUAGUUAGACCGCUUUAGCGCUUGCUCUAGGUGAAUCCUAGUUAGUUGAGUGAGUUUAGAUAAACCUCACAACCCCUCGGCUCUUGCGCGAGCCGUUGUAAUUGUACCGAGUGGGGCGAGAGUCUUGCGAGACCGUGACAACCGUGUUUGUGUCACGGCCGCCACCGUGUACCGGAGGGAACGAGGCCCGCGGCGUUUCGGCCGGAAGCUCGAUAGUGGAGACGGCGGGGAGCGUCCGAGAGGAGCCGGAAGCGGAGCACCACUUGCGCGUGGAGAAGGCCCGCGGCUCUCUACGGAGUUACUCGACCGAGGUGCUUGGCCCUCGCGUGGGCUUCCCUUUGCGUAGGGGCACCAACGAGGAUUAGUCGGGACCUUGCGCGGUUCCGGAUACCUCGGUAAAAAUACCGGCGUCAUCCACGAGAGUUUGCUUCUCUACUUAGCUCUUUACAUUCCGCAUUUAUAUUAAGCAUUUAAGUUUCAAUCUUGUUGUCAUACUUAUUUAGUGUAGAUUGAAACUUAGUCUUUGCGGUAGAGAUAGCAACACUUAGACCAAACCUAGUUUGCACAUUCUAGUUUUGAUUCUUGCAUAGGUUUUGCUCUAGGGAUUUAAUUAUGGCCAAGUUUAGUAAAAGUUUUAGAAGUCCUAAUUCACCCCCCCCUCUUAGGCGUCACCCGUUUUCUACAAGCAUGACUGUCUACUAUAUUUUGUUGCCUCAAUCAAAUAGAUAAGAAGCUUUGUGCAUAUGGUAGACCAAUAGCGCUCAUUACUUGUUUCUUUCUUAGAUAAUUCUUAUGAACAUUGGAUUAUCUCAACUAGCUUCUGUGCACUAUUUGUCCCGCAUUUUCCCCUUGUCUUGCUUUUCUGAACUUACGUGUCUGCUCUGUCUUUUUAUUAUCACAAAACCGAAAGAGCUUGAAAACUAUAUAUUGUAUAUUGUAAGAGAGAAUAAAUAUUGGGACAAUUUUUUUGAUGUUCUAACUUUUAAUAACAUUGCAUAUGGGAAAACAAAUUUUCUACUGCAACAGCAUAUAAAGCGUGCAAUACUGUACUGGGUCUAGGCAAGAUAUGGCGGGGAUGUUCAGUUGUCCACAGAUGCCAUACUUGUUACCGUAGCAUUACCUUUUUAUAGUUUCAGUUUCAGGUUGCUCAUAUAGUUUGCUUAUGCUUGAGUUAUUCACAUUGUUCCUUACUUGGAUUCAUUCGCUGGAUUCAUCAUUUCUACAUAUGUUUAUUUAAGUUUUCUUUGUUACACUCAACAUGAACAAUGCCUCAUGUUCUUGUAGCCAUUGUGAUUCAUGUUAUCCUCACACUGCACUGCUAACCAUUUAAGUAUUUUUUGUGCAUCGAUAGUUUUACCUUUAUACCAGCAUAGAAGAGAGAUAAUUUGGGCAGUGUAACACCACCGAAUGUUUGUUUUGUAUUAAGAUUAACACCUCAGGCAUGCCAUCAUCCUACUUUGACCUCAUACCAAACACAUCCAUAAUCUUUUAGUAUUGACAACAUAAUAAGGCCACAUGACUGAGAAAGAUUGAAGUUAAGCUCUGCAACCAUUGUUUAUCCAUUUACUGCAUCAAAAUAAUGGAAAUAUUUAUUAAAAGGGAAGUAUGUCCAAACAAUUUCACAAGAGACUAAAUUAUGGGCAUAUUUGGGAUUUAGGAGGUGUUAUGCUGACCUUGGGUAAGAAUCAUUAGUGGUUCACUUGUUCUUGAGCUUUAUCAUUUGUACUCCGUUCUGUUUAUAAUAUAUGGGACCCACAUGAAAAAUUCAGAUUAUCGAUCAAACACUACUUAUCUCAAUUGUGAAAUUUAUUAGGAGAUCUAUAAUAACGGUGGGAGAUCUAUAAUAUUAUAGCGUUGUCCAUGGAAGGAGAAUCAGAAGCCCCGGAUCGCCGCCCCAGCCUCCAUGGAAGGGGAGUCCUCUUGAUCCGUGUCUGCGCUGUCCAGGAAAGGGGAGCGUCUGACGCCCUGGAUUUGCGCACCCCAGCCUCCAUGGAAGGGGAGUAUCUGACGCCCCGGAUCUGUGCGCCCCAGCUUCCAUGGAAGGGGAGUCAGACGCCCCGGAUCUGCGGCGAGAGAGGACCGUGCGAAGGGGAGUCAGACGCCCCGGGCUUGUAACAUUGAGCGGCGCAUUCUACAUAGAAAUCAGGUCUGGCUUGCUCUUGCAUGUCAUUCAUUUCUUAGCGUUGGCUUGUAACUUGUGUUUGUUUUGCUUAGUCCAUUUCUUUUGGUUGUCUGUAGGGAAGAGACGACGACAACAUAGACAUUAUCACAAAGCGGUUUCAGGUUUUUCAGGAGUCGACUCUACCUGUUGUUUAGUACUAUGACAAAAUGGGGAGGCUCUGAAGAAUAAUAAUUUGCGGUUGCUCUUAUUUUUUUCGUAUGAAACGUAGACUGUGCUAAUAAAUUUUGGCUGCACUUCUGUUUAGGAAGUAGAAACAUUAAAUGUUUUAGGAAUAAUAAAUAUUUGCUUAAAUUCAUUUUUAUAACCUUCGUGCUACUGAGUUUCUUUCCCUAUAUCCUCCCCUAACUUGUGUUACUAUGUUCUUUAGGAUUCAAUGCUGCAGUUGUUGGGUGCUUUUUUUGCUAUCGAAACAGUAUUACGGCCACUUACUACUACUAUGAUUAUAUUAGCAUCAGUUAUGAAAUGUUUUGCUGCUGCUAUGAUUAUAUUAGCAUCAGUUAUGAAAUGUUUUGCUGCUGCUAUGAUUAUAUUAGCAUCAUUUAUAUCAUCAACUAUUUCCAAUGUUUUGCUAGGGGAAAAUGCAACAUUUAUUAUGUCUACAUAUGAACUAAAAUAUGCUGCUGGUAUUUUACCUUAUUCUGAUUAUUUUUUGUGUCAAUAAGGUAGAUGUGUCUUAGCUACCUUCAAGAUAUAGGGAAGUAUGUGUUCUCACCUUAUUUUUUGCUCUAAUUGUUAAACAUAUAUGAAGUAUGUUCUCAUGAUAAAACAUAAAGCUUGACACUGAAUAUUUCUUUUUUUCUUGUAAUUCUCUUCCUUAAGCUUAGCCCUCUUUCAAUUCCUUGAAAUGGUACUUGCCUACAUUCCUCUCACAUGAAUUUACGAUCCUAAGAACUAAUCAACUACUAGAGUUAUUAAUGCAGAAAUGAUCAACUAAUGUUAGCUUAAUGAUUUCUACAGUUGCUGCAUUUCAGGAUUUGAUGAAUAAUUGGUAAAAUGAGCAACCAAGCUGGAAAGGUUUAACUGAUCUCUGCUACUCUUUUAUCAGGUGAUUUCUCUUAGCCAAUGAAUACAUAAGAGAUACACACCGAUGUGUGCCCUGUAAGUAGUUUUCUUGACCAAGUUUCUUCCGUUGCUUAUCUUUUCUCUUACGGUUGCACUCGUAUUUUUAUUGUAUCUUCAGGCCCUCGGUAUAUAACAACUAGAGCGAAUAAUUAGUAUGUACGGGGAUGAUGUGAAUGGUACAAACACUAUUUUAGCAGAGGUAAGUUGGUCAGUUCCCCUAAUAUAGUUUACGAUCUUGUACCACAUUUGGUUUGUGUUCUUUUCCAAAAUGGCAUCAACUGACAACUUACCUUUUCAUAGUUUACAUCAAUCUUGAAAUAUGCGGUACUUGAUGAAUCAAAUAUGACCAUGUGUUUCUCUAUACCGCUAGAUGCUGAUUCCAGGUUUGUUAUCUGUGAAAAAUGUUAUCCACAUUAUUUUAAAAAACUAUUACUACUGAUAUUUAAUGGUUUCCCUUAUUCAUUCCUAAAUGCAGUAUACCCUUUUCACUUGAGGAUAUUACAAAGACAUUGCCUGACCUCUUCCUCGUAUCAUGUGUUUACAGACGCCUGACUCUCCUGUUGUUGAGCUAGACCAGACCCGUCUCUUGUAGGUCUUGUUGGUGCUGAGGAUCCUCUAAAACAACAUGUCAUCGUCUCGGUUCGAGCCUGUGGUAAGAUAAGGAGCGCUGGUAGCAUGAUAGCUCUCCAUUCUCUGAAGCUAAAGCUUCAUUUUAGCUCACUGUGUAUUUGCUCUGCUUUCAAGAGAAGGUUGUUGUCAACGUAUGAUCUGACAAGAGCUUUAUCUGGCCAAUUGGUUGAGCGUGAUACUUUGAGACAACCUGGCAAGUGAGCCGCAGCUAACACACAUGGAUGGACAUUUUAGUCAAGUGUAUCAUAAAAUUUAUUAUAUAUUGUGUAGAACUUAAUUGUUUAUGGUGAUGUUUUACACUACUGCCACACUAAUAGUACUGUCCUUGAUUCUUUAAAUUCUUUGACCAAAGCAUGUACAAGCCGCUGCUACUAUCUUAUUUCUCAAAGAUAUAAUAUAAGUAUGAAUACCCUUGGAAGUUAAGUUUUGUAAAUGGUUGUCUUUGUAGGGUCAUGUUUUUACUAUAGUCGUGCUAUACUUGCCUCUGAAGGUGGAGAAAAAUUGCAAUCAUGUACUGUGAAAUAUCAACUAUGUAUAUUAUUUAUCAUAUUUGUUUGAGAUUAUUAAUGUCAUGCUUAGUGUUCGUGCCAAUAGAUAAGUUUGUAGUUGAUGAUAAUAUGUAUUGUUUAUUUUUAUGUAAUCGUUAUAUACUAACUUUGUAUCGAAUAAUUUAUAUGCCGUCGCAACGCACGGGCAUAUACCUAGUAGCCAAUUAUGUGCAUCAAUGACACAAGCAGCUACUAACUGGCCUCUAAACCUCCCAUAAAGAGUUGUUGCAUCCACUGCUAAAUAAGGCCUGCAACCAGCUAAGAACCUACUCCAACAUGCUUUGAAUGAAACGAACACCCUUAUAAAACAUUCUUUGUUCAAAAUCUUGCCUCUCACUUUAUAAUCCACCGUAUGAUGGUCAAUCUCAACAACACUACCUGGGCACGCCUUCUCCACUUCAGCUUUGAAAGUGAAUAAUAAGUUAAAGCUUUCCUUACAUGGGCCAUAAAUCUUGUCAAGAGCCAUUUCCUUGCCAUAAUACACUAUCAUGUAAGGCACCAAAAUGUUGUACUUCUCUUUGAUCUUCUUUACCGGUUCAGUUGUACCAAUGCAUGAGUUAUAUGUCGCCCAUUCUAAUACUGCAUUUGCACACCAUCUACUUUUAGCUACUUAUGUGACCCUUUUCUUUCACUUGGACAAGUGCGAGGAGAUGGAUUCACUUUGACCUGAAUAAUUGUACUAUUCCGCAUACUGGAAGCAUAUAUCCUCCACUGACAGCUCUCAAAUGCGCAAUGAACAGUCAUUCUAGUUGGCUCACUCUUGUCAAUUACAUAAUCAUACUCGCCUUUGAUGCAAUAGGUAUCAAGUGCAUUCCUAAAUUCGGUCAUCGAUGCAAAUGUGUUGCCUUCUUUUAAGGAUGGAUUAUCUCUGUCAUAAUCAUUUCUUGGUACAUCACCACCCUCUCCUUGCUCAUCCACCCCCAUAGCUAUGUUUUCUUCCUCCUCCUCUUUAUCAGUCUCUUUAAAUUGUGCCCCUGUGAAAAUGUCUCCAUUAUAGUCCUCAAAUUCUAGCAUAUCCCACUUGUCAACAAACCCAGGAUACUGUCUCUCAUCAUCAUCGGGGGCAGCAACUACUUCUAUUGGUUCAACCUCAUCAUUGGGAAUAAUACGAUUCAUCCCAUUUCAUAGGAAAUAACGACGUUAAGAACCCAUAUAGGCAAAGGGUGGCAACAUUUAUAGAUAGUAGAGGGUUGUGCUCCUUGCCUGGAGGAGACUGCUGCUGCUGUCAAGAAGAUCGCGUCGGUGUCUGGAUCUCACACACUACUGUUAAGAAGAUCACGUCGACGACUGGAUCUCACAUAGGAGCAGCAGGCCGAAAGCUUGCAGUGCCUCUGGAUCUGGAGUGCGAGUAGGGGCGCAGACCCGCUGAAGGCAUCGAGAGCACGAGGCACGGACCAACCGGAGGCACGGAGCAACGAGUCCCUCCCAGUGGCGGCUUCCUCCCUCCCGGCGGGGCGCCCCCACGAAGUAGCCUAUGGCUAGAGGCACGGAGCGUGGGACGCGUACCAACUGGAGGCACGGAGCAGUAGGUCCCGGCGACGUCUUCCUCCCUCCUGGCGGCUCUAGGCAUCAAACCAAAGACAUCAUCAGCACCUGGGCGUCUGGCAUACAAAGGCAGCUGUGUUGUUGUCAGAUUAAAAACCUGCGCCACGGUCUUCCCUCUCGCCUUGGCUAUCUCCGCGAGGACCUCGAACUCGAGCACAACGUUUCUUUCUGCCGCCCAGCUCUGGCCUCCCAACGGCGAGAUCUGCUGGCAAACAGGGUUCACCUCCACCGGGAUUCGCCCUCCCGGCGGGGCGCCCCCACAAAGCAGCCUGAGCGCUUGUUCCCUCCCGCGGCGGGCGAGGCGGGCGUGGUGAGUGGGCGGCCACGAAGCGACGGGCGGUUGCGGUUGAGAUGGAGUUCGGGAUUGGGAGGAAGAAGAGCCUGCUGUCGAGUGGGGAUUUUUUUGCAGUGGGCCCACUCUGUAAGUCACGUUAAAGUGGACGGAGACGGCGUCCAGGCGUAUUUAUGAGCAAAGGGAACGAGGACCGAAUAAAAUUGCGUAUUUAUGAGCAAAGGGAACGAGGACCGGAUAAAAUUGAGUAAAAAAAACUAAGGGUAGCAACGAGUACCGUGACGAAACUAAGGGGACCAAUGUAAAAAAACCCAUAAAAUUUAGCACAUAUUAUUUAAUAAGCUGCUCAAAGAGUGCUAAAAGUAGCUAAACGUGGGCCAGGGAACCCCGUUUUCCACCCAUACCCUGUAACCCCAUUCUCUCUCUCCGCAUUAGGGGCAUGGGUGUCUUUUUGUUCCAAUAUGUUAAACUUUAUUAAAGUAGUCCAAACACCCCAAGGAGCUAAACUUUAGCACUUCAAUUCAUAUGGCUAAAGUUUAGCAGGAAGCUAAAGUUUAUCCCGUGAGAUUGAAACGGGCCUAAAAACAACUAAAAGUUAGAGUCAUUUUUGUACCGCGGAGAAGAAGCCAUAAAUAAUAUUUUCACCUGAUUUGGCUUUGCUUUAGCUCUACGAUAAGAUGUUUGUGUCACACCAUUUGCGAAACGCUUUAACUCUAGCAAAAAAACUACUUUUCAGAAAAACUCAGAGCCAAAGUUGUUUUUGUAAGUCAAAGCCCUGCCAAACAUACCCUUAGCCUUUAGGUUUUGUUUGUUUUGCUCUCAAUCCAUAUAAAUUUGGUGAGAUUGAGCGUAUUUCAAUACCAAAUAAGUCAAAAUCUUUUAUAUUUUUUUACAAUCUCAUCUAAUCUACGUGUGAUAGGAAUAACCGAAUAAGGCCAUAGUUAGAAUCUGCUAACCUGCCAUCAGCUUUUGAACCUUCAUCUUCACAGAUAGGGCCUCGACAUGACAACAGAAGUUCUCGGGGACACGGAACACAAAGUCAUGCAAGCGUGCUAAUCUUGGCUUUUGGCUAACUCGGGAACUCGCAUGGUACUCGAAGUAAAAUCCAAGGCAAAUGAAGUUUGCUCCAACAGUAUCUAAAACAGUUGAGGCCUUGUUUGGAUAAAGAGGGAUUGAGGUGGAUUGAAGUGUAUUUUAGGAAUUUAAAGGGAAAUUAGUUUAUAUUACACUUCAAUACACCUUAUACCACCUUAAUCCACUCCAAUCCAAGAUUACCCAAACAAGUCCUGAAGGAUAAACAAUUUACCCCUUUAGGACUAGUUUGAGAGCCAUAAAACCGGAAGGAAUUGAAGGAGUUAAAUUCCCCUUCUUACUCAAAAUUGAAUAAGAAGGGUAAUUUAGCCCCUCCAAUCCUCUCCGGGUUUAUAUCUCCCAAACUAGCACUUAGAGACAACAACAGCUGUUUCAUGAGAAGGAAUAAAACAAACAUAUCCAAGUAUAAAUCAACAACCACGCCACGGCGGGGCGCAAAUGCGAAUGAUUCCAUGACCACGUACAGAAGUGCAUAAACCAACUGAACUCUCAAAGACUCAAACUGCAUGGGCGACACGCGACAGCCGGCACCCUUGCGUCGUGUAGAAACCCAGAUCGCGCAUAUCAGGAACGCACUGAUCUGGUGGUCUUGAAAAAAAAAACACUGACCUGACCAUCCGUACUACUGAAGUUACACAUGUUUCUUCAUGUAGUACAUCAGUCGACCUAACCAUCUUUCACAAUGCUUCAUGGCCAACAGCCCUUCAAUGAUUUAGAAAGAACCAAGAAUGCUAGAGAAACCAUGGGACAAUCUAGCAUCCCAACUAACUGAAAAUAUAAGUAAAUAACAGAUAUACAGCUCCAGAAUUCAGAAACACUUCAUGUGGACGAUGCCUGGACCAGAUUCAUCAUACUCUUCCUUGGAGAUCCACAUCUACACAACACAAUAACAAGAUUAAUAAAUCAAACUUCAUAUACACUAGAACUGCAAAGCAAGCAGAAACGUUGAAUUUAGAUUUUGAGACAGUAACAAACUAACAACCUGCUGGAAGGUACUGAGAGAGGCCAGAAUGGAGCCACCAAUCCAAACGCUGUACUUCCUCUCCGGCGGAGCAACCACCUUCACCUUCAUGCUGCUGGGGGCAAGCGCAGUGAUCUCCUUGCUCAUGCGGUCACCGAUGCCAGGGAACAUAGUGGAGCCACCACUGAGGACAACAUUACCGUACAGGUCCUUUCUGAUAUCGACGUCGCACUUCAUGAUGGAGUUGUACGUGGCUUCAUGGAUGCCAGGAGAUUCCAUGCCAAUGAAGGAUGGCUGGAAUAGCACCUCAGGGCACCUAAACCUUUCUGCGCCGAUUGUGAUGACCUGGCCAUCGGGCAGCUCGUAGCUCUUCUCGACGGUGGAGCUGGUCCUGGCCGUCUCCAGCUCCUGCUCGUAAUCAAGUGCAACGUAGGCAAGUUUUUCCUUGAUGUCCCUGACAAUCUCUCGCUCGGCUGUCGUGGUGAAGGAGUAACCCCUCUCGGUGAGGAUCUUCAUCAGGUUGUCGGUGAGGUCACGACCGGCAAGGUCCAAUCGAAUAAUAGCAUGAGGAAGCGUGUACCCUUCGUAGAUGGGGACAGUGUGGCUCACGCCGUCACCAGAGUCGAGCACAAUACCUGCACAGAAAGAUUGUCGCCACUCACUACACGUACUGCUAUUCGAAUGCUGACAUGAAACAGGUUCGAUGCAGCAACGUAACGUACCAGUCGUUCGUCCACUGGCGUACAGGGAAAGAACGGCCUGGAUGGACACAUACAUUGCCGGGCAGCUGAACGUCUCAAACAUGAUCUGGGUCAUCUUCUCCCUGUUGGCCUUGGGGUUCAGAGGAGCCUCGGUCAGCAGUAUAGGGUGCUCCUCAGGCGCCACACGGAGCUCGUUGUAGAAGGUGUGGUGCCAGAUCUUCUCCAUGUCAUCCCAGUUGCCCACAAUGCCGUGCUCGAUUGGGUACUUGAGCGUCAGAAUGCCUCUCUUGGACUGGGCUUCGUCGCCCACGUAUGCAUCCUUUUGGCCCAUGCCCACCAUCACGCCAGUGUGGCGUGGCCUGCCUACGAUGCUGGGAAAGACUGCCCUCGGCGCGUCGUCACCAGCGAAACCUGCCUGUUUGGCAUCAAGAUCCCAUCAGUUUAUUAGAUCAGUAAUGAAUAGACAGGCAAAAGGAUUGGCUGCUGGACAGGAGAACGAACCUUAACCAUUCCAGUGCCAUUGUCGCACACAAGGGGCUGGACAUCCUCUUCAGCCAUUCCUCAGUGUUCUGCAGCAGAAUGCUAUACUCGGUGUUAAUCGUUAAAGUGUCCAUGGAGUCAGGUAAACCCCACAAAAGAAGCAUGCCGCCGCCGCUGCAAUGGUAAACCCCACAAAAGAAGCAUGCCGCCGCCGCCGCCAUUGCAAUAUGCCAGUCGUCAGUCAAAACUAAUGUGCACAACUGCUCAUGAUUAAGAAACUGAUACUCAAAUUUGUGUAAAAAAACCCUGAUAAUUGACUUAUAAGUUUCCAAGCAGUCCGCAGGGAUGGCUGACACUAGGAGGAUCACGGGGGAGGGGAAUUUGGUUGAGGAAAAUGGUUAGCUGAAUGUUUGAGAGUGUGAUCGUGUGAUUUUUCACUGCUUAAGAUCAUCUCCAGUUCUUCACAGAGUGACCUGAAAACAAUUUACGGGUUCGGCGUAGCACACAUCUUAUUGCAUGCUGAAUCAUAUGUGCUCCUAUGAACUGACUGAGUAACUGGCCAAACUCGACAUGAAGUUCAUCACAUAAACAUAAAACAGAGCAUCCAAUCAAACAUCACAGAGGUACUAUAGUAAUCAUGAUGACACAUAGGAGAGCACACGACUACACAUAUGACGGUAGUUUAUUAAAGUUGAAAACCGUACCACACCGCCUAUCCGAACUCCAGAGCCGAGACAAACAUGACAAAAAACAGAAAAAUGGACACGAAAAAAAUCGAAGUCAGCAGCGACGGGAAGCUCGAGCGGGGGGGUCUAUCGAAACGAAAGCCUACAGCCGAUCACUUCCUCGGAACAAAAUCGGUGCCAGAGCAAGGGAGAAAUACGGCUAUACCUCGGCGUCGUUGACGAGGCCGCGAAGGGGAUCGGAUCGCUCGCCCGCGGGGUCGCUUCCGGUGACGCAGGCAGGCGUGAGAGCGAGGUGAGACAAAUGGGAGAGCAGCAGCCGAAGUAUGUGUGUGUGACUGGUCUGCGGGCGCUGGGCGUGUGCUUUAGCGGCAGCGGUCCCGAGCGCAGGGACGACCCGGCCAACACCAACAGCUCGCUCGCUCUGACCUCGCCUCGCCCCUGCUGCCUGGUCAAUGGAGACGCAGCAAACAACAGCGCAGGCGGCAUCGGACCGCAAAGGUUUCGGUGUCGAAUCCGACCACGUCCCCGUCGGAUGGCAGGGCACGGCGGCGGCUAUGCUCCGUGGGUUGGUGGACCCAGACGUCGCAGGCAGAGUAGCCGUAGCAGAGCAGGACGGUUCAAAAAAAAAAACAACUAGCGCUACUGGUUCAGCCCAUUCAUCGUUACGGUCGCCAACAGAAGUCGAGAAGAAGGUUCGUCACUUCUAGUAAAAAAAAGGCCAUAAACGUUUUGUAGGCCCACAGAUUUGUUCCCGCUGGCCCAAAGGCUCCAGGACCCAUUGAGCUGGGCCGAUGGUUGCCGUUUCCGUUCGCAUCCGGCCAGUCCAAUAGUCGCGCUAUUCGUUUUCAGAGGAUGAGAGGAAGCCCGCAUCACGUUCCACUCUCGAGUCUCCAGUUCCCUCACCCCUUUAUUACCAGGUCAGGUGCGAUCUGAGCUCAAAGAUCUAUCGCGAUUUCACAGCAGAGCGACAAAGGCAGGCAGGUUCAACGUCAGCAGUUACUCACCUCCGACGACUAGCUACUAGCUACGAGAACCAGUAACAGUAAUGCAGUCUUGUUAUAUUCGCUCUCGAGUCCAGGCAGUCCAAAUAGUCGGAGCGGAACAGCCUAACACACUAUCGUCUUUUCUCUCUCCCUCUCUCUCUAGCAGAUCCAAAUGCGAUAUUUCUGGAGGGAAGACGUAUCAUGCUCCACUUUCGAGAUAAAUUCUUUUCACCCCUUUUGUUACCAAGUGCGAUCCGAGGCCAAAGAUCUUUCACGGUAGAGUGGAGUCAGCAGAGGCCACGAGACAGGCAAGUUCACCGUCGACCAUUGCUCGCACUCCAAACGAAUCCGCAUCAGAUGAUCGCGAUUUCUAGCACCCCUGUCUGGUGCAUGUGGCGCACGUGUCUGGCGCAUUUGCCCCCCCAAAACGACUUAAAAAAAUCUCGCUGGUGAGGAACACAUCGCCCUAACAAAAAAUAUGGUUUCAACCGAGAAAAUCUCGGAAUCUUGGUCCUCAUCACUAGCGGGCUAUCAACAUCCACUCUACAACGUCCCAGACUCCUGGUUAGAGUGUGACACACAAUACAUAAUCUGGAAGCGAACGGAACAUAACGAGGAGAUUUUUUAACUAAACCUGUAAUUCGUCCACAUCGAAAUCGGGACCUGUAGGUGCUACUCAGAAGCCUUGAUCAUUACUCUAGGGAGUCUUUCACACCCCUCCCCCCAAACGACUUAAAAAAAUUCGGCCGGAGAGGGACAAAUCGUCCUCCUGAUAUUAAAUAUUAAGAAGAUACCAAAACAUAGUAUCGGCCGAGAAAAUCUCCAAACCCUGGUCCUCAUCACUAGCGUACCUUCAUCGUCCACUCUGCAACGUCCUAGCCGCUAACUGGAGGGUGACGGCGACGCGUAAGACGUAACCCGGAAGCGAACGGGACAAAACGAGAACAUUUUUUAAAUCAAAUCGAAGAAAAUGUCUUCGAUAGAGAUUAAACUCGAAACCUGAAGGUGCUACUCGGUCUUAACCACUACGCUAGAGGCUACAAAACGACUAAUUACGAGGUAUACCAUGUUAGUUAUACUACCGAGUGGUAAACCGUCUCAUGCCUCGUGACUCGGGAUCCCAACAAGGAGCGCGGCAAUUGGAGCCCUCGUACUUAUCAAACGCGAUAGUUUCGAGGGCGUGGGAUCGACAGCAAUAUUAUCUGUGACGAAACUGCCCGCACCAACACCAGCACCACCGCCGAAUCACUCUAGCUUAAGGACCGCAGAAAGCGCGAAACCAAACUCCCGGAGUUAACAAGUCCAAUCAUGGACUUUUUUCCAGCUUCUCAAAGUGGCAAUAAUUCGCACGUCGAUCCUGACGCGAUUCCGUCGGUUUCCUUUCCUUCCUCUGACACCGGAACAGCGGCGUGCAUCAGUGCACCGGUGAGCCGAGCCGGGGCCAAUGCGGGUGGGGGUGGUGGUGGGGGUGGUGAUACAUCGUCGGUGCUUUCAGCACUCGAGCGCAUGAUAAGGCGAUACGCAAAUUCGCCUCACGCGGUCACGCCCGACUCACCAGCAUACCAUAGCCAACAGCGCCGGCUUAAUUUGCCGCACAAUAAUAGCCUGGUGCUUUCAGCAAUAGUGGCUGCAUUAUUGGCGUCCUGCAGGCUGCAGCUGCAACUCCGUCGAGCAACACGGGCUGCUGCACACGCGUCGCUGUGGUGAUUCCGGUAGUGGAAGGUCCGGGGAGAAGCCAUUACGCGAGGCAAUAAUUCAUUUCAGCUCCCACAUUCCAACGUCCGAGUCAAAAAAAAAAGGCGCUUCAGGCUUCCGCGUCAUUUCAGCCUUCCAUUGCGAUGAACAGCGCUAAACAAAGCAAAAGUUCUGCACCCACGAGAUGGUUUGCAAGCAAACAAUGGAUUGCAGCUGCUAAAGUAUUUUGUUCGCUGUGGUUUAUUGUGGUUUUAAUUCAGCUACUGCUACUGCUUCUAUAAUAUUUUAUCUUUAUAGCCGCAUUAGUGUGAGAAACAGCUAAGCUGCUGCUGCCGGACAAUUCAACAGCCUGGGAAGCACAUGGCCUACUUUCAGUGGCAUCGCCGUUCGGAGGUGGCGCAAUAGAGUUUCUAGAGCACCUUUGUAUGUGUUCAGUGUUCUCUCAGCUUUGAUUUUGUUUCUAAAACAGAAUUUGUAGACUGUAUCUAUUUGGCUAAAAUGAUAUUAAACGAAGCUGAAAAACAUGGAACUAUCCAAACAGGCCUGCACUUCAGUGCUGACUAAAAAAUCUUUUUAUUUUGUCAUAAAUAGUGAUUCCGCGUUUAUGUGUUAUAUAUAUAUAUAUAUAUAUAUAUAUAUAUAUAUAUAUAUAUAUAUAUAUAUAUAUAUAUAUAUAUAUAUAUAUAUAUAUAUAUAUAUAUAUAUAGUCGGUUGCCCGUGCGUUGCGACGGCUUACAACAAUACCCAUGUAAUCUAACCACCAAAAAAAAUUCAAGAUUUUUUAUUAAUUGUCUCCGCUCUCCGUAUAAUAUUUUUUGAUUUGGCUAACUGAUGUUAUUAUUUACUCCAUCCAAUAUGUCUUGGUACAACACGGCCAAUGAAGUGAGCGGUUAGAAGAGAGUUCACAACGACUAACUGAACGAACAGAGAUUAUAAAAUGACAUAAUUCCGUCAUACAGAGAUCAAAUAAGAGAGAGUUUGUGAGUUCAAGUUUCUAAAAUAAAUCACAUGAAUUCAAACUUAUAAAAAAGAUAGAUCAAAAUAUGAAGUGAUUGCUAAAGUCAGGCAUCAAUAAAAACUUGAUGCGCUCUAUAUAAAUUAUGCUGCUUUGUAGCAAUUACUAACGUUUAAAACCAACAAAUAACCUUUUGUUUUACUGUUAGUGCGACAAAUCAUUGCCGUUUCAUCCAAUUCAGCAACCUCAAACACCAAGGAGUCCAUUGUGCCAAUGUGGUCUCAGAAACGACCUAAUGCUUGCAGGAGCCAAGGUCGUGUCGUGCUUGGGUUGUAGCCUCGGCCCGUAGUACUGGUCCGGCCCGACACGAUUAUAUAUUUUUUAUUUUACAAAAAACGUAUAUACAUAUAUAUAUAAUUUAUAUUCAAUAUUAAAAACAUUUGAGCAUGAUGUUCUACUGGUUAGACAGAUUUACCUAUUGUCUCCCGCCCUUCUUCCACGAGGGCAUGGGUUCGAAUCCCACCUCUUGCACCGUUUUUAACAUUUUACGCUGAUAAUCAAAUGGGCCGACGGGCUAACGGUCUGGCCCGGCAUAGUUAGCAGACCGACAUGUGUCUGGGCCAGAGUUGUGGCUCACGCGCGUCUGGCCUGUGCCGGGCCGCCAUUUGGCCAUCUAUAGUCGUGCAGCGGAUUAAUUUGAAAUAGCUGUGAGGGGUUAUUUGUAAAAAAAUGACGUUGGACGACCGUUGAAACUGGUGCUUUAAGUAUAGUAUAUACACAAUAUAUAAUACGAGCCCACGACUUCCAAUAACUAGAAGCCCAGGUCCGAGCUGCGUGCGAGCGGUGGCGAUCCUGGGGGCCAACGGAGGUGCCGCUCCGAGGCGGGUGACCGACGGCAGCGCUCCACCAGGAACGAGCGACGACGACGCUCCCGAGGCGGGCGGGCAAGCGGUGACGGCGCUCCCGAAGCAGACGGGCGGCAGCGGCGCACCCUAGGCCCGGUGGCAACGGCGGUUUUGCGAGGCGCGGUCGUCUCUAGCGAAGGCGGCCAUUCGGCGGCUUCAGGAGCGUCCUUUGAUCUAGCGGUCUCGGGAUAGUCCUACAGCGACGAACUAUCCAAUCCAUAUUUAUGCCAUCAAUAAUUAUAUUUUAUGUCUGCUACUUGCACUAUAUGUAUUCCAGUGAUAAUUUUUACGACCAUGAAUACAAUUUUAUGUUGCCAUAAAACUGCCCCUAAUUCCCACGGAGGCUGUUAGUUGAACAGAUAUUAGAUUUUUUUAUCAAUUAUGCUACACAGUGUAUAUAUUUAUACGACUUUGUAUAUAAAUUUAUGCUCUGCAUGAACCAUGUCAUCAAAUUUUUUGCAUGCGUGCAGUGGAAACGAAAAUAUCAUCCAAAAUUUUCGCGCAUGCAAUGGAAACUCCAACGUUCUGCUAUAAUUUUUGGAUCUCCGUAAAAAUUGAAACCCCAUGGAUGCGACUCCCAUAUUUUUCGGAACUGCCAUAAAAAUAGGAUCAUGAAUACAAACCACCAGAGAUAUCAACCUCUCAUAUUGUCUCGGUAUUUACGCUUAUAACCGAGGAGUUUCAUGCUCAAAACUUAGCAUUUUUACACUUGAACCUAGAGAUGCGUCCACCAGUGAACCACAUACCAGUUUUUUUACGCAGUGUACAACAUUGCAUAAAUACCUACACCGUAUAACAUAAUUUGUAUAAGUAUAUAUCAUGAACUUAUUCUAACGAGUCUAGUUGCAUGGCUGUUGGAGCGAUCCUAUAUUUAUGAAGUAAAUAAAGCAUUAAAUACGAUUUUUUUGUUUCCAUACAUGCCAAUCUAUUUUUUUUCAUCGUACAUUUUUGUCAUCCUAAUUUUGUACGCAUGCAGCAGGUAACAGAUUUUUACGCGGUGUACCAAAUUGCAUAAAUAUCUACACCGUGUAGCAUAAUUAGUAUCAAUAUAUACCAUAAACUGAUCCUAACGAGUCUAGCUACAUGACUGUUGGAGCGAUCCUAUAUUUAUGGAGAAAAAUAAAGCAUUAAAUACAACUUUUUAUUUCCAUAAAUGCAAAUCCAUUUCCUUUCAUCGUACAUUUUGGUCAUUCUAAUUUUGUGCAUGCAGCAUUUAACAGAUUUUUACGAAGUGUACUGAAUUGCAUAAAUAUCUAUGUUGGGGGCCUUCGUCUUCCGAAGGUUCUCAAAAACAUGAUUUAACAAUGUUUCUGGAGUAUAAUACAUAAACAGGUACCUUCGGACGCGGAUCAGAACCACAAUGUGAAGAAGUACAAAGAAUACGAAGGUUGGUGCAGAUCCGAAGCUGUGCGCAGGGGAGCUUCGGCAUGGUAGCAGAAAGGGGAACCGACUUAAAAGGGAAAAUGCUAUUUAGACCUCGAUGGAUUACUAUAAAGUCAUUAGCAAAUGUAAAGGGCAUGAGUGUAAUUUUACAUGGACUGCGUCCCGUGCCUAUAAAUAGAUGAACAGUGCUCCCGUACUGUUCACGCUGACUUGACAUUUGCUUUUGCGUCACACUUGUACUUUUGCCUUCUCUCAAGCCGAAGGUACAUUUGUAACUUGAUAUCAUUUCUAUUUUUCCAUGAUAAUAAAAUAGAAAUGAGCUGAUAAUGAUACAUAAAUGUUCAUGUUAUCUUUCACAUUUCAUAUGAUUCUCUUUUUCACUAUCAUGUGCCGUAAUGAUGAAGGUAUGUCCCUCAUGACCUUCGUCCGAAGAUCAUUAUAUUCCAAGGGAAAUAAUGCUUCAUUGGACGAAGGGCAUUAACGUUUAAUAUUCUUUAUGUUGCCUUGUUCUUAACUCAUAGCAUUUGAGGACAAGUCCCCAACAUUGGCGCCCACCUCCGGUGAACUCUUUUCGACCACCUUCGGCAAGCACUGACCUUCGUCAUGCCACCGAAGAAAGCUUCAGCGAUAGGGACUGCCGCUCUGCAGCCGCUGGACCCGAACCAGGAGACCCUUUCUCUUCGAGAGGCCUGAAGCCAUAAGAGGAAGGCCACUAGUCCAACACCCUAGGAGGACGAGUUGGACCAAGAAAUCAGAAACAUGGAGAUGCUUCAUCAACAAGUACAAAGGAAGAAGGAGAAGAUGGCCCGACUAGCCGACCUUCAAAGACAGAUUGACGAAGCCACUGAAGAAGUACGUCAUCUUGUUCAAGAUGAACAAGAACGAAGGCCCCAACACAGGGAGCUUCAUCAAGAGGGCUUGUUCGAUGAUGAUGGAUUGUAUGAUGAUUCUAAUCAUGGUACCUUUACUUUUGACGAUGUUUCACCCUUGGCAGCAGAACUGCAGGCUAUCCCAUGGCCCCCAUCGUAUAAGCCACCUCAACUUCCGAUGUAUGAUGGGCAUUCAGACCCGAAGCAGUUUUUGAUGAGCUAUGAAGCAACCAUAUCUUCAUAUGGAGGCAAUGCAGCUGUCAUGGCCAAAUCCUUCGUCAUGGCAGUUAAGAAUGUGGCCCAGACAUGGUAUUCUUCUCUUCGGCAAGGAACUAACACUUCAUGGCAGAAGCUCAAAGACAUGCUGGUGACAAGCUUCCAGGGCUUCUAGACGAAGCCAAUCACAGAUCAGGCUCUGUUUCAAUGCACGCAAGAUCACGAGGAGUAUCUCCAUGCAUACGUCCGAAGGUUCUUGCGUCUGAGAGCACAAGCGCCUACAGUGCCCAAUGAAAUUGUCAUUGAGGCCAUGAUCAAGGGGCUUCGUCCAGGACCUACUGCCCAGUAUUUUGCUAGAAAGCCUCCACAAACUUUGGAGAAGUUGCUUCAAAAGAUGGAUGAAUACAUCCGCGCUGACAAUGACUUUCGUCAAAGAAGGGAUGAAGCCUACAGGUUCUCCGAGAUGACCAGGGGCUUCGGAGGGAGAAUACUCCCAAGGCACGUCAGAUCAAUCCACUCCACCUAGAAUGACGAUAGAGGAAGUCAGCAACAGAGGCCACAAUAUUCCUCGCAAGCUUCGGGGCAGCAACAAAGCUAUCUUCGGCCGCCAGCUCCAAGAGGCAGAGGCGCUAGGGGCUUCGGAGGAAGGUUUGGGGAUCAGCCUAGAAAAAUUUAUUGCCUAUUCUGUGGUGAGGACAAGGGCCAUACUACAAGGAUGUGCCAUGUCACCAUUCAGAAACAGAAAGAAAUAGCAGAAGCUGUAGCCCAACAGAACCAGCCGAAGCAGGUCAUGCACACUGCUUCAUAUCACUCACCCUACAUACCAGAGUAUGUGGGUAACCAUCCUGCAGCUUCUGUUGCUUCGGCUAGCGAGCCACAGGCAUCAUGGCAACAACCUCCACCUCCGCCACCAUUGCAACCUGCAUAUCCACGGGGACAGCAGCCAGAAGGGAGCCAACAUACCCACCAACAGCGAGAUUUCAGGGAGGAGUCCGAAGCUCGCAUAGUCAACAGUACUGUGCCAGAAUCGAAGCAUAUCUAUUAAGAGAUAUCCUACCCUUGAAACAGUUUUUACAUUCAUUAUCAUUUUCUUUCUUACUAAGGAACAAUUAUUGAAAACCUAGUUUUCUUGUUGUUUUCAAUUCCUUGUAAUAGCUUCAUUUUUGUCAUAGUGAAAAUAUAUCUUCUCCACAGACUUACGGAGUCCAAAAGUCGCUGAAGCACAAAAAGUCGUUCCUAAGAGAACGCGCGGCUAAAAAGUACAUCACAAGUAUCUCCGAAACUACAAAAAGUCGUUCUACGGAACGCAACGUAAAUUUGCCAAAGCUACAAAAAGUCGUUCCUAAGGGAGCGUAGUGUAUGUUUUCUGCUCAAAAGUCAUUUCAAAGGGAAUGCAGAGCCAAAUACUGCCGAAAUAUAAGGCGAAGCGCGAAAAGUCAACGCGAAUACCACCGAAAUAGAAGGCGAAGAAGUUCAAAAUAUGUUCCUAAGAGAAUGCAGAACUUACAACGAAAAGUCAGCGCUGAUACACCAAAAAAUAAGCGGUGAAGCCGAAAAAUAAACGACAAAGAGAUUGUGUAUUCCAAUAUGGGGAUGUGAGUGUGUGUCUUCGGCACAAAGUAUCAUUUUGCAUAGCAUAACAUCAUCACAUCAUUUCGCAUAACAUAACAUCAUACAUCAUUGUCGGCGUUAGGCUGAGUCCGAGCCCUGGGGUCGGGCGAGGCGGAGUUCGCCGUCUUCCGGAGCCGAGGCUGAGCCCGAGCCCUGGGGUCGGGCGAGGCGGAGUUUCCUAUGGCGCCCGAGGCUAGACUUGGCUGCUGUCAGCCUCACUCUGUCGAGUGGCACAGCAGUCGGAGCGACGCAGGCGUCGCUAUCUUCUUGUCAGGUCGGUCAGUGGAGCGGCGAGGUGACUGCGGUCACUUCGGCUCUGUCGACUGAAGAGCGCUUGUCAGGAUAAGGUGUCAGGCGAUCCUUGCAUUAAAUGCUCCUGCGAUACGGUCGGUCGGCGUGGCGAUCUGGCCAAGGUUGCUUCUCGGCGAAGACUGGGCCUCGGGCGAGCCGAAGGUGUGUUCGUUGCUUGAGGGGGCCCUCGGGCGAGACGUGAAUCCUCCGGGGUCGGCUGCCCUUGCCCGAGACCGAGCUCGGGCGAGGUGAGAUCGUGUCCCUUGAGUGGACUGAGCCUUGACCUUAAUCGCACCCAUCAGGCCUUUACAACUUUGUGCUGAUGGGGGUUACCAGCUGAGAUUAGGAGUCUUGGGGGUACCCCUAAUUAUGGUCCCUGACAAUCUUAUUGCAUCAAUGGCACAAGAAGGGGACCUUCGGAGAAUGCUUCGAAAAAGUGAAAUUGUGCUAAGGCACAAAAUAAGUUUUGAAGAAAUACAGUUUUAUCAGCUCUGAUGUGGAGGAAAAAGUCUGUUGUUGACGAAGCAUCAGUGAUUUGGCGACGCCUGAAGCAUUUUUUAUGAAGCACUCUGAUAUGGAGGAAGAAAGUCUAUUACUGACGAAGCAUUAAUGUUUUUGCGACAAUUGGAGGAUUUUUCACGAAGCAUAAAAGCUCUCCUUUAUGAAGCAUGAAAAGAAGGAAAGGUGUUUUUUCGCCGAAGGCUCAAAAACGGUAUGUACAUAAAAGUUUCAUGCAUCGCAAAGAAAUGAAUUACAAAGCCAUUUAUACAUUACAUUAAGAACCCAUGAGCACCAAAUAUUACAAGCAUAGUCCAGCAAAUGUUACAUUAAUAUUCUAGCAAUAUUUUUUACAAUAUCUAUUCUUCUUCUUUCAAAACUUUGUCUGCAGCUUCGAUCAGCAUUUGAGUAACGACUUCGUCCAUAAUGCUUUCGGCCAUGUUAAUAAUUUCUACUGAUUCCUUUGCCUCUAUGUCGACCAAUGACUCGAAGGGAUCUGGGGGAGGAGAUAGUUCGGCUGCGGUAGAAAACGUAAAUAAGUUCGAAGUCACAAAAAUAAAUAAUAAAGUUAAAAGCUAUUAAGCAAUACCUAUCCGCCUUUCGAGUUCCGCAGCUUUUUCAGCUGCCUUCGUUGCUUCCCUAGCGUCAUGAGUAUCUUUUUCGUUCGUCUUUAUAAUCUCAUGGGCCAUCCCUCGGCCGCCAUUUUCUCAUAUGUCAGUAAAAAAAUUUUGCCUACUAAACUUGCUUCGGCCGAGGAGUCCUUCGUAUCGUCAACCGAUAAAGCAGAUUCGGUUUGGGCCGAAGUUUUUACAUGAUCGCAACCUGACUUCUGCAAAAUAGAUGCAAUUCCCCUCGCGCCAGAGAAGGCACAGAUGUCUCCACGGUCAUUCAAAAUCUCCUCAAAGGCUUCGACCUCGCUGCUGAUCCAUUCAAUUGGGCCUUCGGGAUCGCCCCGUACGAAGUUGUCUUCACUUGAAUAUGCGCCAACAUUGGCGAAGCUAGUUUUUAUCUUUCUCACACAUUCUACAUAUUUUUCAUAACAUCUUUCUUUUGAGGAGCAAAGUUCUACAACUGUUUUUCCCAAUAUUUUUUCCAGUGAUCACUGGCGUCUCGGUCAGCUUCGGCAAUAGCACAUUUCAAUUUAGCUUCGGCUAGUUGCUUUUGAAGGUUUUCGAUCUCGCUCCUUUGGAUUUCAGAUUGGAUCUUGUAGUUAGCUUCAUCCCCCUUUACCUUAUCCACCAGAGUAAGUAGAAUUUAUCUUUUUCCAAAGCUUCGUUCCUCAGCUUAAUAACCUCUGUUCGAAGAUUGUUGAGAGCAAUAGUGCAACUCUCGUCUUCGGCAUUCUUCUGCGCCCUUAAGGCGUUACUAAGUAUUAAACCCUAUAUGAAAAGAAUGAAUGAGUUAAUAUAAGAGCAAAAGAAUAAUUCAGAAUUCGUAAACUUCCAAAUAUACAAUUUUUGUACCUUCAAACUGUUAUAUGUGAGGCUAUCUGCAAGAUCGUCCUUCGUCAUGGCGCAGAGGCUAGCUUCGAGGUUCGGGAACCCCAUGCUUCUGGCCAUCUCCCGACAGACAAAUAAUUCUUUGUUGUCUGGGAGACAGUAUAAGAAGUCAUCUUCGUCUGUGCCAUUGAACACUAAGGCCCCCUUCGGAUACUUCAGUUCUCGGGCAUAGUGUUUAGCUUCAAAAAUCUCAUCUUCAGACAAUUUUUUUCCCGAAGCAUGUCAUAUAAUAUAAUCAAGAACUUCGGAAGGUGCUUCGGGAGUAGGAGUGGCGGCUUCUUCAGGCAGAAUUUGUUCUACAACUUCUUUUUUCGUUGCCUUUUCUCCGGUUUCCAAGGAUUUCUCCUUGGUGGGCUCUGAAGGCCCAGCUUCGGUCUCGGCCUGGCUCUUUGUAGCUUCAGCUUCGGUCAGCUUUGUCUCAGUCUGCGCUUGUGAAGCCUUGGCUAUUUUCCCUAGAGUAGAACAUGAAAUUUUUAUCGUCUCCAGCACAUCCAGAACACUGGCCAUCCUUUUCCUCUUGGGGGUCGCUGUAAGACCUUUUUGUGCCUUCGGCACUAUCACUUCUGUCGAAGGGCUUAGAACUUCUAAUAUUUUUGUCCCUUCGACUCUUGUUUCUUCAAUAUUAACCACCUUCGGCUCAGCUAAUUUGGCUGAGGGUGCCUUCGGCACUCUAGCCGGCUCUUCAAUCUUUUGCGUGGGGGAGCAGGUUCUUUCGCUUCAGUAGCCAAAGAGGUCUCACCGCCAAAUUUAGGCAUUGUGGCCGGUUCAAUAUAGCGCGGUCGGUGAGUAAGAACCUUCACCUUUUCCCUCUUCGACGCGGGCUCGCUUGGAGCAGCUGAAGCAACAUCCUUCCCAGAAGUUGCAAUUUUUCUCUUCUGCCCCCGUGGCGGGUAGCGGUAGUCAGGGUACAUAAAUACAAUAGCAUCAAAAACUCUAUUUAGCCUCUUCUUUUUUUCGGCUUCCGAAGGCCGCAGAUAGUGUGUUAUCUUCAGAUUUUGAGUAGACUCCAAGUAGUUCAUCACUAGUGUUUUCAACACACUUCAGCCAGUCGUCGUCUGGUUCGAUAAAUUGGUCUCUAAACCUGAAGGUAUAUUUCAAUCGAACCAAACCACCUUCGUUAGGGUUGCUGAUGGUCUCUUUUGGCAUCUCCCAGUUGUCUACCAAUGGUCAUAUCCUGUAGGCCACGUAUUCUUGGACUAAAUCCCUUGUCCCAAUGAAAGAGCAAACUAUGCCGAAGGCCCUUCGACAUUCUUUGGCUGCUUCAUCAAUUUCUACCUUCGGUUUCCGAAGGCCGAAGCGGGACCAAAUGGGGCGCAUAAUGAUCUCUGUAAUAUCUUCUCUUGCCUUUAAAUCAUUCUUCAAAUAGAAGCAUUCUUUCAUCCAGUCUCCGGGCCAUCUUUUUCCGAAAUGUUGUCACUGGGCGGCUUGAGCCUGAGCGAGCAACGAAGCUAUAUGAUAGUCGCCUAGAGGGGGGGGGGUGAAUAGGGCGAAACUGAAAUUUACAAAUAUAAACACAAACUACAAGCUGGGUUAGCGUUAGAAAUAAAACCGAGUCCGCGAAAGGGUGUAAAACAAAUCGCAAGCGAGUAAAGCGGUGAGACACACGGAUUUGUUUUACCGAGGUUCGGUUCUUGCAAACCUACUCCCCAUUGAGGAGGCCACAAAGGCCGGGUCUCUUUCAACCCUUCCCUCUCUCAAAUGGUCCCUAGGACCGAGUGAGCUUCUCUUCUCAAAUCACUUGGGAAUCAAACUUCCCGCAAGGACCACCACACAAUUGGUGUCUCUUGCCUCAAUUACAAGUGAGUGUUUGAUCACAAAAAAGAAUGUCAAAGAAAAGAAGCGAUCCAAGCGCAAGAGCUCAAAUGAACACUACAAAUCACUCUCUCUAGUCACUAUGGCUUUAUGAGGAGUUGGGAGAGGAUUUGAUCUCUUUUGGUGUGCUUUGCAAUGAAUGCUAGCUCUUGUAUAGUAGUUGGAAACUGGAAAACUUGGAUGCAAUGAAUGUGGGGGUGGUUGGGGUAUUUAUAGCCCCAACCACCAAACUUGACCGUUGGUGGAGGCUGUCUGUCGUAUGGUGCACCGGACAGUCCGGUGCACACCGGACAUGUCCGGUGCACACCGGACAUGUCCGGUGCGCCAACCACGUCACCAAUGUCGUUGGAUUCCGACCGUUGGAGCUUCUGUCUUCUGGGCCCGCCUGGAUGUCCGGUGCACACCGGACAUGUACUGUUCAAUGUCCGGUGCGCCAGUAUGGGCGUGCCUGACUUCUGCGCGCUUCUGGCGCGCAUUGAAUGCGCCUGCAGGUGACCGUUGGCGCGAAGUAGUCGUUGCUCCGCUGGUUCACCGGACAGUCCGGUGUACACCGGACAUGUCCGGUGAAUUAUAGCGGAGCAGCCGCUACGUUUUCCCGAGGCUGGCGAGUUCCGGAGGCCGCUCUUCCUUGGAGCACCGGACACUGUCCGGUGUACACCGGACAGUCCGGUGAAUUAUAGCGGAGUGCCUCUGGAAAUUCACGAAGGUGGCAAGUUUGAGUUGGAGUCCUCUGGUGCACCGGACACUGUCCGGUGGUGCACCGGACAUUGUCCGGUGUACACCGGACUGUCCGGUGCCCCAGACCAGAGGUGCCUUCGGUUGACCCUUUGCUCCUUUGUUGAAUCCAAUAUUUGAUCUUUUUAUUGGCUAAGUGUGAACCUUUUACACCUGUAUAACUUAUACACUAGAGCAAACUAGUUAGUCCAAUUAUUUGUGUUGGGCAAUUCAACCACCAAAAUUAUUUAGGAACUAGGUGUAAGCCUAAUUCCCUUUCAAUCUCCCCCUUUUUGGUGAUUGAUGCCAACACAAACCAAAGCAAAUAUAGAAGUGCAUAAUUGAACUAGUUUGCAUAAUGUAAGUGCAAAGGUUGCUUGGAAUUGAGCCAAUAUAAAUACUUACAAGAUAUGCAUGGAUCGUUUCUUCGUUUUUAACAUUUUGGACCACGCUUGCACCACAUGUUUUGUUUUUGCAAACUCUUUUGUAAAUUCUUUUCAAAAGUUCUUUUGCAAAUAGUCAAAGGUAAAUGAAUAAGAUUUGCAAAGCAUUUUCAAGAUUUGAAAUUUUCUCCCCCUGUUUCAAAUGUUUUUCCUUUGACUAAACAAAACUCCCCCUAAAUGAGAUCCUCCUCUUAGUGUUCAAGAAGGUUUUGAUAUAUUAAUUUUUGAAAUACUACUUUCUCCCCCUUUUGAACAUAAUAGGAUACCAAUUGAAAAUACUCCAAAGAACUAAGUUUUUGAAAUUGGUGGUGGUGCGGUCCUUUUGCUUUGGGCUCAUACUCUCUCCCCCUUUGGCAUGAAUCGCCAAAAACGGAAUCAUUAGAGCCCUUAUUAGAACUUUCUCCCCCUUUGGACAUAAAUAAAUAAGUGAAGAUUAUACCAAAGGUGAAGUCCUUUUGUUUUCUCCCCCAAAGAUGGAGAGUGGCAUGGAGCGACGACGAAGGAUGAGUUACGGAGUGGAAGCCUUUGUCUUCGCCGAAGACUCCAAUUCCCUUUCAAUACACCUAUGACUUGGUUUGAAAUGGACUUGAAAACACAUUAGUCAUAGCAUAUGAAAGAGACAUGAUCAAAGGUAUAUAAAUGAGCUAUGUGUGCAAUUUAACAAAAGAAGUUCCUAGAAUCAAGAAUAUUUAGCUCAUGCCUCAGUUUGUAAAAAGUUUGUUCAUCAAGAGGCUUGGUAAAGAUAUCGGCUAAUUGAUCUUUAGUGUUGAUAUAAGAAAUCUCGAUAUCUCCCUUUUGUUGGUGAUCCCUAAGAAAAUGAUACCGAAUGGCUAUGUGCUUAGUGCGGCUAUGUUCGACGGGAUUAUCCGCCAUCUUGAUUGCACUCUCAUUAUCACAUAGCAAAGGGACUUUGGUUAGUUUGUAACCGUAGUCCCGCAGGGUUUGCCUCAUCCAAAGCAAUUGCGCGCAACAAUGGCCUGCGGCAAUGUACUCGGCUUCGGCGGUGGAAAGAGCGACCGAAUUUUGCUUCUUUGAAGCCCAAGACACCAAGGAUCUUCCCAAGAACUGGCAAGUCCCCGAUGUGCUCUUCCUAUUGAUUUUGCACCCUGCCCAAUCGGCAUCCGAAUAACCAAUCAAAUCAAAUGUGGAUCCUCGAGGGUACCAAAGCCCAAACUUAGGAGUAAAAGCCAAAUAUCUCAAGAUUCGUUUUACGGUCGUAAGGUGAGCUUCCUUAGGGUCGGCUUGGAAUCUUGCACACAUGCAAACGGAAAGCAUAAUAUCCGGUCGAGAUGCACAUAAAUAGAGUAAAGAACCUAUCAUCGACCGGUAUACCUUUUGAUCCACGGACUUACCUCCCGUGUCGAGGUCGAGAUGCCCAUUAGUUCCCAUGGGGGUCUUGAUGGGCUUGGCAUCCUUCAUCCCAAACUUGUUUAGAAUGUCUUGAGUAUACUUCAUUUGGAUAAUGAAGGUGCCCUCUUGGAGUUGCUUCACUUGAAAUCCCAAGAAGUACUUCAACUCCCCCAUCAUUGACAUCUCGAACUUUUGUGUCAUGAUCCUACUAAAUUCUUCACAUGUAGACUCGUUAGUAGACCCAAAUAUAAUAUCAUCAACAUAAAUUUGGCAUACAAACAAGUCAUUUUCAAUAGUUUUAGUGAAUAGAGUAGGAUCGGCCUUUCCGACUUUGAAUUCAUUAGUGAUAAGAAAAUCUCUAAGGCAUUCAUACCAUGCUCUUGGGGCUUGCUUGAGCCCAUAAAGCGCCUUAGAGAGUUUGUAGACAUGGUUAGGGUACUCACUGUUUUCAAAGCCGGGAGGUUGCUCAACAUAGACCUCUUCCUUGAUCGGUCCGUUGAGGAAGGCACUUUUCACGUCCAUUUGAUAAAGCUUAAAGCCAUGGUAAGUAGCAUAGGCUAAUAAUAUUCGAAUUGACUCAAGCCUAGCUACGGGUGCAUAAGUUUCACCGAAAUCCAAACCUUCGACUUGGGAAUAUCCUUUGGCUACAAGUCGAGCUUUGUUCCUUGUCACCACACCAUGCUCAUCUUGCUUGUUGCGGAAGACCCAUUUGGUUCCUACAACAUUUUGAUUAGGACGUGGAACUAAAUGCCAUACCUCAUUCCUAGUGAAGUUGUUGAGCUCCUCUUGCAUUGCCACCACUUAAUCCGAAUCUUGGAGUGCUUCCUCUACCCUGUGUGGCUCAAUAGAGGAAACAAAGGAGUAAUGCUUACAAAAAUGUGCAACACGAGAUCUAGUAGUUACCCCUUUAUGAAUGUCGCCAAGGAUGGUGUCGACGGGGUGAUCUCGUUGGAUUGCUUGGUGGACUCUUGGGUGUGGCGGUCUUGGUUCUUCAUCCUCCUUGUCUUGAUCAUUUGCAUCUCCCCCUUGAUCAUUGUCGUCAUCUUGAGGUGGCUCAUUUGCUUGAUCUUCUAUUUCAUCAACUUGAGCUUCAUCCUCAUUUUGAGUCGGUGGAGAUGCUUGCAUGGAGGAGGAUGGUUGAUCUUGUGCAUUUGGAGGCUCCUCGGAUUCCUUAGGACACACAUCCCCAAUGGACAUGUUCCUUAGCGCGAUGCACGGAGCCUCUUCAUCACCUAUCUCAUCAAGAUCAACUUGCUCUACUUGAGAGCCGUUAGUCUCAUCAAACACAACGUCACAAGAAACUUCAACUUGUCCAGUGGACUUGUUAAAGACUCUAUAUGCCCUUGUGUUUGAAUCAUAUCCUAGUAAAAAGCCUUCUACAGUCUUAGGAGCAAAUUUAGAUUUUCUACCUCUUUUAACAAGAAUAAAGAAUUUGCUACCAAAGACUCUAAAAUAUGAAAUGUUGGGCUUUUUACCGGUUAGGAGCUCAUAAGAUGUCUUCUUGAGGAUUCGGUGUAGAUAUAAUCGGUUGAUGGCGUAGCAAGCGGUGUUGACCGCCUCGGCCCAAAACCGAUUCGAAGUCUUGUACUCAUCAAGCAUAGUCCUUGCCAUGUCCAAUAGAGUUCUAUUCUUCCUUUCCACUACACCAUUUUGUUGUGGCGUGUAGGGAGAAGAGAACUCAUGCUUGAUGCCCUCCUCCUCAAGGAAGCCUUCGAUUUGAGAGUUCUUGAACUCCGUCCCGUUGUCGCUUCUAAUUUUCUUGAUCCUUAAGCCGAACUCGUUUUGAGCCCGUCUCAAGAAUCCCUUUAAGGUUUCUUGGGUUUGAGAUUUUUCCUGCAAAAAGAACACCCAAGUGAAGCGAGAAUAAUCAUCCACUAUUACAAGACAAUACUUACUCCCGCCGAUGCUUAUGUAAGCAAUCGAGCCGAAUAGAUCCAUGUGGAGUAGCUCAAGUGGCCUGUCGGUCGUCAUGAUGUUCUUGUGUGGAUGAUGGGCACCAACUUGCUUUCCUGCUUGGCAUGCGCUACAAACCCUGUCUUUCUCAAAGUGAACAUUUGUUAGUCCUAAAAUGUGUUCUCCCUUUAGAAGCUUGUGAAGAUUCUUCAUCCCCACAUGUGCUAGUCGGCGAUGCCAGAGCCAGCCCAUGUUAGUCUUAGCAAUUAAGCAAGUGUCGAGUUCAGCUCUAUCAAAAUCUACCAAGUAUAGCUGACCCUCUAACACUCCCUUAAAUGCUAUUGAAUCAUCACUUCUUCUAAAGACAGUGACACCUACAUCAGUGAAAAGACAGUUGUAGCCCAUUUUGCAUAAUUAAGAUACAGAAAGCAAAUUGUAAUAUAAUGAAUCAACAAGAAAAACAUUGGAAAUAGAAUGGUCAGGAGAUAUAGCAAUUUUACCCAAUCCUUUGACCAAACCUUGAUUUCCAUCCCCGAAUGUGAUGACUCGUUGGGGAUCUUGGUUUUUCUUAUAGGAGGAGAACAUUUUCUUCUCCCCUGUCAUGUGGUUUGUGCACCCGCUGUCGAGUAUCCAACUUGAGCCCCCGGAUGCAUAAACCUACAAAACAAGUUUAGUUCUUGACUUUAGGUACCCAAAUGGUUUUGGGUCCUUUGGCAUUAGACACAAGAACUUUGGGUACCCAAACACAAGUCUUUGACCCCUUGUGCUUGCCCCCAACAUAUUUGGCAACUACUUUGCCGGAUUUGUUAGUCAACACAUAAGAUGCAUCAAAAGUUUUAAAAGAAAGACUAUGUCCAUUUGAUGCACUAGGAGUUUUCUUCUUAGGCAACUUAGCAUGGGUUGGUUGCCUAGAGCUAGAUGUCUCACCCUUAUACAUAAAAGCAUGGUUAGGGCCAGAGUGAGACUUCCUAGAAUGAAUUCUCCUAAUUUUGUCCUCGGGAUAACCGGUAGGGUAUAAAAUGUAACCCUCGUUAUCCUGAGGCAUGGGAGCCUUUCCCUUAACAAAGUUAGACAAUCUUUUAGGAGGGGCAUUAAGUUUGACAUUGUCUCCCCUUUGGAAGCCAAUGCCAUCCUUGAUGCCAGGGCGUCUCCCAUUAUAGAGCAUACUUCUAGCAAAUUUAAACUUUUCAUUCUCUAAGUUAUGCUCGGCAAUUUUAGCGUCUAAUUUAGCUAUAUGAUCAUUUUGUUGUUUAAUUAAAGCCAUAUGAUCAUGUAUAGCAUCAAUGUUAACAUCUCUACAUCUAGUACAAAUAGAAGUGUGCUCAACGAUAGAUGUAGAGGGUUUGCAAGAUUUUAGUUCUACAACCUUAGCAUGCAAUAUUUCAUUUUUACUUCUAAGGUCGGAAAUAGUAGCUUUGCACACAUCAAAAUCUUUAGCCUUAGCAAGUAAUUUUUCAUUUUCAUUUCUAAGGCUAGCAAGAGAAAUGUUCAAUUCUUCAAUCCUAGCAAGCAAAUCAUCACUAACAUCUCUAGGAUUGGAAGUUGAAACAUUACAAACAUGAGAAUCAACCUUAGCUAAUAAAUUGGCAUUUUCAUUUCUAAGGUUGUCUAUAGUCUCAUGGCAAGUGCUUAGCUCACUAGACAAAUUUUCACAUUUUUCUACUUCUAGAUCAUAAGCAUUUUUUACCUUAACAUGCUUCUUAUUUUCUUUAAUAAGGAGGUCCUCUUGAGAAUCCAAAAGGUCAUCCUUUUCAUGAAUAGCACUAAUCAAUUCAUUUAAUUUUUCUUUUUGUUCCAUGUUAAGGUUGGCAAAAAGGGUACGCAAAUUAUCUUCCUCAUCACUAGCAUUAUCAUCACUAGAGGAUUCAUAUCUAGUGGAGGAUUUAGAUUUAACCUUCUUUUUGCCGUCCUUUGCCAUGAGGCACUUGUGGCCGACGUUGGGGAAGAGAAGUCCUUUGAUGACGGCGAUGUUGGCGGCGUCCUCGUCGUCGGAGGAGUCGCUAGAGCUUUCGUCGGAGUCCCACUCCCGACAAACAUGGGCAUCGCCGCCCUUCUUCUUGUGGUACCUCUUCUUCUCCUUUCUUCUCCCCUUCUUGUCGUCGCCCCUGUCACUAUCACUUGAUAAUGGACAUUUAGCUAUAAAGUGACCGGGCUUACCACACUUGUAGCAAACCUUCUUGGAGCGGGACUUGUAGUCUUUCCCCCUCCUUUGUUUGAGGAUUUGGCGGAAGCUCUUGAUGACGAGCGCCAUUUCCUCAUUGUCGAGCUUAGAGGCGUCGAUUGGUUGUCUACUUGGUGUAGACUCCUCCUUCUUUUCCUCCGUUGCCUUGAAUGCGACGGGUUGAGCUUCGGAUGUGGAGGGAUCAUCAAGCUCGUUGAUCUUCCUCGAGCCUUCGAUCAUGCACUCAAAACUUACAAAAUUCCCGAUUACUUCCUUGGGGGUCAUUAGUGUAUAUCUUGGGUUGCCACAGAUUAAUUGAACUUGAGUAGGGUUAAGGAAAAUAAGAGAUCUUAGAAUAACCUUAACCACCUCGUGGUCAUCCCACUUUUUGCUCCCGAGGUUGCGCACUUGAUUCACCAAGGUCUUGAGCCGGUUGUACAUGUUUUGUGGCUCCUCCCCUUUGCGAAGCCAGAACCGACCGAGCUCCCCCUCGAUCGUCUCCCGCUUGGUGAUCUUUGUGAGCUCAUCUCCUUCGUGUGCGGUUUUGAGCACAUCCCAAACCUCCUUGGCGCUCUUCAACCCUUGCACUUUGUUAUACUCCUCUCUACUUAGAGAGGCGAGGAGUAUUGUUGUUGCUUGAGAGUUGAAGUGCUCGAUUUGGGCCACCUCAUCCUCAUCAUAGUCUUCAUCUCCUACGGAUGGUACCUGUGCACCAAACUCAACAACAUCCCAUAUACUUUUGUGGAGUGAGGUUAGAUGAAAUCGCAUUAAAUCACUCCACCUAGCAUAAUCUUCACCAUCAAAUGUUGGUGGUUUGCCUAAUGGGACGGAAAGUAAAGGUGUAUGUUUAGAAAUGCGAGGGUAGCGUAGGGGAAUCUUACUAUACUUCUUGCGCUCUUGGCGCUUAGAAGUGACGGACGCCGCGUCGGAGCCGGAGGUGGAUGUUGAUAAAGAGUCGGUCUCGUAGUAGACCACUUUCCUCAUCUUCUUUUUCUUGUCCCCACUCCGACGAGGCUUGUGAGAAGAGGAUUUUUCCUUCUUCUCUUUGUGUGAAGAAGAUUUCUUCUCCUUUCCUUUGGAGGAGUUCUUCUUCUCCUUCCUCUUGGUGCUGGACUCUUCCGAUGAAGUGCUCCCGUGGCUUGUAGUGGGCUUUUCGCCGGUCUCCAUCUCCUUCUUGGCGUGAUCUCCCGACAUCACUUCGAGCGGUUAGGCUCUAAUGAAGCACCGGGCUUUGAUACCAAUUGAUAGUCGCCUAGAGGGGGGGUGAAUAGGGCGAAACUGAAAUUUACAAAUAUAAACACAAACUACAAGCCGGGUUAGCGUUAGAAAUAAAACGAGUCCGCGAAAGGGUGUAAAACAAAUCACAAGCGAGUAAAGCGGUGAGACACACGGAUUUGUUUUACUGAGGUUCGGUUCUUGCAAACCUACUCCCCAUUGAGGAGGCCACAAAGGCCGGGUCUCUUUCAACCCUUCCCUCUCUCAAACGGUCCCUCGAACCGAGUGAGCUUCUCUUCUCAAAUCACUUGGGAAUCAAACUUCCCGCAAGGACCACCACACAAUUGGUGUCUCUUGUCUCAAUUACAAGUGAGUGUUUGAUAGCAAGAAAGAAUGUCAAAGAAAAGAAGCGAUCCAAGCGCAAGAGCUCAAAUGAACACUACAAAUCACUCUCUCUAGUCACUAUGGCUUUGUGAGGAGUUGGGAGAGGAUUUGAUCUCUUUUGGUGUGCUUUGCAAUGAAUGCUAGCUCUUGUAUAGUGGUUGGAAACUGGAAAACUUGGAUGCAAUGAAUGUGGGGGUGGUUGGGGUAUUUAUAGCCCCAUCCACCAAACUUGACCGUUGGUGGAGGCUGUCUGUCGUAUGGUGCACCGGACAGUCCGGUGCACACCGGACAUGUCCGGUGCGCCAGCCACGUCACCAACGCCGUUGGAUUCCGACCGUUGGAGCUUCUGUCUUCUGGGCCCGCCUGGAUGUCCGGUGCACACCGGACAUGUACUGUUCAGUGUCCGGUGCGCCAUUAUGGGCGUGCCUGACUUCUGCGCGCUUCUGGCGCGCAUUGAAUGCGCCUGCAGGUGACCGUUGGCGCGAAGUAGCCGUUGCUCUGCUGGUUCACCGGACAGUCCGGUGUACACCGGACAUGUCCGGUGAAUUAUAGCGGAGCAGCCGCUACGUUUUCCCGAGGCUGGCGAGUUCCGGAGGCCGCUCUUCCUUGGAGCACCGGACAGUCCGGUGAAUUAUAGCGGAGUGCCUCUGGAAAUUCCCGAAGGUGGCAAGUUUGAGUUGGAGUCCUCUGGUGCACCGGACACUGUCCGGUGGUGCACCGGACAUUGUCCGGUGUACACCGGACUGUCCGGUGCCCCAGACCAGAGGUGCCUUCGGUUGACCCUUUGCUCCUUUGUUGAAUCCAAUAUUUGAUCUUUUUAUUGGCUAAGUGUGAACCUUUUACACCUAUAUAACUUAUACACUAGAGCAAACUAGUUAGUCCAAUUAUUUGUGUUGGGCAAUUCAACCACCAAAAUUAUUUAGGAACUAGGUGUAAGUCUAAUUCCCUUUCACUAUAGAAACCAAAAUUGUUAUAAUACUGUUCCUUACCCCAGGGCUUCGUCUUAUAUAAAAGUUCGUGCAUGCUGCAGAAACAUUUUGCACAUGGCUCCAAACCUUGAUUCCUCACGGCCUAGACGAAGAUCCCCAUUCUAAUAAUUGCUUCGGGAGUAAUCUGGUGAAGGAAAAUCUCAUAUAUCUUUAAAACUUCAACAACAAAUCUGCUUAAGGGGAACCGAAGCCUAGCCUUGAAGAAGCUUCGGUAGAUUACGACUUCAUUCUCUUCAGGAACAGGAACAGUCCUAUCUCCGUUGUCAGCCCUCACAAUAGAUAUGUCUCGAAAAUACCUUCCUCUCAUGUUAUCAAGAUGACUCUGUCUGAUAGUCGAUUUCCCAAAGAUUGCGUGACUUGGUCACCAGGGCCGAUCUUUGGAGUCUUCGCCCCCACUUUCCGCAUCAUAACUAUCGUUGUCAUCGGUAUCUUCAGAUAAGCCUUCUAGAAUUUCUUUUGUAAUCUUUUCUGUAUUUGUCUUUACAAUUGACUCAAUGAAUCCAGCAGUCUUUUCCUCAAGAAGCUUCUCCUCUUCGGUUAGCUUCGUUUCAGCAACAGUUUUCUUGUCUUGAGACAUCUUAUCUUCGAAACUGACGAAAAUAUGUCCUUAAAUCCAAAGCUUAGAAAAUUUAAGAAACUAAGCAACUGUUGGAAAGCAAGAGCUAAGAAAUCAAGCAAAACAAAGCAGGCAUACCAAAUGUGCUCGGGGUGAGUUCUUAUUUAUACGCCCAGCGCGCUCCAAGUUGGAGGGGCCCGUCUGUCAUUGACUGUUGCUAUUCUAGCAAAAGGAAGGUGUUUUUUCGGACCUUUGGCUUAGGGCCUUCGUCCAUAUCGCAAUCUGAAUUCGUUAUUCUAACAAAUUAACCUUGCGAGGGGCUACUGUUGGGGGCCUUCGUCUUCUGAAGGUCCGCAAAAACAUGAUUUAACAAUGUUUCUGGAGUAUAAUACAUAAACAGGUACCUUCGGACGCGGAUCAGAACCACAAUGUGAAGAAGUACAAAGAAUACGAAGGUUGGCGCAGAGCCGAAGCUGUGCGCAGGGGAGCUUCGGCAUGGUAGCAGAAAGGGGAACUGACUUAAAAGAGAAAAGGCUAUUUAGACCUCGAUGGAUUACUAUAAAGUCAUUAGCAAAUGUAAAGGGCAUGAGUGUAAUUUUACAUGGGCUGCGUCCCGUGCCUAUAAAUAGAUGAACAAUGCUCCCGUACUGUUCACGCUGACUUGACAUUUGCUUUUGCGUCACGCUUGUACUUUUGCCUUCUCUCAAGCCGAAGGUACAUUUGUAACUUGAUAUCAUUUCUAUUUUUCCAUGAUAAUAAAAUAGAAAUGAGCUGAUAAUGAUACAUAAAUGUUCAUGUUAUCUUUCACAUUUCAUAUGAUUCUAUUUUUCACUAUCGUGUGCCGUAAUGAUGAAGGUAUGUCCCUCAUGACCUUCGUCCGAAGAUCAUUAUAUCCCAAGGGAAAUAAUGCUUCGAUGGACGAAGGGCAUUAACGUUUAACAUUUUUUAUGUUGCCUUGUUCUUAACUCAUAGCAUUUGAAGACAAGUCCCCAACAAUCUACACUGUGUAGCAUAAUUAGUAUCAGUAUAUAUCAUAAAUUGUUCCGGACGAGUCUAGUUGCAUGUCUGUUGCAGCGAUCCUAUAUAUAUGGAGGAAAUCAAGUAUUUAAAAAUAGAAAUAGUCACAUAUCUAUUUCCUAAAUUUACACGCAUGUAGAGAAACAUGUUUGAGUCAUGCAUGUCUUCCUAUUUUUUUGCAUGCACAGACGUGGCGUGGGGGCGCACCCAACAGCCUGUCUUGGCGAGUGGGUGCAGUGGGGGCACUGGGCUAGACCAGGUCGCAGGGGGUGGUCGACCUGUGCUUACUCUAACUAGAGGAAGCCCAGGUCUCCUAAUAUAACUACCCUAUAUAUAUACAUGUGGGGAUAAAUCCUCGUUAGGGAUCCCCGUCCCCACUUAAAUUAUAAUUAUGACAUACUUUUUUUGUUAUUAAUGUAAAAUAUUGUCAUUUAUAUACAUUAUCAGAUAUAAGAAUUCAUUAUGUGUACAUUAAAAUGAAUACAUUUGUACAAUGAGUGAUCUCUUGACAAAGUAAUAAUUUAUUUUUAUUAUUAACUAUUAUAUAAAAGCAUCGUCACGUGUAAGUUUAACGGGUCUCCGUGGGGAAUGGGGAAUACAUCCCCGGGGAAGAAACUUCCCCAUCCCCUAAUAGAAGAAUUCCCCACGGGGAAUUGGGGAUUAGGGAUCAUUACCAUCUCUAGUCGUCAUCGUUUCUUUUGUUGCACACGCGGUGCUAACAUACUCGUAUUGCAGCGUUUCAUCCUCGUACAUGUGGACACAAUGGAUACAAUGAUGUUGUUGCAGUGUCGAUCAACAACAAGCUUGAGGAGUAUGUUUGAACAUGUUGUGCUGGUGAUACAAGAGGACGUUCGACUACUUCGAGACGUUCUUCUUCUGCUAUGCUACACAUCUAGUGAUAACGAGAUCCUCUUCUCACAUGCUAUCUUGGUUAAACAUGGUAGACAUGUUAGUGUGUAGAGUAUACAUUUUUUAUAGUGGUAUCAAGGUUAGGUGAUACACAAUUUUUGAUCUUGAUGAUUUGCAUAUAGGUGAUAUGCAUGAUAGAUUAGAUCUACAUUGUUUUGGUUGUAUAGUCACACAGUGUAUUUGUUCCUACCAACUAAAAUCACUAUCAAGGCAUAAGAUUAGUUCACUUUCCCUCUUGACAACUCACACAACUUGCCCCUACCCGCCGAAAUAACCAUUGGGUCUAACAAUGCUUAUAUCUUUUAGGGUGGACAAACAACAUAUCCAUGUUUGAUGUCAUAUACCUCACACUAUUGUCAAGAUGAUGGAUAAUGAAAAUAGAGGCAUUUAGAAUGUCUUGGAAUCAGAUCGAUUUGAUCAAAUUGAUGAGGUUCUUAUAGCAGUUUCAAUGAUGUGACCAAUAAAUUUCUAAUAGGUUUUAGAGGAGACUGCCCUGAGACCCACGGAAGCGGCUCCCCCCAUUUGCUCGUAGCGUGUAUAAUAUUUGGACAAUAUCUUCUUGUGUUGUAGUAAACGGUUCUCCAUCUAACUUGGUUUUAGACCUAAUGUUUCAGUGAUGUUAGAAUACCUCUUACCCCUUGCUGCUUACAUGCACUAUUGCAUUAUUUAUACCAGAGGGGCUUGAAGUCUUGCAACAUUGCACCAACUAUAUUUGUGGUGUUUUCGUCAUCGUGUACCGGAGGAAACAAGGUAUGUGGCGUUUCGGUCGAAAACUCAAUAAUGAAUAUGGAAGGGAACAUCUAGGAGAGGCUACACCAGAGACCCCACUUGUGUGUGGUGAAAAUCUUGAGACUAUCCACUGAGUUACCCCGCCAGGGGAUUAGCCCUGGCGUGGAUAUCCUUGCGAGGGGCUCCAAUAAAGGCUAGAGGAAAUCUUGCGUGGUUUUCUGUAAUUUGGUAAAAUGUUGAAGUUAUCAACACAGUUUGUAGUUCUAUCGUAUUUAAGAUUUCAUAUUUAUUUGUGUAUCUUAGUCAUGUGCUUUAAAGACUAACGAAUACACUUGAAACCUAGAUUGCAUAAAUUUUUACAGAAGAGAUAGUAACACAUUUAAUUAAAUUCAUAGUUUUACAUAAGAUAGUUUAUUUAUUGUAUAUGUUAUAAUUAGAUAAAAAUAUAGGUUUUAGUUAGUUUUGCGAUAAAUAGACUAUUUAAUUCACCAUUUUCUUAUAGGUUCAAUUAUCCCAACACAUCUACUGGUGGCCCUGAGCUAAUAACUAAUCCCGUCAAUAACCCACACAUACGACAGAUCAUACUUCGUACAAUAGUUAUUUCCGCAAAUACUUCAAUAUUUGAGUUCUCUUCAUUUUUGAACUAAACCGCGACAAAUAAAAAAGAACGUAGGGAGUACUCCCUCCAGUCCAAAAAAAGUUGUUUUGGAUAAGGUUUGAGUCAAACAUAUAAAACUUUGACUACUAAUAACAGUUUUGUUAUUUUAGAUUGAAACUUAACAGUCAUAUAUCUAUAUACUACCUAUUAAGAAGGUAAGAGUAGUCUGCCUCCCCUACGUUCUGCCGUUCUGCCAUCUCUCAAUCUCCACCGUCCAUCCCACAUCUAUGUUUUUCGUGCGUCGUACGUGCGUCGCCUCCCGUCCGCCCCUUCCCCGUCCGCGCGAGAGCAACCUAGCUCCCUCUGCCCCCUCCCGUUCGCAGUUCUCCGCGCGCUGGCAACCGCUCCUUGGUCCCGCUCGACUCGCUCCUGCUCCACCUCACCGCGCUCGCCCCCGCGCCGCGGCGGUCGCACCAGACGCCGCCGCCGCCGCUGCACUCCUUCCUCUCCCCCGCCGCGCAGGCACUGGUGCUCGCCAUCUCCUCGCACCUGCUCCCCACGCUCGUGGCCUUCCUGGCCUCCCGCCGCGACGAGCUCCUCCGCGCCAUGGGCGAGUCCAACCUCGAGGUUGCUCCAUGUACCAGCGCCCAGAUCCCACGCUUGGCGAGAUGAACUUGCUGGGGACGGGGUCUGAGCCUCGGCCUCGACCCAGAUCUCCCCCAAUCUCUCCCUCAACUGCCUGGGCGAAGAUCUAGGGCGCGACAUCGGCCAUGGAGAGCUCCAGACUCACCUACCCCGACCACUUCUACACCGUCGCGGCCUACGCCCCGCACAAGGACGAGGCCAUCGUCGCUCGCCAUCUCCCUCCCUUCUAUGGGAUGAGCCCUUCCCGUCCUCUGUGACGGCGACGGCCGCGGCUGCGGGCGGCAUGGGCCAGCUCCUCCUGAUGUGCAGCUUCGGAGGCCGGAUCAUCCCAUGUUCAACCGGUAAGUCGCUUUGCUACUUGUGCGGAGAGAUCCAGAUCAUGGCCGUGAACCAGCACGCAUCACGCGCCGACAUGGAAACUAGAGUUGUCCCUCCACUAGCCGCAUGGAUCCUCUCUGCCUUUAGUUCCUCACCUCUUCUCUCUCUUUGCAGGUCUGCGAGGUAGUACCAUCGACGAGGCUUCUCCAUCCCCUCCGGCGAGCUCCCCUUCCAAAAAAGUGGUGAGGUAUGCCUGCCCUCAUUCCUUACCUCUCGUACAUGCCCUUAGUACUAAUAUCACCAUAGAUGGUGCAUACGAAACGAAACUGCUUUUGUUGACCCCGUGCAGCAGGAUUAUUGCUUAAUAAUGGCGGUGAAUGAAGGAAUGAACGAAAGCAAACUUUAUGCAACCUGUUCUUGGGCCCAAGAAUCUCUCUAUAUUGACUGAAACUUAACAGGUUUUCAACUGCAUCUACUGCAUGGAUUAUACACGGGCGUCGUCACAGCGAGCAGCCCGGCCCACCGGUAACAAUCUCCGGAAUCCUAUCAUUUUCGUGGCUUUGUUCAGGUAUCAUCGUCAUUCACAUGCUUUUGAUGGAUCAAAAGCGACCGCAUAGAUAGCACAGAGUGGCAUAUCCUCCCUUGGGGCAAUUUUCAUAAUUGUCUUGAUAUUUUAGGAACCAUUUUUCUUUUGCAUUUGAUGAUGCAUUUAUUGAUUUCAGUUCAGAACUCUAUUUGUACUUAUGUUUGCAUAGGCUACCGUGCUCUAAUUUCACACGAGAUUUUGAGAUACUUCUUGGCACUUGUAUUUUUUUUGUCAUUGAAGCCCAUAUGCUCUGUUGCUAUGCCAUAAUGGACUGCUUGGAUGAUGCCGACCUUCCAGCUAUUAAUUUAUAUUUAUCUAUAAAAAACAGAAACAUACUUGUGACAGUCUUGUCAGUAGAAGUAUCUGCAGGUUUAUUGUCCUUUUCCGAUGGAUGUUUCAGCUCAUAUAUACCAAAAAGGUUUCCCAUGGUUAAAAAACAAUAGCAGAUUAAAGUUGUUCUCAUGUAUGGAUGUGUGAUUGGUUGCUCUUUUUCUUUCCAUAGUUAGAUGAUAUGGUGAAUCGAGGAUAAGUGACCCAAACUUAGACAUAUUAUGUGUUCUGUACUUUCUUAUCGUGAAUAGAGGACAAGUGACCCAAACUUUAGACAUAUAAUGUGUUAUGUACUGCCUUAUCAUGUACGUGUGUGUAUUGUGGUGUUGUUGUAGCCUUAACAAGGGGUUAUACUUUGAUAAUGUGUAGUAGUUAAUGUCAUAUCUUUGGUUUAUGUUCUCCAGGUCAUCAAAAACCACAUCUUUAAGUUCCUUGCCAUGAAAUUCCUAAUUAAUCGAGCCCUAAAACCCGCACGGACACUUGACUUUUUUUUGGAUCGUCAUUUUUUUAUUUUGCUUGUGAGGCUUGUUCUACAAAUGUUUAUUAUACUAUACUCUAUUGGUUCAGAUCUGAACAUUUUGUAAACUUAUACUUGAAAAACUAAAAAGAAAUAAAUUUGUGCUUUCAUUGAUGUAGUGGUAGGUACAUGAACGGAAGAACACAAGACGAUCACUAUCAAGGUCUCAAAGGUCUCGAUCCCACUGCAAUGGUGAAGCGAUUUAUAAAAACUAAAUGUUAAAUUUUUUUUUUGUAACCUACUUGGCAUGUGAAAUAUAAAGACACUUAGUCUGAGAUACUUCACUGUUGAUUUUUUUUCCAGAUUUUCAGUUAUACUAUCAAUUAUGAACACUUACAACUUAACACUACUAUUUUCUCUUAAUUUUGAAAAUAUUUAAACUAACAAAACAAACUAAGAUCAUUUCACUAACUGUAGGUGCUCAUUUGUUAUGUUGUUUUGGUACAUUCGAUAUGAUUGUUGGACCACUGCAUUGGGAGUUGUGACCUAUUCGAUUGUUAGGCACUUAUUGGUUUAAGACUUAAGGGUUCUGUUCUGAUAUAGAUUGGAGUGUAUGGACAUAGCUGGCUCUUUGAUGUUGUAUAUCGUUUUCUUAUAUGUUUGCAGCUCUUGAACACCGAAGCUCCUGACUUGUACAUAAGGCAGAAUCCUGUUCCAAAUGCCUACACCUUAGCAAUCAACGGCAAAAAACCAUUCAUUGUCGUUCACACAAGCCUUGUGGAGCUGCUUACUCCAAGGGAAUUGCAGGUAAUGUUGUUUACUCUAAACAAACGCAUCGGCUGGUAUUGCCUAGAUGAACAAUCAAAACAAGAAUUAUUAUUUGCUUACCUACUGCCUAAAUGCAUUGAUUACUCAUCAUAUUGGAUUUGUUUCAAUUAGGCUGUUUUGGCUCAUGAGCUGGGUCACCUCAAGUGCGAUCAUGGUGUUUGGCUCACUUUUGCCAAUAUACUCACAAUGGGAGCAUACACUGUCCCUGGUAGACCAUCUGACUACUUGAAAUCUCAUUAGAUUGGUGGGCUAUGUACCUAAAUACACUUCAUUUGAACUACAUCUCAUGGUAAGUACAUGCACUUUUAUCAGGUUUCGACAUGGUUGCUGGCUUUUUGGAAGAGCAGCUAUAUAGAUGGCUACGAGCUGCAGAGCUGACUUGUGACAGGGCAGCUCUUGUGGUGCAAGACCCGAAGGUACCUUUACUGCCUUAACUCUGAAACUACCUCAAUUUUUAAAAUAUAAGACCAUGAGCAAUCUGCAUGUUCUUAUUCCUGUCUAAUACCUCGCCACGUCUGGACAUUUGUAACUACUGAGUUCUCUUUAUAACUGAUUAGUGUCCAAAAUGGUUUAAUGUCAGUAUGUUUUGUUUUGUGCUUGGUGCAGAGAUGGAGAACCAGAGAGCGCUCAAGGGCAUCAUCCCCGCCAAGAGGAUGUUGUUCCGUGCCAUGGCCGCCACAUCGGUGGCAACUGACGAGAUCGCGGCAGCAGGAAAGGGUCGAUCCAAUCAGGCUAAUAGAUGACGACACGUUAGGGGAAGUCCAAUUCACCAUAAGACUUUUUUUUAAAACCUCUAUGUGGUGCUCAUAUUUUUUCAAUCUACAGGUUGUCGAAUACUUUUGUUGCAGAUGAUCCAAAUGUUGUUGCUAUCCACAUGAAGAAAGGCGUGAGGCGAUAGCUGUAGAGACAUGACAUUGCCACAACAGCGGUAGUGCCAUAUCGGUGGGCUUGUAGAUGCACCCUGCUAUCACAACAAUCGUUCUUACAUGCGGUCUGCAGGUUAGUCCUCUUCUACAUCCUCUGAUGGUCUGAUCACAAACAUGUGCACAGACUGAUAUGGAUAAACUCAUGGUCUUCUUUAGCUUUAGAGGCGAGUGACUUAUUAAGUUGUUUCCAUGUCAAAUCAGACGACAGUGACCUCCUGGUGGCGGUGGUGCUAGAUUGCUGGGGCUAAAGAGGCGCCCUGUUGUCACAACAAGUCUUAGACGUGGUCUGCAGGUUAGUUCUCCUACAUCCUCCGAUAGUCUGAUUGCAAACAUGUGACUUAAUGAUUUGUUAUCAUGGGCAUGACAGAUUAGAUGAUAGUGACCUCCCUUCCUUGCGACUCAUUGUUUGCUGGAGCUGUAGGAUUCUCCCGGCACAAUGGAGGUGCUAUCGUCUGAUUUGGAGCAACAAGGAAAUAUAAAGUAGUAAAACAAUUUCUUUACGAAAGAUAAACUUUUCAGGGUCAUUGAAAAUUAUGAGUCAAAACCUAGAGCAUAAUCUUCAGAAUGCCUUGCUUUUAAUAAGUGAUUACCUAUUUUGUUACAGAGCCGAAAUCUACUUCUAGAUGACCCUCAGAUUUGACUGUGCAAUAUAAGUUUGAUCGUGCAAUAUAAGUUUGUAACCCUCAGAUGAAGUAACCGUAGUGACUGCUGGUAGUGUUGAGUAAUGACCAAUUAGUGCCUAAACAAUUUUUACCAUGCUGCAUAUGUAACCCAACUCGUCCAAAUACGAAUGUUUCUCUCUUAAUGUGGGAUGCACAUAAAACUUGUUUUCAUAUUUAUGAGCUCAGUAAGCAAGUUCAGUUUUUUUUUACUGAGAUACACUAUUGUUCCACUGCAGGAUGCAAGUUACCCUUCAGAACAACUCUUAAUUUCUGGAGAAAAGGUGAACAAUUACGUUCCUUGUAGAUGCCUCCCCCCUCCUCAUGUAUGAUUUGCAGUUGAUUUCUCCAUCAUCCAAAUCUCUGAUGGUUUUUAUAUCAAGUUGCCCAUAUCCCUUUACUGUGCAUGGUGUUUCAUGCUGCCUCGUGUAACACAGGAAACACAGGACCAGAUUUACUUUAUAAAACAGAUCGAAUCAUUGGGAAAUGCUUGUGGAACUAUUGCUCUACUCCAUGCUGUUGGAAAUGCAUCUUCCAAAGUCAAUUUAGGUGACCUAAAACGAUUAUAUGCAGCACACAGAAUUCUAUAAGAUGGUUGCAAUCUUUCUUGUUCUCUCCUUGUUUCUGAAUUGAAUUAACCUAUCUGGUCUUUUGUAGUGGAGAAUUCAUGCUUGGACUUGUUCUUCAAAUCAACUGCUACCAUGGAUGACCCUCAUGAGGUUCUUGUUUGUUUUCUCAAAAUGCAUUCUCAUCACCAGGAUAGCUUGAGCAGUCUUGCAGUUUUUUCCCUUACGCGGUUAUGCCUCAUGCUAUGUUUUACAGCGUGCUGUGUGUCUGGAGAAGGAUGAUACAAUGGCAAGGGCUCAUUUACUUGCUGCCAAUGAUGGUGCCACUGAGGUACUGGUUUAUUUGCAUAUGUGAACUGGAAAUCAAUCUGGAAAACAUCAAAGAAUAAUAACUGUCGAACGUAAGGCUAUGCACUAAAUACAGUUCAUGAUGUUCCACUAUAUUUUUCUUUAGUUAGCAUAGUUUCAAGGUCUGAGCUGAACUGUGCUGUGCUGUGUGCAUUGACAACAAAGUAAAAUCGUGAAGUUUAAAUUUGCGAUUCUAUUUUAUAUAGAUAGAUGAAGCAUUGUUAUGGUUAUUGUUUUCUUCAGCUGAAAAUAGAUAAAUAAUUUUGUUACAGGUCAUACACAUGAAAUUCAUUAGUGGGUUUCAAUUUCAACUCGAGUUGUCCCAAACAAGGGAAAAAUAAUAGCCAAUUUUUUCUCAUCAUUUUUUUGCACAUUAAAAAUCUUGUUUUGAAGUUUUGCUUUCUUUGCACUCCUAUGAUUACCUGUUCUUUUUUCUUAUAGGGUAUGAGCCCAGAUGUUGCGACAGCCCCAAAGAGCAAAGGAUGCCUGAUGAUUGGAGAAUAUAACAAGGUCGCCAAAAAGUGACCGUGGCGUUACCGAGGACGACGCUCGCCGUGGACCUGCAAAGCGGCAUCGACGACCACCGACACCGGGGACGGGACCACGGGCACACCGGCGACAUGAGGUACUUCAUGAGCCCCUUCCAAAAUCCCGAUUUUUUCCUUUGAUUUCAACCCUUCAUUUUCCUCUGCUUCGUCCUCUGCUCCAAUGCUUCAGGAAUAUAGAUAGUCAGAAAAAACAGAAAAUGAGCGGAGGGGAGGCAUCAAAAUUCCAAAUCCCCAGUUCCUCUACAUAUGGAUCAGAUUACUAUGCAUUGGCUUUCCCAAGUUAAUUCCAAAUAUGUUCCUAUCACUUCCCUUGCAAUUUUAAUUCUUGCAAUGUUAAUUUGGAAGCCAUCUUACGACGACUACUACUACUCAUGUGCACAUUCUUUGCUACUGCUAUUGCCCAUUGUGCUGCAUCUGCUACUGCAUGGACUAGGGGGUUGGAGUUCAUCCGUGGAGUUUAUUUAGGCUAUAGAUGGCAUACAGGCUUGCAAUCUGGAGUUUAUGAAUGCUUUGCUCUGUUUUAGGCUAGGCCACAAUUCAUAUUCUGUCGUGAUGGUGUAGAAGAUAUAUGCAACUCUAGAUUGAUGCUUCUAAUAGUAGAUCUGUUAUACUAAGUAUUUUCUCUGGUUUUAUAAAAUUUGUAGAAAACACUUCUCUCUAGCCAUCUAUAUCUUUUUAGCCGGUAACACUUUCAUUUGAAAUCAUCAAUCAAAGAGUAUUAUGUUUGGGUUCUCAAAUUUUGAACCAGGUGACGUGAAAUAAAUUUCACAUGGAAACGUGCUAGAAUAGAAGGCAACAGACAGACUAGCAUUUAAGCUUGUUAUUGUGUCCAUGGGACUCCAUACUACUACUUGCUUGCAUUGGACCUGAACUACAACUGUAUAAAUAUGAGCAAGCUACAGGUUGUACUAGGCUGCUAGGUGGUGAUUCACAUCCGAAUACACUUGCAUUAGUUUGUUAGUGAGCUUCACGGUUACACUAUGUGUAUCAACAUCUUCAACACUAAACUGAAAGUGCUCAUUCCAGAUAGGAUUCAGAUCGUUGUUCUAUAAAGUAGUAUAGGGAACACGACACCCAGUUAUCUGCUACAAAAAUUAGUGUAUUGCCAAACCUCAAGAGUGUCUGAAAUUUCAGGUACAACAAAAAAUUCGCCACUAAUGAUCUUCAGUCUGAAAUCUAGCUUUUUCUGACAUAGCGCAUGAUUUGAGAAAAAUAAAUGAGAUAACUAGGUUCAGGAGUUUAUAAUGAACCUCUAGAAUCUAUAUGAUAUCCCCAUGGACAUUGGUUUCAUUGGGAUGCUGAUGUCAAUUAUUAUAGUUCUCCCACAUUUCUUCAUGUUGCUUGCUAUAGAUCAAAGGAUUCUGAUCAUGAUGCACUUGGCAUAAUUUCCCUGACUAUAGUCCACUCUUAUAAUGGGAUUAUCUAAUUUCUCAAAUUCAUUUGCAGGUAGCCAGAUUAUUAUUUCAGUCGUGAGUGCUUCGACCACCGUCCAACAUUGGGAGCAUCGAGUUUGAGGUGACCUACCUCGACGACGACACAUGUGUCACCCACCCACUCAUAGCUCUUUGCAGCUGGCCAUAGUUAUAGGCGAUGGUCUACACACCACCAAAACAGCAGCGCGAGCUGUCAGAAGCGUCUAUCAGAAGCAAGUGCUCUGUCAGAAGCUACCCUCACACACCCGCACAGUUUCAAGCAUUCCAUAAUAACAGAAUUAAGUAUGUAGUAUAUCUGAGUACUGAUGCCUUACACAUAUUUUUUUGCAGGCUAAAUUCACCUCCUUUUUGGUCCUAGGAUUAAGGAAGAAAUUGGUGGGUUUAUUAAUUUUGUAUUUUCCAGAAUACUAUGAAGUCUGUAUUAUCUGUCAACCAGCUACAAGAUGCAGAUUUGUGUUUCUGAUGAUGUUGUUGCUGUUCAAAGAAGCCCUGCGAUCCAAAGAAGCCCUUACUGCUUUCUCACUUGUUCUUCAUCUUGCACAGUCGAGCUCCCGCAUCAUGGCUCAGCCUUGAAGGAACAGAUUUCUUCAACCAAGAUUCCUGCCCGUCUCAAGAGUGGCAGCGGACUAUGCUCGGCCUGUGAAAACUUCACGAGCGAAGCCGUCACUUAUCUCGGCAAGGAACAAACACAGGACAGGAUCAUGGAGUUCCUUCAUGAUGCUUGCUCCCAAUCAUUCUCCUUUGAACAGAAGGUGAUCAUCUUGUUGAACAUAUUUUCUUUAUUAUUCUUAUAUAUAACUAGAUGUGUAGUAUUGUAGAAAACUAAAACACUGCUGUGGUUGCAAGAUAUUGAAUGCAUAAACAUUUUAUUCCCAUACUAUGUGUCUAUAUACCGUGCUGGGAAGGUGCUGCCUGAUAUGAAUAGUAGUACUACGUGGGUUUAUUGUAGUUUUUCUCUAACAACUUCCCUAUCUCCGCAGUGUGUCGAGCUGAUGGACUCUUAUGCGACUCUCCUGUUUGCCAAGAUCACGGAGAUCAGACCGGAAGCGUUCUGCAAACGGUAUGGCCUGUGCAGGGACACGACUCUUCUCUCUGGUGUGGGAAGUGACAGCACGUCUGCACGUGUGUGUUCUGCCACCAUCUGCUCGAUGAAAUCAUGUCCAAACUGAAAGAUCCAGAUGCGGAGGUAAUAGCUCUUGCGACAUUUACCGUGUUCCCCGCCAUGAGUUGUCAUCCUGUGUGCCUGACAUUUUGGCUUGGUUGUGUUGUGUGUCUGCAGUUUGAGAUAAUUCAGAUUCUUGUCAAGGAGUGCAAUAAGAUCGAAGGUCACGUCCAGCAGGUAGGCUUUUUGGCUCUUCCUCUGUCCUUGUGAUUCUGUGCAAAAGGCGAGCUCGUCCUCUUCCUUAAUGAGGUUCUUAAGAGUGUUUCCUCAGCUGUAUUGGUUACCCUUACUACUUUGGAUUUUGGAAACAGUCCGAGACCCUUAUUAGUUAACAAUAUCAUAGUUGUUGCAAAGGUACUCUACUUUUUUUCAUCAUCUCUUCUUUACCAUUCAUAUCUCCCAGUUGUUGCAAGGGAAAAUUAACUCCAGUAAUUCUUUCUUGAGGGGUAGAACAGGAGUGUCGUUCUCAGCUUCAAUGAUUAUCAAACAACAUGUACUAAUUAUAUUUUAGCAAGCUGGCAGUUGAUGUGAUUCUCUAUGUUUACAUUUUGUCAAAUUAACGACAAGAGGGUUAAGUUUUAGAAGCAACUACCCUGCACCGGUUAAUAAUAUCUGUGAGGACCCAAGUUGGUCCCAGUCCUCUUCGAUUGGUGCUCUGUCCCUGUGAUUUGAGGAAAGUUUCAGUACAACACAUUGUAUUUUGAUUAGUGAAUGAAGCAUUUAGACGAUAUUGUUGCAGGUGUGCAUUCUCUUUCUUACAUUUGAUUUAAGCUUUCUUAUUUGAGCUUUAUGAUACUAUGUACUCAAUACUUGUGCUCUUCUAAGAUAGGUUGAGCAGAUAGUGGUUGAAAGGUCUGAAGGUUGGCAUUGUGGAUAUUUUUGCUAUCUUGCAUGGAUUCCCAGACAAUGUGAGGACGGACCAGAAGGGCGAGUUCUGGGUGGCGAUCCACUGUCGGAGAAGUAUGUAUCCUCGGCUAAUGAGCUGCCAUGUCAAGCUGAGGAAGUUUUUGCUCAGCUUCCCAAUCCCUGCCAAGUACCACUACCUGAUGCAUAUCGAUAGCAAGCUCAUUAAUGGUCAACUACUAAAUCAGUAGUUUCUUUAAUACAUCAUGCAUUAUCUAAUUUUUAUUUUUUCUUAUUAAAUUGUAUGUUGCUGCUGCUCAAGGAUUUGAAGCAUGAGAAGCGUUGUGGGAGAGAAGCUUUAGUGCAACAUUGUUGUUCUAUAGGGAUCAACGUCCUCAAGGUCACUUGGAAAACUUUCACGAAAAACUCGUAAUGCAAGCAUAUGUUUUAUUGGAAAAGUUUUCUAAGCUGAAUUUCUGAAAGCCUCCUCACUGCUUUAGUUAUGCUGAAUUAGAAUUUGCAACUAGAGGUUUCUCACAAGUAAAUUUCUUAGCUAAAGGUGGAUUUUGGUCUGUUCAUCGACAUGUCAUUUCUAAUGGUGGUGGUGUUUGUUAGCUACAAAAUCAUCAAUCAAAGAUUGUAAUUAUAUUGCAUCACUGUUUUGUAUCAAUUUUUAAGUUGCCGUAGCAACGCACGGGCACCCUACUAGUAUAUAUAUAUAUAUAUUUAUCUUAAAAUUAUUUUUGCAAAAGUAUAAAUAUAUUAAAAUUUUGUUUUUAUUUUAAGAAAAAACAUUGGUCAAAACUAUAUCUUGGAGACCGUGUUGCUGUCCUCAACGUCUUGUAUUUUGAUUUUUAGCUCAUUUUCGAAAGCUAUUGCGAAUUCUUUUCAGAGAUCUUCUCGAUCCAUGCAUUAGUGAACCUACAGUACCAGUAGUUCAUGAGCUGAAUGUUUGCAGUGGGCCGCUUCAUGUUUGCGGGCAGUUCUUCGCAGGCUUGAAGGCUUGAAGCACAGAACGUUGGACCUCACUUCCGAGCCCCCAGUUCCAAGACGUAACUGUCAAACCCAACAAACCGAGUGAUUUGCUCAAGAAAGAAACAGAGAAAGAAACCGAGUGAUUGAAAUAUAGUGCCUAGUAUUUAAGUGCUGGUUUGUGGACAACGGAAUUAGAGAGGACUUGCUAUGAAAAUCUCUUGCAGCUUAUAGCAAAAGAUUUUCUUUUUCACGGAUCUCCUCCAAUUCCUUUGUACUUAUGCAGCACUUUUUUUUUCGAACUGCACGGUAUAGUCACAGACGCUACUUCUUCAAUGAUUCUAGCAUAUAUUUGCAAUUGGAGCUAUCACUCUAUCUCAUACCAUCGGAACGGGCCACUUCUACAGCCUUGUAAAAAAAACUGAUCAUGACCUCAGCAUCACAGAUGAGAGAACGUCGAGAAACAAAAAAAAAUGUCCACUGCUCACAAGCACUAUGACUAUACAGUUAAUCUUCAUAGCUUCACGGCACGCUAUUGAGUCUCGUGCUGCCCGGCCCCGGAUUCAACGCGCGCCUGAAGCUGCACGGACUCCGGUGCCUCCGCGCUGUCCGGCAGCGAGAGCGAGGGUUUAGCGGCGAACGGCGCCCGCCUGCACGUGGGGCACGUCUGCCGCGCGGCGAGCCAGCGGUCGAUGCACCGCACGUGGAAGCCGUGGUUGCAGUGCGGCAGCGCGCGUACGCGGUCACCCCGCACGAACUCCGUGAGGCAGAUGGCGCAUUCCGCCGCGCCGCACCCCGUGAGCUCGACCUCGCGGGAGUAGAGUAUCCACGGGGGCAGCCCGGUUCGCGGCCCACGCUUCCUCCUGGGACCGGCCUGGCAGGAGAAGGAGGCCGCGGCCGCCGAUGCAUCGGCGCCGCCGCCGCCGCCGCCGCCGGGGGACUCCUCGUCCUGCCCGUAGCACACGCGGCGCGUGACGCGGAACGCGCACCGGACGACCGCGUGCACCGCGAGCACGACCACCAGCCCGCACAGGAGCAGCGACAGCGCAGUGAUCACCAUCGUGUUCAGGGAGCUGAAGGGCGCUGCUGCGUGAGCGUGCGCGGCAGGCACCUGCGCCUCCGUCGCUGGCGGUCCCGCCGACGAGGCAGCCGCGGCGGCGGCGGCGUGCGACAGGAGCUUCCUUGCGUGCAGCUGUUCGACGCUCAUCUUGUCGAGCUCUGUAACGCAGAGGCGCGUCUGUAACGCGUUGGCGGUGGUGCUGGUGUGCUGGCACUUGGGAGAGUGUUCUCUCGUUGCACGGCGCGGGGAGGGGUUUAUAUAGGAUCGGGAGCAGACAGUAAAGAUAUUUUAGGUCACUGUCAGUGGAUUGUUUAGCGGCAAAUUCAAAAGGAGUUUUAGCUUAAACUGACGAGUAGUUGAUCGAUCUAAGAUAAUAAGGGGACGUGGGUUAAUGGAGAUAACAUCGAGUCGUGGGGAUAAGAUACACCUCGCGCACUAGUUGACACCCGAUGAACCCAUGCACUUGGGCGGCAUAAUUCAUUGAUUGACAAAGCUUUUUUCCUUUGACUAUAAUUAAGAAUCCAAUACUGCAAAAAGGAAUUGCCUCACAUCCACAUAUAAUUUUUACCUGCUUUAUAUUUACAUUGCUUUGAGGUUCUUACAGCUCAUCAGUCUGAAAAAUGGAGACUAGCUCUGCUGUGCAUAACAGAAGGGGGUGCUGUGUUGUAAGAUGAAAGCUACUGCUACAAUGAAAUAAGCACUGUUGUAACACAAAGUUGUUAAGUAUACACAAGAUAAAAGACGAGAGCUCAACAAACACCCACAGAUUGCGUGCUGAAGCAGACUUUUGUAAGACCAAAAUGCGUCGACAGCGGCUCGCUGAAACGAAGGCCGGGCGCCAAACCGCACUCACUGACGCAGUCACGCUCAUCAUUAGCGACUAAAUAACAUAAGUUCAGGAAUAUGGGCGACAUGAUCCGGCCUAUUGGAGCCUCCACUAACUGCGACCCGUCGGCGCGCGGGAGAGGGACACCUGGCUGCGGAGGUGCCAUGGUGUCGAUGACUUGUCAAUGCGCGGAUGGUUUGUCCAUGUCCCGUAGGAUUGUUCUCCGUCCUACGUGUCCGUCUCUGGUGUUCCUGCCCGUCGUUGGCUUCGCUUGGGCGGGUGCGGGUGUGAGCAUAAAAUAGACUGCGGCUGCGGAAUUGUGGGUAUAUUAAGAAAACAGUAUGGGCCUGCAAAGAAUUGUUCCAAACUAAGACUUCGUUUGGUCUGAGGAAUAAAAUAUUAAUUUCUUUAUUUUAGUUCUAUUUAGUCUCUAAAUUUGCCAAACAGUGAGACUAAAAUAUGGACUAAAUCAUAUAAAUUGUACUUUUUGCCACUAUUUUAUUUCAGUUGCACUAAUGGAGGGAGAAUUAUAAAGGAUAUUUUAGUCAUCUUAUGAUUCAUUUAAUGUGUUUUGAAUACUUUUAAUCCAUAGAACCAAACAAGAUACAGACUAAACUUUAGUUUUUUAACUAAACUUUAGUCUCUGGAUUAAAUGAACCAAACGGCCCCUAAAGUAAGUUUCCUUUCAAAAUGAAAUGUAUUUCCCGUGCUCAAAGCAGCAAUAGAGUUUUUUUUGAAAAGGGAGAAAAAUAGAGUUCGGAAACGUACAGUUAAAGCUUGAACUUAUGGCUUUUCAAAUAGUGGCGUAGAUUCCUUUUUCCUUAGAGCAACUCCAACAAAUUCCAAAACUAAAGUCCUAAACCAUAUUAUAGGAAAAAUAAAAAUAAAACCAAGCUCCAAUGGAUCUCUACCCCUGCUUCCAAUCCCGUCACACGCGUAAACCUGACGGCUCCCUACAUAUAUUUGCGCCGACCUAUCGCACCCAAUCCCCACACGAUUUCCCUUUUCAUGCGACCUCCUCCUGUUUCGCACUUUCACUCGUCGAUUUGGUGUGGUAGCUGUGCCGAUGACUUGUACAACUUUCGAGCGCUUAACAACGACGUGCUCCACCGAGGCCUCGAUGACUCCCGCAGGAUCUGCAUCUCCACCGGUCGUCAGGCUCUCAUACGCCAACAUCGAGCCACAGCGAACCAAGGCCGCCGAGAGGCGGCGUGAGGCCUUCAUCCACCGCAAGCUCGGAGGAGGAGAAGGGUCUACCUCCGCCUCCCCACAUCAUCAGGAGCAGGAUCCAACCCGAAGCCCUUAGGGCCCGUGCCUUUCUGUCCUGGUCCUGAUUUGUUUCUUCGGUCCACCAUCUCUUCCUCCUCUCACCCACAUAUUUCAAUAUAAAACAGAGAAGCGCUUCAGUACCAGUAUCAGUGCUGGCGACGUAUGGCGGUGUAGGAAGAAGUGCAACGAGCCUGAAAAAACAACAACGAAACAAAGGCCCACAACGACCCAUUCAAACGGAUUUUGAGUAAUUAUUGGGAGUUAUUGGAAAAGGGGAGCACGAAGCAGAAAGAAAAAAGAGAGAAGAGCCUAAUAGAAAUCGAGUCCCUUAGGAUCUGCCUAAGUCUCUAAUUUGUUAAUCUGAUCUACCUUGAUGAUGAUAUGUAAAGGGGGUAUGAAUGCAUACAUCCAUUCGUGUCCAAGUGAAAUGGCCGUAUUGGUCAUUGUUGUGGUGUCCACCAUCGGUGCACCUAUUUCUCCCUUAGCUUCUCCAGUGUUCUUCUUUUCAUGGUUAGUUAGUGAAGGUGGAGGCUCCUCGGUGCCUGGCCCCAUAGGAUGGCCAGGCUCCAUGGACGAUAUUCCUAUAGCUUUUCUGAUCAUUGGGAGUGCAAGGUGGAUUGGGAUCUAUGGGAAUGUUGUGGCUACAGUUUCAAGCGUGUGAAUGCAUUGACAACUUGACAUCCGUGCUGGCCCUAAGUCUCCUAAUUAUAUCGCGCUCCUACGAUCCGGGGUAUACCCAUGGGUCGGUUUGCGCUCUCAAUCAAGACGCUUAGCAACGUGCUCGGGAGUUUGGAUAACACCGACUUGGUCCUUUAUCCGAGCCAGAGAACAACUCGAACGGAGCCCGCGUGUUGGGCCUAAUUAAAAGUGAGAGAGAUAAAUGGGAAAAUGUACCAAAUACUUUGGGUGAAUUUAACCCUAGACGAAUCUAGGAUUUAAAGUUAGGGUUAUCCAAAUCUUAUAAAAAUCACUAAAUAAAUGAGUUUACAUUUUAAAUUCUAUAACAUAUGAGAAUAAAAAAACAAAUAAAUCAAAAACAUCUAUCUAAUUUAGCAGGAUCAAAAUCAAAGGGUGGGCCGGAGCCUACCCCGCUCACCCUCUAGAUCCGCCAAUGGAUAAAUUUUCAUGUUUUGCACUUGUGGAGCUCUAACAUUGUAUCGAGUGGCUCAAUGCGCUUAUUCAACCGGAUCUAGGCAACUUGGCUACUUGCAGAACGAGACCGGGCAGUCAUCCACAGUGCUCAUACGAACGAUCAAUCUGUUAUCUUCAAUAGUGGGAGACGUACUGGACAAUGCGCGAGACCGGAAAGAGCGUGGUAGAGGCACCCAAGAAGUGACCAGAAGCCGUGUCACUCGUUCCAAUCCGCUGAGCCACAGCAAGCGAACACUGUCCAAGCAUCGCUGCAAGUUGUAUGGAGCAAUUAACUUAAACAAGGUAACGGACGUACGGCAGUGCAGCAAACAAGUAGCGGGCUGGACCUCCGUUGUGGCCGUAGGGGAGGGGCUACGAGUGCAUUCUAUCCUUUCAGAUGUGCCGGGGGCCGGGGCACGACGUUCGAACCGGAUUAGCAGCAAUCUGACGCACGCUGAUACGCUGGACAACUACAGAGCAAGUGCCUCGACGCCCGAUUCGAUCGCAUGUAUGUGCGCCGAUGGUUUGGUCACGUCAAACUUAUACUAAUCCACUAGUACAAUUUAGCUCUAUACAAGCGGUAGACUUUUUACAUCACAGACGGUUCGGUUAGAAAACCGCCUGUGAUGUCCCAGGCGGUUCAGUACGCCUGUGAUGUAAUAGUAUCACAAACGGUUUUUGUUUAGGACCGUCUGUGGUGCUCUAUCCUUUUCACAAGCGGACCCUAAGACAAAACCGCAUGUGAUUGUAAAAAUAUGAAAAUACAAUUUAAAUAUGAAAAUAAUUUUAAUUUUUAACAGAAAUAUGCAAAUACAAUUUAAAUGAAUUAAUAUUUAAUUUUUAACAAUAAUAUACAAAUACAAUUUAAAUGAAUUAUAAUAGCACACAUAGAUAACUAGAGAGAUUUUAAAUUAAUUGGCAACCACAAUUCAUAGUCGAUCAUACAUGAUAACAAAUACAAUUUGAUUCAUACAAUUUUUCAUGAACUACCAUUUUUCCGCAUGUAUGGCUUUAAGUUCUUAUCAAUUUUCUUUUCCACACGCUUGAUUCUCUCUGGACCGUUAAAGACGAACAUCUCUUCAUACUUAUUGUAUUCCUCAUCUUGGUCUCCCACAUUCUCAACUCCAACAAUUUUUUGCUUUCCAGAAAUAACUACAUGCAUCUUCUCAUCUGCUGGAUCGAGUACAUAGAACACUUGUGCAACACAUUCGGCGAGAACCCACGGGUCAUCUUUAUAUCCUACUUUCUUUAAGUCUACCAGUGUGAGUCCGUAGUUAUCCACUAUCACCCCCACGGGAUGUUGUACCCAUUGGCACUUAAAUAAGGGUAUUUUCAUGCUUGGGCCAUAAUCAAGUUCCCAUAUUUCCUCUAUGAAUCCAAAAUAUGUGGUCUUCUGUCCAUGUAGGUCAAAAGCAUCGAUACGAACACCGCUAUUUUGUGCAACACUUUUCAUGUCUUUUGAUUUACUGUAGAAUGUGUACCCAUUGAUGUCAUAUGCUUGCCAUGAUGUCACAAAACACGAUGGCCCAGAAGCCAAAUUCUUCAUUGUUUUCUCUUCCAAAGAGUCUCCGAAUGGGAUGUUUUUGUCCAUUAACCAUUCGCUGAAACGAUGUUUGUGCUCCCUCAUGAUCCAGUCCUCUGUGCGGUUCUGAUUUUCUUUAUGAAGCUCAUCCAGGUGUUCCUCUAUGUAAGGCUCGGCUAUCGUGAGAUGUUGUAGUACACUACCAUGAGCACAAUGUACUAGCUUGUAAUCCUCAACGCGAAAAGUUUUCUUGCCCAUUCUCCCUCUCCCACAUAGUUUACCCUCAUGUUUAGGUACAGGCACACCUAUCAUUGUUCCGUCACUGAUGUAAUCUAUACAACUCUCAAUCACUUCUUCUGUAGUGUAUCCCUCCAUGAUUGAACCCUUUGGGUGAGCGCGAUUUCGCACAUAACCUUUUAAUACUCCCAGGUAUCGCUCCAACUGAAACAUAUGAUGUAAAUAUAGUGGCCCUAAUAUUUUUAUCUGAUCCACGAGAUGUAUGAUUAGGUGUACUUGCAUAUCAAAAAAUGAUGGAGGAAAACACAUUUCAAGCUUGCACAUAGUCUCGAUUAUGUAUGCCUUUAGAUAGUCCAAGUCUUCUAAAGCUAUUACUUUUUGUGAAACCGCAUUGAAAAAGUAACACAAGCGUGUGAUGACAACUUUGACAUGCUCUGUUUCGAGGGCUCUUACCGCAAUUAGGAGGAACACCGUCAUCAUCACAUGGCAGUCAUGAGAGUUGUAGCCAAAUAGAGACAAGUCCUUCAUCCUGACUAGUCUGCUGAUAUUGGAUGAGAAACCUGUGGGCACUUUGACCCCACGCAAACAUUUGCAAAUCUUUGUUCUCUCCUCAACUGACAAGUUGUAGCUAGCUGGGGGGAGGUAAGGCUUCCCUUUGCCACUAUCCACUGGAUGAAGUUCCGGUCUGAUUUGAAGAUCUACUAGAUCAUUGCGUGAUUUGAGUCCGUCUUUUGUCUUACUCGGCAUGCCCAGCAAGGUUCCAAUGAUGCUGUCAAAAACACUUUUUGUUACAUGCAUCAAAUCAAUGCUGUGGCAAAUUUCCAUAUCCUUCCAGUACGGGAGGUACUUGAAAAAAAUUGAUUGCUUCUUGAAAGUUGUGUAAGUUGAAGGGUCAGUUCUCUUUCUCUUUUCUCCUUUGUUUUUUCCCUUUCCGAAUACAACAUGAAUGUUCUUUACAAUUUCAAAAACAAGUUUCCCACUAUAAGGCUUUGGUGCACCUUCACUUUCCAGUUGAUUGUUAAAUUCCGCUUUCAUCUUUCGAUACUUAUGUUGCUUCAUCAAGAACCGUCUGUGUCCCAUAAACACCAACUUCUUGGAUGAUUUAAGGUACAUGGAAGCAGUUCCAUCGACGCACACUACACAACCAUUCUUUCCUUUAGUCUUUUGCCUUGAUAGUGUGGCGCCACCGGGAGAAUCAUGGAUGGUAACAAAUAUAAUUGCUCUUAAGUUGAAAUACUCAUGGCAAUACUCAUCCCAUAUUCUAACUCCUUCAUUCCAGAGCUUUGUCAUAUCUUCCAUAAGAGGUUCUAGGAACACAUCAAUAUCAACACCAGCUGAUUUCGGACCUUGAAUAAGAAUAGUCAACAUAAUGUACUUUCUUUUGCGACACAGCCAUGAUGGAAGGUUGUACAUCGUUAAAGUCACGGGCCAGGUGCUAUGUACACUUCUUUUUUCACCAAAUGGAUUCAUUCCGUCUGUACCCAAAGCAAAUCUUACAUUUCUGGUUUCUUUGGCAAACUCAGGAUACAUAAGAUCGAAAUUUUUCCAUUGUGAUGCAUCAGCAGGGUGUCAAAUCUGUUUGUUAUUCUGCUUGCGAUUUUCAGCAUGCCAACGCAUAAGCUCAGCCUCCCUAGGAUUUGAGAACAAACGUUUUAAGCGAUCAAUUACUGGAAGAUACCACAUCACCAAAGCUGGGUUCUUUGACUUCUUUUUCCCAUCCAUGUCAUCAAAAGUGUCAUCGUCACUUUCAGGUCCAAUAGUGGAUUUCUUGUUUUUAUUUUUCUUCGGGAAUUUUUUUACACAGUCUUGAUUGUAGCUCUUCUUGUAUCGACUGACAUUGCAAACUGGGCAUCUUGAUGCGUUCUCAAAAUCACCACGAUACAGAAUACAAUGGUUCGGACAUGCAUGAAUUUUUUGCACACCCAGAGCUAUGGGAGAUAUAAGCUUCUUCGCUUUAUAAGUGCUUGUUGGUAGUUUGUUGGGUUUUGGUAGUGAUUGAGACAGAAAAUUCAAAAGAUCUGUGAAGCUAGUAUCAGACCAUCCGACGCUAGCCUUCAACUUCAGAAGUUCUAGAACUGUACGCAGUGUAGUAAACUCUUUGUCACAACCCUUUGAUUCAUCAUAUAAAGGUUCUUUUGAAGCACUUUCCAGUCCCUCCAUUUUAGAUAGCCCUUUCUGCGAUCCCACAGAACUCAACAUUUCUGGUUCCAUAUGGCGCAACAUCUCUUCGCAAUCAAAUUCUUCAAAAUCUUGAUUAGCAUCCACAUUAUCCACUUUACCAUCAACUUUAAGAUCUAAAAUUCCGACAACUCUCUCGUCAUUACCAGGCACUUCACACGGAUCCAACUCACCAUGUUCUGACCAUAUCGUGUAAUUGUUUGUAAACCCUCUUUUUAGCAGAUGUGAUUGGAUUACUCAUGUAUCUCUCCAAGCUAUCUUAUUAUCACAGUCGAUGCACGGACAUAAUAUCUCCUUGCUCUUUCGCAAAUUCGCGUGCUUUUUGGCCGCUUCAAUAAAGCUUCUCAAUUUUCGAAUAUAUGACAGAUGUGGUCUUGGCACAUUGUACAUCCAACCUCGGUCCAUUACCUAUCCUUAUAUUGAUUAACAUCAAUAAAAUCAUUAAUUAAUUGAAUUCAUCCAUAAAACAUGAAACGAAUUGAUAUGUAUGAAAAUAAAACAAACAUUGCAAUAAUAGAUACCUUGAGGUGAGACAAUUGUGUUUUUAAACAAUCUUUAAACUAGAUCAACUAUUAUAAGUCCAAAUCUUGAAUUCCAAAGCUUUUCUUCAAAUCCGUUCUAUAUUACAAAAUUAAGACAAAAAAUCGCAUCAAAAUGAGAAAGAAAACAAAUGGAGAUCAUAUAUAUGCAUAAACUAUUGAAAUCAAUCAAUAAACUCAAAAACAAAACCUUCUCCCUGUAGAUCUAAAAAAAAACCCGCCGCCACUAUUGAAAUUAGGGUUCUGCGAGUUAGGGUUCUGGAACCCGUCGGGGGGCUAGCCCUUUUAUAGUGUACACACAUCACAGGCGAUUAUUUAGCCAAACCGCCUAUGAUAGAAAACAUCACAGGCGGUUUUUGUUGUCGACCGCGUGUGAAGUUAAUUUAUCACAGGCGGUCGGAAUUAACAACCGCCUGUGAUGUUGUCUAUCACAGGCGGUUUGGCUAAAUAUCCGUCUGUGAUGCUUUACAAUAUAAAAAGUUGAGCGCCGCCAGGAACCCUAACUCUUCCCGCCCGAGCAAGAACCCGAGCGCCGCCAGGCUGCCGCCGUGUCCCCGUCCCCGAGCACGAACCCGAGCGCCGCCGUCCUAGUCCCCGAGCUCGAGCGCCGCUGUCCCCGUCACCGAGCCCGAGCGCCGCCGUCCCCGUCCCCGAGCCCGAGCGCCGCCGUCCCCGAGCGCCCGAGCAACGUGAUAGUCGCCUAGAGGGGGGGUGAAUAGGGCGAAACUGAAAUUUACAAAAAUAAUCACAACUACAAGCCGGGGUUAGCGUUAGUAAUAAUAAAUGAGUCCGCAAGAGAGGGCGCAAAACAAAUCGCAAGCAAAUAAAGAGAGUGACACGUGGAUUUGUUUUACCGAGGUUCGGUUCUUGCAAACCUACUCCCCGUUGAGGAGGCCACAAAGGCCGGGUCUCUUUCAACCCUUCCCUCUCUCAAACGGUCCCUCGGACCGAGUGAGCUUUCCUUCUUCUCAAUCAACCGGGAACAAAACUUCCCCGCAAGGGCCACCACACAAUCGGUGCCUCUUGCCUCGGUUACAAUUGAGUGUUGAUCACAAGAGCAAAAGAGAAAGAAAGAAUGCGAUCCAAGCGCAAGAGCUCAAAAGAACACGGCAAAUCUCUCUCGCUAGUCACUAAGGGCUUGAGUGGAAUUGGAGAGGAUUUGAUCUCUUUGUAUGUGUCUAGAAUUGAAUGCCUAGAGCUCUUGUAGUAGUUGAGAAGUGGAAAACUUGGAUGGCAAUGAAUGUGGGGUGGUUGGGGUAUUUAUAGCCCCAACCACCAAACUUGACCGUUGGCUGGAGGCUUCUGUUCGAUGGCGCACCGGACAGUCCGGUGCACACCGGACAGUCCGGUGCCCCUGCCACGUCACCACUGCCGUUGGAUUCUAGCCGUUGGAGCUUCUGACUUGUGGGCCCGCCUGGGUGUCCGGUGCACACCGGACAUGCACUGUUUGAUGUCCGGUGCACCGGUAUGGGCAGCCCUGACGACUGCGUGCGCUGCGCGCGCAUUUAAUGCGGCGCAGAGAGCCGUUGGCGCCGCAGAGAGCCGUUGCUCCGCUGGCACACCGGACAGUCCGGUGCACACCGGACAGUCCGGUGAAUUAUAGCGGAGCGGCUGUCGUGAAAACCCGAGGAUGACGAGUUCCGGAGGCCGCGGUUCGUUGGCUCACCGGACAUGUCCGGUGCACACCGGACAGUCCGGUGAAUUAUAGCGCGCCGGCCUCCGCGAAUUCCCGAGGGCGAAGGGUUGGAGUCUGAGUCCCCUGGUGCACCGGACAGGUACUGUUCACUGUCCGGUGGCACACCGGACAGUCCGGUGCGCCAAACCAGGGGUGCCCUCGGUUGCCCCUUUGCCCCUUUAUUGAAUCCAACACUUGAUCUUUUUAUUGGCUAGAUGUGAGCCUUUUGCACCUGUAUAACUUAUACACUAGAGCAAACUAGUUAGUCCAAUAUUUGUGUUGGGCAAUUCAACCACCAAAAUUAUUUAGGGACUAGGUGUAAGCCUAAUUCCCUUUCAAUCUCCCCCUUUUUGGUGAUUGAUGCCAACACAAACCAAAGCAAAUAUGGAAGUGCAUAAUUGAACUAGUUUGCAUAAUGUAAGUGAAAAGGUUACUUGGAAUUGAGCCAAUAUAACUACUUACAAGAUAUGCAAGGAAUGUUUCUUUCUUAUAUAACAUUUUGGACCACGUUUGCACCACAUGUUUUGUUUUUGCAAAUUCUGUUUGUAAAUCCAUUUCAAAGAGCUUUUGCAAAUAGUCAAAGGUACAUGAAUAAGAGUUUGCAAAAGCAUUUUCAAGAUUUGAAAUUUCCUCCCCCUGUUUCAAAUGCUUUUCCUUUGACUAAACAAAACUCCCCCUAAAAGAGAUCCACCUCUUAGUGUUCAAGAGGGUUUUGAUAUACCAUUUUUGAAAUACUACUUUCUCCCCCUUUUGAACACAAUAGAAUACCAAAUGAUAAAGACUUUUGGAAAGCACUAAGUUUUUGAAUUUAGUGGUGGUGGUGGUGCGGUCCUUUUGCUUUGGGCUCAUUUCUCCCCCUUUUUGGCAUGAAUCGCAAAAAACGGAACCAUUAGAGCCCUCAAAGUGCAAUCUUCCCCUUUGGUCAUAAAUAAGUGAGUUAAGAUUAUACCAAAGGCGAAGUCCUUUUGCGUUUGAGCUUUUACUCUCUCCCCCAAGGAUGAAGUCCUUUUUCUUUGAUGCUCAUUUCUCCCCAAGGAAUAGAGAGUUGCUCGGAGUGAUGGCGAAGCAUGAGUUACGGAGUGGAAGCCUUUGUCUUCGCCGAAGACUCCAAUUCCCUUUCAAUAUACCUAUGACUUGGUUUGAAAUGAACUUGAAAACACAUUAGUCAUAGCAUAUAAAAGAGAUAUGAUCAAAGGUAUUCAAAAGAGCUAUGUGUGCAAGCUUAGCAAAAGAAAUUUCUAGAAUCAAGAAUAUUGAGCUCAUGCCUAAGUCUGGUAAAAGAUUGUUCAUCAAGUGGCUUGGUAAAGAUAUCGGCUAAUUGAUCUUUAGUAUUAAUGUAAGAAAUCUCGAUAUCCCCCUUUUGUUGGUGAUCCCUAAGAAAAUGAUACCGAAUGGCUAUGUGCUUAGUGCGGCUAUGCUCGACGGGAUUGUCGGCCAUUUUGAUUGCACUCUCAUUAUCACAUAGCAAAGGGACUUUGGUUAAUUUGUAACCGUAGUCCCGCAGGGUUUGCCUCAUCCAAAGCAAUUGCGCGCAACAAUGUCCUGCGGCAAUGUACUCGGCUUCGGCGGUGGAGAGAGCGACCGAAUUUUGCUUCUUUGAAGCCCAAGACACCAAGGAUCUUCCCAAGAACUGGCAAGUCCCCGAUGUGCUCUUCCUAUUGAUUUUGCACCCCGCCCAAUCGGCAUCCGAAUAACCAAUUAAAUCAAAUGUGGAUCCCCUAGGGUACCAAAGCCCAAACUUAGGAGUAUAAGCCAAAUAUCUCAAGAUUCGUUUUACGGCCGUAAGGUGUGAUUCCUUAGGGUCGGAUUGGAAUCUUGCACACAUGCAAACGGAAAGCAUAAUGUCCGGUCGAGAUGCACAUAAAUAAAGCAAUGAACCAAUCAUCGACCGGUAUACCUUUUGAUCCACGGACUUACCUCCCGUGUCGAGGUCGAGAUGCCCAUUAGUUCCCAUGGGUGUCUUGAUGGGUUUGGCAUCCUUCAUCCCAAACUUGUUGAGAAUGUCUUGUGUAUACUUCGUUUGGCUAAUGAAGGUGCCCUCUUGGAGUUGCUUCACUUGAAAUCCUAAGAAAUACUUCAACUCCCCCAUCAUAGACAUCUCGAAUUUCUGUGUCAUGAUCCUACUAAAUUCUUCACAUGUAGACUCGUUAGUAGACCCAAAUAUAAUAUCAUCAACAUAAAUUUGGCAUACAAACAAGUCAUUUUCAAGAGUUUUAGUAAAGAGUGUAGGAUCGGCCUUUCCGACUUUGAAGCCAUUUGCAAUGAGGAAAUCUCUAAGGCAUUCAUACCAUGCUCUUGGGGCUUGCUUGAGCCCAUAAAGCGCCUUAGAGAGCUUAUAGACGUGAUUAGGAUACUCACUGUCUUCAAAGCCGGGAGGUUGCUCAACAUAGACCUCUUCCUUGAUUGGUCCAUUUAGGAAGGCACUUUUCACGUCCAUUUGAUAAAGCUUAAAGCCAUGGUAAGUAGCAUAGGCUAAUAAUAUGCGAAUUGACUCAAGCCUAGCUACGGGUGCAUAGGUUUCACCGAAAUCCAAACCUUCGACUUGGGAGUAUCCCUUGGCCACAAGUCGAGCUUUGUUCCUUGUCACCACACCAUGCUCGUCUUGCUUGUUGCGGAAAACCCAUUUGGUUCCUACAACAUUUUGAUUAGGACGUGGAACUAAAUGCCAUACCUCAUUUCUAGUGAAGUUGUUGAGCUCCUCUUGCAUUGCCACCACCCAAUCCGAAUCUUGGAGUGCUUCCUCUACCCUGUGUGGCUCAAUAGAGGAAACAAACGAGUAAUGUUCACAAAAAUGUGCAACACGAGAUCGAGUAGUUACCCCCUUAUGAAUGUCGCCGAGGAUGGUGUCGACGGGGUGAUCUCGUUGAAUUGCUUGGUGGACUCUUGGGUGUGGCGGCCUUUGCUCUUCAUCCUCCUUGUCUUCCUCAUUUGCAUCUCCCCCUUGAUCAAUGCCAUCAUCUUGAGGUGGCUCAUUUGAUUGAUCUUCUUCUUCAUCAACUUGAGCUUCAUCCUCAUUUUGAGUUGGUGGAGAUGCUUGCAUGGAGGAGGAUGGUUGAUCUUGUGCAUGUGGAGGCUCUUCGGAUUCCCUAGGACACACAUCCCCAAUGGACAUGUUCCUUAGCGCUAUGCAUGGAGCCUGUUCUUCACCUAUCUCAUCAAGAUCAACUUGCUCUACUUGAGAGCCGUUAGUUUCAUCAAACACAACGUCACAUGAGACUUCAACUAGUCCAGUGGACUUGUUAAAGACUCUAUAUGCCCUUGUGUUUGAGUCAUAACCAAGUAAAAAGCCUUCUACAGUUUUAGGAGCAAAUUUUGAUUUUCUACCUCUUUUAAUAAGAAUGAAGCAUUUGCUACCAAAAACUCUAAAAUAUGAAAUAUUGGGCUUUUUACCGGUUAGGAGUUCAUAUGAUGUCUUCUUGAGGAUUCGGUGAAGAUAUAACCGGUUGAUGGCGUAGCAGGCGGUGUUGACCGCUUCGGCCCAAAACCGGUCCGGUGUCUUGUACUCAUCAAGCAUGGUUCUUGCCAUGUCCAAUAGAGUUCGAUUCUUCCUCUCCACUACACCGUUUUGUUGUGGCGUGUAGGGAGAAGAGAACUCAUGCUUGAUGCCCUCCUCCUCAAGGAAGCUUUCAAUUUGAGAGUUCUUGAACUCCGUUCCAUUGUCGCUUCUUAUUUUCUUGAUCCUUAAGCCGAACUCAUUUUGAGCUCGUCUCAAGAAUCCCUUUAAGGUCUCUUGGGUUUGAGAUUUUUCCUGUAAAAAGAAUACCCAAGUGAAGCGAGAAUAAUCAUCCACAAUUACAAGGCAAUACUUACUACCGCCGAUGCUUAUGUAAGCGAUCGGGCCGAAUAAGUCCAUGUGUAGUAGCUCUAGCGGCCUGUCGGUAGUCAUGAUAUUUUUGUGUGGAUGAUUAGUGCCAACUUGCUUCCCUGCUUGGCAUGCGCUACAAAUCCUGUCUUUCUCAAAAUGAACAUUGGUUAGUCCUAAAAUGUGUUCUCCCUUUAGAAGCUUAUGAAGAUUCUUCAUCCCAACAUGGGCUAGUCGGCGGUGCCAGAGCCAACCCAUGUUAGUCUUAGCAAUUAAACAUGUGUCGAGCUCAGCUCUAUCAAAAUCUACUAAGUAUAGCUGACCCUCUAACACACCCUUAAAUGCUAUUGAAUCAUCACUUCUUCUAAAGACAGUGACACCUAUAUCAGUAAAAAGACAGUUGUAGCCCAUUUGACAUAAUUGGGAAACAGAAAGCAAGUUGUAAUCUAAUGAAUCUACAAGAAAAACAUUGGAAAUAGAAUGGUCAGGAGAUAUCGCAAUUUUACCCAAACCUUUGACCAAACCUUGAUUUCCAUCCCCGAAUGUGAUAGCUCGUUGGGGAUCCUGGUUUUUCUCAUAUGAGGAGAACAUCUUUUUCUCCCCGGUCAUGUGGUUUGUGCACCCGCUGUCGAGUAUCCAACUUGUGCCCCCGGAUGCAUAAACCUACAAAACAAGUUUAGUUCUUUGUUUUAGGUACCCAAACGGUUUUGGGUCCUUUAGCAUUAGAUACAAGAACUUUGGGUACCCAAACACAAGUCUUGGAGCCCUUGUGUUUGCCCCCAACAAUUUUGGCAACUACCUUGCCAGAUUUGCUAGUCAACACAUAAGAUGCAUCAAAAGUUUUAAAUGAAAUGGCAUGAUCAUUUGAUGCAUUACUAGUUUUCUUUCUAGGCAACUUGGCAUGGGUUGGUUGCCUAGAUCUAGAUGUCUCACCCUUAUACAUAAAAGCAUAAUUAGGGCCAGAGUGAGACUUCCUAGAAUGAAUUUUCUUAAUCUUAUUCUCAGGAUACCCGGCAGGGUACAAAAUGUAACCCUCGUUAUCCUGAGGCAUGGGAGCCUUGCCCUUAACAAAGUUAGACAAGUUCUUAGGAGGGGCAUUAAUUUUGACAUUGUCUCCCCUUUGAAAGCCAAUGCCGUCCUUAAUGCCCGGGCGUCUCCCAUUAUAGAGCAUGCUUCUAGCCAAUUUAAAUUUUUCAUUUUCUAAGUCAUGCUCUCUAAUUUUAGCAUUAAGUUGUGCUAUGUGAUCAUUUUGUUUUUUAAUUAAGGCAAGGUGAUCAUGGAUAGCAUCAACAUUAAUAUCUCUACAUCUAGUGCAAAUGGACACAUGCUCAAUAGUGGAUGUAGAGGGUUUGCAAGACUUUAAUUCAAUAACCUUAGCAUGCAACAAAUCAUUCUUAGUUCUAAGGUCAGAAAUAGUAGUAUUGCAAACAUCAAAAUCCUUAGCCUUAGCAAUUAAUUUCUCAUUCUCAUUUCUAAGGCUAGCGAUGGAAGCAUUCAAUUCAUCAAUCCUAGCAAGCAAAUCAACAUCAUCAUUUCUAGGAUCAAUGCAAACAUGAGAAUCAACCUUAGCCAACAAAUUAGCAUUUUCAUUUCUAAGGUUGUCUAAAAUCUCACGGCAAGUGCUUAGCUCACUAGACAGUUUUUCACAUUUUUCAACUUGUAGAGCGUAAGCAUUUUUAACCUUAACAUGUUUCUUAUUCUCCUUGAUUAGGAAGUCCUCUUGGGAGUCCAAGAGAUCAUCCUUUUCAUGGAUGGCACUAAUUAGUUCAUUUAAUUUUUCUUUUUGUUCCAUGUUAAGGUUAGCAAAAAGAAUGCGCAAGUUAUCCUCCUCAUUUUUAUCAUCAUCCUCAUCACUAGAUGUUUCAUAUUUAGUGGAGGACCUUGAUUUUACCUUCCUUUUGCCGUCCUUGGCCAUGAGACACUUGUGGCCGAUGUUGGGGAAGAGAAGGCCUUUGGUGACGGCGAUGUUGGCGGCGUCCUCGUCGUCGGAGGAGUCGCUUGAGCUUUCGUCGGAGUCCCACUCCCGACAAACAUGGGCAUCGCCGCCCUUCUUCUUGUAGUAUUUCUUCUUCUCCUUUCUUCUUCCCUUCUUGUCGUCCCCCCUGUCACUGUCACUAGACAUAGGACAUUUUGCAAUGAAGUGACCGGGCUUACCACACUUGUAGCAAACCUUCUUGGAACGGGAUUUGUAGUCCUUCCCCUUCCGUUGCUUGAGGAUUUGCCGGAAGCUUUUGAUGAUUAGGGCCAUCUCCUCGUUGUCGAGCUUGGAGGCGUCAAUUGGUUGUCUACUUGGUGUAGACUCCUCCUUCUUCUCCUCCGUUGCCUUGAAGGCCACGGGUUGCGCCUCGGAUGUGGAAGGCUCAUCAAGCUCGUUGAUCUUCUUGGAGCCCUUAAUCAUGCAUUCAAAACUAACAAAAUUCCCGAUGACUUCCUCGGGGGUCAUUUGUGUAUAUCUAGGAUUGCCACGAAUUAAUUGUACUUGAGUAGGGUUAAGGAAAAUAAGGGCUCUCAGAAUAACCUUAACCACUUCGUGGUCAUCCCAUUUUGUGCUCCCGAGGUUGCGCACUUGGUUCACCAAGGUCUUGAGCCGGUUGUACAUGUCUUGUGGCUCCUCCCCUUGGCGAAGACGGAAGCGACCGAGCUCCCCCUCGAUCGUUUCCCGCUUGGUGAUCUUGGUGAGUUCAUCACCCUCAUGCGCCGUCUUGAGUAGGUCCCAAAUCUCCUUGGCGUUCUUCAACCCUUGUACUUUGUUGUAUUCCUCCUUGCUUAAAGAGGCAAGGAGAAUGGUUGUGGCUUGAGAGUUGAAGUGCUCGAUUUGGGCCACUUCGUCCGUGUCACAGUCCUCAUCCCCUACGGAUGGUACCUGUACACCAUACUCAACAAUAUCCCAUAAUCUUUUGUGGAGAGAGGUUAGAUGACAUUGCAUCAAAUUACUCCACAUAGCAUAAUCUUCACCAUUAAAAGUUGGUGGUUUGCCUAAUGGGACGGAAAGUAAAGGUGUAUGUUUAGGAACACGAGGGUAGCGUAGGGGGAUCUUACUAUACUUCUUACGCUCUUGGCGUUUAGAAGUGACGGACGCCGCGUCGGAGCCGGAGGUGGAGGUCGAUGAAGUGUCGGUCUCGUAGAAGACCACCUUCCUCAUCCUUUUGUGCUUGUCCCCACUCCGAUGCGGCUUGUGAGAAGAUUUUUCCUUCUUCUCCUUAUGGUGAGAAGAGGAAGAUCUUUUCUCCUUCCGCUUGGAGGAUUUCUUCUUCUUCUCUCUUCUCUUGGUGCGGGACUCUUCCGAUGAAGAUGAAGUGCUCCCUUGGCUUGUAGUGGGCUUGUCGUCGCCGGUCUCCAUCUCCUUCUUGGCGUGAUCUCCCGACAUCACUUCGAGCGGUUAGGCUCUAAUGAAGCACCGGGCUCUGAUACCAAUUGAUAGUCGCCUAGAGGGGGGGUGAAUAGGGCGAAACUGAAAUUUACAAAAAUAAUCACAACUACAAGCCGGGGUUAGCGUUAGUAAUAAUAAAUGAGUCCGCAAGAGAGGGCGCAAAACAAAUCGCAAGCAAAUAAAGAGAGUGACACGUGGAUUUGUUUUACCGAGGUUCGGUUCUUGCAAACCUACUCCCCGUUGAGGAGGCCACAAAGGCCGGGUCUCUUUCAACCCUUCCCUCUCUCAAACGGUCCCUCGGACCGAGUGAGCUUUCCUUCUUCUCAAUCAACCGGGAACAAAACUUCCCCGCAAGGGCCACCACACAAUCGGUGCCUCUUGCCUCGGUUACAAUUGAGUGUUGAUCACAAGAGCAAAAGAGAAAGAAAGAAUGCGAUCCAAGCGCAAGAGCUCAAAAGAACACGGCAAAUCUCUCUCGCUAGUCACUAAGGGCUUGAGUGGAAUUGGAGAGGAUUUGAUCUCUUUGUAUGUGUCUAGAAUUGAAUGCCUAGAGCUCUUGUAGUAGUUGAGAAGUGGAAAACUUGGAUGGCAAUGAAUGUGGGGUGGUUGGGGUAUUUAUAGCCCCAACCACCAAACUUGACCGUUGGCUGGAGGCUUCUGUUCGAUGGCGCACCGGACAGUCCGGUGCACACCGGACAGUCCGGUGCCCCUGCCACGUCACCACUGCCGUUGGAUUCUAGCCGUUGGAGCUUCUGACUUGUGGGCCCGCCUGGGUGUCCGGUGCACACCGGACAUGCACUGUUUGAUGUCCGGUGCACCGGUAUGGGCAGCCCUGACGACUGCGUGCGCUGCGCGCGCAUUUAAUGCGGCGCAGAGAGCCGUUGGCGCCGCAGAGAGCCGUUGCUCCGCUGGCACACCGGACAGUCCGGUGCACACCGGACAGUCCGGUGAAUUAUAGCGGAGCGGCUGUCGUGAAAACCCGAGGAUGACGAGUUCCGGAGGCCGCGGUUCGUUGGCUCACCGGACAUGUCCGGUGCACACCGGACAGUCCGGUGAAUUAUAGCGCGCCGGCCUCCGCGAAUUCCCGAGGGCGAAGGGUUGGAGUCUGAGUCCCCUGGUGCACCGGACAGGUACUGUUCACUGUCCGGUGGCACACCGGACAGUCCGGUGCGCCAAACCAGGGGUGCCCUCGGUUGCCCCUUUGCCCCUUUAUUGAAUCCAACACUUGAUCUUUUUAUUGGCUAGAUGUGAGCCUUUUGCACCUGUAUAACUUAUACACUAGAGCAAACUAGUUAGUCCAAUAUUUGUGUUGGGCAAUUCAACCACCAAAAUUAUUUAGGGACUAGGUGUAAGCCUAAUUCCCUUUCACAACGCCGUCCCCUUCACCGAGCCCGAGCGCCGCCGUCCCCUUCACCGAGCUUGAGCCCCGCCGUCCUCGUCCCCGAGCCCGAGCGCCGCCGUCCCCGAGCGCCCGAGCAACGCCGUCCCCGAGACCGAGCCCGAGCGCCGCCGUCCCCUUCACCGAGCCCGAGCGCCCACCGUCCCCGAGCCCGAGCUCGAGCCCCGCCGUCCUCGUCCCCGAGCCCAAGGGCCGCCGUCACGGUCCCCGAGCCCGAAGCGCCGCCGUCCCCAAGCUCUUAAACUUCUUCCUCUCGUAGUAAGGUCAAAGUUCAGGUUCAUUUCUUCUAAGUUCAUAGCUCGAAUUUCCUAUAUGUGUUUGAAUCAUAUAUGUUAAUUGAUGGCAGAUUACUUGUGUUUGAAUCAUAUAUGUGUUUGAAUACACAGCUGGAUAUAUAUGUGUUUGAAUCAUAGCUUAGGUUAAUCAAAUGGUUAGGUUAAUCGAAUGCUUAGGUUAAUCAAUGGUUCAAACACAUUAAGGUGUUAAUCAAUGGCUAUCCCUGAUUAUCAGUUCUUAGAUUAAUUACUGUUGUUGUUUUCACUUACAUAUUUUGUUUGGUUGUCAAUAUGCUUAUUGCUUAUUGCUUGGUUGUCAAUUACUUGUUUGGCUAUCCCUGAAUUUUGUGUCCCUCCAUCGAUUGGGAUCUAUUUUUAUCCCUUGUGAUUAAAUGUUUUUUCACUUACAUAUUCAGUUAUAAGAAAAUCAUGGAAGUACAUAGCCAUGGCAAUGUUAUUAUCUCCCUAUGUUAUAAGACUUGUUCUUAUCUCCCUUCUUAGUUUUUUGACUACCUAUCUUUGCUUCCCAACCCUAUGUUAUAAGACUUGUUCUUAUCUCCCAUCUUUGACUUGUUCAUAGCCAUGACAAUGUUAUUUGGACCCCUCUUUUUGCCCUAUAAGCCACAUCCUUGUUUUCCCUUUGAUCCCUGCCUUUGUUGCGAUCUCAAUUUUGAUUGUGAGACUUGGCCAUUUUCAGUUUUAGAGAUGGAAAAAGAGCCACUUGACAUGGUUGAGAGCUCAGUUCGAGUCAUCGAGACACAUGUUGACAUCAUUCGCAGUCUAGUGACUGAUGGGGUUGUGGAUACUAGUGAACCGGAAUCAGUGUACACACUUAAGACCACUUUGUUUCAAAUUGGAGAUGUAUGCGACAUGCUUGAGAAGUGUGCUCUGUCCAUCAAAAAGUAUGCUGACUCCAAGAGGGCUAAAAUUAUUCAAGAUGAAGCCCUACAAUAUGCUGAAGAUGAUGAAGCUGCAGAUGAUUUGGAGGAACUCCCAAGCCCAGAUCUCCUUACUCAAGCCGACAUAUUGGAAAAAUAUUUUGGAAUUGAGUAUGAUAGCGACCAGUCAAGGGGUUGUUGAUGUUUAGUCCUAAACAACACGAUAUGAGUAUCGUAGGUUUCACUCUUAGAGAUAAUGUAUUUUGUAUGAACCUCUUAGAGAGUGUCAAGUCAAUGAACUAUCUUCGAGUACUAUUGGGAAGUGGAUCUCUUUGAUGUAUUUUUUUCUAGUGAUAUCGAUGGUGCCGAGUAGCACCAAAUUUGGACUUGUGUCCAUAUCUAUAGAUGCUAGUAGUUGAGCACUAGCGCCUACAAUCUUGACUACCUCAUCCCUAUUCUCUGUUUGGGACUUAUAUGGAGAAUGACAUCGGCGGAAUGCCUGAAUCGGGUCGGGAAGCAAGCUCGCAAAUAGAAGUGCACUUUCCAAUGCAGUUAGACAGAGAAGGCAUGGCUGUGAUGUUAUAAUGCUGAAGGACCCCAAGAAGAGAUUAAGUCCUGUAGUCUACCACCUCCCGUUAUUUGUGGGCUUCACCGAUGGCUGGAAACAUUUGGUGAUAGCAAACGACCUUCGGGCUGAAGACGUCUGCGAGCUUGUUAAGGGGCCAGACGAUGGUGAGCCGGUGUACUAUGUCCGGAUGUGUGGUCACAAAAUUUAAAGCUGCCCUAGCUGCAUGUGUGUGCUUCUCUUCUCUUAGGUGGGGUGCUAAGUGAUCUUAGUAGCCGACAUAAGAGAAGAGAAGCGCACAGAUGAAGCCGGGGCGGCUUUAAAUUUUGUGACCACACAUCCGGAUAGAGUACACCGGCUCACCAUCGUCUGGCCCCUUAACAAGCUCGCAGACGUCCCCAGCCCGAAGGUCGUUUGAUGUCACCAAAUGUUUCACGCCCUCAGUGAAGCCCACAAAUAACGGGAGGUGGUAGACUACAGAGCUUAAUCUCUUCUUGGGGUCCUUCAGCAUUAUAACAUCACAGCCAUGCCUUCUCUGUCUAACUGCAUUGGAAAGUGCACUUCUAUCUGCGAGCUUGCUUCCCGACCCGAUCCUGCCCCGGAGGCGGGUUUGGGCUCGAUUUCUUUUGAAUCACCUUUUCUCCAAGUUCCCUUAUUGAUGGAACCUACAAUCUUGACUACCUCAUCCCUAUUCUCUGUUUGGGACUUAUAUGGAGAAUGGCAUCGGCGGAAUGCCUGAAUCGGGUCGGGAAGCAAGCUCGCAGAUAGAAGUGCACUUUCCAAUGCAGUUAGACAGAGAAGGCAUGGCUGUGAUGUUAUAAUGCUGAAGGACCCCAAGAAGAGAUUAAGCCCUGUAGUCUACCACCUCCCGUUAUUUGUGGGCUUCAUCGAUGGCUGGAAACAUUUGGUGAUAGCAAACGACCUUCGGGCUAAAGACGUCUGCGAGCUUGUUAAGGGGCCAGACGAUGUUGAGCCGGUGUACUAUGUUCGGAUGUGUGGUCACAAAAUUAAAAGCCGCCUCGGCUGCAUGUGUGUGCUUCUCUUCUCUUAGGUGGGGUGCUAAGUGAUCUUAGUAGCCGACAUAAGAGAAGAGAAGCGCACAGAUGAAGCCGGGGCGGCUUUAAAUUUUGUGACCACACAUCCGGACAGAGUACACCGGCUCACCAUCGUCUGGCCCCUUAACAAGCUCGCAGACGUCCCCAGCCCGAAGGUCGUUUGAUGUCACCAAAUGUUUCCCGCCCUCGGUGAAGCCCACAAAUAACGAGAGGUGGUAGACUAUAGGGCAUAAUCUCUUCUUGGGGUCCUUCAGCAUUAUAACAUCACAGCCAUGCCUUCUCUGUCUAACUGCAUUGGAAAGUGCCCUUCUAUCUGCGAGCUUGCUUCCCGACCCGAUCCUGCCCCGGAGGGGGGUUUGGGCUCGAUUUCUUUUGAAUCACCUUUUCUCCAAGUUCCCUUAUUGAUGGAACCAGUAUAUCAGACUAACGGUAUAUCCCUUUAUCGAUGGAACCAGCUUGAAUGGCAGACAACGAGCAGCCUAGUAUGGAUGUGGUCUGCACCGGUGCGUCUAACAAAGUUGAUGAAGACGCGACCAAACUUGAAUGGCAGACAACGAGCAGCUUCGGUGAAGGGAGCGGGGAGGAUAGUUCUAGUGACGAUAAUCCUUGUACUCCUAUACCUCCAAGGAAGAAAAAAACAUCAGAUGAGCUUGAUGCUGACUAUAUUCCCAACGAUGAAGAGGUAAAUAGAAAUAUGCCGACUAUAUUCUAAAAUAAUGUUCAUAUAUGAAAGGCCAUUAAUUUUUUCACUAUAUAGAUUUCAAAUAAAGAGAAGAAAGAGGAUGCAUCUUCUACACGAAACACGGAGGAUGCUCCGAUGCCUGAAUCAUCCGUUUCACAUAAGCGGAAACGAGGGCGACGAGGUCCAAAUCAGAUGAAAGAAGGUGCAGUUAUGUACGUAACAAAACUAAAUGCAGAGGGGUUUCCUGAAGAACCACUUGACGUGGUUACAAAGUUUCGAAAUUCCUGCGGGUCUACUGUUAGAGAUAUAGUGCCAAUCACACUUCAAAAAUGGAAGGAUUUAGAUGAAGACACCCGCAACAAGCUAUGGGCUAAGUUGUCUGAGUCAUUCAAGUUCUCAAAAGGCACAGAGGAUGCAGUAAGGAAGUCGAUGCUCUCUGCUAUGGCCAAGAUGUUUCGUGGGUGGAAGGCCGAGAUGAAUAGGGAAUUUGUUAAGAAGAAUAAGGUUCCUCCGCCCAAGAAAAUGGGGAAAAUCACUCAAGCUCAGUGGGAGGAAUUUGUUCGUCAGAAGACCGAACUGAAGGCCAAAGAACUGGGCGAAACUAAUUCUCAGAGAGCGAAGAUGAACAAACACCCCCAUCGCCUGGGGUCAAGCGGAUAUCACCAUAAAGUUGUGCAGUGGAACAGGAUAAUCGAGGAAGCUAUAACUAACGGCACUUUGGACCCAAUAUUAAAAGAUAUCGAUGAGAGAGCUAUUCGUUGGAUCUUAGGUCGGGCAGGUUUGAGUGAGGACGGCAAACUUUUGCAUCCAGAAUUGGUAGGCGAAGUUUCGACAAAAAUUCAAGAAUAUGCAGAUAAGAGAAAAAAAGGAGAAUUUAAGCCUCGGAGGGAGAAUGACAUACUAACUGCAGCACUAGGCAAUCCUGAACACACUGGACGGGCUCGGGGAAUCUCUUCUAAGAUUUCCUGGAGAGAGGCGUUUCCAGAGUAUGCGUCGUCAUAUAGGAAACACGAGAAGUCGAAAAGGACCCUUGAAGAGACUAUUGAUGAAAGGGUACAAAAGGCUAUUAAUGACGUGAUGAACAAAAUGAAGAAAACAGAAUGCAUAUCAUUUGAACUCAAGCCAAGCCACAUGAGUCCACCUAUAGUCCCUAGCAGCGUUGGAUCUGUGCAAGACUUGACCAAGUACCCUGUAGACGAUAUUAUUGAGGACAAGCCUUGCUUUCUUCAUAUUCCAAUCAAUCGAUCUGGGACAAAAACAAAGCAAGCUGCUACUGGUUUGGUAAAACUAGGACUUGUUAACUACAAGGAUAAUCCUGUCCCGCCACACUAUGCUGUGGUCCAAGUUCUAGAAAUCACAGACAGUGGUUGUGAAGAUUGGGAGAUAGAUUUUCCAGUUGAGGGGAUCAUAACUUUGCAGGAGGCAAUGAACGAGUUGGUCCUUUGGCAUCGACGCGACAUCAAGUUGGGUGAUGAGCCGAAUUCAACACCAAUGCAACAAAAAGAUAGUUCGAUCAUUCCACACCCCAUGGUGCAGGAAAAUAUGACACCGACCUCCAGAAAAAUCGUUGAAACAAUCAUAUCGCCUCUUGCGAAGGAACUCGACGACGGGGACGUAGACAAAAUUGUUCCUCAGAAUGUCGACGUCAACAUCAAAAAGGAACCAAAGGUUGGCACCAAUGUUGAAGGGCCAACUAUUUCAAAGAAAAUUCAUAAGCGAAUCGUCACUGACGAUGUCAAGAAACUGUCAGAAUCAGUGGCACGCUACCUGCAUAAAUUGCAGAGAGUUAUGACAAAUCAAUCAAAAGCGGAAUCAGCAUCUCAUGGAGUAGGCACAUGGUUGACCCAAAUAGACAAUUUCGAAGUAUGGGAAGAAGAUGGAAUGAUUCAUACUUGAGAAUCAUUACGUCUUAAAACCAAUAUCUCGGUAUACAAGAAGGAGGAUGUUCCUCCUAAAUUUGUGAAUGGGAGGCCGUUCUUAACGACGGUGCAACUUUCUAAGUUGUCGACUCCGGAGAUUAGAAUGCAUGAGUGGUACAUGGUGGCUAGCAACAAAUACAAACUCGAGGAAUUCACAUUUGUUGUGCCAGAAGAUGCAUUUUGGAGCAAUGAUCAUAUAGAUCCUGUGCGGCAUUUAUUCUUUGACGAUCUUUGGUCGUUGUACCACCGACAAAGGAUGGAAACCAACUACUUAACCCUCUUUUGCUUGUAAGUACCUCUAAACUUUCAUAAUUGUUAGUUUUGUACACGCACACAUAAACGAGAGUCUAACGAUUAACACUAUUACACGUAGGAUGCAAUACAUGGAUGAUAAGAAGAAACAACUUAAGACAGGGUUUCUUGACCCGUUGAUGAUAUCCCAAGCUCGCUACAAAGUAGUUGCUCGGAGGCAUGGAGAAGAAUAUAAAGACUUGAACGAUGCUGAAUUUGAGAAAGCCGUCAAACAGAAUCAGAGAAAGAAAAUGAAGGUAAUGGCGGCAUACAUUGGACGAGCCAUGUAUAAUCAUGUACAACAUGGCAAGGACUUAAUAAUAGCUCCGCACCACUUUAAGUAAGUUAUCGACAUGGUUUAAUUUUGAACUAUAAAUUAUUGCAAUCGUGAUAUUAACAUGUGUUUUCGUCUAUGUCUAUAUAGUGACCACUACAUUUGUAUCAUGAUCUGGCCAAAGGAUGGUAAAGUCGUGGUCUUCGACUCACUGAGAAUGGAAAAGACUACGUAUAAUGACUUCUUGAAGAUUUUAGAGAAGUAUGGUUAUUAUUGCACACUUGUACUUAUUACAACUUAACAAAUGUAUUCUUAAUCUCACAAUGCUAUUCUUAUAUGCAGUGCAUACCGUUUUUAUUGGAAAGAUCUUGGCGGCGAACAUCCAGAGGACAAGCCUAAUUUGUCAAUAUCAUUAUUUCCAUAUGGUGACAAACAACCUCCGGGUACUGUCCUGUGCGGUUAUUAUGUAUGCGAAUGGUGUCGUGUCACCUUCCAUUACAUGGUCAAUCGUGAGGAUGUAAGUUCGCUAUCAUUGUCUAUGUUGCAAUUUUUAUGUUAUAUUGUUGCUCAUCAUAUUACUCUUAGCACCGAUUGCUUUUUGUUUUCAUUGCAGGUUCCUAAAUCCAAGUUCAAUGCUGAAUGGUUAGAAAGAGAUAUGGUUUCCGUCGGCGUUGCUAAGGUUGUAAGAGACUUGCUUUACUUUAUGCGCCGUGAAGUUCUUCAUCAACAAGGGCUAUUCUACAAUGUAAAUGAAAAUUUGCAAAAAUUUCCAGAACUAAGUUUGUACACAAUAUCACACAGUGUUUAGGUCUUUAGUUAGGAACUUUAGAUGUUUAGUUGUCUAUGGAACUUUGAGAUGUUUAGUUGUAUAAUUCUGUGUAUGACGAUGGAACUUGAUAUGUGGAUGAAUCUGUGUAUUAUCCCUGUUAUGGAACUUGUAAUCUGUGUAUUAUACCUGUUAUGGAACUUGUAAUAUGUGUAAAUCUGUGUAUGUGGAUGAAUCUGUGUACAAUCUGUGUAUUAUGCAAUCUGUGUGAAUCUGUGUAUAAUCUGUAUAUAUGAAUCUGUUUAUACCUGUUUGAAAAUUCUGUGUAUUAUACCUGUUUGAAAAUUCUGUAUAUAUGAAUCUGUAUAAUGAAAACCGUCUGUGAUUUAUAGUGUAUGCAGUCGGUUCCUUUGAACUGGACCGCCUGUGAUGUGUGUCUAUCACAGGCGGUUCCGUUGAACUGGACCGCCUGUAAUCUGUGUUUUUCACAGGCGGUUUUUGAUUGACCGCCUGUGAUGUUGUUUUACAUCACAGGUGGUGCACCACAAGCGGUUACUGGAACCGCCUGUGUAGUGGCGAACCAGACCGCCUGUACAGAGAUGUGUUGUAGUAGUGAUCCAUUCAAUGCCAUUAAAAUUUAUAACUUCUCUUUAAUACCAUAACAUUUAAAUUUUAAACUCUUAAAUAUCAUUGUCUUUAGUUUGAAGCUAAUACUGUUGUUCACUUUAAAGCAAAUCCCUCUAAUAUCAUUAAAAUCUAUACUGAUCCAUUCAAUGACACUAGAAAUUGGUCCGAUCCAUUUAGGUUUUAAAAAUUCAGAUUAAAAAAUACAGAGAAAGUUCAGUCCAUACUUUUUGAAACCCUAAAAUUGCUUGAUAUAUUAGUUCGAUCCAUUUACUUCAUAAUAAUUUUGGAAAAAAUAUAUAUGAAAAACCGAAUAGAUAGAAUCGGUAUAAACGAAUAACCACGUAGUUUUCUAGGUUAUUAAAAAAUAUUGGCUGAAAUUUCUAAAUUAUUUAAAACCUCUAUUCAUAUCAAUUAUGAAAAAUAUAAAGAGUCUCUUGGAGUUGCUCUUUUGCAAUGCAUAAAUUUGCAUAUACAUUAUCUAUUAGAGAAAUAAAACAUUUGACCUAAUUUUAUAAAAUAAGAUAUUAUUGGAGUAGUUUUUUCGAUAUAGAGUCUUUGAGGCACGUUUUUGAGCCAUCGUGUUCGGUAUCGAGGGUCGAAGGAAAGGAUGGCCUAUUGGGACUGCUGAUUGAGCUAGGCCAUAUAUCAUUUUUUGACAUCUCUCCGCAUGUUUCCGACCUCUCUAUAAAUGAAAAAUUCUUUCCAUUCUCAAUCCCUCAAUCGUAACUAGAGGUGAAAACUACAUGAGCCGAGCUAGAACGGUGUGGCUCACUACCGAGCCAAGCCAGGCUCGGUUCGCCCAAACAUCGAGCUCCAUUUACAGGCUCGGCUCAGAGUAAGCUCGCUAGCCGCAGCUAAGGCAACCAGCCCGCAGUAGGACGUCUGGACUCCUCUGGACGGCUGCACCUCAGCACCUCUACGCCAUAUGAUCAGCGUUCAACAAUAACAAGGGAUGCAAGAGCAGCAAAAGCCAACAACAUUACAACAAACGCAGGUAGGGGCAGGGGGCCUCGAGUUGGCCAUUAGCGCCUCGUCGAAGAUGGAGGCGGAGAGCCAGAGGAGAUAGUCCGUCGGGGUCCACCGAAGAUGGAGCCAUGCCAUGGAGGCACCUUGAGCUUGACUGCUUAAGGGAAGGGAAGUGGAGGCGGGCAGCCGGGGAUCGGCGUCGGCGGACGGCGGGCAGCCGGGGAUUAGAGCUGGCCUACGACGACUCGCUGGUUCCACCAGUCCACCUCCACCCUGCGUGUGGCUUGCUUGGUCGGCGCUCCCCUGGAACGGGAAGGGUGCGACUGUCGCUGGCUCCUGGCGUAGGGUUUAAGGGAAUAAUGAGCUUGGUUGGGCCAGCUCGUGAGUGGCUCGCGAGCUUGUGCAGGCCGGCUCGUCUCGGCUCGAGAAAUUUUCGAGAUCACAAAUUCGAUUCGAUUUGGCCCAUUGUCAGCUCGCGAGCCUUGUCGAACCGAGCUCGAGUUGGUUCAUAGGUCGGAGCUAUUUUUUCAGCCCUAGUCGUAGCUACUAGCUAUUGCUAUGUGUAUAUCAUAGAAUCUAUACAUAAGGGAUGUUUAAAUGCACUAGAAAGUCACGGUAAAACGAAGCAGAAAUAAGGUCCCGUUUGGUAGGGCUCUUCCUCGAUCAACUUUAGUUUCAUCUUUGGUUCUGACUCCUCUAAGAAAACAACUCUCCCCUUUUUCAGAAAAAGAUCUAUAAAGAGCAUCUUGUUUGGUUGGAAAUAUAGCUCAUUCUAUAGCUUCUUCUUCUCGUCGACAAAGUGAAAAAUAUAGAAGAUGAGCCCGUAAAAGCUCAGUUUUUUUGGCUUCCGUCUGUUGCUGGUUUUUUAGAGCUCCUCUAGUUUUUCUAGGAAGAGUCUAUUAGAGAGCCUGCCCUUUCGUAGAUUUUUUUAAAAGCUUUUGUUGAGUUCCUUGUUUUAUUUUCAUGUGGAUACGAUUGUAAACGGAAACCAUCAGAGCGACCGCGAUUAGAGCGGUGGCACGGUUUCGUUAGCCCCGAACAAACAAAAAGGAGCAUCGUUAUCGCGCAUUGAAGGCGGCAGGGCCAGAGGCGCGAGUGCACGAACCAGGCCAUGUGAUGUGAGCGCCGAGACGACCCUAGCCAGCGUGGUCCACGGGGCGCGUGCGUGUCCGCACCAUCCGGCACUGGUUGCCACCAGCGCUCGGUGCUCGCUCCAUCAUCGCCCGCCCCCAGAUGGGGAUGGCCGAGUUUCAUGCCCGCCCCCAGCUGGGUGUCUGGCUGGGCUCCUGACUCGAGGUCCGACGUAGCAUGGCCAUGUGUUCGGAAGUUUGUCAACGCGCUCGUGGUGGCCGGUCUGUCGCGCUCACUUGUCUCUGUUGAUUGAGUUUUAAGAAAAACGCAGACUGUCACGUCACUGCAGAGUUGGCACGGCAUAGUUAACGGUUCGCGGGAAAUCUGGUAGUGGGAUGGAUCCGCAUAUUUAUUCAAAUAUUAAUUUUUUGUCUUCUUUCUUCGACGAUAAACAAAUAAUAUAUAGAAUUUGCUACGUAAAUCUCAAAUAUGUUCCAUAUCUUUUUAAACAAUUGAUAUAAAAUUCGGAUACCUAUCGAAUACGAAUUAAGAUAUUUUUAAUAAUGCACAUAAAAAAUGUACAAAAAAAUUAUUCUUGUAUUUUUAGCUUUAAAUUCUAUACAUAUCUAUGUUUAAAUUCUAUAUAUUUGCUUCAACUUUUUAAACAUGAGCAAAGAGCGUCACCAGUGUCGUCGCGGCUAGAGUAUAAGUUGAUUUAUUAUAAUAUCUCUACAUUGGUUUUACAAAAGUCAUCAGAUGACAUCAACAAAUGCUACUAUUAAAAAAAGGCAUUUUUAUAGUACAAAUUUGGAAGCAACUUAGAUCCCCUUUUGUUGCUUAUCAAGCUCAAUAUAUUGAUAAGGAGAUAUAACAAAUAGAAUUAAAUAAGAUUUAAAAACAAUUAAAUGUUAUAAUAAACAUAAUACAAAUAUAUUUUAAUCGAAAAAUAUCAACUCGGACGAUUAUCCUUAUCUCGUGCGUGGUUAUCCAUUUAAUCACGUGAGAUUUGUUAGCUAUCGCCUAUGAACAGGUCCAAACCUCUCCUUUAUAUAUGAAGGGGUACUGUCGAUUGAGAACCCCUGAACAUAUUCCAAUCAAACUAACUACUUUCUUUAUCGUUCCUGCUCUAGCAGUAGAUGUAGCAUAGUUCUAGUUAUAACUUUCUACACAUUCACCUCUACGUCGUCUAGAUCUGUCUUGUGUGGCCUGCUGACCCCAAGAAGACUAUAGGACCUUACCCCUUCCGGGGCACGAUUUAGUUGUCCAUUCAAGAUACUCUAACUCGACUAUCUCUUAAUUUAUAGGUUGCUCUACGUUGUAUGGGGACGCUUCGGGUUACCUGUCGAGCGGAGCACCCUAAGAUCCUCCUCCAGUGGAUGACAUCUAUCUACAUUCCAGCAAGAAGGAAGACAACCUUGCGCCAUCGCGGAUUGUCUGGCCCUGUACGUGGACCGUUCGGUGCGACGCAGUCACGCAGGGUAGGAACCGCUCAUAUGCCCAGAUCACGGACCAUUUGUGCCAUCGCAGAAAGCAUCGCCAGGUGAUACAUUCCUACUGAUUGGCACUGUCUAGAUCCACACCGACAGAGACCAGCCGUUAAAAACUCAUUACAAUUUUUGGACGGAGUCCUACUUCUAGCCUCCUUAUCUACGCCACUGAUGCUCUACAAUAUAUUGCAGACAACACCAUGGCCAAGUUAUUCCUCCAUCCUCCACGUCCUAAUCUGUGGUGCCCGUGAAACGCUAGGGAACAAAUGGAUAUCCAGGGUCUCUGUUGCUUGUGCGCGGCGCCCACGCACUGCACCUGCCGCCUCCGUACGUGUGUACAGGAUCGUCGAUCAGCUGGCACGACGGGCUCCGUCGUCUCGCCUGCGUGCAUGCACGAAUGCCAGCGCAUCGCCCCUUGUCCCUGUUCGCUCCAACCAAUCCAUCGUCCAUGCACGUACGUCCUUCAACGACCCAAUCAAUGCGUGUGGUGGUCGUUCAACCAUUGCUCUACACACACUAGCUCAUGAUCCAUCCCGGCCUGCAUUACUGCUUUGCCUGCCCAUUUUUUCCGACCCGGCCCUCUCCCCACACACGGAGCAAUCAGCUGGAAUGUACAAGGCCCGGCCAGUCGUGAUUGUUCAGGCUACAGUAGCUAGCUGCUAGCUCCAUAUAUAUCAGCGUCCGCGUGCAGAAACAGUCAAGGCUGUUGCGGUGCAGCUCGCACAGUCGUCGCAGCGCUGAGAGGAGUGUAGCUUAAGCAAGUGAUGUAGCCUCUCCUCACAGUCACAGCUAGCUAGGGGAUCGGAGAGCUACAAAAUCAUGGAAGCAACCACCAUGACUCCAGUGACCAGUGAGGCUGCUGUGGACGACUGCUAUUUGUGGUCCAGCGUCAAAGCUGCAGUCCGCCUUUUACCUACACAAGAAACACUGUUGCUGAAUCGAUCCAUCGUCCAUCGUCGGGUAGAUCUGACGUUACUCUCUUGCUACAACCCUCUAUGGUCACUGCAAACUUAACAGACAGUCAUAUUUUUUAAAACCUACUGACUGCAUAGACACAUUUUUGAAACUAGUCAUCUUUUAAGAUCUCUCUUAUAUAUAUGCAAUCCGUACCAUCUCUCUAUCACAAGCAGAACUGCAUGCAGGAGUGCAGAACCCCGUACAGUAGUGUGUGUAAGUGAUCGACUGAAGAGGAAGACAUACGGCCGUGUGUCAGGCUUGGUUCAGGAAAACUAGUACUACAGGAGUACGUACGCGCGUAUACCGACAACGUUAGCGGCAACAUCAUCAAUGAUGCACGAAUCAUUGGUCAAGUGAUCGUAUAGAGAAAAAAAAGUACACUGGCCGGGCUUCCCCGACAUGACGACCGCGCGCACGACUGAACGAACAACAUCGCUAGACCUCCUGUAUUAUAUGCUGUACUCUACUGCCUGUCAGACAAUCAAUGAAGUUAUAUCGCUCCUGUGUAGUAGAUUCGUCGCCCGUCGACGUUCGCUUCCUGUGCAGUGUUUUCGUGUUUUUUUAAUAAAGGAAUUGAAGGGUUUUUAUUAAUCCAUAUAUAGUUCUGUAUCAAGUUGAUUGCUCUAAUAAUUGUAAAAAAAAAAUCCAUGAUCGUCUGUGUUAAUUGAUACAUAAACGUUGUUGUAGCUAAAAUUCUGCGAAGCAACUUCUAAGGACAAUUCAAAUCCGUGUCCUGCGUGCCAGACAUUGUACCGCGCCGACCGUUCGGCAAUGUUUCAGUUUUCUUCGCUGUAUAUGACCGGACUGAAAUCUCCGGUUACAGCAGUACUGCUGUUUGCUGCCGUCCUUGGGUACUCUCCUUCCCCGGAACAGAACGUCCAACUUCCUCUCGACUGCACGCACGUACGAACACUUCCCUUUUGAUGAGCUGAUCUGGCCCAGGACCGAUUCAACCAGUGCGCGUACAUCGUCACGGCUUCUCCAUUGCCGUAGCCUCCUACGGUCUGCACUGUCUUGUGUGGUUCUUCAGGCCUUCAGGCAACUUAUAAUGGCCAUCGUUCUUCAGGGAAAUGCAUUUCUGCAACUUAUGCAGUAUAUGCCACGAUCAGGAUUCGGGACUAGGCAUGGACGACCAAUGGUGGCCCUGCAGAGGGGCGGUCGCUCCGGGCCCUGAAUUUAUAGGGCCUAAUUCUAGUCAUGUGAUCCAAUAGCCGAUCAACAAAAAUAAUAAAUAUCUAAAUAUGUUAGAAGAAAAUUAUAAGGUGAUACUAUAAUAUAUAUCCUUUUAUCUACUCAUUAUUUGAUAUAAAUAUUUUUAUAUGUAUUUGAGCGUUUAAUUAGUAACAUUUAUAUAUUAAAAAUAAUUUGAAGGCCCUCUGUUUAAAACAUUGUCCUUGUGCCCCUAAAUUGAGCGAGCGCGAUCAGGAUUUCCGCAACUUAUAAUGCCCAUCGUUUCUUCAGGGAAAUGCAUUUCUCUGCAACGUAUGCAGUAUGACACGAUCAGGAUUCGGGACUAGGCAUGGACGACGGAGCGAGAGCGCGAGAGCACGCGACGGGUGCAGGGACCGAGCGGCGCGCGGCGUUCACAUCACACCACAGGGACACGCCAGGCACACGGGCCGUAACUGUACGCGCGCGGCCCCCCGGCCCCAAUCAUGCAUAGCACGGGCGCGCCAGAGGCCGUGCACAAGCAAUCUAUUCUCGUCGUGCGUGCGAGGCCGACGGAUCGGCGGAUCCGCGCAGUAUUAACUCGCGUGCUUGCGGGUUACGGCUAGACAGCACAGAGAGCAGGACGAAACGCACAUCACUAGUGUAGUGUCAUAUCAUUCAGGCAGGCUAGCUAGCUUCUGACCGGCCGGCUAGCUCCCCCUUCGGCCUCGUCGACUUGUCACACUCCCAGUCCCAGAGCUAGCUAGCCAGCAGCCUUGCUCCCACGCACAAGCAAGUCCAAUUUGCAGUUGAUGAUUCGGUUUAACUCCCUUAAUGGCGCAUGGUUAGGGGUGGGGGGCCUGCCCUGGAGGGAGAUUGAAUGAUAGGUCGCGUAGCGGUUAGUGUACCCUCAUGGAGUCAUGGAGCCACAUGGGGGGGACUCCGCUGGGUUUUCCUUGCGCACAUCCGGCCGGCUGCGACCGGGACUGUCCGUCCGUCCAAAAAUGUACUGCGGGGUUGGAAUGUACUGUCCGGGCUAUCCCCCAUCCAAAGCAGAGACGACCUGCUGCAACUGCAACUGCAACGCAGCAAAAAAAAAAGAAGUUUUUUACGGGCCCGGCCAGGUAGACGGUGAGUGACCGACCGCCCGGGAUGACGAAGUGACCGUCCGGCGGAUGCGGAUGGGUCCACGCUCCACGGACCACGGCUGCGCAUUCACCUGUCAGAGCCGUGCGCUCGAGCCACGCCCGCGAGGACUCGGGCAGGACACGGGACGGGCGCGCGCGCGCCGGUUUGCGUUGCCGGUUGAGUGCACCGUGCACCGAACCAUGCAUGACCACGAACCGAUCGCAACGGAUCGGAGCAGCACGCAGUGAGUUGCCAGGUCGCCCUCAGCUCGCUCGCUAGCUGCAGGCCCCGACGACGUACGGCGCCGUCGCGCGGGCGAUCGGCAGCGCACGAUCGCACGUAACUGUCAGGUGUCUGCUGCACAUCGAUCCUAGCUACAGUAGCAAUCCUUAUGUACGUGACGAAAGUGUCUGCCAGUAGGAUGAUCGGAAUCCCUGAUGGCCUGAUCAGACGACGGGUAAGAAUUGACCAGUGUACAGUCCGGGCGAGUAUGCGAGUGCAGUGUCCCUCCCGCGGCACACUGCCCUAUGCGCCAGCACACGAGCACUGUCAACGCGCGUGCUGCAUUGCUGCCCAACCUAAACUCCUGCCGACGGCCGCGCCGCCGACGCGAUCGAGCACUGCGGCCCGCGCGGGCUGGCCUCGCCGACGGCCUUGCCGUACGUGCACGCACACCUGCCCAGCGGCCCAGCCACGAUUGCCCGCGCUGUUCAGAGCGACCCGGCGGCGAUGGGGAGAAGGCCGUGUGCGCUCGGCAGCUCGUGCUAGUUGCUACCAGCACCUUGCCCGCCGCUUGCAUUGACCUAGCUGCCCGCUUGCGCCUUGCUAGCCGGAGGAGCCCGUACCGCGCCCGCUCGCGUCGUCGGCCAGGCGCUCUAGCUUGCUCGUCGGUCGUCGCUCGCGGCUGCGCUGGCCGCGCGCGUCGUGUCUUUUGCCGUGUGUCUGCACGUUCUCGCCGGACACACCCACACCUUCGCUCGCACUGCCACAUGCUCCCCUUACGACUGCGACAGGCCUAAAGAUGAGGAUCGGCAUGGGAGAAGAGAACUGGACAGAGACAGGCAGCUAGACAGCGAGAUCGAGCAAGAGCCAUAUGGGCGAGAACUAAACGAGAGCCAAAAGCAACAGACCACACAACAAAUUAAUUACUACUAUGGACCCACCGAAGAAUUCACAGCUAGCGUUGGUUGUUACAGAAACUCUCAGCCUCCAAUCCUCUUGCUCCCAAACAAAACAAGUGGUAACCGUGUGUGUGUGAGCAGAUCCCGCCCCCAGCCCCCCUCCACAGGCCACAGCGUACCCGUCGAAGCGAUCUCCCUCGGGAAACCAAUAACAAAGUCGUAGGCGAUCUCGAGGAUUUGCUUCCCAUGCACCCCACCAGACCGGGGGCCGCCUAGGAUUUCACAUGGCACGCCAGUGCGUGGCGCCGCCACGUGAGCCCCGGGGCACCGCGCGAGUCCUGGCCGGCCACGGCGCAUGCAGCCGCGCAGACCGUAGCACAGCACCGUGCGGCCGCACCGCUCCCGUGUUCCGCUCCGCCACGGCCCCGGCCCGUCCGGCGAUCACUUGGGCGAAACGGCUCCGCCACCCACACCGACCACGCCUAGCAGCCCCGUAGCCCGGCUUGGGAUCCCCUGAGCCUGACGUCGCUCGCGGUCACUGUCGCGUGGGGCCAGGGCCCACGCGUAUCACUUCGAUCGAGUCGGGCGUAGACUCACAUGCACAUGCACGGCUGGAUCUGGACCAGGAGGAAAAUCUCUCCCAGCAGAGCAACUACCCACACCCACCGUAUAAAAACCCUACCACUUCCUCUCCCUCUGGGCUCUGGCCCUCGAUCGCCGGAUCUCUCAUCGAAUCUCUCGCAUCUCCAAGGUCUCCUCCGACCCCCUCUCACAUCACGACAUUCUUUGGCGAAUCCUUCCAGCUGCUCGCUCCAAGCUCCCAGCUCUCUGAGACUCUGACUGACCACCGCGGACGUGGUGGUCUCUAGCUAGCAUGCUGUCUUCACACCACGAGGCCGCCAUGCUGCCGUACGCGCCGGGGCCGCCGCCAUCGCUGCUGCUAGACCGGCGGUCGUACAAGCAGGGCGGCGAGGCGGCGCCCAGCUGCCCGCGCUGCGACUCGCCCAACACCAAGUUCUGCUACUACAACAACUACAGCCUCAGCCAGCCGCGCUACUUCUGCAAGGGCUGCCGCCGCUACUGGACCAAGGGCGGCUCCCUGCGUAACGUGCCCGUCGGCGGCGGGUGCCGCAAGAACCGCCGGGGCAAGUCGUCCUUGCGGUCGGCGGCGGACUCCAUCGCGAGCGGCGGCGGCGGCCGCGACGCGGCGUUCGGCCACCGGUUCCCGGGCCCUGUCCGCCCCGACCUGGUCCUGGAAGGCAUGGUGGGCAAUCACCCGUCCAACCCAGCUGGCCAGGCGGCGAUGCCCGGCGGCGUGCCCGCUGCGGCUGAUGGCUCCACCAUUGAUCUCGCAAUGCUGUACGCCAAGUUCCUCAACCACCCGCCGGCGGAGGAAGGCGUCGGGGCCGUGACGCCGCCGGAGUCGGCAGGGCAGGUCGACGAGGCGUUCGGCGCGUCCAGUGACCUGAUGAGCCCUGGUGCUCUGGCGCCGGUGCAGUUCGAUCCGUGCCAGGACGGGUUCGGUGAGUGGUCUGGCGUGCCAGUCAGCAGCGCUGGCCCCUCGAGUACGGCUAGUACUACCGCCGCAACCACCAUGCUGUGCACUGACGUGAGCGUGCAAGCUGCAUUCGGCGAGCUCAACUUCGCCAUGGACCAGAACUGCUUCGACUCGCUAGGGUUACCCACGGACGACGUCGGCAACCUCUCGUCGUCGUGGUGUUCGAUCGUGCCAGGCUUGUCGACGUUAGAGGACGCCAAGUAUGACUUGGAUUCGUUCCCAGAUGACGCCCUCAGCCUUCACGACGAGGGCAUGAUUAGCGGGACUGAUCAUGAUUGGAGCGUGGAUUGCCAAGGAUUGGAGACUCUCUACAUGCCGUAACUAUACACACGACCAAAAUUCUUCUUCUUCUCUUCUUGCUAAUUUGUUCUUGUUCUUGUGAUGAUUGGUUUCCUACAUAUUUUUCUCUUUCUUUUCUUUCGUUAAAUUCGGUUUGGAAGAAAUAUAUAUAGAGAUAUAUAUAUAUCUAUGUAUCUAUGUUUUGAAGAGAGGUACGUGAGGGACAAGUCGCGCGCUCAUGUAAUUGAAUUAAUGAUUCGGUAUACUUGUGAGAUAGAUCGAUGCAAUACAAUAAUGUUGAAGCUUGGAAAUUUUAGUCGCUAUAAGUAUAUCAUUAUAUGGUGUUACAGCAGUGGUCUUUCUACUGCGCCAGUGCAGAGUUUAUUCACAAUCUGCAGUUUUUUUACAUGAAUGUGUGGUCGUUGAUGAAUGCAUAUAUAGGAUGGAAGUUGAAAUGUUCACUGCUUACAGGAAAUGCUAGAGAAUGUGCAGGAAAUUUGACAAUACUCGUACUAUUUACUGACGAAAACUGGAAUCGCAAAACAUAUGCAUGGCGAGAACUGAUUCGCCUAUUAGAGUUUUGGUCAGCAUCAUCACACUGUGUGACUGGACUUGGUUAUACUAGUCAGCCAGUUAGGAGAGUAGGCUUAGCUUCCGAAGCAAAUAAUACCUUGCACCAUCCCAUUCCCAUGUAUUGAAUAGGGCAUGUGUCCCUUGUCUCCCGUCUGCUUGUUCAAAAUGGUUAGUCAAACAAAAGCAGUGUGAUCAACUGAGGGGCGUUUGGUAGAGAUCCAAUAGCUCCACUCUGAGCGAAAAUCACUCCUACGCCAAAUGGUAAAAAACUGAGCGGCUAAAUGGUGGGAGUGGAAUGAAUUUAGUCUUUAUUUUGUACUACCUCUGUUUUCAAAUAUUUGUUACCGUUAGUUCACUUUUAAACUAAAACAUCAAAUAUUUGUUGCCCGCUAGUUCACUUUGAACUAAAACACGAUAAAUAAGAAAGAACGGAUGGAGUACUAGAGAAUGAGCCAAAAGAAUCUGCUUUGCUUUCCACUGCUCUCUACCUACUCCCCACUCUCCAACCCCUUAGGAAUCACUUCAUAGACUAUUUAUCAAAUGGUUUUCGUUAGAUAGAUUCACUUCUGCUAAAAAAUUAUUUGGAAUCACCCUAUUAAAAAAUCAACUCUCAGAGUUAGAAAAUAAUGAAGCGGAGCUGUGUCAAACGAGCGAGAGGAGUAGCUUCAAUUGCCUUGUUAGAGAGAUUGCUUCUACAGAAGCAUUCAAUUCACCUUCAUGAUGACUUCUUUAUUUCUAUCGUCAAUAAUCUACAAUUGUUUUUUAUGCUCCACGGUUAAUAACGUGAUUCAAAGGCAGUACAUAGUAGUUAGUCCAGCUGUUCAUUCAGUAGCUACUAGCUAGUAAGAAUAUUCCUGCUCCGGCAUUGAAAAAAAUCAGUAAGCUUCACUGCAGUUCAUAUUCCCCUAGAUAAGUAAUACUAGAAAAUUAUUGUAGUUUCUUGAUCAACCAAUAAUACACAAAACCUUCACUAUUAGAACAUCUUAGCAAUUGGCUAACUUACAGCGUUUGGUAUGCAUAACACGGUAUGUAAUAACAGUAGACUCUCUUCAACAAGACUUCCUAAAAUGAUCAUUACUUUAUAUUUAGAGGAGAUCCAUCUACUCUAUCCAUUCUUAUAGAGAUUCUCUCUCCUCUCCUCCAUCCAUUUUAAUACUCUAAAUAAUAGAUUUAGCAAAACUAAAAUAUGUACAAAUUUGAGAGUAUGAUAAGUAUGUACGUACAAAAAAUAAAAGUAAAAAUAUGUCUCCAAUAUAGAUAUUUACGUUUGGAUGACGAGAUAUAGAGGACGUUGCUGCAGAGGAAGAAGAUAUAGAGGAGGCAACCAAGCCCUAAUGAGGGUUUUGGUGUGAUGACCGCCAGAUUAAAGUACUAAUAAGAUUUAUUGAGAUGACAAGCAGGGAAUCGAAAAGGGAGGUUGUUGUACAGGUUGAAGGAUCCCUCUAAUCACUAACGAUGGCUUUUCCGACUCACUAAGUUUAAAUGCUUUUAUGUUUUGUAUCCUAAGUUUAGAAAAAGUCGUACUAUCAAGAGGGAGUCAAGGACAAUUAGUCAAUUGUUGAACCAGAUGCUCAAAAUCUCUUAUUGGCAUCCUUAUACCCAUCCAAUUAGCCACCAAAAUUUUAUAUUCUAUCUCCUAAUUUGGCUAGGACGACAGUGCAACCCAUAACAUAAUGGUUAGAAUCACAAGUACAAAUACCCAUCUGUUCGACCACAACAGUAUCCUUCCUUGCAUCAGUCCGUUGCAAAACAGAAAACUACUCAGCUCUCUCUCCUCCAUUGUUUCCUCUCAAGCUCACAAGCAAAUCUUUGAUUCCCACCAUCAAAACUUGAGAGAAAAGGCAACAAACUUCAAUUAGAGAGUGAAUAUACUGAUUUCUAAUCUUAAAGAGCAUUUAGUUCACGUUUGGCCGACAAUUCUAGGGUUUGUUAUUCUUAGAUCUUGCUUCUUGCCAGCUAGACAUCGCACUUGUGCUUGCCAACUUAUAUGGCAGCCUUGGGAGGUUUGUAACACUCAAAUUGUACCUAAUAAAUUACCCAUUACUUCAAGAGUUGGGUCUCUUGAUUUGAGAACGAGGUUAGGGCAAGCCUAAGUCUUUUCUGACUUUCUCAACAAUGUGGAAUUAGACAAGCCUUUGUGGCGAGCUGAACCACGAGAUAAAUCAAUGUCUUGCAUGCUUAUUUACUCUCUUGCAAGUUCUUAUUGUUGAAUUGGGGUUUGAGGUUGAUCUAAUUGCUCACUAUUGAUAUACUUGAUUUAGCUUUCGAUCUUUUAUAUAUAUAACUUCAGAAACGCUAGAAAUUUACUUUAUUUAUGUUUUGUAGGUGAUCUAUUAUCUAUAUAACUUCAGAAACGCUAGAAAUUUACUUUAUUUAAGUUUUGUAGGUUACUUUUUGAAUGCAGUUCAAACUUUCCUGCGUAGGCCGACAAUGACGCCGUAAUAGGCAAACAGUGCCACCCUCUGUUCUAACAGAGUUUCGAGUUGAAUUAUUACAGGCCUGUUCACCCCUCUAGGCCUCCAUCCUAGUCCAAGAGAUCCUACAAAACAUAAGAGUAACUAUCUUGAUCGGUGGGGGAAACUUCUAUAUAAUCAAGCUUCUCGUGCAAUCAUCGUGCAAUGAAACCAUGAAAAGUCAUAAAAAUCUUUAAAAUAUUAUAUGUACUUCGUUAAAUACCAAAAUUAAAGUCUUAAUUAAUCCUAUAUUAAGAUAUAUGAAAAAGAGAAAAUGUUUCGUUUUAAACCCUAUGUAUUGGCUAGAAUUUUUUGUUUUUAUAUCUUUUAACACAAAAUGAAUUAGAUAUUAGAAUUUAAUAUAUUGAUAGAGUAAAUAAUCAACUAUAUUUAUAAUGGUUUUAAUAAUUUUCAUAUUUUUUAGUAGUUUAAUUAUACAUCGACUACACGAGAAGCUUAUAUGUUUUAAUUUAUUGGUCGUUUUGGUAGUUCUAGAUACGUAACUUUUAUUUUAUAUAUAGACAUGUCAUAUAUCUAGGUGUGUAACGAGAAAGUAACCUAUCUAAAAAAUAAAUAAAAAAUAUAAUUCAGAAUAGACAGGGACGAUACUGUCUAAAGUACUAUGUCCUCGAGAUUAAGAACACAUACUACACAAGAAGAACAAGGCGUAAUUAUAUUUAAAUAGGGGUAUAAAGCUUUUGCAGUUAUCGAUAGAAGACCUCGGGAAAUAAAAUGGUACUAAUGGGUAAGGAGAAUGCUAGAAAGAAUUUAGUUGACCAAGGCAGAUCGGGACCAACGCUGGCUGAUCAUACUGCACUGCAGUACCCGUGCGCGGAAUAUUUUACAGAGGGUCAACGCCUCCUCUCACGACGGAUAGCGUAGGAGCUAGAGCUCUGCGUGCAUGCGUCCGGUCCGCCUCCCAUUGCAUUUUAUGCUUGCCAUCCACUGCUGUCCCGAGCUGAGAUUGUAAUGAUCGAUCAACCUUGGGACCUAACCUCUGAAUCGAUCUCCUCUACAAAAACCGGGCUGGGGGGCACGCACAUGGGUUUGGAUUCUCGAGAGAGAUCAGGGACGAACAAGCCUGGUGGCCCAUGAUCCAAGAAGCGAUGGCUGCAAUACUCAUGGCGACCAGCCGAUCAAUAGCGCCAGAUACCUCCCACUCACAGUAAUCGAUCGAUCCUGUCCUCACCCUCUGUGAAAGAAAAAAAACUAUUUUGUACUCUCAAAACAGUUUUUUCUCCCUUAACAUAACUCCAAUACCAGAAAUAGCUCCCGCAUCAUCUUUCAAAACUGCUCACUUAGUACAUGUUUGGGAACAAGGGGAAUAUACUUAACUAUUUAAUUUUGAAUAGUAAAAAAGAUUUUAGUCCCUCCAAUUCUCUUCAUUUCCCUAGCUCCCAAAUAAGCCCUUAACGUUAUCUAUGUUUUCCUAAUAGUUUUUAUUUUUUAUAUAUUUAUUUCAACCAAAUCUUUUAAAACCAUAAUAAGUAUAAAAAUCAUAAAAUGGAAAUUCUGAUUAUAUUGAACUCCACAUAAUUAGAUCUAUACAGUAAAUAUAGCCACUUGCACACUUCCUUGAUGUAUGACCAGUAGAUAACUUCAAAACUUUUCAAUAGGUUAACCAUGUUGUAUACAUCAACUAAGGUUUCAACCAAUUGCAAAGUACACUUUGCCUAGAAGGCUCUCCUCUUUUGCCAUGUGGAAUCAGGAGUACCCCGCAUGUCUUCCACACACCACUUCUUGGACGGAUUUGGCGUACCACGCCAUGCCACCAUUUGGUGUGUACCAUAACUAGUCUCUACCAUUUACUAUGCAGGCCACACCUAUAUUUGGCUCGUGGUUAUACGAUUUUCAUGGAUGGUUGCCCCUUAAAUCGGUCCUUAAGAUUCAUAUAAUUCAGGUGAUAAACACAAACAAGGAAACUACCGAUAACCUCAGACUAGCCUUGAGCAUGGGCCACCCGACUUAACCUGCCCAAAAAUUCUGAUCCCACCGACCUGACCAAUGCAACAGAUUGGCACAAGCUAUAGUUUUUGACCCACAAUAAUUCACGGGCCACCCAUGGGCCAUGAAUUUUGACACAAAUCCCAAUCCAACCCGAAAACCCUGACCUAACCCAAAAAACCUCCGACCCGACUCAUUCAACGACUCAUUCAACAAGAAGGCACGAAUCAACCCAGUCUGACCUAACACUAGGCACACGUCGGGUGUGGGCCAUACCAAACAACCCAUAGAUCGAACUUACCCGACCCGACCCGAGGUUUGAAGAGAUGUACUCCGGACAUAGUUUCCAAACUUAUGGUAUCCCCGACGUAGUUUUCGAGACUGUUAGUAAUACCGAACACAACCCUCACCUUAUCAUCCAAAAUAAACUAUGCAUGUUACAUAAGAAUCAAUUGGCUAAAUGAAGUAAUUAAUUAAUCAAAUCAAACUUUAUUCCAAAUAGAAGCAUGACUAAGCAAUUCUACCCAUAACAAAAAGAUAACAACAGUUACUAGGAAUUUUGUGGAACUUUCUAGUAAACCCUAUAGCUAGAUUCAAAUUCAUUAACUCAACUAUAUACUUUUGCAACCAAAACAUUUAUAAAAAUCAGAUCAACGCCAUCAAGGACACUCGCCUCCGUUCUGGUAUCGUUGCUCAAUGAAAUGUAAACCUUGUUCUUGAAUGUCUACGUAGCCAUCGUGAAACAUGUUCUCGUCUACGGCGAUCGAUCACACACGCCUACUACAUAAAAGAAAAACAACAAUUCAUAUAUUGAUAAAAUAAGUAAUAAGUAUAUCUAUAACUUGUUUUUGUAAUUUUUGUAGUUUAAUUACAUAGGAAUAUUAAUUGCACAUUAGUUUUUCUCGACAUAUUUCGCUUGUCACGAACGAACGAGAGCCACUACCGGAAAAGGCUCCGUUGUGACGACGAUUUUUCUUUGCCGAGCAUCUGGUGACACUAGACAAAGUCUUUGUCAAGUGCCCGAUAAAAAGUACUCGAUAAAGAAGCUGUUGUCGAUGUACAGUUCACCGAUCUUUCUUUGCCGUGUGUCACACUCGGCAGGACCGUGCCGACAAAAUCCGAGGCCCUGUAAAAAAGAUUUUAAAAUAAGACCUCUUUACUAGUCGAGGACGUUAGAUAUCAGUGAACAAAAUAUCGUAAAACUGCAGACAUGCGGGUUGUGGCUAAACUCAUGGCUCACGUCAUGGAAUAGAAGCAUACGUACAGACAGAUUAAUAAAGAAUUAGAGAUGUUUGAAUGCAUUAAAGCUAAUAGUUAUUUGACUGAAAAUUGUUAGUGAAAUUAGCUACCUAACUAUUAGUUAAUUUACUAAAAAGAGGUUAAUAGCUGAACUAUUAGCUAUACUAUUUUAAUGUAUUUACCUAAUUUUAACAGCUAACUGUUAGCUCUAGUGCAUUCAUACACCCCUAAUUAGCAAAGUGAUCCGACAUAAUGUUAACAUUUUUUUGAAUUUAAAUGUGGAGACAACGUGGAACCAAAACAACUUGUGCUUUCAUAUAGUACAAAAAUAGACUAUUAUAUAAAUGUACCGCAAAUUUACACGUUUGGAGGCCCUAAAUAUUUAGGGCCCCUGUUCCAGUGCAAAGCCCGCACACCCUCUGGCACGGGUCUGACACUCGGCAAAGCAUUUGCCGGGUGUUUUUAAACACUCGGCAAAACAGCUGAUUCCGGCAGUGAGCGCAACAACUUGUUUGUCAUGGAAUGAUUAUAGUUGAUGCUUGGUGCAAGAUCCCAACCGUUUGACUUGUUUCUUUCUAGUCGUGUGAGCCUGUCGUAGUUUGCAAGCGGGCCUUUGACCCAGAGAACUCGGGUGCCGUUUGGUUCCCAAAAUGUAACGUAAAUGGUAACAGUAACGGUUUGCAUUCGAUUACCAGUGGUAACAAGUUUGAAUAGACUGGUAUCAAUUUCUAGUGUGGUAUCCGAUUACGAUUUGACUUAAACAAACAUGAUUUAACGUUAUUUGUUACCGAUUACAUUACAAAUAUGUGAACCAAACAGCACCUCGGUUGCUUUAACUUACUGUUCAUAGCCGACAGCUGGAGACUAAUUUGAAAACCAGAGUCUAAAACUCUGCUGGUGGUAUUUUCGAAAUAAAUAUAAAUAAAUAAAACCAAGUAAUUAAUUAUUUUCUCAAACAACGAAAGAAUCAACAAAUAACUGUAGAGCAUGUAAAACCCUACUAUUUAAUAUGAGGUCUCUUAACUCUUGAGAGAUUUUAGAGGACUAAAUUAAAAAAAUAUAAGAGUGUUGUAUUAUAUAAAACCGAUCUAGGGGGUUAGGACUUAGGAUUGUACAUCAUGCAUAACAAAUAGCCAUGUGCCCACUAUCACCCAGAAUCCCAGAUCCUCAUCACAAAUGCAUGAACAGAAGCCGACGUUGCAUACAGCAGCCAUCGUUAUGGAGUAUCCGUAUGCCGUUGCUGCACCGCGGUCCAUGCAGUUCUAGCGUGCGAGGGUCCUAAAGGCUAAAGAUCCUCGUUGCGCCACAUGCUCCUGCUGAUGCGCCCGGUGAAGAUUCAGCCAGCGCUAUGCCUGGGCGGAAUGGCGGAUCAAGCGGUAAACUGUGGUCGUUGUGCAAAACUGCUGCUAAUAACGAGGACCGCCUGCCCCACCGACCGGCAACGGUGCAUGCGGCAUGCCACCAGCAGGCCGCGAUCAUGCACGGCGGAGACCGGAGGCUGGAGGGGGACGUCGUCACGCGACUCACGCCACCGCCUCCCCGCAUGUAUCGUCCUCCUCAUCCUCGCCUGGAUCCACCGCCGAGGCACCAUCGAAACACUCGGGGUUGUGUUUUGGUUAGAUGUACAUAGAAUGAUGAAAUUCAAGAGUGACUAUAGUUUCUAUAGUGUUUGAAUAAGAGUUACGUAGAGACGAGGUAAACACCAAAAUAGUUUUUGAUGGCGGCAUGAUACCAAUAAAUCGAGGGGACGAUGUUGUCCCGGCUCAUCUCACUUUAACUUAUUUUUCCAAGUUUAAUUUAGAACAACUCUAUAAAAUAAUUUAUUCAAGGACAGAGAGGGUGUGCCAUGAAGAACAGUAUAUAUGCAUACAGGCUUGCGUAGCAGCAGCCACAACGCUUCUACAGCACGCAGUUCCGACCAGUAUCAGGCAUAGUACGUGUUAUACGUAUGUUAUAUGGCCCAAUCGACAAAUGAGAUGCACUAUCAUGUAAUCUAAAUUUUUUUGACUAGCAAUCUAAUAUUUUUUUCAAAUAUAUUUUUUGCGGUCGCAACGCGCAGGAGCACGCACGAGUGAUUCACUAAUGCAUGACCGAGGUGACACGCCACCGCUGCCUCCGGUCCAGCCGUCGCCUUCGUCGGUCCGGGUCCAGAAGUGAGGUUGUGAUGAAUGAAGAUAAAACUAGAACAUUAGGCGCCCCUUCGGGCGCCCUACAGUGGACCGUAAGCUCGAGAAGACCAGGAAUCGCCCCUUCGUUCAGGAUGAGGUCCCUGUACCUGCUGCGGUCGCUCUCGCACAUUGUCAGGAGCGCUCCCACGGCGUGUUCUCUGCCCUGAAGGGAGCCCUCCUCAAGCACCUCUACGACGGCGAGCACUCCGCCUUCCUCGGAUGUCAAGGCCACCCGACACUGGUCAAAAGCGAGCAACGACUCGAGAAGAGCACAGCAUUUGUCGGCUGUUUUGGAGGACCUCUUGCCACCCUUCAGUAGCUCUAUUAAAGGGGGGAUCGGCUGGGCAGAAAGGAUAGCUUGAAGGUUGUCUGCGAUUGUGGAGAGGUUGUACAGGGCCAUCACAACAUCAUUCUUGGCUUGGGGAUUCCCUCCUUUGAGGACUUCCACAAGUAGAGGGAUUGCUCCUGAGGCACCUAUGACAGGCUUAGUGGUGGAUGAGGUUGAAAGUGUAAGGAGAGCAGCAGUGGCGUACUCCUGCAAAUUUGGAUCGCUUGAUCGCAAAUAACCAAGCAGGGGCUCAAGUGCACCAGCAUCCACUAUCUUGGUUUUAUUUCUGCAUAGAUGCAACAAACAAUAACUUAGGAACUAUUUGCAUCAUAAUUAGUCCACAACAAGCCAAAAUAUUCAUGCAAAGAUUACAAUACUCAUCAUACCAGGUCAGCUACUCCAGAUUGUACAGAAAUUUAAGGCUAUACAACGACAUAGUUCACUGAUGGCAUCCAAGUAUGAACUUAGGCCAAGAUCCAGACAAAGCCACAGUGACAAUACAUUUUACUGAAUUCCAAGUAUUAUACAACGAUGUUACUUCUUUCCAAAAAAUUAAAUCAAUGCACAAGACACUGCUGGCUUACAUCUUCAGUUGGUUUCUCUUUCGAAAUCACAACAUAUGAGAUUGUAAGAAAAUGUUCCUGAAUGUUCUCUACUUUUCAAUAAAAAAUAUAAAUCAACUGUUAUAUCUUUCAUAUUUCAGGAAAAUUUGUGCACGCAAACACUUUUUAAGAAUUAUCCCUUAGCAUUCUUGCACAGGGAAAAAGGAUCAGAAAACAAAUAUUUAUCAUUCAAUCUAAUAAUUUAUGUAAGAAAAAAAAUCAAACGAUUAUCUGUGUACUGGUACAUCAUGAAAACGAAACAAUACAUGGAGAAUGUCUAUUAUACACUAUGUACAUCUUUAUAUGUUAUCAUUACAUCUACAUACAAUCCGGAAGGGGGGGGUUAAGUGCCAUGCCUAUGCUAAAUCGUGGUGGGGGUAAAAUUUGGGCAAAAGAAAAAAAAGGUGUCACGACAACGCACAACGCUGGAAAGUGGUCUGACCACAAAUGUAAACAUGUAGAUUAUUAGACAUUGAAACCUGAGAAUGCUCUGACCACAAAUGUAAAUGUGGCAGGGAAGCGAAAUGGUUGAUCAGCAGCAAUCACCAAAAGAUCCUCUCCUACAAAAUUUAAUUCAAGUCAACAUAAUAAAAUUUGUAGAAUAAACCUGAGAAUGACAAUAGUGAAUGUUGUGCCGAUUACUAACUUCCAAUGACUGAAUUACAGAAAAAUUUUACAGUUAUGCACUAUUGUUACAUUAAUAUUCUGUGCAUUGGCUGUUAACGAUGCUAUAGAUAGGAAAAAAUCUAACCAUACCAAAUUCUGAGUUUCCAGUAGUCUACAGGUCAUGCCUACAGCCGCAACAGAAAAAAGGUAUCAAGUCAUCCCUGCACCGAAGAUAAAAAUAGUUAUAGCAGCAUCUUUCAAUGAAGCACUUAUAAGGAAUUUACUAACAUUAGAUCAUAGCAAGUUUCAGUUCAAGUGAUUUGUUUACACGAAGCUAAUAUACAAUAUGGUUACUUAACUUCAUUUUGGCUCUAUUAACAAUUAAUUAGGGAUGGAAAGCGAAUAAAACUGAAGCCAUCACAGCAACUGAUAUGAAAACAAAUAUUAUGCAUUCAAAAUAAUCACCACCAUGGCAAAAGGAGUAAACUAAUGAACCCAUCUCAUAGGAUCAUACACCAUUCAGGAAAAUGCAGCAGGCUUUUCAACCACACUUAGCUUCAUAUUUUGGCACGUACCAAAAAGGAUCCUUUUGGAGCCAAAGAAGGCGUUGUUGCAGCUAUUACCUUCGUUCCUAAAAGACUGUCAUUCUGGCUAUGCACCUCUCUAAGGAACAGAGGUAGUGGCUGAUAUAACAGCAUGUAACUAAAUUACAUGGUACCGUGCAACGGCAAAUAAGCCGAGUAUAUCUCAAUUUUACCGCCUUCCAGCUUAUAACUGGUCUUCCAAAUUAUAACCGGUCAUUGAGGAUUUCAUAAUCCAAAGGGAAAAAAUUAUAUGACAAAGAAAACAUAACAAGCAUAAGAUUGCUCAGUCAAAUACUUCAAGAAAUUUCAUGUCAGAUCUGUUUGAUAUUUGAACAGGAAAAAUUCUAUCAUAACAGGAAUCGUGAUGUCAAUUGUCAACAACAAGAGGUAACCAGAACAUCGACUGGCGAGUGCAGCAGGAGAAAUGCAAGCCUGGCAUAGUUUUAGUUUCUACUUGAGUUGGGUCAUGGUGGAGCAUAUUCUCUUAGCCGAAUGUAUUCUUGCUCUCUGACAGUCAUCUGAGUCACUAAGGAGCAGAACAUCGGCUGGCGGGCGCAGAAGCAGGAGAAACAUAAGCCUGACAUAGUCGAUACACCUGCUCAACUUGCUUCUGAUUAAAGGGCUUUGUUGUUGCCUAUUAAUUGAUGAGAUUAUGCUCUAUAUAUCUGUAAUUCAGUAGACCUAUAAUAGCUGAUUGAUGGAGAGUACAGGUUCGGUUCGACCUUCUUGAUCUAAUAAUUUGAGUGUUUAUUUUUUCCCUUGAUCUACUAUUACUGCUAUUGUGGUUACAAUAAUGCCCUCUUACUUUUCUUAUCCUCUUUUUUUGGUGAGCCUUGUUGGGUUUCAUUAGUAGCCAAUCCCAAGUUUUUUUUGGGACUAAUAGGCUUUGUUGUUGCUGUUGUUCGUGUACAGGGGGCAGAGUUCAGGAUGCUUGGACAAUGCGGGAGCAGCUGGAACACUUUAUGAAGCAGUACCUAAGAGUAUUACUGUUAGCAACAAUAACUUGAGCACACAAACGGAUACAGUUUUUCUAGACCCCCCAUAUGAGCCACUCUGGACAAAUGUUUUUGUCAGAAAUUGUGCCAAAGUUUCUCUUCCCUUACAGUGGAGCCGUAUUCAGGUUUGAGGCUGAAAGCAUUAUCUCUAUUGAUAGUACAUCCAUACAAUUUUGGUUCAAGCAUUGCACUUAUGUUUUGCUUUACCGUAGAUGAACUCACAGAAAAGUCACAAACAUGUUUGUUCAGGAAGAUAUUAGCUUUGUUUGGCUUUAUGUGUUUCUUACAUAGAUAGGGGGAGUGCUGGUGUCCUAUGGCUUUUCUGUACUUUUUGUAACAUUUUAUGCCAUAUGCAUACAUAGAUCCUUCAGUCACAAAUAAUUGGUGUGCUGGGCAUGAACAUUGUCCCGCAAAACCCCUAACUGUGACCAUUGUUUGUUACUGAAAUAUAUGUUUAAAACAAAACAAAAGAACGAGACUGAAAGUCUUUCUUGAGGCUUUCUACAAAAUAUAUAAUAUAAAUACCUUUUCAAUUGACAGAUCUAAAUACAUACACACUCACACACAUAUUAUUUCACUAAAAGUUUCCUCAAUUCUACUAUCAUUUUCUUAAAUGCUUCCUAUUUCAGGCUCAAGGACAGAUUCUUUUAGCUGGUGGUACUCUAACUUUUGGCCUGACACAUUAUCCAUAUUCAGAAUUUGAGCUGUUGGCUGAGGAACUUCUUAUGAGUGAUUCCACAAUCAAGGUACUUUUUUGGCAUUGGGAGACACCAUAGUAUCUGGGGGGACAAUGAUUUUUAAAGCAAGCUCAUAAUAACAUUUUUCUCAAACGGGUAGGGGAGCUGCGUAUUUUUAUAUUAGAGGAAAAAGGGGGAGAAAGCCCAUACAAGGCAACCAUUACCUCAUCUACGAAGUAAGAACAGGUUGCAAACAAACCUAAUUAAUGGCCAAAUCAUUUUUAGCUUUCAUAGGGUGGUUUAAAUGCAAUUAUUAACUUUUCUGGCAGUUUCUGGCAUUGAAACAAACCGAGAACAGUAAAAAAACCUUGAAAACACUGUACUUUUUUGAGCUCAUUGAUAUGCAGCAUCAGUAUUCAACUUGGCAUGAUGAAAAAGGCAAAAAAGCCGCUAUGAAUGACCAAAUAAACAUAAUAUUGCAAGGAAAAUCUCGGUAUAAAGAACAAAUGCAUAUUGUUAUCCAGAACAGACCCCAUAAAAAUAUUGGUAACAGGCCAGUUGUAGAAUAGACUAACACAUCUGCAUCUGCCUGGCUUGCAAUAAACAUACCUCCAUAGCUACCUCCUUAUCUUUUUCCUUUAUUCUGUAAGCAACUCCCCACUAAAAGAUGUAAAAUAGACGGAUUAACUCGCAAAAUCAACCACAUCAACUGCGCAGCGGAUCGUUAGGCUCACAAAACACAGAUGUAGAUGAUAACAUGACGGAAGGGGAGUAACAUCAAGUCAUCAACCCUGAAAUUAUUAACCAUCCUUGUAUUCAGGCUGUCAUAGCAGUUACAUUGACAGAGUAGGAGGGUGGACAUGUGAAAGGGCGUACGCAAGUCGCUCCGAGCUGGUGCUCGAGCGUGACGGUCCUCCCGGGGAACUGCGGCGUGCCCCUGUGUUCCAUACUCCCUGUCCACCCACCGCUGAAGGAAAAAUAAUUUGAGGGCGUGACCGUGAAGACGGACGGAUUGCACCCACAAGCAGGUAAGCAGUGUGGAGGUUACCUUGGUACAAGACGUGGUGGUAGUCCCGACGAAGCCGACGACGCAGGCGUCGUGGGUGAUGCCUGGGUUCCAGAUCAACGAGCAGUACUCGAACACCCAGAUCUGAGACAUGGUCACUGCGUCUCCUCCCCUGUCUCCCGGCGUCACCUUCCCUCUGGUCCCUUUAUGGGGGCAUCAGCUACAUGCUUGCUCCUCUUGUUGGUGCGAGCACGAGUAGAAGAAGGCAGCAAGAAGACAGGCAGGCGAAGCCGCGCAAUCGCCGCCUCCAGAUCCUCUGCCACCUUGCCCCCAGAUUCAUGGUAGCCGGCGCGGGCACCGGAGCCUCCAUCUCUGUCGCGCACUCAGCCGCCCUUGACCGGCGUGUGCUCCCCCUGCGGCGGGCUAGAAGAGACCAGAAGGGGCAGGGGAGCAGCAGAUACAGAAGUCAGGCAGACGACGGCGUGUGAGGAGAUAGCGGAAGGGAGGACAAUCAAAGCUGAUAAACAAUUUGUAUCUAGAAACUUCACGUCCGUGAUAGAGAAAAUCUCGCUCGCGUCCGUGGUGCGUGGACGUGUCGGUAUACGUGAGGACGUCGUACCCGGGAACGCGGAGGGAGCCCCAAACCCCAGCGCCUUUUAACUAGAAGUAAUAAGGGGACAAAAUGAGAGAGAGGGCGAUGCGAGUAUUUAUACAGGUUCUAAAAACGUAUUUAUAUGGUUGCUGUUUUUACGGAUCUGACUGUUGCCAAUCUUGGAAUUGUGUGGGUUAAUGGGCUCUAGUUAGGUAAGCGCCCACCUUUAUCGCUGGAACAAAGUCCAAGCCCGCUUUAGGGUGAAGCGGGCUUAGUCCUCCACUUCGAACUGCAGCAAGCGUGCAGAUCUGCUUCUGUCCGGUAAAUCACACAGACCGAUUCGUCAGCCUGCUAGGGGUCAAAUAGGUAAGCGGGCCAAAACAGAACAGAAUUUAUGUGUCGCUUUGAUUCGGCUUUCAAGGGUCCCGGCUUCCGUUUAGGCAGCAUAUCAUACAUUUAUAUAGUAGUGCGAAACACUAUAUAGUGUAGAUAAUAUUGCUUAUAAAGUCUAAAAAGUCUAAAAUAAGAAGUAAGACAAAUAUAAAAUAAGAGAGCUACUAGAGAUAACCUUAUGGUCCUACUAGUAUAACACCUAGCUAGUGCCACAGUGACGAGAUCCCACCCACGAUUAGACUAUCUCUAUCAGCUUAUCUAUUCUCAUACUCACAUUAAAACUUUACUCUACGCAGAACAAAACAGUGCAAUACACUAGCGGUUGAGCUAAGAAAACACUGGCGGUCGAGGUAAUAAAACCAUAGGUGAAAAUAUUUUCCAAGAACAUAAAAAUGUGUUUUAAAAAUAGCAAUAAAAAUAUUAGGAGGAAGGCCCCAGUGCCCACCUACCCGCCCGUCUCUAUCGAAGUCGUAAGUCACAAGUCGCGGCAUUUUUCACGCAAAAAUACGCGGUCGAUGGGAAUCAAACGGACGACCUUCCCCUCAUGUGUAACCUCCUCUAGUACUCCGCUUAUCACUACUUAAUAUCUAUGUUGUAGUUUUGUUGCCCACCUAUUAUAACCAAUGGAGUGUAAUUGAUUGUUUGAGGUUGUAAACGAAUUAAAAUGAGAAAGUUGUUAACUAUAAAGUUUCAUAACUUUUGAAGUUCUACAACUUUUGUUUUGACACUUUCCCAUCCAAGGUUGUUUGUAAAAUUUAUAUUUUAAAUUUGACAAAUUUAGAUGCAAUUUUUGAGAGCUGAAAUGAUUUCAAAUAAAAAGUUGUCAACUAUAAAAUUUCAUAUCUUUUAGAGGUCUACAACUCACAAUUUUUGAGAGCUGAAAUGAUUUCAAAUAAAAAAGUUGUCAACUAUAGAAUUUCAUAACUUUUAGAGGUCUACAACUCUUAUAUUGGUGUUUUUUUUUCAUACGGGUCAUUUAAAAAAAAUCAGGAUAAAAAUGAUUUUGAGUGGCGGUUUUUUAAGAAAUCACUAAUAGAAAUAGCAUUGUCGUUUGAUAACUGAAAUCGCCUGUAAAAAUUAAGCCCCACCACAUGCUUUGAUUUCUUUUCUACCAGUGGUUUAUAGGUGAUUGGUUAAAUUAAGUGAGACGGGUUGGUUAAAAAAAUAUAAUGACGGUGGAAUUAUGGAAACUAGUACUUUAUAUUAUCUAGAAGUUCUAUAUUUUUAUCUGACUUUUUUAUAUUUAACAUGCUACGAAAAUUGUGGAUAGUUUUCCUCUUGAGCCCCGCUUUCUAGUUAACCAAUGAACCACUCUUUAACCACUCUUUGAGAUUGCAUGUCAUCGAUGAACCACUCUUUAACAUUGCAUGUCACCGGGAGAACCCCUUACAUCAAACUCAAAACUUUAAUCUUGAGCGGAUCGUGUAAAAUAGGGGAUGUAAAACUAUAGAUGACACUAUUUAAUAUUGUUUAUAGAGUGAAGUUUGAAAUCGGAGAUGGAAUAGAAGUGAAAUAGAGGAUCCGUUGGAAAUGAUCUAAAUCCUAAACUUUAACCUCACUGUUACUGAAGCAAUCCACCAGAUAGAAGACAUUGGAGAAGAGGAAGAGGUAGACUAGAAAAAUUCAUGUGUGGUAGGCUAGGGAUAGAAUUUCACGGGACACAAACACACCGUAUUGUUGUUGAAAAAAAUGAUACGAAAGCAACUAGGGGUAUUUGAAUGCACGUAGUUGAUAAAAAAUUGCUAGUGAAAUUAGCUAGCUAGCUGUUAACAAAUUUGCUAAAAGUAGUUAAGACUGUCUUCAGUAGACCGUGUAGAAUAGAGGACGCGACACUAUAGACGACACCGUUUGACGAGUGAAGUUUAAAAUACAGAAUGAGAGAAGAGGAUAUAUAUGAUAUGGGCGGGCGGAGACGAUCUAAUAGCUAAAUUAUAUUUAGACUAUUUAGAUAUAUUUAGCUAAUUUUAAUAACUAAAUAUUAACUCUAGCACAUUCAACCAGUUUGCACAACAUCAAACACCGACGUGUACCAGCACCGCCCGUCGUGACAGUGACUCACAGUGAAAGCUACCCAUAGAAAGGUUUAGCUUUUAGUCGAGUUUUAUUAUCUGCAUGUUGAGCUGCGAGUUCUUCACAUGCUCGAACUCGGUGAUGGUGAAAGCUAUCAAUCCAGGUCAACGCCGCGUGCGUCCCCACAUGAGCGUUGAAAAAAGGCAAAUUCCCCAUGCAAUUUCCUAAACGAAUCAAUACUGCUGUGUACGUACGAGUAAGAAUAAAAGGAGGAAGGAAUAACGCACAAAAAAAAAGCCGAAAAAGUAAACGGUGAUGUCGGCGUUCGACACGAGCACUACACGAUCGAUGAACCGAUGAUCCACAGGGAAAUAUGGAAUCCUUCUCUGUGUUUGCACCCCCCCGGAAUUUAAGAAAAAAAGGUCAACUCGAUAGAAUAACAGUCGUCCCCACACCAUCCCUCUUGCCCACCACACAAAAAUUGGGCUAAACAAUUUUUACUCGAUAGUAUUAUUCUUGCUUUGCGAUUCAAACAGUUCUUUAUCGAUCCUUGUGUACGAAUAGUGUAUCGUUGACAUCCGGCAUGCAUGUUUACUUUAUAAUUAAGUGGAUCUAAAGUGCACGAACGGCUGGACGAGGUAAGUUGCGUAGGUAACUUCCAACGAUACCAUGUUGGUAAUACAUGGUACGUGCACAUGACCCGGCCAGAGGGUGGGGUUGGGCCUUGGGAGCUUAAUUAGAUCACACGGCUUAUAGUCUGAUGAAGUGCUGAGAUACAACUACUAAAUCACUACUCUAGAUUUGGGAGGAAUUAAACCAUGCAUGGAGCAAACCAAGAUGGACCCAACAACUAGGCAAGUUGACCUAAAUUUUGUAAUGUGCCUGUAAGAUUCUUAACACUAGAUUUCUUUUAUCAUAACCAAAUAGUUUGUGCCUACGUGUCUACGUGGCCCAACAUUCAUUUCUAGCGUAGCUAGAAUUGAUCACAUCAUGCCAACCUUUUUCGAGGACCAACUAUUUGUAUUUUUUUUGUUGGCGAAAGCUAAAAAAAAGAAAGCACACAUCACUAUUACAGAAUUCAUUUUGGGUCGACCAAAAAUGACUUUCAGAGACGGACAACACACCAGCCUAGCUAACCUUCGGUGUUAAUCCAUAAUUUCAGAGACGAUCUCUUUGUGCUCUUUGUUGGGGUCGAGAACAAUAGACCCAAGCACUCGGAUAUAUGGAUGUCAGGUGACACGAUAAAACGGAUGGUUGAGGGCUCAAAUGUCUUGUCAAUCGUGUCACGUCUAGCUAUAGGAUGGAGGCAUUUAUAGAACAAUCGGGGGUUGGUGGCCUAAAAUACAUCCAUACCCUAGUUAUCUACUACAUUCCUAGAAUAUACUGCACAACGAGAUAAUUACAGAACAAUAAGCCUUUCAUCCUAUUUACACUAGAUUUCUACCUUACAGAGAGGUUGACAGGUGGGGCCAUCGCUUUCCAAUUGGCAACGGGCCCUCCCAUGUUGGGUUGUAGGGGUUGUCUCCGCUGUCUGGAGUAGCAAGGUCGUCGGACUCUUCGUCAUGACUUUACAGAAUUCAUUUUGGGUCGACCAAAAAUGACUUUCAGAGACGGACAGCACACCAGCCUAGCUAACCUUCAGUGUUAAUCCAUAAUUUCAGAGACGAUCUUUGUGCUCUUUGUUGGGAUCGAGAAUAAUAGACCUAAACACUCGGAGGUGACACGACAAAACGGAUGGUUGAGAGCUCAAAUGUCUUUAUCUCGUCCAGCUAUAGGACAAGGGCAUUUACAGGGCAAUCGGGGGUUGAUCGCCUAAAAUACGUCCAUACUCUAGUUAUCUACUACAUUCCUAGAAUAUACUGCACAACGAGAUAAUUACAGAACAAUAAGCCUUCCAUCCUAUUUACACUAGAUUUCUACCUUACAGAGAGGUUGACAGGUGGGGCCAUCGUUGCCUAGUUGGGAACGGGCUCUCCCCUGCCGGGUCGUAGGUGUCGUCACCGCUGUCUGGAGUAGCGAGGUCGUUGGACUCUUCGUCGAGAGUCGAUGUGGGGCCUUAGUUUACUGGUGUGGACUUGCCCGUCGUCUUUGCCUUGGGCCUUCCCUCUUCUGUAACGGCAUCUCCGCUACAUACGUGGAGGGAGACUUCGCCCCUACUGAAAGCUAAGCCCCCACCCCCGCGUCUGCCUUUGUUUUCCCUUGGCUUGUUACCUUGCAUCAGAAAUUUUGACAAUUGGUGAAAAUGAAGGGUGCUCGAGGGCUGGUUCCGUCUUCGCUCCAACACUCUUCUUUGGAAAAUAGUUUUUUUAAAAGGCAUGGACUCAUCAACGAGUCCAUCACAAAGCCCACUUUGAAGUCCAUACCCGGUUGAAUCCGAGUGUCACCGUCACCACAUCGACACAUUGCCGAGUCUGCCAUAUUCCCACUAUGAUCAUUGUGAACGCUGAGCUCGCCAUGGAGGCCGUGAACCCAUGGUGGCUGCCAUCAACCCGCUCUGAUUUGUAAGAGGGAGAGUGAGCGAGGUUGUCUCCAGCAGAUCGUGUAUAUGCUUGCACAAAAUAUUGUUUUGCACUAUAGACUACACUGCUCACAGAGUGAAGUUUGAAAUAGUGGAUGACAUAUGAGAUAGAAUGAGUAAGCUACAGAAGUUUGAGCAAGACAUAUUUAGGAGAUGGGAGGGAGAGAGAAUGAGGGGCUUUACCCAUGCCACAUCCUCGGUUCGUCAAGCAAGAUUUGGUGCAAAAACCACCACCAUUGUGUUCAUAGCUCAUCGGGUCUAGGGACUAGCACGUCGGAGAAGGGAGGGCGAUCGCCGAAGGGAGACAGUCUUGUGCACGCUGUUGGAAGGGGCUAAGCUCUGGCGAGAGCUAGUGUGGCAAAGAGUUCAUGAGGAGAGCAAAGUUGAAAUGACUUUGUGUUUGGUGAGAUAGAAGUGAGAGAUGAAGAAAAAUAUCUAAGGGUUUGUUUGGUUCGAAGGGAAGGGGAUUGAUGGGAUUUGUUCCUCAACCCUCUUCGAUCCCCUUUAAUCCUGUUUUAACCAAACAAGCUCUAAGUGUUGCAUAUAUGUAAGGGGAAGAUUAUGGUUAGGUUGAGCUCGAUCUAUUUUUAGAGAUAGGACUCUUAAAAAAUUAUCUUUUAAAAUUGUCUCACUUUUGAGACUGACCUCUUAAUUAAUCGAUUUUCGCAUUUACACUAAUCAAUACAUCUAUCUGCUAAAAUUGUUUUUAUGGCAGUCAUGUAUUUGCACACUUCAUCCUUUAUUUUAUGGCUAAGGUUAACUCGUUUUGUUCAUAUUUGAGUUCCAAUUAAAAUGUAAGCCUUCUAAUCAUUUUUGUUUUCAUGGAAAACUUCAUUACACAGAAAUUGAGGCCAAUUCUUCUCCCCCCAGAUCAUGGAUAUAAUUUGGAAUACUGUCCAAGACUAAGACAGUGCUCAUUCAAAACUAGUUUCAGAGAUAAAGAUAGAUCGUAGGCAUCCAGCGAGCCAUAUUCCAUAGCCCAUAGAUAGAGGGAAGCCAACGAAAGAUUCAGAAGCCAGAAGGUGAUCACUAAAAAAAAUCUGAGCAAUGACACGCAUAAACAGAUCAGAUGUCCAGAUCGGUCAGGUGAACGGUUAAACAAUUAACAGAAAUCUGUAGGUCAAGCAGGGACACCCGGCACCAGAUACCCUGCCUCAUAUCCAAGCUGCGGGCAGGGUGCGCACAUCUCUAGGGCUAGAACAUGGCAGUGUUUCAGAGACCUGAAUAAUAAACAAAAGCGUUAACAGAGGCGCGCCAGCGAGCCAAUUGCUACUGUGCCUGGCUUUCUCGGCAUUGUUAAUCGUCGACGUUGCCCAGGUCAACCGUUGAGCCUCCCCACUCGUCCAAUAAUCCAUCCCCACGAAGCUGCGGCGCCUCUAGCGAAUGGACGCCUCGACUUGUGCUUAUUUGCGCUAUGAGAGCCCCCCCCCCCCCCCCCCCCCCCCCCCUGAUGGUUGACUUUCCAACAAGAUUGGAACGAGGUUAGCGGAUCAUCGGUUAAACGCCACAGAUGGCACCGGCAAACUGUGUUAGAUGUACUUUGGACAGGAUAAAAAAUCAUCGAUUUUUAUGAUAUAAAAUAAAUAUGUUACAAAAUACAUUUGUAUAAUGAAUUAGUUUGGAACCUUAAAUAUGAAUACUAUUCACUAAGAACUUAGUUAAAUAUGAACCACUUUACCUGCCACGUAAUUCAUAGUAGUUACAAUUUUUUUACAAAAGAGUAUUGUUUUAAAGUUAUAUACACCAAAUAUAUAGAGAAAUAAGGCCGACGUGAGAUUUUGAUUGUAAUAAUGAUGUUCAGCACAAAUUUAGUAUUAUAAUAAUAAUGGGAUUGGCUUGCAAAUAAGAAAAUAAUUGAAACUUAAAACAAUACGUGAACGAACCAGGAUGUUGGAAGGUGUUCAACUUAGACAGCUCUAACCUCUCCAUUAUGCAAAACAAGUACAAUGCCGUAUGCUUAGGUUUCUUGGUAGUAGACGUAUUCAGCGAACUACCUAGACUACUGUGCGAGUCAAAGCAUCUGAUGAACAAGAAGUCAGAGCAUGCAUCCUUCACACAUUUCACUACCUCUAUUUGUGCACCAAAGUCAGCCUGUCGUUAUAGGAGAACGAAAGACUAGCAGGCCUUAAUUUGCAGUGUCCUAAGGGUCUAAACUGGAAGAGCACCAGACUGAUGUGACGCAUGUGAGCACCACGGAUACGAGACGGGAUCCCCGGCCUCGCGCCUUUAACUAACCGACGACAACCGCCCGUGCCACCGCAACGCGCGCUCACCGUCCUCCUCUUCUCCCCGCUAAAGUUUCAAGUGUCAACGCUCCGGCAGUCCACCACCGCCACCCACAGGCCACAGCACCUUAUAAAGCUUCCUUCAGUCUCAAACCUUCUCUUCAAACCCGAUCGGGGACAAUGGCGAGCGCGCCCGGCGAGGUGCCGUCCCACUUCCUCUGCCCCAUCUCGCUGCAGCUCAUGCGGGAACCCGUCACGUUGCCCACCGGCAUCUCCUACGACCGCGCCGCCAUCUCCCGCUGGCUGGCCACGCCUGCGCCGGCCGGCGGCCGCACCUGCCCGGUCACGCGCGUGCCGCUCCCGCCGCAGCCCCAGCUCACUCCCAACCACACCCUCCGCCGUCUCAUCCACGCCUGGCUCGCGUCCCUCUCCCCCGAGGCGGAGGUCAACGAGGACGUGGCCGCGCUGCGGGGGCCCGUGCCCGGCGCGGAGGUGGUCGUCGCGCUGCUGUCCGACGCCGCCGGGGCUCAGGUUGAGGCGCUCAAGAGGCUGCGGGAGCUGGUGGCCGAGUGCGAGGACAGCAGGGCGGUUCUCGAGUCCCAGGACGGGGUGUUCGACGCCUUGUCCCGCGUCGUGAGCAGUGCCGACGCGUGCUCGACGGCGCGCGAGGAGGCGGUCGGGCUGCUCGCGUCGCUCCGGAUCCCGGAGCCGGAGCUGGCCGGCGUCGUGGCCAGGCACAGCAACCUGGGGGAUGCACUCACGGCCGUCCUCCGCUCGUCGAAUCUGAAGUCGCGCGCGAACGCCGCUCUGCUCGUUAGGUCCCUCUCGGAAGCGGCGUGGCCGGCCUGGGUCAUCGGGCUGAGCCAGGAGCUUCUAGCGGAGGUUGUCCGCGUGGUCCGCGACCGUGUCUCCACGCAGGCGACCAAGGCAGCACUGCACGCCCUCGCGGCGCUCUGCCCCUACGGCCUGACCCGCGUCAAGAUCGUGGGCGUGGGCGCGGUGCCGGCGAUCGUGGACCUCCUGCUCGACGACCCCGAGAGGCGUGUCAACGAGCUCGCGCUUGUGGCGCUGGACCGGUUGUGUACGUGCGCCGAGGGCCGCGCUGAGCUGGUCGCGCACGCGGCGGGGCUGGCCGUGGUGGGCAAGAAGGCGCUGCGGGUGUCGGAGACCGCGAGCGAGCGGGCGGUGCGCGUGCUGCGCUCCGUGGCGCGUCACGCGGCCACGCCUGCCGUGCUGCAGGAGAUGGUGGAGUCCGGCGUCGUGGCCAAGCUCUGCGCGGCGCUGUGGUCCCAGCAGUGCGGGUUGAGGACCAAGCAGAAGGCGCAUGAGGUGCUCAAGCUGCACUCCAGGACCUGGAGGAGCUCGCCCUGCCUAUCUCCAAAAUUUUUGGGGCUCUACCCAUCAUGAGGUGCUCUGUGCAAUUUGACCGAUCCGGAUUUUAGGGUUAAAUCGAUUAAGGUUGAACCCUAACUCGUUCUGCGUUUCUGUUACUUUUCUUGACUUUGUUCUUGGUCGUGGAUCGUUGGUUCCCGAGCCAUUGUGAUAUCUGUUGACCCAGAUAAAACCGAUUAGGGUUAGGUUACUAAAACCCUAACCCUAAAACGUUGAUCUGUUUUUACUAUCUUGGAUUCCAUGGCAUUGACCGAGACCAAGUCUCUGACAGUGGCAAAAAAAAAACUAGAUUUAUGGUUAGGUUAAAACCCUAACUCGAGAGAAACAACCUCUUUCUAUCUAUUCUUUCUGGAUCUAAUCUGUCUGUUCUCGAAAAAAAAAGAGUUCAAUCAUAUUGAACCGAGACCUUUCUAUUCUUUCUGGAUCUAAUCUGUCUGUUCUCGAAAAAAAGAGUUCAAUCAUAUUGAACCGAGACCUUUCUGUGAUCUCCCGAUGCGGAUUAGGAGUUCUAAGGUUCUUAGGACUGCCUCUGAUACCAUUGUUAGAAUCUAUACUGUCUAGGAUCGAUUCCUAAGUCCCUAGAAUACCAAUCCGUAACUGAGUAAAACCUUGAUGACGUGUAGAUCUGAUCUACUGAUCUACUAAGAGGAACGAGGAACACACCUUGUUGUUGCUGUUGCUAUCUUCAUACCGUCGCCUUGCAGAGAAGCAGCAGGCAUCGGGAUCCGAGCCGCCGUAGGUUGUCGCGUUUCCAAACACUCCGACGCCUAGGCGAUGGGGGCCUCUGUGGACUAGGGUUUUGGGGUGAGGUAGUAGCGUUAGUUUUUCCUGCGACCCCUUAGUCCUAUAUAUAGCGUCGUGUGUCUGGGGGCUCCAACCGAGGUUAGCGUGGGCCCUCCCGAUCAAGGGCCCGAUUAAAGGAACGAUAGUUGGGUUAAGCCCAAUCCAGUCUCUAUUGACCGGCUGUAGAGGACACACCCAACAAUCUCCCCUUUGUUCUCUACAUUCCUUGUACUCAACUUUUCUGGAUUCCAUCCCUCGACAAGUUUACACAUAGAGACCAAUGCGUGACGAUAACCGAUUAAGUAUCAUCGCACUCAUUGACUACAACAUGCUUGCCUGUUUUAGAACGAAAAGAGACUUUAUUUGGUUGCAAUCUGUAGCCCCUUUGAUUCAAGAUCAUAGGUACUCCCUUAAACCCAUGCCGGCUGCGUGCUUACUAAACACGCUGGGUGGAAGACCUUUUGUGAGCGGAUCCGCUAGCAUCUGCUAUCUUCUGUUAUGCUCAUCUUUUAUGGUUUGAUCCUGAAUCUACUCCUUAACAACAUAAUACUAAAAGUCAAUGAACUUGGCAGCGCCACAUGACUUGUUGUUAUAGGAGUACGGUACCGCUGGCUCAUUAUCGCAGUAAAUUCUCAGUGGUCGCUCUAUGCUAUCAACCACUCUUAAUCCGGGUACAAAUUUCUUUAUCUUUAUUGCCUGCCCAUUUGCCUCAUGCAUGGUUACAAACUCAGUGUGCAUUGUCGACGAUGCUCUCGCUGUCUGUUUGCAACUUUUAUAAGAAAUAACUCCCCCAGAUAUAGUAAAUUUAUACCUCAAAAUAGGGAACUAGAUCUUCUGUUUGUUAGCAUGAGGCCAUUUUCGUACCUUGGAGGUACAUUAGAGCCUUCUUAACUGCCUAACAGUGUUCUAUGCUUGGGUUGAUCUGAUAUCUCCCAAGCAUCCCGGUAGUGAAUUCUAAGUCAGGGCGAAUAUAUAUUUGAGCAUACAAAAUGCUUCUGAUAGUAGAAGCAUAUGGUACUGACUUUAUCUGAUCUUUCUGACACUGGAUCUGGGGACACUGAUGAUUCCCAAAAUUAUCACCCUUGACUUUUGGCGCAGGCGCGGCCUUACACUGAUGCAUACUGUACUUCUUUAGUACUUUUCUAUGUAUGACUUCUGUGAGAGUUCUAAUACUUUAUUAUGUCUAUCUCUGUGAAAUUCUAUUUUAAAACGUAAGAGGCUUCUCCUAUGUUUUUUUUAUAUCGAAGUUCGAGGAACGAAAACUUUCUGUUUCCGCUAGUAGAUCUUUAUCACUACUAGCUAAAAAAUAUGCCAUCGACAUACAGAACAAGGAAGAUAUACUUUCCUUAGACUUCGCAUAAAUGCAAUUGUCUUCCUCGUUUUCCUCGAAACCAAAACUUUCUGAUAGUCUGAUCAGAUUUGAUGUACCACUGUCUGGAGAAAUGUUUUAAUCCCUAAAUGGACCUCCAUAAGUGACAUCCCUUGAUUUUCUUUUACUGCUCAUGACAAAACCCUUUGGUUGUGCCAUGAACACGUUUUCUGUUAACACUCCAUUUAGUGAUGUUGUCAUUACAUUCAUCUUAUGGAGCUCUAGAUCAAAUGAGCCACUAGUGCCAUAAUGAUCCGAAAUUAAUCUUUUGUUAGGACAAGUGAGAAGGUUUCAUGGUAGUCAAUGCCUUCUCACUGUGUGAACGCCUUGGCCACAUGUCCUUGUCUCUUUCUAUAUUCCCUUUGGAGUCACGCUUGGUCUUCUAGACCCACUAAUUUGCGCUUCUCAUAGCUAUUUCAUAUGUAGUGGGAUCACCUUCUGCAUCGAUGUCCUCACACAUAUAAAUAUCAUCACUUUCUAUGUCUACACUUGUGUAAACUCUAUAAUCAUCAGGAAUCGCAGAUCGUCUAGACCUUUGAGACCUUCAUAAACUUUGUUUCUAGUUCUGGUUCGUUCUGGGGCUCCUGCAUUAGUGCAUCACUUGGCGUGACACUACUACUGUCAUGUGAACUCUCCUGUGCAACCGACUCAGAAGAGCCAGAAUGUGCAGAAGGUGUAGUGACUUGCUCUGUAGUAGUUGCACUUGGUGAUACAAUAUUUGCAGCAAGGGUUUCACCUCGAGUCGUUACAACCGUUGGUGGAACCACAGCGGGUAUCGAGAAGUAUGGUUCUUCAACCAUCGGAAUCGGGACAUACGUCCUCUUUCCUGAAGGUCAACCUCUCUGAGUACCUUACUCCCCUUGAUCAUGUCAUCUUCUAGGAAAAUGGCAUGUCUGGUUUCUAUAAACUUGGUUUGUCUGCCUGGGCAGUAGAAUCUGUAACACUUCGAUCUCUCAGGAUAGCCAAUAAAAUGGUAGCUAGUGGUUCUCUCAUCUAGCUUUUCCUGCCCAGGAUUAAAUAUUCUAGCUUCUGUUGGACAACCCAUAUGUGGAAGUAGUUGAGCGUGAGCUUUCUGCCAGUUCACAACUCAUAUGGAGUUUUAGCCACUGAUUUACUAGGAACUCUGUUGAGUAUAUGCAUAGCGGUUUUUAAAGCCUCCAUCCAUAGACCCAAUGGCAGGUUAGAGUAACUUAGCAUACUCCUUACCAUAUCCAUUAGCGUUCUGUUACGCCUUUUGGCAACCCCAUUCUGUUGUGGUUCGCCAGGUGUUGAAUAUUGAGCAACAAUACCGUUUUCUCUUAGGAACCUCGCGAAAGGUCCUGGGACCUGGCCAUACUCGGUAUGGCGCCCAUAGUACUCCCCCCACGAUCUGAUCGAACAAUCUUUAUCUUCAAAUCGUGUUGAUUCUCUACUUCAGCCUUGAACUGUUUAAACUUGUCUAAAGCUUCUGAUCUUUCCUUAAUGGGAUAAAUAUAACCGUAGCGAGAGUAGUCAUCUGUGAAGGUUAUGAACGAAUUAAACCCAUCUACUGUCCUAACUGGAAAAGGACCACAGAUAUCUGUAUGAAUAAUUUCUAACACUCUCGUGCUAUGCUUAGCAUCUUUCUUAAUCUGCUUCGCAAAUUUACCCUUAAUGCAAUCUCUGCAUUGCUCUAAGUCUGUGAAGUCUAGGGGAUGAAGAAUAUGUUCCUUAACAAGACUUUCUAUUCUCCCCCUCGAAAUAUGGCCCAAACGAUAGUGCCAUAAUUUCGACGAGGUUUCUCCAUCACUUCGUUUUCUUUUCCUGCCACUGCUGGCUGGAUCGUUUUCUGGUAUAUCUAAUACAUUAACAACAUCACUUUGCGAAAGUAAAUAAAGCAUAUCUCGUCAGAUGACGAGACCAACAUCUUUAUUAUCAAAACUGAAUAACACACAGUCUCUGUCACCGAAGUGAUAGUGGAUGUGCUGAUUGUCUAAUCACGGAACUGAAGUUAAGUGUCUGCUUGCUUUCCGUUAACCACUGUAACUGUUUUUAGCCCUCUAGGAGCCUUAGGUUUGUACGGAAUUGCAUUCUGUAGCAUCUAUUGCAGGAAUUCUGAACACUUUCUUUGUAUGCCCUGUCUUCUUGCAAUAGAGGCAGGUCUCAGGGGAUCUGAGAAACAGUCUGAUUGUUGCAUAUAGAAAACAUCGUGAUCAUGUUUGAUCUUAUUCUUGAACCUUUCUUAGAGGUCUUGUUCUGUUUGAGGAUUCUUGGUUUGGGAAGAUUGAUAGAAUCACUUAUUUGACUUAUCAACCUUUCCUCCUUCUAGACAAACUAUGUCACGAGUUGAUCUAUAUAGCACUUGUCCAUUUAGACAGGUGUUUUACUGAUCAUGAAAUGUCUCAUAUUCUGGAAUAGCACCCUCAAUAAGAUCCUGGAUGAGACUCUUAUUGUGAUCAAGUACAUUACACUUGGAUUUUUUUUUAGUUGACCUUAUAGAUGCUAUACUGCGCCAUCUUAAGGUCAUCCUAAGGUGAGCCUACUGUAGGCUUAGUGGGUUUCUUAAACCACAGUGAGGAAUCUAUUUCAUUCACUGUAGUUAUCAUUUCAAUCUUUUCCCGCCAUAAGUGACAAUAAAUACCACAUAGCGGUUUAAUCUACCUUAUCUGACCAACUAGUAGGCCAAUAUGUGCACUUUUGCAAAGUAAAACAGAAAAUAUUUAGGACAUCUGAAGUAAAUACUGAAACAUAGAACUUGCAUGAAUUAAAUAUUCGACGUUGGUCAAAUAAUAACCAUGUUUGGUCUACAAAAUUUUCUUGUUCUAAAAUUCUAAACCAUCGUUGGAUGAUCUAGAAAACUUAAUUCUUGUAUAAAAUGUGGCAACAAUAUUCGACGUUGGUCAAAAUAUUCAAUCACCACAAAAAAAUCUGACUUUCUAUGCACUUAAAGAUAAUUAAUCCACAUAGGCUUCAUAAUAAACAAUAAGGCAUAGAAAAAAAAUAAUAAUCUAGUUCUAAAAUUCUAAAACCAUCGUUGGAUGAUCUAGAAUAUAUAUACUUCUUGCUCAAAAUGUGGUAAUAAUAUCUAACGUUGGUUAGAAUAUUCAAUUACCGCAAAUUUUCUGAAUUCUAUGCAAUUUAAACAAUAAAUUAAUCCACGUUGGUUUCAUAAUUAACUGAAAAUUGCAUAAGAUACUGAAUAAAAUACCAAAGUACGCAGCGGAAAAAAAUAGUCCAUAAAUAUCUCUGUAUUUUAUAUAACUGAGAAAAUAUUUCUCAGAUUUUCUGAAUUUUCUUCACUAUUUCUAAUUUCUAUUUAGUGUUUCUAUUCCAGGAAAUAAAUAAAUAAAAUUUAAUUCGCUGGAAAUUAAAUUUGCCAAAAUGGCCUAACUAGCCUUACGGCCCAGCUCUGCGUGGCCCAUGCCUGGCCACUGUGGCAUGGCCUCCAACGGCCUAGGAGCCUGGCCGCCGGGCAGCCCACACAGGCAAGGCGCGCCAGGACACAACCUGGGCCUAGGCCACCAAACCGGCCCAUGCGUGGCCCCCUCCAAUCCCGCCUCAAUCCUGAUCAUCCGUGGGCAUCCGACGGCUCCAGAUCAACACAGGUACUGUAGGCGGUCUAUAAGGGGCGGAGAUUUCGGGCUAACUGAAACCCUAGCUAUUUUCUGUAUUCUCUUCCUGCCGGCCGCCAGAGAGAUCGCCAUUUUGACUGAGUUUCUUUCGUUUCUGUACGCCGUCAGGGAGCUUUCUCCGGCCGCCGUUCUACUCGGUUGCCAGGGAGAACCAGCCGUUGGCUGAACGUCGGAUCCUCUCUCCCUUUUUUUUUCUUUGUUUCUAGCAGCUGGCCGCUAGUUUCUCUUCAACUCAUUCUUUUUUUUUAGUUUUUUUUUUGUUCUAGCAGCUGGCCGCUAAUUUCCUAGCCGAGCCCAGGCAACUGACCGUACGGCCGUCGAUGAAUCGGCCGGCAGCCAUACUCGGCUGUUCAGUCUGCGCGGCGAAGCGGGGCCCUGCGGGCUCUCCCGCCGGCGUGCGCGUCCCCUAGUGCGGGCGCGCCGCCGUCGGUAGAGCGGUCAGCGGUGGUCACUGCAAACCCGGCUAAAUCUGUUGUUACUGUGACUUUCUGUUUUCUCGCCCGGAUCUAGCCUCUAUCUCGAAUCCCUCUGAGUGAAUGAAUGUAUGAAAUGAAACUAUAUGUUGCGUUUUUCCCUGUGAUUCACGCUUGGAUCCAGUCACUGGAUUAAACGAACAUUGCUCUGUGCAAUUUGACCGAUCCGGAUUUUAGGGUUAAAUCGAUUAAGGUUGAACCCUAACUCGUUCUGCGUUUCUGUUACUUUUCUUGACUUUGUUCUUGGUCGUGGAUCGUUGGUUCCCGAGCCAUUGUGAUAUCUGUUGACCCAGAUAAAACCGAUUAGGGUUAGGUUACUAAAACCCUAACCCUAAAACGUUGAUCUGUUUUUACUAUCUUGGAUUCCAUGGCAUUGACCGAGACCAAGUCUCUGACAGUGGCAAAAAAAAAACUAGAUUUAUGGUUAGGUUAAAACCCUAACUCGAGAGAAACAACCUCUUUCUAUCUAUUCUUUCUGGAUCUAAUCUGUCUGUUCUCGAAAAAAAAGAGUUCAAUCAUAUUGAACCGAGACCUUUCUAUUCUUUCUGGAUCUAAUCUGUCUGUUCUCGAAAAAAAGAGUUCAAUCAUAUUGAACCGAGACCUUUCUGUGAUCUCCCGAUGCGGAUUAGGAGUUCUAAGGUUCUUAGGACUGCCUCUGAUACCAUUGUUAGAAUCUAUACUGUCUAGGAUCGAUUCCUAAGUCCCUAGAAUACCAAUCCGUAACUGAGUAAAACCUUGAUGACGUGUAGAUCUGAUCUACUGAUCUACUAAGAGGAACGAGGAACACACCUUGUUGUUGCUGUUGCUAUCUUCAUACCGUCGCCCUGCAGAGAAGCAGCAGGCAUCGGGAUCCGAGCCGCCGUAGGUUGUCGCGUUUCCAAACACUCCGACGCCUAGGCGAUGGGGGCCUCUGUGGACUAGGGUUUUGGGGUGAGGUAGUAGCGUUAGUUUUUCCUGCGACCCCUUAGUCCUAUAUAUAGCGUCGUGUGUCUGGGGGCUCCAACCGAGGUUAGCGUGGGCCCUCCCGAUCAAGGACCCGAUUAAAGGAACGAUAGUUGGGUUAAGCCCAAUCCAGUCUCUAUUGACCGGCUGUAGAGGACACACCCAACAGAUAGGGCUUCUUUUCCUGUUGAUUCAUUCUUUCAAUCUAAGGCACCAGAUUGUGCCUGCAGAAGUUGAACACAUCUGAAUUCUUUUUGCUUGGUUACCGAAUUAGUGUAGGAUGAUGUAAUCUUUUUGAUAAUCUGUUCAGUUCAGAGCACCUGAUUUGCGCCAAGAUGUUGAGAUGGAGAAUAUUGUUUGCAAUCACUAAAAUUAGAAUAAAGUACUGGUAAAAUCAAGAAAGGAGUUGCAGAAUAAAAAUGGAAAAGCUAAAUCAUACACGAGCAUUUCAUGCGCGAUUCAUGCUCCAUUUUCCAUGGACCUGAUUUACACCAAGACCUGCGCUGAGGUGAACUUCACUUCCGACAUAAUGGCUCUGGUAGGAUUAGAGAUGUCAAUGGGGAAUUCCCCACCGGGUUAUAGCAUCCCAUACUCAUCCCCAUCAUGUUUGAUCCAUCCCCAUAUCCAUCCCCAUACCCAUCAUGGGUACAAAACUCAUCCCAUACCCAUCCCUGUUUGGGUUUCGGGUCCCCAAUGGGUCCCCAUCCCCAAUUAAGGGAUAACUAGGUACUAACAUGUAGCACAAACAACCUAGAUUUUAGACAGCACUACAUCGACAAAGCACUCAUCCAUGAACCAUGUUCCAUUCAUCCAUCCAUCAGAAAAGACAUAAGUACUUCGGGACCGAUAGAAGAAAUGGAGAAAUGGAGUUUUCUCACCUUCCUUGGUCACCAUCUGAGUUCGUUGGCGCAAUGGCGCCUGAGAAUCCAUGGUCAUCAUCGUCGUCUCGGCAAGGCGUAGCAUAUGGCUGGUUGUUUUAGGGUUUUGUUUUUACUAGUCUGCUAGUUGGCUUGUUGGGCUAGGACCUGGGGCCUGGUGCGCUGUUGUGCUGGGCUUGGUGGCCGGCUCGGCCUCAACUCAUUCAUACAAACACGACAGGUGUACACGUAUGAAAUACCCAUGGGUAAUCGGGUUCAGAUUAUUGCUUCCCAAACCCAUACCCGUUUACCCAAUGGGUGGAGAUUUUGUCCCAUAUCCAUACCCAUGGGUACAAUUUUCGUCCCAUACCCUUACCCUAAUAGGGGAAUUCCCCAUGGGUUGACGGGUAUCGGGUCCCCAUUGACAUCUCUAGGUAGGAUGCAAAUUCCAUUUGUUUGGGUCAUCAGGUUGACAUACAACUUGCUAAAAUAAACUAAGGUCCAGUUUAGCAGGCCUCUUCACCAGAUUCGAAAGUUGUUUGGAGCAGUUUUCUGGUAGUAUCCGUUUGGUAGGGAUGGAUAGUAAACAUUCGAAUUAUAUAACAGAUUUAAUACUUUAAUAUAGAUAUGCAUAGAAUUUGAUGCUAAUAUUUAGUCACGGUAAUAAUGUUAUGAGGGACAAGAAUAAAAUUUUGUAUAUUUUUUUUGCAUUAUUUUCUCCCCACGACAAUAAAGUGAAAGCAUCUCAAUCUGAAUAUAUAUUCGUAUUUGAAUUUUAUUUCAAUUAUUUAAAAUAUAUAUAACGAAAUUGAGGUUUACUUUUUAUGAAUCUUAAUAAACUUAAUACUAAAAAAAUAUAAAUUUUCAUAGCAAAUUCUAUAUACUAUUUGUUCACAAUAGAAGAAAUAAGGCUAGAAAUUUAAAUCCGGAUCCAUCCCUACCAUUUGGUUUAGGAGUGAGGUGAGAUUGAGCCGCUACAUUCUAUAUUUGGUUGGGAAGCAAACAGAGCAAUCAAAGUGGAGCGACUCUAAAUCUAUAAUACUUCCAUCAGAUUUGGGACGAGCUCACUCAAAAAUCAGUGGAAUCUCACCAUUCCACUUCUCUCUCUUUUGCAGUGGAUCCAAAUAGAAAACGGAAUGAUUCUACCCUGCUCUUAGAAUUUGUAAUGAAGUCGCACCGCUUUCGAAAUCUAGAAUGGAACAACUUCGCUCAUGUGGUUUUCUAACCAAACUGAUCCUAAAAUGGCUUCACAUCUAAAACCCUCAAAACCUCCUGUCACAUAGAUUCGAGACGAGAAAAAAUAGCUUCACUUGGCUUUAACCCAUGACAAUGGGCCCUAUUAUACCAAGAUGGCAAAAAGCAAGGUCGUAUCCACUAUAUUGUUUCCAUUUUGUUUGGUUGUGCUUCCCCUCUGUUUUGUAUGUAUGGAAUGGAAAACUGAAAAUAUACUGAGUAAUAUAGAUUCUGCAGUUUUGACUCAUGAUUCCUAGAACAUGAUUUCUUUUCUCAGCAAUGCUGACCCCAGUGGUAAACUACCUGAAGAAACAUUGAACGUAGCUUCUUUAAAGACAUUAUUCAAUAAGAAGAGCUUCUUGUGAGAUGUCCUCUUUUUUCUCAAAUUAUAUAUACUGCAUACAUUCCAGUUCUUAGUUUUGGUCUCUUAUGUUCACCUCAUCUCCUGAAGACAGGCAAUAUCUAAGAAGAUUCAGGACAAUUAUUGUUGAAUGCAAACAAAACACUAAAAAAUCUGUAUAAGUAACUCUAUUCUUUUUAAGAUAUGUUGGGUUUAGUUAUGCUCUACAUUUUGGAGCAAGACAGUUAUGAUUUAUCGUUAUAUGUUGUAGGUUAAGAUUAUGUAAGUAGUUAUAAAUUCCUAAAAAUGUUAUAUAUAGAAACUAUAGUAACACAUAAGCAUAUACUUAUAGCUAUAUUAAAAUAAUAAAAUUUAUGUAUAUCUUAGAAUAACAAAUGGAUUACAAAUUUGUUCUCAUAACAAUAUAACACAUUCACAUAUAAACUAUCAUAAUAUUAUUUAUAUUAUUUAUAUGUUUCUGUUGCAACUAGGGCUGACAAUGGGCCUCAAAUUUUACACUAUAAAACUUAAGGAUCGAAUCGGAUUAGGAUCGGGCUUUGUUUCUAUUCAUUUUUGAACUAUAAAUAUAUUAGGGCCUUACCAAAUUGUGAAGAACCAUUUGGAUCGCGAUCCAUUACCACCCCUAGUUGCAACACACGAGUAUUUUUUAUAUAUUUUUUAUUAUCUCGGUGAUGUUGUCUGUCGUAGUAAACCUUUGAAAAAGGCCCCUAUGGCCCUAUCUAAAAUUUGACGUUACCAGCCCUAUAAUGCAACCUGUCGCUGCCUGCUGUAUUCCGACAUGCACUUGAGAAAAUCUCGCACGCACUGAUCAUUCAUCUCGUCAUUUCCAAACAACUUGGCGAGCUCUUUGGCCUUAUCCCCGAACACCUCGCAUUCUUCAUCCACUAGGACCCUCCUCAAAGCAGCUGCAAUGUCUUUGGGCGCGAACGAGCCAUCUUCCUCGUCCCGCGGCACCUCGACGCUUAUCUUCUUCUCAGUCAGAUGCCUCGCGUUGAGGCCCUGAUCGAACAUCAGCGGUAGCAGCACCAGCCUGACGCCGCGGGCGAGGCCUUCGAUGAUGGAGUUCCAACCGGCGUGGGUCAAGAACCCUCCGACAGAUUCGUGGGCCAAAAACCUGGCCUGAGGCACCCAGCCGCGGCAGACGAGUCCGCGGCCGUUGAUGCGCUCCUCGAAACCUUCCGGCAAUCCGCUUUUGCCUUCGUUGGCAUCGGUUGGUUGCCUGAAUGCCCACAGGAACGGCAGGCCGGAAGCCUCGAGACCGAGCGCAAUUGCCUGCAGCUGUGCGCUAGUCAGCUUCGCCUCGCUGCCGAAGGCCGCGUACACAACGGAGCGAGGCGCCUGCCCGUCCAGCCAUUGCAGCGCUGCCUUGUGGCUGCCGAUGUCUUGUGUGGGUGGUGGUGGAGGGAAUAGACCGACCGGGAUGACCGGCUUCUGGUAUAGCCCACUGACCACCUGAAGCCACUCCGGUUCGAACUCCGCGCUGCUCCUGAUGCCCACGAGCUGGCUCUGUUCGAUGCACUUGCCAAACCGGUAGCCUUCCGAUACGCCAGAUUCGUCCGGGGCCAACACCGGCGUGAAAAACUCGCGCGCCUCCAAGCCGCGGUACGCGACGGUGGUCGGGAACGGCACGUAGUCGGGUACAACGGUGAGGUCCUCCGGCUUCGUCCUGGCGUACUUGCCGCGUCCCAUGAGCCCCUCCGGGGGGCCAUAGAAACUGAGCGCCGCGGCGCCGAACAGGCUCAGGAACGCGCAUGGCACGCCGUGCCUCGCCGCGGCCGCGGGCGCCCAGUACGCGGCAUAGUCGAUGACCACCCAGUCCGGCCUCUCCGGCACCGGCUCCUGCAGGAUGGCCGAGAGUUUGUCGGCGAAGGCGGCGUCGUAGGCUACGCGGAGGUACGGGCGGAGGUCAUCGGACGGGAGGUCUAUGCUCGCCUCGCUGUCCUCCGGCAGGCGCUCCACGCGCGGCAGGGUGAUGUCGACGACUCGGAUAUUCCCCGCGAGUUCUGGAGGGAUGCGGAUUAACCGCCGCGUGUUUCUUGGCGUGGAGAAGAGGGUGACUCGGUGGCCCUGCCGAGCUAUGCGCUUGGCGAGCUCGGUGAACGGGAGGAUGUGGCCGAAAGCCAGCCAUGGCAGCAUCACAACGUGCAUACUGCUGCUGCUUCUGGCGUCCAUUCGCGAGGCUUUUUCUACGCAAUCAGAGGUUAUUUUUAUGAGAUUGGGGAAGAUGGCCUGGCAGUAUGCCACUCUCUGUUCUUAUAAUAGGCGUGGAGUGUACCGUAUGUACAGUACAGUCCAACAGUUGCAUGUUCAUCAGAUAUGAAAAGUUCAGUUUGAGUACGUCCUCUAGCCAUUGGCAAUUUUGCCGCUUCGCCAGUAUAUUGCUGUUCAAAUAAGCAGUGGGCGUAGAAAAGGAGAACCAAACAAUCGGUCACAGACUCUGAGUCUCACAGUCAGCUUAUGUCAUGGAUGAUGCACUACGGGUCUACGCCACAGCUGACACAAUCUCCAAUUCACCAUAGCGGUUAUAUCCAGCGUAUCGUGUGUAUAAUCAUACAAAACUGUUCUAAUACAAUAGACUGUUUAUAAAAUAAAGUUUAAAAUAGAAAAUGAAAUUAGAGAUAUGAUGUAAAAACUGUUGGAGACAACCUAACGCCGUCUAUACACUCUAAGCGAUGGUUCCCAUCAUCUUUUUUAGAGUUCAAGGCCAAAGACCAAAAACUCAUACAACAUUCAGGUGGGUUACAUCCAGUAUAAAACACAUUCGAAGAGAAUACAGCAGGACAAAAUUGGUCGCUCUAAGCAACUUUUACAUCACUGUGAAUAAGUGACGCCCAAAGCCGCCUGAGCAUCAAGUCAUCAAGUGCUAACUUAGGGGAUGUUUGGUUUCUAGGGACUAAUGUUUAAUCCCUUUAUUUUAUUCCUUUUUAGUAUAUAAAUUGCUAAAUAUAGAAACUAAAAUAAAGUUUUAGUUUCUAUAUUUAGCAAUUUUAGAACAAAAAUGGAAUAAAAUGUAGAGACUAAACAUUAGUCCCUAGAAACCAAACACCCCUUUAGCUUCCUUCCGAUUGCAAGCACUUCAGAACAGAAACCUUUUAUCUGUUCAUCAACUUGAUUCAUCCAAUCAACUUUUAUGGGCUUGUUUUAUGCAGAAAGCCUGGAAUUGAACUCCCGAAGCUUGUCUGGAGGGCGGAGAACACCAGCCUAGGAGAGAAUUUAUUUAGGAUAGGUUUGGAAACAUCCAGUUUAUAAGAAAUUUGUUUAUAGAAACUGAGAUAUUUUCAAACAGACCAUUUUAUGCUUCACUUUCUAAAAACUGAAUUUCCAAUUUCUAAGAAAUCAGUUUUUGUCUAACAAAUUACGUACCGUCAUUAGAGCCUAUUUGGAAGCACUCGUUUUUUUUAAAAAACUUGUUUGUAAAAACUAGGGUCCUUUCAAAUAGGCCACUUUAUGCUUCAAUUUCUAGAAACUGAUUCCCAGUUUCUAAAAAACCAAGAAGUUGGUUUUCUCUAGCUAAAACCAGUUUUUGUCUAGACGGUUGUCACUGCUUCUAGACCUACGCGUGCGAUUCUCUCAAACUCGAUUUUAAUGUUUAAUUAUUAUUUAAAAAAAUUAAAUUAAAAAGUAUACGUUCAAUCUAUAUUUAAAAUUGGUAACAAAGAAAAUUGAAGCAAAUAAUUGAAUCAAUUUCUUUUAAAAUAGUGUAAAGGUAGACUUGUAUUUGUGUAUCGAAAAAAUUAGAAACUGGUUCCAAACAUGCAUACCUAGUUUUUUUUCAUAAACCAGUUUAUAGAUAAUGUGGAUAAAAAUCAGUUUCUUAGAAAUUGUGUUGCUUUCAAACAUGCCAUUAGUUGGUUUGGUGAAAAUUACAGUGAUUACCACUUCUCUCAAGCCUAUGCAUGGGAUCCCCUCAAUGAAUGUUCUGCUCUCAAUCUUUUGAAAACUCUUGAAUUAAAAAAACAUGAGUCCAAUCUACAUUUAAAAUUGACAGCAAAGAAAAAUGAAGAGAACAAUUGAAUCAAAUACUUUUAAAUUAGAGUAAGGCAGAUUUGUCUUUGGGUAUCAAACAAACUAGAAACUGGUUUAAAAAAUUAUGUUCCAAAUACGGGCAGACUCAGUUUGUUUCAUAAACCAGUUUCUAGAAACUAGUUUCUUAUAAAAUGUAGUGCUUCCAAAUAAGUCCUUACCCAGUCAACCUUUCUGUCCUUCUAGCCAAUUUGUUCCAAGAGGUUAGCCAACUGUUAAAGCAGGAGGGUAGAAAAUGUUUAAGGACAGUACAUUUUUAAGAUUAAAUUAAUUUUAAAAUAAUUACUACAUAAAUAAUAGAGAAACCACACGUAAUAACAUGUCCACAUAAAUAAUAAAUUAUGUCUUAAACGCAUCUAACAGAAACAUGAGCGAGUGUAACACCCGGAUUUAAGGAACAAAGCCGGGUGCAUCUCAUACAUGCGCCAAAGAAGACAACAUAUAUAAUAACAGAGUGUAUAGAGAUAAAUGUCAUAAAACAUCAGAGUAUUUAUUACAUAGCGGAAGACUUAAUACAAAAUAAAAGAGUAAACAUAAAACGAACUAAGGAUCGUCGGCGCCAAUGUCAACUGAGAAACGCCACCUAGAUCAGAUCAUACUCCUUGCCUUGUGGUUCCUCCUGAACCACCUGCUCUUCUCCUGUGGGGGGGUGUGAGACAACAAGGGUGAGCUCACACAUGAUCAUCGCUCAACAAGUUGUGGGAAAUAAUGUGACAUGAACUCACCAAAGGUGGGAGUUCAUGAAGUGUAAGGCUGAUCAAUGAUAUAAGGCUGAAGCUGAGCAUUGCUUUUAAGUUGGUCAAAAUUUUAUUAGCAAUUACUAAGUGUAAGUAAAUACCAAACCUUAAUAAUAAUAAAGAAAAGCAAUAGUAAAAUAAUCCCAAAUGCGAUGCAAAUGUCAAAUUAAAUUUAAGUUUCAUAAAUUAAUCAUGUGAGGGUCCGAGCCGCUCAUGACCGUGAGCACGGCUAGUAUACCAGUUUUACACUCUGCACUCUGCAGAGGUUGCGCAUCUUUACCCACAAGUCAUGUUACCCAUCUACCAAGGGAUCGCGACUUCCCAUACACCUCUACCGAGGAGGCGAGGCAGGGUAACACUACGAGGCCUUUACAAAGUUCCACUAGCUUCAGAAAACCCGCUACAGUUUAUAGGAAGCUCCAAUGCAGGGUUCUUGCCUGACCGCCAUCGCAGCAAAAUCAACCCAAGGACCUCCCUACACUGACCACUCCCCUACUGCCCUUGCCCCUUUCGGGUAAGGUAGUCAUCCACUAGCUUUUCUAGUUAAUCAGCCAAGGGCGUCCCAUUAUACCCUUGUGGUAGCACUGUUUUCCCGGGUGGUUCUCCAUGUUCCCAUUAACAUAAUGAUCUUAUCAUGAAUAAUAAUAAUAAACAGAUAAUAAAAAGUAUAACAAUGAGUGAUGAAUAUCUUUAUACCCAAAGCCACGUAAAGCAAUAGCAUAUACUACCCAAAAAGCUUGUAGUAAAACCAGUGGUGAAACAAGGUAUAAAGAUAGUCAAAAUCUAGGGUAACCUAUUGGGUCCCAUCAAAAUUAACCUAUGCAGAUCAUUAUGAUUAAUAAAAACAUGAAUGGGUAAAAGAAGUGAUCAAGGGCACAACUUGCCUUCAAUUAGCUCCUACUCAGCUACUUCUACUUGCUGAACCUCAGAAUCCACAGUUGCUUGCUCGUCUACUCGCAUCAACAUACAUAGUAUAGCAAAAAUUAACAUUGCACCAAACAUGUAAAUAAAAUACACAGUAAAAUCUACACAUUAAAAUAAGAUCAUAGGAACUAGAAUCACUAAAUUUGGAGUUAUAGAUUUCAAGUUAUGAAUUUCCUAAGGUUUAAUGUGAUUAAAAUAGGAUUAGAUGAGAAAUUAAUUUUCUAACUGAGUUCAUGACAAAACAGUGAUACUAAAUGAUAGAGAAUCUUAUUACAAAAUUUUAGAAAUUCGAAUGGUUCAAUUUGGAGUUAAAAUCAAUUUUUUAUGCAUUUUACAAGUUUCUAGAAUUGUUUUUGUAUUAAAAACUAAAUUCUAUAAUCAUUUCUCGUUUUUUUUAUAUUCCUCUGGACUAGGCGUCAAUUUUCAGAAAGACCAGGGGCCUCGGUGCUAAGAAAACAGAGACACAUGGUACAGGAGUAUGGACCGCGGGUUGUUUUUAAAUAAACAGAGGGGCUCUUAAGCAAUAUGGGCACGACGAAAGGGUAUCGGUGAAUCUGAGCCGUUGGAUCUUUUCUGGACGACCCAGAUUAGAUCUUUAGGUUUAACAACUGGUAUUCUAUGCGGACCGUAGGAUUUAAGAUCUGCGGUCAACGAUCGAGCGCAACACGAGCCUUCCCUGCACCGUUUGAUCAUGAAUCUACGGACCGUAGCCGUCGUCAUCCCUUCCCCCCCCCCCCGCGAUCGAGCAGAGCUGGCACGCAGCCACGCCCACGGCGGAGUCCCCACCGGCGCACUGCCGAAAUCUCCCAACCCGGUGACCGAGAUCGAUGCAAUAAACAUGUGCCAAACGAAAUUGAGGGCUAGACGAAGCACGGAGGAGAUAUCUCACCAAGGAUUCGGCCGCGAAGGUGCCCAGUCCACGGCGCGGUGCGGAUCCGCGGCUGCGCCCGCGCUCCGGCGAAAAAUCAACCUCGCCCCGCUGCCGGAUUCGCCCCGCCAAGUGCACGAACAGCUUCACCACGCCCCUGGGAGGCUCCACAACCCGACAAUGCGACCAGGUCGGCUAGGGGGACCGCUUGCCCGAUCAGCGGAACACGGUCCUCUCGGCUCUCACGGCAAAGGUGGAGAUCGCUUUGGUUAGAGCUGCUUACACGUUGAUGAAGAAAAGAGGAGGAUGAGGAUCGGGUUCCGGUCUUCAUAUGGCCGCCCGAGGUCCGCUUGCGGCCCACUCAACGGAUCCCGCAAUCUGCGCCAUAACCGAGCCCGAGCACGCCCGGGUCGCGCGACGAAGGAAGAGGACGGUUCUGGCAGAGCGGGCCCGCACAGACAGCGAUAGAGAAGCUAGCACGCAGUAGAGUGGGCGCUGGCGUGUGGUCCCGGACGACAGGGGCAGCGCACGCAGGUAUUCCCCAGUUGGGCCACGCGGGAGGGGGAAAUGUAACACGGGCCAGAUUGAGGUAUGGCGGCCCAGGUAGCCUUUCUUUCUUUUUAUCUUUUAUCUUAUUUUCUCUAUUUCUAAUUUUAAAUUCGAAUUCGAAUUUUGAAUCCAGAUUUGUGUCAAACUUAUUCUCAAAUCAUAUUGUGGAAUUAAAAAUACCAAUUUUAGGAUUAUAAUUAUAUUAUUUAUAUUUUUAAACCAUUUCUCUUCUUAUUUUCAAAACCCAAAUUUUUAAUUUAGGAUUUAUUUCAACCUUAAGAAUUAUUAUUUUGUUAUCCUUAUUCUUAUUAUUUUAUUUAAUGCACAAUAUAUCAAACUCCAACAAGAUGCACCUUAUUUUAGUUUGGAAUCAUUUGUUUCGAUUAAUCCCUCUUGGUUACAUGUAUGCUCUUUUCAUGAUGCAAAUGAGGCACAUAAAAUAGGAUAAUCACUAUAUAAUCCUUUUAUACAAUUUUGAGUAUUACAAAUCCUACCCCCUUAAAAAUAAUCUCGUCCUCGAGAUUUAGGAAGAUCUAGGGAAAAGGUGAGGAAAAUCUAUACGAAGCUCUUCUUCUCUUUCCCAAGUUGCUUCAUCUUCACCGUGGUGGCUCCAUUGCACUUUACAUAUCUUUAUAACCUUAUUCCUCGUGACACGAGUCAGUGUAUCCAGAAUCUUGAUGGGGUACUUAGCAUAAGUCAAAUCUUCUUGAACACUAAGGUCUUCCAUUGGUAAUUGUUCCUCAGGUACCCUGAGACAUUUCUUCAGCUGAGAUACAUGGAAUACAUCAUGAACAUCCGCGAGAUGAUCCGGUAACUCCAAUUGAUAUGCAACCUCUCCCACUCGCUUUAAGAUUAAAAAGGGUCCAAUAAAGCGAGGGGACAACUUUCCUUUGACUUUAAAUCUUCUCAUACCCCGGAGUGGUGACACCUUCAAAUAGACAUAAUCUCCCUCCUUAAACUCUAGCAGUCUUCUCCGGGUAUCAGCAUAGCUUUUCUGUCUGGACUGUGCAGUUCUCAAAUUCUUCCUUAUUUGCUGAACUUGUUCUUCUGCUUCUUGUAUAAUCUCAGGCCCAAACAACUGUCUUUCUCCAGUUUGAUCCCAAUACAGUGGAGUCCUGCAUUUUCUGCCAUAUAGAGCCUCAAAUGGUGACAUCUUCAAACUGGCCUGGUAGCUAUUAUUAUAAGAAAACUCAGCAUAUGGUAAGCUCUUAUCCCAACUUCCACCAUGUUUAAGAGCACAAGCUCUUAACAUAUCCUCCAGUACUUGGUUAGUCCUCUCUGUCUGUCCAUCAGUCUGAGGAUGGUAGGCUGAGCUAAAAUUCAACUUUGUAUCCAAGCUCUCAUGCAACUUCUUCCAAAAUCGAGAAGUAAACUGCGAUCCUCGAUCAGACACGUUCUUCUUAGGCACUCCAUGCAGACAAACUAUCCGAGCCAUAUACAAUUCUGCUAGCUUGGCUCCUGUGUAAUUAGUCCUCACAGGUAUGAAAUGAGCCACUUUUGUCAAUCUGUCCACAAUUACCCAAAUAGAGUCAUACCCAGCAGGGGUGCGGGGUAGUCCAACAAUGAAAUCCAUACCAAUUUCUUCCCAUUUCCACUCAGGUAUCUUCAAUGGGUGCAAUAGUCCAGCUGGUCGUUGAUGUUCGGCCUUGACUCUUUGACACACAUCACACAUAGCCACAUGGACAACAACAUCUCUUUUCAGUCCAUACCACCAAUACUUUUGCUUCAAAUCUUGAUACAUCUUAGUGCUACCUGGGUGGAUAGAAUAAUCAGAAUCAUGAGCUUCUUUCAAUAUAAUCUCACGAAGGCUAUCAAUCUCUGGAACACAUAUCCGAUCCUUGAACCAUAUAGUACCUUGCUCAUCCUCCGUGAAUUCCGGAACUCGACCUUCCGUAAUCAGAUCCUUAAUCUCUUGAAUUUUAGCAUCACCAACCUGACCUUCACGGAUCUCUUGCUCCAAAGUAGGUUCCAAUUCGAUGGUGACUCCUUCAGUGUGAGUAACAAUUCCCAGGUUGAGCCUCUCAAAAUCUUUUGCUAAUUCAUCGGGGUAGCUGGACAACAAAAGCGGAGUGAACAUGCUCUUUCCGACUCAAGGCAUAUGCAACCAAAUUUGCCUUGCCCGGGUGAUAGUGAAUCUCCAAAUCAUAAUCCUUAAUGAGCUCCAACCAACGGCGUUGCCUAAGGUUGAGAUCCUUCUGAGUGAAUAUAUACUUCAAACUCUUAUGAUCCGUGUACACUUGACACUUAGUUCCCAUAAUGUAGUGUCUCCAAAUCUUCAGUGCAUGCACAACUGCUGCCAGCUCUAAGUCAUGAGUGGGGUAGUUCAAUUCAUGUCUCCGCAACUGACGAGAUGCAUAGGCGAUCACAUGUCCUUCUUGCAUGAGCACACAUCCCAAUCCUUGGCCACAUGCAUCACAAUAAAUGUCAAAUCCCUUCUGCAGAUCUGGCAUAAUCAACACUGGUGGUGACAUCAAUCUCUCCUUCAAUUGAUCAAAGCUCUCUUGACAUUUGUCAUCCCACUUAAAUUCUCUUCCUUUCUCCAGAAGCGAUGUCAUAGGCUUGGCAAUCUUAGAAAAUCCUUCAAUAAAUCUCCGAUAAUAUCCUGCUAGUCCCAAGAAACUCCGAAUCUCAGUAACUGUAGUGGGUACUCUCCACUCCAUUAUCUCCUUAACCUUAGCAGGAUCCACUGAUAUUCCUCCAUUAGAAAUAAUAUGACCAAGAAAUGGCACCUCGCCAAUCCAAAACUCGCACUUGCUAAACUUGGCAUAGAGUUGAUUAUCUCUUAGCUUCUGUAGCACCAAUCUCAGAUGUUCCUCAUGAUCGCUAUCACUCUUGGAAUAGAUAAGAAUAUCGUCGAUGAAUACUACGACGAAUCUGUCAAAAUACUCCAUAAACACCUUGUUCAUCAAGUUCAUGAAAUAAGCUGGUGCAUUAGUUAAUCCAAACAACAUAACAGUGAACUCAUAUAAUCCAUAUGGAGUCGAGAAUGCUGUCUUGGGAAUAUCCGAUGGUCUAAUCCUCAUCUGAUGGUAACCCGAGCGGAGAUCAAUCUUCGAGAAUACCUUUGCACCUCUCAUCUGAUCGAAUAAAUCCUCAAUACGUGGUAACAGAUACUUGUUCUUCACAGUAACAUCAUUAAGUGAUCUAUAGUCCACACACAUCCUCUGGGAUCCAUCCUUCUUCUGUACAAAUAGAACCGGUGCUCCCCAAGGUGAGGAACUCGGACGAAUGUAACCAGCCUCUUGUAACUCCGUCAACUGCUUCUUCAGCUCCUUUAACUCUUCUACUGACAUCCUGUAUGGUCGCUUGGAUAUAGGGGCAGUUCCAGGUAGAAGAUCAAUCACAAACUCAACUUCUCUAUCUGGUGGCAUCCCUGGUAACUCCUCUGGAAAGACAUCCGAAAAAUCUCUAACCACCCGGAUGUUGUCACCAACGAACUCCUCGGGUAUAAAGAACAUUGCACGCUUGGAUGAGGUGGUUACUGCAAUAUUAACUUGAAAUGUUUCUCCUUUAGGGCUAGUGAGUUCUAUAGUACCUCUACCACAUGCUAUAAUGGCCUUUGCCUUCCUUAACCAGGACGUACCAAGGAUCAGAUCUAUACUGCUGGCCUCUAAUAUUAUGGUAGUAGCUCCAAAUUCUCUCCCCAUAAUGGUUAAUAUCAAUCUACAUGUCAUUUGAUUUGCCUCAAUAGGCCCUUUAGGUGUAAUUACUAUCAUUGGUUUUCUCAUAUUUAGGAGUGGUAUUUCAUUUGCGUUGGCAUAACGAGCAGACAUGAAUGAAUGUGUAGCACCAGAAUCAAAUAAUAUGGUUGCAGGAAUUGCAUUAACAUAAAACAUACCAAGUACGAUGUCCGCACCAUCAGGAGUAUCAUCAACACUGACUUGAUUCACCCUGGCUAUAUAAUAUCCCUUGCCAGAUCGUGGAGUUUGUUGCCGAUUCUGAACUGGAGUAGUAGCAAUCCUCUGUGGGCAGACAUUUGCAUAAUGACCAGUCUUCCCACACUUGAAACAAGUAGUGCCUGGACUCUAUCCUGAAAACUUUGUCGGGGUGCCAGUAGGGGUAGCCUGUCGAGGAGGUGGAGUCCUCAGUGGUGAUUGCUGAACUGGGUGCUGACCUCCGCUAGUGCGAACUGGUGUUCCCUGGGGUGAACUGUAGCGAGGACGAACACUGCUGCUUCCUUGUCCUUGAGAUAUAGCCUUUCUCUUCAAAUCUCCCAGCUGAACACGCUUGUGUUCAAUGGCUAGCGCCUUAUCGAGUAGCCUAUGAAAUGAUGGAAAUGUGUGUGCCACUAGAGCAUACUGCAGGGGUCCAUUAAGUCCUUCAAUAAAAUGCUCUUGCUUCCUCUCAUCCUCAGCAACUUCAUCAGGGGCAUAUCUGGAUAACUGGAUAAACUUGUCGCGGUACUUGCUGACUGACAUACUUCCUUGCUUCAGCGACAAAAAUUCCUUCUUCUUAAUCUUCAUUAAUCCAGCUGGUAUAUGAUAAUUCCGGAACUGUGUACUGAACUCUGCCCAUGUGAUAGUGUCAGCAGCAUCGUGGGCAGCAGUGUAUGAAUCCCACCAAUCAGCAGCAGGACCUGUCAGACGUCCAGAAGCAUAUAAAACCUUCUCCCGGUCCGUGCACUGAGCAAUGUUCAACAUCUUCUCUACGGACUUCAACCAAUCAUCCGCGUCCAGUGGAUCAGGAGAACUAGCAAAUGUCGGUGGCUUAUGACUCAUGAACUCCCGGUGCUUAUCUCGGGGUGGAACUGGUGGUGGUGGUGGAGGCAGUGGUACUUGUUGUUGUUGUUGUUGUUGUUGUUGUUGCAGCUGCUGUUGCGCCCUCCUUUCCUGACAUAUCUCUUCUCGUUCUUGGCGCAGCUCUCGACGUAUAUGCUCCCGCUCUUGGCGCAUCUCCUGGCGUUCCUGCUGCAUCUGAGCACGCAUAUCUGCCAUAGUGUCCGCCAUCUGUUGCAUCAUCCUCAUCUGAGCUGCAACCAGUGGGUCAACUCCUGCUGGUGGAGGUGGUGGUGGAGGAUCCAUCUCUACUGGUUGUGGCUGGGGUUGUCUAAAUAUCCUCCGAGUGUGUCGAUUGGGAGGUAAAUCAAUUCCACCACCCCGCCUGGUAUUGACCAUCUGAGUUAGAUACAUAUGGUAAGAGAAUAGUAGACAAUGCAGUAUUUACAAAUCAGGUUACUUUGGGGGAUUUUAUUAGCUAAGCAGAUCAAUAUCUUACCUACCAUAGCUAAUUCAAUACCUUAUGGUGGUACAUGCUAAGAUGUCCAUCUAUAAUAAUUCAAUCAAUCAAAGAAGCAAAUCAGGCAUUUAUCAUCAGCACAAUCAACCAAUCAUUUUUUAAAUAAAGAAAACAAUUUUAAAUUUUGUCUUGGGUUCCCUAUCUCUUAAAAGAUCAUAGUGGUAGGAUUCCAAGGUGUGAAAUCCAUCUUGUCUUAGAAUAGAGGAGGUAAGAAUGAUCAGAGUAGAACAACAAAAGGUGAGACAAGAUCAAGAUGAGAUGAGUAUAGAAUGAGUCAGAGUAAGGUAAGUAGGAAAGGGUCUGUCCAUUUCUAUCUAGGUUUCGUCCUACAGUCAACAUUUCCUCUGAUACCACUUCUGUAACACCCGGAUUUAAGGAACAAAGUCGGGUGCAUCUCAUACAUGCGCCAAAGAAGACACAUAUAUAAUAACAGAGUGUAUAGAGAUAAAUGUCAUAAAACAUCAGAGUAUUUAUUACAUAGCGGAAGACUUAAUACAAAAUAAAAGAGUAAACAUAAAACGAACUAAGGAUCGUCGGCGCCAAUGUCAACUGAGAAACGCCACCUAGAUCAGAUCAUACUCCUCGCCUUGUGGCUCCUCCUGAACCACCUGCUCUUCUCCUGUGGGGGGUGUGAGACAGCAAGGGUGAGCUCACACAUGAUCAUCGCUCAACAAGUUGUGGGGAAUAAUGUGACAUGAACUCACCAAAGGUGGGAGUUCAUGAAGUGUAAGGCUGAUCAAUGAUAUAAGGCUGAAGCUGAGCAUUGCUUUUAAGUUGGUCAAAUUUUUAUUAGCAAUUACUAAGUGUAAGUAAAUACCAAACCUUAAUAAUAAUAAAGAAAAGCAAUAGUAAAAUAAUCCCAAAUGCGAUGCAAAUGUCAAAUUAAAUUUAAGUUUCAUAAAUUAAUCAUGUGAGGGUCCGAGCCGCUCAUGACCGUGAGCACGGCUAGUAUACCAGUUUUACACUCUGUAGAGGUUGCGCAUCUUUACCCACAAGUCAUGUUACCCAUCUGCCAAGGGAUCGCGACUUCCCAUACACCUCUACCGAGGAGGCGAGGCAGGGUAACACUACGAGGCCUUUACAAAGUUCCACUAGCUUCAGAAAACCCGCUACAGUUUAUAGGAAGCUCCAAUGCAGGGUUCUUGCCUGACCGCCAUCGCAGCAAAAUCAACCCAAGGACCUCCCUACACUGACCACUCCCCUACUGCCCUUGCCCCUUUCGGGUAAGGUAGUCAUCCACUAGCUUUCCUAGUUAAUCAGCCAAGGGCGUCCCAUUAUACCCUUGUGGUAGCACUGUUUUCCCGGGUGGUUCUCCAUGUUCCCAUUAACAUAAUGAUCUUAUCAUGAAUAAUAAUAAUAAACAGAUAAUAAAAAGUAUAACAAUGAGUGAUGAAUAUCUUUAUACCCAAAGCCACGUAAAGCAAUAGCAUAUACUACCCAAAAAGCUUGUAGUAAAACCAGUGGUGAAACAAGGUAUAAAGAUAGUCAAAAUCUAGGGUAACCUAUUGGGUCCCAUCAAAAUUAACCUAUGCAGAUCAUUAUGAUUAAUAAGAACAUGAAUGGGUAAAAGAAGUGAUCAAGGACACAACUUGCCUUCAAUGAGCUCCUGCUCAGCUACUUCUACUUGCUGAACCUCAGAAUCCACAGUUGCUUGCUCGUCUACUCGCAUCAACACAAUACAUACAUACUAUAGCAAAAAUUAACAUUGCACCAAACAUGUAAAUAAAAUACACAGUAAAAAUCUACACAUUAAAAUGAGAUCAUAGGAACUGGAAUCACUAAAUUUGGAGUUAUAGAUUUCAAGUUAUGAAUUUCCUAAGGUUUAAUGUGAUUAAAAUAGGAUUAGAUGAGAAAUUAAUUUUCUAACUGAGUUCAUGACAAAACAGUGAUACUAAAUGAUAGAGAAUCUUAUUACAAAAUUUUAGAAAUUGGAAUGGUUCAAUUUGGAGUUAAAAUCAAUUUUCUAUGCAUUUUACAAGUUUCUAGAAUUGUUUUUGUAUUAAAAACUAAAUUCUAUAAUCAUUUCUCGGUUUUUUUAUAUUCCUCUGGACUAGGCGUCAAUUUUCAGAAAGACCAGGGGCCUCGGUGCUAAGAAACAGAGACACAUGGUACAGGAGUAUGGACCGCGGGUUGUUUUUAAAUAAACAGAGGGGCUCUUAAGCAAUAUGGGCACGACGAAAGGGUAUCGGUGAAUCUGAGCCGUUGGAUCUUUUCUGGACGACCCAGAUUAGAUCUUUAGGUUUAACAACUGGUAUUCUAUGCGGACCGUAGGAUUUAAGAUCUGCGGUCGAUGAUCGAGCGCAACACGAGCCUUCCCUGCACCGUUUGAUCAUGAAUCUACGGACCGUAGCCGUCGUCAUCCCUUCCCCCCGCGAUCGAGCAGAGCUAGCACGCAGCCACGCCCACGGCGGAGUCCCCACCGGCGCACUGCCGAAAUCUCCCACCCCGGUGACCGAGAUCGAUGCAAUAAACAUGCGCCAAACGAAAUUGAGGGCUAGACGAAGCACGGAGGAGAUAUCUCACCAAGGAUUCGGCCGCGAAGGUGCCCAGUCCACGGCGCGGUGCGGAUCCGCGGCUGCGCCCGCGCUCCGGCAAAAAAUCAACCUCGCCCCGCUGCCGGAUUCGCCCCGCCAAGUGUACGAACAGCUUCACCACGCCCCUGGGAGGCUCCACAACCCGGCAACACGACCAGGUCGGCUAGGGGAAUGCUUGCCCCGAUCAGCGGAACGCGGUCCUCUCGGCUCUCACGGCAAAGGUGGAGAUCGCUUUGGUUAGAGCUGCUUACACGUUGAUGAAGAAAAAGGAGGAUGAGGAUCGGGUUUCGGUCUUCAUAUGGCCGCCCGAGGUCCGCUUGCGGCCCACUCAACGGAUCCCGCAAUCUGCGCCAUAACCGAGCCCGAGCACGCCCGGGUCGCGCGGCGAAGGAAGAGGACGGUUCUGGCAGAGCGGGCCCGCACAGACAGCGAUAGAGAAGCUAGCACGCAGUAGAGUGGGCGCUGGCGUGUGGUCCCGGCCGACAGGGGCAGCGCACGCAGGGAUUCCCCAGUUGGGCCACGCGGGAGGGGGAAAUGUAACACGGGCAGAUUGAGGUAUGGCGGCCCAGGUAGCCUUUCUUUCUUUUUAUCUUUUAUCUUAUUUUCUCUAUUUCUAAUUUCAAAUUCGAAUUCGAAUUUUGAAUCCAGAUUUGUGUCAAACUUAUUCUCAAAUCAUAUUGUGGAAUUAAAAAGACCAAUUUUAGGAUUAUAAUUAUAUUAUUUAUAUUUUUAAACCAUUUCUCUUCUUAUUUUCAAAACCCAAAUUUUUAAUUUAGGAUUUAUUUCAAUCUUAAGAAUUAUUAUUUUGUUAUCCUUAUUCUUAUUAUUUUAUUUAGUGCACAAUAUAUCAAACUCCAACAAGAUGCACCUUAUUUUAGUUUGGAAUCAUUUGUUUCGAUUAAUCCCUCUUGGUUACAUGUAUGCUUUUUUCAUGAUGCAAAUGAGGCACAUAAAAUAGGAUAAUCACUAUAUAAUUCUUUUAUACAAUUUUGAGUAUUACAGCGAGUAACUUGUCAUUACUUACGGUUGGAUCGCUCUAGCCUAGUCGAAGUUGAGUCCGCAGUGUCGUUAAAGUUCGUAGAUGUCACUGUACAGAUCAGCUUAGUGAUCAGUCAUGUGAUCGUUGUCCAAAAGCCUUAUUCACCCCCAACUUUUGCAGGUUAUUUAGUAGAGCGAGAUUUCCGAGACACUGCUCUCUCAGUCACUGUCGUCAUGCUAGCAUCAGAGAAGAGAGUGUAAGGACUCCCUCGUUUAAAACCCUAACUCGUAAUAUAUUAGUUGAUUCUCUUUACCUUUGGGGGGAAAUGUUCUCUCUACUAUAUAGGAUUUAUGCUCAUGGUAACCACGUGUGAAAAGGAAGUAACAUACUCGGUCAUGAUCUCCGUAGUAUGAUCAAUUCAUUUCCAAAAUUGUUGCACAAGGUAAAGACUGAUUAUUGUAGAAAAUGACAACAUAUAGAAGUUGAAUAUGCGCUAGUUGCCACGUCCCAAGUCUCAAGUCCCGCCAAUAAUCACAUGGUCUAAAACAUGAAAUGCUCGUGCAUAUGCUCGUGCGUAUGGCUUUAGCUUCCUUUCUCCCAUGUUUAGUUACAAGGAAUGGCAAGAGACAAGCUAUUUAAGUUGGUUUCAUUCCUCUUCCAUUUCUCAUGUAAAACUAAAUCUCACCACUCCUACUAAUUAAUGGUGAUAAUGAAUCAUGAUCCAAAUAUUUCUUCAUGAUUCGUUUGAGACCUAAUUAAUUUUAGCUCAAAAAUGAAUAGAAAUAGAGCUUGAUCCAAAUAUGAUCUGAUCCUUAAAUUUUAUAGUGUAAAAUUUAGAUCCCAUUACCACCCCUACUUCUGCUCUCACCAUGCAUGUGUGGGCCUUUGAUAUUUUUUUUAUGGAUUUUAUUAUAAAGUAAAUAGGUCAAGCCCAAUAAACUACGAUGAUCUAUCACUAUAUCUCAAAGAUAGAACAUAACCGACUCUUCAAUUAUUAUCAAAUAUUGUUUAUAUACAAGUUUUAUAGUGGAGACUGUUAAGUUUAACAUCCAUCUAACCAAGAACUUAUGUUAGCUCAUAACUAGUCAAUUGAUUAUGCCUUGAAUUGACACUUUUAUAUGAACUGGUUUCACUUAAGACAAUAAUCGAUAGAUGACACCCAAAAGCUACCUCCUCGGGUGGAGCUUAUAAGUCAUACUAUUGUGUUCUUUCAUGAGCUUCGUAGAGAAUUCACAUAACUCAUAGACCGUGACCAAUGAUAAGCUCUAUAUAGGUGUGUUCAUACAAGAAUACCUUGUAGGAUGGUAUCUCAUUAUUAAGCCUCUAAACACAUUAAAACAAAAUUCAUCUUGCCUUAUAGACUAGAUAGUACUCUCCUAGUGGAUAACAUAAUGUAUACUCAUGUAGUUACAGUCAUGACUUGUUUUCCACAAAUUCUAAUUCUUGGGUUCUCUGAUCACAAAGGUUUGGGUUGCCAUUGUAUGCAACUUAUGUGUGUCUCAAACCCAUCUCCUUUGUUGUGUUAUCUAUCACAUUCCUUGACUGACCUUUCGUAAAUGGAUUUAUCAUAUUUUACAUGUAUUUAGAAAAUUGACGGCUAUUAUUCACGAGUUUAUUAAUUUUCUAACAGACUUCAAUAAUCUUUUCACAUGUCUUGGGGACUUCAAAUUGUCCUUUAAACUGGACACUUUGGUGACAAAUGUUGGGUUAUCACAGUUCAUAUGUAUCGAGGAUCGGAUCCCUAGGUCCAUGGGGCCUAGAAGUCAGAGGGGAGAUGGAUGAUAUGUCCGCUGUGGAAGGACCCGCCCCUAAAUGACCCAGGGGCACCGAGCACGGGGCCAGGCGAACCGUAAGGAGGCCACUCGAGUGGAUUCUACACCUGACCCACAGACUUCCCCCAUCAUUUAUGAUCGCUUGCAUUAAAUACGCCUAGUGCUGAGCUGCGAUAGUAAGUCGAUCCUCAUUCCACUCAUGGCCUAUGCAUCCGAGCUAGGGCCCCACUCAUUACUUAUGGGACGUAGACUUGUGGCUCGCUCAUAACCUGUCGAGCCCUUGGCUUGAGUCCCUUGAUAGUCUACGAAGCCCGCAACAUGACGAGGAGCACCAAGGCUCAGGCUACGAAGGUCAUGGGUCGGCAUGGAACAGGAUGUGUAAUUAUGAAACUUGAGUCCCGCUACGCAUACACACUAUCCCAACUGACUUAAAGGAGCACGACUAGAGAGCUCAGACAACAAGGACAGAUACCGACAGAUGGACUUAUACCAAGGGUAGAAUACCUCGUUUUACCAUGACGCAACAACUCCUUCCACAAGAACUCACUUGUAACUGCCCCCUCCUUAGUUUAUAAAAGGGGGAGGACCGACCCAACCCAAGGAGGAAAAGAGGGGACAAAGAGUGAGCAGCGAUACACGAUGACUUAGCUAGGUAGAGAACACCUGAUACAUAGUCCCUUAGAACCAACGUCGCAUAGAGACCUAUGAUCCUUCCCUCUCUCGCCUUCUUGUAACCCCAACUACGAGCGAUCAACAACAAGGUGCUGGAAGAGCGAGCAACCAAAGACUAGAAGUAGGGACAUUUUGCACGAACCAUUAUAAAUCUUACGCCCACUGAGCACACCAUCUGGACUUAGAACAUGCAUACACAUAUUUGGAAGCUCAACCCCUAGAUUUCCCCGCUAACCUAGUAGUAAUGGGUAUUCAAGGGUUAGAUGUCAUCCUAGGGAUGAAUUAGCUGCAGAGAAACCAAGCAACCGUCAGCUAUGACAAAAGGACAGUAAAGUUAGUGUCCCCAUCAGGGAAACAGGUAGUGACUGAAUUAUUCAUGCCUGAUCUAGAAGAAGGAGACUGUCACCAUAUGUCUGUAGAUUGUAAGGAGGCCAACCUGCUUGAGGCCACCGGAGUUGUGUCGGAGUUCCCUGACGUGUUUCCUAAGGAGUUACCAGGCAUGCCACCCGAGCGUAAAGUUGAGUUUGCGAUAGAGCUUGAACCUGACACCGCCCCUAUUUCUAAGAGAGCCUAUAGAGUGUCUGGACCAGAAUUGGUGGAACUCAAAAAGCAGAUCGACAAGCUAUUAGAGAAAGGUUACAUCAGACCAAGUACUUCGUCUUGGGCCGCUCCAGUUUUGUUCGUGGAGAAGAUGGGACAAAGAGGAUGUGCAUUGACUACAGAUCCUUGAAUGAAGUCACUAUCAAGAACAAGUACCAUCUGCCAAGAAUCGAAGAUUUGUUUGAUCAGUUGAGAGGACCCGGAGUGUUCUCAAAGAUAGAUCUGAGGUCAGGUUACCAUCAGCUCUGGAUGCGACCUUCGGAUAUACUGAAGACGACAUUUAUAACCAAGUAUGGGCUAUAUGAGUAUACAGUUAUGUCCUUCGGAUUGACAAAUGCACCACCUUUCUUUAUGUACUUGAUGAAUAGUGUGUUCAUGGACUACCUUGACAAGUAGUGGUGUUCAUCGAUGAUAUUCUCAUAUACUCUCAGAAUGAGGAAGAACACGAGGAGCAUUUGAAGAUGGUAUUGCAAUGGUUAUGGGAGCAACAGUUGUACGCCAAGCUGAGCAAAUGUGAGUUCUGGAUCAGCGAAGUAAAUUGAACAUGUGCCAGCUAGACUAGCCAUUACCAAAACAAGUAAGUUCGGAACUAAAUUGAACAUCUUUGCCUUGUGCGAUAAGUUCGAAACUAAAUCGAUCAUAUUAUGAACACCAAAACCAAGUAAGUUUCUUCCUUUUUGCACAUGGUUAUCUUGAACAUAAACUUAUAUAAUAUAGAGAACGUUUUCCCUACAAAUAGCAAAGAGAAACAAGUGAUUUAUUACGGGUUAGGGUUUUAAAUGAGAAAGUCCUCGAUGUUGCAUGACCUCAGGUUCUAUGUGCCUAACACUAGCGUGACGACGACGGUAAAGAGAGCAAUGUCAUUGAAACCUUGCUAUGUUGAAGAACCUGCAUAAGUUUGGAUGAAUCAAUCUUUUGGGCAGCGAUAUCGUGACCGCUCACCGAGUUGAUCUGCACUGUGACAUCUACAAACUUUAAGUCUUUAACAUCAGAGCGAACUCAUCUUCAACUAGGUUGAAAUGAUCCUCGCUGUAAUAAUGAUGAGUUACUCACUCAUAUUUUUGUUAGAUGCACUCAUGACAGAUUUUAUCUAUUAUAUGAAUAUAUUAUUAUUUGUUAUGUGUGGUUUAUCUAAUGUUCUUGUAGUAAAUGUAUUAACAAUUAAAUUAAUAUUAAAAUGUGUAAUUCUCGACCAUUCUCUGCCCUCCAAGUUUAAUACCAGACUAACCUCUCAGCAGAAAUUGGCCAGAAGCCCAUAAAGGUAGACUGGAUAAAUAAGUUCAGUCCCGGUGGGGGCAUUCUCCGCUCUCUAGACAAGGUUCAUGAGUUCAAUACCAGGCUUUCUGGAUGAAUCAAGCCCAUAAAGGUUGACGAGAUAAAUCAAGUUGAUGAUGAAUAGAAAGGUUUAGGGUUUGAAAGUUCUUGCAAUUGGAAGGAAGAGAAGUUAUCACUUGAUGACUUGAAGCUCAGGCAAGGCUACCAACAUCUGGUUAGGGUCGAUCCUGAGGGUGGGCCACAUGCGCGGUCGCUCAGGCCCUGCCUAUCCAAACUAGUAUGUGUCUAAUCUAUAUUCUCUACGCGGUAUAGACUUAUCAGUUUCUCUAUGCACUAUCUCAUCUUCUUUAUGGAAGCCGCGACGCUCUCGUAUACGUCAUCGGCUUAUGUGUAUGGAACCCUCUCAUGGAGGAAUUCGUGAUCUCCUAGAUGGCCAGCUUAGACCAAGCCGCCAAGAAGGCUGACAAGCUGGUAUGUGCCCCUUGGUUCUGUGCCUUAUCUGUUUCGUCUACUCUUGUUUCUCGAAUCCUGAUCUAAUUUCUGAUAUGUCUCCUUAUAAUUCCCCUCGUGAUUUUAUUUAGAAAGUUGUUCACAAGAUUUGUCUUAUUUAAAAAGCUAUUUAUUUAUUUUUUUAAAAAAUAGUUGUUACUGAUGUUAUAAACUAGAUGUGGGGGACAGAUAUCCCCCGUGUCCACUAAAAGAGUAAAAGACCUCACGAAAGGCCCAAGGGCCCAAUAAAUCGUAAGGUCAUUCUUUCGUGGGCCUGGGGAGGGACAAUCAGCAAAGCAGAUCGACAUGAGGCCGGAUUGAUGCCAGCCCGGACGGCCCACAACGUCGAGCGAGCGACCACAACAGAGAUCCGACUUUCCCGCGCUGGAGCCCCCAUGCAACGGAGCCAUGCGGGGAUAGGUCGGCAGAACUACAGGGAGAUAAACUCAAACAGUUCACUAUCUUUUAGCUACACAUUGUUAUCAUAUCCACGUGUAUUACCCCACGGUCGAGUAUAUAAGGCCUAGGGGGGACCCCUUCAGAACGAUCGACCUAUUACUCGGCCACCCACCUCAACUCUCUGCGUUCUCAAUUCAGAGAGCUCCCUUGUAACCUCAUUCACCAAGCAUACUCACCAGGACGUAGGGUGUUACGCAUCUCCAAGCGGCCCGAACCUGUAAACAUUGUCUAUUGUCCCUCGUGCAUCUGGCACGAACCAUUUUGCUACAGUCGGCGACACCGUCCUACUCCUAAAAACACCUUGAGGGGCAACCCCGGGUGUGCGGUCGGACCCAAAACACCGAUAGCUGGCGCGCCAGGUAGGGGGUGUGUCGACGACCCAAGCUAGCUCAAUGGCCGUCACCUUCCACAGCAAGAUCACCCUCCGUCCCGGAUCCGUAUUCUGCUUCGGAACAAUCUCGUCCGUAGCAGAUGAAGAGGGAACUCUACACCGCAUUGCGGACCCGCCGGAAAAUAAGUCUCCUCCAACAAACUCCGAAAAUGUCGGAGAAGGGCAACCUCCAGCUCUCCAGAAAAAGAUUGUCCCCGGAAAGUCAGGGGCCGAGGGCCCGCUGACCCGGAGAACUCCACUGUCUACUUCCCCGACAAAAGAAUGGACACAGAUCGCGAGGAAGAAGGAGACCAAGGGGAAGCAAGUUGUUCUUUUCGUUCCUCCGCCCUCAAAGGAGAACGGAAAGAAGGUCGUCACGACAGCAGCACCAUUCUAUCCCGACGUCCUCUUCAUCGGGAGAGUGGAGUCGCCUACCGUCUCCGACGACGAGCCGACCGCACCCGGAGAAGAACCACCUCAACGAGAAUCCCGCCGACAGAGAAACCGGCGCAGGAACGUUCGACGACAUCACGCGGCCGGAGAACGGGAUCCGGAGCAACCUGUCUCGCGGGACGAGGUCUCGGAGAUAGGAGAAACUCCGGAGGAACGCGUCUUUAGAGAACGAAGGAACUCCCGACGACGUGAUCGCCGCCGGGCUUAGGAACAAGCCGAGCAAGAAGCAAGGCAACGCCGGGAGAAUCCAUUCUUCGGGCGCAACCUGAAUCCCGACUUCGCUCGAGCCAUGAACACGCCGAGCGAAGUUGGAGGAGUACUAGCUCGGAUAGCUGAUGGACUCCCUCGGACUCCCGACGCCGAGGGCUACCGACGAUUGUUCACCCAGGCAGCCAACCAUCUUCUACCGCUUGCUCACCCGCCGAACGAUCUACGACACGCCAUCAACAGUCACCGAGACGCGCGAAGCUCCAUCAAUGCUUCGCGUGAACGACGACAUGAGAACGGGAUCCGCCGUCGGGAGGAGUACGACAGGGAUCAUGGCAUCCCAGCUCGGAGCCAGGCCACCAGAACUGAGUCGGCAACAGCCUCAACUGGCGGAACUACCUGGGGACGGUCGAGGAACCACAACAACUACUCCCCUCCCCGGGACAGACAUCAUCCCCGACGACAGGAGGACACAUGCGGAGUGUCUGCUCUUACUCCGCGCCUUAGGGCCAUCCAAUGGCCUCCCAACUUCAAGGUAUCCAAUGUCGACAAAUAUGAACCUAAGCAGGAUCCAGGGGGUUGGCUAGCCGUCUACACCACCGCUGCUCGAGCUGCCGGGGCGUCCGAAGAUGUGAUGACCGCGUACUUACCCAUUGUCCUUGGGCAAGACGCGCUGCAAUGGCUGCGACAUCUACCCCGACACUGCAUCGACGACUGGGGCGACUUCAGUCGGCGCUUCACCGCCAAUUUCUAGUCCCUCUCCGACAAACCGGCGCAACCGUGGGACCUCAAAUCCAUCAAGCGCCAGGGAGACGAAACUCUCCGGUCGUACCUCAAAAGGUUCCAGACCAUGAGAAAUCGUAUCCCCGAGGUCACGGAGGCGGCCGUGAUCGAGGACUUCUACAGAGGAUCCAAUGACUCGGCUUUCGUCCGAGCCAUAUUACAGAAGGCGCCGACUACCUCCGAGGAGCUGUUCCGGGAAGCCGGCCUCUACAUCACCGCCGACGAGCGGGCCCAGGACCUCAUCGGAGGAGCGAAGCCCGCACUGGCAGCGCCACGACGCGACGCGAACCAGCAACCCGACAAACGCUGGGAGAAGAGGCCCCGCGAAGAAGUACACGCCGCCGGGCCGCCAGCCUCUCGCGCCCGAGGAGGACCUCGCGGAGGCGAGCGCACGCUGGACGACAUCCUCGACGCCCAGUGCCCGUACCACAAGGACAUGCGCCACACUCUUCGGAACUGCCGAGACUUCAAGCACUCCGUCGGGCACGGCCGACCCUUCCAACCUCUACCUCCUCCUCCACCGAGGGGAGGACCAGAUGAACCACGACAACCCCAUCAGCAGGAGGAGGGAGGAAGAGGAGCUUUCCCACGCGUUGACAGGGAGGUCAACGUCAUCUUCGGUGGACACGGGUCACAGGAGAACAAAAGACAACAAAAGCUCAACGACCGCCAGAUACUGGUGGCGACCACUGGUCCUCCCGCCCCAUACCGGUGGUCGGAGCACCCGAUCAUUUUCACUCGGGAGGAUCAAUGGCUUAACUUCGACCAUCCAGGCAAAUACCCGCUCCUCGUCGAUCCGGUGAUCCGAGAGAGCCGGGUGAAGAAGGUGCUAGUGGACGGGGGGAGCAGCAUCAACGUCACCUUCCCCCGAACACUCCAAGGCUUGGGAGUUCACCUCAAAGAGCUCCACGAGUCGGACACUCCCUUCUUCGGCAUCGUGCCGACUGAAGGGGAAUACCCGCUGGGCCACAUCUACAUGCCUGUCACCUUCGGAACUCCAGAGAACUACAGAACCGAGUUCCUGAGGUUCGAAGUGGCGAACUUCGACUGCGGGUACAACACCAUCAUCGGGAGGCCGGGAUUGGCCAAAUUCAUGGUCAUUCCGCAUUACACGUACAUGAUACUGAAGAUGCCAGGACCGCAAGGAAUCAUAACUGUGCGCGCCGACUUCCAAGGCACCGCAGAGUGUUUCCGAGUGGCCAUCCAAGCAGCCCUCACCACCAAGCCAUCGACGAUUUCUUCAACACAGGCGAACUCUAAGCCUGAGGAGGACCUUGCAGUACCGGCAAACGAAGCUCAGGCUGCGACCUCUAUGCGGCCGACUAAAGAAACUAAAAGGAUCAACCUGGGGUUCGCUGAUGAACGCAAGACUGCCAUCAUCAGCUCCAGCCUGGACGACAAAUAGGAAAGCGCGCUCGUCCAGUUUCUGCAAGAUAACCGAGACGUAUUCGCGUGGCAACCUGCGGAUAUGCCGGGAGUCCCAAGAGAACUGGCCGAGCACAAACUGAAAGUCUAUCCCCAGGCGAGGCCGAUCCGGCAAAAACUACGACGUUUCACGCCUGACAAGAGAGAGGCCAUUCGCGCCGAGUUAGCUCGCUUGGUCACGGCUGGAUUUAUUAGAGAAGUAUUACACCCUGAGUGGUUAGCCAACCCUGUUCUUGUACUCAAAAAGAAUAAAGUGGAUUGGCGCAUGUGCGUCGACUAUACUGAUCUCAACAAACACUGUCCGAAGGAUCCCUUUGGGCUCCCGAGGAUAGAUCAGGUGGUGGACUUCACCGCUGGAUGUUCUGUGCUGUCUUUCCUGGAUUGCUAUUCCGGAUACCACCAGAUUAGCUUGGCAAAGGAAGACGAAGAAAAAACAGCGUUCAUUACUCCGUUUGGUGCUUUCUGUUAUACCUCCAUGCCGUUCGGCCUCAAAAACGCUGGAGCGACUUAUCAGAGAGCCAUUCAAACAUGCUUAGCCGAUCACUGGGGCAAGCGUGUGGAGGCCUACGUAGAUGAUGUGGUAAUCAAAACAGAGUACUCGGAAAACUUCAUCGAAGACUUACAGCUGGUUUUCAACAGUCUGAGACGGUAUAGAUGGAAGCUUAAUCCCAAAAAAUGUGUUUUCGGGGUACCAGCAGGAAAGUUACUCGGGUUUAUUGUCAGCCACCGGGGAAUUGAAGCUAACCCGGAUAAGAUUGAAGCUAUCAUGAAGAUGGAAUCACCUCGAUCACAAAAGAAGGUUCAGCGACUUACUGGAUGUAUGGUAGCUCUGAGCAGAUUUGUAUCCAGGCUGGGGGAAAAAGGUUUACCAUUUUACAAGCUACUCAAGAAGGUGGAUAAGUUUCAGUGGACUUCAGAGGCAUAGGAAGCUCUAGAUGCACUGAAGAAAUUCUUGACAUCACCACCAGUACUGAAGCCACCACGACGAGCUACAUCAACUCAACCAGCUGAAGAUCUGCUACUGUAUAUCUCUUGCACGACUCACGUGGUAAGCACCGCGUUGGUAGUCGAGCGAGCAGAAGAAGGACAUGCCUACCCAGUGCAACAUCCUGUUUACUUCAUCAGUGAUGUUCUGGGCCCCUCAAAGAAAAAGUAUCCUCAAGUUCAGAAGCUAUUGUAUGCAGUACUUCUAACUGCCCGCAAGCUACGUCACUACUUUGAUGACCACAAAGUCAUAGUAGUCACUGGUUUUCCGAUAGGGGAUAUUCUUCACAACAAGGAAGCCAUUGGCCGAAUAGCCAAGUGGGCUUGUGAGCUGGGAUCUCAUGACAUCGAGUUCCGACCUCGUACUGCCAUCAAAACUCAAGCACUGGUUGAUUUCGUAUCAGAGUGGACUGAACAGCAAGUACCAGAUAACCCAGAGACUACAGAAGUGUGGCGAAUGUAUUUUGAUGGCUCGCUGAAGCUGCAGGGAGCAGGAGCAGGAAUUCUCUUCACUGCACCUGGAGGCGAGCACCUCAAAUAUGCCCUCCAGUUGCUGUUUCCGGCCUCCAACAAUGCAGCCGAGUAUGAAGCUCUGAUCCAUGGAUUGAACAUCGCCAUAUCAUUGGGCAUCAAGAGAUUGAUGGUGUACGGAGACUCUCUGGUAGUCAUUAGCCAGAUAAACAAAGAGUGGCAUUGUUCAAGCGAUUCAAUGGGAAAAUACUGUACUGCCGUCCGAAAGCUGGAAGAUAAAUUUGAGGGUCUGGAAUUUCAUCAUGUAGAAAGAGAUCGGAACACAGCAGCCGAUGUGUUGUCCAAGCUAGGAUCCAGUCGAACUCAGGUCCCACCUGGAGUCUUUGUGCAAGAAAUACUACAGCCGAGCAUCUCAAUGGAUCAAGCAGAAGAGUGUAAUAUUAUAGAUCAACCCGAGUCAGACUCUGAUGACUGGAGAAGGCCAAUCAUCAGGUAUAUAAAGAAUGAAGAGGAACCAGAUGACAAGAAUUCAGCCGAGCGCAUUGCCAGACAGUCGGCUCACAACACACUCAUUGGGGAGACAUUGUACAAAAAGGGUGCAUCAGGCGUCCUCAUGAAGUGCAUUCUCCCAUCUGCUGGGAAGCGACUUCUGGAGGAGGUCCAUGCUGGGCAAUGUGGAAUACAUGCAACAUCCAGAACACUAGUCGGAAAGGUCUUCAGGUCAGGAUUCUAUUGGCCAACAGCGAAGAGUGAUGCAGCCAAGUUAGUUUAGAGGUGCGAAGCUUGCCAAUACUUGUCAAAACAACAACAUCUAGCAGCACAACAACUGCAGACCAUACCAGUAAGUUGGCCUUUCGCAUGCUGGGGACUGGAUAUGAUUGGACCUUUCAAGAAAGCUCAAGGAGGAUACACUCAUGUAUUGGUAGCAAUCGACAAAUUCACUAAAUGGAUAGAGUUCAAGCCCAUUGCUUCUUUAACCUCAGCUAAGGCCGUGGAAUUCAUACAAGACAUAAUAUUCAGAUUCGGGAUACCAAACAGCAUCAUAACUGACCUAGGAUCCAACUUCACAAGUUCAGAGUUCCUCGACUUCUGCGAGCAAAAAAGCAUUCAGAUCAAGUAUGCUUCUGUAGCACAUCCAAGAGCCAACGGGUAGGUCGAGCGAGCCAACGGGAUGAUACUGGAGGCACUCAGGAAAAAGGUCUUCAAUAAGAAUGAAAAAUUCGCAGGAACGAUUCGCUUCCAUGGUUGAAAGUAGUGGGACUGCCACAUAAUACAAUGAAAAUGAAUUCAUUCUCGGUUGAGCAGGAGAUUCUGAUCCAGAAGAUGCCGCAGAAGACUUUGAAACGAAAGUGGAUAAGGGAAUUGCCGUAUGUCGUUUGGAGCCUAAGAACCCAACUUAGCCGAGCUCUGCAUGGAAACACUCCUUUCUUCAUGGUCUAUGGGUCGGAGGCAGUGUUACCCGCCGAUCUCAAGUUCGGGGCGCCAAGAUUGAUCUUCGAAAACAUAGCAGAAGUCGAAGCCACCAGGCUGGAGGACAUUGAUAUACUCGAGGAAGAACGAUUGAAUGCAGUAAUCCAAUCAGCACGGUACCAGCAGACUCUAAGGCGCUAUCACGACAAGGCCGUGCGACAGCGAUUCUUCUCAGUAGGAGAUCUCGUCCUCCGCCGAAUUCUAACGGGGGAGGGACGACACAAGUUAUCGCCCUUAUGGGAAGGACCCUUCAUAGUAGCAGAAGCCACUCGGCCAGGAUCAUAUCGUCUCACUCAGAUGGACGGCACAGAAGUCGGGAACUCCUGGAACAUAGAACACCUCAGGAAGUUUUAUCCCUAACUGUAUUUCAAAAGCUAUCGGGACGACGAUGUACUCUGUAAAAUGGAAAUAUGUCAUCAAUAAAAAAGGGCUUCAAAGAUACUCAGUUUGUUCACGAUUGACUUGCAUUCUUACUUAACUCGGGGUGACCAUUAUGCCCUGCUAACGGAGCAAUCGACUUAAGUCGGCAACGUCUUAAGGCGGUGCAACAUGCUCACGCUUACUUAACGGGGUGACCACUAUGCCCUGCUAACGGAGCAAUCGGCUUAAGUCGGCAACGACUUAAGGCGGUGCAACAUGCUCACGCUUACUUAACUCGGGGUGACCACUAUGCCCUGCUAACGGAGCAAUCGGCUUAAGUCGGCAACGACUUAAGGCGGUGCAACAUGCUCACGCUUACUUAACUCGGGGUGACCACUAUGCCCUGCUAACGGAGCAAUCGGCUUAAGUCGGCAACGACUUAAGGCGGUGCAACAUGCUCACGCUUACUUAACUCGGGGUCACCACUAUGCCCUGCUAACGGAGCAAUCGGCUUAAGUCGGCAACGACUUAAGGCGGUGCUACAUGCUCACGCUUACUUAACUCGGGGUGACCACUAUGCCCUGCUAACGGAGCAAUCGACUAAAGUCAGCAGCAACUUAAGCCGGUGCAACAUGCUCACGCCUAUGCAAUCCAGGGUGACCACUACGCCCUAUUAACAGAAGCAAUCGACUUAAGUCAGUAGCGACUUGAGGCGAUCUGACGUGAUUGCAAUUACUCAUAUAAGGAUGACUUCUAUAUCCUGCAAACAAAUUUCAAAACUAUCGCGCAUCAUUUUACUACUGCAUAUUUAUGAACUGAUGAAUUCUGAAACAACAUGAGAAUAACAAUAUCGUCCAAGUACUGAAAUGACGUCCUAUAACAAAUGUCUGACCAUGCUAACCGCGCGCUCAAAACACGCAAAAUGUUUCUCUAUUUUGUGGUAUUUUUCUCAGGAGCAAUCGAUGAAGAAGGACGACUCGAGGAAUCAGGGGCAGCAUUCACGUCAGCCCUUAUAUCUUCGGGAACAACCACGCCGGGUCUACUCAUCAAGAUUCGCCCCGCCCGAAUAGCCUUGUCCAUGGCUCUGUCGCGCUGGGCCCUGAGGGUAACGGAAGUUUCUUCAGCAACCUUGGCAGCCAGCCAAGCAGUUUCUAACUCCUGGGCGAUGGAUUUCUUGGAAGCUCGGAGUUCUUUGAUGGUAGCGUCCUUCGCUGAUAUCAACUGCUUGAGCCGGGUCACCUCAUCCGUGGAUUCCUGCAGCUUACAGCGUUGGUUGUCUAACUCUUCCAUGGUGAAGCGAUGACUCCUUUCCAGGAUAGUCAGCGAGUUGCUAGAAUCACGAUACAAUCUGUCAAGACUGUCGCGAGAAGCAGCAAGGAUACGUUUUUCUUCCUGCAAGCAGAAGUCAACUCCCUCAAGCAUCAAGCAAGUAAUAGGAUCACGACAAGGCAAAGCACGGUUUCAUAAGUCACCUUUUCAGAAUUAAGCUGAGCAUGAAGAGAAGAACUCAGUGCAUUGGCGUCAUCUAAGGCAGCAGAGACCUGAGCUAGUUCAAUCUGACUUUGAGAAUACUUCCCUUCAAAGUCAGAGCACCGCUGGACCAUUUCAGCCUGAUCUCGAGAAUGUUUUUCUUCAAGAGUGGAAAUCUGUCGAGUCAUACCUAGCAGGAGACAACCAAACAAAGGGGGUCAGGAUGUAAAGCAGUUUAAUAGAGAAGACAAAAGAGAAGCAAAAAGCACUAACCAGCGUUGGUCGCCUCCAGUUCAGAGACACGAUGUUGAAGUGACACUGGAUUCCAACAUGCAAGAGACGAAGCUACUUCUGGGACAGAAGCACCCUGUAACCUCAGCUGGCUAGCCAUCCCAUCCACCAAAGCCUGAUGAGGAGAACAGAUGAGUGUAAUGACAGCAGUUCAUGCAGUGUAAAAACCAAGCUAAAAUACAUCACAGUACCUGGAGGUUGGAAAAGAACGAAGGGAUCCCCAAAUCAGGAGAGAUCAAUUGAUAACCGGGCGUAAGGCCACCACCCGAAGCAGCUUGCAACGAAUCAGCAGGAAUCAGAUCGGUGCCAUCAACAGAGCCCAACACUCGGUCAGCGGGGACGCUACCCUCUAAAGCGACUCCCUGGUCCAAGGCUUGGGCUACCACCAUACAGCCGGAGUGUGGAGGCGAUCCCGCAUGAACGUCCAUGGAAGUACAAGAGGGAGACUCCGCUCGGACAUCCUCGGGGGCUGGGUCAUAGUUUGCACUGCCCACUUCAGCCGGAUCAUCCUCGGCAGCACCCUCGGGGGCUGGGCAGUGGCUUGCACUUCCCACCCGAACCAAGUCAUCCCCAACAACAUUCUCGGGGGCUGAGCACGUGUCAACACCAUCCUUGGGGUCCAAGUUCUCUGCGGUAGCCACCUCUAAGGCUGAUGGACCCUCAGUUACUUCCAUAGGACCAGGACGAUCCAAGUUAGUCUCCCGACCCUCGAGAUCGCGCUCUAAGGUCGACGAGGCACGGGAUGACCUCAACCCAGCAUCAAGCACAUCAGCACAAACCUCCAUCACACCAUCACCUGCUGGCUCCGAUAACAAAUCUUCUGGAACCAUAUCCUCAAGAGUCUGAUCAAAAUUAGCCAGGGACAGUUAUUGCAGACCAAUGAGAGCAGACAAAGCAGGACAAGGAACUCCACUACUUUCACCGCUAGCGAUGAACUGCCGAUUGUUUUUCCGAGUCAAAGGAACUUCAUCUUCUUCCUCCUCGUCGUCCACAUUAGCAACACAGGCAGCACCCCCAUUGGGAUCAGCAACAAAUGGAGCACCCACAUUGGGAUCAGCAACAGAUUGGGUACACCCAUUGGGGUCAGCGUCAGUAAAUUCAGUCACAGGCACUUCUUCAGCAGCAGGAACCGAGGUACCAACGUCCCGAUCCAAACUGGAUACUCGCCGGAGGCGUCUCUUUUUCUUUUUUCUGCUCAUCAGCAGAAGGAUCAGGUUGACUGGCUCGACAAGGGCGCCUCGGGCGAGUACUGGCAGGCUUCUGAGUAUCCAAAGUUGUAUCAGCCUCUGGGAGGGGCGCCACUACCAAUGCCCCAGCAGGAGCAGCAUCAGAAGAGUCCUCAGCCAGCAAAUCAAGCAUAGCGCUUAUCUCUGCAUCACUAGGGUUCAGGGGCACCUCAAAAUGGAGCUGCCGUUCAUCAUCAGGAAUCUCCCCGAGCGAGGCAACCAAGGCACUAACUUCUUCAGCAGAAGGCCGCACUCUAAGGCCCAAACUACCAUCAGUGACAGGAGGAUUCGACACCCAAUGAAGUUCAGGGUCCUACAAAACAAAAUGCCGACCUCUAAGGCACAAGCACGAAACGAAGCUUCGGUUUACGAGUGAUCAAAGCAGGAGGAGACAGUAAGAAGUCGUUUUCUUCAAAUCGCCUGCAAGCUGGACCUGAGAUCUUUGGGCUGAUUACCUCUAAAUUAACCCAAAGAUCGGGGGCUUGUGGGGGACAGAUAUCCCCGGGUCCACUAAAAGAGUAAAAGACCUCACGAAAGGCCCAAGGGCCCAAUAAAUCAUAAGGUCAUUCUUUCGUGGGCCUGGGGAGGGACAAUCAGCAAAGAGCGAACACAACAGAGAUCCGACUUUCCCGCGCUGGAGCCCCCAUGCAACGGAGCCAUGCGGGGAUAGGUCGGCAGAACUACAGGGAGAUAAACUCAAACAGUUCACUAUCUUUUAGCUACACAUUGUUAUCAUAUCCACGUGUAUUACCCCACGGUCGAGUAUAUAAGGCAUAGGGGGACCCCUUCAGAACGAUCGACCUAUUACUCGGCCACCCACCUCAACUCUCUGCGUUCUCAAUUCAGAGAGCUCCCUUGUAACCUCAUUCACCAAGCAUACUCACCAGGACGUAGGGUGUUACGCAUCUCCAAGCGGCCCGAACCUGUAAACAUUGUCUAUUGUCCCUCGUGCAUCUGACACGAACCAUUUUGCUACAGUCGGCGACACCGCCCUACUCCUAAAAACACCUUGAGGGACAACCCUAAGUGUGCAGUCGGACCCAAAAUACCGACACUAGAUGUAUAUAUAGGACCUCCGUAUAGAUUUUGCUUAGGCCCCCGAAUUCUCGGGACCGGCCUUGCAUCUGCUUCAUUUGAGGAUGCUGCAGAAUCUGGCGGCUUCGAGCUUCACUCACAGCGACGUAAGGGUUGGUUAGAGCAACUGAAUCUGUCAUGUUGUUUUCUCUUGGAAUGUGUUUUAUACUGGAUGUAACUGUAACCCAUCUGGAUGUUGUACACAACGGGAAAUAGACUAACUUCUGACGAUCAAAGCUAUUGGAAAUUAGGCAAAGUCAUCGAAAGUUAACUAACAUAUGAUGGUAUAAUUUAACUUCAAACGAGUGCGUAUCGGAACAAAUAGGACAGAAGAAAUGGGACGGAAGAAAUAGGACGUAUCACGUAUGGGUGUUUUGAUCUUUGCCCUUGAACUCUUUGAACUCUAAAAAAGACAAUGGGACAAUCGGUUAUAGUUUAUGGGCAUUGUUUACAUCAGCUGCUGUGAUUGUGUCAGAUGUGGGGUAUACCCAUAGUGCUGACUGUGGUCUCAAAGUCCGUGACCGAUUGUUUGGUUCUGUUUUUUCUAGCUCUAGGCUCACUACUUACUAGCGCAGCAAUCUAGGACAGUCCACGUGACGACGUCCUCAAAUGGAACUUUUCAUAUCUGUUAGUGCGAAUGUACAUACGGUACACACCUCAUAUAAGAACAGGGAGAGUGGCAUACUUACUGCCACGCCAUCUCCCCCAAUCACAAAACAAGAACCUCUGCCUUCGUUCAAAAAACCUCGCAAAUGGACGCCAGAAGCAGCAUGCACGUUGUGAUGCUGCCAUGGCUGGCUUUCGGCCACAUCCUCCCGUUCACCGAGCUCGCCAAGCGCAUAGCCCGGCAGGGCCACCGAGUCACACUCUUCUCCACGCCAAGAAACACCAGGCGGUUAAUCCGCAUCCCUCCAGAACUCGCGGAGCAUAUCCGCGUCGUGGACAUCGCCCUGCCGCGCGUGGAGCGCCUGCCGGAGGACGCCGAGGCGAGCAUAGACCUCCCAUCCGACGACCUCCGACCGCACCUCCACGUAGCCUACGACGCUGCCUUCGCCGGCAAGCUGUCGGAAAUCCUGCAGGAGCCGUAUCCAGGGAAGCCGGACUGGGUGGUCAUCGACUACGCCGCGCACUGGGCGCCGGCGGCCGCGGCGAGGCAUGGCGUACCAUGCGCGUUCCUGAGCCUGUUCAGCGCCGCGGUGGUCGUUUUCUAUGGCCCCGCGGAGGGGCUCAUGGGACGCGGGAGGUACGCAAGGGUGAAGCCAGAGCAGCUAACCGUGGUCCCUGACUACGUGCCGUUCCCGACCACCGUCGCGUACCGCGGCUUGGAGGCGCGCGAGUCUUUCACGCUGGUCUUGGCCCCGGACGAAUCUGGCAUGUCGGAUGGCUACCGGUUCGGCAAGUGCAUCGCAGAGAGCCAGCUCGUGGGCAUCAGGAGCAGCGCGGAGUUCGAACCGGAGUGGCUUCAGGUGGUCGGUGGGCUAUACCAGAAGCCGGUCAUCCCGGUCGGUCUAUUCCCUCCACCACCCACACAAGACAUCGGCGGCCACAAGGCAGCGCUGCAAUGGCUGGACGGGCAGCCGAGGCGCUCCGUUGUGUACGCGGCCUUCGGCAGCGAGGCGAAGCUGACUAGCGCACAGCUGCAGGCAAUAGCGCUCGGUCUCGAGGCUUCCGGCCUGCCGUUCCUGUGGGCAUUUAGGCAACCAGUCGAUGCCAACGAAGGCGAAAGCGGAUUGCCGGAAGGUUUCGAGGAGCGCAUCGACGGCCGCGGACUCGUCUGCCGCGGCUGGGUGCCUCAGACCAGGUUUUUGGCCCACGAAUCUGUCGGAGGGUUCUUGACCCACGCCGGCUGGAACUCCAUCAUUGAAGGCCUCGCCCGCGGCGUCAGGCUGGUGCUGCUACCGCUGGUGUUCGAUCAGGGCCUCAACGCGAGGCAUCUGACUGAGAAGAAGAUAAGUGUCGAGGUGCCACGGGACGAUGAAGAUGGCUCGUUCGCGCCGAAAGACAUUGCAGCUGCUUUGAGGAAGGUCCUGGUGGAGGAAGGAUGCGAGGUGUUCGGGGAUAAGGCCGAAGUGCUCGCCGUGUUGUUUGGAAAUGACGAGAUGAAUGAUCAGUGCGUGCGAGAUUUUCUCAAGUGCAUGUUAGAAUACAGCAGGCAGCAUCAGGGUGCAUUAUAGGGCUGAUAACGUCAAUUUUGUAUAGGGACAUAGGGGCUCUUUUCAAAGGUUUACUAACGACGGAGAGCAAGAACACUCCUCAGAUAAUAAAUACUACAAAGAAUUAAUGAAAAAUAUUGUUUUAUUUCCUCUAUGAGAAUAGAACAAAUAUACCUAUAUUAGUAUAUGCCAAUCUUAUCUUAUCAUUAUUAAUAUCUCUAACAGACAGAUCUUUAGAUCGAAUAAGGCGUCAUAAUUAGCUCCUUAUCAACGGGCAUGUAAUCAGCUGAAAACUAGUUCAUCAAGCUUCUGCAUGGCUAAUUAAAGUUUUCUAUUGGACGCUAAGGUUUGGAGACAGUUGCUCGUUCCCCUAGCUAUGGAGGAUGCCCAUGGCGACAUCGUGCGACAAAACCGUCCCAUCAUUAUCCAUUGUCGGACCUGAUUUUUUAUAGGCUGUGUCGUAAUAAUUUUUAAUAUACAAUUCUGCAUAAUGUGUAUAUGAUUUCAUAGUAUUAUAUAAUUUUAUAGUAAAUUUAAUAACCAAUUUGGUACAGAGAUAUAAAGUCUAAUACUCAACAAGUUACAUAUAUUAGAAUAUAAAUAGUUCGAACAUGUUAUAAAAUAGACAUAAAAAUUACAAUACUACUUAUCUGGUGGUGUUGAUGAUGUCGUGUGGCGAUGGCAGAUAUGUCGUAGGUUUCACAAUUACUUCAGUAUUCUCUCUCUUCCUCUGCUAAUUUAUAUUUGAGCCACUAUAAUAAAAAAUAAAGUGAAUCAACAAUUAAUAAGACAACAAUUAACAAUGAAAUAUAUAUCUAUGUUGCAACAUAUAUUAAUCAUUGCAUAAUUACAAUUAAAGCUAACAAAGUAAUAGCUAGGGUUCACAAAUCACAAUAAAAACUUUGGAAAUUAAGAAUUAGAUAAUAGGAAUUGCUGGCUUGCUACUAUAGGGGAGGAGAUGACAUAUGGGCAGAGUUGUCGCCUGCAGAGAUCGAGAUGCUCGAGUAGUGGUUGGGCGAGGCAUGGUCGUGUGGGCGCUCGGCGAGUGACGGCCCACAGCUGGUGAAUGGGCGCUCCGACACAGUGCUAGAAACUUCGGCGACAACUCUUGUCGACAGGCCCUAGGCCAGGGAGCAGCGGCGGCAAGCGCAAAGAGCCCAGGAGUGGCGACGUUCGGGCGCUAGGUAUAGGGGCGUGCUAGUGCGGGGCUCAGACCAUCGGGCUUCGUCUUUCGAGCGUCGCAAAUUCAUAGACGCUCUACGCUUGCUCCUUGAAAAAAUGCCCGGGCCGGAAGAAAUGGGGCUAAGGUGGGGUCUUAGUGGGCUUGCCUUAGUAUGUGCCAUGGCUCAUGUAGACCCACAUGUGGGUCUGGCCCUGCCAUCAGCCUCGAUCUUCUUAAGCUAUUCUUAAUGAUGAUUUUAUUUUAUUUCAUCUUUAUUAAAUAUCCCAUCACAUGGAGUAUGAUGAUAUGGCAAGGAUUUAAUAAGAGAGGUAUAGAGAGUUUCAUGAGAAGGCGAGAGUUUCGUUUAGAUGAAACUCGGGAUGCAUGAUUUUUAUAGACAAAAACUGAUGUAGCGUUUAAAAAAAUGUGUAAUAAAACUCUACACUAAAAAUAGCUUUAGACAUCAAAAGCUUACCUAUGUGGUUUUGAAGCGUCUGUAUACGCCGCUCGACCUCAUCUUGGUGCUAUCGUCGAGGCAACACACCAUCAUCACACUUUAUAGUCGCCUCCUAUGGUGGGAGACCUAUAACAAAAGCUUCUUUUUGACUUGCACUCCUCUAUCGUCUCCAAUCUCGUGGCUCCUUCACUGGCAUCAUCGCCAAUUUGGGUAGCUCAUCCCUCUCUUGUGACCCUAAAUUCGAUUCUCACUGCAUGAGUGACCCUCUAAUUUGCAAUGGAUUCUUGGUACGAGGUUGUAUCAUCUUAAGACUAUGCAAUUCAUGUCUGGCAUGUCCGAAACACUGGGACGUCAUAAACCUGGUUGUAACUUGUGUUUUCAUUCAUCCCACGCUCGAUGUCACCAUGGUUGCCUUCCCAAGAACUCUCGAUCCUCCACAAGGAUGAAGACUACUUUCAAUGGGCGGGUUAUGGUUUUUUGGCCUGCCUAAAGCAUUAUUUCCGCUUCUGACAGUAAUGCACACUGUUGAAUAUAGAAUGUUAUAAAUGUUAAAGAUAUAAGGUUAUGUAGAGUAGGAAAUGGACAUACUCCUUGUUUGAUUUAAGGCUAUGACCCCUAAUAUUGUCAGUACUGUUACAUGCCAUGUAAAGGCUUAUGUCUACGUCAUAUCUCUUUAUAUAUACGAGUACAACCCUAAGAGGAUUUUGCAUUGCACUACUUUAACAUGGUACCGAGCAUAAGAAAUUUUUCUAAUUCCCCACCACAGAUCCUUCUUCUUCCUCCUCCCAUGUCGGAUGCUACUGCUUCUCCACCAUGGUGUCGAUCCCCAUACAUAAGUUGUCAUCAUUUGACUGACUAAAUUAAAUUUUCUCAUAAGGCAUUCUCAAUUCCUUUCACAUCUACAGAGCUCAGAGUUUUAAGGAUACCUUGAUGGAUCCAAUGUCAUCCCUGAGAAGAAGAUCAUGCAUCGACAACCACUGGCGCAACUAAAUCUCUAAUCCAACAUAUGUAGCUGGUAUGAUCAGGAUCAACAACUGUUGAGUGGUCUUCUCUUGUCGAUGACCAAAGGAGGCAUGGGACUUCCUCCAAAAGAAAUCCGCCUCAUCCACGAAGUCAUGCAUGGUGCAAAUUCAUGUGAAACUUGAUACAUCGAAGAAACGUGACCCUCCUACCACGUCUUCAAAUACCAAAGUCUACACUCGCUCUUGCGCCGUACUUGAAUCAACAAUCAAAAUCUCCAAGUCAAGACACUUGUGAGCAAUCAAGUUGUGACUAACUCAAAUGUGAAUACCGUUGUAAAACAUCUCAUCAAUCUCCAAAAUCCCAAAACAACCUUUGUUAUUUGUUCUUAAAUUUUACAAAGCUCGUGGAGAUAAUCUAAUAAAAACAGAGAAUCGCUAUUGGGUCAUGUCGGCCGGGAUUGUUGAAUUCAAAGUGCCGGUUCUGUCCCCACUACUCUCAAGUCAUGCGCAACAUCGCUGCUGGAUCAUAAUGGCUGGGAUCGUCAGCUGUGACAAAAUGGAUUCGUCUAAUCCAUGACCCAGCCUGGCUGAUUGAUUGCUUUUAUUUUUAUAUACCCACUGUCUGCUUGAGUACGAUAAUAGGACAUGAGAAUUUUAAGUCCACAAACUGAGGACACGUACAAUCUAUAGACUCUUGUUCGAUUUUUCAUUUAGAAAAUACGGUUAAGAAACCGCACCAUACAACUCUAACUUCUAAAACAUUAAUACAGUUAAGAUAGUUAAGAAACCGUGUAUAUAGAAAGUCGCGAAGAGACGAGCUCUAAAGAUUUCUCAAGAGACCCCUCAAUUAAUGGGUUGUACAUGCCACGACCCACGAUAAGUCUUCAUGUCUAGAAGCUUGCGUACCAACAAAACUGCAAUUAUCUCCUCAGUCUCCUUCAAACAACUCUUUUUUCUAUUGUUAGACUCGAAGCCUAUCCCCUUCACGGAGCUCUCGCCAAGCGCUAUGGGGGACGCCAACGGCGGCAGUAUGCACGUUGUGAUGCUGCCAUGGCUGGCGUUCGGCCACAUCCUCCCCUUCACGGAGCUCGCCAAGCGCAUAGCUAGGCAGGGCCACCGGGUCACCCUCUUCUCCACGCCAAGAAACACCAGGCGGUUAAUCCGCAUCCCUCCAGAACUCGCGGGGCAUAUCCGCGUCGUGGACAUCGCGCUGCCGCGCGUGGAGCGCCUGCCGGAGGACUGCGAGGCGAGCAUAGACCUGCCAUCCGACGACCUCCGCCCGUACCUCCGCGUAGCCUACGACACCGCCUUCGCCGACAAACUCUCGGCCAUCCUGAAGGAGCCGGGGCCGGAGAGGCCGGACUGGGUGCUCAUCGACUACGCCGCGUACUGGGCGCCAGCGGCCGCGGCGAAGCACGGCGUGCCGUGCGCCUUCCUGAGCCUGUUCGGCGCCGCGACGCUCAGUUUCUAUGGUCCCCCGGAGGGGCUCAUGGGACGCGGCAAGUACGCCAGGACGAAGCCGGAGGACCUCACCGUAGUACCCGACUACGUGCCGUUCCCAACCACCGUCGCGCACCGCAGCUUCGAGGCGCGCGAGCUAUUCAAGCCAGGCCUUGUCCCGGACGACUCCGGCGUGUCGGAGGGCCACAGAUUCGGCGUGUCCAUCGGAGAGAGCCAGAUUGUAGGCAUCAGGAGCAGAACAGAGCUCGAGUCGGAGUGGCUGCAGGUGCUUGGCAAGCUCUACAAGAAGCCGGUGAUCCCGAUCGGCCUGUUCCCUCCGCCGCCCACGCAAGACAUCGCCGGCCACGAGGCGACUUUGCGGUGGCUGGACAGGCAGGCUCAGGGCUCCGUCGUGUACGCGGCCUUCGGCAGCGAGGCGAAGCUGACGAGCGCGCAGCUCCAAACAAUUGCGCUAGGUUUGGAGGCUUCCGGCCUGCCGUUCCUCUGGGCAUUCAGGCCGCCAGCCGACGCCGCACCCGGACAAGGCACGGGCGGGUUGCCCGAAGGCUUCGAGGAGCGUGUCAAUGACCGGGGAUUGGUCUGCCGCGGCUGGGUGCCUCAACCCAGGCUUUUGGCUCAUGAAUCGGUUGGUGGGUUUCUGACCCAUGCCGGCUGGAACUCCAUCGCCGAAGGCCUCUCGCGGGGCGUCACGAUGGUGCUGUUGCCGCUGAUGUUCGAUCAGGGCCUCAACGCCAGGCUUCUUGUGGAUAAGAAGAUCGGGAUUGAGGUGGAGAGGGACGAAGACGACGGCACGUUCGCGCCCAAAGACAUCGCAGAUGCUCUGAGGACGGCCAUGGCGGAGAACCAAGACGGAACUAGGGUCAAGGAACUGGCCGAGGUGUUUGGAAAUGACGAGGCCAAUGAUCAGUGCCUGCGAGAUUUCCUCCGGUAUCUGUCAGAAUACAUCAGGCAGCAUCAAGGUUAGUUCCAGUCCAUUUCGAGGCUAAUGUUAAUGCAGAAAAGGGCAAAGAAAUGGCAGUGAGUCACGUCACGCCAUCAAAAAAAAUCCUUCCAGGCAAAUACUACUCCGUAGACAAUAGAAUAUGGAAUGGAAGCAUGCAUCUUUGAGAUUAUUGCCAAGAAAUUCUUGCUCUCUCUUCUUUAGAAAAAAAAGGAAGUUUUCUUUGUUAAGAAAUCUCUUUUUUUAAGGAUGUGAUGACAGCGGCCGACGGCCAGACCGAUUUUACGCGGUGUUGUUUGGUUAUUCAUACGAGGAUUCUAUGAGAUUAAUAAAGUAAGAGAGAUUUUGACUUUAAAAUGAACAGCCCUUCAAGGUUGAAACAUCUUAAGUUUUACUUGGUACGUACCCGUGUCAUGCUACGGAACACAAAUUGUGAGCCUCCAACAGGUUCAGGGCCCUGGCGAUGGACGGAGUGAGUACAAUGAUGACGGCAAAAUCCGUGAUUAAAGAUAGAUACAAAACCAUAUAAAUACGCUGGCGCAAAUAGAUUGAACCGAUGUCGAACAAACAUUAUCAAUAUCGCACAAAUAAUUUGUAAAGAGUAAAUAUAAAAUACUUAAUCAUAAGCAAAUAUGUUAACACCUCGUAUACUAAUCUAAUCUUUUUAGCAAUAUUGUUAAGUCUCUGUUGUAUGUUUGCAGGGAUGACAUAUUGACACGAAUUGACAUCGUAACAUAACAGAUCGAUAACAAAGUUCCUCCAAAGAAUCUUUGCAUCCUAUAUACAAGACAUAACCAUUGCUUACAAAUAUAGUCUAGGAACAAAACAGUGGCGAGAUAAAACUGAAAUUGCUUACAAUUUAAAAUAUAAAUUGAUCCAUACAGUAGUACGGAAGUUAUAAUACCUUCUCGAAGUAUUGUAGUUGCCAUCGAUUUUUUUUUGGUUUAGGGUUCAGACAAGGGAACGUCAAUUAUGCAUGCGAUGAAUCCUAAUUAAGGAAUAUAAUCAUGCAUGCCCUACAGAAAGGAAACACAGAACAAAAAAAGAAACACAAUAUUCAGGAAAGGAAUGCCCAGCCAUUGUAGGACUUUCCCUUUGAAUUAGACACAUUGAUGAGCAAGUAGAACAAGUGGUUAUAUUCUAGCCGCGAUGCUUAAAAUGAGGACGUGCAUCAAGUGCCACCAGAAAUAUCUUACCUUGUAUAAUUGUAAAGCCCAAAAUUGGUAGAAAAAAAUAAUACCAAUUAAAUAAAUAAAUAAAUAAAUUUAAGAUUGUGCUUUAGGGAUUUUUUUUACCAAGCCCAAAAUUCGCCCCCGGUAUCAAAGCUAGGAACUGCAGUAGCUACUCGAAAACCUUAUCCAUUACGCUAGAGGCUCUUUCGCAUAUAUAUAAAUAUAUGUGACUCACAUUGCAUCCUCAUCUUUUCCUGAUUGUGUAUUCUAAUUAAAUUUGAAGUUCAAACUUUAUUUGAAUCUAUUUGAAAUGGAAAAUUGAAAAUAGAAAAUAAAAAAAAGAAGAAAACGGGCAUUCCUCACUUGGGCCAUGCUUCACGCAUACAUGCCCACGUCCCAUGUAUAUGUUUUUUUUUACAUUUCUUUAUUUUUAUGGCUGGACGCUGCGUACUCAUGACGUCCGGCAUGAGGCCAGCAACCAUUUUUUUUUCGCUCGCGCGCCUGACCGGAGGUAGAAGCUAUGGCCGACGUGUGGGCCCAUACAUGCAGUUCUGUUCUUCUAGCUCAAGUCGGAAUCAGCCGAUAGUGUCGGCUUAGCUGUUGUAGCGAACAGGUCGCCCCUAUAUUCGCAUCAAUUCCGUUUGGGACUAUAAAGCCGGAAGUAGUAACAAACUCACCCGCAUAACAGAACACCCAUGAGUUUGUUAGAAAAAUCCGGAUGCUUGGAUCAGGCGCCCCUGGGAUAUAUAUAUUUGAAUGUCGUGGCCCUAGUCCUAUGGAUUCGAUAAGAUGGAAGCAUCGUGUCGCCGCCGGUGUUGAGCAGGAGAGCAGCCUAGUGAUCGAGGGGCGGAGCGAUGAUCACCGGGACCAUAGGGGGUUGUGCGUAGCUUUCUGGAGCACAGGGUCGAUCGUGAAGCCAGAGAUUUCUCGCCGAAGGCGAGCACAACCACAUAGCCAUGACUUCUCGCGGGCAGAAGGGGUUCCACACUGCAAAACUUUGUGAGUAUCAGUCUUAUAGAUUCGUCGUGGUCUACGCUUUGUGUAUCACUUGUCCGUGUUUGAUUUUAGUUCCUGAGCGACGUUUCGCUAGUCAUCGACGUGAUCGCCGCCGUAGAGCUAUGGCGCCGCCACAGUGGCGUGUUCGUCGUACGUAGUUGUUUUUAGGUAGAAGAUGGACACACCUAGAUCACAUAUAUUAUGUCUAUUUACCCAAUAGUUUUUAUAUGACCUCGAUCUAAACAAACAGAUCACGUCAGGUCACCUAUUUAUGUACAACCCUACUAAUUUAUUAAAAAUACGAUAUCUUCUAGGUCAGAUAAUUCGUUUUAAUCUAUUCAAGUUGUGUUAGGUUCAUAUCAAUUUUUGCGUAUGUGGUAAUAAUAUUGUUUUAAUUAUGCCACAUGGUUUAAUUAAUUAAUUACUUAUUUAAUUAAUGUUAAUUAGCUAGAUAAUCUAGUUAAUCUAAUUUAUAGUUCUAACCUACGUAUUUUAUAAAUAAUUGUUAAUAAAUUAAUAUCGACUCAAAUAUUUUAAUUUAAUACCUAUUUAGUUUAAAUGCAAUAUCUGUUAUAUCAUAUCUAUUAGAUUUAUUGUGCCUAAACUAUCGUUUUAUCCAUAAAUUCUUUGUUUUAGCUCUGAUUUUACUGGUUCUCGAACCUCGAUCUCGUAGCAACGCGUAGAUUAUUAUUACAUAAUUUGUACUUAUGUUUGGUGUAAUGUUAAUUUUGCCUAUACAAUGUUUGUUUGUAUUGCUACGACUAGAGCGAGGUCACGUGACAUCUAAAGAGCAAGUUGGUACCUGGAAUCUCAAGUCCCAGGCAAGUUGUGCCCUUGAUCACUUCUUUUACCCACUCAUGUUCUAAUUAAUCAUAAUGAUCUGCAUAGGUUAAUUUUGAUGGGACCUAACAGGUUACCCUAGUUUGUCUAUCUUUAUGCCUUGUUUACCACUGAACUUUUUGGGUAGUACUUGCUAGUGCUAUAUGUGGUUUUGGGCAUUGAGAUACACAUUAUUCAUGACUAUACUUUUGUUAUCCGUUGUUAUUUACUGUUCAUGUCAAGAUCAUUAAUGUUAAUUGGAACAUAGAGCUUAACUUGAGAAACACGUGCCACCACAAGGGUUUAUGGACGCCCUUGGCUGAUUAAUUAGGAAAGCUAGUGGAGGACUACCUUACCCGAAAGGGGCAAGGGCAGUAGGGGAGUGGUCAGUGUAGGGAGGUCCUUGGUUGAUUUUGCUGCGAUGGCGGUCAGGCAAGAACCCUGCAUUGGAGCUUCCUAUAAACUGUAGCGGGUUUUCUGAAGCUAGUGGAACUUUGUAAAGACCUCGUAGUGUUACCCUGCCUCGCCUCCUCGGUAGAGGUGUAUGGGAAGUCGCGAUCCCUUGGCAGAUGGGUAACAUGACUUGUGGGUAAAGGGUACCACCUCUGCAGAGUGUAAAACUGGUAUACUAGCCGAGCUCACGGUCAUGAGCAGCUCAGGACUCUCUGAUGAUUAAUUUAUGGAACUAAAUUCAAUUUGUCAUAUGCAUUGCAUCGCAGGUGAUGUUGUUACUUUUGUUCUACUACUUAAUUGGGUUGGUAUUUACUUAUACUUAGUAAUUGCUAAUAAAAUUUUGACCAACUUUAAAAGCAAUGCUCAGCUCUAACCAUCCUCUUUGGUAAGCCUUACACUUCACGUGAGCUCCCACCUUUGGCGAGUUCAUGCACAUUAUUCCCCACAACUUGUUGAGCAAUGAACGUAUGUGAGCUCACUCUUGCUGUCUCACACCCCCCCACAGGUCAAGAACAGGUACCGCAGGAUGAGGCGCUUGGAGGAUGCUGCGAUGUGUUCGUGAGAGGUCUAGGCCGUCGUCUCCCAGUCAACUUUGGGUUGCUGGACCGUUGUCUCCUUAUAAUGUAAUUAUUUAUUUUGUAUAGAACUCCUGUUAUGUAGUAAAAAUGUGACAUUCGAUCCUGUGCCAUGAUUCAUCAUAUGUAUGAGACUUGGUCCCAGCACACCUGGUGAUUAUGUUCGCGCCCGGGUCUUGGUGCCCCUAAAACCCGGGUGUGACAGAAGUGGUAUCAGAGGAAUGUUGACUGUAGGACGAAACCUAGAUAGAACUGGACAACCAAUACUUACCUUUGCCACUCUGAUUCUUUCUAAACUUUUCUUAAUCUUUUCUUAUCUAUUUCCGCUUUACUCUGAUUGCUCUUACCUUUUCUUUCUAAAGAUAAAUGUGGAUUUCACACUUUGAAAUCCUACACCUAAAGUGACUCUAGAAAUAGGAGACCUACUCUUAGGAACAAAAACAAAACUAUAGAUAUCUAUGAACUUGAAUGUUUGUUCUUAUGAUACUUGUCUGAUUUGGAUCUUUGAUUGAGUGUGAUGAGUUGUGGAGUAGUGUCCACAAUUGCAUCUACAUAUACUUAGGCAUAAAAUAUAUAUAUAUAUAUAAGAUAACUAAUCAAACUUAGAUUGUCCGUCAUUAAAAAAUGUAUCUAGCUUAAUAGAUCCACGCUAUCUUAAAAGACUCUCUCUUAACUUAAUAGAUCCAUCUCAUUUUAACAUAUUCUUUCUUAUCUUAAUAGAUUCAUCUUAUCUUAAAAAGAUUUUAUGUCAUCCUAAUAGACCUAACUGACCUCAAAAGAUUCUACCUUAUCCUUAUGGAUUCAUCUUGCCCUAAUAAGCACAUUUAUCCCACUCUAGAAUAACAACCAUGAGCUAAUCCAAAAUUUAUUUAGAUCUUAACUAGUCUAAUCUAGUCAUAUCCAAUCUAAUCUAGAUUUUAUCUAAUCUAUUAUGAUCUAAUCUAGAGUAAGUUACUUAAUGCUGGUACAAAAGAUAAGGCCAUACCCCUCAUGCACUAAAAAAACUAGUGCCUUAAACCAACUCAGCCACAUGCAUGAGAUCUGAUCCAACCAAUAGUCAAGAAGAAUUGCAUAAUCUGUCUAUCCCCAUCUAACAUCAAACAAACUUUGACCUACAACAUGUAGUUCAUCUCACCCUUAACUAUUUCAACCAUAUGCCCCAACUCUGAUGAUAUACCCUGACCCCGACUCAAUGAGACCAAGACUGGAAAAGGAAAAGAUCAACCUCGUCAAGAAAAAAAAGAGAAGUCAAACUUGAUCUUCCGAUGCAUUACCACACAACAAGGAGUUCUUUCUCACCGGAAACUUUCUUAUCCUAGGCUAUUCUUGCCCUAACUUAUCCAUCUCUUAGAACCUACAUAAUAAGUGGCUGGAUACCUAUGCUCUCCUAAUCAACCCCUAUUGACUAAAAAAAUGAGACUCUGGACUUUUGGUACAAUUAUAAGACUAAAAGUUGAAUUGUAAACCAAUCCUUUAGGAUCCCUUUUCUUACAAAUCUCGAGGACGAGAUUUUUGUUAAGGGGGUAGGAUUUGUAAAGCCCAAAAUUGGUAGAAAAAAAUAAUACCAAUGAAAUAAAUAAAUAAAUAAAUAAAUUUAAGAUUGUGCUUUAGGGAUUUUUUUACCAAGCCCAAAAUUCGCCCCCGGGUAUCAAAACUAGGAACUGCAGUAGCUACUCGAAAACCUUAUCCAUUACGCUAGAGGCCCUUUCGCAUAUAUAUAAAUAUAUGUGACUCACAUUGCAUCCUCAUCUUUUCCUGAUUGUGUAUUCUAAUUAAAUUUGAAGUUCAAACUUUAUUUGAAUCUAUUUGAAAUAGAAAAUUGAAAAUAGAAAAUAAAAAAAGAAGAAAACGGGCAUUCCUCACUUGGGCCAUGCUUCACGCAUACAUGCCCACGUCCCAUGUAUAUGUUUUUUUACAUUUCUUUAUUUUUAUGGCUGGACGCUGCGUACUCAUGACGUCCGGCAUGAGGCCAGCAAACAUUUUUUUUUCGCUCGCGCGCCUGACCGGAGGUAGAAGCUAUGGCCGACGUGUGGGCCCAUACAUGCAGUUCUGUUCUUCUAGCUCAAGUCGGAAUCAGCCGAUAGUGUCGGCUUAGCUGUUGUAGCGAACAGGUCGCCCCUAUAUUCGCAUCAAUUCCGUUUGGGACUAUAAGAGCAACUCCAAGAGCUUCUUAAGAAAUUGUUCCCCAAAACAUCAUAUUGGGGCUGCCGAAAAAAAAUUUCCUCCAAAAAAACUAAGCUCAUAUCAGAAUGCUAAUAACCGGUCCCUUAAACAUUUAAAAGAGCUCACGCCAUCAUAGGGUCUUCUCUCCGCCAUCAUGGUACAGCAGGAAGCAAACGGCGGCCUGCAGCGCGCCGCCGCGGAUGGCAGUGACGAAGACGAUUGCGGCAGGAACACAAAGCCAUCAUGCUCUACAAGUCCUCCAGCUACAGCUUCCCCAUGAAGCUGGACGCCCACCAGGUGGAACCGUCGCAGAAGGAGGACAACGACGACUACCUGACCCACUUGCUGUUCACCGAGGACAACGACAAGGACGAGCUGGUGAACGUGCCGGGGUCUGUCACCGACGUCAUGCGCGGUGCGAGGGAGCAGGAGGCCGGCGAGGGGAUUGGGGAACAACUUUGCUCGCGAAUAUUUGAGGGAUAGUGAAGCUCGGAUGCGGGACGCUGAAAAUUUGGAGAAGGAAAGGGGAGCUGUUGGAUGGAGAUUUUUUUGCUUUUCUACCCCAAAACACGUUUUCGGGUUGGUUUUAGUGUUCUUUUGGAGAUGCUCUAAAGCCGGAAGUAGUAACAAACUCACCCGCAUAACAGAACACCCAUGAGUUUGUUAGAAAAAUCCGGAUGCUUGGAUCAGGCGCCCCUGGGAUAUAUAUAUUUGAAUGUCGUGGCCCUAGUCCCAUGGAUUCGAUAAGACGGAAGCAUCGCGUCGCCGCCGGUGUUGAGCAGGAGAGCAGCCUAGUGAUCGAGGGGCGGAGCGAUGAUCACCGGGACCAUAGGGGGUUGUGCGUAGCUUUCUGGAGCACAGGGUCGAUCGUGAAGCCAGAGAUUUCUCGCCGAAGGCGAGCACAGCCACAUAGCCAUGACUUCUCGCGGGCAGAAGGGGUUCCACACUGCAAAACUUUGUGAGUAUCAGUCUUAUAGAUUCGUCGUGGUCUACGCUUUGUGUAUCACUUGUCCGUGUUUGAUUUUAGUUCCUGAGCGACGUUUCGCUAGUCAUCGACGUGAUCCCCGCUGUAGAGCUAUGGCGCCGCCACGGUGGCGUGUUCGUCGUACGUAGUUGUUUUUAGGUAGAAGAUGGACACACCUAGAUCACAUAUAUUAUGUCUAUUUACCCAAUAGUUUUUAUAUGAUCUCGAUCUAAACAAACAGAUCACGUCAGGUCACCUAUUUAUGUACAACCCUACUAAUUUAUUAAAAAUACGAUAUCUUCUAGGUCAGAUAAUUCGUUUUAAUCUAUUCAAGUUGUGUUAGGUUCAUAUCAAUUUUUGCGUAUGUGGUAAUAAUAUUGUUUUAAUUAUGCCACAUGGUUUAAUUAAUUAAUUACUUAUUUAAUUAAUGUUAAUUAGCUAGAUAAUCUAGUUAAUCUAAUUUAUAGUUCUAACCUACGUAUUUUUAUAAAUAAUUGUUAAUAAAUUAAUAUCGACUCAAAUAUUUUAAUUUAAUACCUAUUUAGUUUAAAUGCAAUAUCUGUUAUAUCAUAUCUAUUAGAUUUAUUGUGCCUAAACUAUCGUUUUAUCCAUAAAUUCUUUGUUUUAGCUCUGAUUUUACUGAUUCUCGAACCUCGAUCUCGUAGCAACGCGUAGAUUAUUAUUACAUAAUUUGUACUUAUGUUUGGUGUAAUGUUAAUUUUGCCUAUACAAUGUUUGUUUGUAUUGCUACGACUAGAGCGAGGUCACGUGACAUCUAAAGAGCAAGUUGGUACCUGGAAUCUCAAGUCCCAGGCAAGUUGUGCCCUUGAUCACUUCUUUUACCCACUUGUCGGGGACCAUAAUUAGGGGUACCCUCAAGACGCCUAAUUCUCAGCUGGUAACCCCCAUCAACAUAAAGCUGCAGAGGCCUGAUGGGUGCGAUUAAGUCAGGGAUCAGUCCAUACGAGUGACUCGAUCACGCUUCGCCCGAGCCUAGCCUCGGCCAAGGGCAGCCGACCUCGAGGGACUUCCGUCUCGCCCGAGGCCCCCCUUUUAACGGCGGACGCAUCUCCGGCUCGCCCGAGGCCUUGGCUUCGCUGAGAAGCAACCCUGACCAAAUCGCCGCACCGACUGACCGAGUUGCAGGAGCAUUUAACGCAAAGGUGGCCUGACACCUUUAUCCUGACGCGCGCCCCCCGGCAGAGCCGAAGUGACCGCCGUCACUCCGCCGCACCACUGACCAGUCUGACAGAAGGACAGCGCCGCCUGCGCCACUCCGACUGCAGUGCCACUCAACAGAGUGAGUCUAACAGGCAGUCAGGCCUUGCCAAAGGCGCCAUAGGAAGCUCCGCUCCGCCCGACCCAGGGCUCGGACUCGGGCUCAGCCCCGGAAGACGGCGAACUCCGCUCCGCCCGACCCCAGGGCUCGGACUCGGGGUAAGACCCGGAAGACGACGAACUCCGCUUCGCCCGACCCCAGGGCUCGGACUCGGGCUAAGACCCGGAAGACGGCGAACUCCGCUCCGCCCGACCUCAGGGCUCGGACUCGGGCUAAGACCCGGAAGACGACAAACUCCGCUUCGCCCGACCCCAGGGCUCGGACUCGGGCUCAGACCCGGAAGACGGCGAACUCCGCUCCACCCGACCCCGGGGCUCGGACUCGGGCUAAGACCCGGAAGACGACGAACUCCGCUUCGCCCGACCCCAGGGCUCGGACUCCGCCCGGGCCUCUGUCGAACGAUCUCCGCCUCGCCCGACCCGGGGGCUCGGGCUCGGCCUCGGCCACGGAAGACAGACUCGACCCCAGCUUCGGAGGAGCCCCCACGUCGCCCGACCUAGGGCACAGGCCCGCCACGUCAACAGGAAGCGCCAUCAUCAUCCUACCCCGAGCCGACUCGGGUCAUGGAGAACAAGACCGGUGUCCCAUCUGGCUAGCUCCGCCAGAUGGGCAAUGAUGGCGCCCCACAAGCUCUGUGACGACGGCGGCUCUCAGCUCUCUUACGGAAGCAGGUGGACGUCAGCAAGGACUCGACCGCUCCGACAGCUGUCCCUCCGCCAGGCUCCGUUGCUCCUCCGACAGCCACGACAUCACGCCAGCAGGGUGCCAAGAUCUCUCCGGCUGCCACAUUGGCAUGUACUUAGGGCGCUAGCUCUCCCUCCGCUAGACACGUAGCACUCUGCUACACCCCCAUUGUACACCUGGAUCCUCUCCUUACGCCUAUAAAAGGAAGGACCAGGGCCUUCUUAGAGAGGGUUGGCCGCGCGGGACGAGGACGGGACAGGCGCUCUCUUAGGGCCGCUCGCUUCCCUCACCCGCGUGGACGCUUGUAACCCCCCUACUGCAAGCGCACCCGACCUGGGCGCGGGACGAACACGAAGGCCGCGGGAUCUCCACCUCUCUCACGCCCGUCUCCGGCCACCUCGCUUCUCCCCCCUUCGCGCUCGCCCACGCGCUCGACCCAUCUGGGCUGGGGCACGCGGCACACUCACUCGUCGGCUCGGGGACCCCCCGGUCUCGAAACGCCGACAGUUGGCGCGCCAGGUAGGGGCCUGCUGCGUGCUGACGAACAGCUUCCCGUCAAGCUCCAGAUGGGCAGUCUCCAGCAACCUCUCCGGCCCGGGACGGUGCUCCGUUUUGGGAGUCUCGAGUUCAUGUCGUUCGACGGCAGCUACGACAUGAUACUCCUUCCACCGCCGCGCGACAACGACAAUGGCGGCCGACAACCCGCCCACCGGCGGCGGAACCGACGACAUCUUCCCCGCGUGGUGGAAGAACAACGUUCGAGCUCGCCCCGUCCUCUCCCCCGCCAACGGAGGAGGAGGCGGGGCAACCAAGGCCAAGCGGGAGGCCGCGCUUCGUCGGCCGUCGAGCGAAUUGAUGUUCCCAGCGCCCCAACGGAGGGCACGCCGGGCGUCGACCUCGCGUUCAAGACGAAGGCAGGCGCUGUCCCCCCGCGACACGCUGAUCCCGAGCAAGAAGACGACGCCGGCGCACUCGCGGAGAGCUUGCAGGACGUCGCCCUCGUACCUGAGACGACGGUGCAACCAGUCCCCGAUGUGACUACGUCGCUCCUCGUCGACCAAAAGGUACUGACUAACUCCCAUCUUACGUCAUUUCGACUCGGCCUCAACCCGCCAAGCGACCUCGCUUUGGCGGGCGCUCUCAUUGAGGCGAGUGCAACCCCACUGGGGUUUCGUAUGCGGUCGCCUUGGGACCGAUUGACGGACGUCUCGACCUACGGGCCCUCUAGGUCCGAGGAAGAUGACGAUCCCAGCAUCUGUUGGGAUUUCUCUGGAUUUGGCAACCCCAGUGCCAUGCGGGACUUCAUGACCGCAUGUGACUACUGCCUCUCCGACUGUUCCGACGGAAGCCGCAGCCUUGACGACGAGGACUGCGGCCCAAGCCGCGAAUGUUUCCACGUCGAGCUAGGGGAUCCCUCCGAAGGCAACCAUCUUGGCAUGCCGGAGGACGGUGAUUUUCCUAGGCCGGCGCCUCGCGCCGAUAUCCCGCGGGAGCUAGCUGUGGUCCCUGUUCCGGUGGGGGGACACGACCCACAGCUCGAGCAAGUCCGCGGGGCGCAGGCCAGGCUCGACGAGGGAACAGGGGCGCUUGAGACGAUCCGCCGGGACGUCGGGCAGGUAUGGGCGGGCCAACCCCCGGCCGGAGAAAUACGUCACCUGCCCCAAGGUCUCCAGCACCGCGUCGCCAACGAUGUCAGGCUCAGGCCGCCGCCCGCAUCCAGCGGGGUUGGUCAGAACCUGGCAGCCGCAGAGAUGCUCCUCCGCACGAUGCCGGAGCCAUCAACCACCGAGGGUCGGCGAAUCCAGGGAGAGCUCAAGAAUCUCCUGGAAGGCGCUGCGGCCUGACGGGCCGAGAGCACUGCCUCCCGAAGGCAGGGAUACCCCUCGAAGCCUCACGCCGCGACUUCCCGAUUUAUGCGGGAAGCCUCGGUCUACACCGGGCGCACACGCAACACCGCGCCUGCGGCCCCGAGCCACCUCGGCAACGAGCACCAUCGACGCGACCGUCGGGCCCACCUCGACGAAAGGGUGCGCCGAGGCUACCACCCCAGGCGUGGGGGGCGCUACGACAGCGGGGAGGAUCGGAGUCCCUCGCCCGAACCACCCGGUCCGCAGGCCUUCAGUCGGGCCAUCCGACGGGCGCCGUUCCCGACCCGGUUCCGACCCCCGACUACUAUCACAAAGUACUCAGGGGAAACGAGGCCGGAACUGUGGCUCGCGGACUACCGCCUGGCCUGCCAACUGGGUGGAACGGACGACGACAACCUCAUCAUCCGCAACCUUCCCCUGUUCCUCUCCGACACUGCUCGCGCCUGGUUGGAGCACCUGCCUCCGGGGCAGAUCUCCAACUGGGAUGACUUGGUCCAAGCCUUCACCGGCAAUUUCCAGGGCACGUACAUGCGCCCCGGAAAUUCCUGGGACCUUCGGAGCUGCCGGCAACAGCCGGGAGAGUCGCUCCGGGACUACAUCCGGCGAUUCUCAAAGCAGCGCACCGAGCUGCCCAACAUCACCGACUCGGAUGUCAUCGGCGCGUUCCUUGCCGGCACCACCUGCCGCGACCUGGUGAGUAAGUUGGGUCGCAAGACUCCCACCAGGGCGAGCGAGCUGAUGGACAUCGCCACCAAGUUCGCCUCUGGCCAGGAGGCGGUUGAGGCUAUCUUCCAAAAGGACAAGCAGCCCCAGGGCCGCCCAUCGGAAGAGGCUCCCGAGGCGUCUACUCCGCGCGGCGCCAAGAAGAAGGGCAAGAAGAAGUCGCAAUCGAAACGCGACGCCGCUGACGCGGACCUUGUCGCCGCCGCCGAGUACAAGAACCCUCGGAAGCCCCCCGGAGGUGCUAACCUCUUCGACAAGAUGCUCAAGGAGCCGUGCCCCUACCAUCAGGGGCCCGUUAAGCACACUCUCGAGGAGUGCGUCAUGCUUCGGCGCCACUUCCACAGGGCCGGGCCACCCGCGGAGGGUGGCAGGGCCCACGACGACGACAAGAAAGAAGAUCACCAAGCAGGAGAGUUCCCCGAGGUCCGCGACUGCUUCAUGAUCUACGGUGGGCAUGCGGCGAAUACCUCGGCUCGGCAUCGCAAGCAAGAGCGCCGGGAGGUCUGCUCGGUGAAGGUGGCGGCACCAGUCUACCUAGACUGGUCCGACAAGCCCAUCACCUUCGACCAGGCUGACCACCCUGACCAUGUGCCGAGCCCGGGGAAAUACCCGCUCGUUGUCGACCCCAUCGUCGGCAACGUCAGGCUCACCAAGGUCCUGAUGGAUGGGGGCAGCUGCCUCAACAUCAUCUACGCCGAGACCCUCAAGCUCCUGCGCGUCGAUCUGUCCUCCGUCCGAGCAGGCGCUGCGCCCUUCCACGGGAUCAUCCCUGGGAAGCGCGUCCAGCCCCUCGGACGACUCGACCUCCCCGUCUGCUUCGGAACGCCCUCCAACUUCCGAAGGGAGACCUUGACGUUCGAGGUGGUCGGGUUCCGAGGAACCUACCACGCGGUACUGGGAAGGCCAUGCUAUGCGAAGUUCAUGGUCGUCCCCAACUACACCUACCUGAAGCUCAAGAUGCCGGGCCCCAACGGGGUCAUCACCGUCGGCCCCACGUACAAACACGCGUUCGAAUGCGACGUGGAGUGCGUGGAGUACGCCGAGGCCCUCGCCGAGUCCGAGGCCCUCAUCGCCGACCUGGAGAACCUCUCCAAAGAGGUGCCAGACGUGAAGCGUCAUGCCGGCAACUUCGAGCCAGCGGAGACGGUUAAGGCCGUCCCUCUCGACCCCUGUGGCGACACCUCCAAGCAGAUCUGGAUUGGUUCCGGGCUCGACCCCAAAUAGGAAGCAGUGCUCGUCGACUUUCUCCGCGCAAACGCCGACGUCUUUGCGUGGAGACCCUCGGACAUGCCCGACAUACCGAGGGAUGUCGCCGAGCACUCGCUGGAUAUUCGGGCCGGAGCCCGACCUGUCAGGCAGCCUCUGCGCCGAUUCGACGAGGAGAAGCGCAGAGCGAUAGGCGAGGAGAUCCACAAGCUAAUGGCAGCAGGGUUCAUCAAAGAGGUAUUCCAUCCCGAAUGGCUUGCCAACCCUGUGCUUGUGAGGAAAAAAGGGGGGAAAUGGCGGAUGUGUGUAGACUACACUGGUCUCAACAAAGCAUGUCCGAAGGUUCCCUACCCUCUGCCUCGCAUCGAUCAAAUCGUGGAUUCCACUGCUGGGUGCGAAACCCUGUCCUUCCUCGAUGCCUACUCAGGGUAUCACCAGAUCCGGAUGAAAGAGUCCGACCAACUCGCGACUUCUUUCAUCACGCCGUUCGGCAUGUACUGCUAUGUCACCAUGCCGUUCGGUCUGAGGAAUGCGGGCGCGACAUACCAGCGGUGCAUGAACCAUGUGUUCGGCGAACACAUCGGUCGCACAGUCGAGGCCUACGUCGAUGACAUCGUAGUCAAGACAAGGAAGGCUUCCGACCUCCUCUCCGACCUUGGAGUGACAUUCCGAUGUCUCAAGGCGAAAGGAGUCAAGCUCAAUCCUGAGAAGUGUGUCUUCGGGGUGCCCCGGGGCAUGCUACUGGGGUUCAUCGUCUCCGAGCGAGGCAUCAAAGCCAACCCGAAGAAGAUCGCAGCUAUCACCAGCAUGGGACCCAUCAAGGACUUAAAAGGCGUACAAAGGGUCAUGGGAUGCCUCGCGGCCCUGAGCCGCUUCAUCUCACGCCUCGGCGAAAGAGGUCUGCCUCUGUACCGCCUCUUAAGGAAGGCCGAGAGUUUUGCUUGGACCCCUGAGGCCGAGGAAGCCCUCGGGAACCUGAAGGCGCUCCUUACAAAGGCGCCUGUCUUGGUGCCCCCAGCUGAUGGAGAAGCCCUCUUGGUCUACGUCGCCGCUACCACUCAGGUGGUUAGCGCCGCGAUUGUAGUCGAGAGGCAAGAAGAAGGGCAUGCAUUGCCCGUUCAGAGGCCAGUCUACUUCGUCAGCGAAGUAUUGUCCGAGACCAAGAUCCGCUACCUGCAAGUUCAGAAGCUGCUGUAUGUUGUGAUCCUGACAAGGCGGAAGUUACGACACUACUUCGAGUCUCAUCCGGUAACUGUGGUGUCAUCCUCCCCCCUAGGGGAGAUCAUCCAGUGCCGAGAGGCCUCGGGCAGGAUCGCAAAGUGGGCAGUGGAAAUCAUGGGCGAAACGAUCUCGUUCGCCCCUCGGAAAGCCAUCAAGUCCUAGGUGUUGGCGGACUUCGUAGCUGAAUGGGUCGACACCCAGCUGCCGACGGCUCCGAUCCAACCGGAGCUCUGGACCAUGUUUUUCGACGGGUCGCUGAUGAAGACGGGAGCCGGCGCGGGCCUGCUCUUCAUCUCACCCCUCGGGAAGCACCUACGCUACGUGCUACGCCUCCAUUUCCCAGCGUCCAGCAAUGUGGCCGAGUAUGAAGCUCUGGUCAACGGGUUGCGGAUCGCCAUCGAGCUAGGGGUCAGACGCCUCGACGCCCGCGGUGACUCGCAGCUCGUCAUCGACCAAGUCAUGAAGAACUCCCACUGCCGCGACCCGAAGAUGGAGGCCUACUGCGAUGAGGUUCGGCGCCUGGAAGACAAGUUCUUCGGGCUCGAGCUCAACCACAUCGCUCGGCGCUACAACGAGACUGCAGACGAGCUGGCUAAAAUAGCCUCGGGGCGAACGACGGUCCCCCCGGACGUCUUCUCCCGGGAUCUGCACCAACCCUCCGUCAAGGUCGACGACUCGCCCGAGCCCGAGGCACCCUCGGCUCAGCCCGAGGCGCCCUCGGUUCAGCCCGAGGUACCCUCAGCCCCAGGGGCCGAGGCACUGCACGUCGAGGAGGAGCAGAGCGGGGCCACGCCUGAUCGAAAUUGGCAGGCCCCGUACCUGCGAUAUCUCCGCCAGGGAGAGCUACCCCUCGACCAAGCCGAGGCUCGGCGGGUAGCUCGACGCGCCAAGUCGUUUGUCUUGCUGGGCGAUGAGGAGGAGCUCUACCACCGGAGCCCCUCGGGCAUCCUCCAGCGAUGCAUCUCCAUCGCCGAAGGUCAGGAACUCCUGCAAGAAAUACACUCGGGGGCUUGCGGCCAUCAUGCAGCGCCUCGAGCCCUUGUCGGGAAUGCCUUCCGGCAAGGCUUCUACUGGCCAACGGCGGUGGCUGACGCCACUAGAAUUGUCCGCACCUGCGAAGGGUGCCAAUUCUAUGCGAAGCAGACCCACCUGCCCGCUCAGGCUCUGCAGACGAUACCCAUCACCUGGCCCUUUGCUGUAUGGGGUCUGGACCUCGUCGGUCCCUUGCGGAAGGCGCCCGGGGGCUACACGCACCUGCUGGUCGCCAUCGACAAAUUCUCCAAGUGGAUCGAGGUCCGACCCCUGAACAACAUCAGGUCCGAGCAGGCGGUGGCGUUCUUCACCAACAUCAUCCAUCGCUUCGGGGUCCCAAACUCCAUCAUCACCGACAACGGUACCCAGUUCACCGGCAGAAAAUUCUUGGAUUUUUGCGAGGAUCACCACAUCCGGGUGGACUGGGCUGCCGUGGCUCAUCCCAUGUCGAAUGGGCAAGUAGAGCGUGCCAACGGCAUGAUUCUACAAGGGCUCAAGCCUCGGAUUUACAACGGCCUCAACAAGUUCGGCAAGCGAUGGAUGAAGGAACUCCCCUCGGUGGUCUGGAGCCUGAGGACGACGCCGAGCCGAGCCACGGGUUUCACGCCGUUCUUCCUGGUCUACGGGGCCGAGGCCAUCUUACCCACUGACCUGGAAUACGGCUCCCCGAGGACGAGGGCCUACAACGAUCAAAGCAACCAAGCUAGCCGAGGAGAAUCGCUGGACCAGCUGGAAGAGGCUCGGGACAAGGCCUUACUACACUCGGCGCGGUACCAGCAGUCCCUGCGACGCUACCACGCCCGAGGGGUCCGGUCCCGAGACCUCCAGGUGGGCGAUCUGGUGCUUCAGCUGCGGCAAGACGCCCGAGGGAGGCACAAGCUCACGCCCCCCUGGGAGGGGCCAUUCGUCAUCGCCAAAGUCCUGAAGCCCGAAACAUACAAGCUGGCCAACAAUCAAGGCGAGAUCUACGGCAAUGCUUGGAACAUCAAACAACUACGUCGCUUCUACCCUUAAGAUGUUUUCAAGUUGUUCAUAUACCUCGCACCCACGCAAAGUUUAGUCAUCAAGGAAGGGUCGGCCUCGCCUCGGCAAAGCCCGACCCUCCCUCGGGGGCUAAAAGGGGGGAGACCCCCUCCGCGUCGAAAUUUUCCUCGAAAAAGGAUCUCUUUUUAGCAGAAUUUCUUUCGUGCUUUUUGACUACUUCGAAAAGCGGAUCCUGGAAACGACGGAGUACACGUAAGCAGCCAAGGCUGACCGAGCCGAGGGACUCCUACGCCUCCGGGAUACGGAUACCUCACUCAUCACCUUCUGCGAUAAGUAACUCGCGUUCGGAUAAAGUGAUUCCGCGGACCGAGCAAGUCUUCAAGUUCGGAAGCUCUUCUGCCGAGGCGGUCCUUCAAGCCUUCUCGACUGAAUCGGUGACAGGGCCUCAUGGACGGGCGAAAGUACGCGUAAGCGACAAGGCCGACCGAGCCGAGGGACUCCCACACCUCUGGGAUACGGAUACCUCACUCAUCACCUUCCGCGAGAAGCAACUCUCGCCCACACAAACAUCCCUGUUACCAACGGAAAGUCCAGAUGCUCGGAAUGAGAGGAAAAGAGACGCGGCUUUACAACGCAGCGAGGAUGUGUUUUCUGGCCUCGGCGGCCGCAGAAGGCACACGCUACAAGAUAAUCUGAUCCUGCAGGCUCGGAUCUUCACGCUGGAAGGGGGCUGUAGCACCCUCGGCAUCGACGACGCCUUUAGCGAGAUCCGACCCAGCCUCGGACGACGACGCGGUCCGGGGACUUCUCCGGGAAUCCGGCCCGAGCAGGCGGCUCAGCCGGUUACCCCUGGGGCCUCGGCCAACCAUCUUCCAAGGGCGCCAGCUCGACCCGAGGCCUCGGCUGAUCGACUCCGGCGUCAGCCCCGCUGACGGGCAACCCGGCUAGGCUCCGGCCAACCAGGUUCCCAUUUUCGAGCCAACUCCGCCUCUGUUCGUACUGAUAUCGCUACCCCUGGCCUCGGCUCAUCGAAGAGCGGCCAAGGGGUCCCUUUAACUGAGCUAGAGGAGCCUCAGACAACAAGGCCGAUCGAGCCGAGGGACUCCUACGCCUCCGGGAUACGGAUACCUCACUCGUCACCUUGACACGGGGCGACGCAUGCUUGGUGAAGCGUUUCAGAUAAUCAACAGGCGAGACUUAGCGCUCGAAAAUAAGGAAAAAAACACGGCUCCGUGCCGAAAUUACAUACAUGUUCAGGCCUCGACAGCCACGACGGACAAAAACACUGCAUUCAAGGUGCCAUCACAAACGGAACUCCGGUUCCGUCCCCGCGGGUACGAGCGACCUCGGGCCUGCGGGGUGACGAACAUCGGGAGGCUCGCCAGCGACCUCUGCAGCAGCAGCCAUGGUCCCGGGUGGACGCGGCCACCGGAGGGCUCUUGUUCGCGGUCCCGCUCAAGGGACGCGAACCAAGCAUCAAAGCUAAAGAGCAGGCCGCUCCCAAGCGCUCCGGCAGAUCCUCGCUGCCGUCCUCGCCGCGAAUGCGAGGGAAAGGACGGAAUGUUGCAUCCUAGCUGGAUAGCAACAGUUUGCCUUCCCCGGCAUGACUGGAGGACGUCUCCGUCGCAGCGAGAGGACGAUUGCCACCACCAGAAGCUGGAAGAGGAGGUGGUUCGCCAACCCGCGCAGGAGGUAGAGCCCCGGCUCGCCUCGCUCCCCGCCCCAGCGAGGAUGACGAACACCCCCGAUGCUGGGGACGGGAUCACAGCCUGGUUUGCCUCUCCCCAUCCAGGAGCUGGAGGUCACCGUCUUGGGUGACCACCGGCGGAGGGGAGCAACCAGGCUGUGUGAUGAAAAUCCUUGAAGCCGAACGAUGGCUAAAAGGUACCAACUCCCACGGAGUUGCGUUCCUCCAACGAGGAGGCGGAAAGACGGCGGAUACCCCCCAUCCGGGGGCUUGGAAGAUGGAAAGACACGACGCAUAAGGGAGGAAGAAAACAUGGUUGCCUUCCGAAAGGGGUCGCCCCCAUUUUUAAAGGCAACUCUCCCUACGUGCGCCCCCAAACGCCACGGGAUGAGUCUUCUCCAACACGCUCCAAGGCCCUCCCCUGCGGCUUGGGGGCUGGGUCCCACAUGUCAUGCAAACCGGCUCAGAGCAGAAGAAGCCGAACCGCCGCGCGCGGUGCACGCGACCGCCCAGCGGUUACAAGCGACCCCCACUUUUGCCCAGACCAAUGGGCGGAAGGGGCGGGCAGCCAUGCAGGCGGCAUGCAACCGCGCCAGGUGGACGCGCUUCUCCGACUUCUGACACGCCAGCUUGGAGGCCCAGGCCCACGCGUCACGCAACCAGCGCGCCAGUUGCUGCAUGCAAGCAACCGCACCGCCACUUGCACCACCGUCGCACCUCUUCGGUUGCGGAACCUAUGCCGCGACUCGAGGCGACCCAGCGCACGACCCAGCAGCGCCAGCCUGGCGCGACGGUCAAUGCGGCCGAAAGUGGGCCGGCAGUAAUGACGGUGGCAGGCGGGCGGGAGCAGCGGUCACAUCGUCAGCCAGGCUCACGUCCCAUCUAGGGACAGCAAGAGAGCCUCCUCCCACGGCGUGAAGACGGUGCGCCCGUGAUCCGUUCCUCGAACGGCUCGCGCACGCGCAACGACCACCCCGCCAACCACUCGCCCCGUCGCAUUAACUCCACGGCGGGACAGGCGGCGCCUCUGGCAGGAGCGGCGGGCGACGCUUCGCCUUCGCCGUAAUUACCGCGCCAAAAAAAGGUACGCCACGUCGUUCGAUUUCGUAUCCUUUUCCUUUUUUCCUCUUUCUCUAUCUCUUGCAACAGGGACCGGGAAAGGGGGAUACCCCGAAAAGGAUCCUUCUCUGCGAAGGAACCGGGCUCCGAGCCCCCCCUACUGAUCAGAGGUUCGAAGGCUGGCCCUCCGAAGGGUUCAACAGUCGCCUCAGAUCGCGUGGGCCCAACACCCACUACUGGUCAGGGGUUCGAAGGCCGGCCCCCCGAAGGGCUCCAUGGCCGCCUCAGGCUACUCGGGCUCCGCGCCCAUUACUGAUCAGGGGUUCGAAGGCUGGCCCCCGAAGGGUUCACAGUCGCCUCAGACACCGAGCGAGGGAUGACCAGGGGUACGUUCGAUACAUAACCGAGGCUCGGGCUGCGCUCCCGAGGUACCCUAGGACAUUUCCGAGACCAGCGGGAACGAUCUUGUAACGGAAUCCCAUCGGAGGGAGGCAUCGAGCCCUCGGACCCCGUCGCCAGGGGACCGGGUCCGGCAGAUCACCCGCAGGUACUUUUGGGCGUGCCUCUGGGCCCCUAGCCGACCCCCAACGAACGGGGCACGGACGUCCACUCGGAUCACCCGCUUGCAGCUCACCGGAGACACCAUGUUCGGUGCCCAUCGAGGGUAACAUGGCGCUCUCCCCCCUCCUCAUUGCGGAAAGGCGAUGCAGGGGCAUAUGUAAAAAAGCCGAGUCUGUCCCUGAUCGUCCUCUCGCCCUGUGCGGAGGCUCGGGGGCUGCUCUCGCAAACCCGGCUCCGGCCAGACCGUUGACAGCGUCAACAUACCAGCCCGAGAGCUUGGGCCCCGACCGUGCACCCGGGCUACGGCCAGUUCGCAUGAGGGAACAACCAGACCAGCCGAAGCAUUACGCAAGGCAUUAAGACCUCGAAGGAGUGAAACCACUCCUCCGAGGCCUCGGGGGCUACACUCGGCGGGUGCGCUCGCGCGCACCCACCGGAACAAAAUGCAACCGAGAAAGGCUGGUCCCCUUGCAAAAAAGUGCGACGAAAGCCUCCAAGCGAGUGCUAACACUCCCUUCGAGGCUCGGGGGCUACUGUCGGGGACCAUAAUUAGGGGUACCCUCAAGACGCCUAAUUCUCAGCUGGUAACCCCCAUCAGCAUAAAGCUGCAGAGGCCUGAUGGGUGCGAUUAAGUCAGGGAUCAGUCCAUACGAGUGACUCGAUCACGCUUCGCCCGAGCCUAGCCUCGGCCAAGGGCAGCCGACCUCGAGGGACUUCCGUCUCGCCCGAGGCCCCCCUUUUAACGGCGGACGCAUCUCCGGCUCGCCCGAGGCCUUGGCUUCGCUGAGAAGCAACCCUGACCAAAUCGCCGCACCGACUGACCGAGUUGCAAGAGCAUUUAACGCAAAGGUGGCCUGACACCUUUAUCCCGACGCGCGCCCCCCGGCAGAGCCGAAGUGACCGCCGUCACUCCGCCGCACCACUGACCAGUCUGACAGAAGGACAGCGCCGCCUGCGCCACUCUGACUGCAGUGCCACUCAACAGAGUGAGUCUGACAGGCAGUCAGGCCUUGCCAAAGGCGCCAUAGGAAGCUCCGCUCCGCCCGACCCAGGGCUCGGACUCGGGCUCAGCCCCAGAAGACGGCGAACUCCGCUCCGCCCGACCCCAGGGCUCGGACUCGGGCUAAGACCCGGAAGACGACGAACUCCGCUUCGCCCGACCCCAGGGCUCGGACUCGGGCUAAGACCCGGAAGACGGCGAACUCCGCUCCGCCCGACCCCAGGGCUCGGACUCGGGCUAAGACCCGGAAGACGACGAACUCCGCUUCGCCCGACCCCAGGGCUCGGACUCGGGCUCAGACCCGGAAGACGGCGAACUCCGCUCCACCCGACCCCGGGGCUCGGACUCGGGCUAAGACCCGGAAGACGACGAACUCCGCUUCGCCCGACCCCAGGGCUCGGACUCCACCCGGGCCUCUGCCGAACGAUCUCCGCCUCGCCCGACCCGGGGGCUCGGGCUCGGCCUCGGCCACGGAAGACAGACUCGACCCCGGCUUCGGAGGAGCCCCCACGUCGCCCGACCUAGGGCACAGGCCCGCCACGUCAACAGGAAGCGCCAUCAUCAUCCUACCCCGAGCCGACUCGGGUCAUGGAGAACAAGACCGGUGUCCCAUCUGGCUAGCUCCGCCAGAUGGGCAAUGAUGGCGCCCCACAAGCUCUGUGACGACGGCGGCUCUCAGCUCUCUUACGGAAGCAGGUGGACGUCAGCAAGGACUCGACCGCUCCGACAGCUGUCCCUCCGCCAGGCUCCGUUGCUCCUCCGACAGCCACGACAUCACGCCAGCAGGGUGCCAAGAUCUCUCUGGCUGCCACAUUGGCAUGUACUUAGGGCGCUAGCUCUCCCUCCGCUAGACACGUAGCACUCUACUACACCCCCAUUGUAAACCUGGAUCCUCUCCUUACGCCUAUAAAAGGAAGGACCAGGGCCUUCUUAGAGAGGGUUGCCCACGCGGGACGAGGACGGGACAGGCGCUCUCUUAGGGCCGCUCGCUUCCCUCACCCGCGUGGACGCUUGUAACCCCCCUACUGCAAGCGCACCCGACCUGGGCGCGGGACGAACACGAAGGCCGCGGGAUCUCCACCUCUCUCACGCCCGUCUCCGGCCACCUCGCUUCUCCCCCCUUCGCGCUCGCCCACGCGCUCGACCCAUCUGGGUUGGGGCACGCGGCACACUCACUCGUCGGCUCGGGGACCCCCCGGUCUCGAAACGCCGACACCACUCAUGUUCUAAUUAAUCAUAAUGAUCUGCAUAGGUUAAUUUUGAUGGGACCUAACAGGUUACCCUAGUUUGUCUAUCUUUAUGCCUUGUUUACCAUUGAACUUUUUGGGUAGUACUUGCUAGUGCUAUAUGUGGUUUUGGGCAUUGAGAUACACAUUAUUCAUGACUAUACUUUUGUUAUCCGUUGUUAUUUACUGUUCAUGUCAAGAUCAUUAAUGUUAAUUGGAACAUAGAGCUUAACUUGAGAAACACGUGCCACCACAAGGGUUUAUGGACGCCCUUGGCUGAUUAAUUAGGAAAGCUAGUGGAGGACUACCUUACCCGAAAGGGGCAAGGGCAGUAGGGGAGUGGUCAGUGUAGGGAGGUCCUUGGUUGAUUUUGCUGCGAUGGCGGUCAGGCAAGAACCCUGCAUUGGAGCUUCCUAUAAACUGUAGCGGGUUUUCUGAAGCUAGUGGAACUUUGUAAAGACCUCGUAGUGUUACCCUGCCUCGCCUCCUCGGUAGAGGUGUAUGGGAAGUCGCGAUCCCUUGGCAGAUGGGUAACAUGACUUGUGGGUAAAGGGUACCACCUCUGCAGAGUGUAAAACUGGUAUACUAGCCGAGCUCACGGUCAUGAGCAGCUCAGGACUCUCUGAUGAUUAAUUUAUGGAACUAAAUUCAAUUUGUCAUAUGCAUUGCAUCGCAGGUGAUGUUGUUACUUUUGUUCUACUACUUAAUUGGGUUGGUAUUUACUUAUACUUAGUAAUUGCUAAUAAAAUUUUGACCAACUUUAAAAGCAAUGCUCAGCUCUAACCAUCCUCUUUGGUAAGCCUUACACUUCACGUGAGCUCCCACCUUUGGCGAGUUCAUGCACAUUAUUCCCCACAACUUGUUGAGCAAUGAACGUAUGUGAGCUCACUCUUGCUGUCUCACACCCCCCCACAGGUCAAGAACAGGUACCGCAGGAUGAGGCGCUUGGAGGAUGCUGCGACGUGUUCGUGAGCGGUCUAGGCCGUCGUCUCCCAGUCAACUUUGGGUUCCUGGACCGUUGUCUCCUUAUAAUGUAAUUAUUUAUUUUGUAUAGAACUCCUGUUAUGUAGUAAAAAUGUGACAUUCGAUCCUGUGCCAUGAUUCAUCAUAUGUGUGAGACUUGGUCUCAGCACACCUGGUGAUUAUGUUCGCGCCCGGGUCUUGGUGCCCCUAAAACCCGGGUGUGACAAUAAUUUUGAAGGGAUUGCCUUGUAUAAUGUUAACAUACAUAAUCAUGUUGCGUUCAACACUCAUGAGACGAAUUGUUCAAAAAGAAAUGUAUAUGUAUAUCAUGGGUCCUCGUAGUUAUCUAAAUAUAUUGUUUUAGGAUGGAGACUUUAUAUGAUUUACAGUACAUACAUAUGGUUCCUCCCAGUCCUAGACAUAUGUACUAUAUCUAUAAACAAGGUCAUUUAAACAUGUCAACUCAUCAUCUCCCUAACUGACUCUAGAUUAGGAUGGCUUCGACCAGAUUUCAUCAGCACAUAGCAAGCACCAUACGCAGCCCAGCACUGCACUGUAUGCCCCCCAUUUCGAUUUUGCCAUGCCAACAUGCAUGUCAUUGCCGUCCAUCUUCACAACCAUACGAAAAUUGAGAGGCCCUGGCAUCCAGUCCAGAACUAACAGCAGUGGUCAACGAGAGUUACUGUUGCACGAGACAGAUCCACUAUCAUUGCCAUUAACUCAGAUUACCAGUAUCACAUACUAAAAUUAGAAUUACUGCACAAAAGGUCAAUGCAUUAAACUACACAAAACAUAUAACUAAAAACAGUGAUGUCGAUGCGUUGAACUGCACAAAAGGUAUAUCUAAAAACAGUGACCAAAAUUUCAGCUAUGCCCAGGCUUGAAUUAGCACAAAAGGGAUUAAGUUAUAGAUGUGGCAACAGAAUUAGAAACAAUAAUAAAGUAGAUUGCUUUCGGCUCCAAUCAUAUGAAUAGUUCUCCAAUCCUAUAAUGAGUAAUAAAAAUUUGGGACAAGUGCAGACUAACAAUAGUUCUACGAUGAAAAACAAUUACCUUUGGUAUUGGAUUCUCUAAUAGUAAAUUGAUAGAACCAGCCCCUAAAGUGUUUUCCACUGCACCAUGCACAACUUGUUCCUUGAGGUCCUUCUCAAGCUAAAGAAUCCGCAUAAGAUGAUUUUAUGAGUCUACACUAUGGAAGAUUUAGUAGAAAAACAAGAAGUAGGAGGCUAAGGAAAAAAAUGGGCUUUCACCUUUUUCUAACAGAUUAUUUGAGCAUUUUUAGCUAACUUCAAGGGAGGUAACACUUUUAGAGUGUCAACAAAUAUGUUAUGUCAUUUAGUGAAGUUAGGAAUAAAAGACUUGAAUGAAUUAAAAUGUCAUAUAUGAUGAUUUGUACUUCUCAAAGGAAAAGAUCUCUUUCUUCCGACCUAGCCUUAUGUGCCAGUACUCUGUUUCUGUCUCCAGCUCCACAGGUGGAGGCUUUGUUGCAACCAAUCCAUUCACCACUGUCUGCUUGAGACACUUAAACAUACCAAACAAGACCCUCCUAGCUUUUGUUGGCACCAGCGGAACAGCAACAUUCAGCACCAAGAUCAAGAGCAUACCUUGUUGGGUGCAUAGGUGAGCACAUACCUGAAUAUUAUAUUAGAGCCUCCAUUCCACUAUUCUUCUCAAACAUGGUGAUUUUUUAACAGCGCCAAAAACAGAAAACACCUAAAAAUAUCACAUUAAUGUAACUAUACAGCUGGCUUUCAUGUCAGCUCUUUAUUUGAAUUAAAUAAAAGGUAUUGAGUUAUCUUACAGUUUGCAGAACAUCCACCGUCACAACAUAUUGCAUGUUCUCAAAUCUCAACUAAUCCUAAAAGCACGCUGCUCUUAGGCUCGGGCCUAUCGUGGGCUGCAAAUUUUUCUUUGAGUUAGAGCAACAAAAAUUAAAAAUGGGGGAGGGUGGGGUUGGGGUUGGGGGUGAAACAUCAUGAGAUAUGAACAUACGAAGCAUACCUGCAUAAUCCCCUCAAUUAUUAUUUGGUUGACAAAAAGGUCAGGAUUGGUGUAAUCCCUUUUAAAGCAACAAAACAGUGUCACAAUUCACAAGGGAUACUUAGUUAAUAUUAUCUUCGAAGCAUUAUCAAUAGGAAGCCGCAAAAUGUAGCAUAUGACACUUAUCAACAUGAAGUGGUAAGACUCUGCCUAUACCACUUUCUAGUACCUGUUGUGGUGCGACUAAAAUUUGAUAUUCAAAUCUUUAUGUGCAAAAAGGCUAUGGACAUGUGGCAGACAUCGUUAUGUUCGGGAAGGAAAUAUAUGAAGGAGAGUAAGUCGCAUAAGUAAUUUCAUAUCGCAGGCUUGAUAAUCCACAAUAGCAAUUAGUAAAUUCGUAAAAUGCAUUACUUGGGGAUGCUUACUCCAUCCAAUGACUUUUUAACUUCAAGAGAAGUUGGGGCAUUAGUAUAUUGGAUAAGUGUCUAUCAAAAGUCUGACAGUUAAGCUCACUGUAAAAUAGAAAAGUGUUUUGCAAAAACACAAGUUCUGAAUGGAUAAAAUAUAAAACAAUGUUCUGAAUGGAUAAAAUAGAGAAGCGUUCUACAAAAACACAGGUCUAAAAAAGCACAAUGACUUUUUAGCUUCAAUAUGAUGAAUGCAUACAGAAUAUUGGUGGAGGUAACAAACACGUUCUGGGGCCAAAGCUUUGGCGAACAAAAUCCACACAGGCUAUGCACAUCCAUGUAUACUCAAGAUAAUACACAAAUUGAUGCAAUGAUACCUUGCCGCUAAUCACCUCUGUUAGCAGAGCCAUUCGGAUUGUCCCCCUUGUACGGAUUUAAAAUUCAAAAUAAACAUUAGACUUAAGUGCACCAAAUGAUCUGUUCUACGUAUAUAUAAAAAGUUCUACGUACAUCCAUAUGGGGUUCCUUGGCUGGUUGCUUCUAUAAAAUGCUCACGGAUGAGCCAAAGUAAGGGGGUUCUGAAGACUCAUUUGGAUGAGCAUGUUUGCCAUCCUUGUAAGUAGAGCGGUUUUGGGAUAUGCCAUCUGAGCACGAAUUUAAACUUCACAACAGUGCUCUAGAUUAAAUCUAAGUUAAGAUGGUGAAAAAAUAUGUUUUAAAUAUCGUUUUGUUUAAUCACUUCAGUUCGAUUUAAUCCAAAUAGGGCUAAUGUGUCCAGCGUGCAAACCUGUAACCUGAUCUUAACGAAACAAUAGAACGCAAUCCUGAAAGGACAAAUCUACAUGAACAAACCCUAUCAAAUCCCUCUAAAUAGAUCGUCAAAUGAAGCCUGACCAAACAAACUCAUUUCCCCCUUGUACAAUCUUCUGCAAGUAAAAACAUGGACAAACAAUCAACAAUUCUUUUUGUUAAACAAACCAUCCACUUGCAUUCAUUUAGUUGACACUUGAUAUCUUCUAUAGUUAAUUAGAUGGUUGAAUCAUAAUAGAUCAACAUAGUUUCUAUCACUUUUUUUUACCUCGAGGUAGAUGUCCAGCACCCGGUACACGCUGUCGUAGCAGUCCCUGGCCGAGUCCGGCAGGCUCUCGGCGACGGCGAGGAACUUGGACACCUUCAGCCCCUGGUCCUGCGAGAUUUCAUCGAGGUACUUGUCGACCAGGCGCCCCACCUUCCACAUCCUCUCUGACGGCGCAUCUGUGUCCUCUUCGGAGGCCACGAACACCCUAACCAGCCUCAUGACUAGGUUGACAUCGUACACGCCGCCCGCCAUCGUCGCUGGAGAUAAGGAGGUCGUCGAGCGUGGCCUAGUCCAGCAUCAGCCCCAUGUGCCGCUCUAGCUUGUGGCGGCACUCCCUGCUCAGCCCCACCGCGGACACGAUUCGGAGCACCCAGAAGAGGCCCCGGCAAGAGAACGUCGUGCCCUCGACGAGCGCCACGCCGUGGACGGCCAUGUCCGUGAGGCCAGCGAGCGCGGCGCCCUCCCGCUCAAGUGCCGGCGGCCUGCUGUAACACCCUGAAUUUGGGGGUAUAAAAUUUCUUUGCUCAUAUUCACAAAUUCAGGUGUUACUUCUCUUUUCACACCCUUCCCAAUCCCAUCUUUCUUUUUUUAUAGAAGAAAAGUGGCUAUUUACUUUGUGUAAUUAUAGUCUAUUAGACUAAAACUCCAAGGAGUAUGAAUUGUGUCAUCAUGUCAAACCCUAAAUUCUACUUUUGUUUGGUGCAUAAUGCUUGGAAAUGCUAAUUUGAAUUUGUGGCCUAUUUGGAUUUGAAUCAAAUAGAGUAAAUAAAAAGAAAAGGGAAAACAAAUGCCAGAAUAAAAGAAAAAAGGAAAGAAGCCCACACCCCCCGCCCCCUCGGCCUUUCGGCCCAUCUGGCCCAUCCCGCGCGCGCGCGCCUUCCUCCCCCCUCUUCUCUCUCUGCCCUGGCGGGCCCGCCCGUCAGCGCGACCGCCUUCCCCGCGUCCGCGCCCGCUUCCCCCGCUCUCUCUGCUCGCGGGCCCGGGCUGUCAGCUCCUCUGUCUCCGCGUAACCGCCGCCCCGAGCUGCGCGUGCUGCGGACUCCGCGCCCACGUCGCGCGUGGAGCUCGCAACCGCCUCGCCCUCGGCCACUUGAGCCCAGAACCUCGCUCGCCCUCUCUCCCUCCCUCAUUUGCGCACCUGCAGACCUCUCUUCCACCUCUCCCACGCCGCUCACACGCCAAAGCGCCGCCGCCAUUAAUCGCCGCCGUCCCAAGCCCAUUUCUCCGCCGACGUUGGAGCCCCGCCGUGCCCUCUGCCACGGUGAGCUUCGCCUCGACGUCCACAACCCGGGACACGCCCCAAUUUCCCCUCCCCUCCCCGAAUUCCUCUGCCCACGCUCACCCGCCGUUCUCUGCGCAGUCGCCGAGGUCCGCCACCGUCGACCCGGGCCAUCGCCGCGCCUUCGCCGCCACCGAGGAGUCCCCGGGGUUCGCCUUGAGGUAAGGAACCUCCUCUGCCCUCUCCCUUCCCCUCUAUUGCACUCUGCCGCGCUUAAUUCCUCGCCGGAGUCCUUUAGCGCCGCCGCCGAGCCACUUCGCCGUGGACCGCCCCCCUCCGGUGCCCCUGUCCCGGCCUAGUCCCCACCAGAGGGUUCCCCACGCUCUCCCUGACCUCCUCGGCCACCCAGGUCGCCCCAAGGACCCGCAGAGCCCCCGCGCCCCUCGUCUCUGGCGAGUCCUCCGCCGCGGGAACGGGCACCGCUGCCUCUGCUAGCCGGAGGGGAAGACAGAAGCCGGCCACCCAAUCCCCGCCGUCCAUCCCAGAUCGAACGACUCUAUUUUAAAUAGCCCGAGCCCAGCCCUUGCCGUCCGCCUGAGAUCCAACGGUCCAGGGCCGUUUCUCCCCCCCGCACUCCGCCUUCCUGCCAAUCGGGCCCCGCCUGUCAGUCGUCCGCCCGCUCUGCCCGCCCGGCCCCGCCUGUCAGUCAUCCGCCCGCUCUGCCCGCCCGGCCCCGCCUGCUAGUCGUCCGCCCGCUCUGCCCACCCGGCCACGCAUGUCAGCCGCUCCUGCCGCCGCGCGCUCGCGCGCCCGCCCGCGGAUCUAAUCUCGGGCGUUGAUCCGAGAUCCAACGGCUAUAAGAGCCCGAUACCCCUUCGCCCGCGCAUUUUCUUAAAGAGACCCCCGGCUUUCUGCAAAUUAACCCGCCGUCCCUGGAUCUUUGCAGUUAGGUCCUCGAACCUUUUAUUUAAUCCAAAAUAAGUAUUUAAGGCAUAUUUUUAAUCCCUAAUCUUGUAAAAUUCAUAACUUUGUCAUAUGAACUCCAAAUUAGGUGCUUCAAAUUGCAAAAUGCUCACAAUAUUUUUAUCUAUCUAUUUAAACAAUGUUUCCCUGCUGUUUUUAUGUCCCAAUUAAUAGUUGAUCAUUAGGGUAAAACUAAUGUUAUUGGAACCCCUAUUUGAGAUAAAUAAAAGAUAGAAGACUUUAAUAAAAGUUGGAGCACCUAAGUUUAUGGACUUAACACCAUGUAAUGAUUUAACCCCACCACUGACUUAGAUCUGAUUAGUGGAUAAUGAAUCACUUUGUAUAGUCAUCUACCCUAGACCUAGGGAACACCAAAUUGCCAAUCCUUUUCUAUUAUGAACUUGUGAUCUCUCUGCUGCAUAUGUUUGGUACAUUGCUUUUGUUUGUUAUUUCCCAAGUGCAUAGAAUGAAUGAUUACUUUACGUAGACAACGGGCAGUCUGUGUUUCCCGAGGAAGUUGCAGAAGAAGUUCCUGAUCAGCAGUUUGGUGAAGGCAAGUGUCCUCUGACCCAUUAUGUCCUAUUCACUUAUAAUUCACUUUCCCGCAUUACUUAAUUGAAACCUAAGGAUUGACUAGCUUUAUACUUUACCUUAUCCUUGAUGACCUUUUGGGUUAUUAUGGUUAGCAUUUUGCUAUUGCCUUAACCUAAUCAAUGAACAUGAUGUGACUAUUUAUGAUACGAUACUGUGAUCCUGAUUAUAUUGAUGAUCUUGUGAUACUCUAGGGGGCUCAGGCUGUUUCCUGAGUACCUCUCCGUAAGGACCUGUUCGUUGAGAGACCACCCGGGAUAACAGUGCAACCAUGAGGGUGAAAUGGGAUGCCCUUAGCUAAUUAAUUAGAGGAACUAGAGGUGUAGUUGCUUCGCCGUCGUGCCGUCAAUGGGGUCCAGGCAUAGUGCUUGCUCUGCCGAGGCUGAGUGCCGAGGUUCUUUCGUUUUGCUUUUUGUUAGUCACUCUCCUGCGGGGAGGGGUACUGUGUUUAUCAAACUGGAGAAACCUAACGGGCAGCUAUGAUCUCUAGGGAAUCUUUGUAAAAGCUACGUAGUGAUACCCUGCCGGACCACCUAGGUAGUGGUCAAUGGGGAUUAGCUCUCCCCGGGUAGAAAGGGAAUCAUGACUCAUGGGUAAAGUGUGCGACCUCUGCAGAGGAUAGUGAAACUGAUAUAUCAGCCGUGCUCACGGUUAAGAGCAGCCUUGGGAUCCUCUUUGAUUAGAGAUACUCCGGAUGCACCUCAGAUGAGGACUUUAACGAUGAUGGUUAAUGAUGGUGACUUUAAUUAUGCAUUCUAGUAUUUCCUCUCUGAGGAGGUACUUUUUGGGACUAUAACUUGGGUUUCAUGAUAAAAUCUGGCUUCUACUAACAAUAAAUACUUGACCAACUAAAAGCAACUGCUUGAGCCUAACCCCACAUAAAGCUAGUCCACUACAGCCAAACGGGGCAUUUGCUGAGUACGUUGAUGUGUACUCAUCCUUGCUUUACCACAAAAUACCAGGUUGUCCACAUUGUAACCACUGCUCAGGGGAAGACGAAGUCGUGGAAGGAGACUUCCAGGAGUUCCAAGACUAUGACGAGUUCUAGGUGUGGGUUGGCGGCAAACCCCAGUCAGCUGCCUGUGAAGGCCUUAUCUUUACUGCGUUUCGCUAGCACUUUGAUUUAUCAGUUAAGUUGAUGACUAUGUGGAUGUCUAUGACUCUGUGAUGUAAUAAGUUAAUACCCUUUUAUGUUAUUAUUCGAGCACUGUGCGAUGAUGUUCAUUUAUGUAAUCGCUGUGUACGUGAGUUCUGAUCCUGGCACGUACAUAGUUCGCAUUCGGUUUACCUUCCAAAACCAGGUGUGACAUAAGUGGUAUCAAAGCCGUGCUGACUGUAGGACCGCUAACCUAGAGUAGCACUGGUCGAACUAAGGACUAUUGACCUUCUCUCUCACCUUGACCUCUGAUGUUACUUCAAAAGUCGGUCACCUCGACCAACCCUAUGUUUUACUACAUAUAUAUAUAUAUAUACUAUAUUAUACCUUGUUAAAAUUUUAUUUUGUUGUGUCUAUGGUUUAUGCACAUGUCAUAUUAGUUCUGUUCUUACUCUUGUGCUUACGGUGUCUUUUGUAGAUGGCUCGUCUUAGACACAUUGCACGUAAGUCGGUGAUUCCUUUCCUGCCGUCUCGACUUGCGGAGCGUCCUCUGCGUCGCUCCGUGUCCGGUCAGUCGAGUCACCUGGAGAGACUGCACCAUCGCCUGCGUGAGGAGCAGGAACGCCGGUGUCAGCAUAGAGAGCAGCAGGGCUCUUCCUCCCCACCCCAGCAGGAGGUGGAGUCCGUGAGGCGCCGCUCCUCUGCUCCCCAGCUGGAGGCGCCCCCUGCACCACCGCGGGAUGCCCCGGCUGUUGGAGGAGGUCCUGGAGGAGACCCCGACGACGACGACUCAGACCACAACACGAAGUCCUCUGAGCCGCAGGAGGCGGAAGGAUGGGUCGCCCGACCCAUCACCCGUGACACCGCUCGCGGUUGUCACUUCCACGACGCACUCGACACCUUGCUGCGCCAGGCUUUCGACCGGCACACCUGGUCGAUCGAGUAUCGUUGUGUAGUCUACCAGCACAGUCGCGGGAGGUACCCGGACCGCUGGGAGGCUACCUGCCUAGUUCGCCGUCCGGAGGAUGACCUCCGGGGUGCAGAGGCCAUUUCGAAGCAUUACUCCAUCUCCGAGAGGGACACUGCAGAGGCAGCUAUGCAGGAUGCAGCACGGCGUGCACUCUCCUAGUACUGUUCUUUGUUCGGUGGGGUGGCCGACGGUCUUAACCUUAGGUACUACCCCCGCCGUCCGACUGGUAACACAGAGAGUGUGGUUGUCUCACCUAUUGGUGAGGAUAACCCUAGGUUGAGCAGCACAGUCAACCUAGUCGCAGUGCUUAACACCGAGCUGGAUCACUCUCUGGACGAGCUAAGCAGGGCUCGAACGGAGAUUGCUGAGUUGCGUGCCGAGCUAGCAGAGCGCCGCCACCAGGAGGGUGGUUCCCCCGCUCCUGUUGGGACUCAGCACCCAUACCGCUCGCCGCCACGUGGUCACCACACUUAUGGUUCCCCUGCCUGUAAGACCAGGAUAGAUCUGGAUCCUUAGAUCGUUAGCGUCAGAGUUUGUAAUAAUUCUUAAGUCAGAUGUCUCAGUCUUAGAUAGUCAGUUUAGUUUGCUUAUCAGAUGCUUCCAUUUAGUUUAGUUUGCUUAUUAGUUGCUUACAUGCUUGUUAUGGUGAACUUGUGCUGGAUUUGAAUCUUUGUAAUGACUGUUGCCAAUCUGUGGGUUUCCCCUACAGUUUGGCCUAGCUAGUGAUGUUAAUGAAGUCAGUUAUUUAGUUGGGAAACCAUUUACUUCUACUUUCCUUUUUAUCUGAGAAGCUGUAUUGCAUCAUAAUGAGGAUCAGUGAAGCUCUUUGUUUACUCAGUGUCAUGAAGAAUUCUGUAUUCCCUUUUCUUAUGCUGAAGGAUUGUAAGAUCAAUGCUGAUGUAUGAAUGUCUUCCACAGAUGUCUGACAAUAGGCGCCGAUGCAACAGGCGUGCUCAGCAAGAGCAGCGUGCCCAGCAGGAGGAACAUUAGAGGCAACCUCCCCCACCACCCCCGAUGACCGUGGAGCAGAUGUUCUUGAUGCAGACUCAGGCAGUGCAGGCUAUUGGGCAGACUCUGGCAGCCAUGCAGCAGGCUCAACAGCAACCUCAACCCCAGAUGCAGGUGCAGAUGCCCCAGAUGCCACGAGAUAAGCAUGGCGAGUUCAUGAGAGGGCACCCUCCUACCUUCGCCCAUUCUGCUGACCCCAUGGAUGCAGAAGACUGGCUGCGCGCAGUGGAAAGGGAACUGCGCACCGCCCAAUGUGACGACAGGGAGAAGGUUCUGUAUGGUCCCCGCCAGCUAAGGGGAGCAGCACAGUCCUGGUGGGAGUCCUACCUCGCCACACAUGCUGACCCCGAAGCCAUCACCUGGGAAGAGUUCAGCGAGAGUUUCCGUAGGUACCAUGUGCCAGAGGGACUGAUGAUCGUGAAGAAGGAGGAGUUUCUGGCUCUGAAGCAGGGACCCCUGUCUGUUAGUGAAUACAGAGACAAGUUUCUGCAGUUGUCUCGUUAUGCACCUGAAGAUGUCAACACUGAUGCUAAAAGGUAGUACAGGUUCAUGAGGGGUUUGGUGGAUCCCCUGCAUUACCAGCUGAUGAAUCACACCUUCCCCACCUUCCAGCACCUGAUCGAUAGGGCAGUUAUGACUGAGAAGAAGCGUAAGGAUAUGGAAGAUCGGAAGCGCAAGAUGAGUGGACCCCAGUCCGGAAGCAUCAGCCGUCCCCGCUUCUCAGGCAGUUCAUCUCAGCAAGGCAGGCCUGGUCACCCACAGGGAUAUCAGCAUCAGAUUCAGCGUCCGCAUCAGCAGCAGUUUCAGAGGCAGUACCCACAACAGCAGCAGUAUCGUCAGAACAGCCAGCAGGGAGGUAAUCAGUAUCAGAAGCAGAACAACCAGGCACCUUGCCUUCCUGCCCCCGCAGCAAAUCAGAACAACCAAGCAGCCCCAGCACAAGGAGGAGGCAGGGGAUGUUUCCACUGUGGAGAACAAGGCCACUGGGCGAUGCAGUGCCCAAAGAAGAUGACGCAGCAACAGACCAACCCCAAUGCUCCAACAAGGCAAGGUGUACUGCAGCAGGCAGCAGGCAAUCGUGGCCAAGCGUACAACCGUGGAAAGGUGAACCACUUGGAGGCCGAAGCAAUCCAGGAUGCACCAGAUGUGGCAGUAGGUAUGUUCUCAGUCGAAUCUCAUUCCGCAAAAGUGCUAUUUGAUACUGGUGCAACCCAUUCAUUUGUCACUGCAACAUGGGUAGAAAUGCAUAACAUCUCAGUAGAGGCAAUGAUGCCGCCCAUGAGGAUUAAUUCGGUUGGUGGCAAGGUGCAAACAGAUAAAAUAUGCUCAAAUAUAAGGGUGGAAAUAAGGGGGAUAGGGUUCCCCAGUGACCUAAUAGUAAUAGACACCCCUGGGAUAGAUGUCAUCCUAGGGAUGAAUUGGUUAAUGAAAUAUGAAGCGAAUGUUAGCUGUGACAAGAGGACCGUAACAUUGAAGUCCCCGUCCGGAGAGGAGGUAGUGGCUGAGCUAAAGAUGCCUAAAUCAGCGGAGGGAGUUUGUCACCAGAUUUCAGUUGAUAGUAAGGAGACCAACCCGCUCGAGGCUAUCAAGGUUGUGUCGGACUUUCCGGAUGUGUUUCCCGAGGAGCUAACGGGCAUGCCACCCGAGAGAAAAGUCGAAUUUGCCAUAGAGCUUAUCCCUGGUACCGCCCCCAUUUCCAAAAGAGCCUAUCGGGUGUCUGGACCAGAAUUGGUGGAACUCAAGAAGCAGAUAUAUGAGAUGUUAGAGAAGGGUUACAUCAGACCAAGCACCUCGCCUUGGGCCGCUCCAGUAUUGUUUGUAGAGAAGAAAGAUGGUACCAAAAGGAUGUGCAUAGAUUACAGAGCCCUGAACGAAGUCACUGUUAAGAACAAGUACCCCCUGCCAAGAAUAGAAGAUCUGUUUGACCAGCUCAGAGGUGCCAGCGUAUUCUCGAAGAUAGAUCUGAGAUCAGGUUACCAUCAACUCAGAAUCCGACCCUCGGACAUACCGAAGACAACAUUCAUCACCAAGUAUGUGUUAUAUGAGUUCACAGUUAUGUCCUUUGGUUUGACAAAUGCGCCAGCCUUCUUUAUGUAUCUGAUGAACAGCGUGUUCAUGGACUAUCUAGACAAGUUUGUGGUAGUGUUCAUCGAUGAUAUUCUCAUAUACUCUCAAAGUGAGGAAGAUCAUGUGGAGCAUUUGAAGAUGGUAUUGCAAAGGCUUCGAGAGCAUCUGUUGUAUGCCAAGCUGAGCAAAUGCGAGUUCUGGAUUCAUGAAGUCUUGUUUCUGGGUCACAUCAUAAACCAAGAUGGGUUAGCAGUGGAUCCAAAGAAGGUAGCAGAUAUCCUGAACUGGAAAGCACCGAAGGAUGUUCGUGGGAUCAAGAGCUUCAUUGGAAUGGCCGGAUACUAUAGGCGCUUCAUUGAAGGCUUUUCAAAGAUUGCUAGACCAAUGACAGCGUUACUAGCGAAGAAAGUUGAGUUUAAGUGGACCCAAAAGUGUCAAGAAGCAUUUGAAGAACUGAAAAAUAGAUUGACUACAUCACCUGUGUUAGUUCUGCCUGAUGUUCACAAGCCAUUCUCGGUGUACUGCGAUGCUUCUUACACCGGAUUGGGAUGUGUGCUAAUGCAAGAAGGAAGAGUUGUAGCAUACUCAUCUCGACAGCUAAAGAUCCAUGAGAAAAAUUACCCCACACACGACCUGGAGUUGGCAGCAGUGGUUCAUGCGUUAAAGACAUGGAGACAUUACCUGUAUGGGCAGAAGUGCGACAUCUACACAGAUCAUAAAAGUCUGAAGUACAUAUUCACCCAGUCAGAGUUAAACAUGAGGCAGCGAAGAUGGUUGGAAUUUAUCAAAGACUAUGAGUUGGAAAUACAUUACCAUCCAGGCAAAGCCAAUGUGGUUGCAGAUGCUCUAAGCAGGAAGAGUCAAGUUAAUAUGAUGGCCACACACCCAAUGUCAUAUGAGUUAGCCAAGGAGUUCGACAGACUGAGCCUCGGUUUUCUGAAUAGUACGCAAGGAGUAACAGUGGAAUUAGAGCCCACCCUAGAGCGGGAGAUCAAAGAAGGGCAGAAGGAUGAUGAAAACAUCAACAAGAUCCGGCAGCUGAUCUUAGAAGGAAGAGGCAAAGACUUUCGAGAGGAUGAAGAGGGAGUGAUAUGGUUCAAGGACCGAUUGUGUGUUCCCGACCUCAAACCUAUUCGGGAGCUGAUCCUCAAGGAAGCUCAUGAGAUAGCCUAUUCCAUACACCCUGGAAGUGAGAAGAUGUAUCAGGAUUUAAAAAGGAGGUUUUGGUGGUAUGGCAUGAAAAGAGAGAUCGCAGAAUAUGUCGCCAUCUGUGAUAGCUGUCAAAGAACCAAAGCAGAGCAUCAGAGGCCCGCCGGAUUGUUGCAGCCAUUGCGGAUUCCUCAGUGGAAGUGGGAUGAGAUCAGGAUGGAUUUUAUAGUUGGCCUACCUCGUACCCGGGCCGGCUAUGAUUCCAUCUGGGUGGUCGUGGACCGCUUAACAAAGGUGGCCCAUUUCAUACCCGUGAAGACAACAUACACCGGAGCAACGUUAGCUGAGUUAUACAUGUCUCGGAUAGUCUGCCUUCAUGGUGUGCCGAAGAAGAUAGUGUCAGAUCGAGGAACACAGUUCACCUCUCAUUUUUGGCAGCAGCUACAAGAAGCUUUGGGCACACAUUUGAACUUCAGCUCGGCUUAUCACCCACAGACGGACGGUCAGACUGAGAGAACCAAUCAGAUCCUAGAAGAUAUGCUGAGAGCCUGUGCGUUGCAAGACAAGUCAGGAUGGGACAAAAGGUUACCUUAUGCAGAAUUCUCCUACAAUAAUAGUUACCAGACCAGCUUGAAGAUGUCGCCGUUUCAGGCACUCUACGGACGGAGUUGUAGGACUCCGCUGCAUUGGGACUAGCCUGGAGAGAGACAGGUGUUUGGCCCCGACAUCUUGCUUGAAGCCGAAGAGAAUAUCAAAAUGGUUCGGGAGAAUCUGAAGAUAGCAUAAUCAAGACAGCGAAGCUAUGCUGACCGAAGGAGAAGAGAACUGAGUUUUGAAGUGGGAGAUUACGUCUAUCUGAAGGUGUCACCUAUCAGGGGAGUCAGAAGGUUCGGAGUUAAAGGCAAGUUAGCACCCCGGUACGUUGGACCAUAUCAGAUUCAAGCAAAGCGUGGAGAAGUGGCCUAUCAACUCAACCUACCAGAAAGUUUGUCAGCAGUGCACAAUGUGUUCCACGUGUCGCAAUUGAAGAAGUGUCUGCGAGUACCAGAAGAACAGUUGCCCGUGGAGGACUUGGAAGUCCAAGAGGAUCUGACCUACGUAGAGAAGCCAACGCAGAUUUUGGAGUUUGCAGACAGAGUCACCCGAAGAAACACCAUCAGAAUGUGCAAAGUCAGAUGGGGCCACCACUCUGAGGAAGAAGCAACCUGGGAACGAGAAGAUGAUCUGAAGGCCAAAUACCCUGAACUCUUUGCUGACCAACCUUGAAUCUCGGGGCGAGAUUCUUUUAAGGGGGAUAGGUUUGUAACACCCUAAAUUUGGGGGUAUAAAAUUUCUUUGCUCAUAUUCACAAAUUCAGGUGUUACUUCUCUUUUCACACCCUUCCCAAUCCCCUCUUUCUUUUUUUUAUAGAAGAAAAGUGGCUAUUUACUUUGUGUAAUUAUAGUCUAUUAGACUAAAACUCCAAGGAGUAUGAAUUGUGUCAUCAUGUCAAACCCUAAAUUCUACUUUUGUUUGGUGCAUAAUGCUUGGAAAUGCUAAUUUGAAUUUGUGGCCUAUUUGGAUUUGAAUCAAAUAGAGUAAAUAAAAAGAAAAGGGAAAACAAAUGCCAGAAUAAAAGAAAAAAGGAAAGAAGCCCACACCCCCCCGCCCCCUCGGCCUUUCGGCCCAUCUGGCCCAUCCCGCGCGCGCGCGCCUUCCUCCCCCCUCUUCUCUCUCUGCCCUGGCGGGCCCGCCCGUCAGCGCGACCGCCUUCCCCGCGUCCGCGCCCGCUUCCCCCGCUCUCUCUGCUCGCGGGCCCGGGCUGUCAGCUCCUCCGUCUCCGCGUAACCGCCGCCCCGAGCUGCGCAUGCCGCGGACUCCGCGCCCACGUCGCGCGUGGAGCUCGCAACCGCCUCGCCCUCAGCCACUUGAGCCUAGAACCUCGCUCGCCCUCUCUCCCUCCCUCAUUUGCGCACCUGCAGACCUCUCUUCCACCUCUCCCACGCCGCUCACACGCCAAAGCGCCGCCGCCAUUAAUCGCCGCCGUCCCGAGCCCGUUUCUCCGCCGACGUUGGAGCCCCGCCGUGCCCUCUGCCACGAUGAGCUUCGCCUCGACGUCCACAACCCGGGACACGCCCCAAUUUCCCCUCCCCCUCCCCGAAUUCCUCUGCCCGCGCUCACCCGCCGUUCUCUGCGCAGUCGCCGAGGUCCGCCACCGUCGACCCGGGCCAUCGCCGCGCCUUCGCCGCCACCGAGGAGUCCCCGGGGUUCGCCUUGAGGUAAGGAACCUCCUCUGCCCUCUCCCUUCCCCUCUAUUGCACUCUGCCACGCUUAAUUCCUCACCGGAGUCCUUUAGCACCGCCGCCGAGCCACUUCGCCGUGGACCGCCCCCCUCCGGUGCUCCUGUCCCGGCCUAGUCCCCACCAGAGGGUUCCCCACGCUCUCCCCGACCUCCCCGGCCACCCAGGUCGCCCCAAGGACCUGCAGAGCCCUCGCGCCCCUCGUCUCUGGCGAGUCCUCCGCCGCGAGAACGGGCGCCGCCGCCUCUGCUAGCCGGAGGGGAAGGCAGAAGCCGGCCACCCAAUCCCCGCCGUCCAUCCCAGAUUGAACGGCUCUAUUUUAAAUAGCCCGAGCCCAGCCCUAGCCGUCCGCCUGAGAUCCAACGGUCCAGGGCCGUUUCUCCCCCCCGCACUCCGCCUUCCUGCCAAUCGGGCCCCGCCUGUCAGUCGUCCGCCCGCUCUGCCCGCCCGGCCCCGCCUAUCAGUCGUCCGCCCGCUCUGCCCGCCCGGCCCCGCCUGUUAGUCGUCCGCCCGCUCUGCCCGCCCGGCCCCGCAUGUCAGCCGCUCCUGCCGCCGCGCGCCCGCCCGCGGAUCUAAUCUCGGGCGUUGAUCCGAGAUCCAACGGCUAUAAGAGCCCGAUACCCCUUCGCCCGCGCAUUUUCUUAAAGAGACCCCCGGCUUUCUGCAAAUUAACCCGCCGUCCCAGGAUCUUUGUAGUUAGGUCCUCAGACCUUUUAUUUAAUCCAAAAUAAGUAUUUAAGGCAUAUUUUUAAUCCCUAAUCUUGUAAAAUUCAUAACUUUGUCACAUGAACUCCAAAUUAGGUGCUUCAAAUUGCAAAAUGCUCACAAUAUUUUUAUCUAUCUAUUUAAACAAUGUUUCCCUGCUGUUUUUAUGUCCCAAUUAAUAGUUGAUCAUUAGGGUAAAACUAAUGUUAUUGGAACCCCUAUUUGAGAUAAAUAAAAGAUAGAAGACUUUAAUAAAAGUUGGAGCACCUAAGUUUAUGGACUUAACACCAUGUAAUGAUUUAACCCCACCACUGACUUAGAUCUGAUUAGUGGAUAAUGAAGCACUUUGUAUAGUCAUCUACCCUAGACCUAGGGAACACCAAAUUGCCAAUCCUUUUCUAUUAUGAACUUGUGAUCUCUCUGCUGCAUAUGUUUGGUACAUUGCUUUUGUUUGUUAUUUCCCAAGUGCAUAGAAUGAAUGAUUACUUUACGUAGACAACGGGCAGUCUGUGUUUCCCGAGGAAGUUGCAGAAGAAGUUCCUGAUCAGCAGUUUGGUGAAGGCAAGUGUCCUCUGACCCAUUAUGUCCUAUUCACUUAUAAUUCACUUUCCCGCAUUACUUAAUUGAAACCUAAGGAUUGACUAGCUUUAUACUUUACCUUAUCCUUGAUGACCUUUUGGGUUAUUAUGGUUAGCAUUUUGCUAUUGCCUUAACCUAAUCAAUGAACAUGAUGUGACUAUUUAUGAUACGAUACUGUGAUCCUGAUUAUAUUGAUGAUCUUGUGAUACUCUAGGGGGCUCAGGCUGUUUCCUGAGUACCUCUCCGUAAGGACCUGUUCGUUGAGAGACCACCCGGGAUAACAGUGCAACCAUGAGGGUGAAAUGGGAUGCCCAUAGCUAAUUAAUUAGAGGAACUAGAGGUGUAGUUGCUUCGCCGUCGUGCCGUCAAUGGGGUCCAGGCACAGUGCUUGCUCUGCCGAGGCUGAGUGCCGAGGUUCUUCCGUUUUGCUUUUUGUUAGUCACUCUCCUGCGGGGAGGGGUACUGUGUUUAUCAAACUGGAGAAACCUAACGGGCAGCUAUGAUCUCUAGGGAAUCUUUGUAAAAGCUACGUAGUGAUACCCUGCCGGACCACCUAGGUAGUGGUCAAUGGGGAUUAGCUCUCCCCGGGUAGAAAGGGAAUCAUGACUCAUGGGUAAAGUGUGCGACCUCUGCAGAGGAUAGUGAAACUGAUAUAUCAGCCGUGCUCACGGUUAAGAGCAGCCUUGGGAUCCUCUUUGAUUAGAGAUACUCCGGAUGCACCUCAGAUGAGGACUUUAACGAUGAUGGUUAAUGAUGGUGACUUUAAUUAUGCAUUCUAGUAUUUCCUCUCUGAGGAGGUACUUUUUGGGACUAUAACUUGGGUUUCAUGAUAAAAUCUGGCUUCUACUAACAAUAAAUACUUGACCAACUAAAAGCAACUGCUUGAGCCUAACCCCACAUAAAGCUAGUCCACUACAGCUAAACGGGGCAUUUGCUGAGUACGUUGAUGUGUACUCAUCCUUGCUUUACCACAAAAUACCAGGUUGUCCACAUUGUAACCACUGCUCAGGGGAAGACGAAGCCGUGGAAGGAGACUUCCAGGAGUUCCAAGACUAUGACGAGUUCUAGGUGUGGGUUGGCGGCAACCCCCAGUCAGCUGCCUGUGAAGGCCUUAUCUUUACUGCGUUUCGCUAGCACUUUGAUUUAUCAGUUAAGUUGAUGACUAUGUGGAUGUCUAUGACUCUGUGAUGUAAUAAGUUAAUACCCUUUUAUGUUAUUAUUCGAGCAUUGUGCGAUGAUGUUCAUUUAUGUAAUUGCUGUGUACGUGAGUUCUGAUCCUGGCACGUACAUAGUUCGCAUUCGGUUUACCUUCCAAAACCGGGUGUGACACCUGCACGUGGCGGCACGGAGGUAGUGCAGCAGGAACCACGUGAGGAUCCGUGACCCCCUUCCAACGGGCACGGGGGAAUCGCGAGCGGAGGAUGGAGCCAUGGAGGUGGGGGCGAGCUCACAGUAUCCACUAUGGACGCGGGGAGGAGUACGGACGAGGAAGGAAGGGAUGCGGGGAGGAGUAUGGAAGGGGCGGGCUAGGAUGGAAGGGAGGCGGGGGAGGAGGAUGGCGGUCGGGUUUGCCGGCGGGGAUCACGGUCGGGGGGCGAGGGAAUGGGUCACGGAGGUAGGGGCGAGCGUGGAGGGGCAGAACCGUGCGCCGUGUGGACGCCUACACUAAUGUCUUAAAAAGUAGUAUAGAUAUGAAACAAAACACGCCAGCCACAAAACACAAUGUAAUUAGGAUGACAAUGGGUACCCGAAACCCAAUACUCAAUGGGUAAAAACUUUAUUAGGGCAUGUAUAGAAAAUUUUGAUACUCAUGGGUAUUUUAUUAGGUCAUUUGUUAUACCCGUUGGCCCAUUUGGUAUGGUGGGCAUGGACACGUUCUCUCUUGCCAUGCACCCGCUACAUGACAGUAAACCCGCUAACAUAUGACAUGUGUGUUUGGAUUAAGGAACUUAUUCUCUCUCAUGCAUGGGCUUGUAUGGUGUUUCCAUUUAAUGCUAAAUGUUGUUGACCUUGUAAUAAAAUAAUGUUGGGUUCGAUGAAUUUAUAAUGUUAGCACAAAGAUAAUAUGUUAUUUUAGCAUCUUUCACUAUUGAUGAGGUAUGAGGUUUCAACAUUUUGUUUUCAGUACUUACUUUUGUAAUUCAAAAUGAUCAUGUUCACUGUAAUGUUAGUGUGUAUAAAUACUCGAUGGGUACUCACUACCCGUGGUGGGUAUGCGUAAUUUUAUACCCAUGAUGAGUAGUGGGUAUAAGUAUGGAAUAUCUUUUUAUUUAGUGGGUAUAGGUAAAUUUGUGUGCCCAUUGGGUACCUUACCCACUGCCAUCCCGAAGCAUAAUCACUGUUUUAGACUUCGUGAAGUAUUGAGAGCACCUAGAGGGGGGGGUGAAUAGGUGAUCCUGUAAAAUCAAACAUUAAUAGCCACAAAAACUUAAUUUAAAGUGUUAGUACGGCUAAGUAGUUGAGAGACGGGUUCUUGUGGACAAAACAAUCACAGAGAAAGCAAUCACAAGAGAUACGUGAUUUUUAUCCCGUGGUUCGGCCAAGUAACACUUGCCUACUUCCACGUUGUGGCGUCCCAAUGGAUGAGGGUUGCACUCAACCCCUUUCAAGUGAUCCAAUGAUCAACUUCAAUACCACGACUUUCUUCCUUAUAAUCUUCUUCCCGUUUGCGAGGAAUCUCCACAAGUUGGAGCUUCUCGCCCUUACAAUAUUGAUCACAAAGAAUGCACAAAAGUAAGGUUGGGAAGAGCAACACACACAAGACUCAAAUACGAAGCACAACCACGCACACAAGUCACGAUUUGAGCUCGAAACACAACACAUGGAGUUCACAACUCAAAUGGAGAUCAAAUCACUAACACAAAGAAUCAAUAGCAUGGAGUUGGAGUCUUGGAGUCUUAGGAUGCUUAAUGAAUGCUUAGGUGUCUCCUCCAUGCGCCUAGGGGUCCCUUUUAUAGCCCCAAGGCAGCUGAGAGCUGUUGGAGAUCAACAUGGAAGGCUAUCCUUGCCUUUUGUCGAGUGGCGCACCGGACAGUCCGGUGCGCCACCGGACAGGUCCUGUAGACGGUCCGAUGCGCGAUCUCCUUCCAAAUUUGGCAUAUCCGACCGUUGCUCCUCUGGGCUGACUGGCGCACCGGACACAGUCCGGAGCACACCGGACAGUCCGGUGCACCAGCUGACCGUUGGAGCAGUCCAUGUGUCGCGCGAAGAUUGUGCGGCCGACCGUUGGCGUAGGUGACCGUUGGCUAACCGGACAGUCUGGUGCACCACCGGACAGUCCGGUGAAUUAUAGCCACGUCGCCCCUUUGCUUUUCCUGAGGGCGACGAGUUCGCCGCGGAUGACUCAGCGGACAGUCCGGUGCACCACCGGACGGUCCGGUGAAUUAUAGUCGUACGGCGUCGUCGAAUCCCGAGAACGGCGAGUCCACUGCGGACCAGCCUGGCGCACCGGACACUGUCCGAUGCACCACCGGACAGUCCGGUGUGCCAAGCCGAGCUGGAGUUUGUUGUACAUAGCCAACUCUUUUUCCAAUUCUUUUCUCACUAUUUCUAGCACUUAGACAAAACACAUUAGUACUCAAAACAAUGUACUAAGUCUAGAACAUACAUUUUUCUUUGAUUUGCACUUCUCACUUUACUUGGCACAUAAGAACUUAGUUAACCGUGUUGGGCACUUAAUCACCAAAACAUUAUUGAAAUUGCUGAAGGGCACAUUUCCCAAUAAAUCUCCCCCUUUUUGGUGAUUUAUGCCAACACAACCAAAAGCAACCAAGGAAGUGCGACAUCAAUGCAAUUGAAGACCAAAUUGUUUUUUACUAUAAUUUGGCAUAUUUGGAUCACUCUUUGCCACCACUUGGUUUGUUUUUGCAAAUCAAAUUCAUUUUCCUAUCUCUAAGUCAAACACACUUGUUUGGGCACAUAAAGAGUUAUUCCAAGAGUAAAAUUGAUCAAGUGCCAAAAACUCCCCCUUUUCCCAUAAUCAAAAUUCUCCCCCACAAGAGACCAAAUUUUGCAAUAAGAGUAUUUUGGAUAAAUAAAAAAUUCUAACUCUAUUAUUUUUGAAUUUCAUAAGUGGUAGCUGAUCCAUUUGCUUUGGCCUUAAUUUCUCCCCCUUUGGCAUUAAGCACCAAAACGGGAUCAUUAUUGGCCCUUUAACCCCAUUGCCUCACCAACAAUGUCAAUUAAGAGCAUAAAAGGCAAAUAGAGCAUAAGAAUGAACUUGGAAUUGAGUAUACUAAUACCGGAGUGCAGUGGAAGUCUUUUCAUUGUCCAAGUUCACCUUUCCCUUUCAAUGCACCUUUGAGACUACAUCAAGUAUACUCAAACAAACAGAUUAGUCUCAAAGGGUCAAGUUGUAGCACAUCUCCCCCUAAAUAUGUGCAUCAUUCACACAUGGACUUGUGAGGUCCGGGGAUCUCUUGCACAACUUGAGCACCAUAAGUAAGCAACAAAUCAUACAAAUGUAUGAAGUAACAUGAUCAAAGGCAUAGAACACAUGUAUGCUAUAGAUCAAUCCAAGUUACAUGAAUCUAAGACAUUUAGCUCACUACGCAAUCUGCAAAAGGUUUUCUCAUCCAACGGCUUGGUGAAGAUAUCGGCUAGCUGGUUCUCGGUGCUAAUAUGGUUCACCUCGAUAUCUCCUUUUUGCUGGUGGUCUCUCAGAAAGUGAUGCCGGAUGUCUAUGUGCUUGGUGCGGCUGUGUUCAACAGGAUUAUCCGCCAUGCGGAUUGCACUCUCAUUGUCACAUAGGAGUGGGACUUUGUUCAGAUUGUAGCCAAAGUCCCGGAGGGUUUGCCUCAUCCAAAGUAGUUGCGCGCAACACUGUCCUGCGGCAACAUACUCGGCCUCAGCGGUGGAUAGGGCAAAGGAUGUUUGUUUCUUAGAACUCCAGGACACCAGGGACCUUCCUAGAAAUUGGCACGUCCCCGAUGUGCUCUUCCUAUCAACCUUGCACCCGGCAUAAUCAAAGUCUGAGUAUCCAAUCAAGUCAAAGGUAGACCCCUUUGGAUACCAGAUCCCGAAGCAAGGCGUAGAAACUAAAUAUCUAAGAAUUCGCUUAACGGCCACAAGGUGACAUUCAUUGGGGUCGGAUUGAUAUCUAGCACACAUGCAUACACUAAGCAUAAUGUCCGGUCUACUAGCACAUAAAUAAAGCAAUGACCCUAUCAUAGACCGGUAUGCCUUUUGAUCAACGGACUUACCUCCUUUGUUGAGGUCGACAUGUCCGUCGGUUCCCAUCGGUGUCUUCGCGGGCUUGGCGUCCUUCAUUCCAAACCUCUUUAGAAGGUCUUGAAGGUACUUCGUUUGGGAGAUGAAGGUACCGUCCUUGAGUUGCUUCACUUGGAACCCAAGUGUCACACCCGGUUUUAGAAGGUAAAUCGAAUGCGAACCAUGUACGUGCCAGGAUCAGUAAUUCACGUACACAACGAUUACAUAAAUGACUCAUCAAAGCACAAUGCUUCGAAUUACAAUAAAGAGUAAGUAAUAAUAUUACAGACUAGAGCCAUUUACAUAAUAUAAAUCAAAGUACACAGAAUCGAAACAUAGCCAACGUAAACAACCCACCACAUGCAGCUGACUGGGGGAGGUCGCUAGCCUAAUCCUCGAACUCGUCGACGUCCUGGAACUCCUGGAGAUCCGCCUCGACGCCUUCUUUACCUGAGCAUAGAUUGCACCAAAGGCAACCUGGUGUUUUGUGAAAGCAAGGGUGAGUACACAUCAACGUACUCAGCAAAUGUCCCGUUUGGCUGUAGUGGACUAGCUUUAUGUGGGGUUAAGUCAAGCAGUUGCUUUUAGUUGGUCAGGUUAUUAUUACUAGUAGAAAGCCAGGUUUUAGCAUUAACCCAAGUUCUUAACCCAAAGUACCCUUUCCAAAUGGAAAGAAUACCACUUACCAUUACCAUAAGCAUGAUCAUAACCAUCCUCCUCAUCACCACCUGUAAACCAUACAUCUCUGAUCAAGUAUCUCUAAUCAAUGGAGCUCCCUUGGCUGCUCAUAACCGCGAGCACGGCUGAUAUAUCAGUUUCAUAACACUCUACAGAGGUUGUGCACUUUACCCACAAGCCGUGAUUCCCUUUCUGCCCAGAGAUCAUGACUCUCCAUUGAUCACUACCAAGGUGACCCAGCAGGGCAUCACUACGUAGCCUUUACAAAGAUUCUCCGGGGCUAUAGCCACCCGUUAGGUUUCCUAAAUGCACCGCACUCCUCCCCAAGGGGCGAACCCAAGCUUGGCAGAGCGAGCCGCAUACACCGAGCCCAAUUGACGGCACGACGGCUAAGUGAACUACACCCCGGAUCCUCUAAUUAUUCAGCUAAGGGCACCCCAUUCCACCCUCAUGGUUGCACUGUUUUCCUAGGCGGUCAUCCAAAGAACAGGUCCUUACGGAGAGGCACUCGAGAAACCGCUCGAGCCCCCUUAAAGGCCACAAGUAUAACAUCAUAAUAAGAGAAGGGAAAACAGCGUAUCAUAGAUAAUCUCAUCAUGUUCAUUGAUUAGAGUUGAGCAAUAGCAUAAGGCUAAGCAAUAAUAAUCCAACCCAAAUAGGUAAACAAGGACAUGGAUAAUAAAGCUAGUAAAUCCUUAGGCAUAAAUGUGUAAUGCGGGAGAUGAAUUAAAGAAUGAAUAGGACAGAGAUAGGUCAAGGGACACUUGCCUUCAUCAAACAGAUGCUCAGGAUCUUCAGCCUCGUAAAACUCGAAGAGUUUGAUCUCUUGGUCGCCGAAGCUUGACCGUUGAUUCCUCGAAGCUCGAAAGAGAACCACGAUCUAAUCGCAACACGGAGCGAAGACGAACAGACACAAGCAAACAAACAUAUGUGCAUAAGAACAUUACACCAUACAAGGUAAAACGUAAUAAAAUACGCAAAAUAGAAUAGAGUGUGUUACUGUGGUCACACGAGGACAAAGAAACGCGAUAGUAGGAGCUAUGGUCGAGAAGUUAACGGGUUUACGCUAAGCUAACAUCAAAUUGAAUAUUUAAUCCGAUAUUUCUAGAUUAAUUGAUAUUAAUUAAAUGUAAAUUAACACUACUACUUAGUUCUUGUCUAACUUACCAUUUUAAUAGUUGAUGACCAAAUAAGUAACUAAUUUAUUCACAUGGGUAAUUAUAAACAAAUGAUUUAAUCUUGCGAGCGGCAAGGCGCGUGACACACGCGAACGGCGUGCGACAAUGCGCGCGACAACACGUGAAACACACGCGGCAACACGCGGAAACAAUGCGACGAUAAGCUAGAAUCGCUAACCGAUCCCGCAUCUCUAUUGAGAAAGUAUUAAUUACAACAUUUGCAUCAACAUAAUCACAUUAACGGGUAUUUAUACGUGAAUAGGUUAGAGCUAUACCUAAAUUAGAAUGUUAUUUUAUUAAUCAUUGGACAAACAAAUAAUCAAGUAAAUAGCUAAAUCCUAUGAUGCGACAAAAUAAUAUUACUAACGUGUAAUUGACGUGAUUACAAGGUUACCACAGUCAGAAACAUGAUCAGAUGUAUUUGCGAUGCACAUAUGUUGAAUACGUAGUAGUUCACAGUUCAAAAUGACGAGAUCUCAUGCGGACACAAUCGUCUCCAUUUUUCCCAACUGCACGACACCGAAGCCUCAGCUGGCCAAGCCUGGUGGCUGCUCCCACCGGCGGUCGAACUCGCGCUGGGGCACCGGGGCUGCACUAGCCGCCAUGGCCGAGCCGUGCUGGGCUGCGUGUGCCACACUAGACAGCUGCGAGACCGCGCAGGGCUCAGACAGCCACGCCGCGGGCCGAGCCGACCGUUCCCUGGCCACUGUGCCGAGGAUCGUGCCAUGUCGGGGCCACGCUCCGCACCAGCUCAGCCGCUCCAGUCGGCCGGGGAGGGCUGGCCGCGCGCCGCUGCGCUGGAAGGCCGGCGAGCUGCCGCGUCGGGCAGGCUGGCCACGCCUGGCCGCUAGGGGGGGCCACCACGCCGCGUGCUAGGGCCGUGCCCGCACCGGCUGGCCACGGGCUACCGCGCGCUGGCAGGCCACGCCGAGGCCACGCGCUCGCGCCGCCGAGCCGGGACCGCGCCGGGCCGCCGAGGCCACGCGCCCACGCCCGCACCGGGGUCGUGCGCCGGCUGCCGCGACGCUGCUGGCCACGCCUGGCCGCUGCGCGCUGGCGAGCCGCGCCGGGCCGCAGCGACGCCGCUGCAGGGGGGGCCGGGGAGAGGGAGGGGCGGGGGAAGGGGAGGAGGGAGGGGCUUACCGCGCGGGGCGAGGGCGAGCGGCAUCGAGGGAGAGAGAGGGACGUGCACGGGAUCGGGGAGAGAGAAGGAGGUAGGGGGAAGGGGGUGGGGCUGACGAGCGGGCCCCACCAGGGGGUGGCGGCGGCAGCUGGGGGAGGGCACUGCCUAGGGUUUUGGGGGUGGGGCUGCUACGCGCGGGGUGGGCCAGGUGGGCCGCGUGGGGUGGGGGAGCUGGGCCACCGAGCUGGGCCACGCUGCGCGCCAGCUGGGCCGCGGGGAGGGAGCCGACCGGCUGGCUGGCUGGGCCGCGCCAGAAAGCCAGCCCAGGGGAGAGAGAGAGGGUUUUCUAUUUUCUAUUUGAAUAUAGCUCUCGCUUUUUUUAAUUCAAAGUCACACAUGCUUCAUGAGUUUAAAUGGAGGCACGACAACACCAUACAAAAUUAGAUGCUCCAGCAUGUGAUGCAACAACAAUAACUCCAUAGGGUUUUAACUUACUACGAUUAAUGUUUAUAUAAUACAAAAUAACUCCUCAAUAUUUAUGAAAAAGUGAAGUAAAGCAAAUAAAAGAGAGGGUAACACCUGAAUUUAGUGGAUAUUAGAAAAGAAAUUUUAUACCCCCAAAUUCAGGGUGUUACAAAUCUAACCCCCUUAACAGAAUCUCGCCCUCGAGAUUCAAGAAGAGGCUAGCAAGAAAUUGAGAUUGGUUCAUCGGUCUUUCAUAGCUUCUUAUGACUCAAAUUUGACUCUAGCAACUUUAACUUGUGGACUGGUUGCUUUGACCUUUAGAUGCUUGAGACCGAUUCAUGCAAUUCUUGAGGAACGCUUAGACCUGUGGGUUAGGACCCACACAUGCUUCCGCUGCUUCACUUUGAUCAUGUUUGUUGAUGUUGAUCACAUUGUCUUCAUUGGGGUUAGCGGCUAACCCCCUUAACAAGAGCAUUGAUACACACUUGAUGAAGAUUUUGCCGACUCUGAUCUUGACUGAUUUGGAGGAGUUGGAGGUUGCCAAAUGGACAGGUGCAAGAGGAAAGAAUAGCGAGAAAAGGUAAGUAUAGACGGAUUAAAGAGAGGAGGGGGAGAACCCAACUACUUAACUCUAUGGCACUCACCUAGUAAACUGAUGUCAUUGCGGACCAGGGGCCACAACACAUCAACACUCAUCACGAAAAAGCAAAUCAGUCAUAACACCAAGACACACAGCACAAGCAUACAACAACAAACAUCUCGUUGCUAUACGUUUCUUUUAAUUAAAUGGUGGUCUUUCUUGAAAAGGGAAUAACUACUCUCUAAGGUUGUCGAAGGACAAGGAGAAGAACAAGAUGUGCAAGAUAGGGGCAUGAGCACAAUAAAGGAUGGAGUUAAAGCAAGCAUUGUAAGCAACCAACAAAGGGAUACGACCAAGGGCAUAAUGGGUAAAACAACACUCUCGAGUUGAGAUCGAAAUGGAGAGAUUUCCAAAAGCAGACCUAAGAUAAGUAUCAAGUCAAGAUCUAGUGAUUACAAGGGUAAGGGGGAUAUCAAACAAAAGUUAAGACUCACAACACGACAGAGGAAAAGGGAACGACCAAGAGCGGGAUGAAUAAGACAACAUUAUUCAAUUGAGACGGGAGAGAAGGCUUUCAAAUGCAAGUGCAGGAUAAGCAUUAAGGUAAAUAUCGAGUUAUGACAAGGGUUAAGGUUAUAACAGACAAACACACAACAAAGGAGGUAUAUUUUUUUAGAUGAAACUUGCAAUCGAAGAAGGGGGAGCAGUUAAUGAUGAAGUAGGUGAGGCAUUAUCCUUGAACAGGGAUGGAAAAGAGGAGGCUAUAAAGGGUAGGUUCAAAGUAAGCUUGAAGGUCAAGGUAUAGAUAUUGCAAGGGUCAAAGGUGAUAACGGACAAGAACAUAAGAGAGGAGGUAAAUGGGCAGAAGAACAAAUGAUACAAGUACCAUAAAGGAUGGAGUUAAGACAGGACAUGCAAAUGGAAAAGGAGAGGGUACGUCCAAGGGCCAGAUAGGUGAGCAGUCACUUCCCAAUUGAGGUGGAAGAGAGGAGAUUUUAAAGAGCUAGAAUAAAGAUGAGUAUCAAGGCAAGAUCGAUGGAUGACAAGGAGGUGGUGAUAGCAAAUAAAACACAUAACAAAGGAUGGAAUUGAAACAAAACUUGUAAGGCGACAAGAAGUGAAAAGAAAUCAAGGGAGAGGUAGGUAACUCGCAACUCUCAAACUUUCUCAAAAUAAAGGAGAGGCUUUUAAAGGAUAAGUUCAAGGUAAGCAUUUAGGUAGAAGACAUAAAUAUCACAAGGGUCAAAGGCAAUAACAGAUAAGAGUAUAGGAGAAAAGAUGAAAGCAUAGAAGAGCCAAUGGUAUAAGUACAACAAAGAAUGGUGUUGCACCCAAGCUUACAUGCGGUAAAGAAGAGGAUAUAGCCAAGGGUGAGGUAAGUAAAACACCACUCUCAAAUUGAGAUAGGAGACCAGAGAUUUUAGAUAACAGACAUAAUGUAAUCACAAGGUAGGAUAGAAGGGUAAAGAAAAUAACAAACAAAACACAACAAAGGAUAGAGUUAAAAACUCGAAUGUGGCAGAGAAGAGGAUACGACAAAAAAGGUAAAAACCUACAACUCUCAGAUCAAGAUGGAAGAGAGGAGAUUUUGAAGGGCAGGUAUAAGAUAAAUAUCAAUGUAAGAUAUGAUGAUGUCGAAGGUAAAGAUGAUAAUAAUGAAAAGCAUAACAAAGGAUAGCGUUAAGAUAAGACUCGCGAAGUGGCAAAGUGGAGAAAACAAUAAAGGGUAAGAUAGAUAAAGUCCCAACAGAAAGGUUGAGGUAAAAACUCAUUACCGAAGGAUGUUAUGAGGGAACAAUGAGAUCAUCAAGGAUGUGCCAAAUAGAAUGAUCAUUCAUGGAUCGUCAAGAAAUCAGGGUGGUCAAGGGCAUGUGAACUGAAAUGUCUUAAACAGACACUAGGGUAUGAAUAUAAGCAUACAUAAAAAUAUAAUAGUAUGCAAGAUUCCAAGGACACAGGCAUGCCAAGAAAAGGGAACUGAAAAUGCCAAAGGAUAAUGACUUAAUGACGGAGUAGGAAGGGGUCUUAGAAGACAAGAAGUUCAUGGACAUAUAAACUUGAGUGUUUAAGUAGGCAUGAGAAAUUCAGAUGUGGGUAUUUAAAACAAGAGUAUUGAAGAAUCUAGGGGUACGAGCAUGCCAAUACCAAGAGACAAGAAAUUGUCGAAAGAUAACGACUUAACAACAGAAUAAGAAAUGAUCUCAGAAGACAAGAAGGUCAUAGACACAUAAACUGAACUGUUUAAAUAGGCAAUAGAGGUACAAGGGUAAGUACUUUAGAUUAAGGGAUAAGGGUAUUAAAAAUGCAAGGAUACGAGUAUGUCAAUAACAAAAUGAAUAGAGAUGGUCAAAUGGUAGCAAUUUAAUAAUGGACGAGGAAAGAGUCCCAAAAGACUAAAGGCUAUGGUCAGGGGGCAUCUACAAAGAUGUCGCAAGCACAAGAGUGAGGUCAGAUCUAAUAGAUUGAGAGAAGUAUAGACCAUACUAAAAUAAAAUACUUUUUGGCAAGGGGGCAUAUAGGAGCACAACAUAGAAUUAGUCGAGGUGACUAAUAUUUUGAAGCAGAAUCAAGGAUGAGAUGAAGUAAUAAUCAAUAAGACCUUAAAACGGCCAAUGCUACUCUAGGUCAGCGAUCCUACAGUCAGCACAACUUUGAUACCACUUAUGUCACACCCGGUUUUAGAAGGUAAACCGAAUGCGAACCAUGUACGUGCCAGGAUCAGUAAUUCACGUACACAACGAUUACAUAAAUGACUCAUCAAAGCACAAUGCUUCGAAUUACAAUAAAGAGUAAGUAAUAAUAUUACAGACUAGAGCCAUUUACAUAAUAUAAAUCAAAGUACACAGAAUCGAAACGUAGCCAACGUAAACAACCCACCACAGGCAGCUGACUGGGGAGGUCGCUAGCCUAAUCCUUGAACUCGUCGACGUCCUGGAACUCCUGGAGAUCCGCCUCGACGCCUUCUUUACCUGAGCAUAGAUUGCACCAAAGGCAACCUGGUGUUUUGUGAAAGCAAGGGUGAGUACACAUUGUCACACCCGGGUUUCAGGGGCACCAAGACCCGGGCGCGAACAUAAUCACCAGGUGUGCUGGGACCAAGUCACACACAUAUGAUGAAUCAUGGCACAGGAUCGAAUGUCACAUCUUUACUACAUAAUAGGAGUUCUAUUCAAAAUAAAUAAAUAAUUACAUUAUAAGGAGACAACGGUCCAGCAACCCAAAGUUGACUAGGAGACGACGACCUAGAUCUCUCUCACGAACUCAUCGCAGCAUCCUCCAUGCGCCUCAUCCUGUGGUACCUGUUCUUGACCUGUGGGGGGUGUGAGACAGCAAGAGUGAGCUCACAUACGUUCAUCGCUCAACAAGUUGUGGGGAAUAAUGUGCAUGAACUCGCCAAAGGUGGGAGCUCACGUGAAGUGUAAGGCUUACCAAAGAGGAUGGUUAGAGCUGAGCAUUGCUUUUAAAGUUGGUCAAAAUUAGCAAUUACUAAGUAUAAGUAGAUACCAACCCAAUUAAGUAGUAGAACAAAAGUAACAACAUCACCUGUGAUGCAAUGCAUAUGACAAAUUGAAUUUAGUUUCAUAAGUUAAUCAUCAGAGAGUCCUGAGCUGCUCAUGAUCGUGAGCUCGGCUAGUAUACCAGUUUUACACUCUGCAGAGGUUGUACCCUUUACCCACAAGUCAUCUUACCCAUCUGCCAAGGGAUCGCGACUUCCCAUACACCUCUACCGAGGAGGCGAGGCAGGGUAACACUACGAGGCCUUUACAAAGUUCCACUAGCUUCAGAAAACCCGCUACAGUUUAUAGGAAGCUCCAAUGCAGGGUUCUUGCCUGACCACCAUCGCAGCAAAAUCAACCAAGGACCUCCCUACACUGACCACUCCCCUACUGCCCUUGCCCCUUUCGGGUAAGGUAGUCCUCCACUAGCUUUCCUAAUUAAUCAGCCAAGGGCGUCCAUAAACCCUUGUGGUGGCACGUGUUUCUCAAGUUAAGCUCUAUGUUCCAAUUAACAUUAAUGAUCUUGACAUGAACAGUAAAUAACAACAGAUAACAAAAGUAUAAUCAUGAAUAAUGUGUAUCUCAAUGCCCAAAACCACAUAUAGCACUAGCAAGUACUACCCAAAAAGUUCAGUGGUAAACAAGGCAUAAAGAUAGACAAACUAGGGUAACCUAUUAGGUCCCAUCAAAAUUAACCUAUGCAGAUCAUUAUGAUUAAUUAGAACAUGAGUGGGUAAAAGAAGUGAUCAAGGGCACAACUUGUCUGGGACUUGAGAUUCCAGGUACCAGGAUGAUCUUCAGGUGACUCGUGACCUCACGCUAGUCGUAGCAAUACAAACAAGCAGUGUAUAGGCAAAAUUAACAUCACAUCAAACAUGUAAACAAAAUAUAUAAUAAUAAUCUACACAUUAAAAUAAGAUUCUAGGAACGAGAAUCAUUAAUUUUUGGAGUUACGGAUUUUAAGUUAUGACUUUCUUAAGAUUUUAUGUGCUUUGUACAAGAUUACUUAAGAUAAUAAUUUUAAUGCGGCUUUUAUGUCAAAACAGUGACACUAAAUGAUAAACAAUAAUAUUAUAAAAUUAUAGAAACUAGAAUGGGUUAAUUCGGUGGUUAGAAUGAAUUAAAUAUGAAUUAAACAAGUUUAUGAAUUUAUUUUUGUACUAAAAAUCAAUUUCCCUAAUUAUUUCUCUAUUUUUAUCACCCCGGAACUGGGCGCAUUAAUAACUAAAAGACCAGGGGCUCCCCCACAAAAGUUCCUAAGACUCAUAAUCACCCCGCGCAAGAUGGCGGGUUAAUUACGAAAAAGUGCAGGGGCUCUUUAGAAAAACGACCAGGGCCGAAGGGGUACGAGCGCAGCACAGCCAAUCGAUCAAGAUCUAACGACUCAAAUUAAAUCGUGUCUUAUAUGAACCGGUACGCAUUAUGCGCCGCACGAUCAGUGACCAACGCCCAGGAUUUAAAACGCUCGGGUUGAUUUCAGCGCGCUCGAUCCAGAUCGAACGGCGCAAAUCCACCCCACUGAACCAGUGUCGCCCAUUUAAUCCUAGCCGCAAGAUCACCGAUCCGCGGUCGAAAACCCCCUACCCAUCCUUCUAAUUUUUACCCGUACAUGGCCCGAUCAACGGCCCACACAUCGUCGUUCCCCCGCGGCCAAAUAGAGGCGCCGGCGCGAUGAGCACGGCGGAGCUCCACCGGAGUACAGGCGAUCUAAGGCCUCGGCGCCCCAAAUCAGGCCUGGGUAAAUGCUAAGCGAUGCGGACGUCCUGGUGAACAGCACCAGCACAAAUCCAACGGUGACGGGGUUUCUUCCCUUCCCCCAGGCCGCACGCGGCAGCAGAGUGAGCCCGCACGGCGGAGGCCACAACGACGACCGGCGUUCCCAACCUUCCUGGCCCUAAACCUUGCUUCUAUUGGUGCUAAACGAUGCGCAAAUGAGGGUAAAUGGUAUGGCGAGGGUCUUACUCAUAGCAACAUCAGCGACAUCGCCGACCACGAAGCGUGGUGGGCUCACGGCAACAGUGGACUUCGGCGAGAAAUUAACCAUUCACUGGUUAAUCGCGCACCCGUAAUCACACGCCCGCGCCAUCGUUGGGUAAUGGCGGAGCAUCCUGGGCAACCAUCACGACUGGGGCACAAGCAGGGACGAUGUUCCACGGCGGCGGUGGUAGGUCUCCCCGCACACCCGCUGCUAUGGUGAAUCCUGUACUCUCGAUGUCGAACGCGAGGACUGGUCUAGGAUUGUGGGAGAGGCGAGCACAACGCGGAUAUAUAUGCGCAGCAGGGGGAUCUGGAUAGAGAUGGUGAGCAGCCAAUCCGGAUUCCACGCGCGCGUGAUUUCUGCGGAGUCCGUUGAGCCGACCGCGCGAAUCGCGGAUCGCGCAAGCCUGUUGCAAGGCGCAGGGAGGAUAGACACCAGCGCGCAGGGGCGGCAGACGCAGCCCGGGAUCUCGGCGUGGUUUUCGGAUCGAGUGGAACCUCUAGGGAGCUCCGGCGGCGCGAUCCCAUUUCCUGGACGCAGGCGAGACGCGAUGGCAGCGGAGAAAGAAGAAGCUCCCGACGCCCCGGGCCGCAUGCAAGUGAGAAGCGUACGCGCCAGAGGGACUGGGCCGCGCGAAGUGGGAGUUGGGCCGAGGGAGUAGAGAGCUGGGCCAAGGGCGCCAGAAUCGGCCCAGGUGGUCUUUUCUCUUUUUCUUUUCUUCUGAUUUCAUCAUUUUUUUAUUCCAAUUUCAAAUCAUACCCAAGUUUGAAUUUCAAUCCCUCUUCUUCACAAAUCAAAAUACAAUAUGCACUGGUUAUAUUAAUCUAUUUAUUUAAUUACUUUAUUUAUUAUUAUCAUUUUAUUUAGGUAAUGAAAUACUCCCACCACAUUCAUUACAUAAAAUAUGAUCUCGAGUGUGUAAUCAAUUUAAAAGGUGUAACCCAAAAGUCAUUUUCCUUUGGUUUGAUAGUAAACAUUUUUCAAGUGUCUAAUUUUAUUAGGAUUUAACUCAACUAUCAUUAUUGUAUUCACCUUAAAAGGGUGGAUUCUAAGGUUUAAUAAUUUAUCAAGGGUAUUUUGUUCUGAUUCCUUCUACUAAUCCCAAAUCUAGAAUUUGGGUGUUACAAAUCCUACCCCCCUUAACAGAAAUCUCGUCCUCGAGAUUUGUAAGGAAAGGAAUACAAAACGAUUGGCUUGUAAUUCAACUUUUAGUCUAUAAUUAUUUCAAAUAUCCAGAGUAUUUUAUAGUCAAAAGUGGGUGAUUAGGAGAGCAUGGGUAUAUAUAUGUAUGUCCACUUUAUUAUGUAGGAUAGAAGAUGUCCUUAGAGCAUAGAUAGGUUUAGUUAUGAAAGGGUAGGGCUAGGAAAGACUCUAUCCAAGAUUGUGGAUCUUGAUUACUUUUGAAGAUCUAGCUUGAAUCUUAUCCUUCCUUGAUUUGAUGAGCUCGAUCAUCUUCGAUCUUUGUUCUUGAAGUUUUUUUUAUCCGAAUUAGGGACAUGUAGUUAGGAUAACUUGUAAGUAAGGACAGAUGGUUAACAGGCUGGUGGCAUAAGAUAAGUGUAUUAUGGCAACAUCUAGGAUGGGAGGGAUGGUCACCAUAAAUAUGCUGGUAAGUUAUUUGUUCAUGGGUGGUUUGGUAUGAUGUACUAAUUUAAGUUAAAACAUGGCCAGCAGGGUCUAAUCUAUUUCACUAGUAUCAACUAGUCCGUUAAGUAACUCACUUUAGAUUAGAUCAUAUUAGGUUAGAUGAGAUCUAGAUUAGAUUGGUAUGACUAGUUUGACUAGAUAUGAUCUAAUUAAUUUGCAUUAGAUCAUGGUUGUUAAACUAGGGUGGAUAAGUAUGCUUAUUAGGAUAAGACAUAUCCAUAAAGAUAAGAUAGAAUCUUUUGAGGCCAGUUAGAUCUAUUAGGAUAAGGAUAAAAUCUUUUCUAGAUAAGAUGUAUCUAUUAAGGUAAUAGAGUAUCUUUUAAGAUAAGAUGGAUCUAUUAAGAUGAGAUAUAUUUUAAUUAGGAUAAGUUGGGAUCUUUUGAGAUGAGAUAGAUAUUGUUAGGUUAGAUAUUUUAAUGGGGAAUAAUCUAGUUUGUCUAGUUAUUUUUUAUAAGCAUUUUCUUAUAUGUAUAUACAGAUGUAAUUGUGGGCAUUACUCCACAACCCAUCACACUCAAUCAAAGAUCCAAAUCAGACAAGUAUCAUAAGAACAAACACUCAAGCGUAUAGAUACCUAAAAAUAGUUUUGCUUUUGUUCCUAUGAGUAGGUCUUCUAUUCCUAAAGGUCACUUAAUGUACAAGAUUUCAAUGUGUGAAAUCCACCUUUGUAUUUUAGAAGUUAAAAGGUAAGAGUAAUCAGAGUAAAGCAGCAUUAGAUGAGAAAAGAUUAAGGUAAGUUUAGAAAGAAUCAGAGUGGCAAAGGUAAGUAGAUAAUGGUUGUCCAGUUCUAUCUAGGUUUCGUCCUACAGUCAACAUUUCCUCUGAUACCACUUCUGUCACACUCGGGUUUCAGGGGCACUAAGACCCGGGCGCGAACAUAAUCACCAGGUGUGCUGGGACCAAGUCACACACAUAUGAUGAAUCAUGGCACAUGAUCGAAUGUCACAUCUUUACUACAUAAUAGGAGUUCUAUUCAAAAUAAAUAAAUAAUUACAUUAUAAGGAGACAACGGUCCAGCAACCCAAAGUUGACUGGGAGACAACGACCUAGAUCUCUCUCACGAACUCAUCGCAGCAUCCUCCAUGCGCCUCAUCCUGUGGUACCUGUUCUUGACCUGUGGGGGGGUGUGAGACAGCAAGAGUGAGCUCACAUACGUUCAUCGCUCAACAAGUUGUGGGGAAUAAUGUGCAUGAACUCGCCAAAGGUGGGAGCUCACGUGAAGUGUAAGGCUUACCAAAGAGGAUGGUUAGAGCUGAGCAUUGCUUUUAAAGUUGGUCAAAAUUAGCAAUUACUAAGUAUAAGUAGAUACCAACCCAAUUAAGUAGUAGAACAAAAGUAACAACAUCACCUGUGAUGCAAUGCAUAUGACAAAUUGAAUUUAGUUUCAUAAGUUAAUCAUCAAAGAGUCCUGAGCUGCUCAUGACCGUGAGCUCGGCUAGUAUACCAGUUUUACACUCUGCAGAGGUUGUACCCUUUACCCACAAGUCAUGUUACCCAUCUGCCAAGGGAUCGCGACUUCCCAUACACCUCUACCGAGGAGGCGAGGCAGGGUAACACUACGAGGCCUUUACGAAGUUCCACUAGCUUCAGAAAACCCGCUACAGUUUAUAGGAAGCUCCAAUGCAGGGUUCUUGCCUGACCGCCAUCGCAGCAAAAUCAACCAAGGACCUCCCUACACUAACCACUCCCCUACUGCCCUUGCCCCUUUCGGGUAAGGUAGUCCUCCACUAGCUUUCCUAAUUAAUCAGCCAAGGGCGUCCAUAAACCCUUGUGGUGGCACGUGUUUCUCAAGUUAAGCUCUAUGUUCCAAUUAACAUUAAUGAUCUUGACAUGAACAGUAAAUAACAACGGAUAACAAAAGUAUAAUCAUGAAUAAUGUGUAUCUCAAUGCCCAAAACCACAUAUAGCACUAGCAAGUACUACCCAAAAAGUUCAGUGGUAAACAAGGCAUAAAGAUAGACAAACUAGGGUAACCUAUUAGGUCCCAUCAAAAUUAACCUACGCAGAUCAUUAUGAUUAAUUAGAACAUGAGUGGGUAAAAGAAGUGAUCAAGGGCACAACUUGUCUGGGACUUGAGAUUCCAGGUACCAGGAUGAUCUUCAGGUGACUCGUGACCUCACGCUAGUCGUAGCAAUACAAACAAGCAGUGUAUAGGCAAAAUUAACAUCACAUCAAACAUGUAAACAAAAUAUAUAAUAAUAAUCUACACAUUAAAAUAAGAUUCUAGGAACGAGAAUCAUUAAUUUUGGAGUUACGGAUUUUAAGUUAUGACUUUCUUAAGAUUUUAUGUGCUUUGUACAAGAUUACUUAAGAUAAUAAUUUUAAUGCGGCUUUUAUGUCAAAACAGUGACACUAAAUGAUAAACAAUAAUAUUAUAAAAUUAUAGAAACUAGAAUGGGUUAAUUUGGAGUUAGAAUGAAUUAAAUAUGAAUUAAACAAGUUUAUGAAUUUAUUUUUGUACUAAAAAUCAAUUUCCCUAAUUAUUUCUCUAUUUUUAUCACCCCGGAACUGGGCGCAUUAAUAACUAAAAGACCAGGGGCUCCCCCACAAAAGUUCCUAAGACUCAUAAUCACCCCACGCAAGAUGGCGGGUUAAUUACGAAAAAGUGCAGGGGCUCUUUAGAAAAACGACCAGGGCUGAAGGGGUACGAGCACAGCACAGCCAAUCGAUCAAGAUCUAACGGCUCAAAUUAAAUCGUGUCUUAUAUGAACCGGUACGCAUUAUGCGCCGCACGAUCAGUGACCAACGCCCAGGAUUUAAAACGCUCGGGUUGAUUUCAGCGCGCUCGAUCCAGAUCGAACGACGCAAAUCCACCCCACCGAACCAGUGUCGCCCAUUUAAUCCUAGCCACAAGAUCACCGAUCCGCGGUCGAAAACCCCCUACCCAUCCUUCUAAUUUUCACCCGUACAUGGCCCGAUCAACGGCCCACACAUCGUCGUUCCCCCGCGGCCAAAUAGAGGCGCCGGCGCGAUGAGCACGGCUGAGCUCCACCGGAGCACAGGCGAUAUAAGGCCUCGGCGCCCCAAAUCAGGCCUGGGUAAAUGCUACGAGAUGCGGACGUCCUGGUGAACAGCACCAGCACAAAUCCAACGGUGACGGGGUUUCUUCCCUUCCCCCAGGCCGCACGCGGCAGCAGAGUGAGCCCGCACGGCGGAGGCCACAACGACGACCGACGUUCCCAACCUUCCCGGCCCUAAACCUUGCUUCUAUUGGUGCUAAACGAUGCGCAAAUGAGGGUAAAUGGUAUGGCGAGGGUCUUACUCAUAGCAACAUCAGCGACAUCGCCGACCACGGAGCGUGGUGGGCUGACGGCAACAGUGGACUUCGGCGAGAAAUUAACCAUUCACUGGUUAAUCGCGCACCCGUAAUCACACACCCGCGCCAUCGUUGGGUAAUGGCGGAGCAUCCUGGGCAACCAUCACGACUGGGGCACAAGCAGGGACGAUGUUCCACGGCGGCGGUGGUAGGUCUCCCCGCACACCCGCUGCUAUGGUGAAUCCUGUACUCUCGAUGUCGAACACGAGGACUGGGCUAGGAUUGUGGGAGAGGCGAGCACAGCGCGGAUAUAUAUGCGCAACAGGGGGAUCUGGAUAGAGGUGGUGAGCAGCCAAUCCGGAUUCCACGCGCGCGCGAUUUCUGCGGAGUCCGUUGAGCCGACCGCGUGAAUCGCGGAUCGCGCAAGCCUGUUGCAAGGCGCAGGGAGGAUAGACACCAGCGCACAGGGGCGGCGGACGCAGCCCGGGAUCUCGGUGUGGUUUUCGGAUCGAGUGGAACCUCCAGGGAGCUCCGGCGGCGCGAUCCCAUUUCCUGGACGCAGGCGUGACGCGAUGGCAGCGGAGAAAGAAGAAGCUCCCGACGCCCCGGGCCCGCAUGCAAGUGAGAAGCGUACGCGCCAGAGGGACAGGGCCGCGCGGAGUGGGAGUUGGGCCGAGGGAGUAGAGAGCUGGGCCAAGGGCGCCAGAAUCGGCCCAGGUGGUCUUUUCUCUUUUUCUUUUCUUCUGAUUUCAUCAUUUUUUAUUCCAAUUUCAAAUCAUACCCAAGUUUGAAUUUCAAUCCCUCUUCUUCACAAAUCAAAAUACAAUAUGCAUUGGUUAUAUUAAUCUAUUUAUUUAAUUACUUUAUUUAUUAUUAUCAUUUUAUUUAGGUAAUGAAAUACUCCCACCACAUUCAUUACAUAAAAUAUGAUCUCGAGUGUGUAAUCAAUUUAAAAGGUGUAACCCAAAAGUCAUUUUCCUUUGGUUUGAUAGUAAACAUUUUUCAAGUGUCUAAUUUUAUUAGGAUUUAACUCAACUAUCAUUAUUGUAUUCACCUUAAAAGGGUGGAUUCUAAGGUUUAAUAAUUUAUCAAGGGUAUUUUGUUCUGAUUCCUUCUACUAAUCCCAAAUCUAGAAUUUGGGUGUUACACACAUCAACGUACUCAGCAAAUGCCCCGUUUGGUUGUAGUGGACUAGCUUUAUGUGGGGUUAAGUCAAGCAGUUGCUUUUAGUUGGUCAGGUUAUUAUUACUAGUAGAAAGCCAGGUUUUAGCAUUAACCCAAGGUACCGUUUGGUUCAAAUAUUUGUAACGUAAUGGGUAAGUGAUUACGUUAAAUCAUGUUUGUUUUAGUCCAACCGUAAUCAGAUACCGUACUAAAAUUUGAUACCGGACUAUUCAAACUUGUUACCGCCCGUAAUCAAGUGUAAACCAUUACCAUUACCCUUUACGUUACAUUUCGUGAACCAAACAGCACCCAAGUUCUUAACCCAAAGUACCCUUUCCAAAUGGAAAGAAUGCCACUUACCAUUACCAUAAGCAUGAUCAUAACCAUCCUCCUCAUCACCACCUGUAAACCAUACAUCUCUGAUCAAGUAUCUCUAAUCAAUGGAGCUCCCUUGGCUGCUCAUAACCGCGAGCACGACUGAUAUAUCAGUUUCAUAACACUCUACAGAGGUUGUGCACUUUAUCCACAAGCCGUGAUUCCCUUUCUGCCCGGAGAUCAUGACUCUCUAUUGAUCACUACCAAGGUGACCCAGCAGGGCAUCACUACAUAGCCUUUACAAAGAUUCCCUGGGGCUAUAGCCACCCGUUAGGUUUCCUAAAUGCACCGCACUCCUCCCCAAGGGGCGAACCCAAGCUUGGCAGAGCGAGCCGCAUACACCGAGCCCCAUUGACGGCACGACGGCUAAGUGAACUACACCCCGGAUCCUCUAAUUAUUCAGCUAAGGGCACCCCGUUCCACCCUCAUGGUUGCACUGUUUUUCCGGGCGGUCAUCCAAAGAAUAGGUUCUUACGGAGAGGCACUCGAGAAACUGCUCGAGCCCCCUUAAAGGCCACAAGUAUAACAUCAUAAUAAGAGAAGGGAAAACAACGUAUCAUAGAUAAUCUCAUCAUGUUCAUUGAUUAGAGUUGAGCAAUAGCAUAAGGCUAAGCAAUAAUAAUCCAGCCCAAAUAGAUAAACAAGGAUAUGGAUAACAAAGCUAGUAAAUCCUUAGGCAUAAAUGUGUAAUGCGGGAGAUGAAUUAAAGAAUGAAUAGGACAGAGAUAGGUCAAGGGACACUUGCCUUCAUCAAACAGAUGCUCAGGAUCUUCAGCCUCGUAGAACUCGAAGAGUUUGAUCUCUUGGUCGCCGAAGCUUGACCGUUGAUUCCUCGAAGCUCGAAAGAGAACCACGAUCUAAUCGCAACACGGAGCGAAGACGAACAGACACAAGCAAACAAACAUAUGUGCACAAGAACAUUACACCAUACAAGGUAAAACGUAAUAAAAUACGCAAAAUAGAAUAGAGUGUGUUACUGUGGUCACACGAGGACAAAGAAACGCGAUAGUAGGAGCUAUGGUCGAGAAGUUAACGGGUUUACGCUAAGCUAACAUCAAAUUGAAUAUUUAAUCUGAUAUCUCUAGAUUAAUUAAUAUUAAUUAAAUGUAAAUUAACACUACUACUUAGUUCUUGUCUAACUUACCAGUUUAAUAGUUGAUGACCAAAUAAGUAACUAAUUUAUUCACAUGGGUAAUUAUAAACGAAUGAUUUAAUCUUGCGAGCGGCAAGGCGCGUGACACACGCGAACGGCGUGCGACAACGCACGCGACAACACGUGAAACACACGCGGCAACACGCGAAAACAAUGCGACGAUAAGCUAGAAUCGCUAACCGAUCCCGCAUCUCUAUUGAGAAAGUGUUAAUUACAACAUUUGCAUCAACAUAAUCACAUUAACGGGUAUUUAUGCGUGAACGGGUUAGAGCUAUACCUAAAUUAGAAUGUUAUUUUGUUAAUCAUUGGACAAACAAAUAAUCAAGUAAAUAGCUAAAUCCUAUGAUGCGACAAAAUAAUAUUACUAACGUGUACUUGACGUGAUUACAAGGUUACCACAGUCAGAACAUGAUCAGAUGUAUUUGCGAUGCACAUAUGUUGAAUACGUACUAGUUCACAGUUCAAAACGACGAGAUCUCAUGCGGACACAAUCGUCUCCAUUUUUCCCAACUGCACGGCACCGAAGCCUCAGCUGGCCAAGCCUGGUGGCUGCUCCCACCAGCGGUCGGACUUGCGCUGGGGCACCGGGGCCACCAUGGCCGAGCCGUGCUGGGCUGCGCGUGCCACACUGGCCAGCUGCGAGACCGCGCAGGGCUCAGACAGCCACGCCGCGGGCCGAGCCGACCGUUCCCUGGCCACUGUGCCGAGGAUCGUGCCAUGUCGGGGCCACGCUCCGCACCAGCUCAGCCGCGCUAGUCGGCCGGGGAGGGCUGGCCGCGCGCCGCUGCGCUGGCAGGCCGGCGAGCUGCCGCGCCGGGCAGGCUGGCCACGCAUGGCCGCUAGGGGGGCCACCGCGCCGCGUGCCUGGGGCCGUGCCCGCACCGGCUGGCCACGGGCCACCGCGCGCUGGCAGGCCACGCCGAGGCCACGCGCUCGCGCCGCCGAGCCGGGACCACGCCGGGCCGCCGAGGGCGUGCGCCCACGCCCGCACUGGGGUCGCGCGCCGGCCGCCGCGACGCUGCUGGCCACGCCUGGCCGCUACGCGCUGGCGAGCCGCGUUGGGCCGCAGCGACGCCGCUGCAGGGGGGCCGAGGAGAGGGAGGGCGGGGGAAGGGGAGGAGGGAGGGGCUUACCGCGCGGGGCGAGGGCGAGCGGCGUCGAGGGAGAGAGAGGGACGUGCGUGAGAUCGGGGAGAGAGAAGGAGGUAGGGGGAAGGGGGGUGGGGCUGACGAGCGGGCCCCACCAGGGGGUGGCGGCGGCGGCAGCUGGGGGAGGGCGUGGCCUAGGGUUUUGGAGGUGGGGCUGCUGCGCCCGGGGUGGGCCAGGUGGGCCGCGCGGGGUGGGGGAGCUGGGCCGCCGAGCUGGGCCACGCUGCGCGCCAGCUGGGCCGCGGGGAGGGAGCCGACCGGCUGGCUGGCUGGGCCGCGCCAGAAAGCCAGCCCAGGGGAGAGAGAGAGAGGGUUUUCUAUUUUCUAUUUGAAUAUAGCUCUAGCUUUUUUUAAUUCAAAGUCACACAUGCUUCAUGAGUUUAAAUGGAGGCACGACAACACCGUACAAAAUUAGAUGCUCCAGCAUGUGAUGCAACAACAAUAACUCCCUAGGGUUUUAACUUACUACGAUUAAUGUUUAUAUAAUACAAAAUAACUCCUCAAUAUUUAUGAAAAAGAGAAGUAAAGCAAAGAAAAGAGAGGGUAACACCUGAAUUUAGUGGAUAUUUGAAAAGAAAUUUUAUACCCCCAAAUUUAGGGUGUUACACCAAGGAAGUAGUUCAACUCACCCAUCAUUGACAUCUCAAACUUUUGAGUUAUCACCCUGCUAAACUUCUCACAAGACUUUUGGUGAGUAGAACCAAAUAUUAUGUCAUCGACAUAAAUUUGGCACACAAAAAGAUGACCAUCACAAGUCUUGGUAAAAAUAGUGGGAUCGACUUUCCCAACCUUAAAAGUGUUAGCAAUUAAUAAAUCUCUAAGGCAUUCAUACCAUGCUCUUGGGGCUUGCUUAAGUCCAUAGAGCGCCUUAGAGAGCUUGAACACAUGGUCGGGGUACCUGUCAUCCUCAAAGCUAGGGGGUUGUUCCACAUACACCUCCUCCUUGAUUGGCCCGUUGAGGAAAGCGCUCUUCACAUCCAUUUGAAACAACCUGAAAGAGUGGUGAGCGGCAUAGGCUAAUAAUAUUCGAAUAGACUCUAGCCUAGCCACAGGAGCAAAAGUCUCCUCGAAAUCCAAACCUGCGACUUGGGCAUAACCUUUUUCCACAAGUCGAGCAUUGUUUCUUGUCACCACCCCGUGCUCGUCUUGCUUGUUGCGGAACACCCACUUGGUUCCCACAACAUUUUGCUUGGGACGUGGCACCAGGCUCCAAACUUCAUUUCUCUUGAAGUUGUUGAGCUCUUCCUGCAUGGCCAACACCCAAUCCGGAUCCUGCAAGGCCUCUUCUACCCUGAAAGGCUCAAUAGAAGAGACAAACGAGUAAUGCUCACAAAAAUUAGCUAAACGUGAGCGAGUUGUUACUCACUUUCUUAUGUCACCCAGAAUCUGAUCGACAGGGUGAUUUCUUUGGAUCGUCGCUCGGACUUGAGUUGGAGGGACCCAUGGUGCUUCUUCUUCCAUCACUUGUUCCUCCUGUGCUCCCCCUUGAUCCUGUCCCUCUUCUUGAGGUACCUGUUCACCGUCUUCAGUUGGAGGAUGCACCAUUGUGGAGGAAGAUGGUUGAUCUUGCUCUUGUUGUUCCUGUGGUCGCACAUCACCUAUCGCCAUCGUGCGCAUUGUGGCCGUCGGAACAUCAUCUUCAUCUAUGUCAUCAAGAUCAACUUGCUCUCUUGGAGAGACAUUAGUCUCAUCAAAUACAACGUCGCUAGAGACUUCAACCAAACCCGAUGAUUUUGUUGAAGACUAUAUACGCCUUUGUAUUUGAGUCAUACCCUAGUAAAAACCCUUCUACUGCCUUGGGAGCAAAUUUAGAAUGUCUACCUUUCUUCACUAGAAUGUAACAUUUGCUCCCAAAAACACGAAAGUAAGAGACGUUGGGUUUGUUACCGGUAAGAAGUUCAUACGAGGUCUUCUUGAGAAGGUGAUGUAGGUAGAGCUGGUUUAUGGCGUGGCAAGCUGUGUUCACAGCUUCCGACCAAAACCGCUCGGGCGUCUUGAAUUCUCCAAGCAUCGUUCUCGCCAUGUCGAUAAGCGUCAUGUUCUUCCUCUCUACCACACCGUUUUGCUGUGGUGUGUAGGGAGCGGAGAACUCGUGUUUGAUGCCUUCCUCCUCAAGAAACUCCUCCACUUGCAGAUUCUUGAACUCGGACCCAUUGUCGUUUCUUAUCUUUCCACCUUGAGCUCAAAUUUGUUUUGAGCCCUCCUUAGGAAGAGCUUUAGGGUCCCUUGGGUUUCUAAUUUAUCCUGCAAAAAGAACACCCAAGUGAAGCGGGAAAAAUCAUCAACAAUUACAAGACCAUACUUACUUCCCCUGAUGCUUAGGUAGGCAACAGGUCCGAAGAGGUCCAUGUGAAGAAGCUCUAGUGGUCUUGAUGUUGUCAUCACAUUCUUGCUAUGAUGAGUGUUUCCCACAUGUUUCCCUGCUUGACAUGCUGCACAAGGCCUAUCUUUCUCGAAACAAACAUUGGUUAGUCCUAACAUAUGUUCUCCCUUUAGAAGUUUAUGAAGGUUCUUCAUCCCAACAUGUGCUAGACAGCGAUGCCACAACCAGCCCAUACUAGUCUUAGCUAUUAAGCAUGCAUCUAGAUUGGCCUCCUCUUUCGAAAAAUCAACUAAGUAGAGUUUGCCGUCUAGUACACCCUUAAAAGCUAGUGAACCAUCACUCCUUCUAAAGACAGAUACAUCAACGUUUUUAAAAAGACAAUUGUAACCCAUGUGACACAAUUGACUUACAGACAGAAGGUUGUAACCAAGCGACUCUACUAGAAAUACAUUCGAUAUGAAGUGCUCGUUGGUGAUGCUAUCUUGCCCAAGCCCUUGACCUUGCCUUGGUUCCCAUCUCCAAAGAUAAUCGUAUCCUGGGAAUCCUUGUUCUUGACGUAGGAGGUGAACAUCUUCUUCUCCCCCGUCAUGUGGUUUGUGCAUCCGCUGUCGAUAAUCCAGCUUGAGCCCCCGGAUGCAUAAACCUGCAAGGAAUUUAAGCUUGGGUUUUAGGUACCCAACUCUUGUUGGUCCUACAAGGUUAGUCACAAUAACAUUUGGAACCCAAAUACAAGUCUUGUCUCCCUUGUAUUUGGAUCCCACUUUCCUAGCCACUACUUUUGCAAUCUUACAUGAAAGAACAAAAGAAGUGUUGUACGCAUGGAUAACAGUAGUAGAUUCAUUGCACAUUUUACUAGGCACAUGAUGCACAACAUGAUUUCUACUAGGCCUACUUCUACCAUGAACAAAAGUAGAACUAGAGGCAAACAUAGCAUGUGAAUUAUAAGUGAAAGGGAAAUGUGCCCUUGGGCCAUUUCUAAGUAUUUUGGUGAUUAAGUGUCCAACACAAGUGCCUAAGUGUUAAAGUGUGCCAAGGACUCAAGAAGUGCAAAUCAAGAUUAAAGGUAUGUUUCUAGACUUAGUACAUUGCUUUGAAGAAUAAUGUAUUGUGUCUAAGUGCUAGAAACAGGAGAAACAAUUUUGGAGAAGUUGGCUGUGUACAGCAAAAGGCUGCUCGGUCUGGGUGCACCGGACUGUCCCGUGCGCCAGGCUGGCUCUGGUGAAAAGGCCGCUCUCGGGACUUCGUCGGCGGCGUACGGCUAAAAUUCGCCGGACUGUCCGGUGAGCCAACAGUCAGCCCCGCCAACGGUCGGCCGCGUAAUCCGUGCGCGACGCGUGGCAAAGCCAACGGUCAGAAGGGGCCCCUGGACUGUCCGGUGUGCACCGGACAGUGUCCGGUGCGCCAACGGCUCUAAAUCUCCAACGGUCGGCUUCGCCAAAGAAGGAAAGAAAUCCGCACCGAACUGUCCGGUGCGCCAGGCGACAGAAGGCAAGAAUUGCCUUCCUGGAAUGCUCUCAACGGCUCCUAGCUGCCUUGGGGCUAUAAAAGGGACCCCUAGGCGCAUGGAGGAGGACACCAAGCAUUCUCUAAGCAUUCCUAAGCACCAAGACUUCAAUUCCGCGCAUUCGAUUCUUUGUGAUAGCAACUAGAGCUCCAUUUGAGUAGAGAACUCUUUGAGUUGUGUUGAGAGCUCAUGUUGUGACUUGUGUGCGUAUUGUCGCUCUGAUUUUGUGUCUUGUGUGUGUUGCUCAUCCCUCCCUUACUCCGUGCUUCUUUGUGAACAUCUUUGUAAGGGCGAGAGGCUCCAAGUUGUGGAGAUUCCUCGCAAGCGGGAUAUAGUAUAGUGAAAGCAAAACACCAUGGUAUUCAAGUGGGUCUUUGGACCGCUUGAAAGGGGUUGAGUGCAACCCUCGUCCGUUGGGACGCCACAACGUGGAGUAGGCAAGUGUUGGACUUGGCCGAACCACGAGAUAAACCAUUGUGUUUGUCUAUGAUUGAUCUUCUUGUGGUUAUCGUAUCUUGCAAGAACUCUUCUCUAGCCACUUGGCUUUAUUGUGCUAACUCCUAACCAAGUUUUGUGGCAUUAAAGUUUAAGUUUUACAGGAUCACCUAUUCACCCCCCUCUAGGUGCUCUCAAUUGGUAUCAAAGCCGUUCUCUUCAAGAAAGGGACUAAUCGCCCGAAGAGAUGGAUCCUAAGGGCAAGGGGAUGGUGGUCAAUGAUAAGGAGAAGGAGUCCUUCGUCAAUGAUCCAAAGGAUGACAAGCCUACUGACUCAGGCUCGGGCCACAAAAGAAAAAACGGGAGGAAGAAGAAAACAAGGCGCAUCAAGGAGAUAGUCUACUACGACAGCGACAAAUCUUCCUCUUCCCAAAAGGACAAUGACAACGACUACGAGAAAAAGAAGACGGUUAACUCAAACUUUUCCUUUGAUUAUUCUCGUAUUCCGCAAAGUUCCAAUGCUCAUUUGCUUUCUAUUCCCCUCGGUAAACCCCCCACUUUGAUGGAGAGGACUAUGGAUUUUGGAGUCACAAAAUGCGUAGCCACUUGUUCUUUCUCCAUCCAAGUAUAUGGGAGAUAGUAGAAAAUGGAAUGCACUUUGAUAGUACUGAUAGUCCCAUGUUCAUUAAUGAGCAAAUUCACAAAAAUGCACAAGCUACUACUGUUCUUCUAGCUUCAUUGUGCAGGGAUGAAUACCAUUAGGUGAGCGGCUUGGAUAACGCCAAGCAGAUUUGGGACACCCUCAAAAUCUCACAUGAGGGGAACGACGUCACCAUGCUCACCAAGAUGGAGUUGGUGGAGGGCGAGCUUGGGAGAUUCGCAAUGAUCAGGGGCGAGGAGCCAACCCAAACAUACAACCGACUCAAGACCCUCGUCAACAAAAUAAGGAGCUAUGGAAGCACGCGAUGGACGGACCAUGACGUCGUCCGCCUAAUGCUAAGGUCUUUUACUGUCCUUGAUCCACAUCUUGUGAACAAUAUUCAUGAGAAUCCUAGGUACACCAAGAUGACGUCCGAGGAGAUACUUGGAAAGUUUGUAAGCGGGCGGAUGAUUAUCAAGAAGGCAAGAUACGUUGACGAUGCCUUGAAUGGCCCAAUCCACGAGCCUCAAACCGUCGCUCUCAAAGCAACGAGGAGCAAGGAAGUGCUACCUAGCAAAGUGGCACAAGUUGAGGCGGCGGGACUCAAUGAGGAAGAGAUGGCCCUCAUCAUUAAGCAUUUCAAGACGGCGCUAAGGGGUCGCAAGGAGCAUCCCAACAAGACCAAGACGAAGGGGAAGCACUCAUGCUUCAAAUGUGGUAAGAUUGGUCAUUUUAUAGCUAAUUGUCCCGAUAAUGAUAGUGACCAGGAACAAGGGAACAAGAGGGAAAAGAAGAAGGCUUACAAAAAGGCUAAGGGCGAGGCACACCUUGGAAAGGAGUGGGACUCGGAUUGUUCUUCGUCCGACUCCGACAACGAAGGACUCGCCGCCACCGCCUUCAACAAGUCGGCCCUCUUCCCCAACGAGCAUCACACCUGCCUCAUGGCAAGGGAAAAGAAGGUAAGCACUCGUGAUACUAGUACUUACGCGUCCUCAAGUGAUGAAGAAUCUAGCGAUGAUGAAAUAGACUAUUCAUGUUUAUUCAGGGGCCUAAAUAGAACUAAGGUUGAUAAGAUUAAUGAAUUAAUUGAUGCCUUGAAUGAUAAAAAUAGGUUAUUAAAAAAGCAAGAGGAUCUUUUGUAUGAAGAACAUGAUAAGUUUGUAGAGGCACAAAAAUCCCUUGCUUUAGAAAUUAAAAGGAAUGAAAUGCUUUCUGAUGAAUUGUCUACAUGCCAUGACUCUAUUUCUAGCUUAAAGAGCAUAAAUGAUGAUUUGAAUGCUAAGUUAGAAAUAGCUAAUAGAUCAACAUCUUGUGUAGAACAUGUUGCAAUUUGCAAUAGGUGUAAAGAUUUUAAUGUUGAUGCUUGUAGUGAACACCUAGUUUCAAUUUCUAAUUUGAAUGAUGAAGUGGCUAGUCUUAAUGCCCAACUUAAGACUAGCAAGAGUGAAUUUGACAAACUAAAAUUUGCAAGGGAUGCCUACACAAUUGGUAGACACCCCUCAAUCAAGGAUGGUCUUGGCUUCAAGAGGGAAGUCAAGAACUUAACAAGCCAUAUGGCUUCCAUCUCCGCCAAGGAGAAAGGGAAGGCCCCUAUGGCUAGUAGUGCUCAAAAGAACCAUGCUUUCAUGUAUCAUGAUAGGAGACAUUCUAGGAAUGUUUAUAGAAGUUAUGAUGCUCAUGCCAUGAUUGCUUCUAGUUCUUCUAUUAUGCAUGAUAGAAAUUUGGCUAAGAAAAAUGUUGUUCAUCAUACGCCUAGAAGAAAUAUUGUUCAUGUUCCUAGGAAAAUAAUGAAUGAACCUUCUACAAUUUAUUAUGCUUGCAAUGCUUCCUUUGCUAUUUGUAGAAAGGAUAAGAAGGUAAUUGCUAGGAAAUUAGGGGCCAAAUGUAAGGGAGACAAGACUUGCAUUUGGGUCCCUAAGACUAUUGUAACUAACCUUGUAGGACCCAACAUGAGUUGGGUACCUAAGACUCAAGCCUAAAUUUGCCUUGCAGGUUUAUGCAUCCGGGGGAUCAAGCUGGAUUAUCGACAGCGGAUGCACAAACCACAUGACGGAGGAGAAGAGGAUGUUCUCUUCCUACGUCAAGAACAAGGAUCCCCAAGAUUCAAUCAUAUUCGGUGAUGGGAACCAAGGCAAGGUGAAAGGGUUAGGAAAAAUUGCUAUUUCAUCCGAGCACUUUAUUUCUAAUGUGUUCUUAGUUGAAUCGCUUGGAUAUAACUUGUUGUCUGUGAGUCAACUUUGUAAUAUGGGAUAUAACUGUUUAUUCACAAAUGUAGAUGUAUCUGUCUUUAGAAGAAGUGAUGGUUCAUUAGCUUUUAAGGGUGUACUAGACGGCAAACUUUAUUUAGUUGAUUUUGCAAAAGAGGAGGUCGGUCUAGAUGCUUGCUUAAUUGCUAAGACUAGCAUGGGCUGGCUGUGGCAUCGCCGUUUAGCACAUGUGGGGAUGAAGAACCUUCACAAGCUUCUAAAGGGAGAACACGUGAUAGGUCUAACUAAUGUAACUUUCGAAAAAGAUAGACCUUGUGCAGCUUGUCAAGCAGGUAAACAGGUGGGAAGCUCUCAUCAUGCCAAAAAUGUGAUGACAACAUCAAGACCCCUGGAGUUACUUCAUAUGGACCUCUUCGGACCCGUCGCCUAUCUAAGCAUAGGAUGAAGUAAGUAUGGUCUUGUUAUAGUUGAUGAUUUUUCCCGCUUCACUUGGGUAUUCUUUUUGCAAGAUAAAUCUGAAACCCAAGGAACCCUCAAGCGCUUCCUAAGGAGAGCCCAAAACGAGUUUGAGCUCAAAGUGAAGAAGAUAAGGAGCGACAAUGGGUCCGAGUUCAAGAACCUUCAAGUGGAGGAGUAUCUUGAGGAGGAAGGAAUCAAGCAUGAGUUCUCUGCUCCCUACACACCACAGCAAAAUGGUGUGGUAGAGAGGAAGAACAAGACGCUACUAGACAUGGCGAGGACGAUGCUUGGUGAAUUCAAGACGCCCGAACGGUUUUGGACGGAAGCCGUAAGCACGGCUUGCCAUGCCAUAAACCGGGUCUACCUUCAUCGCCUCCUCAAGAAGACUUCAUAUGAGCUUCUAACUGGUAACAAACCCAAUGUGUCUUACUUUCGUGUAUUUGGGAGCAAAUGUUACAUUCUAGUGAAGAAAGGUAGGAAUUCUAAGUUUGCUCCCAAAGCUGUAGAAGGGUUUUUGUUAGGUUAUGACUCAAAUACAAAGGCAUAUAGGGUCUUCAACAAAUCAUCGGGUUUGGUUGAAGUCUCUAGCGAUGUUGUAUUUGAUGAGACUAAUGGCUCUCCAAGAGAGCAAGUUGUUGAUCUUGAUGAUGUAAAUGAAGAAGACGUUCCAACGGCCGCAAUGCGCACCAUGGCGAUUGGAGAUGUGAGGCCACUGGAACAAAAGGAGCAAGAUCAACCUUCUUCCUCAACAACCGUGCAUCCCCCAACUCAAGAAGAUGAAUAGGUUCAUCAAGAGGAGGCAUGUGAUCAAGGGGGAGCACAAGAUGAUCAUUUAAUGGAGGAAGAAGCACAACCGGCACCUCCAACUCAAGUUCGAGCGACGAUUCAAAGGAAUCAUCCCGUCGACCAAAUUUUGGGUGAUAUUAGCAAGGGGGUAACUACUCGCUCUAGAUUGGUUAAUUUUUGUGAGCAUUACUCUUUUGUCUCUUCUAUUGAGCCUUUCAGGGUAGAAGAAGCCUUGCUAGAUCCGGACUGGGUGUUGGCCAUGCAGGAAGAGCUCAACAACUUCAAGAGAAAUGAAGUUUGGACAUUGGUGCCUUGUCCCAAGCAAAAUGUUGUGGGAACCAAGUGGGUGUUCCGCAACAAACAAGACGAGCACGGGGUGGUGACAAGGAACAAGGCACGACUUGUGGCAAAAGGUUAUGCCCAAGUCGCAGGUUUGGACUUUGAGGAGACCUUUGCUCCUGUGGCUAGGCUAGAGUCAAUUCGCAUAUUGUUAGCCUAUGCUACUCACCAUUCUUUCAAGUUGUUCCAAAUGGAUGUGAAGAGCGCUUUCCUCAACGGGCCAAUCAAGGAGGAGGUGUACAUGGAGCAACCCCCUGGCUUCGAGGAUGAACGGUACCCCAACCACGUGUGUAAGCUCUCUAAGGCGCUCUAUGGACUUAAACAAGCCCCAAGAGCAUGGUAUGAAUGCCUUAGAGACUUUUUAAUUGCUAAUGCUUUCAAGGUUGGGAAAGCCGAUCCAACUCUUUUUACUAAGACUUGUGAUGGUGACUUAUUUGUGUGCCAAAUUUAUGUCGAUGACAUAAUAUUUGGUUCUACUAACCAAAAGUCUUGUGAAGAGUUUAGCAGGGUGAUGACUCAAAAGUUUGAGAUGUCAAUGAUGGGCGAGUUAAGCUAUUUCCUUGGGUUCCAAGUGAAGCAACUCAAGGAUGGGACCUUCAUCUCCCAAACGAAGUACACGCAAGACUUGAUCAAGCGAUUUGGGAUGAAGGACGCCAAGCCCGCAAAGACUGCAAUGGGAACCGACGGACACACCGACCUCAACAAAGGAGGUAAGUCCGUUGAUCAAAAGGCAUACCGGUCUAUGAUAGGGUCCUUACUUUAUUUAUGUGCUAGUAGACCGGAUAUUAUGCUUAGCGUAUGCAUGUGUGCUAGAUUUCAAUCCGAUCCAAGGGAGUGUCACUUAGUGGUCGUGAAGCGAAUUCUUUGAUAUUUAGUCGCUACGCCUUGCUUCGGGAUCUGGUAUCCAAAGGGGUCUACCUUUGACUUAAUUGGAUAUUCAGACUCCGAAUAUGCUGGAUGUAAGGUCGAUAGGAAGAGUACAUCGGGGACGUGCCAAUUCUUAGGAAGGUCCCUGGUGUCGUGGAGUUCUAAGAAACAAACUUCAGUUGCCCUAUCCACCGCUGAGGCCAAGUAUGUUGCCGCAGGACAGUGUUGCGCGCAACUACUUUGGAUGAGGCAAACCCUCAGGGACUUUGGCUACAAUCUGAGCAAAGUCCCACUCCUAUGUGAUAAUGAGAGUGCUAUCCGCAUGGCGGAUAAUCCUGUUGAACACAGCCGCACCAAGCACAUAGACAUCCGGCAUCACUUUUUGAGAGACCACCAGCAAAAGGGAAAUAUCGAAGUGUUUUAUGUUAGCACCGAGAACCAACUAGCCGAUAUCUUUACCAAGCCUCUAGAUGAGUCGACCUUUUGCAGGCUGCGUAGUGAGCUAAAUGUCUUAGAUUCGCGGAACUUGGAUUGAUUUAUAGCAUACAUGUGUUUUAUGCCUUGAUCAUGUUCCUUAAUACAUUUUGUUGUUUAUUUAUGGUGCUCAAGUUGUACAAGCACUCCCCGGACCUCACAAGUCCAUUUGCAAGUGAUGCACAUAUUCAGGGGGAGGUGUGCUACAACUUAACCCUUUGAGGCUAACUGUGUGCUUGAGUUUGCUUAAUUUAGUCUCAAAGGAGGUUCAAAAGGGAAAAGGUGGACUUGGACCAUACAAGACUUCCACUGCACUCCGAUGAAAGAGUAACUGUUUCCAAGUUCAUGUUUGUACUCUUAUUGCCUUUUUACUCUUAGUUGAAGAUUUUGGUGAGGCAAUGGGGUUAAAGGGCCAAAAUUGAUCCCGUUUUGGUGCUUGAUGCCAAAGGGGGAGAAAAUAAGGCAAAAGCAAGAAAUGGAUCAACUACCACUUGAGAAUUUUGAAAAAGUAGAGUUAGAGUUUUUGUUUGUCAAAAUACUCUUGUUUGUCUCUUAUUGUCAAAGUUUGGUCUCUUGUGGGGAGAAUGGUUGAUUUUGGGAAAAGGGGGAGCUUUUGAAAUGUUUUUGAAAUCGUUGAUCAAUUUCUCUUGGAACAACUCUCUUUAUGUCUCAACAAGUGUGUUUGACUUAGAGAUAGGAAAUUGAGGUUGAUUUGCAAAAACAAACCAAGUGGUGGCAAAGAAUGAUCCAAAUAUGCCAAAUUUGAAUAAAAACAAAUUUGAGUUUUCAUUAGCAUUGAUGUUGCACUUCUUUUAGUUGCUUUUUAUUGUGUUGGCAUAAAUCACCAAAAAGGGGGAGAUUGAAAGGGAAAUGUGCCCUUGGGCCAUUUCUAAGUAUUUUGGUGAUUAAGUGUCCAACACAAGUGCCUAAGUGUUAAAGUGUGCCAAGGACUCAAGAAGUGCAAAUCAAGAUUAAAGGUAUGUUUCUAGACUUAGUACAUUGCUUUGAAGACUAAUGUAUUGUGUCUAAGUGCUAGAAACAAGAGAAACAAUUUUGGAGAAGUUGGCUGUGUACAGCCAAAAGGCUGCUCGGUCUGGGUGCACCGGACAGUGUCCGGUGCGCCAGGCUGGCUCUGGUGAAAAGGCCGCUCUCGGGACUUCGUCGGCGGCGUACGGCUAAAAUUCACCGGACUGUCUGGUGUGCACCGGACUGUCCGGUGAGCCAACAGUCAGCCCGGCCAACGGUUGGCCGCGUAAUCCGCGCGCGACGCGUGGCAAAGCCAACGGUCAGAAGGGGGCACCGGACUGUCCGGUGCGCCAACGGCUCUGAAUCUCCAACGGUCGGCUUCACCAAAGAAGGAAAGAAAUCCGCAUCGGACAGUGUCCGGUGGUGCACCGGACAGUGUCCGGUGGUGCCCCGGACUGUCCGGUGCGCCAGGCGACAGAAGGCAAGAAUUGCCUUCCUGGAAUGCUCUCAACGGCUCCUAGCUGCCUUGGGGCUAUAAAAGGGACCCCUAGGCGCAUGGAGGAGGACACCAAGCAUUCUCUAAGCAUUCCUAAGCACCAAGACUUCAAUUCCGCGCAUUCGAUUCUUUGUGAUAGCAACUAGAGCUCCAUUUGAGUAGAGAACUCUUUGAGUUGUGUUGAGAGCUCAUGUUGUGACUUGUGUGCGUAUUGUCGCUCUGAUUUUGUGUCUUGUGUGUGUUGCUCAUCCCUCCCUUACUCUGUGCUUCUUUGUGAACAUCUUUGUAAGGGCGAGAGGCUCCAAGUUGUGGAGAUUCCUCGCAAGCGGGAUAUAGUAUAGUGAAAUCAAAACACCAUGGUAUUCAAGUGGGUCUUUGGACCGCUUGAAAGGGGUUGAGUGCAACCUUUGUCCGUUGGGACGCCACAACGUGGAGUAGGCAAGUGUUGGACUUGGCCGAACCACGGGAUAAACCACUAUGUCUGUCUGUGAUUGAUCUUCUUGUGGUUAUCGUAUCUUGCAAGAACUCUUCUCUAGCCACUUGGCUUUAUUGUGCUAACUCCUAACCAAGUUUUGUGGCAUUAAAGUUUAAGUUUUACAGGAUCACCUAUUCACCCCCCCUCUAGGUGCUCUCAAUAAGCAUCAUGAUCAUAACUUCUACUAUAAUGAGCAUUCCUAGAAAUUUGAGAUCGCCUAGAAAAUUUUCUAUCAUAAAUGUAGGCAUGACACUUUUGAGAAUUACUAGCCAUAGGGGCCUUCCCUUUCUCCUUGUUGAGAGCAGGAGCCUUUUGGAUUGUUAAGUUCUUGGUUUCCUUUCGAAAACCAAGUCCAUCCUUAAUGGAGGGGUGUCUACCAACAGUGUAGGCAUCCCUUGCAAAUUUUAAUUUAUCAAAAUCUCUUUUGCAAGUCUUAAGUUGAUCAUUAAGACUUGCCACCUCAUCAUUCAAUCUAGUAAUAGCAGUAAGAUGUUCAUCACAAGCAUCAACAUCAAAGUCCUUACAUCUAUUACAAAUAAUGACAUGCUCAACACAUGAACUAGUUUUGACUUCCUCUAGCUUAGCAUUUAAUUCAUCAUUUAAACUCUUUAAACUAGAGACCGGUUCAUGGAAAAUAGACAAUUCAGAGGAUAACAUUUCAUUUCUCUUAAUUUCUAAGGCAAGGGAUUUUUGCACACUAAUAAAUUUGUCAUGUUCCUCAUAUAAAAUGUCCUCUUGUUUUUCUAACAAUCUUUCCUUUUCGUUUAGAGCAUCAAUUAAUUCAUUAAUUUUUUCUACCUUAGCUCUAUCUAAACCUUUAAAUAAACUAGAGUCACGAUUUGAGCUCAAAACACCGGACAGUCCAGUGAAUGCUUAAAUACGAAGCACAACCACACACACAAGUCACAAUUUGAGCUCAAAACACAACACACGGAGUUCACAACUCAAAUGGAGCUCAAAUCACUAACACAAAGAAUCAAAUGCGUGGAGUUGGAGUCUUGGAGUCUUAGGAUGCUUAGUGAAUGCUUAGGUGUCUCCUCCAUGCGCCUAGGGGUCCCUUUUAUAGCCCCAAGGCAGCUGAGAGCCGUUGGAGAUCAACAUGGAUGGCUAUCCUUGCCUUCUGUCGAGUGGCGCACCGGACAGUCCGGUGCGCCACCGGACAGUCCGGUGCGCCACCGGACAGGUCCUGUAGACGGUCCGGUGCGUGAUCUCCUUCCAAAUUUGGCAUAUCCGACCGUUGCUCCUCUGGGCUAACUGGCGCACCGAACACUGUCCGGUGCACACCGGACAGUCCGGUGCACACCGGACAGUCCGGUGCACCAGCUGACCGUUGGAGCAGUCCACGUGUCGCGCGAAGAUUGCGCGGCCGACCGUUGGUGCAGGCGACCGUUGGCUCACCGGACAGUCCGGUGCACCACCGGACAGUCCAGUGAAUUAUAGCCACAUCGCCCCUUUGCUUUUCUCGAGGGCGACGAGUUCGCCGCGGAUGACUCACCGGACAGUCCGGUGCACCACCGGACGGUCCGGUGCACCACCGGACGGUCUGGUGAAUUAUAGUCGUACGCCGCCCUCGAAUCCCGAGAGCGGCGAGUUCACCGCGGACCAGCCUGGCGCACCGGACACUGUCCGGUGCACCACCGGACAGUCCGGUGUGCCAAGCCGAGCUAGAGUUUGUUGUACAUUGCCAACUCUUUUUCCAAUUCUUUUCUCACUGUUUCUAGCACUUAGACAAAACACAUUAAUACUCAAAAUAAUGUAUUAAGUCUAGAAACGUACCUUUUUCUUUGAUUUGCACUUCUCACUUUACUUGGCACAUAAGAACUUAGUUAACCGUGUUGGGCACUUAAUCACCAAAACAUUAUUGAAAUUGCUCAAGGGCACAUUUCCCUUUCAAGUAUCUCCCAUCACAUCCUACUUUAGGCUAUUCUUGGUCCAAAGUGUUAUAGUUCAAUAUUCAAAGAUGCCAUAUAUGAUGAAAAAUAUAAUACUACUACAUGAUAUACCCUUCACAAUGUAUAGUAUCAUACUUAUAUAUUUUAACUAUUUAAUUGUGUGGUGUGGUGUCUAUGAGAAUGGAACUAAACAUUAUUUUUAUGCCAUAACCUAAGAUAUUGUGCCAAAGCCAUAUUUUACUUAAGAUACAAGUCUUUUACAUAAAUAUCUUGCCACAUCAGCAACAAAUCAUGUGUGGUAUCUUAUUAAUGAGUAUGAUACCACCCAAUGGGAAUAGCCUUACAAGCGAAAACAUUAAAUAAGACACGGUUCACAACACAAACACACACCCUCCUAGUAGAAGAGAGCAAUUGGACCAACUUUUGUUGUAUUGCAUCCUAAGUGGCAUAAGACGGACUCCAACGAUGCACUCUAGAGCACCCUCACCUCACCGAGCGUGUACGGGUGAGGAGGAGCAGGCUCUGACAAUUCUCAGAGCUGGUUCCUACAUGUAGGAGAGAGGGCUCCAUGGAUGGGAGAGUUCUAAUUUUCCCAAUUCGUUAAUCACUACGUUUAUUUGUAAAAUUAAUCAUUUUUAAGUUGUAUAACCUUAUUACAAUGUGUAUUACGAUAGUACAAAUAUAGUAUAUUUUUUAAAAACUUUAAAAACUGAUAUAAAAAUGUCAAAUAGCUAAGUUAUUGUGUAUGCGAGAGCUAGAUAGGAGAAUGGAUGGAGAGAAAGAGAAACAUGGCCACCGCAGCGCACGAAUAUGGAUAGAAAGUACGAAUAGGUGGGUUUGGGAGGAAGAAUCAAUAAAACUAGUCUAAGUACGUGAUUGCACUCGCAGCGCACGACGUAGGCCAUGCGCAACGACAUGGCCACCGCGCCUAACAGCUAACUUACACAGUCAAACCGUUGUCUCAAGAACCUCUCCCGCACGUUAGGGCACGGUCGUCAUGACAUUGUUAGUACAACACAAAAACUAGAUUAAAAGGUCUUGAAGAUUGAAGUCACCAGUCCCUUUGUCAGCACAUUUGCAUAUUGCUCACCGCCGGCACAUGUAGAACGCAGAGAUCACCUAACUUGACACAUUCUUGGAUGGAGUGGAUGCCCAGUUCAAUGUGUUUUAUCUAUUUUGGUGCAUCAAGUUCGUUGGCAUGUAUACAACGGAGAUAUUGUCUAUGUAGGUGAUUGUAGCCUCGGUGACGUCGUCAUAAGUUUAGUAAGACGUUAACGAGGCCAAAUACACUUGGUGAUAGUGUUGACAAUGAGGUGAUAUACGACCUCCACGCUAGAAGGGUAGACCAUUGGUUUCUCUUACUCUUAGAGGACCAUGAGAGCAAAGCAUAAACCAAGAAUGUGCCCAAGCUCGAUGUCGAUUGUUGGUGUCUACGCACCUUGUCUAACCGGUAUCAAAGUAUGCCAUGAUGAAGAGCUAUUUUGAGGCAUGUAGGAAAAGUCUCAACUGGCUUGUGCCGUGAAUGUACCAAAUAAUUCAUAAUGCUAUUGAGAAGCGCCUGAUGAGGACCCCACAAAUCGUGCAUAUGGAGGCUUGUCUAUCGUGCCUCAAGAAGAGGUUUGGGAAUGUAAUACUGAGGUGUUGUUGUUCCCUAGACAUAUUUCGAUAGGCCUCACACUCACAUGCUUUUGUGUAAAACUUGUGAUCUGUUGCAAACCCCGAAAUCUUACUCAAUUUCAAACUAAAAAUCUGUUAUGGCAUGAUGGGUGACCGCUCUUUGGGGUAGUUCACAUUGUAUACCUUUGACUAACACAUGGUUGGUUUUGUGCUAACAUAUGUCCAUUGCUAUUUUAAUGGUGAACUUCUCUUUUGACAUGCUUAAAAUUAAAUCAAAUGCUUAUUCUUCACAUAUUUUGUGCAUAUGAUCAGUUUGAGCAUCUUUUAGCACGUGCAUUUAUUGUUGCACACAUGGCACAACACGACUUAGAGCAUUUUUACAUUUUGAUUGCUAUACUCCUAAAGCUUCUAUACUUUCGGCAUUUUUUGCAUUCCACCUUCGAUCCUUGCAUUCUCUAAGGGGUGUUGUAACACCCCGUCCAAUCCCUGGACCGGCGGUACUUACUCCUGGCAGCUCUCUAGGAUCAUAUAUUGUCCCCACAGACCAACACGAGUCUUUUGUGCGCACUUUGUCCUCACUCAUGCGCACCCGAGAAAACUUCCCGGUCGGUCACCCAUCCCAAAUUGCUCCAAGCCAAGCACGCUUAACUUGGAGGUUCUUUCGAGAUAGGCUUCCAAAAAAGAAGAUGCACCUUGUUGGUAUGAUUACACUAUUAAUUCUAUUAAGCCUUGGGCCAGGACAUCCCAUCCCAGGGGCCAGGAUAUCACAGGUGUUGUUUUAUUUCUCUUUUUACCUUGUUUGAAGCUUGUUGAGUGCACUUGUCAACAGGGGGACAAGUUUUGGGAGAAUUUGGCUUUUGGGUCUUUUGGGGAGAAUUCUUCAAGGGGGAGCAAUUCACAGAUUUUGGGGAAUUUCUCUCAUAUACACCUUUUUGUUGAGGAUGUCUAUCUUUCUAUGAGGAUUUGAGUUAUGCUUCAAAAGGAGAUGUUUUUUUGUCAGGGGGAGAUUUUGAGCCCUUGGGAGCUUCUACUAGUUAUGUUGAGCCUUUGCCUAUUUCUGGAGGAACUAAAAGAGAAAUGGGCUAGAUAGCCAUUUCUACCUGUUUUGGUGAUUAAGUGUCCAACACACCAACAUGGACUAACUACUUAACUAGUUUGAUAUGAGUAUGAGCACAGGUUCACUUGAAGGCAAUUUAAAGGCACUAAGUCCAAAAGAGCUAAGAUGGAGGCUACAAAGUGCAACUUUGGGUAAAAGGGUAAAACCAUGAGGUUUGAAUACUUAAAUAAGUUGCAUAUGUCUAAUAUUAUGUGUUUAGCACUUUUGUUUGAGCUCUAACUCUAUUUUGUAAGAAAUUUGAUUUCAGGACUUAGUUUGAGCCAAAAUGCAAAAUCUGGUGAAAGACCAAGUAAAAGUGAGUUCUCUACACUUAGUCAAUUGGAUUAUGUGCUAAUUAUGUUUGUCUACGUCGUAGGGAAGCUUCCAAGGACACCCAAAAGGAAUUGAAGAAGAUAGGCUCAAAAGAGUCUAAGUUGGACUAUUCUGGGCCUCAUCAGACCGGUCCGGUGGCACACCGGGCCAUGUCUUCAGGGGCCAGGACUUGGAGUUUUGGCGGCCUGGUGCACCAGGCUGAGUCUGUAGUGCACUGAACCACUCGUACGGCUGAACAUGCAACUCUCAUGAAUUUUAUUAUAAAAUUCACCGGGCCGUCUAAAGAAGCUGGUCAUGUGGCACACCGGACUGUCUUCAAUGGCUACUUCGGCGCCCAACAACUACUUCAACGGGAGGAGGACACGUGGCAGUCCGGUGGGUGAUCGGACUGCUCCAGUGCCUGUCCGUUUUGGAAGUGGCCAGUCAGGAUCCCAGAGGACCCGUCCCUGUUCCCGAUCUGGUGGUGCACCGAACCGGUCCAGUGCCCCCGCACACAACCAGAUUUCAACAAUUUUUAGAAGGAAGGUUCAACUGCUAUGGGGCCUUUUGGGGCUAUAAAAGGACCCCCAUUCCACACCUCUUCAACACACAAGCAUAUUAAGAGCUCUCAUUCACUCUGAAGCUUUGUCAUAACACGUUCGUGUGAUUCUAGUGAGAUUUGAGUGCAAGUUUCAGUUGUUCUUGUAACACUUUGUGUGUUGCGCUCUUGUGAUCUUGUUCUUGUGUUGUGUUGCUAGUUUUGGCUCUUGUGUGUGUACUCUCUCCCUCUCUUGUGCUAAGUUGCAAUUUUGAUCUUGGGUAGAGCUGCAGAGACUCCAAUUUGUGGAGAUUUCUUGGGAGAGGGAUACUAUUGAUAUAAGGAAGACCGUGGCACUCAAGUUUGACCUAUGGAUCACUUGAGAGUAGAGAUGGCACCUAUUACCCGAAACCCAAUAGGUUUUACCCUAUUAGGGUAUGGGUAUGGGACAAUUUUCUUACCCAUGGGUUUUUCAUGGGAACAAGGUUGUACCCGCCAGGUUUGCAUGUACAAGUACGUUCUUAUUAUACCCCAACCCGCAAACCCAUGGGUAAAAUAUACUCGGCUUAGUUAUAUUGUGUGCCUCUUAAAUCCUUAUCUGAUAGUAUAUGAUUAGGCAAUAAACUUUUGAUUGUGAUAUUCUAGUGAACUAUGGAGAUUGAAAUUUGUUAGGGACCAUAAUUAGGGGUACCCCCAAGACUCCUAAUCUCAGCUGGUAACCCCCAUCAGCACAAAGCUGCAAAGGCCUGAUGGGCGCGAUUAAGGUCAAGGCUCAGUCCACUCAAGGGACACGAUCUCGCCUCGCCCGAGCCCAGCCUCGGGCAAAGGCAGCUGACCCCGGAGAAUUCACGUCUUGCCCGAGGGCCCCCUCAAGCAACAGACACACCUUCGGCUCACCCGAGGCCCAGUCUUCGCAGAGAAGCAACCUUGGCCAGAUCGCCACGCCAACCGACCGUAUCGUAGGAGCAUUUAAUGCAAGGAUCGCCUGACACCUUAUCCUGACGCGCGCUCUUCAGUCGACAGAGCCGAAGUGACCGCAGUCACUUCGCCGCUCCACUGACCGACCUGACAAGAAAACAGCGCCGCCUGCGUUGCUCCGACUCCUGUGCCACUCGACAGAGUGAGGCUGACAGCAGCUAAGUCCAGCCUCGGGCGCCAUAGGAAGCUCCGCCUCGCCCGACCCCAGGGCUCAGACCGGCCUCGGAAGACGGUCUCCGCCUCGCCCGACCCUAGGGCUCGGGCUCAACCUCGACGCUGGACGACGGACUCCGCCUCGCCUGACCCCAGGGCUCGGACACGGCCUCGGCCUCGGAAGACGGUCUCCGCCUCGCCCGACCUCAGGGCUCGGGCUCAACCUCGACGUUGGACGACGGACUCCGCCUCACCCGACCCUAGGGCUCGGACACAGCCUCGGCCUCGGAAGACGGUCUCCGCCUCGCCCGACCCAGGGUUCGGACUCAAUCUCGACCUCGAAAGACGGACUCCGCCUCGCCCGACCCCAGGGCUCGGACUCAGCCUCAACCUCGGAAGACGGACUCGACCUCGACCUCAGAGGAGCCUCCGCCUCGCCCGACCUAGGGCUCAGACCGACCACGUCACAGGGGGGCCAUCAUUACCCUACCCCUAGCUAGCUCAGGCUACGGGGAACAAGACCGGCGUCCCAUCUGGCUCGCCCCGGCGAACGAAUAAUGAUGGCGCCCCGCGUGCUCCAUGAUGACGGCGGCUCUCAGCCCCUUACGGAAGCAAGGAGACGUCAGCAAGGAUUCGACAGCCCUGACAGCUGUCCUUCCGCAGGGCUCUAGCUCUCCUCCGACGGCCACGACAUCACAUGAACAGGGUGCCAAAACCUCUCUGACUGCCACGACGGCAUGUACUUAGGGCUCUAGCUCCUCUCUGCUAGACACGUUAGCACACUGCUACACCCCCCAUUGUACACCUAGACCCUCUCCUUACGCCUAUAAAAGGAAGGUCCAGGGCUCUCGUACGAGAAGGUUGGCCGCGCGGGAGAACGGGCUGACGCAUAAGGCUCUCUCUCUCUACCACGCGAACGCUUGUAACCCCAUACUGCAAGCGCAUCCAUCCACCCUGGGCGCAGGACAACACGAAGGCCGCGGUUUUCCCCUUACUGUUCUCCCCCCUUUGUGUCCCGUCUCGCGCUGACCCAUCUAAGCUGGGACACGCAGCGAUAAUUUACUCGUCGGUCCAGGGACCCCCUGGGGUCGAAACGCCGACAGUUGGCGCGCCAGGUAGGGGCCUGCUGCGUGUUGACGAACAGCUUCCCGUCAAGCUUCAAAUGGGUAGUCUCUAGCAACCUUUCCUACCCGGGAAGAUGCUCCGUUUCGGGAGUCUUGAGUUCAUGUCCCUCGAUGACAGCUACGACAUGAUACUCCUCCUCCGCCACGCGACAGCGACAAUGGCGACCGUCAGCCCGCCCGCCGGUGGCGGAAUCGACGACGUCUUCCCCACAUGGCGGAAGAACAACAUCCGAGUUUGUCCCACCACCUCCCCCGCUGACGGAGGAGGAGGCGGGGCAACCAUGGCCAAACAGGAGGCGGCACCUCGUCGGCUGUCGAGCAAGUCGACGACGCCGGCGCCCCAGCGGGGGACACGUCGGGCUUCGACCUUGCGUCUGAGACGAAGACGAGCGCCGUUUCCCCGCAACACGCCAACACCAAGUAGACGAACGAUGCCAGCAUGCUCGCGAAGGACUUGCUGGGCGUCGCCCUCGUACCUGAGACAACGGUGCGUCCACCCCUGACGCGACUUCAUCACCGCUCGUCAACCAAGAGGUACCGACCGAUUCCCAUCUCGUGCCUUUUGGAUUCAGCUUCGACCCACCAAGCGACCUCGCUUCGGUGGAAGCCUUCAUAAAGGCAUGUACCAACCUUCCCGGGUACCAUAUGCGGUCGCCGUGGGACAGACUAACGGCCGUCUCAAUCUACGGACCCUCGGGUUCCGAGGAAGAUGACGAGCCCGACUUUUGUUGGGAUUUCUACGGGCUCGGUAACCCCAGUGCCAUGCGGGACUUCAUGACCGCAUGCGACUACUACCUCUCUGAUUGUUCCGAUGGUAGCCGCAGCUUCGGCGACGAGGACUGCGACCCAAGUCGUGAAUGUUUCCACGUCGAUCUAGGGGGUCCCGGCGAAGGCAACCAUCUUGGUAUGCCGGAAAAAGGCGAUCCCCCUAGGCCUGUGCCUCGCGUUGACAUCCUUCGGGAGCUAGCUGUGGUCCCAGUCCCUGCGGGGGGUCAGGAUGCACAGCUCGAGCAAAUCCGCGAGAUGCAGGCUAGGCUCGACGAGGGAGCAGGAACACUUGAGCAGUUCCGCCGGAACAUCGGGCAGGAAUGGGCAGACCAAGCUCCGGCCGGAGAAGCGCGUCAUCUACCCCAGGGCAUCCAGCACCGCAUUGCCGACGAUGUCAGGGCAAGGCCGCCACCGGCUUCCAGUGGGGUCGACCAGAACCUGGCUGCAGCAGCAAUACUACUCCGCGCGAUGCCGGAACCAUCGACCACCGAAGGGCGGCGUAUCUAGGGAGAGCUCAAGAAUCUCCUGGAGGAUGUCGCGGUCCGACGGGCCGAAAGCUCUGCCUCCCGAAGGCAGGGGUACCCCUCAGAGCAUCACGUCGUGACUUCCCGAUUCAUGUGUGAAGCCUCGGUCCACACCGGGCACACGCGGAACACCGCGCCUGCGGCCCCGGGUCGCCUCGGCAACGAGCACCACCACCGCAACCGUCGAGCCCACCUUGACGAGAGCGUGCGCCGAGGCUACCACCCCAGGCGUGGGGGACGCUACGACAACGGGGAGGAUCGGAGUCCCUCGCCCGAACCACCCGGUCCGCAGGCUUUCAGCCGGGCCAUACGACGGGCGCCGUUCCUGACCCGGUUCCGAACCUCGACUACCAUCACAAAGUACUCGGGGGAGACGAGGCCGAAACUGUGGCUCACGGACUACCGACUGGCUUGCCAACUGGGUGGGACGGAUGAUGACAACCUCAUCAUCCGCAACCUCCCCCUGUUCCUCUCCGACACCGCUCGAGCCUGGCUGGAGCAUCUGCCUCCAGGGCAGAUCUCCAACUGGGACGACCUGGUCCAAGCCUUCGCCGGCAACUUCCAGGGCACGUACGUGCGCCCUGGGAACUCCUGGGAUCUCCGAAGCUGCCGCCAGCAGCCGGGAGAGUCUCUCCGGGACUACAUCCGGCGAUUCUCGAAGCAGCGCACCGAGCUGCCCAACAUCACCGACUCGGACGUCAUCGGCGCGUUCCUCGCCGGCACCACCUGCCGCGACCUGGUGAGCAAGCUGGGUCACAAGACCCCCACCAGGGCGAGCGAGCUGAUGGACAUCGCCACCAAGUUCGCCUCUGGCCAGAAGGUGGUCGAGGCCAUCUUCCGGAAGGACAAGCAGCCCCAGGGCCGCCAGCCGGAAGACGUCCCCGAGGCGUCCACUCAGCGCGGCACCAGGAAGAAGGGCAAGAAGAAGUCGCAAGCGAAACGUGACGCGGCCGACGCGGACCUUGUCGCCGCCGCUGAGUACAAGAACCCUCGGAAGCCUCCCGGAGGCGCCAACCUGUUCGACAAGAUGCUCAAGGAGUCGUGCCCCUAUCAUCAGGGACCCAUCAAGCACACCCUUGAGGAGUGCGUCAUGCUUCGGCACCACUUUCACAAGGCCGGGCCACCGGCGGAAGGUGGCAGGGCCCACAACAAUGACAAGAAGGAGGAUCAUAAGGUAGAGGAGUUCCCCGAGGUCCACGACUUCUUCAUGAUAUACGGUGGGCAAGUGGCGAACGCCUCGGCUCGGCACCGCAAGCAAUAGCGUCGGGAGGUCUGCUCGAUAAAGGUGGCGGCGCCAGUCUACCUAGACUGGUCCGACAAGCCCAUCACCUUCGACCAGGGCGACCACCCCGACCGCAUGCCGAGCCCGGGGAAAUAUCCGCUCGUUGUCGAACCCGUCAUCGGCAACGUCAGGCUCACCAAGGUCCUCAUGGACGGAGGCAGCAGCCUCAACAUCAUCUACGCCGAGACCCUCGAGCUCCUGCAGAUCGAUCUGUCCUUGAUCCGGACAGGUGCGACGCCUUUUCAUGGGAUCAUCCCCGGGAAACGCGUCCAACCCCUCGGACAACUCGAUCUGCCCGUCUGCUUCGGGACUCCCUCCAACUUCCGAAGGGAAACCCUCACGUUCGAGGUGGUUGGGUUCCGAGGAACCUACCACGCAGUACUGGGGAGGCCAUGCUACGUCAAGUUCAUGGUUGUCCCCAACUACACCUACCUCAAGCUCAAGAUGUCGGGCCCCAACAGGGUCAUCACCGUCGGCCCCACGUACCGACACGCGUACGAAUGCGACGUGGAGUGCGUGGAGUACGCCGAGGCCCUCGCCGAAUCCGAGGCCCUCAUCACCGACCUGGAGAGCCUCUCCAAGGAGGCGCCAGACGUGAAGCACCACGCCGACAAUUUCGAGCAAGCUGAGACGGUCAAAUCCGUCCCUCUCGACCCCAGCAACGACGCCUCCAAGCAGAUACGGAUCGGCUCCGAGCUCGACCCCAAAUAGGAAGCAGUGCUCGUCGACUUUCUCCGCGUGAACGCCGAAGUCUUUGCGUGGAGUCCCUCAGACAUGCCUGGCAUACCGAGGGAUGUCGCCGAGCACUCGCUGGAUAUCCGAGCUGGAGCCCAACCCGUGAAGCAGCCUCUGCGCCGAUUCGACGAAGAAAAGCGCAGAGCCAUAGGCGAGGAGAUCCACAAGCUGAUGGCCGCAGGGUUCAUCAAAGAGGUAUUCCAUCCCGAAUGGCUUGCCAACCCUAUGCUUGUGAGAAAGAAAGGAGGGAAAUGGCGGAUGUGUGUAGACUACACUGGUCUAAACAAAGCAUGUCCGAAGGUUCCCUACCCUCUGCCUCGCAUCGAUCAAAUCAUGGAUUCCACUGCUGGGUGCGAAACCCUGUCAUUCCUCGACGCCUACUCAGGGUAUCACCAAAUCAAGAUGAAAGAGUCCGACCAGCUCGCGACUUCUUUCAUCACGCCCUUUGGCAUGUACUGCUACGUUACCAUGCCAUUUGGUUUGAGGAACGCGGGUGCGACGUACCAAAGGUGCAUGAACCACGUGUUCGGAGAGCACAUUGGUCGAACGGUCGAGGCUUACGUCGAUGACAUCGUAGUCAAGACGAGGAAAGCCUCAGACCUCCUCUCUGACCUUGAAACGACAUUCCAGUGUCUCAAGGCGAAAGGCGUAGAACUAAAUCCCGAGAAGUGCGUCUUCGGAGUCCCCUGAGGCAUGCUCUUGGGGUUCAUCGUCUCCGAGCGGGGCAUCGAGGCCAACCCGGAGAAAAUCGCGGCCAUCACCAACAUGGGGCCCAUCAAGGACUUGAAAGGCGUACAGAGGGUCAUGGGAUGCCUUGCGGCUCUGAGCCGCUUCAUCUCGCGCCUCGAUGAAAGAGGCCUACCUCUGUACCGCCUCUUAAGAAAGACCGAGCGCUUCACUUGGACCCCCGAGGCCGAGGAAGCCCUCGGGAACCUGAAAGCGCUCCUUACCAGCGUGCCCAUCUUGGUGCCUCCCGCUGCCGGAGAAGCCCUCUUGAUCUACGUCGCCGCUACCACUCAGGUGGUCAGCGCCGUGAUCGUGGUUGAGAGACGAGAAGAAGGGCAUGCAUUGCCCGUCCAGAGGCCGGUCUACUUCAUCAGUGAGGUACUGUCCGAGACCAAGACCCGCUACCCACAAAUUCAGAAGCUGCUGUACGCGGUGAUUCUGAUGCGGCAGAAGUUGCGACACUACUUCGAGUCUCAUCCGGUGACUGUGGUGUCAUCCUUCCCCCUGGGGGAGAUCAUCCAGUGCCGAGAGCCUCGGGUAGGAUUGCAAAGUGGGCGGUGGAAAUCAUGGGCGAGACAAUCUCGUUCGCCCCUCGGAAGGCCAUUAAGUCCCAAGUCUUGGCGGACUUUGUGGCUGAAUGGGUCGACACCCAGCUCCCGGCAGCUCCGAUCCAACCGGAACUUUGGACCAUGUUUUUCAACGGGUCGCUGAUGAAAACAGGGGCAGGCGUGGGCCUGCUCUUCAUCUCGCCCCUCGGGAAGCACCUCCGCUACGUGCUGUGCCUCCAUUUCCCGGCGUCCAACAACGUGGCUGAGUACAAGGCUCUGGUCAACGGGUUGUGCAUCGCCAUCGAGCUAGGGGUCCGACGCCUCGACGCUCGCGGUGACUCGCAGCUUGUCAUCGACCAAGUCAUGAAGAACUCCCACUGCCGCAACCCGAAGAUGGAAGCCUACUACGACGAGGUUCGGCGCCUGGAGGACAAGUUCUACGGGCUCGAGGUCAACCACGUCGCCCGGCGGUACAACGAGACUGCGGACGAGCUGGCGAAGAUAGCUUCGGCGCGAACAACGGUUCCCCCGAACGUCUUCUCCCAGGACUUACAUCAACCCUCAGUCAAGACAAACGACACGCCCGAGCCCGAGCCCGAGAAGGCCUCGGCCCGGCCCGAGGCACCCUCGGCUACCGAGGGUGAGGCUCUGCGCAUCGAGGAAGAGCGGAAUGGGGUCACGCCUAAUCGAAACUGGCAGACCCCGUACCUGCAAUAUCUCCACCGAGGAGAGCUACCCCUCGACAGAGCCGAAGCUCGGCGACUGGCGCGGCGCGCCAAGUCAUUCGUCUUGCUGGGUGACGGGAAGGAGCUCUACCACCGCAGCCCCUCCAGCAUCCUCCAGCGAUGCAUAUCCAUCGCCAAAGGCCAGGAGCUCUUACAAGAAAUACAUUCGGGGGCUUGCGGUCAUCACGCAGCGCCUCAGGCACUUGUUGGAAACGCUUUCCGACAAGGUUUCUACUGGCCGAUCGCGGUGGCCGACGCCACUAGAAUUGUCCGCACCUGCCAAGGGUGUCAAUUCUACGCAAGGCAGACGCACCUACCCACUCCGGCUCUGCAAAUAAUACCCAUCACCUGGUUGUUUGUUGUGUGGGGUCUGGACCUCGUCGGUCCCUUGCAGAAGGCACCCAGGGGCUACACGCACCUACUGGUCACCGUCGACAAAUUCUCCAAGUGGAUCGAGGUCCGACCCCUAAACAGCAUCAGGUCCGAACAGGCGGUGGCGUUCUUCACCAACAUCAUCCAUCGCUUUGGGGUCCUGAACUCCAUCAUCACCGACAACGGCACCCAGUUCACCGGCAGAAAGUUCCUGGACUUCUGCGAGGAUCACCACAUCCGGGUGGACUGGGCCGCCGUGGCUCACCCCAUGACGAAUGGGUAGGUAGAACGUGCCAACGGCAUGAUUCUGCAAGGACUCAAGCCACGGAUCUACAACGACCUCAACAAGUUCGGCAAGCGAUGGAUGAAGGAACUCCCCUCGGUGGUCUGGAGCCUGAGGACAACGCCGAGCCGAGCCACGGGCUUCACGCCGUUCUUUCUAGUCUAUGGGGCCGAGGCCAUCUUGCCCACAGACUUAGAAUACGGUUCUCGAAGGACGAGGGCCUACGACGACCGACGCAACCAGACCAACCGAGAAGACUCACUGGACCAGCUGGAAGAGGCUCGGGACAUGGCCUUACUACACUCGGUGCGGUAUCAACAGUUCCUGCGACACUACCACGCCCGAGGGGUUCGGUCCCGAGACCUCCAGGUGGGCGACUUGGUGCUUCGACUACGACAAGACGCCCGAGGGCGCCACAAGCUCACGCCUCCCUGGGAAGGGCCAUUCAUCAUCGCCAAGAUUUUGAAGCCCGGAACAUACAAGCUGGCCAACAGUCAAGGCGAGGUCUACAGCAACGCUUGGAACAUACGACAGCUACGUCGCUUCUACCCUUAAGAUGUUUUCAAGUCGUUCGUGCACCUCGUUUACAUACGCCAAUAAAGUCUAACCAUCAAGGAAGAGUCAGCCUUGCCUCGGCAAAGCCCGACCCUCCCUCGGGGGCUAGAAGGGGCGAACCCCCUCUACGUCAAAAUUUUCCUCGAAAAAAGUAUUCCAUCAAAACGACUUUCGCGCCUCCCGGCUAUAUCAGUAACAGGACCCCAAGAAACGAAUAAGAGUGCAUGUAAGUGGCAAGGCCGACCGAGCCGAGGGACUCCUACGCCUCUGGGAUACGGAUACCUCACUCGUCACCUACCGCGAAAAAUAACUCUUACUUGGGUAAGCAAUCCUGCUACUGACGAACGAGUCCGGAUACGCAAAACAGGAGGAAAAGAGACACAACCUUAUAUUACGAUGAUAAAGUGUUCGGGCCUCGGCGGCCGCAAAAGACACAUAUGCAUUCAGAAUAAACUGCUUCGGCAGAAUCAGGCGUCGCCCGGAGAAGGAGCCGCGCCCUCGGCUUCGUCUCCACCCUCGGCGAGAUCCGCCCCGACCUCGGACGACGGCACAAGCGGGAGGAUCUCUCCUUUGAAGGUGGUCACCAGCACCGCGCUUGGGCAAUACCCCUCGCUGACCCGCUGCGCCUCUGCGCGUGCCGCCGCUGCCUCUGCUCCCAGAUCGACACAGAGCAACCGAAGGUCCGCCACCUCAGCGCUCCGUUGGGAGAGGCGCUCGGUAGCCCCAGUAAGCGUGGUCCUCAGGGACCGCAGCGAACCCCAGACAUCGGCCUCGCGGCGGAUGAACGACGACUUGGCGGCGCUCAGAUCCGUCAGGUCCUGAGGAAAGGAAGCGGGGCGUCACAAAGAAUGCCCUGAUCACGUGAAAGGUAUGCUUGAAAUCAUUACCUGGAGGAUCUUGGGAACGUCCCUGCAAAGGACCUCCAAGGUCGACCGAAGCUACCCCACCGUUGCCUCGGCACACUCACAAAGCUCGUCCCAAGACUGCUCCUCUCGCUCAUCGUCAAGAACGAAGAGGGGAUCCGAAGCCCCACUGGUCCAGAACCGGAGCGACUGACGCCGCCCGUCGGGACUACGCCGCGCGGGGACGAGGUUGCCGCUCCCCAGGACGGGUCGCGGUUCUGCGCCCCCUCCUCUGAGGCAUCAAGUAGCGAUGCCUCGGCCAUCUCCGCGUCGGCGGCGACGGGUGGCUCCACGGCCAGAACGGCAACCGCCUCGGCAGAAGCCGGUGCCAGCGCCGGCAACGCGUCUGGUGGGCUCGAGGCUGCAGCCGCGCCAGCAGUCUCCCUCGGCACGACGGCCGCCCCGACGGAGGAGUCAGCCUCGGGAGCUCGCCCCACGACAACUUGUGCCGCCUGGGCCCCCCGCUUUGGGGCAUCUUGUAAGAAGGCCGGCUAGCCGGCGAGGCCCGGUGCGGCACUGGCUGCAGAAGCCGGUGCCGUUUUGAGGGCCUUCCGGGGAGCUAGACCGGUCGAACCAUGCCUCCGUUUGCUGGGAAGAAAAGGAAGAGCAGGAUCAGGACACACGAAGGAGGAGCCAGGGCGAAGAUAUCCUAAGAUACUUACCCACUCCGGGCCAUGAUCAAUCGUGCCUGUGGGGAGGUCUCUCGAGCCUCGAUCCCCGAAGGUACCACCGAGGUCAGCCCCGCUGCCGGCUUCGGCACCAUCCUUGCCUUGGGCGCCCGAGGCACCAGAGGGACGGACUGCCCAGGCGCAGCCACGACGACCCGAGGACCACCCUCCUGCGCAGUCGGCACGGGCAACGAUUCUUGGGGAACAGGCGACUCGGCCUGACUCCCCGGGGUCACCUCAACUACCUCAGCCAAGGGGUCAAGUACCCCCUUGGCCUGCCCCCGUUCUUCGGACCGGGACCCCGACGUCCCGGCCCCGGAUACCGACGGCGCCAGCCCGCUCGGGGGCUGGCUCGACGACCCCUGGCCCAACCUCAGAUCCGGGCUGGGGCCGAGGCGGGCAGCCAUGUUGUCGUCUUCAUCAUCGUCUUCAUCGUCGUCGUCGUCAUCAGGCGUCUCCGGUGACAGCUCCCUCGGGAGCCCAUCCCUCUCCUGCCGACGAUGAAGCCUUUCCAAGGCGUCCCGAGCCCGCAUCCGCUCGCGGGCCCGAGCCUUCUUCGUGUCCUUCUUCUCCUUCCUCUUCUCUGUGGCGACCCUCCGCGCAGCUCGAUCCACCGCAUCCUCUAGGACCGGUGGCAGGGAAGGCUUGUGAAACCCCACCUACUGGAGACGGACGAAAAGUCUCGGCUGUGAGAACCAAGGGCAAUCCGACACAAGAAGGAAGAAGGAGCGGACACUCACCAGGGACACACACCCGCGAUCGGGACGCAUCGAGAGCUGGGAAAAGGCGCCGGCGUCUAACUUCCCUACCGUGUCGGCUACCCGCCUGUGGAGGUCGUCGGCGGGAAGGGGGUCCGAGGACAUCUGCAAACCCUCCAAGUCGACCCCCGGCGUCAUCUCCCAAAGCGGCAGUCGCCGCUCCGUCAAGGGGAGCACCCUCCGGCGAUGAAUGGAGGCAACCACCCCCGCGGUGGUGAGCCCUCCUUCUCACAGCUCCUCCAAGGCCUUCAAAAGGGGCUGGAGAUUCUUCUGUCUUUCGCGCAGGGCCCCGUAGCGCCAGUUAUCGGUGGCGGCGGUCACCACUCGUUGAGAAAACGAUGGGAGCCUCCCGUCGUCAUUUCGGAGAUAAAACCACCGGCGCUGCCACCCUUUGUAACACCUCAGGUGUUACUUAGGGUGUCCACCCAGGGCUACACCUGUUAAGCCUACUAUCACAUGUGGGAUAGUUUGAGCAAAGUAUCUCAAACUUGGAAUUCAAGGUCCUAAGCAAGUGCCACCCAUCUUGGAUAUCAUGCCCUAGCUUGUCAUGCACAUCUAAGGGGAGAAUUUCCCAAAACCCUAAAGCAAACCCUUUUUGGACAAUAGGAACCCUAGAUGUAAGUGGGAUCAAAAGGUCAUGAAACCUUAUGAUCAUGGCUUGGGCCAAAUAUAAAAGUUGUUGUACACUUGAUAACCUACAAAUAAUAGUAAGAAAGUAACCCCAAAAAGAUUUCAGAAAAGCCCCAAAAAGUUCACCCAAGGGUUGAACACAAAAGAAAAAUCAGAAAAUGCCUAAGUCCAAAACUAACCCUUGGACAAAGAUCACACAUGUUCACCUUCAUCCAAAAUUCAAAACACUUCGACCCAAUUGACAAAGUGGCACCAAAUUAACCCUAGAAUGCCCUGGAAAGAGUUGACACCUACCCUUAGACGUUUGACACGACUUGGCACCAUUUUUGUCUCGGUUUGGACAUGUCUGACACAACCGACUUCCCACCCCCAUAUCUCUCUAACCCGACCACAUCUACUCUUGGAACUGACAUGAACUAGGUAGCUCUAGGUGUAGGGAAGAGAUCUCCCACAGGCUCUAGGGCAAGAUUCGUACGUUUUGGCCGCUCAGCAGAGGGAAGAACACGGGCAGAAGCAAAGAGCCACGUGUUCGACGCGCUCUGAGCUCGCCAGAGCACGCCCGCGCGCGCCCCCGCGUGCCUCGCGUCGCGCCAAAGGCUAGCCAAUGCCAUGGCCCGCGCCCGCGCCUAUAUAACGCCCAAUGACCUUAACCGUACCCUUCCACGCACGCUCAACCUCACCGGAGCUCAAACUCACCGGCGUUUGCCCGUGCACGGCGUGUCCGCGGCCACCCGAGCCCCUGCCACCGUAGACCGGCCAACCAAGCCUUUCCCAACCCCGUCCGACCCUCGGAGAGGACUGAGCACACCUCGUUGAAGCUCCCCGAGCGAGGAAUCGAAGUCUGCUUCGCCGGAGAGGCCAGUCCACGAUCGCCGGACUCCCUCCGACCGCCGGCGAGCGUAGACCCGGUAAGCCACUGCGCCAUUUUUCGAUUCAAUGCACAGAUAGCCUCUACAUCACCCCGUGAAGCUCACCGGGCCAUUGGAUUGGACUAGAUCGCCGUGAUUUGGCCGGCACUCCCGCCGCCGACGAGGACACCCGCCUGCGCACGUGGACCGAGCGAUUCCGGCCAUCCCCGCCGUCGAGUCGUACAUCGUUGUGACCGCCAGAGCCUCCCCGAGCCAACCCCGCCCCUCGCCGGACCUCUCCCGCUGCCGGUAAGUCGCGUCGCACUUUUCUUUCCCGCGGGUACUGUUUACAUUAGGGGAAGGACCUCAGGGAAGAAGAAGGAAAGGUCAGGGGGAUUUUUGAACUGUCAGUGACUCAGGGGAAUAGUGGCGCAGGGGUAGAUUUGAGUGGGUUGAUUUGGAUUAAACCCAGGGUCCUCGGUGUAAACUGUUUUUCCAGGAAACCUUUAUUAAAUCUGAUUUAAAAUUUGAACAGAACUUGAAUAAUUCAUAACUUCUGUUGUAUUCAUCCAAAUUUAGUCAAACCAAUUUUGUCAGAUCUUAAAUAAUAUAAACUACUUAGGAAAAAUAUAAAACCCCUAUGUACUACGGAAAACUUUAGGGUUCUGAUUUAAUUGUUGUUUUGGCCAAAAGCUAAAUAAUAGGAAGAAAAAUAGUUGCACUAUUUGACUAGGGUUAGAAAAAUUUGGAGAAGUUUAUGUCCAUCUACUGACCUAUUUAAAAAUGCUAAACCUUUCUGUCCACCCUAUUAAGGGAGCUUUUGCCACUUAUUUUACAAUAUGCUUAAGGUUAAGAAAAAUAGAAAAGGUGAUUUAAAUGAUGAACCAGAGGGCACUCCUAUUUUUGUUAGAGUACUUAUUCAGUGUAGUUUACUAGAAAAAUCUAUUAUACUCUGGUUUAGUAUAAAAUAAAUAGGAUACCUUUUAUUUUAAGAAAACAAGGAAAACUUAGAAAAACCCCACAAGAAUAACCCCAAGGUGAAAACACCCCAACCCUUGGGAUAGUUAAUAUUUUGUUAAUAAGAACUUAGGAAAAAUAUGAAAUCUGCUGUUUGACAUUUUUCAAAUAACAAUGUAGUAGAAAGUGCCUUUUUGACAUUAAACUUUGGAAAAUCACAACUAAAUAACCAUCCCUUAGCUUUCUGUGGUUUUUGGCACAGAAGCCUAUAAUUACUGUUAGAUGCCAACAAAAAUAACCUUUAGGACAGAACCCACCCCUAAUUAAGAGUUGUAGUGCAAAGUGGCCCAUUUACACAACUCUUGUUGUUUUUGUCUAGAGCAUAGCCUUUUUCAAUUGAACCUCAAAGUCUUAGAACAUGCUAUAUUGAUCAUAGGCAAGCCACUGUAAUUUUUACAAAAUGUUUGGAAAAAGUUAAACCAAUGUUGUAGUUCAAACCUACACUAGAAUUCAUAAAUAGAAAAUAAAGAAAGGAAAAUGAAUAAUGGAAAAGGGUGUCAUCCUAAAACCCCUUGUAAAUUGUCCACUAAAUUAUAAUAAGGAGAUACCAGUCCUAUAUGCUUAUCCUUAGCAAAAACCUAAAACCAAGGGUGAUAAGCAUAAACCACUAAAAGCCCCGCAUGACCAAGAAACCCUAAGUUACUCAUUAACUUAGUUUUUCUUCUCUUAGCAUAAUGUUAUUAAAUCCUGCAUAAUCAUGACAUCCAUGUUCAUUGCAUUUCAAUAGACUGUAACCUUGCUAACGGAGAGUACGUCCUCGUGCCGGAGCAAGGAGCUGCUCAGGAGGUAGCCCCGGAUUCAGCACCCGAACCUGCACCAGAGGAUCUGCCUGCCACAACGUUAGAAGGCAAGCCCCGGUUUAUGCAUAACCUGUUAUUUAUGCUAUUUUACUACACUUAUUGAUUGUAGGAUUGAAUGUGCACUUAAGUGUAGGAGUUGUGUGAAACCCUAGUUGCAUGAUCUCAGGAAUCCUGUUGUGAUGAAUACUAGUAUGCUAGGUCGAGUAGCUGCUUAUUUAAUUAGGAUCUCGGUAGAAGUCGAGUGAUUUUUCUAGCACUCGCGCGAGAUCAGGAAAUUGGUUGUAUCCACUUUCUUAUCAUAAUGAUGCUGGUGUGUGGGCAGGGCCGUCCCUGUGAGGGUGCCAAGGGUGCGGCCGCACCGGGCCCCCAAAAAUAGAGGUCCCAUAGCCACUGUACGGUAGUAUUUUUUCCUAUUAAACUUAUCUAUUAUAGACACAAAUACGUAAAGAGCGAUGCGUUAUCGAGUUAUCGACUAGUCUCGUUUAUAUUCUUAAAUUGUCUCAAUUUUUUAUCCAAUACUCUAUCCGUUUCAAAAUAGUAUUUGUUUUAGUUCUUGAUUUUUAUGUUUAUAUUGAUGAUGAUAAAUCCACUAAAGAAGCAAAACAAAUUCUAUUUUGAUAUAGGGAGAGUAUUAUAAACUAUACAUACGAUGGUUGUUUUGGUAGAGAGAAGCUUUUUUAAAAUUGAAAUAUUUUUGUGCACUAUUUUUUAUCAACAAUAACUCAAGAGAUGUUAACUGGCUUGGUGAUUCUAUAUAUCGAAAAAAGUUGUUGGAUGAGAUUGAUCUCAAUGAUAUAAGAGAUGACUUUGUAUCACAAAAUGUUAAAAGAUAUGAGAUAACAAGUGUUUUUUGCUAUAUUUUACAUUUGUUAUCUUGUAAACUUCAAAAUAAUGCAUAAUAAUUUUUAUAUGUCAAAUAUUUGAUAAUAUAUAUAUAAUUAUAUAUAUGUGUGGAUGGGCCUCGAUAUCGGAUUUCGCACUGGGCCCCUGAAAAGUCAGGAACGGCCCUGUGUGUGGGCAACAAUCCAUGGGGAUUGGUUGUCUACGGGAUAAAAAUUUGAAUAAGGAUUAUGGUGUGGUACAGUGAGUCAAGCGUUUGAACGUACUAAACAUAUACCGAGAAUUAUGGUAAAUCGGUAAGCCUAGUACCUGAUUGAACCUGGCAGCAGAUUGCCCUCCUCACGCGACCUGAGACGAGGUCUCCCAUUCCGGUUAUGGUGGGUACAAGUGCGGUCACUGCACGACGGCAGUCGGGGUCAGUGAGGCAUUGUACGCCAAGGCGGUGAGCCCCUCUAUGCUGACGGGGAAUCGAUGGGGACGGUUGAUGUGUGUGGGGACGGAGUGCCCCUGCAUGUCGUGUGUUUAGGUUUACCUUGCAAGGAUGAAAACUCGAUUCGAAUCGUCUGCUUCUCGCAGCUAAUGAGACUGCUUGAUCCAUGCUGCUACAUUGAGUAACAAGUGGAAUUAUGAUGAGAUGAUACAAGAUGUUGAUUGCUAAAAAUGUUUGCUACUAUGUAUGAGUAGAUAGUACAUCUUUAGCCUUAAGAGAGUCACACUUAGUUUGACAAAGUAAAAAAAAACUUGAUUUAGAAACUCAGCUAGUGCUUUUGGCAACCAAACCCCACAGCCAAACAGCUGCAUGUCUAGAGGUAGAGGAGUAGACUCCUCACACCGGGUAAGUCUAGCUGAGUAUUAGUAUACUCAGCCUUGCUUGCGGCACAAUUUUACAGGUUCUCUGGAGGACAUGGUUGCUGGAGUGACUUGGUCGUCCAUCUUGCCACCGGGUUGGACUGUCGAGUGGGACCCUACCUCGGCUGAGGAGGAGCAUGAGGAGUGAUGGGACAGGCUUCCCCAUCUCUCUGUUUAUUUACCGUUAGUUUUAUUCUGCUGCAUUUCGAACAAUGAUGACUACUUUUGCAAAAACUCCGAUGAUGAUGUAUUAAUUUAAUACUCCCCUAUGCAUGGUUUUAUGCUUUAUUGUAUUUGCUCUGUGACUCACCAUCGAGUGAGAUUGUGGUACUUGAUCCUGUUAGUGGCCUUUUCGGACUAGAUCCGAGGGAUUGACGGGUUAUUCUCAUUUAAGUGUGGUCUAGCCUCUAAGGCGGGACCUCGGCACUUAAGUUGGAAUAAUUCGGGCAGUUCCGCCACAGCUGGUAUCGGAGCUUGUACCACCACAGAGGAAUCAAUAAAAUAUAAAUAUCAUCCUUUUCCGAAAUAAAACUUGAUAGAAACAAUGUUGGAUAGAUCGUAGGACGAUCAGGAUAGACCUAGGACGUGAAGCCUUAGGAUGAUACAAGGGUAGCUAGGUGGCUAAGUGUUUAAGCCCUACGGGCUACUAUACGGGAUGGGAGUUCUUCCCUAUUCCCUUUACAUUACUGUGAGGUUGUUCAGGACGAGCAUGCAUGCAUUCUUAAAUUAAACAAAUGGAAAAUUUAGUAAGGACUUAAAUUCCAAAUGAUGACCAACUAAGUUCCCCAGUACCAUUUUUUAGAGAGAAGCUGAGUCUUAUUUUCUUGUUCUUUUUAUAAUUCUUUUUCUUUUACUUACGCUUAACCGUACACAGAUGACUUCCCACGGAUCCUCAGACGACGGAAAUGCACUGUCCCACACUGACAGGCUUGCACGAGAGGGCUUUCCCCGCAUUUUGUGGGAGGUACUUCAGGGGGCCGGAUACACGACACCUCCUCAGUACGCGGUGCAGCAGUUCGAGAAGCACCGAGUGCCCCGCUGUAGAGUGAGGAUGACCCUGGAGCCUCAUCCCCUACAGCCAGGCUGGCGUUCACUGGACUCUGAGUCCUUUGGAUACCGGGCUGAGGACACGAUCGAGGCAAUUGCUCUGCAUGGGUUGACCACUUUCUGCGGAUUCCAUCCCUUGGAGCUGUCUACCCACCCCAUUGGCUUGUUCCCCGUAGAAAGGGAGGACGACCCGAUGUGGAAGGAUCGGGUGGAGCACGCCAAGGACAUCUGGGCUAUCUACCCAGGUCAGACUGCUCACUUGACAGUACGGUGCAUGAAUGCCCUGUACCGUUUGCAAGUGAUGCGUGGUGAGGCAAUGUCUCAUCUGAUGGCAUUAUUGGAGGCAACAAAGAUCACCUUGGACAACAGAAAAGAGCUUGUGGUUGAUUUGUCCACUGAGAUGGUGGAAAAGGACUUACAGGUGGAGCAGCUAUCCAAUGAGAUCCAAGAGCUGGAGGAAUUAGUGGGUACCAGGGAGAACACCAUCGAGGUUCUCGAGGAUCAGCUCAUUAACACCCAGCAGCAGCUUGCCGAGGCUAAUGAGCACCUGGAUAUGCAUCGCCAGGAGAUCCAAGACAUGGAGGCCAACGAGGACGUCGACAUUGAGGGAGGAGAGGAGCCUGCCUCCAGCUUGGACACUGCGGGCUCAGGGAGACCACCUUCCCCCGAGUCGAGUGUUGCCUCGUUCGCUCACUAGGUAUCAGGAGUAGGGUUAGAAGUCAGUGAUGGUAGGACUCCUCGCAGCUAGCUUAGCUUUUGCACCCUUGGGGUACUAGGCUAGGUAGAGUUGAGUCUUUUUGGGACCAUUGAUGUAAUCGUGAUAAACUCUUUUGGAAGCAUGGUUGAUGGAUGCUGUUAGUUUUUAAAUUGGGAAGGAAAGUUUAUGCCUUUUGAAAUCCUUUUUGUUUAUGUCAGAAUCUAUCAAUUCGCCUUUGACUCUUUCACCGCGAUUAAACCUUAAACUUGAAGAUGUGUUAUUGAUGAUAUAUGUGAUUUUUCAGAUGGCCGGGAGAGCGCGUCGUGGCCAGAAUGAGCGCGUUCCUCCACCUCCGCCACCGCCUCCCACUCUGCAGGAGCUAAUGGCUCAGCAGAAUGAGAUCUUGAGGCAGCUAGCUCAGCGUCAGCCACCACCUCAGCACUAUGGUGGUGGAGACCAUCAGCGUCACCCCGCGGCAGCUACCUACUAGGAGUUCCUCAGUACCCAACCUCCUUUGUUCACUAGGGCAGAGGACCCACUUGAUGCAGAUGUGUGGUUGAGAGUAGUGGAAUCCAAAUUCCCGCUACUCCAUGGAGUUUGCUCAGAGGUCACAAAAGUCAGGUUCGCUACCCAGCAGCUUCACGGACCCGCAAGGACUUGGUGGGAUCAUUUUCUUGCUAUGCAGCCAGAUGACCGAGAGGUGGAAUGGAGAGAGUUCAAGGCAGCUUUUAGGGGGACACCAUAUACCAGCCGGGAUUAUGGACCGAAAGCUCAAUGAAUUUCUGGCACUCACUUAGGGCAACAGGACAGUGUUGCAGUAUGCUCAGGCUUUUAAUGACCUGUGCCAGUAUGCUGGGUAUCAUGCAGAUACGGACGAGAAGAAGAGAGACAGGUUCAGGAGGGGGCUCAGCACUAAGCUCUGUGACCGUCUCAACACCGUCAGGGCCAACAGCUACAAUGAGUUGGUCAACAUGGCCAUCUCCCAGGAGGACUGUAUCACAGCUCGUCAGGCAGAAAAGAAGAGGAAGACCCCUGUGGCAGGACCCUCAGCUCAGCCACAGCGCUUCAGGAUUGUGUCUGACACUCAGAGCAGGGGACCUCAGCAGCAGCAAGGGCGAUGGGUGAUCCGACCAGAGCAGCAGCAACAACAGGCACCCAACCGCACCCAGUUUCCAGCUCAAGGGAACAAUCAGCAGCAGCAGUAUCGCCAGGCAAAUGACAACAGGUGUUUCACAUGCGGCAACACCGGACAUUAUGCCAAGAAUUGCCCCAGGAACCAACAGAGGCAGGGGCAGAAUGUGAAUCAGAAUCAAGGCAAGAUACAGAAGGUGCAAGUGAGGCAGGGCAGGCUGAACUUCACCACCAUGGCUGAUAUUCCAGAGGGGGCACCCGUCAUGACUGGUAUCUUUACAGUUUUGAAUUAUCCUGCUAUUAUUCUUUUUGAUUCUGGUGCCUCGCAUAGUUUUAUCAGUGCCAAAUUUAGUGCCAAGUGCCAGUUGCCCUUUCACCACACCGAUGGGGCAUUACAAUUUCAACGCCAGGAGGCAGGGUUGCCACCUACCAAAUCAACAGGCAAGUGCCUAUAAAAUUUGGUAGUCUUGUGAUUAGAACCACCCUUCUCAUCUUAGGAUUGGAUAGCGUGGAUAUUAUAUUGGGAGCUGACUGGUUGACCAGGCAUCAGGCAGUAUUGGAUAUUGCAGCCAGGGCCAUUGAAAUUCAUUCCCCUGCUUAUGGCGAGACUGUUUUAUAUUUGCCCGACCAGGGAUGCACCCGUUCUUGUGCCUUCGUUAUGAUAGAAUCCCCAGUGGAAAAGAUCCCAGUGGUCUGUGACUACCCGGAUGUUUUUCCGGAUGAAUUGCCAGGGAUGCCACCUGACCGAGACAUUGAGUUUGCCAUCUAAUUGCAACCCGGGACUGCUCCUAUCUCCAAGAGACCUUAUAGGAUGCCUCCCGCAGAAUUGGCAGAACUGAAAAAGCAAUUGCAAGAGUUGUUGGACAAGGGGUUUAUUCGCCCAAGUACUUCGCCUUGGGGAUGUCCUGCUUUAUUCGUAAAGAAAAAGGAUGAAAGUUUGAGAAUGUGUGUUGAUUACCGCCCUCUCAAUGCGGUGACUAUCAAGAACAAAUACCCACUGCCCCGCAUUGAUGUAUUGUUCGAUCAGUUGGUGGGAGCCAAGGUCUUCUCCAAAAUAGACCUUCGCUCGGGUUACCAUCAGAUCAAGAUCCGUGCCAGUGAUAUUCCCAAGACGGCUUUCUCUACCAGAUAUGGGCUCUAUGAAUUUUUGGUGAUGUCUUUUGGGCUGACCAAUGCCCCGGCUUAUUUUAUGUACUUGAUGAACUCAGUAUUCAUGCCAGAGUUGGACAAGUUCGUGGUCGUUUUCAUUGAUGAUAUUCUGGUCUAUUCCAAGAAUGGAGACGAACAUACUGAGCAUCUGCACAUCGUGCUUCAGCGACUGCGCGAUCAUCGUCUUUAUACUAAAUUGUCUAAAUGUGAAUUCUGGCUGAAGGAAAUUAAAUUCUUGGGUCACACAAUUUCUCAGGAUGGGAUAUCAGUUGAUCCUGAGAAGGUACAAGAGGUAAUGGAUUGGAAACCCCCGACUACAGUGAGGUAGAUUCGGAGUUUUCUAGGAUUGGCAGGGUAUUAUCGACGAUUUAUUCCGGAUUUCUCCAGAAUUGCCAAACCAAUGACUGAACUGUUAAAGAAGGGAGUCAAGUAUGAUUGGAGCCAAAAGUGCGAAGAUGCCUUUCAUACUUUGAGGCAGCAUUUGACCACAGCCCCAGUGCUGGCUCAACCUGACAACACCAAGCCCUUUGAAGUUUAUUGUGAUGCUUCUGGCACUGGUUUGGGAUGUGUCUUAAUGCAAGAUGACAAGGUAAUUGCUUAUGCCUCCCGAGCACUCAGACCCCAUGAGCAGAACUACCCUACACAUGAUCUGGAGUUAGCAGCUGUGGUUCAUGCUCUCAAAAUAUGGAGACACUACUUGAUGGGAGCUCACUGUAACAUUUACACGGAUCACAAGAGCCUCAAAUACAUUUUCACUCAGGCAGAUUUAAACAUGAGGCAGAGGAUAUGGUUGGAAUUAAUCAAGGACUAUGAUUUGGAAGUACAUUACCACCCGGGCAAAGCCAAUGUUGUGGCAGAUGCCUUGAGCAGAAAAGCCCAGUGCAAUUGUAUGAGCAUAGAUGCAAGAGUUACCACCCUGUGUGAUGAGUUGUGCAAGCUGAACCUGGAAGUUGUUUCUUCAGGUGCCUUAAGUUAUAUCUCGGUAGAGCCCACAUUGCAAGAGCAAAUAGUCAGGGCACAGAUUAAGGAUAAGGGUGUUCAGGUUAUCAAAGACAUGAUCAAGCAGAAGGCAGAAAAAUACAAGUGCUUCCGUCAGGACAACAAGGGAAUUUUAUGGUUUGGAGAUAGAUUGGUUGUUCCCAAGGACCCUGAGCUCAGAAAGAAGAUACUAGAUGAAGCUCACCUUUCAAAAUUCUACAUGCACCCGGGCAGCAACAAGAUGUACCAUGAUCUCAGAUCCUUAUACUGGUGGACCAGGAUGAAGAGGGAAAUUGCCAAGUACAUAUCCGAGUGUGACACCUGCCAAAGGAUUAAAGCCAGUCAUUUGAAGGCAGCAGGCCCUUUACAACCCCUUCCCAUACCAUCUUGGAAAUGGGAGGACAUUUGCAUGGACUUUAUCGUGGGAUUGCCCAAUACCUCCAGGCACCAUGAUUCCAUUUGGGUUAUUGUGGACAACUUGACCAAGACCACUCAUUUCUUGCCAGUACACACCACCCACAGGACAGAGAAGUAUGCAGAAAUCUACAUUGACCAGAUAGUUCGUCUGCAUGGAAUACCAAGGACUAUAGUCUCAGACAGAGGAGCACCAUUUGUGGCACGAUUUUGGGAACAAUUGCAGGAAUCACUUAGGACCUAUGUCAUACGAAGCUCAGCAUACCAUCCCCAAACAGAUGGCCAGACAGAAAGGGUAAACCAGAUUUUGGAAGACAUGUUGAGGGCAUGUGUACUGCACUACGGAAAAGAUUGGGACAAGUGUCUUUCUUUAGCAGAGUUUUCUUAUAAUAACAGCUACCAGUCCAGUCUAAAGAUGGCACUUUUUGAAGCUUUAUAUGGGAGAAGAUGUAGAACCCCGCUGAAUUGGUCUCAAGCAGGAGAGAGGGAAAUAUUUGGGCCAGAUUUGGUACUUGAAGCAGAGGCAAAGGUCAGAGUCAUCAAGAAGAACUUAGAAGCUGCUCAGGCCAGGCAAAAGAGCUAUCAUGACAAGAGGCGGAAGCCUCUGCAGUUUGAAGUGGGAGACCAUGUUUAUCUUAAGGUGUCACCCACCAAGGGUGUCCAGAGAUUCGGAUCAAGGGCAAGUUAGCUCCUCGUUACAUUGGACCCUACGAGAUCAAGGAAGCUUGUGGACCCGUAGCCUAUCAAUUGAAGUUGCCACCCAGCAUGUCAGCUGUUCAGGAUGUAUUCCAUGUAUCUCAGCUGCGGAAAUGUGUUCGCCUAUCCACUAAAGUGCUACCUGAACCGGACAUUGAGAUAGAACCAGACUUGUCCUAUCAAGAGUACCCCCUCAAGGUAUUGGAUCAGAAGGAGAGAUCAACACGGGCAAGGUCAAUCUGAAUGUAUAAGGUUCAGUGGAGUCACCAUUCAGCAGAAGAAGCUACAUGGGAGACUGAGGAUUUUCUACGCUCUUGCUUCCCCGACUUUUUGCCCAAAGGAGUCGAUAUGUAACCCAAAACCCCACCCCCACCUGCCCUUUGAAUACAAUUACAAGAAAAACUUAGAUAGCAAGGGUAGUCUAAGUUGUGGAAUUAACUUAAGAAGGACUUCCUUCUGAAGUUGCAAAGAGAAUGACAUUCGAAGAGCAGUUAACAAGAGAAACCUGGGUAAAAGAAAGAGUAGCCCACCAACACACCUUCAUGUACCCCCCCUCCAAGAGACUCUACCUGAAAUCUCGGAACGAGAUUCCUUUAAGGGGGGAGGGCUGUAACACCUCAGGCGUUACUCAGGGUGUCCUCCCAGGGCUACACCUGUUAAGCCUACUAUCACAUCUGGGAUAGUUUGAGCAAAGUAUCUCAAAUUUGGAAUUCAAGGUCCUAAGCAAGUGCCACCCAUCUUGGAUAUCAUGCCCUAGCUUGUCAUGCACAUCUAAGGGGAGAAUUUCCCAAAACCCUAAAGCAAACCCCUUUUGGACAAUAGGAACCCUAGAUGUAAGUGGGAUCAAAAGGUCAUGAAAACCUUAUGAUCAUGGCUUGGGCCAAAUAUAAAAGUUGUUGUACACUUGAUAACCUACAAAUAAUAGUAAGAAAGUAACCCCAAAAAGAUUUCAGAAAAGCCCCAAAAAGUUCACCCAAGGGUUGAACACAAAAAAAAAUCAGAAAAUGCCUAAGUCCAAAACUAACCCUUGGACAAAGAUCACACAUGUUCACCUUCAUCCAAAAUUCAAAACACUUCGACCCAAUUGACAAAGUGGUGCCAAAUUAACCCUAGAAUGCCCUGGAAAGAGUUGACACCUACCCUUAGACGUUUGACACGACUUGGCACCAUUUUUGUCUCGGUUUGGACAUGUCUGACACAGCCGACUUCCCACCCCCAUAUCUCUCUAACCCGACCACAUCUACUCUUGGAACUCACAUGAACUAGGUAGCUCUAGGUGCAGGGAAGAGAUCUCCCACAGGCUCUAGGGUAAGAUUCAUACGUUUUGGCCGCUCAGCAGAGGGAAGAACAUGGGCAGAAGCAAAGAGCCACGUGUUCGACGCGCUCUGAGCUCGCCAGAGCACGCCCGCGCGCGCCCCUGCGUGCCUCGCGUCGCGCCAAAGGCCAGCCGACGCCAUGGCCCACGCCCGCGCCUAUAUAACGCCCAGUGACCUUAACCGUACCCUUCCGCGCACGCUCAACCUCACCGGAGCUCAAACUCACCGGCGUUUGCCCGUGCACGGUGUGUCCGCGGCCACCCGAGCCCCUGCCACCGUAGACCGGCCAACCAAGCCUUUCUCAACCCCGUCCGACCCUCGGAGAGGACUGAGCACACCUCGGUGAAGCUCCCCGAGCGAGGAAUCGAAGUCUGCUUCGCCGGAGAGGCCAGUCCACGAUCGCCGGACUCCCUCCGACCGCCGGCGAGCGUAGACCUGGUAAGCCACUGCGCCAUUUUUUGAUUCAAUGCACAGAUAGCCUCUACAUCACCCCGUGAAGCUCACCGGGCCAUUGGAUUGGACUAGAUCGCCGUGAUUUGGCCGGCACUCCCGCCGCCGACGAGGACACCCGCCUGCGCACGUGGACCGAGCCGUACAUCGUUGUGACCGCCAGAGCCUCCCCGAGCCAACCCCGCCCCUCGCCGGACCUCUCCCGUCGCCGGUAAGCCGCGCCGCCCUUUUCUUUCCCGCGGGUACUGUUUACAUUAGGGGAAGGACCUCGGGGAAGAAGAAGGAAAGGUCAGGGGGAUUUUUGAACUGUCAGUGACUCAGGGGAAUAGUGGCGCAGGGGUAGAUUUGAGUGGGUUGAUUUGGAUUAAACCCAGGGUCCUCGGUGUAAACUGUUUUUCCAGGAAACCUUUAUUAAAUCUGAUUUAAAAUUUGAACAGAACUUGAAUAAUUCAUAACUUCUGUUUUAUUCAUCCAAAUUUAGUCAAACCAAUUUUGUCAGAUCUUAAAUAAUAUAAACUACUUAGGAAAAAUAUAAAACCCCUAUGUACUACAGAAAACUUUAGGGUUCUGAUUUAAUUAUUGUUUUGGCCAAAAGCUAAAUAAUAGGAAGAAAAAUAGUUGCACUAUUUGACUAGGGUUAGAAAAAUUUGGAGAAGUUUAUGUCUACCUACUGACGUGUUUAAAAAUGCUAAACCUCUCUGUCCACCCCAUUAAGGUAGCUUUUGCCACUUAUUUUACAAUAUGCUUAAGGUUAAGAAAAAUAGAAAAGGUGAUUUAAAUGAUGAACCAGGAGGCACUCCUAUUUUUGUUAGAGUACUUAUUCAGUGUAGUUUACUAGAAAAAUCUAUUAUACUCUGGUUUAGCAUAAAAUAAAUAGAAUACCUUUUAUUUUAAGAAAACAAGGAGAACUUAGAAAAACCCCACAAGAAUAACCCCAAGGUGAAAACACCCCAACCCUUGGGAUAGUUAAUGUUUUGUUAAUAAGAAUUCAGGAAAAAUAUGAAAUCUGCUGUUUGACAUUUUUCAAAUAACAAUGUAGUAGAAAGUGCCUUUUUGACAUUAAACUUUGGAAAAUCACAACUAAAUAACCAUCCCUUAGCUUUCUGUGGUUUUUGGCACAGAAGCCUAUUAUUACUGUUAGAUGUCAACAAAAAUAACCUUUAGGACAGAACCCACCCCUAAUUAAGAGUUGUAGUGCAAAGUGGCCCAUUUACACAACUCUUGUUGUUUUUGUCUAGAGCAUAGCCUUUUUCAAUUGAACCUCAAAGUCUUAGAACAGGCUAUAUUGACCAUAGGCAAGCCACUGUAAUUUUUACAAAAUUUUUUGGAAAAAGUUAAACCAAUGUUGUAGUUCAAACCUACACUAGAAUUCAUAAAUAGAAAAUAAAGAAAGGAAAAUGAAUAAUGGAAAAGGGUGUCAUCCUAAAACCCCUUGUAAAUUGUCCACUAAAUUAUAAUAAGGAGAUACCAAUCCUAUAUGCUUAUCCUUAGCAAAAACCUAAAACCAAGGGUGAUAAGCAUAAACCACUAAAAGCCCCGCAUGACCAAGAAACCCUAAGUUACUCAUUAACUUAGUUUUUCUUCUCUUAGCAUAAUGUUAUUAAAUCCUGCAUAAUCAUGACAUCCAUGUUCAUUGCAUUUCAAUAGACUAUAACCUUGCUAACGGAGAGUACGUCCUCGUGCCGGAGCAAGGAGCUGCUCAGGAGGUAGCCCCGGAUCCAGCACCCGAGCCUGCACCAGAGGAUCUGCCUGCCACAGCCUUGGAAGGCAAGCCCCGGUUUAUGCAUAACCUGUUAUUUAUGCUAUUUUACUACACUUAUUGAUUGUAGGAUUGAAUGUGCACUUAAGUGUAGGACUUGUGUGAAACCCUAGUUGCAUGAUCUCAGGAAUCUUGUUGCGAUGAAUACUAGUAUGCUAGGUUGAGUAGCUGCUUAUUUAAUUAGGAUCUCGGUAGAAGUCGAGUGAUUUUUCUAGCACUCGCGCGAGAUCAGGAAAUUGGUUGUAUCCACUUUCUUAUCAUAAUGAUGCUGGUGUGUGGGCAACAAUCCAUGGGGAUUGGUUGUCUACGGGAUAAAAAUUUGAAUAAGGAUUAUGGUGUGGUACCGUGAGUCAAGCGUUUGAACGUACUAAACAUAUACCGAGAAAUGUGGUAAAUCGGUAAGCCUAGUACCUAAUUGAACCUGGCAGCAGAUUGCCCUCCUCACGCGACCUGAGACGAGGUCUCCCAUUCCAGUUAUGGUGGGUACAAGUGCGGUCACUGCACGACGACAGUCGGGGUCAGUGAGGCAUUGUACGCCAAGGCGGUGAGCCCCUCUCUGCUGACGGGGAAUCGAUGGGGAUGGUUGAUGUGUGUGGGGACGGAGUGCCCCUGCAUGUCUUGUGUUUAGGUUUACCUUGCAAGGAUGAAAACUCGAUUCGAAUCGUCUGCUUCUCGCAGCUAAUGAGACUGCUUGAUCCAUGCUGCUACAUUGAGUAACAAGUGGAAUUAUGAUGAGAUGAUACAAGAUGUUGAUUGCUAAAAAUGUUUGCUACUAUGUAUGAGUAGAUGGUACAUCUUUAGCCUUAAGAGAGUCACACUUAAUUUGACAAAGUAAAAAAAACUUGAUUUAGAAACUCAGCUAGUGCUUUUGGCAACCAAACCCCACAGCCAAACAGCUGCAUAUCUAGAGGUAGAGGAGUAGACUCCUCACACCGGGUAAGUCUAGCUGAGUAUUAGUAUACUCAGCCUUUCUUGUGGCACAAUUUUACAGGUUCUCUGGAGGACAUGGUUGCUGGAGUGACUUGGCCGUCCAUCUUGCCACCGGGUUGGACUGUCGAGUGGGACCCUACCUCGGCUGAGGAGGAGCAUGAGGAGUGAUGGGACAGGCUUCCCCAUCUCUCUGUUUAUUUACUGUUAGUUUUAUUCCGCUGCAUUUCGAACAAUGAUGACUACUUUUGCAAAAACUCCGAUGAUGAUGUAAUAAUUUAAUACUCCCCUAUGCAUGGUUUUAUGCUUUAUUGUAUUUGCUCUAUGACUCACCAUCGAGUGAGAUUGUGGUACUUGAUCCUGUCAGUGGCCUUGUCGGACUAGAUCUGAGGGAUUGACGGGUUAUUCCCAUUUAAGUGUGGUCUAGCCUCUAAGGCGGGACCUCGGCACUUAAGUUGGAAUAAUUCGGGCAGUUCCGCCACACCCUUUGUUCGAAGACGCGAGGACGGCAGGGAUGUACUGCAGCGCCCGCGCCUGCCUCAACUGGAAUAUGCGGCCACCGGCCCGCACCGCCAUGCGAACUCUUCUUUCCCCCGUCGACGAGGCAAAAAGCUCCGCGGAGAAGAGAUGGGUCCACAGGUCCCAGUGGGGGGCAAUCCCCAAAUAUCCUUCGCAAACCGCCGUGAAGAUGGCUGCUUGCGAGAUGGAGUUGGGACUGAGAUUGUGCAGCUCCACCCCGUAGACGUGCAGAAUCGCCCGCAUAAAACGACUUGCCGGCACUCCGAACCCCCGCUCGUGAAAGGAAACGAAGCUCAGCACAUACCCCGACGGCGGGGACGGGGCGGCUCCGCUCGGAGGGGCCAUCCACUCCGGCUGCGAGUCACCGGAGAGAGGGCGAAGCAAACCAUCAGCAACGAGGGCCUCCAGAUCAUCCACCGUGACGGUGGAGAAAGGCCACGGGUCGCGCGGCGAAACAACCGUCACCCGGUCGGCCAUCACCGAGCAGAAGAGGUGGCGGCGGAGAGGACGAGGUGUGUGGUUUCCUUUCUCUGGCUAUUCCCUCGGGUUGCGAAAACCUAAGUAGGAGGCGAGCAGCAGAGUAAAGAACCGUCACCGGUCCCUCUCCCGAAUAUAUAAAGGCCCAGGCGAGACCUGUUCAACACUUCGCCCGAACCCGUCGCGAGAUUCAAAACUCAAAGCGAGACGCCUGUUCCUCGAACGGCUCGCGCACGCACAACGGCUGCCCCGCGAACCACUCGUCCCGUCGCAUUAACUCUGCGACAGGACAGGCGACACCUUUGGCAGGCGAAGCAGGCGACGCUUCACCUCUGCCAUAAUGACCGCGUCAAAAAAGGUGUGCCACGUCGUUCGAUUUCAUAUCCUUUUCCACUUCCUCUUUCUCUCUCUUGCUACAGGGACCGGGAAAGGGGAUACUCCGAAAGGGAUCCUUCUCCGCGAAGGAAGCGGGCCCCGAGCCCCCCUACUGAUCAGAGGUUCGAAGGCUGGCCCCUUGGAAGGGUUCAACAGCCGCCUCAGAGCACUCGGGCUCCGCGCCCACUACUGGUCAGAGGUUCGAAGGCUGGCCCCUCGGAAGGGUUCAAUGACCGCCUCAGGCCACUCGAGCUCCGCACCCACUACUGAUCAGGGGUUCGUAGGCUGGCCCCCGAAGGGUUUGACAGCCGCCUCAGAGCACGUAGAGCGAGGGAUGACCCUAGGUACGUUCGAUACAGAACCGAGGCUCGGGCUAUGCUCCCGAGGUACCCUAGAACAUUUCCGAGACCGACGGGAACGAUUUCGUAACGGAAUCCCACCAGAGGGAGGCAUCGAGCCCUCGGACCCCGUCAAAAGGGGACCGGGUCCGGCGAAUCACCCGCAGGUACUUUUGGAGCGCGCCUCCGGGCCACUAGCCGACCCCUAAUGAAUGGGGCACGGGCGUCCACUCGGAUUACCCGUUAGCAACUCACUGGAGACACCAUGUUCGGCGCCCUCCGAGGGAAACAUGGCGCUUUCCCCCCUCCUCCUUGCGGAAAGGCGAUGCAUGGGCGUAUGAAAAAAGCUGAGUCUGUCCUUGACCGUCCUCUCGCUCUGUGCGGAGGCUCGGGGGUUGCUCUCGCAAACCCGGCUCCGGCCAAACCGUUGACAGCGUCAACAUACCAGCCCGAGAACUUGGGACUCGACUAUGCACCCGAGCUACGACCAGUUCACAUGAAGGAACAACCAGACCAGCCGAAGCAUCACGAAACGCGCUAAGACUUCGAAGGAGUCAAACCACUCCUCCGAGGCCUUGGGGGCUACACCCGGCGAGUGCGCUCGCGCGCACCCACCGGAACAAAACGCAACCGAGAAAGGCCGGUCCCCUUGCAAAAAAGUGCGACAAAAGCCUCCAAGCGAGUAUCAACACUCCCUUCGAGGCUCGGGGGCUACUGUUGGGGAGCAUAAUUAGGGGUACCCCCAAGACUCCUAAUCUCAGCUGGUAACCCCCAUCAGCACAAAGCUGCAAAGGCCUGAUGGGCGCGAUUAAGGUCAAGGCUCAGUCCACUCAAGGGACACGAUCUCGCCUUGCCCGAGCCCAGCCUCGGGCAAAGGCAGCCGACCCCGAAGGAUUCACGUCUCGCCCGAGGGCCCCCUCAAGCAACGGACACACCUUCGGCUCGCCCGAGGCCCAGUCUUCGCAGAGAAGCAACCUUGGCCAGAUCGCCACGCCAACCGACCGUAUCGCAGGAGCAUUUAAUGCAAGGAUCGCCUGACACCUUAUCCUGACGUGCGCUCUUCAUUCGAUAGAGCCGAAGUGACCGCAGUCACUUCGCCGCUCCACUGACCGAUCUGACAAGAAAACAGUGUCGUCUGCGUCGCUCCGACUGCUGUGCCACUCGACAGAGUGAGGCUGACAGCAGCUAAGUCCAGCCUUGGGCGCCAUAGGAAGCUCCACCUCACGCGACCCCAGGGCUCGGACAUAGCCUCGGCCUCGGAAGACGGUCUCCGCCUCGCCCGACCCUAGGGCUCGGGCUCAACCUCGACGUUGGACGACGGACUCCGCCUCACCCGACCCCAGGGCUCGGACACGGCCUCGGCCUCGGAAGACGGUCUCCGCCUCGCCCGACCCCAGAGCUCGGGCUCAACCUCGACGUUGGACGACGAACUCUGCCUCGCCCGACCCUAGGGCUCAGACACAGCCUUGGCCUCGAAAGAUGGUCUCUGCCUCGCCCGACCCAGGGUUCGGACUCGAACUCGACCUCGGAAGAUGGACUCCGCCUUGCCCGACCCUAGGGCUCAGACUCAGCCUCGACCUCGGAAGACGGACUCGACCUCGACCUCGGAGGAGCCUCCGCCUCGCCCGACCUAGGGCUCGGACCAACCACGUCACUGGGGGCCAUCAUUACCCUACCCUUAGCUAGCUCAGGCUACGGGGAACAAGACCGGCGUCCCAUCUGGCUCGCCCCGGCGAACAAAUAAUGAUGGCGUUCCGCGUGCUCCAUGACGACGGCGGCUCUCAGCCCCUUACGGAAGCAAGGAGACGUCAGCAAGGAUUCGACAGCCCCGACAGCUGUCCUUUCGCAGGGCUCCAUCUCUCCUCCGACGGCCACGACAUCACAUGAGCAGGGUGCCAAAACCUCUCCGACUGCCACGACGACAUGUACUUAGGGCUCUAGCUCCUCUCUGCUAGACACGUUAGCACACUGCUACACCCCCCAUUGUACACCUGGACCCUCUCCUUACGCCUAUAAAAGGAAGGUCCAGGGCUCUCGUACGAGAAGGUUGGCUGCGCGGGAGAACGGGCCGACGCAUAAGGCUCUCGCUCUCUCCCACGCGAACGCUUGUAACCCCCUACUGCAAGCGCAUCCAUCCUCCCUGGGCGCAGGACAACACGAAGGCCACGGUUUUCCCCUUACUGUUCUCCCCCCUUUGUGUCCCGUCUCGUGCCGACCCAUCUGGGCUGGGACACGCAGCGACAAUUUACUCGUCGGUCCAGGGACCCCCCCCCCCCCCCCCCGGGGUCGAAACGCCGACAAAAUUCAAGAUACUUGCAUUGUGGUCAUACAUAUAUUUUUAUCUAUUGUCUUAUUUCAAGUUUAAUCUAUUAAAUAAUUAGAAUUCUAUGUGUCUAGUCAUAAAAAUGUCGGGCGCGGGCAACCCGCGGGUACCCGUUACCCGCACAGGCAUGGGUACAUGCAUAAUUUUGUACCCUACUGCAGGUAUGGGUUUUUAGUGAGCAUGCAUUUUAUUCGCAGGUACAGGUAUGGGUAGACAUUACCCAUCGAAUAUGUGCCCAUUGCCAUCUCUACUUGACAGGGGAUGAAAGCAACCCUAAGAGGACACCACAACGUGGAUGUAGGCAACCAUUUCAGGCUUGGCCGAACUACGGGAAAAUCACAGUGUCUUGCGUGCUUAUCUCUUUAUGAUUUUCUCCUCUUCCUAAGUUCUCCAUAUUGACUUGUAAUAUUGCUCUUAGUUUAAUUUACAUCUUGAAAGAUCAAUCAAGUGAAGAGAACUUUCUUUCUUCUUCUCACCUGUUCUUGAUCUAGUUUUGCGUUAACUCCUAAUUUUAGAUCAAGAAUGUGUUUGGAGUUGUAAUUUUUGCAGGAUCACCUAUUUACCCCCCCCCUCUAGGUGCUCUCAGGAACUAGCUUUGAUUUUAGCACUUUUGCUGCUUUUAUGCUCUGAUUAGUUUUUGACAUUUGGCUAGAGGUGUUGAGCCUCUUUCUGCCUCUUCUUGAGGACUAGUCAUUUUCUCUCUUGGUUGUGUUGAGUCGUUGUCCAUUUCUUUGGGGACCAAGCUUUGCUCACUCUGGUUGACCUUUUUGGUUUUUGCUUGUUUUGGUCAUUUGAGUGAGUCUCCCUUCUUCCUCUUCCUCUUCCUCUUUUCUGUUGAUCUUUGUGUUCGAAUAGUGGUGUUGACAAUGCACACAUUAAGAGGGAGAUUGUGAACACAAGGUUGAUUUGUCCCUUGUGGUUUGGGUUGUGAUGAGUGGUUGUCAAUGAGUAGUGUAUUGGGUUGAGUCGCGUGGACUAACUAGGGCAUGCGUAUGUGUUGUGUAACCAUGUCUCUCGGCUUGUGGUGUGUAGGUGUGUAGCACAUGGACGAUGGUCGACGAUGAAGGUGAAGAUCAUAUGAGUUUGUGCUGAUGAGUCGAGAGUGGUGAAGGAUGAGCGCUAAGUCUUGAUCGAGGGACUGGAGAAGUCGGGUGACUAGCCGUCGUUGCUGACACUUAGGAAACGCACUAGUGCGAGGGUGUGGAGAAGCGGAUCGUGUGGUCGGCAUGAUCAAGGAUUGGUGGGACAUGUGUCCAUGACAUGUGAGACACACAUGCGGUGCGCGGUUGAGCCUCAACCACCUAGUGCUUCAAUUCACCGGUUUUGGCUGGGUUUGGGCCUCAAAACACGGUGGUGCAGUUUCGGUGGGAAUCAGAGGCAGUAAUUUGGUAUAUGGAUUAUUUUUUCAAUUCUUCAAUGUUACAAAGAUUAGUUAUAUAAGCAUAUUGAGGUCCGAAAUUGUUUGCACUAACUAAAGAUUUGUUUGUUGUUCAUUAUUGUACAAGUUUUUUUUACAUGUUUAUCUCCAUAAAAUGUUCUCCUCAUACUAUUUAUUGCUAAAUGCGUGUACAAACUAUAGACCUCAGCCAUGCACGUUACCCCAUAUUCGUUCCUAGUAGGACAAUAGGUCCUUAUUUUGUCAUUCCAGUAAACAGUCACUUAAAAUCAGGGACAAAAAACACUUUAAUAUAGGGGAAGUUUUUAAAAAAUUAGGAUAAAUCUUUUAUAUCAAACAAUUUUACGAAAUGUCUUUAGCUCUACAAAAACUGCUUUUUAGGGGAAAAAACCAGAGCCAGAACUAUUUUUAGACAAACCAGAGCCCUCCUAAAAGACUCUUAAAUUAUACUAUCUCCGAUCUCGAGUAUUUGUCACCCCUAGCUUAUUUUUUAAUGAAAAUGUGACAAAUAAAAAAGAAACAGUGAGAGUACUACCUCCGUUCACAAAUAUAUGACAUCGUUGACUUUUUCGAAAACUUUGACCACUUAUCUUAUUCAAAAUAUUUAUUCAAAAAUGUAAAAUUUUAAGUCAAACACAAACUACCUUAAGUGAUAAAAUAAAUCACAAAUAAAUAAAUAAUAACUUAUUAUUUUUUUGAAUAAGAUAAGUGGUCAAAGUUUUUAAAAAAAGUUAAAGGUGACAUAUAUUUAUGAACGGAUAGAGUACUACAUAAGAUUUAGUGCAAGUUAAUGCUAAUAUAAACAAUGAAGUGUAUCCAUAACAGUGACCAACUCCAAAAUGAAGCAAGAUAAGCUCCAGUAUCCACAAGAUUGUAAGUACUCCCACCGUUUGUAUUUAUUUAUCUUAUUUUAGUUUAAAAAUAAACUAGCAGAUAAUAAAUAUUCAAGAAUAGAAGGAGUAUUGUAUAAAUAGCACGGUCAUCACUCAACGACUUCUCUUUGGUGUUCUUCUGCCUUGGUUUCUAAAUGGCAAUUCGGUUUGCAUAGUUUGGCACUAGUAUAUGGCACCCCACUUAAGGCGGGGCGGGGCCGGGGGAGUGCUCCUUGUCGCUGUAUCAAUCCCCGAAAUCUAAUCCUCGUCUUAGCCUUAAAACGCUUAACGAGGAGGAUUUCAUCCUCAUCCUCGUCCCUGUCGGGGAUCCGAUACCCGCGGGGAACCUAGGGGAUUGAUUGUUUAUUGUAAAUAUUAUGAAUACACACAAAAAUAAGGAUUGUCACGUAGAUAAGUGGUAAUUAAAUAAAAAAAGAUGGUUAAGGGUAGCGAGUGAUGAUUUUGUAUCUUUAUAUGAGGUUAUAACAAGACAAUUUAUUGGAUUCAGCAUUUAUAGACUAUAUAAGGAGAGGGUCUAACUCCUAAUUCGGUCCCCAUCAGGUCCCCGUGGGGGAUUUUUAUCUCUAGCCCCGCUCCGCUCAAUUUCGGGUCCCCGCCCCGCUAUCUCCGUGGGGGAAUUUUCAUCCCCAUCCUCGUCCCGUUCAGGUCGAGUCUCGUGGGUACCCGCCCCACGGUGGAAAUUGCUAUCCUUAGCCCCAGUUCACAUCAACAUGGGUAAAUGAUUAUCCGACGUUGGCUUCUGGAAUUAUUUAGGUCUUGCUCGUUUACACCAAUCCAACUCUAUAUUAGCACGGAUUGGAAUUAAAUCCAUGUCAUAAUCCAUGCCCCAAAAUAAUCUAAGCUCACUCAAAAAAAGUUAUUCGGUUAAACCCAUCAUAACCCAAGGAUUUGAGAUUUUUAUUAACUAUGAAAGGCAUGUAUUCUAUCUAUAACUUAUUAGGUAUGAAACAAAUUCAUGAAGAUAUUGCACAAGUUUAUAUUAGUGUCGGCGUUUCGGACCCGCGAGGACCGUCAACCGACCAGUGAAUUUGUCGCUACGUGUCCCUGCCCAGAUGGGUUGAUGCAAGAUGGAACACAAGCGGGAGGGAUGAGGCUUAUAUUAUUUUGCACCGGGGUGCUCGUAGUAGGGGUUACAAGCGUUGCGAGAGAGCGAGAGCGAGAGAGAGAGGGGGGGUUUGGCCUUGAGGUGAGCUGUCCGAGUUUGCCUCCACCGCGUCUCUCCUACUCUGCCUACCUCUGCUCGCCUGCCUUCGCCCUCCGCCUCCCUUAGGAAGGCCCUGGAUAUCCCCUUUUAUAGAUACAAGGAGAUGCCCAGCUGUACAAUGGGGGUGUAGCUAUGUGCUAUCGUGGCUGGCGGAGAAGUGCCUUGAGCCCUGUACACGUGCUAAUGUGGCCGUCGGUGAAGUGCUUGAGCCUCGUAGAAGCGUAGCUGACGGUGCGGCCCAGGGUCCUGCUAACGUUUCCUUGCUUCUGUAAGGAGCUGAGAGCCAUCGACGUCAUGGCCGCACGCGGGAACCAUCAUUACCUGCUAUCGGAGUACUUUGAUGUGACUCCGGUCUUGUUCCUUCGUAGCAAGGGGUGGCUAGCUAGCGGUAGGGUAAUGAUGUAUCCCCUAAAGCGUAGUCGGUCCAAGGCCGAGGUCGGGCGAGGCGGAGACUUCUCCUGAGGCUGAGGCCGAGAUCGGGCGAGGAUGUGACUCCUCCCGAGGCCGAGGCUGAGGCCGAGGCCUGGGGUCGGGCGAGGCGGAGACCUUCUCCUAAGGCCGAGGCUGAGGACGAGGCCUGAGGUCGAGCGAAGCGGAGCUCCUUGUUGUGCCCGAGGCUGAACUCGGGGGAGGUCGUGACUCAGCUCUACCCUGGUGGUUGGCACAGUAGUCGGAACGGGGUGAAUAGUGUUGUUUUCCUGUCAGAACGGUCAGUAAAGGGGCAAAGUGACUGCAGUCACUUCGACCUUGUCGACUGAGGCGCGUGUGUCAGGGUAAGGUGUCAGGCGAUCUCCGCAUUAAAUGUGCAUGCGAUACGGUCGGUUGGUAAGGCGAUUUGGCCGAGGUCGCCGCACGACAAAGUUUGCCCAAGCUAGGCUUCGGGCGAGCCGAGGGUGCGCCCACUGCCUGAGGGGACCCUCGGGUGAGGCGUGAAUUCGUCCGGGACUACUGUUCUCGCCCGAGGCCGGGCUCGGGCGAGGCGAGGUCGUGUCCCUUGGUAGACGAGGCCCUAACUUGAACCGUGCUUAUCAGUCGUUUAUGGUUUGUUCUGAAGAUGUUUUUCAGUCGUGUUUAGGAGCAUUGGGGGUACCCCUAAUUACGGUCCCCGACAGUAGCCCUCGAGCCUCGAAGGGAGUGUAGGUACUCGCUUGGAGGUUCUGCCGGAGUUUUGCAAGGGGACCAGCCCUUCUCGGUUAUAUUUUGUUCCGAUGGGUGCGCGCGAGCGCACCCAUCGGGUGUUGCCCCCGAGGCCUCGGAGGAGUGGUUUGACUCCUCUAAGGUCUUAAUUCUUUUUGUGAUGCCUCGGUCAGCCUUGUUGUUCCCUCAUGCGGCCUGGCCGUAGCCCGGGUGCACGGCCAGGCUCCGAGUUUUUAAGCUGGUUUGUUGACGUGGUCAACAGUUUGGCCGUAGCCUGGUGCGAGAGCAGCCCCUGAGCCUCUGCACGGAGCGAGAGGACGAUCAAGGACCAUCUCGACUUUUAUUGUACGCCCCUUCGUCGCCUCUCCGCAAGGAGGAAGGGGGGAAAGCGCCAUGUUACCCUCGGAGGGCACCGAACAUGGUGCUUCCAGUGAGUUGCUAACGGAUGAUCCGAGUGGACGCCCGAGCCCCGUUCGAUAAGGGUCGGCUAGUGGCCCAGAGGCGCGCUCCAAAAGUACCUGCAGGUGAUUUGCUGGACCCGGACCCAUUCGAUAGGGUUCAAGAGCUCGGUGCCUCCCUCCGGUGGGAUUCCAUUGCAAAUCGUUCCCGCUGGUCUCGGAAAUGUCCUAGGUUACCUCGGGAGCAUAGCCCGAGCCUCGGCCAUGUAACGGACGUACCCAGGGUCAUCCCUGACUCUACGUGCUCUGGGGCGGCUGUCGAACCCUUCCGAGGGGCCAGCCUUCGAGCCCCUGAUCAGUAAAGGGCUCGGAGCCCGAGUGCUCUGGGGCGGUUGCCGAACCUCGCAGGGCGCAACCUUCGAACCCCUGAUUAGUAGGAGGGCUCGGGCCCCGUUUCCUUCGCUGAGAAGGAUCCUUUUCGAAAUAUCCCCUUUCACGGUCCCUGUGGCAAGAGAGAGAGGAAAAGGAAAAGGAUAUAAAUUUAAAUAAUGUGGCACACCUUUUUUGACGCGGUCAUCAUGACGGAGGUGAAACGUCGCCCGCUUCGCCUGCCAGAGGUGUCGUUUGCCCUGCCAAGGAGUUAAUGCGACGGAACGGGCGAUUCGUGGGGCGUCUGUUGCGCGUGCGCGAGUUGUUCGAAGAACAAAAAAACCGUUUCACCUUCGAGUUUGAAUUUCGCGACGGGUUUGGGCGAAGUUUUGGGUGGAUCUCGCCCGGGCCUUUAUAUACCCGGAAGAGGGGUCGGUGGUGGUUCUUUACCCUGCCAUUUGCGCUUGCCUUCUGCUUUGGUUUCCGCAACCUAAGAGAAUAGCCAGAGAAGAGAAAACCACGCACCUCAUCCCCUCCGCCUCCACCACCUCCGUUCGGCGAUGGCUAACAAGGUGACCGUCGUUCCGCUGUGCGACCCGUGGCCUUUCUCCACCGUUGCUGUGGAGGAUCUGGAGGCCCUUGUUACCGAUGGUUUGCUCCGUCCUCUCUCCGGCGGGCCACAGCCGGAGUGGAUGGCCCCCGGGAGCGAGGCCGACCCGACUCCGCCGCCGGGGUACGUGGUCAGUUUCAUCCCUUUCCAUGAGCGGGGGUUUGGAGUGCCAGCGAGCCGCUUCAUGCGGGCGCUCCUGCACUACUACGGGGUGGAGCUGCAUAACUUCAACCCCAACUCCAUUGUGCAAGCGGCCAUCUCCGCGGCGGUUUGCGAGGGUUUUUUGGGGAUUGACCCUCACUGGGACCUGUGGACCCAUCUCUUCUCCGCGGAGUUCUUUGUCGCGUCGACGGACGCGAAGAAGGUCCGUAUGGCAGCGUGGGCCGGUGGCUGCACCCUCCAGCUGAUGCCGGGGCGCGCAUAGCAGUAAAUCCCUGCCUCCCUUGUGUCUUCGAACAAGGGGUGGCAGAACCGGUGGUUUUAUCUCCGGAACGAUGUGUAACGCCCUGAAUUUGGGGUAGAAUUUUUUCUUCUUUUCCCUCACCAAAUUCGGGCGUUACCCUUUCCUUUUCCCUUUUCUCCUCGCUAAACCUUGAUCUUUUCCAAAGUUAUAGCGGGAUUCGGCCUGAGAUCCCAUGUAAAGCAAAACCCUAAAAUAUUUUAUUUUGCUUGAUGCACCAUGCCGAACCAUGCAUUCUUUUAGAUUGUUUGAAAACGUAAAUGCAUUCAUCUAGGAAAUAGAUAUUAAAAAAAAGGGAAAAAUCCUUUCCUCUCUCCCCUCCCCCCUCCUUCCCCAUUUUUUGACCCAGCCCCCCCCCCCCCGCGCGGCCCAGCCGCGCCCCCUCCCCUGCGGGCCCCGCCCGUCAUUCUCUCCCCUGCCCUAACCGUGCCUCCCCUCCCCCUGCGCGCCGCCGCUGCCCUGCCCUACGCGGUAAGCCCCCCUCCUCCCUCCCUCUCCCCGGCCAUGGCGCCCCCGUCCCUGCCCCGCCUCGGCCCCGCCGCCGCGCCCGGCCCCGGCCAUGGCGCCCGCCCCGGUCGCCCCGACCCCGGCUGCGCCGCCCCGACCCCGCCCGUGCCUCGCCUCGCCCGUGCUCCGUGCUCGCCCACCUGCCCCGGCGUGCCCUGCUCACGUCGUGACGGCCCCGGCGCGGACUUGAGCUCGGCCAGCGCGCGGCCCCGAUGUGCGCACAGCUAGUUCGCGGUGCAUGCGUGCGGCCUUGCGCGCGUGCUCGCGUAAUGCGCAGUGCCUUGGCACGACUCGUCGUGCCCUCGUCUACCCAUGGACGUGCCCGUCUACCCCCCUAUAUUUUAUGCGUUAGAAAUUGGUUACGUUAGUUAAUUUAUAUAGCUAAUCGUCUAUCUCAUUUAAUGUUAAUCUACUAAAAGUGGUCACGUUUCUAUUAGUGCAUGUAGCUAAUCCUUAUUAUUGGAGCUAAGUAGAACUAGAGCACGUAACGUUUAGUUAUUCGUCUACCCGUAGUGCGCCUCGAGCAUUAGCUUUAACCCCUGCGAGACCUUUCCCCGUUUCUUUCUAACCACGGUAAAUGCAAUAUCGCAUGUCAUAUGCUAUGCAUGUUUAAUCUACUUGUUCUCUUGUAUGGUGUACUGUUGGUUUCCUAAUUUCAAUGGAUGGAUGUAUGUAUGUUUGCAAUCGCAUAGAGAACGAUCUGGUUGAAGAGCCCGAAGAACUCGCAGGAGAAGCCCCUGAGCAGCAGUCGGUUGGUGGAGGCAAGUGUCCCUUGACCUAUCUCUGUCCUAUACAUUCUUUAAUUCACCUCCCGCAUUACACAUUUAUACCUAAGGAUUGACUAGCUUUUUGUUAUCCAUGUCCUUGUUUACCUAUUUGGGUUGGAUUAUUAUUGUUUAGCUUUAUGCUAUUGCUCAACUAUAAUCAAUGAACAUGAUGAGAUUAUCUAUGAUACGUUGUUUUCCCUCUUCUUAUUAUGAUGUUCUACUUGUGGCCUUUAAGGGGGCUCGAGCGGUUUCUCGAGUGCCUCUCCGUAAGGACCUGUUCUUUGGAUGACCGCCCAGGAAAACAGUGCAACCAUGAGGGUGGAAUGGGAUGCCCUUAGCUGAAUAAUUAGAGGAUCUGGGGUGUAGUUCGCUUAGCCGUCGUGUCGUCAAUGGGGCUCGGUGUAUGCGGCUCGCUCUGCCAAGCUCGGGUUCGCCCCUUGGGGAGGAGUGCGGUGCAUUUAGGAAACCUAACGGGCGGCUACAGCCCCGGGGAAUCUUUGUAAAGGCUACGUAGUGAUGCCCCGCUGGGUCACCUUGGUAGUGAUCAAUGGAGAGUUAUGAUCUCCGGGCAGAAAGGGAAUCAUGGCUUGUGGGUAAAGUGCACAACCUCUGCAGAGUGUUUGAAAAACUGAUAUAGCAGCCGUGCUCGCGGUUAUGAGCGGCCAAGGGAGCUCCAGUGAUUAGUGGUACUUGAUCAGAGACAUCUUGGUUUACAGGUGGCAAUGAGAUUGAUGGUUCUGGUUAUGACUAUAGUGCUGGUAAGUGGUAUUCUUUCCGUUUGGAAAGGGUACAUCGGGCUAAUAACUUGGUUUAAUACUAAAACCUGGCUUUCUACUAGAAAAUAAUAAUCUGACCAACUAAAAGCAACUGCCUGACUUAUCCCCACAUAAAGCUAGUCCACUACAGCCAAACAGGAUACUUGCUGAGUAUGUUGAUGUGUACUCACCCUUGCUCUACACACCAAACCCCCCCAUCCCCAGGUUGUCAGCAUUGCAACCACUGCUCAGGAGAAGAUGAAGCCGUGGAAGGAGACUUCCAGGAGUUCCAAGAUUACGAUGAGUUCUAGGCAUGGGUUAGCGGCAACCCCCAGUCGGCUGCCAGUGAAGGCCGCGUUUAUCUAUGUUUCGUUUUCGCACUUUGAUUUACUGUAAAGACUAUGUGGAUGUCUUGGACAUCAUGAUGUAAUCGACUAUUUCCCUUUUUAAUACUAUUUGAGCACUGUGUGAUGAUGUCCAUGUUAUGUAACUGCUGUGUACGUGAAUUGCUGAUCCUGGCACGUACAUGGUUCGCAUUCGGUUUGCCUUCUAAAACCGGGUGUGACAUAGGUGGUAUCAAAGCCGUGCUGACUGUAGGACUGCUAACCUAGAGUAGAUUGGUCGUUCUAAGGAUUAUAGACCUCUGUCCCUGCCUUGACUUUGAUAUCCCUUCAAAAGUUGGUCAUAUUGACCAAACCUAUGUUCUACUAUAUAUUAUACCUUGCUGAAAAUUAUGUUUUUAUUUUAAUCCUUCAUUUAUUUAAGAUUCAUUACUUGCUGGUCAUAUUAAUUCUGUUCUCACUCUUUUGCUUGCGGUGUCUUUUGUAGAUGGCUCGUCUUAGACACACUGCACGAAAGUCCAUCAUCCCCUUCUUACCCUUCCGCCUUGCUGAGCGUCCGCUUCGCCGUCCCGUGGCCGGUCAGUCCAGUCACUUGGAGAGGCUGCACCACCACCUGCAUGAGGAGUAGGAACGUCGACGACAGGAGCAGCAGGGCUCUUCUUUCUCGCUCCAACAGGAGAUAGAGUCCGUGAGGAGCUGCUCCCCUGUGCUUCCCCUGGAGGCGCCCCCUGCACCACCACUGGGCGCCCCAGCCUAUGGAGUAGCUGAUGGAGGAGACCCAGACGACGGAGGUGGCGACGACAGCUCGAGCCACGACACCGACUUCUCUGCUGACCAAGAGCCGGAAGGAUGGGUUGCUCGACCCAUCACUCGCGACGCUGCUCGCGGGUGUCACUUCCAUGAUGCGCUCGACACCCUGCUACGUCGGGCACUUAACCAGCGUACUUGGUCCAUCGAGUAUUGCUGUGUGGUCUACCAGCAUAGUCGCGGAGUUUACCCGGACCGCUGGGAGGCGACCUGCUUGGUGCGCCGUCCGGAGAACAGUCUCCAGGGUGCUGAGGUCUGCUCAGAGCACUAUUCCAUCUCUGAGCGGGACUCAGCCGAGGCGGCCAUGCAAGAUGCUGCACAGCGUGCGCUUUCGCACUACUGCUCGGUUCUCGGUGGGGUAGCUGACGGUCUCAACCUGAAGUAUUACCCCCACCGUCCAUCUGGCAGCACAGGAGGCGUGAUUGUCUCACCUGUUGGUGAGGACAAUCCUAGGUUGAGCAGCACAGUCAACCUAGCCGUCGUGCUAAACACGGAGCUAGACCAUACACUGAACGAGCUGAGUAGGGCUCGUGCUGAGAUUGCCCUGCUGCGGGCUGAGCGCGCGGAACGUCGUCACCUAGAUGAUGGUUCCCCCGCUCCCGUUGGGACUCAGCACCUGUACCGCUCACCUCGGCGUGGACGCCAGUCUUAUGGCAAUCCCGACUGCAAGACCAAGAUAAAUCUAGAACCAUAGAUCGCUAGAGUCGGAUCUUGUAAUUAAUACAAAAUAUAUACGUAGAAGCUACAGUCUUAGCGUUAGUCUCGCUCUUAGUUAGUCUUAGUUAGACAGGGUAGUUUGCUAUAUCCUAUGCAUUUAUGUUUGUCAUGAUGAACUAUGUUUGGUUUGGAUCUUUGUAAUGACUGUCACCAGAGUGUGGAUAUCCCCUGCAUUUUGGUUUACCUAUUAUAUUAAUGGAGUUAGUUAUCUAGUUGGGAAACCUUUUAUUCCACUUUCCUCUAUAUCUGAGAAGCUGUGUUGGUCUGUGUUGGAGAUCAGUGAAGAUGCUCAUCUGUUGAGGGUUGUGGAGAAUUCUAUACUCUUUUCUUAUGCUGCAAGAUUUGCAAGAUCAGUUAUGAUGUGUGAUUACAUUCUGCAGAUGUCAGAGAACAGGCGCAGAGGAGGAAGGCGUGCUCAGCAGGAGCAAGCCGCUCAACAGGAAGAGGUGCCUCAGCAACAACAACUGCCGCCCCUGCCCCCGAUGUCCAUCGAGCAGAUGUUUCUGAUGCAGACUCAGGCAGUCCAAGCCAUCGGUCAGACUCUGGCCACCAUUCAGCAGCAGCAGCAGCAGGCACCACCUCAGCCUCAGAUGCCCAGGGAUAAGCGUGCUGAAUUCAUGAGAGGUCAUCCCCCAACGUUUGCUCAUUCUUCUGACCCCAUGGAUGCUGAAGACUGACUGCGCACUAUGGAGCGGGAGUUGCAUACCGCUCAGUGUGACGACAGAGAAAAAGUCCUGUAUGGUCCCCGUCUGUUGAGAGGAGUAGCUCAGUCAUGGUGGGAGUCUUAUCUCGCCACCCAUGCCAACCCCGACACCAUCACCUGGGAAGAGUUCAGAGGUAGCUUUCGUCAGUACCAUGUUUCUGCAGGUCUGAUGACAGUGAAGAAGGAGGAGUUCUUGGCCCUCAAGCAAGGGUCAUCGUCUGUCAGUGAGUACCGAGACAGGUUUCUGCAGUUGUCUCGCUAUGCUCUUGAAGAUGUCAACACCGACGCCAAGCGACAGUACCGUUUCCUGAGAGGCUUGGUUGAUCCUCUGCAGUAUCAACUGAUGAAUCAUACCUUCUCGACAUUCCAGCACUUGAUUGACAGGGCAAUCAUGACAGAGAGGAAGCGUAAGGAGAUGGAGGAUCGCAAGCGCAAGAUCAGUGGACCCCAGCCUGGAAGCAGCAUUCGUCCUCGUUUCUCAGGCAAUCAAUCUCAGCAGUUCAGGCAGAACCAGCGUCCACCUCAGCAGCAUCAGCAGUUCCAAAGGCAGUAUCCUCAGCACCAGUAUCAGAAUCGUCAGAACAACCAGUCAAGAGGAGGCCAGUUUCAGAGGCAGAAUCAGCAGACACUUCGUCUUCCUGCCCUAGCAGCCCAGCAGAACAGUCAGGCAGCACCAGCUCAGGUUGGAAAUAGAGCAUGUUUCCACUGUGGAGAGCAAGGCCACUGGGUGAUGCAAUGUCCGAAGAAGACGGCCCAGCAGUAGUCAGGCCCCAAUGCCCCAGCAAAGCAGAAUGUGUCUCAGCCAGGAGCAGGCAACCGCUCUCAGCCACGCUAUAAUCAUGGAAGACUGAAUCACUUGGAGGCUGAAGCAAUUCAGGAGACCCCCGACAUGAUAGUAGGUAUGUUCCCAGUCGACUCCCAUAUUGCAGAAGUGUUAUUUGAUGCUGGAGCAACACAUUCUUUCAUUACUGCAUCAUGGGUAGAAGCACAUAAUCUUCCAAUUACUACCAUGUCAACCCCCAUUCAAAUUGACUCAGCCGGUGGUAGAAUUCGAGCCAAUAGCAUUUGUUUGAAUGUAUGUGUGGAAAUAAGGGGGAUAGCGUUUCCCGCCAACCUCAUAGUAAUGGGUACUCAGGGAAUAGAUGUCAUCCUAGGGAUGAAUUGGCUAGAUAAGUAUCAGGCAGUUAUCAGUUGUGAUAAGAGGACAAUCAAGUUGGUGUCCCCACUAGGAGACGAAGUGGUGACCGAGUUAGUCCCGCCUGAGCCAAAGAAAGGAAGUUGUUAUCAGAUGGUUGUCGAUAGCAGUGAAGCAGACCCAAUUGAGAGCAUCAAGAUUGUGUCUGAGUUUCCAGAUGUGUUUCCAAAGGACUUACCAGGUAUGCCACCAGAGCGGAAAGUUGAAUUUGCUAUAGAGCUUCUUCCUGGAACCGCCCCCAUCUUUAAGAGAGCUUUCAGAAUAUCCGUACCAGAGUUGGUUGAACUUAAGAAGCCGAUUGAUGAGCUAUCAGAGAAAGGUUACAUUCGGCCAAGCACCUCGCCUUGGGCCGCCCCUGUCCUAUUUGUGGAAAAGAAAGAUGGCACCAAAAGGAUGUGUAUCGAUUAUCGAGCUCUGAAUGAAGUCACGAUCAAGAACAAGUACCCUUUGCCCAGAAUAGAAGAUCUGUUCGACCAGUUGAGAGGAGCCAGUGUGUUCUCCAAGAUUGAUCUGAGGUCAGGUUAUCAUCAGCUCAGGAUCCGACCUUCGGACAUUCCGAAGACGGCAUUCAUUACCAAGUAUGGUUUGUAUGAGUUCACUGUGAUGUCUUUUGGUUUAACCAAUGCACCAGCCUUCUUCAUGAAUCUGAUGAACAGCGUAUUCAUGGAUUAUCUUGACAAGUUUGUGGUGGUAUUCAUUGAUGACAUCCUGAUAUACUCUCAAAGCGAAGAAGAGCAUGCAAGUCAUUUGAGGAUGGUAUUGCAGAGAUUGCGAGAGCACUAGUUGUAUGCAAAAUUGAGCAAGUGUGAGUUCUGGAUCAGUGAAGUCCUGUUCUUGGGUCACAUAAUCAACAAAGAAGGAUUGGCUGUGGAUCCGAAGAAAGUGGCAGACAUUCUAAACUGGAAAGCGCCAACAGAUGCUCAAGGAAUCAAGAGUUUCAUUGGAAUGGCCGGAUAUUAUCGGUGAUUCAUUGAAGGGUUUUCGAAGAUUGCAAAACCAAUGACAGCGUUGCUAGGCAACAAAGUUGAGUUUAAGUGGACCCGGAAAUGUCAAGAGGCCUUUGAAGCGCUGAAAGAAAAGUUGACUACAACGCCCAUCUUAGUCUUGCCUGAUGUGCACAAGCCCUUCUCGGUGUAUUGCGAUGCUUGUUACACUGGUUUGGGAUGCGUGUUGAUGCAAGAGGGAAGAGUUGUGGCUUACUCGUCCCGACAGCUGAAAGUUCAUGAGAAGAAUUACCCAAUCCAUGACCUAGAGUUGGCAGCAGUGGUUCACGCACUGAAGACAUGGAGGCACUACCUGUAUGGACAGAAAUGUGAUGUUUACAUAGACCACAAGAGUCUGAAGUACAUAUUCACUUAGUCAGAGUUGAAUAUGAGGCAACGAAGAUGGUUAGAGUUAAUCAAAGACUAUGAGUUGGAGAUUCACUACCAUCCAGGUAAAGCGAACGUAGUGGCAGAUGCGUUGAGCAGGAAGAGUCAGAUCAAUCUGAUGGUCGCUCGUCCGAUGCCUUAUGAGUUGGCCAAGGAGUUCGACAGGUUGAGUCUCGGAUUUCUUAACAACACGCGUGGAGUCACAGUUGAGUUGGAACCUACCCUAGAGUGGGAAAUCAAAGAAGCGCAGAAGAACGAUGAGAAGAUCAGUGAGAUCCGGCGACUGAUUCUAGACGGCAGAGGCAAAGACUUUCGAGAAGAUGCAGAAGGUGUGAUAUGGUUCAAAGACCGCCUAUGUGUUCCCAAUGUCCAGUCUAUUCGGGAGUUGAUCCUCAAGGAAGCUCAUGAGACAGCUUAUUCGAUUCACCCCGGAAGUGAGAAGAUGUAUCAGGAUCUGAAGAAGAAAUUCUGGUGGUACGGAAUGAAGAGGGAAAUCGCAGAGCAUGUGGCUAUGUGCGAUAGUUGUCGAAGGAUCAAGGCAGAGCACCAGAGACCAGCUGGAUUGUUGCAGCCGUUGCAAAUCCCUCAGUGGAAAUGGGAUGAAAUCGGUAUGGAUUUCAUAGUCGGAUUGCCUCGCAUUCGAGCCGGCUACGAUUCUAUUUGGGUAGUGGUGGACCGCUUGACCAAGUCAGCCCACUUCAUACCUGUCAAGACCAAUUACAGCAGUGCAGUAUUGGCAGAGCUGUAUAUGUCUCGGAUCGUCUGUCUUCACGGUGUGCCAAAGAAGAUAGUGUCAGACCGAGGAACGCAGUUCACCUCUCAUUUCUGGCAGCAAUUGCAUGAAGCCUUGGGCACACAUCUGAAUUUCAGUUCAGCGUAUCAUCCGCAGACAGAUGGUCAGACUGAAAGGACCAAUCAAAUUCUUGAAGACAUGUUGAGAGCCUGUGCGUUGCCAGAUCAGUCCGGAUGGGACAAGAGAUUGCCUUAUGCAGAGUUUUCCUAUAACAACAGUUACCAGGCCAGUUUGAAGAUGUCACCAUUUCAGGCGCUUUAUGGAAGGAGUUGUAGAACUCCGUUGCAAUGGGAUCAGCCUGGAGAAAAGCAAGUGUUCGGGCCAGACAUUCUGCUUGAAGCCGAAGAGAACAUCAAGAUGGUCCGAGAGAAUCUGAAGAUAGCGCAAUCAAGGCAGCGAAGUUAUGCAGACACAAGGAGAAGAGAGCUGAGUUUCGAAGUCGGAGACUUUGUCUAUCUGAAAGUGUCACCGAUCAGUGGAGUCAGAAGGUUCGGAGUCAAAGGCAAGCUAGCACCCCGCUACAUCGGUCCGUAUCAGAUUCUCGCAAGGCGUGGAGAAGUGGCCUACCAGCUCAGUCUGCCAGAGAAUUUGUCUGCUGUGAUGAUGUCUUUCAUGUGUCUCAGUUGAAGAAGUGCUUGCGUGUGCCGGAAGAGCAGUUGCCAGUGGAAGGUCUUGAAGUCCAGGAGGACUUGACCUACACAGAGAAACCAGCGCAAAUCCUUGAGAUUGCAGACAUAGUCACCCGAAGGAAGACCAUCAGAAUGUGCAAAGUCAAAUGGGAUCACCACUCUGAGGAAGAAGCAACCUGGGAGUGUGAAGAUGAUCUGAUGGCUAAAUACCCAGAGCUCUUUGCUAGCCAACCCUGAAUCUCGAGGGCGAGAUUCUUCUAAGAGGGAUAGGUUUUGUAACGCCCUGAAUUUGGGGGUAGAAUUUUUUCUUCUUUUCCCUCACCAAAUUCGGGCGUUACCCUUUCAUUUUCCCUUUUCUCCUCGCUAAACCUUGAUCUUUUCCAAAGUUAUAGCGAGAUUCGGCCUGAGAUCCCAUGUAAAGCAAAACCCUAAAAUAUUUUAUUUUGCUUGAUGCACCAUGCCGAACCAUGCAUUCUUUUUGAUUGUUUGAAAACGUAAAUGCAUUCAUCUAGAAAAUAGAUAUAAAAAAAGGGAAAAUCCUUUCCUCUCUCCCCUCCCCCCUCCUUCCCCAUUUUUUGGCCCAGCCCCCCCCCCGGCGCCCCCACUUUGGGCCCAAAGCAGCCCAGCCGCGCCCCCCUCCCCCCCAAAAUUUCUCUCCCCUCCCCUGCGGGCCCCGCCCGUCAUUCUCUCCCUGCCCUAACCGCGCCUCCCCUCCCCCUGCGCGCCGCCGCCGCCCUCCCCUGCGCGGUAAGCCCCCCUCCCUCUCCUCUCCCCCUCCCUCCCUCUCCCCGGCCAUGGCGCCCUUGUCCCGGCCCCGUCCAUGGCGCCCGCCCCGGUCGCCCCGGCCCCGGCUGCGCCGCCCCGACCCCGCCCGUGCUCCGUGCUCGCCGGCCCGCCCCGGCCCGCUCGAGCAUAAGCUUUAACCCCUGCGAGACCUUUCCCCGUUUCUUUCUAACCAUGGUAAAUGCAAUAUCGCAUGUCAUAUGCUAUGCAUGUUUAAUCUACUUGUUCUCUUGUAUGGUGUACUGUUGGUUUCCUAAUUUCAAUGGAUGGAUGUAUGUAUGUUUGCAAUCGCAUAGAGAACGAUCUGGUUGAAGAGCCCAAAGAACUCGCAGGAGAAGCCCCUGAGCAGCAGUCGGUUGGUGGAGGCAAGUGUCCCUUGACCUAUCUCUGUCCUAUACAUUCUUUAAUUCACCUCCCGCAUUACACAUUUAUUGUGGCGGAACCGCCCGAAUUAUUCCAGCUUAAGUGCCCAAGUCGCACCCUUAAGGGCAGCAACACACUUAAACAGGAAUAACCCGUCAGUCCCUCGGAUCUAGUCCGAUAAAGCCACUUACCAGGAUCGAAUACCACUAGCUCACACGAAGGUGAGGCACAGAGAAAUACAAUAAAGCAUAAUACCACAAAUUUAAUAAGUAUCCAUAGUGAUUACAUUAUCGGAGUUUCAGAAAUAAUAACCAUAAAUUUUAUUGCAGCGGAAUAACUAAAAGAGAAGAACCGAGUGACAUGGCGAAGCCUGGCCACGCUACUCCUCCUGGUCCCCUCCUGCGGAAGCAAUAACCCUCUCAACCAUCUAUCCCGGUGGCAGGGAUGAAGGCCAAGUCACACCAGCCACAAAUCAUCCUAAGGAGUACCUGCAAAAAUUGUGCCACAAGCAAGGCUGAGUAUACUAAUACUCAGCUAGACUUACCCGGUGUGAGGAGUCUACUCCUCUACCUCUAGACAUGCAGCUAUUUGGCUGUGGGGUUUGGUUGCCAAAAGCACUAGCUGAGUUUCUAAAUCAAGAUUUUAACUUAAUCAAAGUUAAGUGUGACUCUCUUAAGGCUAAAAGUGGACUAUCUACUCAUACAUGGUAGCAAGCAUCAUUAACAGUCAACAUCUUAUCUCAACUCAUCAUACUUCCACUUAUUACUCAAUGCAGUACAAUGGAUCAAGCAGUCUCAUUAGCUGCGAGAAGCAGACGAUUCGAAUCGAGUUUUAUCCUUGCAAGGUAAACCUAAACACACGACAUGCAGGGGCACUCCGUCCCCACACACAUCAACCGUCCCCAUCGAUUCCCUGGCAACAGAUCAGGGCUCACCGCCUUGGCGUACAAUGCCCCACUGACCCCGACUGGCCGUCGUGCAGUGACCGCACUUGUACCCACCAUAACCGGAAUGGGAGACCUCGUCUCAGGUCGCGUGAGGGGAUAUGUCUGCGGGCAGGUUCACUCAGGUACUAGGCUUACCGAUUUACCAUAUUUCUCGGUAUGUGUUUAGUAUGUUCAAACGCUUGACACAGGUAUCCGCACGUUAAUCCUUAUUCCAUUUUCCAUCUCGGGAACAACCAAUCCCCAUGGAUUGUUGUCCACCAACUAGUAUCAUGACAGUGUGAAAGUGGGUACAAUCAAUUUCCUGACCUCGCGCGAGUGCUAGAAAAAUCACUCGACUUCUACCGAGAUCCCUAAUUAGCAAAGCAACUACUCGACCUAGCAUACUAGUAUCCAUCUCAAAAGGAAUCCUGAGUUCAUGCAACUAGGGUUUCAGUCAACUCCUACACUUAAGUGCACAGUACAAGCCUACAAACAUUAAGUGUAGUAAAAUAGCAUAUAAUAACGGUUAUGCAUAAACCGGGGCUUGCCUUUAAUUUUUAACACUUAGAUAGUGUUUGCUGGGGGAGGUACUCGCUUGGCGAGCAUCCACUGGGUAAGUCCACCAUUCUUUAGGUCGUCCACCAACUGCAUCUUUUGGUUGGCACCACAUCACUUGCACGAUCGUCAUCUCUCGGUCCUAAAUGAGAUGCAGGAUGCAUAUGUAUGAAUAUGAUGAAAUAUGUCACAAGAUAAUCCCAACAUGGAUGGUAGCGAACUAAACAUUAAAUUGUAAGACACCACGACAACCGUACGCAAGCGCUAGUUAUCUAUACGUCAUCGGGCAUACGUAGUCAAUCAUCACUGAAAAACAACAAACACUUCCUAUAAUUAUCUAUUGCAAACAUGACAUCAUAAGUACAAGCAUUCGCCACGUUCACUUUUAUCAUUCAUUAGUUACUUAUUAUUAAACUAGUUAAGUACGCAUAAAUUUACGAUGACUUACACAUAGACAGACUUAGUUAAAAAAAAGGAAUAGUUGCUUAAUCGGGUUUUACAAUCAUUCACAACCUUCUACUGCAAGCAUACACCCCAGAGAACACACAUGAGGAGAUAGUUUAUUCACAAUUACAAAUUGUACUACUUUAAUGAUGUUGGUUAUUUAGUAGUAUUAGCAGAAAGUCAAAGACAUGACAUUAUUCAUUUUGUUUCCCUAAUAUAUAACUGCACUUGCUAACUGUUGAUUAAGCUAAGCUACUUAUUAGACCUUAACCAAUUUGGUUCGCUAACUUAGUGAGAUGUGUACUACUUACUUAUAUAUAACCUCAAUUAUAUUAGUCACUAUCAUUAUUACUCAUGUUCAAUUAAAACCCAAAACAAGCAAGCAGUCAACUCAAGACAGCUACAACAGAGUAGAGCAAUCAAUCACAUUCAAUAUGUUUGUGACAGCAGCACACCAGCUGAUUGUUUCAGUUAUAACAUACAAGACAUUCAUCCAAAAAUAGUGAUCAAAUACUUUUUGGAAGGUUUAAGGAAUUCUCUACAACUUUGGUACUGUUAUAUCUAUUUGAUUAGAAACUUAACAACGUUAAAUCGUGACAAACGAUAGCUCUGUUCAGCUUUAGACAGAUUCAGACUUGCGACUUCAAAAAUUUAUAACUAGAGACUCAGGCACUCAAAUCAAUUGAUCCUAGAUUUUCUGGAAAGAUAAUUAAACAUUCUACAAAUUAUUUAUAAACAUCUUAGGUUGAUUUAAAGUGUAUCAAGAGUAAAAGACACUAGAAGGCUUUGCUGUCCAGAUUUGGAAAGAUUCAGACUUCACACUUCAAACAUCUACAACUUAAUCUUUAGAUCAUCAAAAAGAGUGAUUCAAGACUUUUUGAAAAGCUCAUCAAAAGCACUACACAACUUUUAUAAUUACCAAGAAGCGAUUCUAUCGUUAACCAAGUCAAACAAUUCAGUUUUCGAAAUAUGUUCUGACAGUGGACAGAACACAACAACCAUUUUGUAAAAUUCAUAACUUCUAAACUAUCAGGCCUAUGGUUAUGAAAUUUUAACACAAGCAAGAUAAGAAAAGCAUAUACAACUUUCUUAUAACGACCAUGAAUAGAUUGUAACACUAAGUUAGGAAAACAAUGCAGUUUCUGAAAUCUGUACAGAAUUUGGACAGAUUCAGUUACUGAAUUUGUAAAAGGCAUAACUUCUAAACGAUUAGACUUAUGGCUGUCAAAUUUUAACACCAGCAAGGUAAGAAGGUUAUCUCCAACUCUUCUAUAUGACUUUUCUACAGAAAACAUAAUUUAGUUUAUUAAACAAACAUCACAACGAAAACAGUGUGUGCAGUACAACACAGCAACUAGUAAAAUUCAGCUUCUAUACCAUUCAAGAAUUGUCGCGUUCUAGAGACUUGAAUUAUUUUAACACUUUGCUAUUUGUUGGAGUUGAAACAAUCAAAUUAGGACCAACAGUAAACUUACUAACUUUUUAUCCAAGUUAUUUCGUGCGCUAGGAUUACCACAUAAUUAACAAACACGUUCACCAAAUAAAGCAUUUCGGCACACAUGUCCGACAUCACACAAAACCACGAUGAAGCACUACUAAUAUUUAGCUUUAGACCAUCAUGACACAACCACUUAACCUCUAAUUGGUUUUAAGGUAUAACUCAAGCCUUUCAUGAAUAUGCAUGAUUUUGUUUACUCCAAAUUUUCACUAAGUCUUUUAAUUAUAAAAUGGAUGUUAUUUUAGCACCAUAUGAAACUAUCUAAUUUGGGACUGGAAUUUUUAUGAGGCAUAGUUAAUAACAAAUUAUGACUAAUGUAUAAAUUUCACAUGCCCAGGUUUUAUAUUUUAUUUACUACAAAAAUAACAAAUUGUUGAUGCAAUAAGGCAUGUGAGACAAGGUUAAAUCUAAAACUAAUUAUUUUAUGUGGAUGCAUGACCAUAUCAAGUUUUCUUAGGCUACUAUAAUAUCAUACAAGGACAGUGGAACAUCAUUUUCCAUUUUUACAUCCAUAUAUUUUUUAUAAAUCAUUUAAAACUACUUAAGGUGCAUUAAACAAGUUAAAUCACUAACUUAAUCAUACAUGCACAACAAUUCAUGAAAUUUUUACCAGUCACCAAGCAUCACAACGAGAGUCUACUGUAAAAAUUUGAAUCCAUUUGGAGCACUAGAGCUACAGAUCUAAAAAUAACAAGCAAAACAAUCAUCUUUUUCCUAUUUAACAUGUUUUAAUUAACACACCAAGAAAACAGUAAACAACAUAUAAGUUUUAUAUUUUUCCUUGAUGGGGUAUGACAACAUCUAACUAACAAAACAAGUUUCAUCAUUUUUGGAUUUUUGUAAUUAAAACUAUGGAGAGAUGCAAGUUCGUUUAUUCUCUAAAUCAGUUUUUAAAUACGAAUUUCUACAGAAAAACUUUUCCACUAAAACAUACCAACAUAUAGAUCCAAUAGUUAGAGCAUUUCAUAAGGAAGAUAACAAAACAAGUUUCACGAUUUUAGGGUUACCAAACUCAAGAUAUGAAUUUUUGAAGAAAGAGCAAAAAUCUGUAACAUUGGUCACUUGAGAACUCGAUUUGGGCCCACAUGUCAUAGGCAAGGGGAGCUUCUUCUACCUCACGAACAGCAACAGCAGGGAGGCUGCCGGCUGCACUUGGGGAAGUAAGGCUCGGCUCCCUGCUGCAUGGGUGUCGAGUUGAGAGAGGAGGGGCGCUUGGCCUAGAGCUGCUACUAGGGGAGGGCGCCGGGGUACUCACCAAGGUGCCAUGGGGGAGUAGACGUCCAUGGAUGGCGAGCAGCAAAGAGACGGGGCGCGGCAUGGAGCAAGGGCGCCAUGGGAGGCUGCUGCUCCGAGCAGGGAGCAAGCAGGAGGCGAGGUGGUAGAGGGCAGGGGCUGCUGCGCGGCUUGCCUUUAAAGCCAGGGGCGCCAUUGCCAUUGGAGAAUAAGGGUGGCUGCUGCAGAGCUCUGCACAUGACAGUCUGCUGCAGCAGGUGGCAGAGCGACUUUGGCUGCCCGUUUUUGGCAUCUUCUGCUUGGAUUUGGAUCUCGGUUGCUGCACAAAAUAUCUUCCUUGAUGUAUAAUCUACAAAUCGUGUAAAGGGCUUGAGGUAAUUCGGGCACUGGUUAGAGAGUCAUAGACCCACGAAAACUGGUUUGUCAGUGGGUUAGAAAACAGUGGAAACUCGCGAAAACUGAAUGUCAAAGCAUGUCAAACGGAAUCGGAUUAAUGCCAUCUUUUAAUAUGUUGUGCCCCUAUUAGUAAUUAACAACUUUUAUAUUUGGGGAAACUUGAGUUGUUCAACAAAAAAUUGGGAACGCGAGACGUCGACCCGAACGAUGCUGAUUUCAGACUUAGAAGAAUUCGAAUUCAGAAAGCAGAUUUUUAUUCUGUCUUGAUGGCACUGUUUGAGAUACUUAGAGAUCGAAUCAAGACUUAGUUUAAAUAUACUAUUUGUUGUAUAACACCUGUUCUCCAAUAUUUAUUAAAGGUCAAACCCUAUAUCUUGGCUGGAAAUUGAAAUUCCACUUUGGUCAAUGUAGUAUCAUUAUAAAGCUCUCAAUUAUAUUUUUAAGGCAAUCGGACUAUUUUCUUGACAUUUUCUUGGCAUUUUCUCUACAUGAACCCUUAAUAACUUUUGUUGUUGAGUUCAUAUAGAGUGUUUUGAAAAGGUUUGCAUAACUUGGUUGAAUGUCUAAAUUUGCUUUUACUUAAUCGAGCUGUUUCAAGCAAGAGUAUGAUUUAUAAUUUCAUACAAAUAUUUGGUUCAAACUUUGAGAAAUCUUUAGAAUACACUUGAUAGAUAGAUAUGAAUGAUGACAUAAAGAUAACAAGCUGAUUUGCAUAAAAAUUAAUUAGAGGUUGAGACUACAGAGAUUCGCUGGAGAAUGCGGAUUCGGACUACAUAUUUGGACAUAGACCGACUGUCGAGAAGGCGGAUUCGGACAUAGAUUGGAUAACAUCACAACUGUCAAGAAUCCGAAUAAAUAAGUCUAGACAGGAGUUACGAGAUGAUAUUGACUUUCGAAUUUGCAUUUGCUCCGAGAAAUAAAAGUUUUAACAGACCCCAAAUUUGGUUGUUCUUGAGAUCGAAUAAUUCCAAAUGUAGUGAAACAUUCACGAGUAACUUGAUGAAUGGAGAUAGAUGUGAUCGAGAAAUAGAAAUUUUCACUGAGCAUCCGAGAUUAGGAUAAAUCUCCCGACAUAACACGAAAUAGACACCUGGGGUGUCACAGCCUUCCCCCCUUAAAAGAAUCUCGUCCCGAGAUUCGAAUGGGGAUCUUCAAGGGUAGAGAAGCAUGUAACUCCCAGACUAAAGAUAGAUGCAAAUUCAUGAGAUGUCAUGUGACAGAUACGGAAGAUAGAUUUGGAUAGAAUAUCGCGACAUGUUGAGACAAAAUGCAGCGAUCACUCUGGGAGAAUGUUCACAAAAGAUAGCACAUCAGUAUAGUCUCGUAAUGGAUCACAACUGUUAACCGCGAUACCCGCGCGUGCCGAGCAGCUCAACCAUGUGUGCACCAUAGUAGGCUCUCGGUUUCGUCGCGGCACCAUCAAUCGUUAGUCAUGACACCAUUACCAAAUGCAACCAAUGAGAAAUCCACAUAGCACAGAUAGAUGGAGUCCAUGAGAGUAUGGCUCAGAAAAUAAGAAUGUGACCGGAGUUGAAGCAAAGAUUGUUGGCAAAAGAGCAUCACAUGAGAGUUUUCCUCAACUCAUAGAACUAUUUUUUAUCAUCACGGGGAUUAUCAGCCAAAGAUUGAUACGAUAUUCGAUAGGAGGAGGAACCAACCAUGAGAUCGAGAUUGAUAAGCUUUUAGAGACAUGAGAGAUCCAAAGAUAACAGCAACAUCCAUCAAUCCACAUGGAUACACUGCUUAGAUAUAGAAUCGAUAAAACAACGUCAUGAUCCUCCGAGAAGAGUAUGAGAACGAUCAUAAUGAGAUAUUAGACUGAUCCACAUUUGAUACAUGAGAAUAGGUUAUAGCAGAUAACUAGAUAAUAGGGCAGAAUUAUUAAGGGAUCCAGAGAUUCGGAUGAUAAAGUCGCACAUGAUUCGCUAGGAAAAGAUUACCAGAUCCAGGUGAAAGGAGAGGUCAUCAACCCAGAUGGCUUCUAUGCUGAGCAGAGGAGAAUUUAAAGAGGAUUUUGGACAAGGUUUCCAAAAAGAAUCUGAGGCUAGACAUGGUUUGUGUGAACAGACAAUAAACCAUUUUUUGACAUAAACAAGUGCACAAGGAAGCUUUGGUCGAUUUAGGGGUCAAGCUAUGGGUGUCUAUAAGUUGUGCAGGUGUAAUUUCAAAGAUAAACACACAAGGGUCAGAAAACACCAACACAAGCAUGUGAUUUGAUUUUUUUAAAGGGUUUCACUUGCUAACCACUAGGGUGUUUAAAGUGGGGGUGUCCUUUUAGGAGCAGAACAGACAACUUUUUUUUUGUAAAAAGGGUUGAACAAUUACAAUACCACCUAGAUAGCAAGACAAGAGAAACACAUAACAUGACCUAACCAGACUCACCAAUCUAACACGAGGUAAGACAUUUCUAACAUAGCAGUACAUCACAUUAUUCACAUGUUCUUAUUAUUGGAAUAAAGGUGAGAGAAGCAUGUUGGUGCACAAGAGACAAUGAAAAUCCGACAAUCAUGAUGCAUGCUCAUUCUAGUCGUCUUCUCAGACCUAACUAAUUUUUCGGGUGCUUCUACAGCAUCCUAAUAGUAGUAGUAGUAGCCUUUAUGGCUUAUAUAAACAGCCACCUAGCUACCCAUCUAUUCCUAGGGCUUCACGUCCUAGGUCUAUCCUUAUCGUCCUGAUAUCUAUCCAACUUUGGUUUCUAAGCAAGUUUUACUUUAGAAAAGGUUGGAAAUCAUGACUUAUUGACUCCUCUGUACUGGUAUUCGCUCCGAUACCAGCUGUGGCGGAACCGCCCGAAUUAUUCCAGCUUAAGUGCCCAAGUCGCACCCUUAAGGGCAGCAACACACUUAAACAGGAAUAACCUGUCAGUCCCUCGGAUCUAGUCUGAUAAAGCCACUUACCAGGAUCGAAUACCACUAGCUCACACGAAGGUGAGGCACAGAGAAAUACAAUAAAGCAUAAUACCACAAAUUUAAUAAGUAUCCAUAGUGAUUACAUUAUCGGAGUUUCAGAAAUAAUAACCAUAAAUUUUAUUGCAGCGGAAUAACUAAAAGAGAAGAACCGAGUGACAUGGCGAAGCCUGGCCACGCUACUCCUCCUGGUCCCCUCCUGCGGAAGCAAUAACCCUCUCAACCAUCUAUCCCGGUGGCAGGGAUGAAGGCCAAGUCACACCAGCCACAAAUCAUCCUAAGGAGUACCUGCAAAAAUUGUGCCACAAGCAAGGCUGAGUAUACUAAUACUCAGCUAGACUUACCCGGUGUGAGGAGUCUACUCUACCUCUAGACAUGCAGCUGUUUGGCUGUGGGGUUUGGUUGCCAAAAGCACUAGCUGAGUUUCUAAAUCAAGAUUUUAACUUAAUCAAAGUUAAGUGUGACUCUCUUAAGGCUAAAAGUGGACUAUCUACUCAUACAUGGUAGCAAGCAUCAUUAACAGUCAACAUCUUAUCUCAACUCAUCAUACUUCCACUUAUUACUCAAUGCAGUACAAUGGAUCAAGCAGUCUCAUUAGCUGCGAGAAGCAGACGAUUCGAAUCGAGUUUUAUCCUUGCAAGGUAAACCUAAACACACGACAUGCAGGGGCACUCCGUCCCCACACACAUCAACCGUCCCCAUCGAUUCCCUGGCAACAGAUCAGGGCUCACCGCCUUGGCGUACAAUGCCCCACUGACCCCGACUGGCCGUCGUGCAGUGACCGCACUUGUACCCACCAUAACCGGAAUGGGAGACCUCGUCUCAGGUCGCGUGAGGGGAUAUGUCUGCGGGCAGGUUCACUCAGGUACUAGGCUUACCGAUUUACCAUAUUUCUCGGUAUGUGUUUAGUACGUUCAAACGCUUGACACAGGUAUCCGCACGUUAAUCCUUAUUCCAUUUUCCAUCUCGGGAACAACCAAUCCCCAUGGAUUGUUGUCCACCAACUAGUAUCAUGACAGUGUGAAAGUGGGUACAAUCAAUUUCCUGACCUCGCGCGAGUGCUAGAAAAAUCACUCGACUUCUACCGAGAUCCCUAAUUAGCAAAGCAGCUACUCGACCUAGCAUACUAGUAUCCAUCUCAAAAGGAAUCCUGAGUUCAUGCAACUAGGGUUUCAGUCAACUCCUACACUUAAGUGCACAGUACAAGCCUACAAACAUUAAGUGUAGUAAAAUAGCAUAUAAUAACGGUUAUGCAUAAACCGGGGCUUGCCUUUAAUUUUUAACACUUAGAUAAUGUUUGCUGGGGGAGGUACUCGCUUGGCGAGCAUCCACUGGGUAAGUCCACCAUUCUUCAGGUCGUCCACCAACUGCAUCUUUUGGUUGGCACCACAUCACUUGCACGAUCGUCAUCUCUCGGUCCUAAAUGAGAUGCAGGAUGCAUAUGUAUGAAUAUGAUGAAAUAUGUCACAAGAUAAUCCUAACAUGGAUGGUAGCGAACUAAACAUUAAAUUGUAAGACACCACGACAACCGUACGCAAGCGCUAGUUAUCUAUACGUCAUCGGGCAUACGUAGUCAAUCAUCACUGAAAAACAACAAACACUUCCUAUAAUUAUCUAUUGCAAACAUGACAUCAUAAGUACAAGCAUUCGCCACGUUCACUUUUAUCAUUCAUUAGUUACUUAUUAUUAAACUAGUUAAGUACGCAUAAAUUUACGAUGACUUACACAUAGACAGACUUAGUUAAAAAAAAGGAAUAGUUGCUUAAUCGGGUUUUACAAUCAUUCACAACCUUCUACUGCAAGCAUACACCCCAGAGAACACACAUGAGGAGAUAGUUUAUUCACAAUUACAAAUUGUACUACUUUAAUUAUGUUGGUUAUUUAGUAGUAUUAGCAGAAAGUCAAAGACAUGACAUUAUUCAUUUUGUUUCCCUAAUAUAUAACUGCACUUGCUAACUGUUGAUUAAGCUAAGCUACUUAUUAGACCUUAACCAAUUUGGUUCGCUAACUUAGUGAGAUGUGUACUACUUACUUAUAUAUAACCUCAAUUAUAUUAGUCACUAUCAUUAUUACUCAUGUUCAAUUAAAACCCAAAACAAGCAAGCAGUCAACUCAAGACAGCUACAACAGAGUAGAGCAAUCAAUCACAUUCAAUAUGUUUGUGACAGCAGCACACCAGCUGAUUGUUUCAGUUAUAACAUACAAGACAUUCAUCCAAAAAUAGUGAUCAAAUACUUUUUGGAAGGUUUAAGGAAUUCUCUACAACUUUGGUACUGUUAUCUCUAUUUGAUUAGAAACUUAACAAGGUUAAAUCGUGACAAACGAUAGCUCUGUUCAGCUUUAGACAGAUUCAGACUUGCGACUUCAAAAAUUUAUAACUAGAGACUCAGGCAUUCAAAUCAAUUGAUCCUAGAUUUUCUGGAAAGAUAAUUAAACAUUCUACAAAUUAUUUAUAAACAUCUUAGGUUGAUUUAAAGUGUAUCAAGAGUAAAAGACACUAGAAGGCUUUGCUGUCCAGAUUUGGAAAGAUUCAGACUUCACACUUCAAACAUCUACAACUUAAUCUUCAGAUCAUCAAAAAGAGUGAUUCAAGACUUUUUGAAAAGCUCAUCAAAAGCACUACACAACUUUUAUAAUUACCAAGAAGCGAUUCUAUCGUUAACCAAGUCAAACAAUUCAGUUUUUGAAAUAUGUUCUGACAGUGGACAGAACACAACAACCAUUUUGUAAAAUUCAUAACUUCUAAACUAUCAGGCCUAUGGUUAUGAAAUUUUAACACAAGCAAGAUAAGAAAAGCAUAUACAACUUUCUUAUAACGACCAUGAAUAGAUUGUAACACUAAGUUAGGAAAACAAUGCAGUUUCUGAAAUCUGUACAGAAUUUGGACAGAUUCAGUUACUGAAUUUGUAAAAGGCAUAACUUCUAAACGAUUAGACUUAUGGCUGUCAAAUUUUAACACCAGCAAGGUAAGAAGGUUAUCUCCAACUCUUCUAUAUGACUUUUCUACAGAAAACAUAAUUUAGUUCAUUAAACAAACAUCACAACGAAAACAGUGUGUGCAGUCCAACACAGCAACUAGUAAAAUUCAGCUUCUAUACCAUUCAAGAAUUGUCGCGUUCUAGAGACUUAAAUUAUUUUAACACUUUGCUAUUUGUUGGAGUUGAAACAAUCAAAUUAGGACCAACAGUAAACUUACUAACUUUUUAUCCAAGUUAUUUCGUGCGCUAGGAUUACCACAUAAUUAACAAACACGUUCACCAAAUAAAGCAUUUCGGCACACAUGUCCGACAUCACACAAAACCACGAUGAAGCACUACUAAUAUUUAGCUUUAGACCAUCAUGACACAACCACUUAACCUCUAAUUGGUUUUAAGGUAUAACUCAAGCCUUUCAUGAAUAUGCAUGAUUUUGUUUACUCCAAAUUUUCACUAAGUCUUUUAAUUAUAAAAUGGAUGUUAUUUUAGCACCAUAUGAAACUAUCUAAUUUGGGACUGGAAUUUUUAUGAGGCAUAGUUAAUAACAAAUUAUGACUAAUGUAUAAAUUUCACAUGCCCAGGUUUUAUAUUUUAUUUACUACAAAAAUAACAAAUUGUUGAUGCAAUAAGGCAUGUGAGACAAGGUUAAAUCUAAAACUAAUUAUUUUAUGUGGAUGCAUGACCAUAUCAAGUUUUCUUAGGCUACUAUAAUAUCAUACAAGGACAGUGGAACAUCAUUUUCCAUUUUUACAUCCAUAUAUUUGUUAUAAAUCAUUUAAAACUACUUAAGGUGCAUUAAACAAGUUAAAUCACUAACUUAAUCAUACAUGCACAACAAUUCAUGAAAUUUUUACCAGUCACCAAGCAUCACAACGAGAGUCUACUGUAAAAAUUUGAAUCCAUUUGGAGCACUAGAGCUACAGAUCUAAAAAUAACAAGCAAAACAAUCAUCUUUUUCCUAUUUAACAUGUUUUAAUUAACACACCAAGAAAACAGUGAACAACAUAUAAGUUUUAUAUUUUUCCUUGAUGGGGUAUGACAACAUCUAACUAACAAAACAAGUUUCAUCAUUUUUGGAUUUUUGUAAUUAAAACUAUGGAGAGAUGCAAGUUCGUUUAUUCUCUAAAUCAGUUUUUAAAUACGAAUUUCUACAGAAAAACUUUUCCACUAAAACAUACCAACAUAUAGAUCCAAUAGUUAGAGCAUUUCAUAAGGAAGAUAAUAAAACAAGUUUCACGAUUUUAGGGUUACCAAACUCAAGAUAUGAAUUUUUGAAGAAAGAGCAAAAAUCUGUAACAUUGGUCACUUGAGAACUCGAUUUGGGCCCACAUGUCAUAGGCAAGGGGAGCUUCUUCUACCUCACGAACAGCAACAGCAGGGAGGCUGCCGGCUGCACUUGGGGAAGUAAGGCUCGGCUCCCUGCUGCAUGGGUGUCGAGUUGAGAGAGGAGGGGCGCUUGGCCUAGAGCUGCUACUAGGGGAGGGCGCCGGGGUACUCACCAAGGUGCCAUGGGGGAGUAGACGUCCAUGGAUGGCGAGCAGCAAAGAGACGGGGCGCGGCAAUGGAGCAAGGGCGCCAUGGGAGGCUGCUGCUCCGAGCAGGGAGCAAGCAGGAGGCGAGGUGGUAGAGGGCAGGGGCUGCUGCGCGGCUUGCCUUUAAAGCCAGGGGCGCCAUUGCCAUUGGAGAAUAGGGGUGGCUGCUGCAGAGCUCUGCACAUGACAGUCUGCUGCAGCAGGUGGCAGAGCGACUUUGGCUGCCCGUUUUUGGCAUCUUCUGCUUGGAUUUGGAUCUCGGUUGCUGCACAAAAUAUCUUCCUUGAUGUAUAAUCUACAAAUCGUGUAAAGGGCUUGAGGUAAUUCGGGCACUGGUCAGAGAGUCAUAGACCCACGAAAACUGGUUUGUCAGUGGGUUAGAAAACAGUGGAAACUCGCGAAAACUGAAUGUCAAAGCAUGUCAAACGGAAUCGGAUUAAUGCCAUCUUUUAAUAUGUUGUGCCCCUAUUAGUAAUUAACAACUUUUAUAUUUGGGGAAACUUGAGUUGUUCAACAAAAAUUUGGGAACGCGAGACGUCGACCCGAACGAUGCUGAUUUCAGACUUAGAAGAAUUCGAAUUCAGAAAUCAGAUUUUUAUUCUGUCUUGAUGGCACUGUUUGAGAUACUAAGAGAUCGAAUCAAGACUUAGUUUAAAUAUACUAUUUGUUGUAUAACACCUGUUCUCCAAUAUUUAUUAAAGGUCAAACCCUAUAUCUUGGCUGGAAAUUGAAAUUCCACUUUGGUCAAUGUAGUAUCAUUAUAAAGCUCUCAAUUAUAUUUUUAAGGCAAUCAGACUAUUUUCUUGACAUUUUCUUGGCAUUUUCUCUACAUGAACCCUUAAUAACUUUUGUUGUUGAGUUCAUAUAGAGUGUUUUGAAAAGGUUUGCAUAACUUGGUUGAAUGUCUAAAUUUGCUUUUACUUAAUCGAGCUGUUUCAAGCAAGAGUAUGAUUUAUAAUUUCAUACAAAUAUUUGGUUCAAACUUUGAGAAAUCUUUAGAAUACACUUGAUAGAUAGAUAUGAAUGAUGACAUAAAGAUAACAAGCUGAUUUACAUAAAAAUUAAUUAGAGGUUGAGACUACAUAGAUUCGCUGGAGAAUGCGGAUUCGGACUACAUAUUUGGACAUAGACCGACUGUCGAGAAGGCGGAUUCGGACAUAGAUUGGAUAACAUCACAACUGUCAAGAAUCCGAAUAAAUAAGUCUAGACAGGAGUUACGAGAUGAUAUUGACUUUCGAAUUUGCAUUUGCUCCGAGAAAUAAAAGUUUUAACAGACCCCAAAUUUGGUUGUUCUUGAGAUCGAAUAAUUCCAAAUGUAGUGAAACAUUCACGAGUAACUUGAUGAAUGGAGAUAGAUGUGAUCGAGAAAUAGAAAUUUUCACUGAGCAUCCGAGAUUAGGAUAAAUCUCCCGACAUAACACGAAAUAGACACCUGGGGUGUCACAUUUAUACCUAAGGAUUGACUAGCUUUUUGUUAUCCAUGUCCUUGUUUACCUAUUUGGGUUGGAUUAUUAUUGUUUAGCUUUAUGCUAUUGCUCAACUAUAAUCAAUGAACAUGAUGAGAUUAUCUAUGAUACGCUGUUUUCCCUCUUCUUAUUAUGAUGUUCUACUUGUGGCCUUUAAGGGGGCUCGAGCGGUUUCUCGAGUGCCUCUCUGUAAGGACCUGUUCUUUGGAUGACCGCCCGGGAAAACAGUGCAACCAUGAGGGUGGAAUGGGAUGCCCUUAGCUGAAUAAUUAGAGGAUCUGGGGUGUAGUUCGCUUAGCCGUCGUGUCGUCAAUGGGGCUCGGUGUAUGCGGCUCGCUCUGCCAAGCUCGGGUUCGCCCCUUGGGGAGGAGUGCGGUGCAUUUAGGAAACCUAACGGGCGGCUACAGCCCCGGGGAAUCUUUGUAAAGGCUACGUAGUGAUGCCCCGCUGGGUCACCUUGGUAGUGAUCAAUGGAGAGUCAUGAUCUCCGGGCAGAAAGGGAAUCACGGCUUGUGGGUAAAGUGCACAACCUCUGCAGAGUGAUUGAAAAACUGAUAUAGCAGCCGUGCUCGCGGUUAUGAGCGGCCAAGGGAGCUCCAGUGAUUAGUGGUACUUGAUCAGAGACAUCUUGGUUUACAGGUGGCAAUGAGAUUGAUGGUUCUGGUUAUGAAUAUAGUGCUGGUAAGUGGUAUUCUUUCCGUUUGGAAAGGGUACAUCGGGCUAAUAACUUGGUUUAAUACUAAAACCUGGCUUUCUACUAGAAAAUAAUAAUCUGACCAACUAAAAGCAACUGCCUGACUUAUCCCCACAUAAAGCUAGUCCACUACAGCCAAACAGGAUACUUGCUGAGUAUGUUGAUGUGUACUCACCCUUGCUCUACACACCAAACCCCCCCAUCCCCAGGUUGUCAGCAUUGCAACCACUGCUUAGGAGAAGAUGAAGCCAUGGAAGGAGACUUCCAGGAGUUCCAAGAUUACGACGAGUUCUAGGCGUGGGUUAGCAGCAACCCCCAGUCAGCUGCCUGUGAAGGCCGCGUUUAUCUAUGUUUCGUUUUUGCACUUUGAUUUACUGUAAAGACUAUGUGGAUGUCUUGGACAUCAUGAUGUAAUCGACUAUUUCCAUUUUUAAUACUAUUUGAGCACUGUGUGAUGACGUCCAUGUUAUGUAACUGCUGUGUACGUGAAUUGCUGAUCCUGGCACGUACAUGGUUCGCAUUCGGUUUGCCUUCUAAAACUGGGUGUGACACGAUGAUGGGAUGCUUCCACCGUUUUCUCAACGAGUCGUGACCGCCGCCGGCAAUAACUGGCGCUAGGGGGCCACGCACGAGAACCAGGAGAAGCUCCAGCCUAUUCUGCACGCCUUGCAGAAGUUACGAGAUGAGGGCCUUACCGCUACGGGGGUCGUUGCCGCUAUCCAUCGCCGGAGGGUGCUCCCUCUGGCAGAGCGGCGGUUGCGGCUCUCGGAGAUGAAGCCGGGGGUCGAUUUGGAGGGCUCGUGGAUGUCCUCGACCCCCCUCUCUGCCGACGACCUCCUCAAGCGGGUAGCGGGUACGGUAGGGAGGCUGGAUGCUGGCGCCCUUAGCCAGCCCGUGAUGCGUCCCGACCGUGGGUACGUGUCCCUGGUAAGUGUCUGAUCCUGCUUCUGUUUUGCGUUGAGUUUUCUACGCCUUUGACUCUUACUGUUGGGAUUUUUAUUCGUCCUCAGGGGUUGAGGAGUUUUAAAGUCACCCGGCCACCGGUCCCGGAGGACGCGGCGGACCGAGCCAUGCGUAGGCUCGCCGCAGAGAAGGAAAAGGAGAAGAAGGACACGGAAAAGGCCCGAGCUCGCGAGAGGAUGCGAGCUCGGGAAGCCUUGGAGAAGCGUCGUCGGAGGCAGGCGAGGGAUGGGCUCCCGUUGGAGUCGUCGCCGGAGACGCCUGACGACUACGAUGAUGAUGAUGAUGACGACGACGAAGACGACGACAUGGCGGCCCGACUUGGCCUCAGUCCGGACCUGAGGCUGGGCCAGGGGUCGCCGAGCCAGCCUCCAGGUGGCUUGGCACCAUCAGUGCCUGGGGCCGGGACACCAAGGUUCCGGUCCGAGGAGCGGAGGCAGGCCGAGGGGGUACUUGACCCCUUGGCCGAGAUGAUUGGGGUGACUCCGGGGGGUCAAGCCGAACCGCAUGCCCCCAAGAGCAGGGGCCAACUGAUAGUCGCCUAGAGGGGGGUGAAUAGGGCAAAACUGAAAUUCUCAAAAAUAAUCACAACUAUAAGCCGGGUUAGCGUUAGAAAUAUAAUCGAGUCCGCGAGAGAGGGUGCAAAACAAAUCGCAAGCAAAUAAAGAGUGUGACACACGGAUUUGUUUUACCGAGGUUCGGUUCUCGCAAACCUACUCCCCAUUGAGGUGGUCACAAAGACCGGGUCUCUUUCAACCCUUUCCCUCUCUCAAACGGUCCCUCGGACCGAGUGAGCUUUCUCUUCUCAAUCACUUGGAACACAAAGUUCCCACAAGGACCACCACAAGAUUGGUGUCUCUUGCCUCAAUUACAAGUGAGUUUGAUCGCAAUGAAGAAUCAAAGAAAGAAGAAAGCAAUCCAAGCGCAAGAGCUCGAAAGAACACAAGCAAAUCUCUCUCUCUAAUCACUAAGGCGUUGUGUGGAGUUUGGAGAGGAUUUGAUCACUUGGGUGUGUCUAGAAUUGAAUGCUAGAGCUCUUGUAAGUAGUUGAAGUGGGAAAACUUGGAUGUAAUGAAUGGUGGGUGGUUGGUGGUAUUUAUAGCCCCAACCACCAAACUAGCCGUUUGGUGGGGCUGUCUGUCGUAUGGUGCACCGGACAUGUCCGGUGCGCCAGCCACGUCACCAAAGCCGUUGGGUUCCGACUGUUGGAGCUCUGUUUUCUGGGCCCGCCUGGAUGUCCGGUGGCGCACCGAACAUGCACUGUAGAGUGUCCGAUGCGCCAGCAUGGGCGUGCCUGACUUCUGCGCGCGCUGGCGCGCAUUCAAUGCGCUGCAGGUAGCCGUUGGCGCCGAAGUAUCCGUUGCUUCGAUGUCACACCGGACAUGUUCGGUGAAUUAUAGCGGACUAGCCGUUGCGAAUUCCCGAAGCUGGCGAGUUCCAGAGCCGCUCUUCCUUGGAGCAUCGGACACUGUCCGGUGUACACCGGACAGUCCGGUGAAUUAUAGCGGAGCGCCUCUGGAUUUUCCCGAAGGUGACGAGUUUGACUUGGAGUCCUCUGGUGCACCGGACACUGUCCGGUGGCACACCGGACAGUCCGGUGCGCCAGACCAGAGGUGCCUUCGGUUAUCCCUUGCUCUCUUUGUUGAACCCAAAUCUUGGUCUUUUUAUUGGCUAAGUGUGAACCUUUGACACCUGUAUAACUUAUACACUAGAGCAAACUAGUUAGUCCAAUUAUUUGUGUUGGGCAAUUCAACCACCAAAAUCAUUUAGGAAAUAGGUGUAACCCUAAUUCCCUUUCAAUCUCCCCCUUUUUGUUGAUUGAUGCCAACACAAACCAAAGCAAAUAUAGAAGUGCGUAAUUGAACUAGUUUGCAUAAUGUAAGUGCAAAAGUUGCUUGGAAUUGAGCCAAUAUAAAUACUUAUAAGAUAUGCAUGGAUUGUUUCUUUAUUUUUAACAUUUUGGACCACGCUUGCACCACAUGUUUUGUUUUUGCGAAUUCUUUUGUAAAUCCUUUUCAAAGUUCUUUUGCAAAUAGUCAAAGGUAAAUGAAUAAGAUUUUGCAAAGCAUCUUCAAGAUUUGAAAUUUUCUCCCCUUGUUUCAAAUGCUUUUCCUUUGACUAAACAAAACUCCCCCUUAAUGAAAUCCUCCUCUUAGUGUUCAAGAGGGUUUUGAUAUUAAUUUUGAAGAGGUUAUACCAAUUUGAAAUUAUAUCACAAGUAAGAUACCAAUUUGAAAAUACUCUUUGAAAAACUAAAAUUUUAGAAUUUGGUGGUGGUGCGGUCCUUUUGCUUUGGGCUCAUACUCUCUCCCCCUUUGGCAUGAAUCACCAAAAACGGAAUCAUUAGAGCCCUUGAAUUACUUUCUUCCCCUUUGGUCAUAAAUAAAUGAGUGAGGAUUGUACCAAAGACGAAGUCCUUUUGCUUUGAACUCUCCCCCAAAAGAUGGAGAGAUGCGCGGAGCGACGGCGAGGGAUGAGUUACGGAGUGGAAGCCUUUUGUCUUCGCCGAAGACUCCAAUUCCCUUUCAAUAUACCUAUGACUUGGUUUGAAAUAGACUUAAAAACACAUUAGUCAUAGUAUAUGAAAAAGACAUGAUCAAGGGUAUAUAGAAGAGCUAUGUGUGUAAAUCAACAAAAGAAGUUCCUAGAAUCAAGAAUAUUUAGCUCAUGCCUAAGUUUGUUAAAAGUUUGUUCAUCAAGAGGCUUGGUAAAGAUAUCGACUAAUUGAUCUUUAGUAUUAAUGUAAGAAAUCUCGAUAUCUCCCUUUUGUUGGUGAUCCCUUAAAAAGUGAUACCGAAUGGCUAUGUGCUUAGUGCGGCUAUGCUCAACGGGAUUAUCCGCCAUGCGGAUUGCACUCUCAUUAUCACAUAGAAGAGGAACUUUGGUUAAUUUGUAACCGUAGUCCCUAAGGGUUUGCCUCAUCCAAAGUAGUUGCGCGCAACAAUGUCCUACGGCAAUGUACUCGGCCUCGGCGGUAGAAAGAGCUACGGAAUUUUGCUUCUUUGAAGCCCAAGACACCAAGGAUCUUCCCAAGAACUGGCAAGUCCCCGAUGUGCUCUUUCUAUUGAUUUUACACCCCGCCCAAUCGGCAUCCGAAUAACCAAUAAAAUCAAAUGUGGAUCCCCUAGGAUACCAAAGCCCAAACUUAGGAGUAUAAACCAAAUAUCUCAAGAUUCGUUUUACGGUCGUAAGGUGAGCGUCCUUAGGGUCGGCUUGGAAUCUUGCACACAUGCAUACGGAAAGCAUAAUAUCCGGUUGAGAUGCACAUAAAUAUAGUAAAGAACCUAUCAUCGACCGGUAUACCUUUUGAUCGACGGAUUUACCUCCCUCGUCGAGGUCGAGAUGCCCAUUGGUUCCCAUGGGAGUCUUGAUGGGUUUGGCAUCCUUCAUUCCAAACUUGGUUAGAAUAUUUUGAGUAUACUUCGUUUGGCUUAGGAAGGUGCCCUCUUGGAGUUGUUUUACUUGAAAUCCUAAGAAAUAUUUUAACUCCCCCAUCAUAGACAUCUCGAACUUUUGUGUCAUGAUCCUACUAAAUUCUUCACAAGUAGACUCGUUAGUAGACCCAAAUAUAAUAUCAUCAACAUAGAUUUGGCAUACAAACAAGUCAUUUACAAGAGUUUUAGUAAAUAGAGUAGGAUCGGCCUUUCCGACUUUGAAGCCAUUAGUGAUGAGGAAAUCUCUAAGGCAUUCAUACCAUGCUCUUGGGGCUUGCUUGAGCCCAUAAAGCGCCUUAGAGAGUUUAUACACAUGGUUAGGGUACUCACUAUCUUCAAAGCCAGGAGGUUGCUCAACAUAGACCUCUUCCUUGAUUGGUCCAUUGAGGAAGGCACUUUUCACGUCCAUUUGAUAAAGCUUAAAGCCAUGGUAAGUAGCAUAGGCCAAUAAUAUGCGAAUUGACUCAAGCCUAGCUACGGGUGCAUAGGUUUCACCGAAAUCCAAACCUUCGACUUGGGAGUAUCCCUUGGCCACAAGUCGAGCUUUGUUCCUUGUCACCACACCAUGCUCAUCUUGCUUGUUGCGGAAGACCCAUUUGGUUCCUACAACAUUUUGAUUAGGACGUGGAACCAAAUGCCAUACCUCAUUCCUAGUGAAGUUGUUGAGCUCCUCUUGCAUCGCCACCACCCAAUCCGAAUCUUGAAGUGCUUCCUCUACCCUAUGUGGCUCAAUAGAGGAAACAAACGAGUAAUGUUCACAAAAAUGUGCAACACAAGAUCUAGUGGUUACCCCCUUAUGAAUGUCGCCGAGGAUGGUGUCGACGGGGUGAUCUCGUUGGAUUGCUUGGUGGACUCUUGGGUGUGGCGGCCUUUGUUCUUCAUCCUCCUUGUCUUGAUCAUUCGCAUCUCCCCCUUGAUCAUUGCCGUCAUCUUGAGGUGGCUCAUUUGCUUGAUCUUCUCCUUCAUCAACUUGAGCUUGUUCCUCAUUUUGAGUUGGUGGAGAUGCUUGCGUGGAGGAGGAUGGUUGAUCUUGUGCAUUUGGAGGCUCUUCGGAUUCCUUAGGACACACAUCCCCAAUGGACAUGUUCCUUAGCGCGAUGCACGGAGCCUCUUCAAUACCUAUCUCAUCAAGAUCAACUUGCUCUACUUGAGAGCCGUUAGUCUCAUUAAACACAACAUCACAAGAAACUUCAACUUGUCCGGAGGACUUGUUAAAGACUCUAUAUGCCCUUGUGUUUGAAUCAUAUCCUAGUAAAAAGCCUUCUACAAUCUUAGGAGCAAAUUUAGAUUUUCUACCUCUUUUAAUAAGUAUAAAGCAUUUGCUACCAAAAACUCUAAAAUAUGAAAUGUUGGGCUUUUUACCGGUUAGGAGUUCAUAAGAUGUCUUCUUGAGGAUUCGGUGUAGAUACAACCGGUUGAUGGCGUAGCAGGCGGUGUUGACUGCCUCGGCCCAAAACCGAUCCGAUGUCUUGUACUCAUCAAGCAUGGUUCUUGCCAUGUCCAAUAGAGUUCGAUUCUUCCUCUCCACUACACCAUUUUGUUGAGGGGUGUAGGGAGAAGAGAACUCAUGCUUGAUUCCCUCCUCCUCAAGGAAGCCUUCGAUUUAUGAGUUCUUGAACUCCGUCCCGUUGUCGCUUCUAAUUUUCUUGAUCCUUAAGCCGAACUCGUUUUGAGCCCGUCUCAAGAAUCCCUUUAAGGUUUCUUGGGUAUGAGAUUUUUCCUGCAAAAAGAACACCCAAGUGAAGCGAGAAUAAUCAUCCAUAAUUACUAGACAGUACUUACUCCCGCCGAUGCUUAUGUAAGCAAUCGGGCCGAAUAGAUCCAUGUGUAGGAGCUCCAGUGGCCUGUCGGUCGUCAUGAUGUUCUUGUGUGGAUGAUGGGUACCAACUUGCUUUCCUGCUUGGCAUGCGCUACAAAUCCUAUCUUUCUCAAAAUGAAUAUUUGUUAGUCCUAAAAUGUGUUCUCCCUUUAGAAGCUUGUGAAGAUUCUUCAUCCCAACAUGGGCUAGUCGGCGGUGCCAGAGCCAACCCAUGUUAGUCUUAGCAAUUAAGCAUGUGUCGAGUUCAGCUCUAUCAAAGUCUACUAAGUAUAGCUGACCCUCUAAUACACCCUUAAAUGGUAUUGAAUCAUCACUUCUUCUAAAGACAGUGACACCUACAUCAGUAAAGAGACAGUUGUAACCCAUUUUGCAUAGUUGAGAAACAGAAAGCAAAUUGUAAUCUAAAGAAUCUACAAGAAAAACAUUGGAAAUAGAAUGGUCAGGAGAUAUAGCAAUUUUACCCAAACCCUUGACCAAACAUUGGUUUCCAUCCCCGAAUGUGAUAGCUCGUUGGGGAUCAUGGUUUUUCUCAUAGGAGGAGAACAUUUUCUUCUCCCCCGUCAUGUGGUUUGUGCACCCGCUGUCGAUGAUCCAACUUGAGCCCCCGAGUGCAUAAACCUACAAAACAAGUUUAGUUCUUCACUUUAGGUACCCAAAUGGUUUUGGGUCCUUUGGCAUUAGACACAAGAACUUUGGGUACCUAAACACAAGUCUUUGACCCCUUGUGCUUGCCCCCAACAUAUUUGGCAACUACUUGCCGGAUUUGUUAGUCAAUACAUAUGAUGCAUCAAAGGUUUUAAAUGAAAAGCUAUGUUCAUUUGAUGCACUAGGAGUUUUCUUCUUAGGCAGCUUAGCACGGGUUGGUUGCCUAGAGCUAGAUGUCUCACCCUUAUACAUAAAAGCAUGGUUAGAGCCAGAGUGAGACUUCCUAGAAUGAAUUCUCCUAAUUUUGUCCUCGGGAUAACCGGCAGGGUAUAAAAUGUAACCCUCGUUAUCCUGAGGCAUGGGAGCCUUGCCCUUAACAAAGUUGGACAAUUUCUUAGGUGGGGCACUAAGUUUGACAUUGCCUCCCUGUUGGAAGCCAAUGCCAUCCUUGAUGCCAGGGCGUCUCCCACUAUAGAGCAUACUUCUAGCAAAUUUAAAUUUUUCAUUUUAUAAGUUAUGCUCGGCAAUUUUAGCAUCUAAUUUUGCUAUAUGAUCAUUUUGUUGUUUAAUUAAAGCCAUGUGAUCAUGUAUAGCAUCAAUGUUAACAUCUCUACAUCUAGUACAAAUGGUAGUAUGCUCAACGGUAGAUGUAGAGGGUUUGCAAGAUUUUAAUUCUACAACCUUAGCAUGCAAUAUAUCAUUCUUAGUUCUAAGGUUGGAAAUAGUAGCAUUGCAAACGUCAAAAUCUUUAACCUUAGCAAUUAAUUUUUCAUUUUCAUUCCUAAGGCUAACAAGAGAUAAGUUCAAUUCUUUAAUCUUAGCAAGCAAAUCAUCAUUAUCAUUUCUAAGAUUGGGAAUUGAAACAUUACAAGCAAUAGAAUCAACCUUAGCUACUAAAUUAGAAUUCUCAUUUCUAAGGUUGUCUAUAGUCUCAUGGCAAGUGCUUAGCUCACUAGAUAAUUUUUCACAUUUUUCUACUUCUAGAGCAUAAGCAUUUUUAACCUUAACAUGCUUCUUAUUUUCUUUAAUAAGGAAGUCCUCUUGGGUGUCCAAGAGAUCAUCCUUUUCAUGAAUGGCACUAAUCAAUUCAUUAAGUUUCUCUUUUUGUUGCAUGUUGAGGUUGGCAAAAAGAGUGCGCAAGUUAUCUUCCUCAUCACUAGCAUUUUCAUCACUAGAGGAUUCAUAUCUAGUGGAGGAUUUAGAUUUAACCUUCUUCUUUUUGUCGUCCUUUGCCAUGAGACACUUGUGGCCGACGUUGGGGAAGAGAAGGCCCUUGGUGACGGCGAUGUUGGCGGCGUCCUCGUCGUCGUAGGAGUCGCUAGAGCUUUCGUCGGAGUCCCACUCCCGACAAACAUGGGCAUCGCCGCCCUUCUUCUUGUAGUACCUUUUCUUCUCCUUUCUUCUCCCCUUCUUGUCGUCACCCCUGUCACUGUCACUAGAAAUAGGACAUUUAGCUAUAAAGUGACCGGGCUUACCACACUUGUAGCAAACCUUCUUGGAGCGGGGCUUGUAAUCUUUCCCCCUCCUUUGCUUGAGGAUUUGGCGAAAGCUUUUGAUGACGAGCGCCAUUUCCUCGUUGUCGAGCUUGGAGGCAUCGAUGGGUGUUCUACUCGGUGUAGACUCCUCCUUCUUGUCUUCCGUCGCUUUGAAUGUGACCGGUUGAGCCUCGGACGGAGAAGGACCGUCAAGCUCGUUGAUCUUCCAUGAGCCCUUGAUCAUAAAUUCAAAGCUCACAAAAUUCCCGAUUACUUCCUCGGGGGUCAUUAGUGUAUAUCUUGGGUUGCCACGAAUUAAUUGAACUUGAGUAGGGUUAAGGAAAAUAAGAGAUCUUAGAAUAACCUUAACCACCUCGUGGUCAUCCCAUUUUUUGCUCCUGAGGUUGCGCACUUGGUUCACCAAGGUUUUGAGCCGGUUGUACAUGUCUUGUGGCUCCUCCCCUUGGCGAAGACGGAAGCGACGGAGCUCCCCCUCGAUCGUUUCCCGCUUGGUGAUCUUGGUGAGUUCAUCACCCUCGUGCGCCGUCUUGAGCACGUCCCAAACUUCCUUGGCGCUUUUUAGUCCUUGCACCUUGUUGUACUCCUCCCUACUAAGAGAGGCGAGGAGUAUUGUUGUGGCUUGGGAGUUGAAGUGCUCGAUUUGGGCCACCUCGUCCUCAUCAUAAUCCUCAUCCCCUACGGAUGGUACCUGUGCUCCAAACUCAACAACAUUCCAUAUACUUUUGUGGAGUGAGGUUAGAUGAAAUUUCAUUAAAUCACUCCACCUAGCAUAAUCUUCACCGUCAAAGGUUGGCGGUUUGCCUAAUGGAACGGAAAGUAAUGGAGUAUGUCUAGAGGUAUGAGGGUAAUGUAAGGGGAUCUUACUAAACUUCUUGCGCUCAUGGCGCUUAGAAGUUAUGGAGGGCGCGUCGGAGCCGGAGGUAGAAGGUGAUGAGGUGUCGGUCUCGUAGUAGACCACCUUCCUCAUCUUCUUUAUUUUGUCGCCACUCCGAUUCGACUUGUGAGAAGAAGUCUUCUUUUCCUUCUUCUUAUCCUUCCUCUUCUCCUUGUUGCGGGACUCUUCCGAUGAAGCCUUCCCGUGGCUUGUAGUGGGCUUGUCGCCGGUCUCCAUCUCCUUCUUGGCGAGUUCUCCCGACAUCACUUCGAGCUGUUAGGCUCUAAUGAAGCACCGGGCUUUGAUACCAAUUGAUAGUCGCCUAGAGGGGGGUGAAUAGGGCGAAACUGAAAUUCUCAAAAAUAAUCACAACUAUAAGCCGGGUUAGCGUUAGAAAUAUAAUCGAGUCCGCGAGAGAGGGUGCAAAACAAAUCGCAAGCAAAUAAAGAGUGUGACACGCGGAUUUGUUUUACCGAGGUUCGGUUCUCGCAAACCUACUCCCCGUUGAGGUGGUCACAAAGACCGGGUCUCUUUCAACCCUUUCCCUCUCUCAAACGGUCCCUCGGACCGAGUGAGCUUUCUCUUCUCAAUCACUUGGAACACAAAGUUCCCACAAGGACCACCACAAGAUUGGUGUCUCUUGCCUCAAUUACAAGUGAGUUUGAUCGCAAUGAAGAAUCAAAGAAAGAAGAAAGCAAUCCAAGCGCAAGAGCUCGAAAGAACACAAGCAAAUCUCUCUCUCUAAUCACUAAGGCGUUGUGUGGAGUUUGGAGAGGAUUUGAUCACUUGGGUGUGUCUAGAAUUGAAUGCUAGAGCUCUUGUAAGUAGUUGAAGUGGGAAAACUUGGAUGUAAUGAAUGGUGGGUGGUUGGGGUAUUUAUAGCCCCAACCACCAAACUAGCCGUUUGGUGGGGCUGUCUGUCGUAUGGUGCACCGGACAGUCCGGUGCACACCGGACAUGUCCGGUGCGCCAGCCACGUCACCAAAGCCGUUGGGUUCCGACCGUUGGAGCUCUGUCUUCUAGGCCCGCCUAGAUGUCCGGUGGCGCACCGGACAUGCACUGUAGAGUGUCCGGUGCGCCAGCAUGGGCGUGCCUGACUUCUGCGCGCGCUGGCGCGCAUUCAAUGCGCUGCAGGUAGCCGUUGGCGCCGAAGUAUCCAUUGCUUCGAUGUCACACCGGACAGUCCGGUGUACACCGGACAUGUCCGGUGAAUUAUAGCGGACUAGCCGUUGCGAAUUCCUGAAGCUGGCGAGUUCCAGAGCCGCUCUUCCUUGGAGCACCGGACACUGUCCGGUGAAUUAUAGCGGAGCGCCUCUGGAUUUUCCCGAAGGUGACGAGUUUGACUUGGAGUCCUCUGGUGCACCGGACACUGUCCGGUGCGCCAGACCAGAGGUGCCUUCGGUUAUCCCUUGCUCUCUUUGUUGAACCCAAUGGUCUUUUUAUUGGCUAAGUGUGAACCUUUGACACCUGUAUAACUUAUACACUAGAGCAAACUAGUUAGUCCAAUUAUUUGUGUUGGGCAAUUCAACCACCAAAAUCAUUUAGGAAAUAGGUGUAACCCUAAUUCCCUUUCACCAACGCCGGCCGUACAGGAGGCCGGUUCCUCGGCCGUCGUGACGACGCCUAGGCGGGCCGCCCCUCGGUGCCUCGGGCGCCCGAGGCGAAAGCGGCACGAAAGCCGACAGCGGGGCAACCCUCGGCAGCGCCUGCGGAGACCGGGGCCUGAGGGGCCUCCCCGCGGGCACGAUUGGCCUUGCCCCGGAGCGGGUAAGUAUCUGAGGAUACCUUUGUUUUGGUUUCUUCUCUGUGUGUCUUGAACUUGCUCUCUCUCUCUCUCUCUUUCUUUCAGCAAGCGGAGGCAGGGCCCGGCCGGUCUGGCCCCCACGAAGGCCCUUAAGACGGGGCCGACCUCUGCAGCCGGUGCUACGACGCGCCAUGCCGGUUGGUUGGCCUCCGCACAAGGCGCUCUCCGGCGGGGGCCCAGGCGGCACGAGCUGCCAUGGGGCAAACCUCCCAGGCUGACCCCCUGUUGGAGCGGCCAUCACGCUGGGGGAGGCCGCUGACGUGGCCGCGGCCUCGAGCCCAGCUGACUCGUUGCCGGCGCCGGCAUCGACACCUACCGGGGCCGUCGCUGAUUCGCCCGCGGAGCCGCCCGUCGCCACCGAUGUCGGGAUGGUUGAGGCGCCGCCGCCCGCGGUUAUCCCCGACCUCCCCGUUCUCGGCCAAGAGGAGAGGGCGGUCAUCGUUGCCGAGGUCGGUAAUCAGAGGCCUGCCGCCUUAGCCGAGGAGAGGCCCAGUAUGUCGACGGCGGCGGUGCCCGAUGCAUCGACUGCAGGGGGACCCGAUGCCUUGGUGGAGGGGCGUGCAGAACCGUGGCAUGUUCUGGGGAGCAGCGGCCUUACCCCUACGCAGCUCAAUCCCAAUGAGUGGUGUGGGCAGCCGCUCCGGUUCUGGAGCCGCGACACCUUGGAGCCCCUCCUCUCCCUCAACGAUGAGUUGGAGGAGAAGUCUCGGGAUAGUUUCCAUGAGUAUACCGAGGCAGCGAUGAGGUCGCUUCGGUCAACCAUGGAAAUCCUUUCCAGGGACGUUCCCAAGGUUUUCUAGGUAAGGAUUUAGACAUACACCUUGCGUGACCAGAGCAUUCUUUGUGACAUCUUGUUUUCCUUCCUCAGGAGCUUGCGGACGUGAGCACCACCAAGUCACUGUUCAUCCACCGCGAAAGCGACGUUUGGGAGUCGUUGCGAUCCCAGCGGGCCACGCUUAAUGAGGCCAACGAGCGCCUCGCCCAACGGAGCGCCGAGGUGGUGGACCUUCGGUCGCUCUGUGAUGAGCUGAAGUCGGAGGCAGUGGCAGCACGGACAGAGGCAGUGUCGGCAUGAGCGGAGGCUUCAUCGGCCCGGGAGCAGGUGGCUUCCCAGGCCGAGGAGAUGCAGCAACGGCAGCUGGAGCUUGGCCAGGUCAUCGACGAGCGGGUCCGAUCUCGGAGCCAAGCUGCCGAGGCCUUGAGCCGGGCUGAGGCCCUUAGGGUUCAACUGGCUGAGGCUACGGAGCGGCUAGCCGAGGCAUCCACUCGGGUCAGGACCCUUGCAGAGAGCCUGGUCGUGGCCGUCAGGUCUGCCCAGUCCGCCCAAGCCGUGGCCUCGUAGCAGCGUGCCCGGGCCGAAGGUAUGUUUUGCCUGCUUUAUGACUUUGUUUUUUGUCUUCAUUCUUCUCUUUGUGUCUGAAGAAAACAUUGUCCGGCUGUCUGCAGGGUUCGAGACGGCUCUUGACGAGUCCGUCAAGAACUGCAAGGCGCUUGCUCAAGCGGCUGAGCAGAAGGAGGCCGACCGCAUGGCCAUGUCCGAGGCUAUCUCGGUCUUUUGCCGGGCCUUUGGCCUUGAUGACGUCCCCUCGGGUAGCUCCCCCUAGAGUCACCUGCGGGCCUUGGGCGGUCAUGUGCGCAGCAGACUCCGCGGGGCGUUGCACCACGGCGUUAGGCGGGCCUUCACAGUGCUCGCUUCCCACUAUGAGGUGGAUCUGGAGCGGAUCAGCGAGGGGUACUGCUUACCCGACGAAGAGGACGCCGCCUUAGCCAAGGUCCAGAGGCUUGACGCGGCCGUCGAGGGCCCAAGCACGACGCUGGCUUCCUCCUUUGAGGUGGAGAUCCUUCCGUCCGUGUCACCGUCUUAGGCCGGGCCAAAUCCUGCCGAGGGUGGAAACGACGCCGAGGGUGCUGCUCCUCCCCCUGCCGAUGUUUGAGCCUGUAGGAGCAGUUUGUUUUAAGUAUGCGUAUGUUUUUGCGGUAGUUGAGGCCUAAACAUUUUUAUUGUCGAAUUAUAAAGCUGCAUUUCCUUUCCUCUUGUUUCGUGCGUUAGGACUUGUUCGAUAGCAGAAUCGCUUAUCCGAGCGCGAGUUACUUUUCGCGGAAGGUGAUGAGUGAGGUAUCCGUAUCCCGGAGGCGUAGGAGUCCCUCGGCUCGGUCGGCCUUGCCGUUCAAGGUUCCUCUCGUCGUUUUUAGGAUUCUGUUAUCGAUAUAGUCGAAAAGCACGAAAGUCGUUUUUCUUUCCUCUUGUUUCGUGCGUUAGGACUUGUUCGGUAGCGGAAUCGCUUAUCCGAGCGCGAGUUACUUUUCGCGGAAGGUGAUGAGUGAGGUAUCCGUAUCCCGAAGGCGUAGGAGUCCCUCGGCUCGGUCGGCCUUGCCGUUCAAGGUCUCUCUCGCUCGUUAUUAGGAUUCCGUUAUCGACGCAGUCGAAAGGCACGAAAGUCAUUUUGGUAGAAAACUUUUCCAAGGAAAAUUUUGACACAGAGGGGGGUUCCCCCCUUCUAGCCCCCGAGGGAGGGUCGGGCUUUGCCUUGGCAAGGCUGAUCCUUCCUUGAUGGUUAGACAUUAUUUAUGCAUGUAAAGAAAACGAGAUACAUGAACGACUUGAAACGUUUUAAGGAUAAAAGCGACGUAGUUGUUCGAUGUUCGAAGCGUUGCUGUAGACCUCGCCUUGAUCGUUGGCUAGCUUGUAUGUCCCGGGCUUCAAAAUCUUGGCGAUGAUGAACGGUCCUUCCCAGGGAGGAGUUAGCUUGUGGCGCCCUCGGGCGUCUUGUCGCAGCCCAAGUACCAAGUCUCCCACUUGGAAGCCUAGGGGUCGAACCCUUCGGGCGUGGUAGCGUUGCAGAGACUGCUGAUACCGCGCCGAGUGUAGUAAGGCCACGUCCCGAGCCUCUUCCAGUUGGUCCAACGAAUCCUCUCGGCUGGUCCGGUUGCUUUGCUCGUCGUAAGCCUUUGUCCUCGAGGAACCGUAUUCUAAGUCCGUGGGUAAGAUGGCCUCGACCCCAUAGACUAGAAAGAACAGCGAGAAACCAGUGGCCUGGCUCCGCGUCGUCCUCAGACUCCAAACCACCGAGGGUAGUUCUUUUAUCCACCGCUUGCCAAACUUGUUGAGGUCGUUGUAGAUCCUCGGUUUUAGUCCCUGCAAAAUCAUACCGUUGGCGCGCUCCACCUGCCCAUUUGUCAUUGGGUGAGCUACAACGGCCCAGUCCACACGGAUGUGGUGGUCCUCGCAGAAGUCUAGGAACUUUUUCCCAAUGAACUGCGUGCCACUAUCGGUGAUGAUGGAGUUUGGGACCCCAAAGCGAUGGAUGAUAUUUGUGAAGAACGCCACUGCAUGCUCAGACCCGAUGCUGGUUAAGGGUCGGACCUCGAUCCACUUGGAGAAUUUGUCGAUGGCGACCAGCAGGUGCGUGAAGCCCCCGGGUGCCUUCUGCAAGGGACCGACGAGGUCCAGACCCCAUACGACAAACGACCAAGUGAUAUGUAUUGUCUAUAGGGCUUGAGCGGGUAGGUGCGUCUGUCUCGCGUAGAAUUGACACCCUCGGCAGGAGCGUACAAUCCUAGUGGCGUCGACCACCGUGGUCGGCCAAUAGAAACCUUGUCGGAAAGUGUUUCCCACGAGGGUCCGAGGUGUUGCAUGGUGACCGCAAGCCCCCGAGUGUAUUUCUUGUAACAGCUCUUGUCCUUGGGCGACAGAUAUGCAUCGUUGGAGAAUGCCCGAGGGGCUGCGGUGGUAUAACUCUUUUUCAUCACCCAAAAAAAUGAAUGACUUGGCACGCCGAGCCAGUCGCCGAGCUUCGGCCUUGUCGAGGGGCAGCUCUCCUCGGAGGAGAUAUUCUAGGUACGGGGUCUACCAAUUCAGGUUUGGCGCAACCCCAUUCUGCUCUCCCUCGACGCGCAGGGCCUCACCCUCGGCGGCCGAGGGUACCUCGGGCUGGGCCGAGGUCUCCUCGGGUUUGGGUAUGUCGUCGAUUUUGACGGAUGGUUGAUAUAUGUCCCUGGAAAAGACGUUCAGGGGAACCGUCGUCCGCCCCGAGGCUAUUUUCGCUAGCUCAUCCGCGGUCUCGUUGUACCGUCGAGCAACAUGGUUGAGUUCCAGCCCGUGGAACUUAUCUUCCAAGCGCCGAACUUCGUCGCAAUAGGCCUCCAUUUUUCGAUCACGGCAGUGGGAGUUCUUCAUGACCUGGUCAAUGACGAGCUAUGAGUCGCCACGAGCAUCGAGGCGCCGAACCCCUAGCUCGACGACGAUGCGCAGUCCAUUAACCAAGGCCUCGUACUCAGCCACGUUGUUUGACACCGGAAAAUGGAGGCGCAGUACGUAGCGCACAUGUUUCCCGAGGGGUGAAAUGAAGAGCAAGCCAGCACCCGCUCCGGAUUUCAUAAGCGACCCAUCAAAGUACAUGGUCCAAAGUUCGGCCUGGAUUGGAGCUGUCGACAAUUGGGUGUCGACCCAUUCAGCCAGGAAGUCUGCCAAGACUUGAGAUUUUAUGGCCUUCCGAGGAGCGAAUGAAAGUGUUUCGCCCAUGAGUUCCACUGCCCAUUUUGCUAUCCUACCCGAGGCCUCUCGGCACUGGAUGAUCUCUCACCGGGGAAAGGAUGACACCACAGUCACCGGAUGAGACUCGAAGUAGUGUCGCAACUUUCGCCGUGUUAGAAUUACUGCGUACAUUAGCUUCUAGAAUUGUGGGUAGCGGAUCUUGGUCUCGGAUAGCACCUCGCUAAUGAAGUAGACCGGCCUCUGGAUGAGCAGUGCAUGCCCUUCUUCUCGUCUCUCGACUAUGAUCACGGCGCUGACCACCUGAGUGGUUGCGGCUACGUAAAUCAAGAGGGCUUCUCCCGCAGCGGGGGGCACCAAGAUGGGCGCAUUAGUAAGGAGUGCUUUAAGGUUUCCGAGGGCUUCUUCAGCCUCGGGAGUCCAAGUGAAGCGCUCGGCCUUCCUUAAGAGGCGGUACAAGGGCAAUCCUUUCUCGCCAAGGCACGAGAUGAAGCAGCUCAGAGCCGCAAGGCAUCCCAUGACCCUUUGUACUCCUUUUAAAUCUUUGAUUGGUCCCAUGUUGGUGAUAGCCGCGAUUUUCUCCGGGUUGGCCUCGAUGCCUCGUUCGGAGACGAUGAACCCUAGGAGCAUGCCUCGAGGGACUCCGAAGACACUUCUCGGGAUUGAGUUUUAUGCCCUUCGCUCUUAGACACCUGAAUGUUAUCUCAAGGUCAAAGAGGAGGUCGGAGGCUUUUCUUGUCUUGACAACGAUGUCAUCGACGUAAGCCUCGACCGUUUUGCCGAUGUGCUCUCCGAACACGUGGUUCAUGCACCUUUGGUAGGUUGCACUCGCAUUCCUCAAGCCAAAUGGCAUAGUAGUGUAACAAUACAUGCCAAAGGGUGUGAUGAAUGAAGUCGCGAGCUGGUCGGAUUCUUUCAUCUUGAUUUGGUGAUAACCUGAAUAGGCAUUGAGGAAAGACAGGGUUUCGCACCCAACAGUGGAGUCCACAAUUUGAUCGAUGCGAGGCAGAGGGUAGGGAACCUUUGGACAUGCUUUGUUUAAACCAGUGUAGUCUACGCACAUCCUCCAUUUCCCACCUUUUUUCUUUACAAGCACAGGGUUAGUUAACCAUUUUGGAUGGAAUACCUCUUUGAUGAACCCUGCAGCCAUUAGCUUGUGGACCUCCUCGCCUAUGGCCCUGCACUUUUCUUCAUCAAAGCGACGCAGGGGCUGCUUCAUGGGUCGGGCAUCGGCUCAGAUGUCUAGCGAGUGCUCGGCGACAUCCCUCGGUAUGUUGGGCAUGUCCGAGGGACUCCACGCAAAAAAUUCAGCGUUUGCGCGGAGAAAGUCGACAAGCACUGCUUCCUAUUUGGGGUCGAGCUCAGAGCCGAUCCUGACUUUCUUGUCGGCGUCGUUGCUGGGGUCGAGAGGGACGGACUUAACCGCCUCAGCUGGUUCGAAGUUGCCGGCGUGGCGCUUUGCAUUAGGCGCCUCCUUGGAGAGGCAAUCCAGGUCGGCGAUGAGGGCCUCAGACUCGACGAUGGCCUCAGCGUACUCCACGCAUUCCAUGUCGCACUCGUAAGCGUGGUGGUACGUGGAUCCGACGGUGAUGGUUCCGUUAGGGCCUGUCAUCUUGAGCUUGAGGUACGUGUAGUUGGGGACGACCAUGAACUUGGCGUAGCACGGUCUUCCCAGCACCGCGUGAUAGGUCCCUCGGAACCCAACCACCUCGAACGUGAGGGUUUCCUUUCGGAAGUUGGAGAGAGUUCUGAAGCAGACGGGCAAAUCAAGUUGCCAAAGGGGCAGGACGCGCUUAUCGGGGACGAUCCCGUGAAAAGGUGCUGCACCGGCCCGUAUCAUGGACAGAUCUAUCCCCAAGAGCCCUAGGGUCUCGGCGUAGAUGAUGUUGAGACUGCUGCCUCCGUCCAUGAGGACCUUGGUGAGCCUGGCGUUGCCGAUGACAGGGUCGAAGAUGAGCGGGUACCUUCCUGGGCUCGAUACGCAGUCGGGGUGGUCGCCUUGGUCGAAGGUGAUGGGCUUGUCGGACCAGUCUAGGUAGACCGGCGCCGCUACCUUCAUCGAGCAGCCUCCUGGCGCUCCUGCUUGCGGUGCCGAGCUGAGGCGUUCGCCACUUGCCCACCGUAGAUCAUGAAGCAGUUGUGGACCUCUGGGAACUCUUCUUCCUUGUCGCCCCCCUUCUUGUUGUUGCCUUGGUCUUUGCCACCUUCUGCCCUGGGGUGGUAGCCUCGGAGCACCCUUUCCUCGAGGCGAGCUCGACGGUCGCGGCGUUGUUGCUCGUCGCCGAGGCGACCCGGGGCUGCAGGCGUCCCGUCCCGUGUGCGCUCGGUGCAGACCGAGGCCUCCCGCAUGUGUCGGGAGGAUGUUGCGCGAUGCUCCGAGGGGCACCCUCGCCUUCGGGAUGUUGAGCUCUCGGCUCGUCGGACUGCAGCAUCUUCUAGGAGAUCCUUGAGUUCACCCUAGAUACGUCGCCCUCGGUGGUGGAUGGCUUCGGCAUUGUUUGAAGUAGCAUUGCCGCUGUAGCCAGGUUCUGGUCGGCCCCGCUGAAGGCCGGGGGCAGCCCUGCCCUGGCAUCGUCAACGAUACGGCGCUGGACGUCCCGGGCCCGAUGACGCGCUCCUCCGGCGAGUGCCCGGCCUACCCAUUCCUGCUCGAUGUUUUGUCGGAGCUGCACAAGCCGCCCCGCUUCUUCGUCGAGCUUGGCCUGCAUCUCGUGGAGUUGCUCAAGCUGUGUGUCCUAACCCCCCGCAGGGACUGGGACCACAGCUAGCUCCCGCGGGAUCUCAACGCGAGACGCAGGCACAGGGGCGUUGUCAUCUUCCGGCAUGCCGAGGUGGUUGUCUUCGUCGUGAUCCCCCUGAUCGAUGUGGAAACACUCGCGACUUGGGUGAUAACCCUCGUCGCCGAGGCUGUGGCCAUCGUCAGAGCAGCCGGAGAGGCAGUAGUCACAUGCGGACAUGAAGUCCCGCAUGGCACUGGGAUCACGGAGUCCGGAGAAAUCCCAACCGAAGUCAGGGUCGUUUGCUUCCUCGGAACCCGCGGGUCCGGAGGUUGAGACGGCCGUCAGUCGGUCCCAAGUUGACCACAUAUGGUACCCUGGAAGGUCAGGAUAUGCCCUCGCGAAAGCGCUCACCGAAGCGGGGUCGAUUGGUGGAUCGGAGCUAAAUCUAAAGGGAACAGGGUGGAAAACGGAUGGUACCUCUUGGUUGAUGGACGGUGGUGAAGUCGCAUCGGGGACGGAAUGCACUGUUAUCUUAGGUACGAGGCUGACGCCCAACAAGUCCUUCGUGAGGGUGCUGGCGUCAUCAGUCCGCUUGGGGUUGGCACAUUGCUGGGAAGCGACACCCGUCGUUGUCUCAGGUGCGAGGACAACACCCGACAUGUCCCUCGCAGGGGUGCCGGCAUCGUCGACUCGCUCUGGUCCGACAGCCGACGAGGUUCCGCCUCCUGCCUGGCCACGGUUGCCCCGUCUUCCCCUCCUCCGGCGAGGAGGGUGGCGGGGCAAACCCGGGUGUUCCUCUUCCGCCACGGGGGGAAGUCGUCGUCGAGUUCGCCUCCGCCGGGCGAGCCGACGACCGUCGUUGUUGUCGUGCUGCGAGGGGAGGAGUACCAUGUCGUAGCUGCCGUCGUGGGACAUGAACUCGAGACUUCUGAAGCGGAGCACCGUCCCGGGCUGGAGAGGCUGCUGAAAGCUACCCAUCUGGAACUCAACGGGAAAGUAUUUGUUAACACGCAGCAGGCCCCUACCUGACGCGCCAACUGUCGGCGUUUCGGACCCGCGAGGACCAUCAACCGACCAGUGAAUUUGUCGCUGCGUGUCCCUGCCUAGAUGGGUUGAUGCAAGAUGGAACACAAGUGGGAGGGAUGAGGCUUAUAUUAUCUUGCACCGGGGUGCUCGUAGUAGGGGUUCCAAGCGUUGCGAGAGAGCGAGAGCAAGAGAGAGAGAGAGAGAGGGUUUGGCCUUGAGGUGAGCUGUCCGAGUUUGCCUCCACCGCGUCUCUCCUACUCUGCCUGCCUCUGCUCGCCUGCCUUCGCCCUCCGCCUCCCUUAGGAAGGCCCUGGACAUCCCCUUUUAUAGAUACAAGGAGAUGCCCAGUUGUACAAUGGGGGUGUAGCUAUGUGCUAUCGUGGUUGGCGGAGAAGUGCCUUGAGCCCUGUACACGUGCUAACGUGGCCGUCGGAGAAGUGCUUGAGCCCCGUAGAAGCGUAGCUGACGGUGCGGCCCAGGGUCCUGCUGACGUUUCCUUGCUUCCGUAAGGAGCUGAGAGCCAUCGACGUCAUGGUCGCACGCGGGGAACCAUCAUUACCUGCUAUCAGAGUAGUUUGAUGUGACUCCAGUCUUGUUCCUUCGUAGCAAGGGGUGGCUAGCUAGCGGUAGGGUAAUGAUGUAUCCCCUGUAGCGUAGUCGGUCCGGGGCCGAGGUCAGGCGAGGCGGAGACUUCUCCUGAGGCCGAGGCCGAGGUAGGGCGAGGAUGUGACUCCUCCCGAGGCCGAGGCUGAGGCCGAGUCCUGGGGUCGGGCGAGGCGGAGACCUUCUUCUGAGGCCGAGGCUGAGGCCGAGGCCUGAGGUCGGGCGAAGCGGAGCUCCUUGUUGCGCCCGAGGCUGAACUCGGGGGAGGUCGUGACUCAACUUUACCCUAGUGGUUGGCACAGUAGUCGGAACAGGGUGAAUAGUGUUGUUUUCCUGUCAGAACGGUCAGUAAUGGGGUGAAGUGACUGCGGUCACUUCGACCUUGCCGACUGAGGCGCGCGUGUCAGGAUAAGGUGUCAGGCGAUCUCCGCAUUAAAUGCACAUGCGAUACGGUCGGUUGGUAAGGCGGUUUGGCCGAGGUCGCCGCACGACAAAGUUUGCCCAGCCUGGGCUUCGGGCGAGCCGAGGGUGCGCCCACUACCUGAGGGGACCCUCGGGUGAGGCGUGAAUUCGUCCGGGACUACUGUUCCCGCCCGAGGCCGGGCUCGGGCGAGGCGAGGUCGUGUCCCUUGGUAGACGAUGCCCUGACUUGAAUCGUGCUUAUCAGUCAUUUAUAGUUUGUUCUUGUCGGGGACCAUAAUUAGGGGUACCCUCAAGGCUCCUAAUUCUCAACUGGUAACCCCCAUCAGCAUAAAGCUGCAAAGGCCUGAUGGGUGCGAUUAAGUCAGGGAUCAGUCCAUUCGAGGGACUCGAUCACGCCUCGCCCGAGCCUAGCCUCGGACAAGGGCAGCCGACCCCAGAGGAUUUCCGUCUCGCCCGAGGCCCCCCUCCAGCGGCGAACAUAUUUCCGGCUCGCCCGAGGCCCUGCCUUUGCCAAGAAGCAACCCUGACCAAAUCGCCGCACCGACCGACCAAAUCGCAGGAGCAUUUAAUGCAAAGGUGGCCUGACACCUUUAUCCUGACGUGCGCCCCCCAGCCGGCAGAGCCGAAGUGACCGCCGUCACUUCGCCGCUCCACUAACCGGCCUGACAGAAGGACAGCGCCGCCUGCGCCACUCCGACUGCGGUGCCACUUGACAGAGUGAGACUGACAGGCAGUCAGGCCCUGCCGAAGGCACCAUAGGAAGCUCCGCUUCGCCCGACCCAGGGCUCGGACUCGGGCUAAGUCCCAGAAGACGGCGAACUCCGCUCCGCCUGACCCAGGGCUCGGACUAGGGCUAAGUCCCAGAAGACGGCGAACUCCGCUCCGCCCGACCCAGGGCUCGGACACGGGCUAAGUCCCGAAAGACGGCGAACUCCGCUCCGCCUGACCCAGGGCUCGGACUCGGGCUCAGCCCCAGAAGACGGCGAACUCCGCUCCGCCCGACCCAGGGCUCGGACACGGGCAAAGUCCCGGAAGACGGCGAACUCCGCUCCGCCCGACCCAGGGCUCGGACUCCGCCCUGGCCUCAGCCGACGGCCUUCGCCUCGCCCGACCCAGGGGCUCGGACUCGACCUCGGCCACGGAAGACAAACUCGACCUCGGCUUCGGAGGAGCUUCCACAUCGCCCAACCUAGGGUGCAGACCAGCCACGUCAACAGGAGGUGCCAUCAUCACCCUACCCCGAGCUAACUCGGGUCGUAGGGAACAAGACCGGCGUCCCAUCUGGCUCGCUCCGCCAGAUAGGCAAUGAUGGCGCCCCGCAUACUCUGUGACGACGGCGACUCUCAGCCCCCUUACGGAAGCAAGAGGACGUCAGCAAGGACUCAACCGCUCCGACAGCUGUCCCUCCGCUAGGCUCCAUCGCUCCUCCGACGGCCACGACAUCACACCAGCUGGGCGCCAAAAUCUCUCCGGCUGCCACAACGACAUGUACUUAGGGCGCUAGCUCUCCUCCGCUAGACACGUAGCACUUUGCUACACCCCCCAUUGUACACCUGGAUCCUCUCCUUACGCCUAUAAAAGGAAGGACCAGGGCCCUCUUAGAGAGGGUUGGCCGCGCGGGGACGAGGACGAGACAGGCGCUCGCUUGAAGCCGCUUGCUCCCUCUCCCGCGUGGACGCUUGUAACCCCCCUACUACAAGCGCACCCGACCUGGGCGCGGUACGAACACGAAGGCCGCGGGAUUCCCACCUCUCUCACGCCGGUCUCCGGCCGCCUCGCUCUCCCCCCUUCGCGCUCGCCCUCGCGCUCGACCCAUCUAGGCUGGGGCAUGCGGCGACAUUCACUCGUCGGCUCAGGGACCCCCCGGUCUCAGAACGCCGACAGUUGGCGCGCCAGGUAGGGGCCUGCUACGUGUUGACGAACAGCUUCCCGUCAAGCUCCAGAUGGGCAGUCUCCAGCAACCUCUCCAACCCCGGACGGUGCUCCGUUUCGGGAGUCUUGAGUUCAUGUCCCUCGACGGCAGCUACGACAUGAUACUCCUUCCACCGCCGCGCGACAACGACAAUGGCGGCCGACAGCCCGCCCGCCGGUGGCGGAAUCGACGACGUCUUCCCCGCGUGGUGGAAGAACAACUUUCGAGCUCGUCCCGCCCUCUUCCCCAUCGACGGAGGGGGAGGCGGGGCAACCAAGGCCAAGCAGGAGGCAGCGCCUCGUCAGCUGUCGAGCGAGUCGACAGCACCGGCACCCCAACGGGGGGUGCACCGGGUAUCGACUUCGCGCUUGAGACGAAGACGAGCGCCGUCUUCCCGCGACACGCCAAUCCCGAGCAAGCAGACGACGCCAGCACGCUCGCGAAAAGCUUGCUGGACAUCACCCUCGUACCUGAGACGACGGUGCAGUCAGUCCCCGACGUGACUUUAUCGCCGCUCGUCGACCAAGAGGUACCGACCGAUUCCCAUCCCACGACAUUUGGAUUCAGCCUCAACCCGCCUAGCGACCCCGCUUUGGCGGGCGCUCUCGUAGAGGCGAGUCCAAACCCACUGGGGUUUCGUAUGCGGUCACUUUGGGACCGGCUGACGGACGUCUCGACCUACGGGCCCUCCGGGUCCGAGGAAGACGACGAGCCCAGCUUCUGUUGGGAUUUCUCUGGACUUGGCAACCCCAGUGCCAUGUGGGACUUCAUGACCGCAUGUGACUACUGCCUCUCCGACUGUUCCGACGGUAGCCGUAGCCUCGGCGACGAGGACUGUGGCCCAAGUCGCGAAUGCUUCCACGUCGAUCUAGGGGGUCCCUCCGAAGGCAACCAUCUCAGCAUGCCGGAGGACGGUGAUCUCCCUAGGCCGGUGCCUCGCGUUGACAUCCCACGGGAGCUAGCUGUGGUCCCCGUUCAGGCGGGGGGCCAUGACCCACAUCUCGAGCAAAUCCGCGAGGUGCAGGCCAGGCUCGACGAGGGAGCAGGAGCGCUUGAGCCGAUCCGCCGGGACGUCGGGCAGGCAUGGGCGGGCCAACCCCCGGCCGGAGAAAUACGUCAUCUACCCUAGGGCUUCCAGCACCGCGUCGCCGACGACGUCAGGGUCAGGCCACCACCCGCAUCUAGUGGGGUCGGCCAGAACCUGGCUGCAGCAGCGAUGCUUCUCCGCGCGAUGCCGAAGCCAUCAACCACCGAGGGGCGGCGGAUCCAGGGGGAGCUCAAGAAUCUCCUGGAAGGCGCCGCGGUCCGACGGGCCGAGAGCUCUGUCUCCUGAAGGCAGGGGUACCCCUCGAAACCUCAUGUCGCGACUUUCUGAUUCAUGCGGGAAGCCUCGGUCUACACCGGGCGCACGCGCAACACCGCGCCUGCGGCCCCAGGUCGCCUCGGCAACGAGCACCAUCACCGCGACCGUCGGGCCCACCUCGACGAGAGGGUGCGCCGAGGCUACCACCCCAGGCGUGGGGGACGCUACGACAGUGGGGAGGAUUGGAGUCCCUCGCCCGAACCACCCGAUCCGCAAGCCUUCAGCCGGGCCAUCCGACGGGCGCCGUUCUCGACCCGGUUCCGACCCCCGACUACUAUCACAAAGUACUCGGGGGAAACGAGACCGGAACUGUGGCUCGCGGACUACCGUCUGGUCUGCCAACUGGGUGGAACGGACGAUGACAACCUCAUCAUCCGCAACCUCCCCCUGUUCCUCUCCGACACCGCUCGCGCCUGGUUGGAGCACCUGCCUCCGCGGCAGAUCUCCAACUGGGACGACCUAGUCCAAGCUUUCGCCGUCAAUUUCCAGGGCACGUACGUGCGCCCCGGGAAUUCCUGGGACCUCCGAAGCUGCCAGCAGCAGCCGGGAGAGUCUCUCCGGGACUACAUCCGGCGAUUCUCGAAGCAUCGCACCGAGCUGCCCAACAUCACCAACUCGGAUGUCAUCGGCGCGUUCCUCGCCAGCACCACCUGCCGCGACCUGGUGAGCAAGCUGGGUCCCAAGACCCCCACCAGGGCGAGCGAGCUGAUGGACAUCGCCACCAAGUUCGCCUCCGGCCAGGAGGCAGUCGAGGCUAUCUUCCGAAAGGACAAGCAGCCCCAGGGCCGCCCAUCGGAAGAUGCUCCCGAGGCAUCAACUCAGCGCGGCGCCAAGAAGAAGGGCAAGAAGAAGUCGCAAGCGAAACACGACGCCGCCGACGCGGACCUUGUCGCCGCCGCCGAGUACAAGAACCCUCGGAAACCCCCCGGAGGUGCCAACCUCUUCGACAAGAUGCUCAAGGAGCCGUGCCCCUAUCACCAGGGGCCCGUCAAGCACACCCUUGAGGAGUGCGUCAUGCUUCGGCGCCACUUCCAAAGGGCCGGGCCACCCGCGGAGGGUGGCAGGGCCCGCGACGAUGAUAAGAAGGAAGAUCACCAAGCAGGAGAGUUCCCCGAGGUCCGCGGCUGCUUCAUGAUCUACAGUGGGCAAGCGGCGAAUGCCUCGGCUCGGCACCGCAAGCAAGAGCGCCGGGAGGUCUGCUCGGUGGGGGUGGCGGCGCCAGUCUAUCUAGACUGGUCCGACAAGCCCAUCACCUUCGACCGAGCCGAUCACCCCGACCAUGUGCCGAGCCCGGGGAAAUACACGCUCGUCGUCGACCCCGUCAUCGGCGACGUCAGGCUCACCAAGGUCCUCAUGGACAGAGGCAGCAGCCUCAACAUCAUCUACGCCGAGACCCUCGGGCUCCUGCGUGUCGAUCUGUCCUCCGUCCGAGCAGGCACUGCGCCCUUCCAUGGGAUCAUUCCCGGGAAGCGCGUCCAGCCCCUCGGACAACUCGACCUUCCCGUCUGCUUCGGAACACCCUCCAACUUCCGAAGGGAGACCCUGACGUUCGAGGUGGUCGGGUUCCGAGGAACCUACCACGCGGUACUGGGAAGACCAUGCUACGCGAAGUUCAUGGCCGUCCCCAACUACACCUACCUGAAGGUCAAGAUGCCGGUACCCAACGGGGUCAUCGCCGUCGGCCCCACGUACAAACACGCGUUCGAAUGCGACGUGGAGUGCGUGGAAUACGCCGAGGCCCUCGCCGAGUCCGAAGCCCUCAUCGCCGACCUGGAGAGCCUCUCAAAGGAGGUGCCAGACGUGAAGCGUCAUGCCGGCAACUUUGAGCCAGCGGAGACGGUUAAGUCCGUCCCCCUCGACCCCAGCGACGACGCCUCCAAGCAGAUCCGGAUCGGCUCCAGGCUCGAUCCCAAAUAGGAAGCAGUGCUCGUCGACUUUCUCCGCGCGAACGCCGAUGUCUUCGCGUGGAGUCCCUCGGACAUGCCCGGCAUACCGAGGGAUGUCGCCGAGCACUCGCUGGACAUCCGAGCCGGAGCCCGACCCGUCAAGCAGCCUCUGCGCCGAUUCGACGAGGAGAAGCGCAGAGCCAUAGGCGAGGAGAUCCACAAGCUAAUGGCGGCAGGGUUCAUCAAAGAGGUAUUCCAUCCCGAAUGGCUUGCCAACCCUGUGCUUGUGAGAAAGAAAGGGGGGAAAUGGCGGAUGUGUGUAGACUACACUGGUCUCAACAAAGCAUGUCCGAAGGUUCCCUACCCUCUGCCUCGCAUCGAUCAAAUCGUGGAUUCCACUGCUGGGUGUGAAACCCUGUCUUUCCUCGAUGCCUACUCGGGGUAUCAUCAAAUCAGGAUGAAAUAGUCCGACCAGCUCACGACUUCUUUCAUCACACCCUUCGGCAUGUACUGCUAUGUCACCAUGCCGUUCGGCUUGAGGAAUGCGGGCGCGACGUACCAGCGGUGCAUGAACCAUGUGUUCGGUGAACACAUUGGCCGCACGGUCGAGGCCUACGUCGAUGACAUCGUAGUCAAGACGAGGAAAGCUUCUGACCUCCUUUCCGACCUUGAAGUGACAUUCCGAUGUCUCAAGGCGAAAGGCGUCAAGCUCAAUCUCGAGAAGUGUGUCUUCGGGGUGCCCCAAGGCAUGCUCUUGGGGUUCAUCAUCUCCGAGCGGGGCAUCGAAGCCAACCCGGAGAAGAUCGCAGCCAUCACCAGCAUGGGGCCCAUCAAGGACUUGAAAGGCGUACAGAGGGUCAUGGGAUGUCUCGCGGCUCUGAGCCGCUUCAUCUCACGCCUCGGCGAAAGAGGUCUACCUCUGUACCGCCUCUUGAGGAAGGUCGAGUGCUUCACUUGGACCCCUGAGGCCGAGGAAGCCCUCGGGAACCUGAAGGCGCUCCUCACAAAGGCGCCUAUCUUGGUGCCUCCAGCUGCCGGAGAAGCCCUCUUGGUCUACGUCGCCGCGACCACUCAGGUGGUUAGCGUCGCGAUUGUGGUCGAGAGGCAAGAAGAGGGGCAUGCAUUGCCCGUUCAGAGGCCAGUUUACUUCGUCAGCGAGGUACUGUCCGAAACCAAGAUCCGCUACCCACAAAUUCAGAAGCUGCUGUAUGCGAUGAUCCUGACACGGCAGAAGUUGCGACACUACUUCGAGUCUCAUCCGGUAACUGUGGUGUCAUCCUUCCCCCUGGGGGAGAUCAUCUAGUGCCGAGAGGCCUCGGGUAGGAUUGCAAAGUGGGCGGUGGAAAUCAUGGGCGAGACAAUCUCGUUCGCCCCUCGGAAGGCCAUCAAGUCCCAGGUCUUGGCGGACUUCGUGGCCGAAUGGGUCAACACCCAGCUACCGACGGCUCCAAUCCAACCGGAGCUCUGGACCAUGUUUUUCGAUGGGUCAUUGAUGAAGACGGGAGCCGGCGCAGGCCUACUCUUCAUCUCGCCCCUCGGGAAGCACAUACGCUAUGUGCUACGCCUCCACUUCCCAGCGUCCAACAAUGUGGCUGAGUAUGAAGCUCUGGUCAACGGAUUGCGGAUCGCCAUCGAGCUAGGGGUCCGACGCCUCGACGCUCGCGGUGACUCGCAGCUCGUCAUCGACCAAGUCAUGAAGAACUCCCACUGCCGCGACCCGAAGAUGGAGGCCUACUGCGAUGAGGUUCGACGCUUGGAAGACAAGUUCUACGGGCUCGAGCUCAACCACAUCGCUCGGCGCUACAACGAGACUGCGGACGAGCUGGCUAAAAUAGCCUCGGGGCAAACAACGGUUCCCCCGGACGUCUUCUCCUGGGAUCUGCAUCAACCCUCCGUCAAGAUCGACGACACGGCCGAGCCUGAGACACCCUCGGCCCAGUCCGAGGUACCCUCGGCCCAGCCCGAGGUACCCUCGGCACAGCCCGAGGUGUAAUACCCAAAAAUGUAUUCAAAGUGAGUUGACUUGAUCUUCUUAAAUGUUUUACCAUCUACAACAUGGAACAUCCAAUUUGAGUGAACAAAUAACUAAUAAAAAUACUCUAUGCAUCAUGUUGGGGUUUUUUUUAUUUUGUUUGUGCAUUUCAUAAAAAUAAUAAUAAUAAUAAAGGUACAUUAAUAAUGAGAAAUAGGAUUUUAACAUGACUCAAAUUCUAGGGUUUGGAAAUAAUGUAUAAGAGAGAGCAAAAUGGAACUCUAUAAGUACCAUAAAGAGAAAUAUACAUAUAUAAAUGAUUCUUUUACUAGCAUAACUGGAUUAACUAUUUAAUUUAAAAUUACCAGUUCACAAGCCAAAAGUUUAAAUUCAGUUGAACAUUUGAAUUCAAUAGAAAUCUCUGAAAAAAAAAUGGAAAAGAAAAGAAAAUGGAGAAAGAAGCUGUGCGGGCCGGCUAACCUCAUUUCGGCCCAUUUCACCCCCUGACCUAUUCCUGCGGCCCAGCUCGUGCCGCACUCUCGUGCUGUGUAUGACAUGUGGGACCCACAUGUCGGCUACUUCCUUGACCUCUAGCUCGGUCGUGGCCGUUGCAACCGCCCGCCGCAAACCUCGCUGCUAGCUCAGGACCGCCCCAGCCGAAUCUCCGCGAACCGAUUCUGCGCUUGAAUCGCGGGAACGGAUUGACCUGGCGCAUGCGCCUCAUCUCACCACCGCGCGGAGCCCCAGAAUGAGGGACCCACGGGUCGUCUUCCACCUCCCGCGUUGGUCGGCUCUGCUCAACAGAAACCAAAAUUCACGCCGGGUCCUUGCCUGGGCGCGUGGUACGGAGCGUUGGGCUCGGUGUCUGCCUCCGUUGGGGAUAAAACCACUCCCCUGCUACCUCGCGCCAACAUAUUCCAGUCGCCAUCGUCGGUGGAGAACCUCCACCCAUUUUCCCCACCGUGUCCGGACAGUACCCCCGCCGCCAUCGAUUGUCGCCGUCGUCGCCUCCCAACCUCCGUUGUGCAGUUCCGAGCGUUCUGCAGGGUUGAUAGAUCGUGUGCACGGGCCUAAUCGAGCGCUGAGGCCGGCGGUGCGGCAAAAUUUCUCACCUUCUUCAUCCAGGCCACCUGGACGCGUGGGCAGAGUCGUCGCCGCAUCAAACCAAGGUAAAAAUCCCACCAUCGGAUUCACCUUGACCUCCUCUAUGUGUAGCGCUAGGGAAUCGAGAACUUAGCGUCUGGGCGAGUAGUUGGGGAGCUCCAGCCAUGGCACUCCGCCGCGGUGAGCAUGCAAUCGGGAUUGGGAGUAUCCGGGGAAGGAGAACGGUUCCUGGCCAUCGAUCUAUCACCGGUGUGACACCCCAGUGUCACCUAGGGUUUCUCUUAAAAAGCCAAACCAAGAACCAUUAUUUUAUGUGAACCAAAGUAAGCAUGAGCAUCAAAAUAACUUAAGUAAGAAAGAGUUCACCAAGUAUAUGCUUAAAAGUGUCAUGAUCAAAACAAUUGAGUCUCUUAAAGGAUAAGAAUGUGCAACCCUAAUUAAGAACCCUAAGUGAACCCCAUGAACAAAAUUCAAGAAAAUAAGAAAAAGGGGAUGAAAAGUUUAAAAUUUUGAGUUGAGCCAAUUAUAUAAGUUAAAGUAUAUUUGAUAAGCAACAAGAUAGAUUGAGAAAGCUUAGCCAAAAUAAUUCAAGAAAACCCCCAAAUCAAGCUUCUUUUGUUGGGACUCAUUGGGAAUUCUGAAUUUCAGAAUUCUGAAAUUCAGACCUUGAGCCAAAGAUCAGGGAUGUUCACCUUGAUCCCUAACUCGAAUCCUAAUGGCCCCAUUGACAAAAUUGUGUCUAACUAACCCCUCUGUCGUGUGCCAGAAGAUGGCAUUGGGACGCGAUCCCUAGACACGACAAAACUUGGGAUUUGCCUCGGGUUUGGGCAGGGAGACAGACCAGAUUUCCUGGCUCCAUAUCUCUGCAACCAGUAGGCAAAAUCCUAUGACCUCCACACAAGAAUGGUAGCUUGUAGGGAGGAGAAGAGGUUUCGUGCACUGGCCAAAGCAAGAGCAGGCUCGGAUGAGCGACCACACGCGCCAGAGCUUGGGCAGAACGCACGGGCACACGUGUUCGACCCUGGUCGGCACGCCAGAGCUCGCCCAACCCGCGCGCGCGCUCGCCCCGGCGUCCGGUCAAGUCCGCCGCGCGCCCACGCCCUCGGCCGUGCCCGCCCGCGCCUAUAAAGCCUCCCCGGGCGCACCUCUCUUCGCCCCGCACUCACCCUCACCGGCCAGCCACCGUUCCUUAGCUCCAGCAAGCGUAUUUCCGCCCGCCAUUGCCGCCAGAGCUACGGCCGCCGUGGCCAGCCCACUCCAACCACCCUCCAGCCCAACCAGUGCUUCGGCUAGCUCCGCCAGUGGCCCGUGAAGCUUGCCAAGCCCUCGGACCCGACCGGACUUCACCGGAGGUCCGAGAUCAACCUCACCGGACUUCGGUCUUCCUCCGCCGCGCGUGGACCGAGCUAUCCGGUGAGUCUCCGCCCAAUUCCUUUCGCUCAUGUCUUCUCUGGCAACCCAUGGACCUCCCUGACCUAUUUGAUUGAACUACCUCGCCGUGACCAGGCCGGUCUCCUCGCCGCCGACGAGCAUCCCCGCCUGCGCGCGUGGACCGACCGACUCCGGCCACCUCCGACGGCGUUCCGCACACCGUUGUGAUCCCCGCAACCUCCCCUUCGUCCUCGACCACUUCACCGGAACAGUCUCGCCGCCGGUAAGCCCCUCCGCCCUUUUCUUCGCCGCGGCUACUGUUUGAGGUAGAAGAAGGACCUCGGGUUAGGUUCUGUAGAACCCGAGGGGUUUUCUGUAAUGUCAGCGACUCAUGUGAAUAGUAACCUAAGGACUGAUUCGCGAGGAAAACCUAGAAAAACCGCCAGGGACCCCAGUGCAAAGUGGAUUUCCAUUUAAUCAAUUCUGUUAUUCUUUUAAAAUAACCAGAGAACUUAGAAAAUCCAUAACUUGAUGAAAUCUUAAUGAAAAGCUGUCAAACCAAUUUUGCUAGCUCUGGAAUAUUAUGAUCUAUUAUUUAAAAAUAGUGAACCGUAUGCUUUCUGUUCUAAAUUUUAGAGUUUAAAAUUAAAAACAGAAACCCCCUAAACCUUGUUUAAUUAAGGAAAAUUAGUUUUUCUUUUGUGUUGAGCUUAAGAAAAUUUGUAGAUGCUUAUACCUUAAUUAUACACUGUUUAAAAAUAGUAGGAGCCCCAGCAUUGGAGAUUAUGAUGUAGUUAUUUAUUUAAAGCCAUUUUGUCCAAAACUUAGAGAAAAUCAGAAAAACAUUAGAAAAUGUUGAACAGUGAUUAAUAAUAUUUUUCCUAGUUUACUUAUGCAACAGAGAACCUAGGAAAAAUGCAGAGACCAUUAAUUAGGACCAGUUUCUAAUUAAGAUGCUCUAUUUAGCCUUAUGUAGACUGAAAAUCAAUUAUUAGAAUUGCAAAACUAUAACCAAAGUGGUUAACAAAAAUCCAGUGAACUUAUAACCAUCAGAGCCCCACUACAAAAAUACAGAGCACCCCAGCCUAACUUUUUAAGUAGGGAAAAUAAAUACAGAAUGAUAAUAAGGCAUUUUCCCACUAAAUCAUGAGCAACCCCAAAUAAUAUGAUUUUGGGCAGCCAAAAUUUUGCUAAGUCCAUGAUGAGAUAAACCACCAGAGAAAAAUACAAACCCAUGAAAAAGAAGUGAACCCAUGCAUUUUGCUAAUAAUUUGUGAGAAAGGCCAUUUAGCUCAAAUAAUGCAAACCACCCCUUCCCUUAAGCAAAAGGAAGCCAAACUUCAGAAUGAUUGCUCUUGCACAAAAUACUAGCUAAGAAAAAUGAAAACUCGGUUGUUUGAUGUUUUUCAAGUAUAGUGGUAGUAGAAAACACCCCUUUGGCUAGAAACCUUAAGAAAAUCAUAGGGAAAGAAUUAAAGGGUAUUAAUGACUAGAAAGUUGUAUCAAGUCAUGUUAUAACACCUAAAAGCCAGCAAAAAUAAGCUUUUGAGAAUUACCCACUGUUAAAUAAUAGUUGUAGCUCAAAGUACCUCUUCUGCCCUAAAAUUUGGUAAUUUUGUCCAGAGAAAACCAUUCACUUUCUGAACCCCAAAUUUUGUGACAGAGAAUCAUACACCAGUAACAAGCCACUGUAAUUUUUGCAGAAUUUUUAGAAUUUUAUAAAAGCAACUUGUAGUUCAAACCUACUCCAAAACAUUAAAGAGAAUAAAAGAAAAGAGAAGAAGGAAUAAACCUCAUCCCAUUAAAACUAACCCAAUUUACCAAGUAUACCACUAAAGGGUUUUACAUAAGCAAGGUUAACUUGUUUAAAUUCAAAAAAAGACCAUACAUCUUUAAAGUUGUAAAUUCUAAAGCACAUAUCAUAUCAUGCAUGUAUCUUACGCAUUGCAUUCAUUAGAUUGUAAUCUUGCCGACGGAGAGUACGUGCUCAUCCCCGAGCAAGGACCUGUCCAAGAGGAGGACCAGGAGCAGGCUUCAGAGGCUGCUAUUGAGGAUCUCCCCGCAGCCCCAGCAAUUGAAGGCAAGCCCCGGUUUUAUGCAUAACCAUGUUAUUAUAUGCUACUUUACUACACUUAAUGCUUGUAGGAUUGUAAUGUGCACUUAAGUGUAGGAGUUGCUUGAAACUCUAGUUGCAUGAACUUAGGAUUCCUUUUUGAGAUGAAUACCAGUAUGCUAGGUCGAGUAGCUGCUUGCUAAUCAGGAUCUCGGUAGAAGUCGAGUGAUUUUUCUAGCACUCGCGCGAGGUCAGGAAUUGAUUGUAUUCAUCUUGAUAAUGGGAUAUAUGUUGGUCCGUGGACUUGGAUCCAGGGAGGAUGCCUUGUCCAUGAGACGGGAAAAAUGAAUUAAGGAUUAAUGUGUGGAUACCUGAGUCAAGCUUUUGAACGUACUAAGCACAUGCCGGGAAAAAUGGUAACCGGUAAACCUAGUACCUGAGUGAAGCCGGGCGCGGACUUUAUCCCUCAUGCGACCUGAGACUGGGUCUCCCAUGCUAGCUAUGGUGGGUACAAGUGCGGUCACUGCACGGCGGCAGCCGGGGUCAGUGGAGCAUUGUAUGCCAAGGCGGUGAGGCCUGGACGCGAACGGGGAAUCGAUGGGGACGGUUGUCAUGUGUAGGGUCGGAGUACCCUGACAUGCCGUGUGUUUAGGUUUACCUUGCAAGGUUUUAAAACUCGAUUCGAAUCGUCUGCUUCUCGCAGCUAAUGAGACUGCUUGAUUCCUUGUACUGCAUCGAGUAAGAAGUGAAAUGUGGAUUACAUGAGAUAACUUGUUGAUUGAGCUAAUUGCUUGUUACCAUGUAUGCUUAGAAGGAGCAAAUCUAGCUAAGUUAAUGAUGGUAGAACUUGAAAAGCUAAAAAUUGAUUUUAGAAACAGCUAGUGCUUUUGGCAAACCAAACCCCUCAGCCAAACAGCUGCAUAGUCUAGAGGUAGAGGAGUAGACUCCUCACACCGGUUAAGUCUAGCUGAGUAUUAGUAUACUCAGCCUUGCUUGUGGCACCAUUUUUGCAGGUACCAUGCAGGAUGUAGUUGAUGGUGUAACUUGGCCUACCACCCUGCCACCGGGUUGGACGGUCGAGUGGGAUGUUGCUCCGGCAGGAGAGGAGCAUGAGGAGUAGUGGGCUAGGCCUUGCCCAAUUCCUCAUUACCGAUGACAUCGAUUAUCCGCUGCACUUUAAUUUGUGAACUUUAGUUGCUACUCCAAAAACUCUGAUUUAUGUAAUAACUCAGCACUUAAUUUGAGGUUUCCUGUUUUAUUGUAUUUCUUCUGUGACUCGCCUUCGAGUGAGAUUGUGGAAUUUGAUCCUGGUUAAGUGGCUCUAUCAGACUAGAUCUGAGGGACCGACGGGUUAUUCCGAUUUAAGUGUGUUACGGCCCCUGAGGCGUGACUUAGGCACUUAAGCUGGAAUAAUUUGGGUGGUUCUGCCACAGCUGGUAUCGGAGCAAAUUCCACCACAGAGAAGGACAAUAAACCAUGAAUACCAAUUUUCAAAAUCUAAAAACCUGCCUAGAAGCUACUACGGAUCGUCAGGACUAGAUCGCUAGACCUAGGACGAAAGGCCUUAGGCAUAGAGGGAGAAAUAGGUGGCUAAUUUAUUAGGCCCUGUGGGCCAAUAUUUAUAUUUUUAAGGAUGCCCUAAAAAGGCACCCUAUUUUCCUUUUGAGAGGCAACGUUUCUUUCAGCAUGCAUGCAUUAUAAAACACAUAGAGGAAUUAAAAAUUUGAGCUAACCCCUUUUCCUUGAAACCAUCCGGGCUCUCUUUUUCCUUCCACCAUAAUCUUUAUCUUUGAUUCCCUUCCGCAGAUGAAUUCACCCACCCCCGCCAGUGGAGGAGACUCUCGUUUCAGUUCUGACUUCCUUUCUCGCGAUGGCUUUCCUUCCAUUUUGUGGGAAGUGCUUAACUCUGCCGGUUACCCUACGCCCCCUUCGUACACAGUGCAGUUGUAUGAGGAGCAUCGGGUACCUCGUUGUCGGGUCUGGCUAACUUUGGAGGCUCAUCCCCUUCAGCCGGGUUGGCGUUCUCUUGACUCUGAGACGAUUGGACUCAGGACGGACGACACCAUUGAGGCAGCAGCCAUGAAGACUCUGACGACUUUCUGUGGCUACCAUCCCCUGGAGAUGGUGAUGCACCCCUUGGGACUCUUCCCUGCUGAGAAGAAGGAUGAUCCCAUGUGGUGUAACCGCGUGAGCCAUGUGAAGGAUGUGUGGGCAAUGUAUCCUGACUUGGUUGGGAGGGUCACUGUUCAGUGCAUGAGUGCGCUGUACCGCCUUCAGGCCCUUCAGAGCGAUGCUAUGACACUUCUUGCUAACACCGCUCAGGCUGCCAAGCUCACUCUCGACAGUCGGGAAGAUUUUGUGGCCGACCUAUCCACAGAGUUGGUGGAGAAGGAUUUGCAGGUGGAGAGGCUGAGCCAGCGUAUCACCACCCUGGAGCAGCAAGUGGAGAUCCGAGAUAACACUAUUGAUGUCUUGGAGAACCAGCUUCACGACGUGCAGAGGGAACUUGAGGAAGCCAAUGACCACUUGGACAUGCACCACCUGGAGAUGGAGGCCAAUGAAGCAGGAAGCGAGUGAGAAGAGGCUCCCGAGGAGCUAGGACCAGCCCCUGGUGCCAAUGGGACUACCUCCGCGAUACCUCCUUCACCCGUAUCCAGUGUCGCUUCCACCGCUCAGGGUUAAGCAGUCGCUUUGACAUUUUUAGGCGGAUAGAAACCUAUGCGAGCUUAGUAGUAUCACAUUUUGGACUAGGCUUGUGGGUACCUUCCCCUGAUUAAUGUAACCCUGUAAACUUUUGAUAUCUGUGGGAUCCUUGUCACCCUGUUAUCUUCAUUUCGAACCUAAUAUUAUGAUUAUGGCAUUUUCCUUCCAUAUGAGAUGAUAUCUUGUCGUUCGGAACUGUGAAUUGGGAUAACAAUGGCGACAAUCUCUGUUUUCAGAUGGCAGCGAGGCAGCGUCGCGGGCAAAAUGAGCAAGCUCCCCCGCCACCUCCUCCAGCUCCCACAGUGCAGGAGCUGAUGGCCCAGCAGAAUGAAAUUCUGCGACAGCUCUUGCAGCGCCAGCCCCACCCUCAGCAUCAUGGUGGAGGCCAGCAUCAGCGACCUCCGGCUAUGGCAACAUACCAGGAAUUUCUGAGCACGCAGCCGCCCUUGUUCACCAAGGCAGAGGAUCCGUUGGACGCCGACGUGUGGCUUCGCGUCGUCGAGUCCAAGUUUCCCCUCCUCACGGGAGACUGCCCUGAUGAGGCCAAGGCUCGCUUCGCCGCACAGCAGCUUCGCGGCCCUGCUCGGACUUGGUGGGACCACUUCCGUGCUAUGCUCCCCGCUGAUCGUGAAGUAUCUUGGGAGGAAUUCAAGACUGCCUUCAGAGGGCACCACAUUCCAGUUGGCAUUCUUGAUCGGAAGUUGAACGAAUUCCUGGCCCUUAAUCAAGGAACCCGCACGGUACUGCAGUAUGCGCAAGCCUUCAACGACUUAUGCCAGUAUGCAGGGUAUCAUGCUGAUUCUGAUGAAAAGAAGAGGGAUCGCUUCCGCAGGGGUCUCAAUACCAAGCUGCGGGAACGACUCAAUACUGUCCGGGCCGAUAGCUUCAAUGAGUUGGUCAACAUGGCCAUCUCUCAGGAGGAUUGCAUUGUUGCUCACCGGGCAGAGAAGAAGAGGAAGGCACCAAUGGCAGCACCAUCCGCUCAGGCUCAGAGGUUCCGGAUUGUUUCUCACAAUCAGAGCAGGGGUUUUCAGCAGCAGGCAGGCAGAUGGGUGAUCAGGCCACCUCAGCAGCAGCAGCAGCCGGCACCCAACCGCUAUCCAGCUCCCGCCCCAAGAAACAAUCAGCCUCAGCAGCAGCAGCAGUUCCGCCAGGGCAAUGGGAACAAGUGUUUCACUUGUGGCAAUGUGGGCCACUAUGCCAAGAAUUGUCCCAGGAACCAGCAGAGGCAGAUGCCAGCACCAAAUCAAGACAAGGGAAGAAAGCAGAAGGUGCAAGUCAGGCAAGGGAAGCUCAACUUCACUGCUCUAGAGGAAGUGCCAGAAGGAGCUCCUAUCAUGACCGGUACCUUUUCAGUUUAUAAUCAACCUGCUUUAAUUCUGUUUGAUUCUGGUGCAUCUCAUAGUUUCAUUAGCCAAAAGUUCAGUGCUAAUUGCAAACUGCCAUUCUCUCACUCAAAAGGGUCAUUCAUGAUAGUCACACCUGGGGGUAAAAUUGCAACUAAUCAAUUAAACCAAAGUGUGCCUAUUCAACUGGGAAGCCACAUUGUCAAAACCACUCUUCUUGUGUUGGGAUUGAAAAAUGUGGACAUUAUUUUAGGAGCAAAUUGGAUGACCUUGCACCAAGUUGUGCUUGAUGUAGCCAGUCGUACCGUGGAAGUUAAUUCUCCCUUCUGCGGGAAUUUCACUUUGAUUCUGCCUAGUCAGGGUUCUUCUCAGUCAUGUGCUUUCUCUAUGACGGAGUUACCCCUGAAGAAGAUCCCAGUGGUCUGUGAGUAUGCAGAUGUCUUUCCUGAUGAAUUGCCAGGGAUGCCACCGGACCGGGAUAUUGAAUUCGCCAUCGAGUUGCAACCGGGAACGGCCCCAAUUUCCAAGAGGCCCUACCGAAUGCCACCCGCUGAGUUGGCAGAGUUGAAGAAGCAGUUGCAAGAGUUGCUGGAUAAGGGUUUCAUUCGCCCAAGCACUUCGCCUUGCGGAUGUCCAGCGCUGUUUGUGAAGAAGAAGGAUGAAAGCUUGAGGCUGUGUAUAGAUUACCGCCCUCUUAAUGCGGUAACUAUCAAGAACAAGUAUCCUUUGCCUCGUAUUGAUGUUCUCUUUGACCAGUUGGUCGGGGCCAAGGUGUUUUCCAAGAUAGACCUUCGCUCUGGCUACCACCAGAUCAAAAUACGAGCAAGUGAUAUUCCGAAGACGGCAUUCUCAACCAGAUAUGGGCUAUAUGAAUUCUUGGUAAUGUCAUUCGGGCUCACAAAUGCGCCAGCAUAUUUCAUGUAUCUGAUGAAUUCUGUUUUCAUGCCGGAAUUGGACAAGUUCGUGGUGGUUUUCAUCGAUGAUAUUCUGGUGUACUCAAGGAACGAAGAAGAACAUGUCGGGCAUUUGCAUGUAGUGCUUCAACGUCUGCGAGAGCACCACCUUUAUGCCAAGUUAUCCAAGUGUGAUUUUUGGCUAAAGGAAAUCAAAUUCUUGGGUCACACUAUCUCUCAGGCUGGAAUAGCUGUUGAUCCUGAUAAAGUGCAAGAGGUGAUGAACUGGAGGCCACCAACGACUGUUCGCCAGAUUCGGAGUUUUCUGGGAUUGGCUGGUUAUUACCGAAGAUUUAUUCCGGACUUCUCUCGAAUUGCGAAGCCUAUUACUGAGUUGCUGAAGAAAGAGGUCAAGUUUGUGUGGAGUCAGAAGUGCGAAGAUGCCUUCCAUGCAUUAAGGCAGCAUCUGACCACAGCACCAGUAUUGGCGCAACCCGACAGCAGCAAGCCUUUUGAUGUGUAUUGCGAUGCCUUUGGCACCGGGCUAGGUUGUGUCUUGAUGCAAGACAACCGAGUCAUUGCUUAUGCCUCAAGAGCACUCAGGCCUCAUGAGCAAAAUUAUCCUACUCAUGAUCUUGAGUUAGCAGCAGUGGUUCAUGCAUUGAAGAUGUGGAGGCACUAUCUAAUGGGAACCCACUGCAACAUCUUCACUGAUCAUAAGAGCCUUAAGUACAUUUUUACUCAGGCUGAUCUCAACAUGAGGCAGAGAAGAUGGCUAGAGCUGAUCAAGGAUUAUGACCUGGAGGUACAUUAUCACCCAGGGAAGGCUAAUGUGGUAGCUGAUGCCUUGAGUCGGAAGUUGCAAUGCAACUGUAUUCUGAUGGAUUCUCAUGUUAACACCUUGUGUGAUGAGUUGAGCAAGAUGCAAAUUGAAGUGAUUCCUUCUGGUUCUUUGUCUCACAUUGCUGUUGAGCCAGCUUUGCAAGACCAGAUUAUCAUGGCCCAGCUCAGUGACAAGGGAGUGCAGAUUAUCAAGAAGAAUCUCCAUCAGAAGGUUGAGAAGUAUAAUUGUUUCCGCCAGGAUGAGAAGGGUGUGUUAUGGUUCAAAAGCAGAUUGGUAAUUCCUAAGGACCAGGAUCUCAAGAAGAAAAUUUUGGAUGAGGCUCAUCUCUCCAAAUUCUCUAUGCAUCCGGGAAGCACCAAGAUGUACCAUGAUUUGAAGCUUUUGUACUGGUGGACCAGAAUGAAGAGGGAGAUAGCCCAGUAUGUAUCAGAGUGUGACACCUGUCAGAGGAUAAAGGCAAGCCACUUGAAGUCCGCUGGAGCUUUGCAACCACUGUCCGUACCUUCGUGGAAGUGGGACGACAUCAGCAUGGAUUUCAUUGUGGGUCUACCCAACACCUCUCGUCAUCAUGAUUCGAUUUGGGUUAUUGUGGACCGAUUGACGAAAGUGGCACAUUUUCUUCCUGUGCACACCACUGAUAAGGCUCAGAAGUAUGCAGAAUUGUAUAUUGACCGAAUCGUGUGUUUGCAUGGAUUACCUCGGACCAUUGUUUCUGACCGAGGAGCCCAAUUUGUUGCCAGAUUUUGGGAACAAUUGCAAGAGUCUUUGGGAACCAAGCUAAUCAGGAGUUCAGCUUACCACCCACAGACUGAUGGUCAGACGGAAAGGGUAAACCAGAUUCUGGAGGAUAUGCUGAGAGCUUGUGCGAUCGAUUGUGGCAAGAACUGGGAUAAGCACCUCUCCUUGGCAGAGUUUGCUUAUAACAAUAGUUAUCAAUCCAGCCUAAAGAUGGCACCUUUUGAAGCUCUCUAUGGAAGAAGGUGCAGGACACCACUCAAUUGGUCUCAGCCUGGUGAAAGAGAAGUUUUUGGACCUGAUUUGGUGACUGAAGCCGAAAGGAAGGUCAAGCUAAUCAGGAAGAAUCUAGAAGCUGCUCAGGCCAGGCAGAAGAGCUAUCAUGAUAGAAGAAGGAAACCUCUCCAGUUCGAGGUGGGAAGUUUUGUAUACCUCAAGGUAUCACCCACCAAGGGAGUGCAGAGGUUUGGGAUCAAAGGCAAGCUAGCCCCUCGUUACAUUGGACCUUAUGAGAUCAUAGAAGCAUGUGGACCCGUGGCAUACAAGCUGAAGUUACCUUCAAAAAUGUCUGCCAUUCACAGUGUAUUCCAUGUAUCUCAGCUGAAGAAGUGUAUUCGAUUGCCGACUGAGAUCAUAGCAGAGCCAGAAUUGGAGGUAGAGCCAGAUCUCUCGUACCAAGAGUACCCCUCCAAGAUUCUGGAUUGCAAGGAAAGAUCAACUCGGGCUAAAUCAAUCAAGAUGUUCAAGGUCCAGUGGAGUAAUCACUCAGAGGAGGAAGCUACUUGGGAAACCGAGGAAUUCCUAGGAUCCAACUUCCCCGAUUGCCUACCUAAGGAAGCUGGUAUGUAAUCACCCCCAACCCCUCCUCCUGCCUUCCGAAUCUAAUUUCCAAAAAUAUGAUCUUAAUUCAGAAUGAAGUGACUAUAAAGUAAAACUUAAAGGGACUUCCUUCUGAAGUUGCAAAGAGAAUGACAUUCAAAGAGCAGUUUUGCCCUAAUAAUAACAAUCCCCACCCUUUUCCUAUCAGUCUCACCCUUCGCUUCACCCCGGGAGGACUCUGGCCCAAAUCUCGGGACGAGAUUCCUUUAAGGGGGGAAGGCUGUGACACCCCAGUGUCACCUAGGGUUUCUCUUAAAAAGCCAAACCAAGAACCAUUAUUUUAUGUGAACCAAAGUAAGCAUGAGCAUCAAAAUAACUUAAGUAAGAAAGAGUUCACCAAGUAUAUGCUUAAAAGUGUCAUGAUCAAAACAAUUGAGUCUCUUAAAGGAUAAGAAUGUGCAACCCUAAUUAAGAACCCUAAGUGAACCCCAUGAACAAAAUUCAAGUAAAUAAGAAAAAGGGGAUGAAAAGUUUAAAAUUUUGAGUUGAGCCAAUUAUAUAAGUUAAAGUAUAUUUGAUAAGCAACAAGAUAGAUUGAGAAAGCUUAGCCAAAAUAAUUCAAGAAAACCCCCAAAUCAAGCUUCUUUUGUUGGGACUCAUUGGGAAUUCUGAAUUUCAGAAUUCUGAAAUUCAGACCUUGAGCCAAAGAUCAGGGAUGUUCACCUUGAUCCCUAACUCGAAUCCUAAUGGCCCCAUUGACAAAAUUAUGUCUAACUAACCCCUCUAUCGUGUGCCAGAAGAUGGCAUUGGGACGCGAGCCCUAGACACGACAAAACUUGGGAUUUGCCUCGGGUUUGGGCAGGGAGACAGACCAGAUUUCCUGGCUCCAUAUCUCUGCAACCAGUAGGCAAAAUCCUAUGACCUCCACACAAGAAUGGUAGCUUGUAGGGAGGAGAAGAGGUUUCGUGCACUGGCCAAGGCAAGAGCAGGCUCGGAUGAGCGACCACACGUGCCAGAGCUUGGGCAGAACGCACGGGCACACGUGUUCGACCCUGGUCGGCACGCCAGAGCUCGCCCAACCCACGCGCGCGCUCGCCCCGACGUCCGGUCAAGUCCGCCGCGCGCCCACGCCCUCGGUCGUGCCCGCCCGCGCCUAUAAAGCCUCCCCGGGCGCACCUCUCUUCGCCCUUUUCUUCGCCGCGACUACUGUUUGAGGUAGAAGAAGGACCUCGGGUUAGGUUCUGUAGAACCCGAGGGGUUUUCUGUAAUGUCAGCGACUCAUGUGAAUAGUAACCUAAGGACUGAUUCGCGAGGAAAACCUAGAAAAACCGCCAGGGACCCCAGUGCAAAGUGGAUUUCCAUUUAAUCAAUUCUGUUAUUCUUUUAAAAUAACCAGAGAACUUAGAAAAUCCAUAACUUGAUGAAAUCUUAAUGAAAAGCUGUCAAACCAAUUUUGCUAGCUCUGGAAUAUUAUGAUCUAUUAUUUAAAAAUAGUGAACCGUAUGCUUUCUGUUAUAAAUUUUAGAGUUUAAAAUUAAAAACAGAAACCCCCUAAACCUUGUUUAAUUAAGGAAAAUUAGUUUUUCUUUUGUGCUGAGCUUAAGAAAAUUUGUAGAUGCUUAUACCUUAAUUAUACACUGUUUAAAAAUAGUAGGAGCCCCAGCAUUGGAGAUUAUGAUGUAUUUAUUCAUUUAAAGCCAUUUUGUCCAAAACUUUGAGAAAAUCAGAAAAACAUUAGAAUAUGUUGAACAGUGAUUAAUAAUAUUUUUCCUAGUUUACUUAUGCAACAGAGAACCUAGGAAAAAUGCAGAGACCAUUAAUUAGGACCAGUUUCUAAUUAAGAUGCUCUAUUUAGCCUUAUGUAGACUGAAAAUCAAUUAUUAGAAUUGCAAAACUAUAACCAAAGUGGUUAACAAAAAUCCAGUGAACUUAUAACCAUCAGAGCCCCACUACAAAAAUACAGAGCACCCCAGCCUAACUUUUUAAGUAGGGAAAAUAAAUACAGAAUGAUAAUAAGGCAUUUUCCCACUAAAUCAUAAGCAACCCCAAAUAAUGUGAUUUUGGGCAGCCAAAAUUUUGCUAAGCCCAUGAUGAAAUAAACCACCAGAGAAAAAUACAAACCCAUGAAAAAAAAGUGAACCCAUGUCUUUUGCUAAUAAUUUGUGAGAAAGGCCAUUUAGCUCAAAUAAUGCAAACCACCCCUUCCCUUAAGCAAAAGGAAGCCAAACUUCAGAAUGAUUGCUCUUGCACAAAAUACUAGCUAAGAAAAAUGAAAACUCGGUUGUUUGAUGUUUUUCAUGUAUAGUGGUAGUAGAAAGCACCCCUUUGGCUAGAAACCUUAAGAAAAUCAUAGGGAAAGAAUUAAAGGGUAUUAAUGACUAGAAAGUUGUAUCAAGUCAUGUUAUAACACCUAAAAGCCAGCAAAAAUAAGCUUUUGAGAAUUACCCACUGUUAAAUAAUAGUUGUAGCUCAAAGUACCCCUUCUGCCCUAAAAUUUGGUAAUUUUGUCCAGAGAAAACCAUUCACUUUCUGAACCCCAAAUUUUGUGACAGAGAAUCAUACACCAGUAACAAGCCACUGUAAUUUUUGCAGAAUUUUUAGAAUUUUAUAAAAGCAACUUGUAGUUCAAACCUACUCCAAAACAUUAAAGAGAAUAAAAGAAAAGAGAAGAAGGAAUAAACCUCAUCCCAUUAAAACUAACCCAAUUUACCAAGUAUACCACUAAAGGGUUUUACAUAAGCAAGGUUAACUUGUUUAAAUUCAAAAAAAGACCAUACAUCUUUAAAGUUGUAAAUUCUAAAGCACAUAUCAUAUCAUGCAUGUAUCUUACGCAUUGCAUUCAUUAGAUUGUAAUCUUGCCGACGGAGAGUACGUGCUCAUCCCCGAGCAAGGACCUGUCCAAGAGGAGGACCAGGAGCAGGCUUCAGAUGCUGCUAUUGAGGAUCUCCCCGCAGCCCCAGCAAUUGAAGGCAAGCCCCGGUUUUAUGCAUAACCAUGUUAUUAUAUGCUACUUUACUACACUUAAUGCUUGUAGGAUUGUAAUGUGCACUUAAGUGUAGGAGUUGCUUGAAACUCUAGUUGCAUGAACUUAGGAUUCCUUUUUGAGAUGAAUACCAGUAUGCUAGGUCGAGUAGUUGCUUGCUAAUCAGGAUUUCGGUAGAAGUCGAGUGAUUUUUCUAGCACUCGCGCGAGGUCAGGAAUUGAUUGUAUUCAUCUUGAUAAUGGGAUAUAUGUUGGUCCGUGGACUUGGAUCCAGGGAGGAUGCCUUGUCCAUGAGACGGGAAAAAUGAAUUAAGGAUUAAUGUGUGGAUACCUGAGUCAAGCUUUUGAACGUACUAAGCACAUGCCGGGAAAAAUGGUAACCGGUAAACCUAGUACCUGAGUGAAGCCGGGCGCGGACUUUAUCCCUCAUGCGACCUGAGACUGGGUCUCCCAUGCUAGCUAUGGUGGGUACAAGUGCGGUCACUGCACGGCGGCAGCCGGGGUCAGUGGAGCAUUGUAUGCCAAGGCGGUGAGGCCUGGACGCGAACGGGGAAUCGAUGGGGACGGUUGUCAUGUGUAGGGUCGGAGUACCCUGACAUGCCGUGUGUUUAGGUUUACCUUGCAAGGUUUUAAAACUCGAUUCGAAUCGUCUGCUUCUCGCAGCUAAUGAGACUGCUUGAUUCCUUGUACUGCAUCGAGUAAGAAGUGAAAUGUGGAUUACAUGAGAUAACUUGUUGAUUGAGCUAAUUGCUUGUUACCAUGUAUGCUUAGAAGGAGCAAAUCUAGCUAAGUUAAUGAUGGUAGAACUUGAAAAGCUAAAAAUUGAUUUUAGAAACAGCUAGUGCUUUUGGCAAACCAAACCCCUCAGCCAAACAGCUGCAUAGUCUAGAGGUAGAGGAGUAGACUCCUCACACCGGUUAAGUCUAGCUGAGUAUUAGUAUACUCAGCCUUGCUUGUGGCACCAUUUUUGCAGGUACCAUGCAGGAUGUAGUUGAUGGUGUGACUUGGCCUACCACCCUGCCACCGGGUUGGACGGUCGAGUGGGAUGUUGCUCCGGCAGGAGAGGAGCAUGAGGAGUAGUGGGCUAGGCCUUGCCCAAUUCCUCAUUACCGAUGACAUCGAUUAUCCGCUGCACUUUAAUUUGUGAACUUUAGUUGCUACUCCAAAAACUCCGAUUUAUGUAAUAACUCAGCACUUAAUUUGAGGUUUCCUGUUUUAUUGUAUUUCUUCUGUGACUCACCUUCGAGUGAGAUUGUGGAAUUUGAUCCUGGUUAAGUGGCUCUAUCAGACUAGAUCUGAGGGACCGACGGGUUAUUCCGAUUUAAGUGUGUUACGGCCCCUGAGGCGUGACUUAGGCACUUAAGCUGGAAUAAUUCGGGUGGUUCUGCCACAGCCGGACGGUGGAGAUUAGAAGUGAUGUACCCUUUCGCCGCGAUUCGAUCUGGUCCGUAGGAUUGAUCGGACGGCUCGGAGUAUAGGAAUCUUUCAUUAAAUCUGCACCGUUGAUCUUUUAUCCGAUGGCGCGCGCUGCGUACCGCUUCAUGUUAACCUAGAUCUAAUCUGGGUCACCCAUUUCUGAUCGGACGACCAGGAAUCACCCGUGCCACUUCGCUUGGCCAUUUUGCUAAAGAGUCCAUGACCUUUCUGGAAUAUAACCCGCCGUCCAGGGACCCUGUUCCCUGUGUCUUAGGAAACUUGCACCGAGCCCCUGACCUAUCCAGAAAUUGAGGCCCAGUCCAGGAAUUAAAGAAAAUAGGAAAUAGAGAUUUAGAAAUUGAUUAUGAGUAUAGAAAUACUUGUAAAACUUGUAUAAUCCAUAGAAAAUUCAUGUGAAGUCCAAAUUAAUCUAUUCCAAUUCCUAUAAUUUUGUAAUAUUAUUGUCUAUCAUCUAGUACUACUGUUUUGACAUGAAAGUCACAUCAAAAUUUAUAUCCCAUUUAAUCUUGUACAAAACACAUAGAAUCUUCAUAAAAUCAUAACUCCUCCGUUUUAACUCCGAUUUGAUUCGUUCAAGUUCCGUUAGUCUCAUAGCAGCGUAGAUUAUUAUUCAGUUUGUUCUUAUGUUUGGUGUGAUGUUAAUUUUGCCUAUACCAUGUAUGUUUGUAUUACUACGACUAGCAGUGAGGUCACGAGAAUCUGAAGAUCAUCCUGGUACCUGGAAUCUCAAGUCCCAGGCAAGUUGUGCCCUUGACCACUUUUUACCCAAUAAUGUUCUUUAAUAUCAUUUAUUCACGCAUAGGUUAAUUUUGAUGGGACCCAAUAGGUUACCCUAGAUUGUUUAUCUCAUUACCUUGUUUACCCCUAAAUCACUUGGGUAGUUUGCUAUUGCUUUACAUGGUUUUGGGAUAAUUAUUUAUUACAUCUAUGUUCCAAUUCUUUUUGUUAUUCUAUUUAUGUUCAUGUUGAGAUCAUUAAUGUUAAUUGGAACAUAGAGCUUAACUUGAGUAACACGUGCCACCACAAGGGUUUAAUGGGACGCCCUUGGCUGACUAAUUAGGAAAGCUAGUGGAAGACUACCUUACCCGAAAGGGGCAAGGGCAGUAGGGGAGUGGUCAGUGUAGGGAGGUCCUUGGUUGAUUUUGCUGCGAUGGCGGUCAGGCAAGAACCCUGCAUUGGAGCUUCCUAUAAACUGUAGCGGGUUUUCGGAAGCUAGUGGAACUUUGUAAAGGCCUCGUAGUGUUGCCCUGCCGCGCUUCCUAGGUAGAGGUGUAUGGGAGUCGCGGCCCCUUGGCAGAUGGGUAACAUGACUUGUGGGUAAAGGGUACAACCUCUGCAGAGUGUAAAACUGGUAUACUAGCCGAGCUCACGGUCAUGAGCAGCUCAGGACUCUUUGAUGAUUAAUUUAUGGAACUAAAUUCAAUUUGUCAUAUGCAUUGCAUCGCAGGUGAUGUUGUUACUUUUGUUCUACUACUUAAUUGGGUUUGGUAUUUACUUAUACUUAGUAAUUGCUAAUAAAAUUUUGACCAACUUUAAAAGCAAUGCUCAGCUCUAACCAUCAUCUUUGGUAAGCCUUACACUUCACAUGAACUCCCACCUUUGGCGAGUUCAUUCACAUUAUUCCCCACAACUUGUUGAGCGAUGAACGUAUGUGAGCUCACUCUUGCUGUCUCACACCCCCCCACAGGUCAAGGACAGGUACCGCAGGAUGAGGCGCUUGGAGGAUGCUGUGACGAGUUCGUGAGAGGUCUAGGCCGUCGUCUCCCAGUCAACUUUGGGUUGCUGGACCGUUGUCUCCUUAUAAUGUAAUUAUUUAUUUUGUAUAGAACUCCUGUUAUGUAGUAAAGAUGUGACAUUCGAUCCUGUGCCAUGAAUCAUCAUAUGUGUGAGACUUGGUCCCAACACACCUGGUGAUUAUGUUCGCGCUCGGGUUUUGAUCCCUAAAAUCCGGGUGUGACACGAGGCGCCCUCGGUUCAGCCCGAGGUACCCUCGGCCCCCGAGGGCGAGACGCUGCACGUCGAGGGGGAGCAAAGCGGGGUCACGCCUGAUCAAAACUGGCAGACCCCGUACCUACAAUAUCUCCACCGAGGAGAGCUACCCCUCGACCGAGCCGAGGCUCGGCGGGUGGCGCGGCGCGCCAAGUCGUUCGUCUUGCUAGGUGAUGAGAAGGAGCUCUACCACCGCAGCCCCUCUGGCAUCCUCCAGCGAUGCAUCUCCAUCACCGAAGGUCAGGAACUCCUGCGAGAGAUACACUCGGGGGCUUGCGGCCAUCACGCAGCGCCUCGAGCCCUUGUCGGGAAUGCUUUCCGACAAGGCUUCUACUGGCCCACGGCAGUGGCCGACGCUACCAGAAUUGUCCGCACCUACGAAGGGUGUCAAUUCUACGCAAGGCAGACCCACCUGCCCGCUCAGGCUCUGCAGACGAUACCCAUCACCUGGCCUUUUGCUGUGUGGGGUCUGGAUCUCGUCGGCCCCUUGCAGAAGGCACCCGGGGGCUACACGCACCUGUUGGUCGCCAUCGACAAAUUCUCCAAGUGGAUCGAGGUCCGACCCCUAAACAGCAUCAGGUCCGAGCAGGCGGUGGCGUUCUUCACCAACAUCAUCCAUCGCUUCGGGGUCCCGAACUCCAUCAACACCGACAACGGCACCCAGUUCACCGGCAGAAAGUUCCUAGACUUCUGCGAGGAUCACCACAUCCGGGUGGACUGGGCCGCCGUGGCCCAUCCCAUGACGAAUGGGUAGGUAGAGCGAGCCAACGGCAUGAUUCUACAAGGGCUCAAGCCUCGGAUCUACAACGACCUCAACAAGUUUGGCAAGCGAUGGAUGAAGGAACUCCCCUCGGUGGUCUGGAGUCUGAGGACAACACCGAGCCGAGCCACGGGCUUCACGCCGUUCUUUCUAGUCUAUGGGGCCGAAGCCAUCUUGCCCACAGACUUAAAAUACGGUUCCCCGAGGACGAGGGCCUACAUCGACCAAAGCAACCAAGCUAGCCGAGAAGACUCGCUGGACCAGCUGGAGGAGGCUCGGGACAAGGCUUUACUACACUCGGCGCGGUACCAGCAGUCCCUGCGACGCUACCACGCCCGAGGGGUCCGGUCCCGAGACCUCCAGGUGGACGACCUGGUGCUUCGGCUGCGACAAGACGCCCGAGGGCGGCACAAGCUCACGCCCCCUUGGGAGGGGCCCUUCGUCAUCGCCAAAGUUAUGAAGCCCGGAACGUACAAGCUGGCCAACAGUCAAGACGAGGUCUACGGCAACGCUUGGAACAUCCAAUAGCUACGUCGCUUCUACCCUUAAGAUGUUUUCAAAUUGCUCAUAUACCUCGCACCCACGCAAAGUUUAGUCAUCAAGGAAGGGUCGGCCUCGCCUCGGCAAAGCCCGACCCUCCCUCGGAGGCUAAAAGGGGGGGAACCCCCUCUGCGUUGAAAUUUUCCUCGAAGAAAGAUCUUUUCUACCAGAAUGUCUUUCGUGCUUCUUGACUACUUCGAAAGUGGAUCCUGAAAACGACGGAGUACACGUAAGCAGCCAAGGCUGACCGAGCCGAGGGACUCCUACGCCCCCGGGAUACGGAUACCUCACUCAUCACCUUCUGCGAUAAGUAACUCACGUUCGGAUAAGUGAUUCCGCGGACCGAACAAGUCUUCACGUCCGGAAGCUCUUCUGCCGAAGCGAUCCUUCGAGCCUUCUCGACUGCGUCGGUGACAGAGCCCCAUGGACGGAUAAGAGUGCACGUAAGCGGCAAGGCCGACCAAGCCGAGGGACUCCUACGCCUCCGGGAUACGGAUACCUCACUCAUCACCUUCCGCGAGAAGCAACUCUCGCUCGCACAAACAUCUCUGUUACCGACAAAAAAAGUCCAGAUACUCGAAACAAGAGGAAAAGAGAUGCAGCUUUACAACACAGCGAGGGUGUGUUUUGGCCUCGACGGCCGCAGGAAACACACGCUACAAGACAAUUCGAUCCUGCAGGCUCGGGUCUUGACGCUGGAAGGGAGCAGCAGCACCCUCGGCAUCGACGACACCUUCGGUGAGGUCCGACCUAGCCUCGGACGGCGACGCGGUCCGAGGAUCUCCACUCUAAAGGAUGGCGUCAUCGCCAUGCCCGGGCAAUCGCUGCCAGGGUCUUCUUUGGGAAUCCGGCCCGAGCAGGCGGCUCGGCCGGUCACCCCGGGGCCUCGGCCCACCAUCCUCCAAGGACGUCAGCCCGACUCGAGGCCUCGGCUGGUCAACUCCGGCGUCGGCCCCGCUAACGGACGACCCGGCCAGGCUCCGGCCAACCAGGUUUUCUUUUUGAGCCAACUCUGCCUCUGUUCAUGCUGACACCGCUACCCCUGGCCUCGGCUCAUCGAAGAGCGGUCGUGGGGUUCCUUUAACUAAGCUAGAGAAGCCUCGGACGACAAGGCCGACCGAGCCGAGGGACUCCUACGCCUCCGGGAUACGGAUACCUCACUCGUCGCCUUUACACGGGGCGACUCACGCUUGGUGAAGCGGUUCAGACAACCAACAGGCGAGUCUUAGUGCUCGAAAAUGAGGAAAAAACACGGCUCCGUGCCAAAAUUACAUACAUGUUCAGGCCUCGACAGCCACAAUGAACAAAAACACUGGCAUUCAAAGUGCCAUUACAAACGGAACUCUGGUUCCGUCCCCGCGGGUAUGAACAACCUCGAGCCUGCGGGGCGACGAACACCGGGGGACCCGCCAGCGACCUCUGCAGCAGCAGCCAUGGUCCCAGGACGGACGCGACCGCCGGAGGGCUCUCGUUCGCGUUCCCGCUCAAGGGACGCGAACCAGCUAUUAAAGCCAAAGAGCGGGCCGCUCCCAAGCGCACCGGCAGGUCCUCGCUGCCGUCCUCGCCGCGAAAGCAAGGAAGAGGGCGGAAUGUUGCAUCCUAGCUGGGCAGCAACAGUUCGCCUUCCCCGGCAUGGCUGGAGGACGUCUCCUCCACAGAGCUGGAGGAUGUUUGCCACCACCAGAAGCUGGAAGAAGAGGUGGCCCGCCGGCCCACGCGGGAGGCAGAGCCCCGGCUCGCCUCGCUCCCCGCCCCAGCGAGGAUGACGAACACCCUCGAGGCUGAGGGUGGGACCAAGAUCACAGCCCGGCUUGCCUCUCCCCAUCUAGGGGCUGGAGGUCACCGUCUUGGGUGACCACCAGCGGAGGGGUGCAACUGGGCUGUGUGAUGAAAAUCCUUGAAGCCGAAUGAUGGCUGAAAGGUACCAACUCCCACGGAGUUGCGUUACUCCAACGACGAGGCGAAAAGACGGCGGGUAUCCCCCAUCCGGGGGCUUGGAAUGUGGAAAGACACGAUGCAUAAGGGAGCACGAAGACAUGGUCACCUUCUAGGGGGUCACCCUCCUUUUAAAGGUGACUCCCCUUACUUGCGUCCCCAGCCGUCGCGGGCUGAGUCUUCUCCAACACGCUCCAAGGUCCUCCUCCUACGGCGCGAGGGCUGGGUCCCACACGUUAUGCAAGCCGGCUCAGAGCAGAAGAAGCCGAACCGCCAUGCGCGGUGCGUACAACCGCCCAGCGGUUACAAGCGACCCUCCACUUUUGCCCAGACCAGUAGGCGAAAGCGCGGGCAGCCAUGCAGGCAGCAUGCAACCGCGCCAAGUGGGCGCACUUCUCCGACUCCCAACACGCCCGGCAUGGGGGCCCAGGCCCACGCGUCAUGCAACCGGCGUGCCAAAUGCCUCGUGCAUGCAACUGCACCGCCACUUGCGCCACCACUGCGCCUCCUCGACUGCGGAACCAAUGCCGCGACUCGAGGCGACCCAGCGCACGACCCAGCAGCACCAGCCUGGCGCGACGAUCAAUGCGGCCAAAAAUGGGCCGGCAGUAAUGACGGUGGCAGGCGGGCAGGAGCAGCGGUCACGUCGUCAGCCAAGCUCACGUCCCAUCCGGGGGCAGCGAGAGAACCCUCUCCCACGGUGUGAAGACAACGCGCCCGUGUUCCGUUCCUCGAACGGCUCGCGCAUGCGCAACGGCCGCCCCGCCAACCACUCGCCCCGUCGCAUUAACUCCGCAGCGGGACAGGCGGCGCCCCUGGCAGGAGAAGCGGGCGACGCUUCGCCUUCGCCAUAAUGACCGCGUCAAAAAAGGUACGCCGCGUCGUUCGAUUUCGUAUCCUUUUCCUUUUUUCCUCUUUCUCUCUCUUGCAACAGGGAUCGGGAAAGGGGAUACCCCGAAAAGGAUCCUUCCCCGUGAAGGAACCAGGCUCCGAGCCUCCCUGCUGAUCAGAGGUUCGAAGGCUGGCCCCUCGGAAGGGUUCGACAGCCGCCUCAUAUCACGUGGGCCCUACACCCACUACUGGUCAGAGGUUUAAAGGCCGGCCCCCCGAAAGGGUUCAACGACCGCCUCAGGCUACUCGGGCUCCGUGCCCACUACUGAUCAGGGGUUCGAAGGCUGGCCCCCGAAGGGUUCACAGCCGCCUCAGACAUAGAGCGAGGGAUGACCAUGGGUAUGUUCGAUACAUAACCAAGGCUCGGGCUGCGCUACCGAGGUACCCUAGGACAUUUUCGAGACCAGCGGGAACGAUCUUGUAACAGAAUCCCAUCAGAGGGAGGCAUCGAGCCCUCGGAUCCCGUCGCCAGGGGACCGGGUCCGGCAGAUCACCUGCAGGUACUUUUGGGCGUGCCUCUGGGCCCCUAGUCGACCCCUAACGAACGGGGCACGGAUGUUGUGGGGGAUAGAUAUCCCCCGGGUCCAUUAAAAGAGUAAAAGACCUCACGAAAGGCCCAAGGGCCCAAUAAAUCAUAAGGUCAUUCUUUCGUGGGCCUAGGGAGAGACAACCAGCAAAGUAGAUCGACAUGAGGCCAGAUUGGUGCAAACCCGGACGACCCACAACGUCGAGAGAGCGACCACAACAGAGAUCCGACUUUCCCGCGCUGGAGCCCCCAUGCAACGGAGCCAUGCGAGGAUAAGUCGGCAGAACUACAGGGAGAUAAACUCAAACAGUUCACUAUCUUUUAGCUACACGUUGUUAUCAUAUCCACAUGUAUUGCCCCACGGUCGAAUAUAUAAGGCCUAGGGGGCACCCCUUCAGAACGAUCAACCCUAUUACUUAGCCACCCACAUCAACUCUCUGCAUUCUCUAGUUCAGAGAGCUCUCUUGUAACCUUGUCACCAAGCAUACUCACCAGGACGUAGGGUGUUACGCAUCCCUAAGCGGCCCGAACCUAUAAAUCUUGUCCACUGUCCCUCGUGCAAUCGGCACGAACCAUUUUGCUACAGUUGUCGACACCGUCCUACUCCUAAAAACACCUUGAGGGGCAACCCCGGGUGUGCGGUCGGACCCAAAACACCGACAGCUGGCGUGCCAGGUAGGGGGUGUGUCGACGAUCCAAGCUAGCUCAAUGGCCGUCACCUUCUACAGCAAGAUCACCCUGCGUCCCGGAUCCAUAUUCUGCUUCGGAACAAUCUCAUCCGUGGCGGAUGAAGAGGGAACUCUACACCGCAUCGCGGAUCCGCCGGAAAAGAAGUCUCCUCCAACGAACUCCGAAAAUGCCGGAGAGGCGCAACCUCCAGCUCUCCGGAAAAAGAUCGUCUCCGGAAAGUCGAGGGCCGAGGGCCCACUGACCCGGAGAACUCCACUGUCUACUUCCCCGAAAAAAGAAUGGACACAGAUCGCGAGGAAGAAGGAGACCAAGGGGAAGCAAGUUGUUCUUUCCGUAUCUCUGCCCUCAAAGGAGAACGGAAAGAAGGUCGCCACGACAGCAGCACCAUUCUACCCCGACGUCCUCUUCAUCGGGAGAGUGGAGUCGCCUACCAUCUCCGACGACGAGCCGACCGCACCCGGAGAAGAACCGCCUCAACGAGAAUCCCGCCGACGGAGGAACCGGCGCAGGAACAUUCGACGACAUCACGCGGCCGGAGAACGGGAUCCGGAGCAACCCGUCUCACGAGACGAGGUCUCAGAGAUAGGAGAAACUCCGGAAGAACGCGUCUUCAGAGAACGAAGGAACUCCCGACGACGUGAUCGCCGCCGGGCUCAGGAACAAGCCGAGCAAGAUGCAAGGCAACGUCGGGAGAAUCCGUUCUUUGGGCGCAACCUGAACCCCGACUUUGCCCGAGCCAUGAACACGUCGAGCGAAGUCGGAGGAGUAUUAGCUCGGAUAGCUGAUGGACUCCCUCGGACUCCCGACGCCGAGGGCUACCGACGACUGUUCACCCAGGCAGCCAACCAUCUUCUGCCGCUCGCUCACCCGCCGAACGAUCUACGACACGCCAUCAACAGUCGCCGAGACGCGCGAAGCUCCAUCAAUGCUUCGCGUGAACGGCGGCAUGAGAACGAGAUCUGCCGCCGGGAGGAGUACGACAGGGAUCAUGGCAUCCCAGCUCGGAGCCAGGCCACCAGAACUGAGUCGGCAACGGCCUCAACUGGCGGAACUACCCGGGGACGGUCGAGGAACCACAACAACUACUCCCCUCCCCGGGACAGGCAUCAUCCCCGACGACAGGAGGACACCUGCGGAGUGUCUGCUCUUACUCCGCGCCUUAGGGCCAUCCAAUGGCCUCCCAACUUCAAGGUAUCCAAUGUCGACAAGUAUGAACCUAAGCAGGAUCCAGGGGGUUGGCUAGCCGUCUACACCACUGUUGCUCGAGCUGCCGGGGCAUCCGAAGACGUGAUGACCGCGUAUUUACCCAUUGUCCUUGGGCAAGACGCGCUGCAAUGGUUGCGACAUCUACCCCGACACUGCAUCGACGACUGGGGCGACUUCAGUCGAUGCUUCACCGCCAAUUUCCAGUCCCUCUCCGACAAACCGGCGCAACCAUGGGACCUCAAAUCCAUCAAGCGCCGGGGGGACGAAACUCUUCGGUCAUACCUCAAAAGGUUCCAGACCAUGAGAAAUCGUAUCCCCGAGGUCACGGAGGCGGCCGUAAUCGAGGACUUCUACAGAGGAUCCAAUGACUCGGCUUUCGUCCGAGCCAUACUGCAGAAGGCACCGACUACUUCCGAGGAGCUGUUCCGGGAAGCCGAUCUCUACAUCACCGCCGACGAGCGAGCUCAGGACCUCAUCAGAGGAGCAAAGCCCACACCGGCAGCACCACGACGCGACGCGAACCAGCAACCCGACAAACGCUGGGAGAAGAGGCCUCACGAAGAAGUGCACGUCGCCGGACCACCUGCCUCUCGCGCCCGAGGAGGACCUCGCGGAGGCGAACGCACGCUGGACGACAUCCUUGACGCCCAGUGCCCGUACCACAAAGACAUGCGCCACACUCUUCGAAACUGCCGGGACUUCAAGCACUCCGUCGGGCACGACCGACCCUUCCAACCUCUACCUCCUCCUCCGCCGAGGGGAGGACCAGAUGAACCACGACAACCCCACCAGCAGGAGGGGGAGGAGGAGGAGCUUUCCCGCGCGCUGACAGGGAGGUCAAUGUCAUUUUCGGUGGACACGGGUCGCAGGAGAACAAAAGACAACAAAAGCUCAACGUCCGCCAGAUACUGGUGGCGACCACCGGUCCUCCCGCCCAUACCGGUGGUCAGAGCACCCGAUCACCUUCACUCGGGAAGAUCAAUGGCUCAACUUCGACCAUCCAGGCAAAUACCCACUCCUCGUCGAUCCGGGGAUCCGAGAGAGCCGGGUGAAGAAGGUGUUAGUGGACGGGGGGAGCAGCAUCAACGUCACCUUCCCCCGGACACUCCAAGGCUUGGGAGUUCACCUCAAAGAGCUCCAUGAGUCGGACACUCCUUUCUUCGGCAUCGUGCCGAUGGAAGGAGAAUACCCGCUGGGCCAUAUCUACAUGCCUGUCACCUUCGGAACUCCGGAGAACUACAGAACCGAGUUCCUGAGGUUUGAAGUGGCGAACUUCGACUGCGGGUACAACGCCAUCAUCGGGAGGCCGGGGCUGGCCAAAUUCAUGGCCAUCCCUCAUUACACGUAUAUGAUACUGAAGAUGUCAGGACCGCAAGGAAUCAUAACCGUGCGCGCCGACUUCUAAGGCGCCGCAGAGUGCUUCCGAGUGGCCAUCCAAGCAGCCCUCACCACCAAGCCGUCGGCGGUUCCUUCUACACUGGCGAACUCUAAGCCUGAGGAGGACCUUGCAGUACCGGCAAACGAAGCUCAGGCCGCGACCUCUAUGCGGCCGACUGAAGAAACCAAGAGGAUCAACCUGGGGUUCGCUGAUGAACGCAAGACUGCCAUCAUCAGCUCCAGCUUGGACGACAAAUAGGAAAGCGCGCUCGUCCAGUUUCUGCAAGAUAACCGAGAUGUAUUCGCAUGGCAACCUGCGGAUAUGCCGGGAGUCCCAAGAGAACUGGCCGAGCACAAACUGAAGGUCUAUCCCCAGGCAAGGCCGAUUCGGCAAAAGCUACGUCGUUUCACGCCCGACAAGAGAGAGGCCAUUCGCGCCGAGUUAGCUCACUUGGUCGCGGCUGGGUUUAUUAGAGAGGUGUUACACCUCGAGUGGUUAGCCAACCCUGUUCUUGUACUCAAAAAGAAUAAAGUGGAUUGGCGCAUGUGCGUCGACUAUACUGAUCUCAACAAACACUGUCUGAAGGAUCCCUUCGGGCUCCCAAGGAUAGAUCAGGUGGUGGACUCCACCGCUGGAUGUUCUGUGCUGUCUUUCUUGGAUUGCUAUUCCGGAUAUCAUCAGAUUAGUUUGGCGAAGGAAGACGAGGAAAAAACGGCGUUCAUCACUCUGUUUGGUGCUUUCUGUUAUACCUCCAUGUCGUUCGGCCUCAAAAACGCUGGAGCGACUUAUCAGAGAGCCAUUCAAACAUGCUUAGUCGAUCACUGGGGCAAGCGUGUGGAGGCCUACGUAGAUGAUGUAGUAAUCAAAACGGAGAAUUCGGAAAACUUCAUCGAAGACUUACAGCUGGUUUUCAAUAGUCUGAGACGAUAUAGAUGGAAGCUUAAUCCCAAAAAAUGUGUUUUCGGGGUACCAGCAGGAAAGUUGCUCGGGUUUAUCGUCGGCCACCGAGGAAUUGAGGCUAAUCCGGAUAAGAUUGAAGCUAUCAUGAAGAUGGAAGCACCUCGAUCACAAAAGAAGGUUCAGCGACUUACUGGAUGUAUGGCAGCUCUGAGCAAAUUUAUAUCCAGGCUGGGGGAAAAAGGUUUGCCAUUUUACAAGCUACUCAAGAAGGUGGAUAAGUUUUAGUGGACUUCAGAAGCACAGGAAGCUCUAGAUGCACUGAAGAAAUUCUUGACAACACCACCAGUACUGAAGCCACCCCGACGAGCUACGUCAACUCAACCAGCUGAAGAUUUGCUACUGUAUAUCUCUUGCACGACUCACGUGGUAAGCACCGCGUUGGUAGUCGAGCGAGUAGAAGAAGGACAUGCCUAUCCAGUACAACAUCCUGUUUACUUCAUCAGUGAAGUUCUAGGCCCGUCAAAUAAAAAGUAUCCUCAAGUUCAGAAGCUAUUAUAUGCAGUACUUCUAACUGCCCGCAAGCUACGUCACUACUUUGAUGACCACAAAGUCAUAGUAGUCACUGGUUUUCCAAUAGGGGAUAUUCUUCACAACAAGGAAGCCAUUGGCCGAAUAGCCAAGUGGGCUUGCGAGCUGGGAUCUCAUGACAUCGAGUUCCGACCCCGCACUGCCAUCAAAACUCAAGCACUGGUCGAUUUCGUAUCAGAGUGGACUGAACAGCAAGUACCAGAUAACCCAGAGACUGCAGAAGUAUGGCGAAUGUAUUUCGAUGGCUCGCUGAAGCUACACGGAGCAGGAGCAGGAAUUCUCUUCACCGCACCUGGAGGCGAGCACCUCAAAUACGCCCUCCAGUUGCUAUUUCCGGCCUCCAACAAUGCAGCCGAGUAUGAAGCUCUGAUCCAUGGAUUGAACAUCGCCAUAUCAUUGGGCAUCAAGAGAUUGAUGGUAUACGGAGACUCUCUGGUAGUCAUUAGCCAGAUAAACAAAGAGUGGGAUUGUUCAAGCGAUUCAAUGGGAAAAUACUGCACUGCCGUCCGAAAGUUGGAAGACAAAUUUGAGGGUCUGGAAUUUCAUCAUGUAGAAAGAGAUCGGAACACAGCAGCCGAUGUACUAUCCAAGCUAGGAUCCAGUCGAACUCAGGUCCCACCCGGAGUCUUUGUGCAAGAAAUUCUACAGCCGAGUAUCUCAAUGGAUCAAACAGAAGAGUGCAACAUCAUAGAUCAACCCGAGUCAGACUCUAAUGACUGGAGAAGGCCAAUCAUCAAGUAUAUAAAGAAUGAAGAAGAACCAGACGACAAGAACUCGGCAGAGCGCAUUGCCAGACAGUCGGCUCACUAUACACUCAUUGGGGAAACAUUGUACAGAAGGGGUGCAUCAGGCGUCCUCAUGAAGUGCAUUCUCCCGUCCACUGGGAAGCAACUUCUGGAGGAGGUCCAUGCUGGGCAAUGUGGAAUACAUGCAGCCUCCAGAACACUAGUCGAGAAAGUCUUCAGGUCAGGAUUCUAUUGGCCAACAGCAAAGAAUGAUGCAGCCGAGUUAGUUCAGAGGUGCGAAGCUUGCCAAUACUUGUCAAAGCAACAACAUCUGCGAGCACAGCAACUGCAGACCAUACCAGUAACUUGGCCUUUUGCAUGCUGGGGACUGGAUAUGAUUGGACCUUUCAAGAAAGCUCAAGGGGGAUACACUCAUGUAUUGGUAGCGAUCGACAAAUUCACUAAAUGGAUAGAGUUCAAGCCCAUUGCUUCUUUAACCUCUGCUAAGGCCGUGGAAUUCAUACAAGGCAUAAUAUUCAGAUUCGGGAUACCAAACAGCAUCAUAACUGACUUAGGAUCCAACUUCACAAGUUCAGAAUUCUUUGACUUCUGCGAGCAAAAGAGCAUUCAGAUCAAGUAUGCAUCUGUAGCACAUCCAAGAGCCAACGGGCAGGUUGAGCGAGCCAACGGGAUGAUAUUGGAGGCACUCAGGAAAAAGGUCUUCGAUAAGAAUGAAAAAUUCGCAGGGAAGUGGAUAAGGGAAUUGCCCUAUGUUGUUUGGAGCCUAAGAACCCAACCUAGCCGAGCUCUGCAUGGAAACACUCCUUUCUUCAUGGUCUAUGGGUCGGAGGCAGUGCUACCCGCCGAUCUCAAGUUUGGGGUGCCAAGAUUAAUCUUCAAAAACAUAGCAGAAGUCGAGGCCACCAGGCUGGAGGACAUCGAUAUACUUGAAGAAGAACGGCUGAAUGCGGUAAUCCAAUCAGCACGGUACCAGCAGACUCUAAGGCGCUAUCACGACAAGGCUGUGCGACAGCGAUCCUUUUCAGUAGGAGAUCUCGUCCUCCGCCGAAUUCUAACGGGGGAAGGACGACACAAGUUGUCGCCCUUAUGGGAAGGACCCUUCAUAGUAGCAGAAGUCACUCGGCCAGGAUCAUAUCGUCUCACUCAGAUGGAUAGCACAGAAGUCGGGAACUCCUGGAACAUAGAACACCUCAGGAAGUUUUAUCCCUAGCUGUAUUUCAGAAGCUAUCGGGACGACGAUGUACUCUGUAAAGUGGAAACACGCCAUCAAUAAAAAAGGGGUUUUCAAAGAUACUCAGUUUGUUCACGAUUGACUUGCUUUCUUACUUAACUCGGGGUGACCACUAUGCCCUACUAACGGAGCAAUCGGCUUAAGUCGGCAACGACUUAAGGCGGUGCGACAUGCUCAUGCUUACUUAACUCGGGGUGACCACUAUGCCCUACUAACGAAGCAAUCGGCUUAAGUCGGCAACGACUUAAGGCGGUGCGACAUGCUCACGCUUACUUAACUCGGGGUGACCACUAUGCCCUACUAACGGAGCAAUCGGCUUAAGUCGGCAACGACUUAGGGUGGUGCGACAUGCUCACGCUUACUUAACUCGGGGUGACCACUAUGCCCUACUAACGGAGCAAUCGGCUUAAGUCGGCAACGACUUAAGGCGGUGUGACAUGCUCACGCUUACUUAACUCGGGGUGACCACUAUGCCCUACUAACGGAGCAAUCGGCUUAAGUCGGCAACGACUUAAGGUGGUGCGACAUGCUCACGCUUACUUAACUCGGGGUGACCACUAUGCCUUACUAACGGAGCAAUCGGCUUAAGUCGGCAACGACUUAAGGCAGUGCGACAUGCUCACGCUUACUUAACUCGUGGUGACCACUAUGCCCUACUAACGGAGCAAUCGGUUAAAGUCGGUGGCGACUUAAGCCGGUGCAACAUGCUCACGACUACGCAAUUCAGGGUGACCACUACGCCCUACUGACAAAAGCAAGCGACUUAAGUCAGCAGCGACUUAAGGCGAUCCGACGAAAUUACAAUUACUCAUAUAAGGAUGACUUCUAUAUCCCGCAAACAAAUUUCAUAACCAUCGCGCAUCAUUUUACUACUGCAAAUUUACAGACUGAUGAAUUCUGAAACAAUGCGAGAAUAACAAUGUCGUUUAAGUACUGAAAUGACGUCCUCUAACAAAUACUCGAUCAUGCUAACCGCGCGCUCAAAGCACGCAAAAUGUUUCUCUAUUUCGCAAUAUCUUUCUCAGGAGCGACCGAUGAGGAAGGGCGACUUGAGGAAUCAGGGACAGCAUUCACAUCAGCCCUUAUGUCUUCAGGAACAACCACGUCGAGUCUCCUCAUCAAGAUUCGCCCCGCUCGAAUAGCCUUGUCCAUGGCUCUGUCACGCUGGGCUCUGAGAGUAACAGAAGUUUCUUCGGCAACCUUGGCAUCCAGUCGAGCAGUUUCUAACUCCUGGACAAUGGAUUUCUUGGAAGCUCGGAGUUCUUUGAUGGUAGCAUCCUUUGCUGAUAUCAACUGCUUGAGGCGGGUCACUUCAUCCGCGGAUUCCUGCAGCUUACAGCGUUGAUUAUCCAACUCUUCCAUUGUAAAGCGGUGACUCCUCUCCAAGAUGGUCAGCGAGUUGCUAGAAUCACGAUACAAUCUGUCAAGACUGUCACGAGAAGCAGCAAGGAUACGCUUUUCUUCCUGCGAGCAAAAGUUAACUCCCUCAAAAACCAAGCAAGUAAUAGGAACACAGCAAGGCAAAAGCACAGUUUUGUAGAUCACCUUUUCAGAAUUGAGUUGAGCAUGGAGAGAAGAACUCAGUGCAUUGGCGUCAUCCAAGGCAGCGGAGACCUGACCCAGUUCAGUUUGGCUCUGAGAGUACUUCUCCUCAAAGUCAGCACACCGCUGGACCAAUUCAGCCUGAUCUCGGGAAUGUUUUUCCUCAAGAGUUGAAAUCUGCCGAGUCAUUCCUAGCAGGAGAUAAUCAAACAAAAAGGGGUCAGAAUGUAAAGCAGUCCACAGUGAAGGCAAAGAGAAGCAAAAAAGCACUAACCAGCAUUGGUUGCCUCCAAUUCAGAGACGCGAUGUUGAAGUGACACUGGAUUCCAACAUGCAAGAGACGAAGCUACUUCUGGGACAGAAGCACCCUGUAGCCUCAGCUGGCUAGCCAUCCCAUCCACCAAAGCCUGAUGAGGAGAACAGAUGAGUGUAAUGGCAGCAGUUCAUGCAAUGUAAAAAUCAAGCUAAAAUACAUCACGAUACCUGGAGGUUGGAAAAGAACGAAGGAAUCCCCAAAUCAGGAGAGAUCAGUUGAUAAUUAGGCGUAAGGCCACCACCCGAAGCAGCUUGCAACGAACCAGCAGGAAUUAGCUCGGUGCCUCAACAGAGCCAAAUACUCGGUCAGCGGGGACGCUGCCCUCUAAAGCGACUCCCUGGUCCAAGGUUUGGGCUACCACCAUACAGCCAGAGUGUGGAGGAGAUCCCGCAUGAACGUCCAUGGAAGUACAGAAGGGAGACCCCGCUCGGGCACCCUUGGGGGCUGGGUCAUAGUUUGCACUGCACACUUGAGCCGGAUCAUCCCCGGCAGCACCCUCGGGGGCUGGGCAGUGGCUUACACUCCGAGCCAAGUCAUCCCCGGCGACAUCCUCGGGGGCUGGGCAUGUGUCAACACCAUCCUUGGGGUCCAAGUUCUCUGCAGUAGCCACCUCUAAGGUUGACGGGCCCUCAGCUACUUCCAUAGGACCAGGACGAUCCAAGUCAGUCUCUCGACCCUCGAGAUCGCGCUCUAAGGUCGACGAGGCACGGGAUGACCUCAAUCCAGCAUCAGGCACGUCAGCGCAAACCUCCAUUGCACCAUCAUCCACCGGCUCCGAUAACAAAUCCUCUGGGACCAUAUCCUCAAGAGUCUGAUCAAAGUUGGUCAGGGACAGUUCCUGCAAACCAAUGAGGGCAGACAAAGCAGGAGAGGGAACUCCACUACUUUCGCCGCUCGCGAUGAGCUGCCGACUAUUUUUCCGAGUCAAAGGAAUUUCAUCUUCUUCCUCCUCAUCAUCCACAUUGGCAACACAAACAGCACCCCCAUUGGGAUCAGCAACAGAUGGAGCACCCACAUUAGGAUCAGCAGUGGAUUGGGUACACCCAUUGGGGUCGGCAUCAGUAAAUCCAGUCGCAGGCACUUCUUCAGUAGCAGGAACCGAGGUACCAGCGUCCCGAUCCAAACUGGAUACUCGCCGGAAGCGUCUUCUUUUCUUCUUCUGCUCAUCAGCAGAAGGAUCAGGCUGAUUGGCUCGGCAAGGGCGCCUUGGGCGAGUACUGAUAGGCUUCUGAGUAUCCAAAGUUGUAUCAGCCUCUGGGAGGGGCGCCACUACCAACGCCCCAGCAGGAGCAGCGUCGGAAGAAUCCUCAGCCAGCAAAUCAAGCAUAGCACUUAUCUCUGCAUCACUAGGGUUCAAGGGCACCUCAAAAUGGACCUGUCGUUCAUCAUCAGGAAUCUCCCCAAGCGAAGCAACCAAGGCACUAACUUCAUCAGCAGAGGGUCACACUCUAAGGCCCAAACUGCCAUCAGUGACAGGUGGAUUCGACACAAAAAGGGUGAAGGCUUUGGGAGGAGGCAGGUUCCAGGCCGAGUAUGCCACUGGAGCACCAACAUUUGACACUUUGCCCCUAAGGAUCAUCUCUAGUCGGCUCACCAAGUCUGCAGAGGGAAUUCUUCUGUUGGUAACCCGAGUUGAGUCGGCUAGCCCUCUAUACAGAUAAGCUGGGUAUGCCCUGUCUUUCACUGGCUGAAUAUUCUUGAAAACAAAAUCAGUAACCACAGCUUCAGCAGUCAGACCCCUCUCUUUCAGCAGUCCAACUUCAGCUAGCAACACACCGGCCUCAGCUACCUCCUGAUCUGUGGGAGACUCGGUCCAGCUUGGGGUGCGAACGUCCGGCUGUCUUCCCGACCGGGAGGGGAGAGAAUUCCCAUAAUUCUCAACUAUGAACCACUCCAAGCGCCAUCCCUUGAUACUGUCCUUGAGAGGGAUCUCGAGAUAUUCAGUUUUCCUCCCGCGGCGCAUCUCCAAGCUGGCACCCCCAACCAACUGAUGUUGUCCCCCGGCCAUCCCAGGGCGAUAAUGAUACAAGUAUUUCCACAGACCGAAAUGCGGCAGCACGCCAAGAAAGGCCUCGCAUAAAUGAACGAAAAUGGAGAUUUGCAGGAUUGAAUUGGGGUUCAAAUGGGUCAAGUUAAGAUGGUAGAAAUCAAGGAGGCCGCGGAAAAAGGGAGAAAUGGGAAGGCCAAGGCCGCGGAGAAGGAAAGGGGCGUAAACAACGGACUCAUGGGUAUCCUCAGUCGGAACAGUAAACCCAUGGCAAAUCCGCCAAGAACAGAGUUCCCGCGGAGGAAGAACCCCGAUGGAUACAAGGUGGAGAAGUUCGGGCUCAGAAAUGACGAACAUGUGGUUACCUGCGAAAGGCAACUGGCUGUUGGGGGCGAUUGGAGGAAUCACCACAACAGAUGAACUCGAGGCCUUCCUCUUGGGCGCCAUCUCGAUUCAACCAGCGAGUGGAGUGGGAGGCGAAUAGCAGAGAGGAUUCGGAAGCGAGAAAGCAAGAACUAGGGCACGAAAAGCAAAGGUGGCUAAAAGCGCAGCACUUAUGGGAUAUUCUCGAGCCAGAUACCGUUUCAAAAAGUGCCCAGUCAGCACCCGGCGGUUAUUUCUAAAACCCCAGCGUGCCACGUGGUCAUCUGGCAGUUAUCUCCAGAACACCGGUGCGCCACCUCAUCACUCGGCUAUCAUCCUCAAAGUGGCUCGCGCGGCCUGCUAUCACUCGGCGUUGCCUCCAAAACAUCGAUUUCGUGUUCAGUCGUUCGGCAUUACCUCUAAAAUGCCGACAUCGCCUUCCAAUCACUCGGCGUUGCCUCUAAAACGCUGAUAUAGUGUUCAGUUGCUCGGCGUUGCCUCUAAAACGCCGACGUCGCCCUCCAGUCGCUCGACGUUACCUCUAAAACGCUGAUAUCAUGUUCAGUCGCUCGGCAUUACCUCUAAAAUGCUGACGUCGCUUUCCAAUCACUCGGCGUGGCCUCUAAAACGCUGAUAUAGUGUUCAGUUACUCGGCGUUGCCUCCAAAAUGCCGACGUCGCCCUUCAGUCGCUCGGUGUUACCUCUAAAACGCUGACGUCGCCCUCUGAGUUUGUCUCAAGUCGCCCGGCAGUUAUCUCUAAGACUCCGAUAUUGUGUUCGGUCACUCGGCAGUUACCUCUAAAAGCACCGACACCGUCUACAAGUUACUCGGCAGCUAUUUCUGAAAGCAUCAGUUUGAUCCCCAAGUUAUUCAUUUACUGUCUCAAAGGAAUCAGCUUCACAAAUGAGCAGGACAAUCAUAAAGGAGAAGCCAACAUCAUUUUUUUCAUUAGAAGGAAGAUAACAUACUUACAAAUCAACUCUUUAUGAGUUGAUACUUCCCUACUACUACUACAUUACAUUACUACUACUACUACUACAUUACAUUACUACUACUACUACUACAUUACAAUAUACUACUCUACACUACUACUACAUUAUUCUAACUAUACUAUACUAAUAUCUAAAAGACCAGUGGCAUCUAGCCACUGGCCCUGUUGCUGCCGCCGCUGCCGCCCCUGGUGAUGCCCCUGCUGCUGCCGCCCCGGUUGCUGCCCCUGCUGCCGCCGCCGUCGCCGUCCCUGCUGCCGCCUCUGUCACCGUCCUUGCUGCCGCCCCUGCCGCUAUCGUCGUCGUCGUCGUCGUCCUCGUCCUCGUCCUCGCCGCCGCCGUCCGAGUCCUCCUCAUCCGAGGAGUACUCCGACUCAUCCGAGCCCUCGAGCCCAGAGCGCUCGACGGCCCGGAUGUACGUCGAGACCUCCGCCGCAAGCCCCUGGGAGUCGUCUGAGUCAUCAGACGACUCACGCAGGGGGAUGGGAGCGGAGACCCCUCAGACUCAGAGGAGAACUCCUCCUCUGAGUACUCCGAGUCACCAAACUCCUCCGAUGGAGGAGUUGGCUCACGCUUGCGCUUGUUGUUCUUGCCCAUGGUGGAAGCAGAAGGGAGAGAAGAAAGGGAAGCAACAGAGAACAGCGAGAGAUGUGAAAAAGCCAGAGAGACAACGGCGUUAUUUAUAAGAGGAGAAGGCAACCGCUCACCUCUAACCGCGGUCACUGAACAGUCGCAAAGCAUUCAAUAAGCACUUCAACCCGUCUGAAGACACGUCAGGCGGCUGACGCCGUUUCACGCAACACAACACCCAUUGGGACUCCAGUCAACAGCGCGGAGGAUAUGAUUACACUCGUCGUCACAUCACAUUACUACUCAGAAGCAGCCGGCUAAAACACUCAGCGUACCAAGUCGUCCCUUACCCACACCCAUUGGGGGGGACGCCCAGGAAUUAUCAGUAUAUUUUUCAAAACGGUCACAUCUGUGCAGGGCACGCAGUGAAUACCUCAAGACAAAAAUGAGAUAUCAGUAAGGAUCAGAGGAAAGCCAAAUAUAGCCAGUGAAGUACAAAAUAUGGCCGACAGAAGCGACGUGAAGACUAGACAGAGAACGUCCAUCAAACGUCCAAUCAGUUGCAGAGCAAAUAAAUUGCACUACCUAGCAAGAUAUGGACGGAUUGCGAACUCGGCUGCUAAAGACAAAAUAUACGCUGACCUCUGAAGCAAAAUAUUGAUGACAUAAUGCUGACCUCCAAAGCAUAAUGCGAAUAGCUUCGUUCCAAUUUCUACAAACAGAAAGGAUAAUUUUCAGCAAAGAGACACAAAAGAAAGACCUUCGAAUGGAUUAUCCUCAAAAAUCCAUUUGAAGGUCGGGGGCUACACCCAUUGGGUGCACCUCCGGUGCACCCCAUGGAUUAUCAUUCCAAGCCAAGAUAAGGCUGACUUCUAAGGCGUGAGAUAAGAUUAAAAGGCCAGCCCUCAACCAAAACGCAGGAGCACAAAUGGAAAUAAUUUCUGGGGAAGACCUUCGAGUAGAUUAUUUUCUAAAAUCUACUUGAAGCUCGGGGGCUACACCCAAUGAAGUUCAGAAUCCUACAAAUUGAAAUGCCGACCUCUAAGGCACAAGCGCGAAACAAGGCUUCGGUCUACGAGUGAUCAAAGUAGGAGAAGACAACAAGAAGUCAUUUUCUUCAAAUCACCUGCAAGCUGGACCUGGGAUCUUUGGGCUGAUUACCUCUAAAUUAACCCAAAGAUCGGGGGCUUGUGGGGGAUAGAUAUCCCCCAGGUCCACUAAAAGAGUAAAAGACCUCACGAAAGGCCUAAGGGCCCAAUAAAUCGUAAGGUCAUUCUUUCGUGGGCCUGGGGAGAGACAACCAGCAAAGCAGAUCGACAUGAGGUCGGAUUGGUGCGAACCCGGACGACCCACAACGUCGAGCGAGCGACCACAACAGAGAUCCGACUUUCCCGCGCUGGAGCCCCCAUGCAACGGAGCCAUGCGAGGAUAAGUCGGCAGAAUUACAAGGAGAUAAACUCAAGCAGUUCACUAUCUUUUAGCUACACGUUGUUAUCAUAUCCACAUGUAUUGCCCCACGGUCGAGUAUAUAAGGCCUAGGGGGCACCCCUUCAGAACGAUCGACCCUAUUACUUAGCCGCCCACUUCGACUCUCUGUAUUCUCAAUUCAGAGAGCUCUCUUGUAACCUCAUUCACUCAGCAUACUCAUCAGGACGUAGGGUGUUACGCAUCUCUAAGCGGCCCGAACCUGUAAACCUUGUCCACUGUCCCUCGUGCAACUGGCACGAACCAUUUUGCUACAGUCGUUGACACCGUCCUACUCCUAAAAACACCUUGAGGGGCAACCCCGGGUGUGCGGUCGGACCCAAAACACCGACAGCUGGCGCGCCAGGUAGGGGGUGUGUUGACGAUCCAAGUUAGCUCAAUGACCGUCACCUUCCACAGCAAGAUCACCCUUCGUCCCGGAUCCGUAUUCUGCUUCGGAACAAUCUCAUCCGUAGCCGAUGAAGAGGGAACUCUACACCGCAUUGCGGAUCCGCCGGAAAAAAAGUCUCCUCCAACAAACUCCGAAAAUGUCGGAGAAGCGCAACCUCCAGCUCUCCGGAAAAAGAUCGUCUCCGAAAAGUCAGGGGCCGAGGGCCCGCUGACCUGGAGAACUCCACUGUCUACUUCCCCGACAAAAGAAUGGACACAGAUCGCGAGGAAAAAGGAGACCAAGGGGAAGCAAGUUGUUCUUUCCGUUCCUCCGCCCUCAAAGGAGAACAGAAAGAAGGUCGUCACGACGGCAGCACCAUUCUACCCCGACGUCCUCUUCAUCGGGAGAGUGGAGUCGCCCGCCGUCUCCGACGACGAGCCGACCGCACCCGGAGAAGAACCGCCUCAACGAGAAUCCCGCCGACAGAGGAACCGGCGCAGGAACGUUCGACGACAUCACGCGGCCGGAGAACGGGAUCCGGAACAACCUGUCUCGCGAGACGAGGUCUCGGAGAUAGGAGAAACUCCGGAAGAACGCGUCUUCAGAGAACGAAGGAACUCCCGACGACGUGAUCGCCGCCGGGCUCAGGAACAAGCCGAGCAAGAUGCGAGGCAACGCCGGGAGAAUCCAUUCUUCGGGCGCAACCUGAACCCCGACUUCGCCCGAGCCAUGAACACGCUGAGUGAAGUCGGAGGAGUACUAGCUCGGAUAGCUGAUGGACUCCCUCGGACUCCCGACGCCGAGGGCUACCGACGACUGUUCACCCAGGCAGCCAACCAUCUUCUACCGCUUGCUCACCCGCCGAACGAUCUACGACACGCCAUCAACAGUCGCCGAGACGCGCGAAGCUCCAUCAAUGCUUCACGUGAACGGCGGCAUGAGAACGAGAUCCGCCGCUGGGAGGAGUACGACAGGGAUCAUGGCAUCCCGGCUCGGAGCCAGGCCACCAGAACUGAGUCGGCAACAGCCUCAACUGGCGGUACCGCCCGGGGAUGGUCGAGGAACCACAACAACUACUCCCCUCCCCGGAACAGACAUCAUCCCCGACGACAGGAGGACACGUGCGGAGUGUCUGCUCUUACUCCGCGCCUUAGGGCCAUCCAAUGGCCUCCCAACUUCAAGGUAUCCAAUGUCGACAAAUAUGAACCUAAGCAGGAUCCAGGGGGUUGGCUAGCCGUCUACACCACCGCUGCUCGAGCUGCCGGGGCGUCCGAAGACUUGAUGACCGCGUACUUACCCAUUGUCCUUGGGCAAGAUGCGCUGCAAUGGCUGCGACAUCUACCCCGACAAUGCAUCGACGACUGGGGCGACUUCAGUCGACGCUUCACCGCCAAUUUCCAGUCCCUCUCCGACAAACCGGCGCAACCAUGGGACCUCAAAUCCAUCAAGCGCCGUGGGGACGAAACUCUCCGGUCGUACCUCAAAAGGUUCCAGACCAUGAGAAAUCGUAUCCCCGAGGUCAUGGAGGCAGCCGUGAUCGAGGACUUCUACCGAGGAUCCAAUGACUCGGCUUUCGUCCGAGCCAUAUUACAGAAGGCGCCAACUACUUCCGAGGAGCUGUUCCAGAAAGCCGACCUCUACAUCACCGCCGACGAGCGGGCCCAGGACCUCAUCGAAGGAGCAAAGCCCGCACCAGCAGCACCACGACGCGACGCGAACCAGCAACCCGACAAACGCUGGGAGAAGAGGCCUCGCGAAGAAGUGCACGCCGCCGGACCACCUGCCUCUCGCGCCCGAGGAGGACCUCGCGAAGGCGAACGCACGCUGGACGACAUCCUCGACGCCCAGUGCCCGUACCACAAGGACAUGCGCCACACUCUUCGUAACUGCCGGGACUUCAAGCACUCCGUCGGGCACGGUCGACCCUUCCAACCUCUACCUCCUCCUCCGCCGAGGGGAGGACCAGAUGAACCACGACAACCCCAUCAGCAGGAGGAGGGAGGAGGAGGAGCUUUCCCGCGCGUUGACAGGGAGGUCAACGUCAUCUUCGGCGGACAUGGGUCGCAGGAGAACAAAAGACAACAAAAGCUCAACGACCGCCAGAUACUGGUGGCGACCACCGGUCCUCCCGCCCCAUACCGGUGGUCGGAGCACCCGAUCACUUUCACUCGGGAGGAUCAAUGGCUCAACUUCGACCAUCCAGGCAAAUACCCGCUCCUCGUCGAUCCGGUGAUCCGAGAGAGCCGGGUGAAGAAGGUGCUAGUGGACGGGGGGAGCAGCAUCAACGUCACCUUCCCCCGGACACUCCAAGGCUUGGGAGUUCACCUCAAAGAGCUCCACGAGUCGGACACUCCUUUCUUCGGCAUCAUGCCGACGGAAGGGGAAUACCCGCUGGGCCACAUCUACAUGUCUGUCACCUUCGAAACUCCGGAGAACUACAGAACCGAGUUCCUGAGGUUCGAAGUGGCGAACUUCGACUGCGGGUACAACGCCAUCAUCGAGAGGCCGGGAUUGGCCAAAUUCAUGGCCAUUCCACAUUACACAUACAUGAUACUGAAGAUGCCAGGACCGCAAGGAAUCAUAACUAUGCGCGCCGACUUCCAAGGCGCCGCAGAGUGUUUCCGGGUGGCCAUCCAAGCAGCCCUCACCACCAAGCCGUCGACGGUUUUGAGAGCACCUAGAGGGGGGGUGAAUAGGUGAUCCUGUAAAAACUUAAACUUAAGCCACAAAAACUUGUUAAGGGUUAGUACAAGUAUGGCCAAGUGGCUAGAGUGAAGUCUCAACAAAACACAGUACCACAAGAGAAUCAAGCACAGAGUGACACAGUGGUUUUAUCCCGUGGUUCGGCCAAGACCAACGCUUGCCUACUCCACGUUGUGGCGUCCCAACGGACGAGGGUUGCAAUCAACCCCUCUCAAGCGGUCCAAAGACCCACUUGAAUACCACGGUGUUUUGUUUUCCUUUCACUAUCCCGUUUGCAAGGAAUCUCCACAAAUUGGAGUCUCUUGCCCUUACAAGUAUAUGAUCACAAAUGAAACACAGAGUAAGGGAGGGAAGCAACACACACAAAUCCACAGCAAAAGCGCACACACACGGCCAAGAAUCGAGCUCACAAGACUAUCUCAGAGUUCUCACUUAGAACAGAGCUCGAAUCACUUAGAAACACAAACGAAUGCGCAGAGACUUAGUGUGGAUGAUCAAGAAUGCUCAAAGGUUGCUUGUAUAUCUCCUCCAUGCGCCUAGGGGCUCCUUUUAUAGCCCCAAGGCAGCUAGGAGCCGUUGAGAGCAAAUCCGGAAGGCCAUCCUUGCCUUCUGUCGUCGGGGGCACCGGACAGUCCGGUGCACACCGGACACUGUCCGGUGCCCGAUUUGUUUCCUUAAACGGCGAAGACGACCGUUGCAGACCGUUGGCAGAUCUGGCGCUGUUGGCGCACCGGACAUGUCUGGUGCACACCGGACAGUCCGGUGCCGUCUUCCGACCGUUGGCUCGGCCACGUGUCCCGCGCGGAUUGCGCGGCCGACCAUUGGCCCUGGCCGACCGUUGGCUCACCGGACAGUCCGGUGCACACCGGACAGUCCGGUGAAUUUUAGCCGUACGCCACCGGCCAAUUUCCCGAGAGCGGCCAGUUCGAGUCGCGCCAGCCUGGCGCACCGGACACUGUCCGGUGCACACCGGACAGUCCGGUGCUCCAGACCGAGCUGGGUCUUGGCAGCACACAGCCAAGUCCCUUCUCCUUUUCUCUAUUCUUCUUCUUUCUGUUUCUAACACUUAGACAAAUAUAUUAGUACUCAAAACCAAUGUACUAAGGCUUAGAAACAUACCUUUACUUCAUGAUUUUCACCUUGUUCAUCCAUGUACAUAAAUUCCCAAUUAAGCACAUGUGUUGGCACUCAAUCACCAAAAUACAUAGAAAUGGCCCAAGGGCACAUUUCCCUUUCAAUCUCCCCCUUUUUGGUGAUUUAUGCCAACACAACAUAAAGCAACUAGAACAAGUGCAAAAUCACUUUAAAUAAAAACUCAAAUUGGUUUUAUUCAAUUUUGGCAUAUAUGGAUCAUCCUUUGCCACCACUUGGUUUGUUUUUGCAAAUCAAACUCAAAUCUCUAUCUCUAAGUCAAGCACACAUGUUGAAGUAUAAAGAGAGUCAUUCCAAAAGAGAUUGAUCAAAGAUUUCAAAAACUCCCCCUAUUUCCCAUAAUCAAUACUUCUCCCCACAAGAAACCAACUUUUGAAAAUAGAGACAAUAAGAGACAAUAAAAGCUUUUGACAAAACAAAAACUCUAUUCUACUAUUUUCAAAAUCUCUCAAGUGGUAGCUGAUCCAUUUAUCACUUUGGCCUUUAUUUUCUCCCCCUUUGGCAUCAAGCACCAAAACGGGAUCAAUCUUGGCCUGUUAACCCCAUUGCCUCACCAAAGUCUUCAAUUAAGAGCAAAUGGCAAUAAGAUUUCAUGAGAUGAACUUGGAAUUAGUUACCCUCUCAUCGGAGUGCAGUGGAAGUCUUUCAUGGUCCAAGUCCACCUUUUCCCUUUCAAUCCUCCUUCGAGACUAAAUUAUCAACCUCAAGCACAUGGUUAGUCUCAAAGGGUCAAGUUGUAACACAUCUCCCCCUACACAUGUGCAUCACUUUGCAACGGACUUGUGAGGUCCAGGGAGUGUUUGUACAACUUGAGCACCAUAAUAAGCAACAAAAUGCAGAAUGAACAUGAUCAAAGGCAUAAACACAUGUAUGCUGCAAUUCAAUCCAAGUUCCGCGAAUCUAAGAUAUUUAGCUCACUACGCAGCCUGCAAAAGGUCUUCUCAUCUAGAGGCUUGGUAAAGAUAUCGGCUAGCUGGUUCUCGGUGCUAACAUGAAACACUUCGAUAUCCCCCUUUUGCUGGUGGUCUCUCAAAAAGUGAUGCCGGAUGUCUAUGUGCUUUGUGCGGCUGUGCUCAACAGGAUUCUCCGCCAUGCGGAUAGCACUCUCAUUGUCACAUAGGAGUGGGACUUUGCUCAGAUUGUAGCCAAAGUCCCUGAGGGUUUGCCUCAUCCAAAGUAGUUGCGCGCAACACUGUCCUGCGGCAACAUACUCGGCCUCAGCGGUGGAUAGGGCAACGGAAGUUUGUUUCUUAGAGUUCCAUGACACCAGGGACCUUCCUAAGAAUUGGCACGUCCCCGAUGUACUCUUCCUAUCGACCUUACAUCCAGCAUAGUCGGAGUCUGAGUAUCCAACUAAGUCAAAGGUAGACCCCUUUGGAUACCAGAGCCCGAAGCAAGGCGUAGCAACCAAAUAUCUAAGAAUUCGCUUCACCGCCACUAAGUGACACUCCUUAGGAUCGGAUUGAAAUCUAGCACACAUGCAUACGCUAAGCAUAAUAUCCGGUCUACUAGCACAUAAGUAAAGCAAAGAACCUAUCAUUGACCGGUAUGCUUUUUGAUCAACGGACUUACCUCCUUUGUUGAGGUCGGUGUGUCCGUCGGUCCCCAUUGGCGUCUUUGCGGGCUUGGCGUCCUUCAUCCCAAACCGCUUUAGCAGAUCUUGCGUGUACUUCGUUUGGGAGAUGAAGGUGCCGUCCUUGAGUUGCUUCACUUGGAACCCAAGGAAGUAGUUCAACUCGCCCAUCAUCGACAUCUCGAAUUUCUGCGUCAUCACCCUGCUAAACUCUUCACAAGACUUUUGGUUAGUAGAACCAAAUAUUAUGUCAUCGACAUAAAUUUGGCACACAAACAAAUCACCAUCACAUGUCUUUGUAAAAAGAGUUGGAUCGGCCUUCCCAACCUUGAAAGCAUUAGCAAGUAAAAAGUCUCUAAGGCAUUCAUACCAUGCUCUUGGGGCUUGUUUAAGUCCAUAGAGCGCCUUAGAGAGCUUACACACGUGGUCGGGGUACCGUUCAUCCUCGAAGCCAGGGGGUUGCUCCACGUACACCUCCUCCUUGAUUGGCCCGUUGAGGAAAGCGCUCUUCACAUCCAUUUGGAACAACCUGAAAGAAUGGUGAGCGGCAUAUGCUAGCAAGAUUCGAAUUGACUCUAGCCUAGCCACAGGAGCAAAAGUCUCCUCAAAAUCCAAACCUGCGACUUGGGCAUAACCUUUUGCCACAAGUCGAGCCUUGUUUCUCGUCACCACCCCGUGCUCGUCCUGUUUGUUGCGGAACACCCACUUGGUUCCCACAACAUUUUGCUUCGGACGAGGCACCAGUGUCCAAACUUCAUUGCGCUUGAAAUUGUUUAACUCCUCUUGCAUGGCCAACACCCAGUCCGGAUCUAGCAAGGCCUCUUCUACCCUGAAAGGCUCAAUAGAAGAGACAAAGGAGUAAUGCUCACAAAAAUUAACUAAUCGAGAUCGAGUAGUUACUCCCUUGCUAAUGUCACCCAGAAUUUGGUCGACGGGAUGAUCCCUUUGAAUCAUCGCUCGAACUUGGGUUGGAGGUGCCGGUUGCAUUUCUUCCUCCAUCACUUGAUUAUCUUGUGCUCCCCCUUGAUCAAGCGCCUCCACUUGAGGUACCUGUUCGUCAUCUUUGGUUGGGGGAUGCACCAUAGUUGAGGAAGAAGGUUGAUCUCGUUCAUCUUGUUCCUGUGGCCGUACUUCUCCAAUCGCCAUGGUCCGUAUAGCGGCCGUCGGAACAUCUUCUUCAUCUACAUCAUCACAAUCAACAACUUGCUCUCUUGGAGAGCCAUUAGUCUCAUCAAAUACAACGUCGCUAGAGACUUCAACCAAACCCGAUGAUUUGUUGAAGACUCUAUACGCCUUUGUAUUUGAGUCAUAACCUAACAAAAACCCUUCUACAGCUUUGGGAGCAAACUUAGAAUUUCUACCUUUCUUCACUAGAAUGUAGCACUUGCUCCCAAAUACACGAAAGUAAGAUACAUUGGGUUUGUUACCGGUUAGAAGCUCAUACGACGUCUUCUUGAGGAGGCGAUGAAGGUAGACCCUGUUGAUGGCAUGGCAAGCAGUGUUCACGGCUUCCGUCCAAAAGCACUCGGGGGUCUUGAACUCUCCUAGCAUCGUCCUCGCCAUGUCAAUGAGCGUCCUGUUCUUCCUCUCUACCACACCAUUUUGCUGUGGUGUGUAGGGAGCGGAGAACCCGUGCUUGAUCCCUUCUUCUUCAAGGAACUCCUCCACUUGAAGGUUCUUGAAUUCGGACCCGUUGUCGCUCCUUAUCUUCUUCACUUUGAGCUCAAACUCAUUUUGAGCCCUCCUGAGGAAGCGUUUGAGGGUCCCUUGGGUUUCAGACUUAUCCUGCAAAAAGAACACCCAAGUGAAGCGGGAAAAAUCAUCAACAAUAACUAAACCAUACUUACUUCCCCCUAUGCUUAGAUAGGCGACGGGUCCGAAGAGAUCCAUAUGCAGCAGCUCCAGGGGUCUUGAAGUGGUCAUCACAUUCUUGCUGUGAUGCGCUCCUCCCACCUGUUUCCCUGCUUGACAAGCUGCGCAAGGUCUAUCUUUUUCGAAUUGAACAUUGGUUAGACCUAUCACGUGUUCUCCCUUUAGAAGCUUGUGAAGGUUCUUCAUCCCCACAUGUGCUAAGCGGCGAUGCCACAGCCAGCCCAUGCAAGUCUUAGCCAUUAAGCAUGCAUCUAGACCGGCCUCUUCUUUUGCAAAAUCAACUAAAUAAAGUUUGCCGUCUAAUACACCCUUAAAAGCUAGUGAACCAUCACUUCUUCUAAAGACAGACACAUCUAUAUUUGUGAACAGACAGUUAUAUCCCAUAUUGCACAAUUGACUAACAGAUAGUAAAUUAUAUCCUAGUGACUCUACUAAAAACACAUUAGAGAUAGAGUGCUCAUUAGAAAUUGCAAUUUUACCUAACCCUUUUACCUUGCCUUGAUUCCCAUCACCGAAUAUGAUUGAAUCUUGGGAAUCCUUAUUCUUGACGUAGGAGGUGAACAUCUUCUUCUCCCCCGUCAUAUGGUUUGUCCAUCCGCUAUCAAUAAUCCAGCUUGAACCCCCGGAUGCAUAAACCUGCAAGGCAAAUUUAGGCUUGGGUCUUAGGUACCCAACUCAUGUUGGGUCCUACAAGGUUAGUGCAAAUAUCCUUAGGGACCCAAAUGCAAGUUUUGUCUCCCUUGCAUUUUGCCCCUAACUUCCUAGCAACUAUUUUCCUAUCCUUUCUACAAAUAGCAAAGGAAGUGUUUAAAGCACAAUAAAUUAUAGAAGGUUCAUUCACUACUUUCCUAGGAGCAUGAAUAACAUUCUUUCUAGGCACAUGAGCAAUAUUUCUCCUAGGCAUAUCCCUAUCAUGCUUAUAAGAAGAACUAGAGGCAAACAUGGCAUGAGAAUCAUAAUCAUUAUAAGCAUUUCUAGCAUUUCUCCUAUCAUAAUACAUAAAAGCAUGGUUCUUUUUAGCAUUACUAGCCAUAGGGGCCUUCCCUUUCUCCUUGACGAAGAUGGGAGCCUUAUGGCUUGUUAAGUUCUUGGCCUCUCUCUUGAAGCCAAGACCAUCCUUAAUUGAGGGGUGUCUACCAACCGUAUAGGCAUCCCUUGCAAAUUUUAUUUUAUCAACUUCAUUCUUGCUAGUCUUAAGUUGGGCAUUAAGACUAGCCACUUCCUUAUUUAAUUUGGAAAUUAAAACGAGAUGUUCACUACAGGCAUCAACAUCGAAAUCCUUACACCUAGUGCAAAUCUUAACAUGUUCUACACAAGAAUUAGAUUUAUUUGCUACUUCUAACUUAGCAUUUAAAUCAUUGUUAACACCUUGUAAAGUAGAAAUGGUUUCAUGACAAGUAGAUAGUUCAUAAGAAAGCAUUUCAUUUCUUUUUACUUCUAAAGCAUAUGAUUUUUGUGCCUCUACAAAUUUAUCAUGUUCAUCAUACAAUAAAUCCUCCUGCUUUUCUAAAAGCCUAUCCUUUUCAUUCAAUGCAUCAAUCAAUUCAUUGAUUUUAUCUAUCUUAGAUCUAUCUAAGCCCUUGAACAAGCAUGAAUAAUCUAUGUCAUCAUCACUAGACUCACUAUCACUAGAAGAAGCAUAAGUGGAGUCUUGAGUACUCACCUUCUUCUCCCUUGCCAUAAGACAUGUGAGACGCUCGUUGGGGAAGAGAGCCGAUUUGUUGAAGGCAGUGGCGGCGAGUCCUUCGUUGUCGGAGUCGGAGGAGGAGCAAUCCGAGUCCCACUCCUUUCCUAGAUGCGCCUCGCCCUUUGCCUUCUUGUAUUGCUUCUUCUUUUCUCUUUUGUUCCCCUUUUCCUGGUCACUUUCAUUAUCGGGACAGUUAGCGAUAAAAUGACCAAGCUUACCGCAUUUGAAGCAUGAGCGCUUCCCCUUGGUCUUGGUCUUGCUUGGCUGCCCCUUGCGACCAUUUAGCGCCGUCUUGAAUCUCUUGAUGAUGAGAGCCAUCUCUUCAUCGUUGAGUCCGGCCGCCUCAAUUUGUGCCACCUUGCUAGGUAGCGCCUCCUUGCUUCGUGUUGCCUUGAGAGCGAGAGGUUGCGGCUCGUUGAUUGGACCAUUCAAGGCGUCGUCCACAUAUCUCGCCUCCUUGAUCAUCAUUCGCCCGCUAACAAAUUUCCCAAGAACUUCUUCGGGCGACAUCUUGGUGUACCUGGGAUUUUCACGUAUAUUGUUCACCAAGUGAGGAUCAAGAACGGUAAAUGACCUUAGCAUUAGGCGGACGACGUCGUGGUCCGUCCAUCGCGUGCUCCCGUAGCUUCUUAUCUUGUUGAUAAGGGUCUUGAGCCGAUUGUAUGUUUGCGUUGGCUCCUCGCCCCUUAUCAUUGCGAACCGUCCAAGCUCGCCCUCCACCAACUCCAUCUUGGUGAGUAAGGUGACGUCGUUCCCCUCAUGAGAAAUCUUGAGGGUGUCCCAGAUUUGCUUGGCGUUAUCCAAGCCGCUCACCUUAUGGUAUUCAUUCCUGCACAAGGAAGCUAGAAGAACAGUAGUAGCUUGUGCAUUCUUAUGAAUUUGUUCAUUAAUGAACAUGGGACUAUCCGAACUAUCAAAAUGCAUUCCACUCUCUACAAUCUCCCAUAUACUAGGAUGGAGAGAGAAUAGGUGACUACGCAUUUUGUGGCUCCAAAAUCCGUAGUCCUCUCCAUCAAAGUGUGGGGGCUUGCCGAGUGGAAUGGAGAGCAAAUGAGAAUGUGAACUUUGCGGAAUACGAGAGUAAUCAAAAGAAAAGUUCGAAUUAACCGGUUUUCUUCUCUCGUAGUCGUUGUGGUCCUCGUCCUUUUGGGAAGAAGUAGACUCGUCGCUGUCGUAGUAGACGAUCUCCUUGAUGCGCCUGGUCUUCUUCUUCUUCCCUUCCUUCCGUCUUUGGCCCGAGCCGGAGUCGGUAGGCUUAUCGUCCUUCGGCUCGUUGACGAAGGAUUCCUUCUCUUUGUCGUUGAUCACUAUACCCUUCCCCUUAGGAUCCAUCUCUUCGGGCGGUUAGUCCCUUUGUGAAGAGAACGGCUCUGAUACCAAUUGAGAGCACCUAGAGGGGGGGUGAAUAGGUGAUCCUGUAAAAACUUAAACUUAAGCCACAAAAACUUGUUAAGGGUUAGUACAAGUAUGGCCAAGUGGCUAGAGUGAAGUCUCAACAAAACACAGUACCACAAGAGAAUCAAGCACAGAGUGACACAGUGGUUUUAUCCCGUGGUUCGGCCAAGACCAACGCUUGCCUACUCCACGUUGUGGCGUCCCAACGGACGAGGGUUGCAAUCAACCCCUCUCAAGCGGUCCAAAGACCCACUUGAAUACCACGGUGUUUUGUUUUCCUUUCACUAUCCCGUUUGCAAGGAAUCUCCACAAAUUGGAGUCUCUUGCCCUUACAAGUAUAUGAUCACAAAUGAAACACAGAGUAAGGGAGGGAAGCAACACACACAAAUCCACAGCAAAAGCGCACACACACGGCCAAGAAUCGAGCUCACAAGACUAUCUCAGAGUUCUCACUUAGAACAGAGCUCGAAUCACUUAGAAACACAAACGAAUGCGCAGAGACUUAGUGUGGAUGAUCAAGAAUGCUCAAAGGUUGCUUGUAUAUCUCCUCCAUGCGCCUAGGGGCUCCUUUUAUAGCCCCAAGGCAGCUAGGAGCCGUUGAGAGCAAAUCCGGAAGGCCAUCCUUGCCUUCUGUCGUCGGGGGCACCGGACAGUCCGGUGCACACCGGACACUGUCCGGUGCCCGAUUUGUUUCCUUAAACGGCAAAGACGACCGUUGCAGACCGUUGGCAGAUCUGGCGCUGUUGGCGCACCGGACAUGUCCGGUGCACACCGGACAGUCCGGUGCCGUCUUCCGACCGUUGGCUCGGCCACGUGUCCCGCGCGGAUUGCGCGGCCGACCAUUGGCCCUGGCCGACCGUUGGCUCACCGGACAGUCCGGUGCACACCGGACAGUCCGGUGAAUUUUAGCCGUACGCCACCGGCCAAUUUCCCGAGAGCGGCCAGUUCGAGUCGCGCCAGCCUGGCGCACCGGACACUGUCCGGUGCACACCGGACAGUCCGGUGCUCCAGACCGAGCUGGGUCUUGGCAGCACACAGCCAAGUCCCUUCUCCUUUUCUCUAUUCUUCUUCUUUCUGUUUCUAACACUUAGACAAAUAUAUUAGUACUCAAAACCAAUGUACUAAGGCUUAGAAACAUACCUUUACUUCAUGAUUUUCACCUUGUUCAUCCAUGUACAUAAAUUCCCAAUUAAGCACAUGUGUUGGCACUCAAUCACCAAAAUACAUAGAAAUGGCCCAAGGGCACAUUUCCCUUUCAGGUUUCUCCAACACAGGCGAACUCUAAGCCUGAGGAGGACCUUGCAGUACCGGCAAACGAAGCUCAGGCCGCAACCUCUAUGCGGCCGACUGAAGAAACCAAGAGGAUCAACCUAGGGUUCGCUGAUGAACGCAAGACUGCCAUCAUCGGCUCCAGCCUGGACGACAAAUAGGAAAGCGCGCUCAUCCAGUUUCUGCAAGAUAACCGAGAUGUAUUCGCAUGGCAACCUGCGGAUAUGCCGAGAGUCCCAAGAGAACUGGUCGAGCACAAACUGAAGGUCUAUCCCCAGGCAAGGCCGAUUCGGCAAAAGCUGCGUCGUUUCACGCCCGACAAGAGAGAGGCCAUUCGCGCCGAGUUAGCUCGCUUGGUCGCGGCUGGAUUUAUUAGAGAGGUGUUAAACCCCGAGUGGUUAGCCAACCCUGUUCUUGUACUCAAAAAGAAUAAAGUGGAUUGGCGCAUGUGCGUCGACUAUACUGACCUCAACAAACACUAUCCGAAGGAUCCCUUCGGGCUCCCAAGGAUAGAUUAGGUGGUGGACUCCACCGCUGGAUAUUCUGUGCUGUCUUUCUUGGAUUGCUAUUCCGGAUACCAUCAAAUUAGUUUGGCGAAGGAAGACGAGGAAAAAAUAGCGUUCAUCACUCUGUUUGGUGCUUUCUGUUAUACCUCCAUGCCGUUCGGCCUCAAAAACGCUGGAGCAACUUAUCAGAGAGCCAUUCAAACGUGCUUAGCCGAUCACUGGGGCAAGCGUGUGGAGGCCUACGUAGAUGAUGUGGUAAUCAAAACAGAGAAUUCGGAAAACUUCAUCGAAGACUUACAGCUGGUUUUCAACAGUCUGAGGCGAUAUAGAUGGAAGCUUAAUCUCGAAAAAUGUGUUUUCGGGGUACCAGCAGGAAAGUUACUCGGGUUUAUUGUCAGCCUCCGGGGAAUUGAGGCUAAUCCGGAUAAGAUUGAAGCUAUCAUGAAGAUGGAAGCACCUCGAUCACAAAAGAAGGUUCAGCGACUUACUGGAUGUAUGGCAGCUUUGAGCAGAUUUAUAUCCAGGCUAGGGGAAAAAGGUUUACCAUUUUACAAGCUACUCAAGAAGGUGGAUAAGUUUCAGUGGACUUCAGAGGCACAGGAAGCUCUAGAUGCACUGAAGAAAUUCUUGACAACACCACCAGUACUGAAGCCACCGCGACGAGCUACGUCAACUCAACCAGCUGAAGAUCUACUACUGUAUAUCUCUUGCACGACUCACGUGGUAAGCACCGUGUUGGUAGUCGAGCGAGCAUAAGAAGGACAUGCCUACCCAGUGCAACAUCUUGUUUACUUCAUCAGUGAAGUUCUAGGCCCCUCAAAGAGAAAGUAUCCUCAAGUUCAGAAGCUAUUAUAUGCAGUACUUCUAACUGCCCGCAAGCUACGUCACUACUUUGAUGACCACAAAGUCAUAGUAGUCACUGGUUUUCCGAUAGGGGAUAUUCUUCACAACAAGGAGGCCAUUGGUCGAAUAGCCAAGUGGGCUUGCGAGCUGGGAUCUCAUGACAUCGAGUUCCGACCUCGCACCGCCAUCAAAACUCAAGCACUGGUUGAUUUCGUAUCAGAGUGGACUGAACAGCAAGUACCAGAUAACCCAGAGACUGCAGAAGUGUGGCGAAUGUAUUUUGAUGGCUCGCUGAAGUUGCAGGGAGCAGGAGCAGGAAUUCUCUUCACCGCACCUGGAGGCGAGCACCUCAAGUAUGCCCUCCAGUUGCUGUUUCCAGCCUCCAACAAUGCAGCCGAGUAUGAAGCUCUGAUCCAUGGAUUGAACAUUGCCAUAUCAUUGGGCAUCAAGAGAUUGAUGGUGUACGGAGACUCUCUGGUAGUCAUUAGCCAGAUAAACAAAGAGUGGGAUUGUUCAAGCGAUUCAAUGGGAAAAUACUGCACUGCCGUCCGGAAGCUGGAAGAUAAAUUUGAGGGCCUAGAAUUUCAUCAUGUAGAAAGAGAUCGGAACACAGCAGCCGAUGUAUUGUCCAAGCUAGGAUCCAGUCGAGCUCAGGUUCCACCGGGAGUCUUUGUGCAAGAAGUAUUACAGUCGAGCAUCUCAAUGGAUCAAACAGAAGAAUGUAAUAUUAUAGAUCAACCCGAGUCAGACUCUGAUGACUGGAGAAGGCCAAUCAUCAAGUAUAUAAAGAAUGAAGAGGAACCAGACGACAAGAAUUCAGCCGAGCGCAUUGCCAGACAGUCGGCUCACUACACACUCAUUGGGGAGACAUUGUACAGAAGAGGUGCAUCAGGCGUCCUCAUGAAGUGCAUUCUCCCAUCUACUGGGAAGCAACUUCUGGAGGAGGUCCAUGCUGGGCAAUGUGGAAUACAUGCAGCAUCCAGAACACUAGUCGGGAAGGUCUUCAGGUCAGGACUCUAUUGGCCAACAGCAAAGAAUGAUGCAGCCGAGUUAGUUCAGAGGUGCGAAGCUUGCCAAUACUUGUCAAAACAACAACAUCUGUCAGCACAGCAACUGCAGACCAUACCAGUAACUUGGCCUUUCGCAUGCUGGGGACUGGAUAUGAUUGGACCUUUCAAGAAAGCUCAAGGAGGAUACACUCAUGUAUUGGUAGCAAUCGACAAAUUCACUAAAUGGAUAGAGUUCAAGCCCAUUGCUUCUUUAACCUCUGCUAAGGCCGUGGAAUUCAUACAAGACAUAAUAUUCAGAUUCGGGAUACCAAACAGCAUCAUAACUGACCUAGGAUCCAACUUCACAAGUUCAGAGUUCUUCGACUUCUGCGAGCAAAAAAGCAUUCAGAUCAAGUAUGCAUCUGUAGCACAUCCAAGAGCCAACGGGCAAGUCGAGCGAGCUAACGGGAUGAUACUAGAGGCACUCAGGAAAAAGGUCUUCGACAAGAAUGAAAAAUUCGCAGGAAAGUGGAUAAGGGAAUUGCCCUAUGUCGUUUGGAGCCUAAGAACCCAACCUAGCCGAGCUCUGCAUGGAAACACUCCUUUCUUCAUGGUCUAUGGGUCGGAGGCAGUGCUACCCGCUGAUCUCAAGUUCGGGGCGCCAAGAUUGAUCUUCGAAAACAUAGCAGAAGUCGAGGCCACUAGGCUGGAGGACAUUGAUGUACUUGAAGAAGAAUGGUUGAAUGCGGUAAUCCAAUCAGCACGGUACCAGCAGACUCUAAGGCGCUAUCACGACAAGGCUGUGCGACAGCGAUCCUUCUCAGCAGGAGAUCUCGUCCUCCGCCAAAUUCUAACGGGGGAGGGACGACACAAGUUAUCGCCCUUAUGGGAAGGACCCUUCAUAGUAGCAGAAGUCACUCGGCCAGGAUCAUAUCGUCUCACUCAGAUGGAUGGCACAGAAGUCGAGAACUCCUGGAACAUAGAACACCUCAGGAAGUUUUAUCCCUAGCUGUAUUUCAAAAGCUAUCGGAACGACGAUGUACUCUGUAAAGUGGAAAUAUGUCAUCAAUAAAAAAGGGGGUUUCAAAGAUACUCAGUUUGUUCACGAUUGACUUGCAUGCUUACUUAACUCGGGGUGACCACUAUGCCUUGCUAACGGAGCAAUCGGCUUAAGUCGGCAACGACUUAAGGCGGUGCAACAUGCUCACGCUUAUUUAACUCGGGGUGACCACUAUGCCCUGCUAACGGAGCAAUCGGCUUAAGUCGGCAACGACUUAAGGCGGUGCAACAUGCUCACGCUUACUUAACUCGGGGUGACCACUAUGCCCUGCUAACGGAGCAAUCGACUUAAGUCAGCAAUGACUUAAGGCGGUGCAACAUGCUCAUGCUUACUUAACUCGGGGUGACCACUAUGCCCUGCUAACAGAGCAAUCGGCUUAAGUCGGCAACGACUUAAGGCGGUGCAACAUGCUCACGCUUACUUAACUCGGGUUGACCACUAUGCCCUGCUAACGGAGCAAUCGGCUUAAGUCAGUAACGACUUAAGGCGGUGCAACAUGCUCAUGCUUACUUAACUCGGGGUGACCACUAUGCCCUGCUAACGGAGCAAUCGGCUUAAGUCGGCAAUGACUUAAGGCGGUGCAACAUGCUCACGCUUACUUAACUCGGGGUGACCACUAUGCCCUGCUAACGGAGCGAUCGGCUAAAGUCAGUGGCGACUUAAGCCGGUGCAACAUGCUCAUGCCUACGCAAUUCGGGGUGACCACUACGCCCUAUUAACAAAAGCAAUCGACUUAAGUCAGCAGCGACUUAAGGUGAUCUGACGUGAUUACAAUUACCCAUAUAAGGAUGACUUCUAUAUCCCACAAACAAAUUUCAUAACCAUUGCGCAUCAUUUUACUACUGCAAAUUUACAAACUAAUGAAUUCUGAAACACUAUGAAAAUAACAAUAUCGUCCAAGUACUGAAAUGUCGUCCUCUAGCAAAAGUCUGACCAUACUAACCGCGCGCUUAGAGUACGCAAAAAUGUUUCUCUACUUGGUGAUAUUUUUCUCAGGAGCGAUCGAUGAGGAAGGACGACUCGAGGAAUCAGGGGCAGCAUUCACAUCAGCCCUUAUAUCUUCGGGAACAACCACGCCGGGUCUCCUCAUCAAGAUUCGCCCCGCUCGAAUAGCCUUGUCCAUGGCUCUGUCACGCUGGGCUCUGAGAGUAACGGAAGUUUCUUCGGCAACCUUGGCAGCCAGUCGAGCAGUUUCUAACUCCUGGGCGAUGGAUUUCUUGGAAGCUCGGAGUUCUUUGAUGGUAGCGUCCUUCGCUGAUAUCAGCUGCUUGAGCCGAGUCACCUCAUCCGAAGAUUCCUACAGCUUAUAGCGUUGGUUGUCCAACUCUUCCAUGGUGAAGCGGUGACUCCUCUCUAGGAUAGUCAGCGAGUUGCUAGAAUCACGAUACAAUCUGUCAAGACUGUCGCGAGAAGCAGCAAGGAUACGUUUUUCUUCCUGCAAACAAAAGUCAACUCCCUCAAAAACCAAGCAAGUAAUAGGAGCACAACAAGGCAAAGCACAGCUUCAUAAAUCACCUUUUCAGAGUUGAGCUGAGCAUGAAGAGAAGAACUCAGUGCAUUAGCGUCAUCUAAGGCAGCGGAGACCUGACCCAGUUCAGUCUGGCUCUGAGAGUACUUUUCCUCAAAGUCAGUGCACCGCUGGACCAAUUCAGCCUGAUCUCGGGAAUGUUUUUCCUCAAGAGCGGAGAUCUGCCGAGUCAUUCCUAGCAGGAGACAAUCAAACAAAAAGGGGUCAGAAUGUAAAGCAGUCCACAGUGAAAGCAAAGAGAAGCAAAAAAGCACUAACCAGCGUUGGUUGCCUCCAAUUCAGAGGCGCGAUGUCGAAGUGACACUGGAUUCCAACAUGCAAGAGACGAAGCUACUUCUGGGACAGAAGCACCCUGUAACCGCAGCUGGCUGGCCAUUCCGUCCACCAAAGCCUGAUGAGGAGAAUAGAUAAGUGUAAUGACAGCAGUUCGUGCAAUAUAAAAACUAAGCUAAAAUACAUCACAAUACCUGGAGGUUGGAAAAGAACGAAGGGAUCCCCAAAUCAGGAGAGAUCAAUUGAUAACCAGGCGUAAGGCCACUGUCCGAAGCAGCUUGCAACAAACCAGCAGGAAUCAGCUCGGUGCCUUCAACAGAGCCCAGCACUCGAUCAGUGGGGACGCUGCCCUCUAAAGCGACUCCCUGGUCCAAGGCUUGGGCUACCACCAUACAGCCAGAGUGUGGAGGCGAUCCCGCAUGAACGUCCAUGGAAGUACAGGAGGGAGACCCUGCUCGGACACCCUCGGGGGCUGGGUCAUAGUUUGCACUGCCCACUUGAGCCGGAUCAUCCCCGGCAGCACCCUCGGGGGCUGGGCAGUGGCUUACACUUCCCACCCGAGCCAAGUCAUCCCCGGCGACAUCCUCGGGGGCUGGGCAUGUGUCAACACCAUCCUUGGGGUCCGAGUUCUCUGUAGUAGCCACCUCUAAGGUUGACGGGCCCUCGGCUACUUCCAUAGGACCAGGACGAUCCAAGUCAGUCUCCCGACCCUCGAGAUCGCGCUCUAAGGUCGACGAGGCACGGGAUGACCUCAACCCAGCAUCAAGCACAUCAGCGCAAACCUCCAUCACACCAUCAUCCACUGGCUCCGAUAACAAGUCCUCUGGAACCAUAUCCUCAAGAGUCCGAUCAAAGUUGGCCAGGGACAGUUCUUGCAGACCAAUGAGAGCAGACAAAGCAGGAGAGGGAACUCCACUACUUUCACCGCUGGCGAUGAACUGCCGACUGUUUUUCCGAGUCAAAGGAACUUCAUCUACCUCCUCCUCCUCGUCCACAUUGGCAACACAAGCAGCACCCCCAUUGGGAUCAGCAACAGAUGGAGCACCCACAUUGGGAUCAGCAGCAGAUUGGUUACACCCAUUGGGGUCAGCAUCAGUAAGUUCAGUCACAGGCAUUUCUUCAGCAGCAGAAACCGAAGUACCAGCGUCCCGAUCCAAACUGGAUACUCGCCGGAGGCGUCUUCUUUUCUUCUUCUGCUCAUCAGCAGAAGGAUCAGGCUUAUUGGCUCGGCAAGGGCGCCUCGGGCGAGUACUGGCAGGUUUCUGAGUAUCCAAAGUUGUAUCAGCCUCUAGGAGGGGCGACACUACCAGUGCCCCAGCAGGAGCAGCAUCAGAAGAAUCCUCAGCCAGCAAAUCAAGCAUAGCGCUUAUCUCUGCAUCACUAGGGUUCAGGGGGCACCUCAAAAUGGACCUGCCGUUCAUCAUCAGGAAUCUCCCCAAGCGAGGCAACCAAGGCACUAACUUCUUCAGCAGAGGGUCGCACUCUGAGGCCCAAACUGCCAUCAGUGACAGGUGGAUUCAACACAAAAAGGGUGAAGGAUUUGGGAGGAGGCAGGUUCUAAGCCGAGUAUGCCACUGGAGCACCAACAUUUGACACUUUGCCUCUGAGGAUCAUCUCAAGUCGGCUCACCAAGUCUGCAGAGGGAAUUCUUCUGUUGGUAACCCGAGUUGAGUCAGCUAGGCCUCGAUACAGAUAAGCUGGGUAUGCCCUGUCCUUCAACGGCUGAAUAUUCUUGAAGACAAAAUCAGUAACCACAGCUUCAGCAGUCAGACCCCUCUCUUUCAGCAGUCCAACUUCAGCUAGCAACGCACCUGCCUCAGCUACCUCCUGAUCUGUGGGAGACUCGGUCCAGCUUGGGGUGCGAACAUCCGGCUGUCUUCUCGACCGAGGGGGAGAGAGUUUCCAUAAUUCUCAACUAUGAACCACUCCAAGCGCCAUCCCUUGAUACUGUCUUUGAGAGGGAUCUCGAGAUACUCAGUCUUCCUCCCGCGGCGCAUCUCCAAGCUGGCACCCCCAACCAACUGAUGUUGUCCCCCGGCCAUCCCAGGGCGACAAUGAUACAAGUACUUCCACAACCCGAAAUGUGGCAGCACACCGAGAAAGGCUUCACAUAAAUGAACGAAAAUGGAGAUUUGCAGGAUGGAAUUGGGAUUCAGAUGGGUCAAGUUAAGAUGGUAGAAAUCAAGGAGGCCGCGGAAAAAGGGAGAAAUGGGAAGGCCAAGGCCGCGGAGAAGGAAAGGAGCAUAAACAACGGACUCAUGGGUAUCCUCAGUUGGGACAGUAACCCCAUGGCAAAUCCGCCAAGAACAGAGUUCCCGCGGAGGAAGAACCUCGAUGGACACGAGGUGGAGAAGUUCGGGCUCAGAGAUAACGGACAUGUGGUUACCUGCGAAAGGCAACUGGCUGUUGGGGUCGAUUGGAGGAAUCACCACGGCAGACGAACUCGAGGUUUUCCUCUUGGGCGCCAUCUCGAUUCUACCGGCGAGCAGAGUGGGAGGCGAAUUGCAGAGAGGAUUCGGAAGCGAGAAAGCAAGAACUAGGGCACGGAAAGCAGAGGCGGCUAAAAGCGCAGCACUUAUGGGAUAUUCCCGAGCCAGAUACCGUUUCAAAAAGUACCCAGUCAGCACUCGGCGGUUAUUUCCAAAACACCGGCGUGCCACGUGGUCACCCGGCAGUUAUUUCCAGAACACCGGUGCGCCACCUCAUCACUCGGUUAUCAUCCUCAAAGUGGCCCGCGCGGCCUGCUAUCACUCGGCGUUGCCUCUAAAACGCUGAUAUCUUGUUCAGUCGCUCGGCAUUACCUCUAAAAUGCUGACGUCGCCCUCCAGUCGCUAGGCGUUACCUCUAAAACACUGAUAUCGUGUUCAGUCGCUCGGCAUUACCUCUAAAAUGCUGACGUCGCCCUCAAGUCGCUCGGCAGUUGACUCUAAAAACUCCGACAUCGUGUCAGUCGCUCGGCAUUACCUCUAAAAUGCUGACGUCGCCCUCAAGUCGCUCGGCAUUACCUCUAAAAUGCUGACGUCGCCUUCAAGUCGCUCGGCAGUUGACUCUAAAAACUCCGACAUCGUGUCAGUCGCUCGACAUUACCUCUAAAAUGCUGACGUCGCCCUCAAGUCGCUCGGCAGUUACCUCUAAGGCUCCGACAUCGUGUUUAGUCACUCGGCGGUUACCUCUAAGGCGCCGACAUCAUUUACAAGUUACUCGGCAGCUAUUUCUAAAAGCAUCAGUUUGAUGCCCGAGUUAUUCACUUACUGUUUCAAAGGAAUCAGCUUCACAAAUGAGCAGGACAAUCAUCAAGGAGAAACCAACAUCAUUCCUUCAUUAAAGGGAAGAUAACAUACUUACAAAUCAACUCUUUAUGAGUUGAUACUUCCCUAUUACUACUACUACAUUACAUUACUGCUACUACUACACUACACUAUACUACUCUACACUACUAAAUACUACUACAUUAUUCUAACUAUACUAUACUAAUAUCUAAAAGACCAGUGGCAUCUAGCCACUGGCCCUGUUGCUGCCGCCGCCGCUGCCGCCCCUGGUGCUGCCUCUGCUGCUGCCGCCGCCGCUGCCGCCCCUGGUGCUGCUUCUGCUGCUGCCGCCACCGCCGCUACCGCCCCUGCUGCCGCCACCGUCACCGUCCUUGCUGCUGCUGCCGCCGCCCCUGUCGCUACCGUCAUCGUCACCGCCGCCACCGUCGUCGUCGUCGUCGUCCUUGUCCUCGCCGCCGCCGUCCGAGUCCUCCUCAUCCGAGGAGUACUCCGACUCAUCCAAGCCCUCGAGCCCGGAGCGCUCAACGGCCCGGAUGUACGUCCAGACCUCCGUCGCGAGCCCCUGGGAGUCGUCUGAGUCGUCAAACGACUCAUGCAGGGGGAUGGGAGCCGGAGACCCCUCAGACUCAGAGGAGAACUCCUCCUCUGAGUACUCCGAGUCACCAAACUCCUUCGAUGGAGGAGUUGGCUCACGCUUGCGUUUGUUGUUCUUGCCCAUGGUGGAAGCAAAAGGGAGAGAAGAAAGAGAAGCAACAGAGAACAGCGAGAGAUGUGAAAAAGCCGGAGAGACAAUGGCGUUAUUUAUAGAAGGAGAAGGCAACCGCUCACCUCCAACCGCGGUCACUGAACAGUCGCAAAGCAUUCAAUAAGCACUCCAACCCGUCUGAAGAUACGUCAGGCAGCCGACGCCGUUUCACGCAACACAACACCCAUUGGGACUCCAGUCAACAGCGCGGAGGAUAUGAUUACACCCGCCGUCACAUCACAUUACUACUCAGAAGUAGCCGGCUAAAACACUCAGCGUACCAAGCCGUCCCUUGCCCACACCCAUUGGGGGGGACGCCCAGGAAUUAUCAGUAUAUUUUUCAAAACGGUCACAUCUGUGCAGGACACGCAGUGAAUACCUCAAGACAAAAAUGAGAUAUCAGUAAGGAUCAGAGGAAAGCCAAAUAUAGCCAGUGAAGUACAAAAUAUGGCCGACAGAAGCGACGUGAAGACUAGACAGAGAACGUCCAUCAAAUGUCCAAUCAGUCGCAGAGCAAAUAAAUUACACUACCUAGCAAGAUAUGGAUGGAUUGCGAACUCGGCUGCAAAAGACAAAAUACAUGCUGACCUCUGAAGCAUAAUAUUGAUGACAUAAUGCUGACCUCCAAAGCAUAAUGUGGAUAGCUUCAUGCCAAUUUUUACAAACAGAAAGGAUAAUCUUCAGCAAAAAGACACAAAAGGAAGACCUUCGAAUGGAUUAUCCUCAAAAAUCCACUUGAAGGUCGGGGGCUACACCCAUUGGGUGCACCUCCGGUGCACCCCAUGGAUUAUCAUUCCAAGCCAAGAUAGUGCCGACUUCUAAGGCAUGGGACAAGAUUAAAAACAAGGCCGGCCCUCAACCAAAACGCAGGAGCAUAAAUGGAAAUAAUUUCUGGUGAAGACCUUCGAGUAGAUUAUUUUCUAAAAUCUACUCGAAGCUUGGGGGCUACACCCAUUGGGUGCACCUCCGGUGCGCCCAAUGAAGUUCAGAGUCCUACAAAUUGAAAUGCCGAUCUCUAAGGCACAAGCACGAAACAAAGCUUCGGUUUACGAGUGAUCAAAGCAGGAGGAGUCAAUAAGAAGUCGUUUUCUUCAAAUCACCUGCAAGCUGGACCUGGGAUCUUUGGGCUGAUUACCUCUAAAUUAACCCAAAGAUCGGGGGCUUGUGGGGGAUAGAUAUCCCCCGGGUCCACUAAAAGAGUAAAAGACCUCACGAAAGGCCCAAGGGCCCAAUAAAUCGUAAGGUCAUUCUUUCGUGGGCUUGGGGAGAGACAACCAGCAAAGCAGAUCGACAUGAGGCCGGAUUGGUGCGAACCCGGACGACCCACAACGUCGAGUGAGUGACCACAACAGAGAUCCGACUUUCCCGCGCUGGAGCCCCCAUGCAACGGAGCCAUGCGAGGAUAAGUCGGCAGAACUACAAGGAGAUAAACUCAAGCAGUUCACUAUCUUUUAGCUACACGUUGUUAUCAUAUCCACAUGUAUUGCCCCACGGUCGAGUAUAUAAGGCCUAGGGGGCACCCCUUCAGAACGAUCGACCCUAUUACUUAGCCGCCCACUUCGACUCUCUGCAUUCUCAAUUCAGAGAGCUCUCUUGUAACCUCAUUCACUCAGCAUACUCAUCAGGACGUAGGGUGUUACGCAUCUCUAAGCGGCCCGAACCUGUAAACCUUGUCCACUGUCCCUCGUGCAACUGGCACGAACCAUUUUGCUACAGUCGUUGACACCGUCCUACUCCUAAAAACACCUUGAGGGGCAACCCCGGGUGUGCGGUCGGACCCAAAACACCGACAGUACUAGUUAGAUGUUCAUACAUUGCUAGUUUGCUAUGGAUUACAUUUAUGCUUGAGUACACAAUGACAUAUCUAUGGUGAGUGAAUGUAAGUUUGAAGUCAACAAACACAAUUUAAAUCCCCAUUUAUGUAUUUUAAGUUUUUUCCAUUAAAAUGUGAGGGUAGAAGAGAAGUUGCCCUAAUGUUUUAGACAAUUAAAAUAUCUUUCAGGUAAAACAAGCAAAGUCUAAUUUUUUGCUAUCAUGCUCACAAAUAAAAUUGUAAAAAAAGAUCAUGCAGAAAACAACGACAACUUUUACCUUCACUUCUGGUGGUUAGGCAUUCUGUAUAGAAUUUGCCACUUUAUUUUUAAAAUCAUAAAAGACAUCUUAAUAACACUUUAAAAGGGUGUUUGCUUUCCUCACUAAAAUCUAGUCAUAUCAUAUUGGAUGUUUAAAUAUUAAUUACAAAUAUUAAAUAUAAUUUAGUUAGAAAAUUAAUUAUAGAGAUGAAAACUAAACAGCAACACAAAUAUAAAAGUCAACUCAUACGUGUGAUGCUAAUGUAAACAUUUUUGUCAAUAACAUAUUCAGAUACGACGUGCGGCGCUACAGCCUACACGUACACGCACCGGUAAGCAAGAACAGCCCUAUACAGUAUACUACACACUACUAGAAAACACUACUAGAAAAGAAAGACAGCCCACGUCAGCCGGGUCCGACAUCCGUGUACAAAAUCCCCCUCCGGCUCCAGGCUCCAGCGCAGCGCAACGCAACGCAAACCCAGACGGCCCGCCAGACCCAGCGGUCGCUUACUCGCAUCGCAGCGCACUCGCGCCACAGUCGGCAUCACAGACCAGAUCCCUGCGGGUGCGGCGGCCAUGGCCGAGAACUUCCAACUCCAGGGCCGGCACGGCAAGUCCCGCGUCCGCGUCUCCCGCGUCUGGCGCCGCCCGGCCGCGGCGGGGGGCGACGUCAUCGUUGAGUGGAACGUCGCCGUCAGUAUCGUCUCCGACUGCCUCCCCUCCUACACCUCCAGCGACAACUCCGCCAUCGUCGCCACAGAUUCCAUCAAGAACACCGUACGUUCCAGUGUUCCAACAGUCUCUCUUUGCUUCCUCCUUCCGCCGCCGCCCCAAAGCGGCUCUGGCGGCUUCUUGGCUACUGAUUUGGUUCGGCUUCGCUUGUGCAGGUGUAUGUCAAGGCGAAAGAGUGCACGGAAGUGGUGUCCAUGGAGGAAUUCGCCGUGAUUCUUGGAAGGCAUUUCACCUCGCUGUACCCUCAGGUAUCUCGAAACUAAUUGAUGUAUCCGGGUUUGCUGCUGAGGGAUCAAGAUGGGAUUUUUAUGGAUCUCUCUUCGUGCUGCCGUUUCGGGGCAGGUUUCAGAGGCCACGGUGACUAUCGUGGAGCGCCCAUGGGAGCGUGUGACUGUCGACGGAAAGCCUCAUUCGCAUGGUGAGAAAGAUUAUCGGCUAUCUUACUGAACACUUGCUGUUGACUGAUUGUACCGUGGAUUGAAAGAAAAUGAAGAAGAGUGGUGAACGUUCAGUAGAACUUUAGUGGAGACGUGUUCCUCCGGAUAGUAGGAUAUACAGUAUCCGCCAAACUUGGAGCUUUGACUGCCUUCAAGGAAACUUUUCCUUGGCGAAUCAUUUUCUUGGUCCCCCAUCCUCGCGUCUAUUGUCGGAAUCUUCAAUUACCAUUUGGCAACUUCCAAUUUGAGACUGUUUAUCACUGUUUACUUUUGUUGUCAUUCAUGUUCUAAGGUAGUGCAUAUGAACGUUUUGUAACUACACCAUUUACAGAGUAGAGUUUGAAACAGGAGUAGGAUAGAGGGUUGGAUAGGAAGUCUGCUGCCUAAGGAGUAGCCUAGUAUGGGCCACAUGUGUGGGUGACAUGAGUUACAGCAGUAGAAUCGCAACUCACAAGUCACUAGUAGGCAAUUUAUGCUCAAAACAUAAUUUUUUUCCAUAACUAAAAUGGAAAAAUACCUAACUCUCACUAUCAACAACUUUUACGGUUUAAAGAUUGUGACGCCCUGUCCAACUUUUGAGAUAUGUUAUGUAGUGUCACACAUCAAUAGAGCAGAGGUCAAUAGACUGUCGCACAUCAUGCAGUGCUCUAGAUUCAUUUAGAUCUGAAGAACCAUUGCUGAAGGCAAUAGUUGCAAAACAUAUAUUAGACAAACUUUGUUCCAUCUCCAAAUUUUCUGAACAUUUUUCUUUGGGAAGUGAAUAUACUUACCAAAUAUUUUCCGGAGCCACCUGAUAACACUGCAUAAUGUACUGUUGUUUAUAGGGUUCAAAGUUGGUGUUGAGAAGCACAGCACAGAGGUCAUUGUAAAAAAAUCUGGAAGCCUGCGUAUAAAUUCUGGAAUUCAAGGAUACUCGCUGCUAAAGACAACUCAGGUAUUUCUUCCACUUUUUUUUCGUGAUUGUUGAGCCAUCACUCACAUAUAAAUGCUAUACCAUGUUUAUCUCCUUAUCUUCAACUCUUCUGUUCUGGUCGAGGUUGAUUAAUUCUGUAUAAACUACAAACCAGUGUGCUGGUGCAUCCUAGCCUGCAUAAGCUAUGAAUUAUGCUGUGAUAUAGUUAGUAGAUCUAUAAUAGCCGGCGUUCCCUUAGGCGCUAGGCAUUAGUCAGGUGUAAGCCAGCGCCUGGGCUGGCAGUGUUCAGACUGAGCUUGUUCUUUUUUCCUUUUAUUCUUGGCUUUGGUUGGUUGAAUUGCGAAAUGGUCCUUCAGAAGAUGGACGUUGUAAGCCAUGUCAUGAUUCCAGGGAUUUAGUACACAUUUCCUCAGGCUGCUACUUUGCUAGCUGAAGUUUACUUGAUAAAAUUCUAAAACGAACAUGAACUAGAGUUGUUUUCUCCAGUAUCGCAGAAGUAAACUCUAAAAUUUGACUACUGCUUCUCAGUCUGGGUUUGAAGGGUUUGUGACGGAUCGCUAUAGGCUUCUUCCUGAUACAAGGGAAAGGAUAGUAGCAACAGAAGUUACUGCUUGGUGGAGGUAACUAACUCUCUUCCCUUCUGCCUGAAAAAUUCCAGUUCUCAGACCAUCUUUAAAUUUAUGACUUGUUGUAUGUGCAUACAGUUGAGAAACAAUGCUAUUAGUGUCCUGGACAAGCCAAUAUUGUAGUUCAGGUGUUGUGAUUAUAUUUUACUUUUAGGAAUUCAUCUACAAGGCUGCAAGUCAUGUAUUCAAGAGUCAUGACUUCCUAGUUUGCAAAAUAGCAAGAACGAGACAGGGCUAUCCAGUUAUUUAUGGGUCGUGGUGUUUUGUGUACGCUUCCUUUUUCUGUAUCCAGGUAUCCCUUUGAACAUGUUUCGCAGCUCCCAUCGAAGCCAUUCUGCUUCACGCAGAGAUAUCAGGAUGUAAAGAAAGUCCUUGCAGAGACGUUCUUUGGUCCUCCGGAUGUUGGUGUGUAUAGUCCAUCCGUACAAAAUACGCUAUACCUCAUGGCCAAGGAAGUCCUUACAAGGUCUGUAACUCUGAUUCGGUCGUCCCUUGUUUUCAGCCCCUUAAAAUAUGCACACAGUUUUCUUUGAUGAGUUGCAUUGCACUGAAUGCACAUGUACACUUUGAAGGUUCCCAGAUAUAUCGUCAGUCCAGCUUAGAAUGCCGAACCUUCACUUUCUGCCUGUCAACUUGGGGAGCAAAGAAGCUCCGCUGGUGAAGGUAAAACUUCCUCUACUGUAAAAAAUGUACGAAUUCUAUUGUUUCUUCUCUACCUAUUGAAUGACUCUCCAGGAUAGAAUUGCGGUGUCAAAUGUAGUUUAUAUGUACACAUCUUAUCCGCGGAACCUGAGAUAUAUUUUGUGUUUGUUUAUCAGUUUGCUGAUGAUGUGUACCUGCCGACGGAUGAACCACACGGGACGAUUGAAGCAACCUUAAUAAGCCGUCCCAUGUCAAAGCUGUAAAAAAAAUGUAGUCGUCAGGCUGGUAUUAGACUCCUGCUUCGUCUCCCCAGCAUCCCCAGGCUUAAAAUGGACAGUAAGCUGUAAGGGAAAGAUAAACUGUCAUAAAUCGUAGCCCCUAUGCUUUAUGUGUGGUGGUGGUAAUAAGUGCACAGACUUGUAUUGGAUGUUGUCAGCUGUAGCCUGUAGGCGUCCAGCUUGUGACGUUUCGCCACUGUAAUCGUGUACAUUGGUCGUCUUGUGUGGAAACCAGUUAAUAUCUUUGGAAGCUUUGGUCAGUUUUACUUCGUCGUCUGUAGUCUUUUAGCUCGUUAUUAGGCCACCAGCUUCAGUAGAUCUGAUUGUUUCUCCAUAUAUUUGAACAUAUUACGUCUCCAUAUUUGUAUUGCACUCUUCUCGGGAAUGCAUCCAUCCAUUCAUUUCGUUCGCCAGCAGUACGCCGUUGUUUUUUCUUUCAAGAGAGACGUUGAGGUUUUUUGUUUAGUCGGGCAAAGAUUUGCACAUUCGUAAUACUCGUUCAUUGAUAUAAAAGGUUGAGGUUUUUAUUUAGUGAGGCAAAGAUUUACCUGUUCAUAAAACCCGUUCGUUGAAUACAUGCUGAAGACCUUGUGGUCAUGUCACAUGGGCCAUAAGUGUAUUGAAGUCUGGAGCAUUGGGCCUGUUGGUCGCUUUCUGUUACUGGCCAGUGGCCAGGCUCGAAACCAUCCGCGCGCGAGCUGCUGCGUGAUCUAAGCACAUGUGAUGAUCUGCACAAGCACAAUGGCAUAGAACAUGGCCGCCGCCGGUUUCCGGUUUCCUCACAAUCACAUGCUUUAUAGUACAAGCUACAGCGCGGCCGAUGCUACCUACUACGCGCACAGAAAAUUCCGGCUCGCACUGCCAGGCAGUGGCAAUAAAAUGGGCAAGUACGCGAGGCGAUGAUGCGCUCAAAGUGCCCAAGUGCGCGCCGAAAGCCGCCACCUUGAUCACCCUCAACCCAGAGUCCCAGGGCCGUGGACCACAGACAGAGCCCGCACGUUCCCUGGCGCUCCACGGAUCAUGGGUGCCGGGCUGGCGGGCUGGCGGCUCCUAUGAACUGGCCCAAUCAUGAGCUCGACGCACGAGACGGCAGCGGACGGCGCGCGGGCUGGUGGGCGCUGGUCGUCGCGGUACCAAUGCGGCUGGGCCGCUGGCGUCCCGCCGGCCGCCUCAGCCUCACUUCUGGAGGAAGGCCGGCCGCUGUCGAUUUUCUCGGCGAGAGCUAGCCACCUUCACCAACGUCGUUUGAAUGCACUCCAUCUCCAUCUCCCUGUGAAACGAAACAGGACAAGCUAAGGGCGGUGUUGCUGGCUGGAUGCAGAUGAGCAGAUCUAGCUAGCCGCGCGUGUGCGGCGCCAUCCGGCCGGCAUGCAGGGUGUACAUCCUGGCAUCAGCUCGGGCAACGACGGCCGUGGCACAUGGCGCUCACGCGACGCGCAGCCUGGCGCCAAUGGAUUUCUGCUGUGAAGUAGGAGUAUAUUGGUUCCAAGUUGGGAUGCUACAUUGCUACCUGCUGGCGGGUGGUGGCGACCGUCUCGACCUUAGCUUUCCUUUCUCCGGGCCAGCUAGUUAGCUUGAGUGGCUUGAGUGGCCGGACUGGACCAACAAGUUUGACCGGGCGCCUGUCUCCUAGCGCCUCUAGUACGUGUGCACCAGCACCAUCCUCCUCUGCUUCUCGCUCCAUGGAAUUUAGGCAUUGUCCGUGUACUGUGCGACUACUAGUCUGUCUACUUGUAAUCCAAAUCUCAACAUUUUUUUUUUGCGACCGUGCCAAUGACACGUACAUCAUCAAGAAUGAGUAGAGAAAAAAGAUUACAGCUCUUUAUGAACAGUAGCUAGCAUUUAGCAACCGAAACGAGGACCCGGAGGAGCAGAGGAUUGCAUAAACGCAAAACAAAAAACGGCGAUGAUUAAUAAAUCUCAACUUUUGGGCGCUGGACCUUAUUAAAAAAAAGAACACUUUGGGUACUGCUGGAGCGGUUACCCAUCAACCGAGAUGCGCGGUACACAGGACUUUAGCGCAAAAAUGAAAAUCAGUGGGGCUAAUCUUAUCAGUAUAGUGCAAAUGUGCAAUAAAAAGGAGAGCCUAAUAACAACAAUAAUGGUAAAGGUAAGUGCGGUGACGGGUCAGCAUCACUUGGUGCCAAUGCCGGAUACUUUUUCCCUUUUCCGCCUUCAACUCGGAGAGCAAAUGUUUUUCUACGGUAGGUACGGUACGUACGUCGGUAGCUUUGGCUUCCGAAACACUUUCAUGGAUAUUUAGAAGCGCAUAUAUACAUCGAACUUAUGCGGGCAAAUUUGUCUGCAAGUACUGUACAAAAUAUAGCUAGGAUUGUAUCCUAAUGCUGUCCGUAGGACGUAAACGACGUCUCAAAAGAUAAAGAUAUAGUGCAAUGUUCCGGAGCCUAUCAACAUCUAAUACACACAGUGCGUGCUUAUUAGGGCAUAUACAGUGGUGUUUAAUGUGGGGGCUCUUAAGGUGUUUUAGGGGGUUAUUUGCAAAAAAAUCUUAGAGCCGUCUCUCCGUGAAGAGACGCCUCUGGCUCGUAAACCAAGUAACAACAGACGCCUCACUUCCCACUGUACGAAUUUGUCGUCUGUUCUAUCGAUCUGAUGUUAUACAAAUACAUUUAAUUCUGUAUUUAUUAAUAGACUACGUUUAUAGACACUCCAUUGUACAAUAGAGUCUCUUAGUUGUCUCCUGUGCUUGGAGAACCGUUUUGGUGUCUCUCCACUGUACAUGCCCUUACUACUGAUGUGGACUAUACUUUGGCAGCAGCAGCCAGCAGCUAUUGGUUUACGGACGGCGGUCACAUGAUCCGAACUUUUUGGUUGGAACUAGUCAAAUCGGAUGCACGUACGUAGAGCUAGAGCUAGUAGUAGUACUUGUUUCUAGUCUGUCGGCAAAGCGAGGCCCAGCUCAUGCUGGCCUGCGUCGAUCAUCACACGGGUUGGUCAAGGGAUUCAGCGCGAGUGAGCUCCACAAAUUGGCACUGAUGGCUGUAAACGUUGUCAGCCGUUCCAUUGGGAAAAAAAAAAUCUGGCGACAAAUCCAAUUACUCUUCUGCAGCUUUUCUCUGUAAGCGGAGACAGUAACAGAACCAAUCGUCUCGAGUUGCCCAGCGACAAAUUUAAACACGCGCGCCAAUGAUGAUGAGUGCCAUAGAUGGUUGCUAUGCAAGAUCUUGAGCUUGAAUAGUUAGAUGUAAAACAUAGUUCUAUUCGUACUUUCUUGAGUAUUGUUGCUAUGCAAGAUCUUGAGCUUGAAUAGCUAGAUGUAGAGAAAGAAAUUUAUAUGGAUCGGCCCGAUGGUUUUAUGGUUCUUGGUAAGGAGAUUUUUGUUUGCAAAUUGAAGAAUUUGAAGUAGUCUCCGAGGCAGUGGUACAAGAGGUUUAAUUUAUUUAUGAUUUCUAAUGGCUUUAAAAGGUCCUAGUAUGAUAGUUGUGUCUAUAUUACAUUUGUUAAUGGUUCAUAUAUCUAUCUGUUGUUAUAUGUUUAUGACAUGUUGAUUGACGGCAAGAGAAAGAAGGAGAUCGCUACCAUAAAGGCACAAUAAAGUAGCGAGUUUGAGAUGAAGGGCCUCGAAGCCGCUAGAAAGAUUCUUGGCAUGGAGAUUGGGAUAGACAGAAAAUCUGGUUUGUUGUUCCUCGGACAGCGCAAUUAUAUUCAGAAGGUUUUGCGCUGCUUCAAUAUGCAUGAUUCUAAUCCAGUAAGUAUUCUCAUUGCUCCUCACUUCAAGUUGUCAUCUACUCAAUGUCCAACCAAAGAUGAAUAUAUAAAGUAUAUGUCAAAUGUGCCUUAUUCUAGUGUUGUUGGUUCUUUGAUGUUUGUUAUGGUUUCCUCACGUCCCAAUUCGUCAUAUGCCAUGAGUUUGGUUAGCAGAUACAUGGUUAAUCCUGGUAGAACACAUUGGAAAGCUGUUAAGUAGAUUUUCAAGUACUUGUGUAGUACGUCUAAUGCUUGUUUGCAAUUUGGCAAGGUCAAAAAGGGACUUUUUGCAUAUGUUGAUUCUGAUUAUGGAGCAGAUUUAGAUAAGAGAAGAUCAUUGACAGGUUAUGUAUUUACAGUUGGUGGAUAUGCAAACAGUUGGAGGGCUUGUCUAUAGCCCACAGUUGCUUUGUUUACUACAGAGGCACAAUAUGUUGCAGCUUGUGAUGCUAGCAAAGAGGUCGUUGUUGGUUGAAAAAUAUAUAUGCUGAGUUUUGUGGAGAUACAUAUUGUAUUACAUUGUUCUGUACAGUUAGAGUGCUAUUUUCCUUAUAAAGGAUCAGAUGUUUCAUGAGUUGACAAAAUACAUUGAUAUUAAGUAUCACUAUAUCCGAGAAAUAGUUGCAGAAGGUAAAUCGAGGGUAUGCAACAUUAGUACACAUUUCAAUCCAACUGACGUGAUGACUAAACCUGUUCCUGGAGCUAAGUUUGGGAUUUGCUCUAACUUAGUUGGUAUAAUUGCUUAACCCUAGUGACUAUGUUGGCACCAGCAGCUUAUUCCUUCUAUUAUUCAGAAAGUUGCUUACAAGUUUUUGGCUACAAGAUAGAAUUUGUCUCAAGGUGGAGAUGGUUGAGUUUGUGAUCCAAACUCUGUAUAUGGAGGUCGUAUUAGGUGCAAGAGGGAGGGUAUAUAUAUAUUAUUGACCAUAAUUAGGUUUUGUGCUGUGUCACAAUCACUACUCCUCUUGUAAAUUGUCGUAUAAGGACGACAUUCUGUAAACACUCUAUAUGUUCUUGGUUUUUUCUUUCGUAUUAAAGGGUUUUUCACGUAAAUCUAUAUGUCGUGCUCUGUGGUUUGUUGGUUGAUCUAUUUCGUUUGCCGAUUCUGCUAACAAGCAGUCCGACCGAGGACCAAUCAGCGCGAUUAUGUAUGUGGUUUGCUGCUGAACCAGUGGCGGCAACCACAGCACAGCAUCUGAAAUCAACAACCUGGCUUUUAAACUUACACCCUGUCCUGUCUGAAAGAAAAAUACGAUAGGAUCGUCAGCGCGACGCGCGCCUAAGUAAUCUAAUCAUCCGCUAAACUCACUCUUGCCAGCCUGGCUUUGUUCUCGGGUCACAGCUACUUUCUUUUAUAUAUGUUUAUUGGGAUUAUGAUGUUGUUCAGAGGAAUUGAUGGGAUGGUUAGAUAGAGAGGGACCGGUUCUUCCCAUCCUCUUGAUGGCAACUGCUGUCCACUCACCUCAACAGUGACCACUCACCGGUGACGAGCUCGAGAAAAAAAGGCGGUAGCAACUAGCAGAAGAGCAGGAAGAACACUGUGCGUGCGUGUUUCUCACGAGUGCCGAUACUGUUCUUGUUCUUGAGAACAGGCUGCAGAUCAAGCAUCAAGGGGCUCCAGCGCCAGCGGUCCAGCGGGCACUGUAGUUGAUUAGUAGGAUGCGAGAACUGUGUGUGCUCUCUUCGGAUUCAAAGUUCAUCAGGAUUCAGGAGCUUGAGCUGACUGAGUGAACACUGAACAGGGAAGGGAGCCAGGGGGGGAUCACAGCCUGCGGUUGCGGUUCUGGGAAGAGACAGGCGAAUCAGUUCGUUCACACCGGCGGGCGGCGGUAUCCGACCUGGUGAUUGCCAGGGGGGCCCACGUGCAGUGCUGAUAUGAUGCCGCAGCAUCUGCAGGGUGUACCACAGCUUAAUAAUAUCAUAUCAUGACGUGAACCAUGGUAGAUUAGGAACGAUGGCACCGAUGAUAACAUGUAACCGGCAGCAAAAUACAAAAAGCCUGUUCUACAACAUCUGCUCUACGUAACAUCAGAUCAUCCUGGACUAUGCAUGUAGCUAACUGCUGACGGUUAUGCUAGUGUCUCUACUACUGCUUGAGGACGACCGUACCGUACCGUAGCAAGGACGACACCAUGAUUACUGUGGCAAGCUUCAUCAGAUCUGAUUUGGUGAUCCGGGAUCCCGGGAGGAUUGAAGUGAAUUGAGGGGAAAAUUAGUUCAUUUCCCCCUCAAUCCCUUCCGAUCCUCCCGAGAUUCCCUUUUCACCAAAUCAGCUCUCAAGGAGAUGCAGAUCCAUCAUCCAUGGGUUUACGGCCGGCCGGCACCUGACACCACCAUGAGUCACGGGUUUAAUUGCGACGUUAACGUACCCGCGCGUGCGGUACCUUUUACGGUCUGAUCAGGACAGGCCACGGGCCACGCCCACGGCCGUCGUCCCUUGUACGACUAGCUAAACGCCGGCCACGGUGUGUGCCAACAAAAGUGAAAAAAAAAACUAACCAUGUUUCUAACGCAAUUUUUUUAGCUUUUCCAUAUCAUAAUUGAUUUGCUGCUCUUUUGAUUGUUUUUUUUUUGCGAGAACCGGUUCGGUGCUAGCUAGUUGAUGUAAUACAGAAAUUAAAUACUUGCACGAUCGAUCGGACGAGCGUUGUCGCAAGCUUAGGCAGGUGUACCACUGGCGUCAACACUCAACAGCAUCCAGAGAGAGAGAGAGAGAGAGAGAGACGAGACGAGAUGCUAAAGUGUCUCCGUUCCCGCUUCUUCUUUGUACUUCUCGACAGAUUAAAGGAGAUGCGGAUGCGUAAUCUUUUGUAGGUUGCCAUUUUGAUGUCUACGAAGUGCUGCGUCCACUUGAUUUGUUUUCCAGGCACGAGAUUGGACAAGGACGGUGGAACCACCAAGCGAGUAUCCGCGCAAAUAGAAGAAAGAAGACCAGGCACACACACACACACAAUCAAGUACAUGGAGUUCCCGCUGUGUACCACGCUAGGUAGUGAUUCUUUCUCUCUCUCUGCAAACAAUAACCUUUUGUUUCAGAUGUAACGAGCUUAAAUUUUACAUUAUAAAAGUUAAGAAUCAAAUCGAAUUAAAAUCUGAUUCUACUCCUAUUUAUUUUGAAUUAAAAUUAAUUAAAUGCUCUAAUUAAUUAUAAAUAAACAUUUGUAUCGUGAUCUAUUACCACUAGCUAGAGAGAUCUCCGAUUGCAGCCUUUUCUAGUUCCUACUUGAAACGAUCGUAACUAAUAUGCUAAAACCUAGUGUUUGUAGCACUGUGACAGGCAUAUUAUAUUUUUAGCCCCUCUCUAUAAACCGUCAAUCACUAGUAGAAAAAGAUUCAAAGUCUAUGGUUCGGUAUAUUUUUAUAGGCGAAUUCGUUUAUCAACCACCUUUGUUUUUUAGUGGUGGUUCCUUAAAAAACCGACAUUAGAAAUCGUAUUUUUACAUGCGGUUCCUUAAAAAAUCCGCUAUUGGAAAUCUAUAAUUUCUAAUGGCGGUUUUCUUAAGAAAUCGUCUAUAAAAAUCAGUUUCUAGUGACGGUUUUCUUAAGAAACCACCACUAAAAAUCAUUUUUAUCCUUAAUUUUUUGAGUUUUUUCAAACAACAUCGUAUGAUGAAACCAACAAAAUAAAAGUUGUAAAUAUCUAAAAGUUAUAAAACUUUAUAGCGACAACUUUUUUAUUUGAAAUUAUUUCGGCUCUAAAAAAUUGCACCUAAAUUUAUCAAAUUUAAAAUUCAAAUUUUGCAAAUGACCUCGGAUGAAAAAAAGUGUCAAAAUGAAAGCCGUAGAACUUCAAAAGUUAUUCAACUUUGUAGUUGACAACUUUUUUAUUUGAAUUCGUUUACUAUCUCAAACAAGCAAUUUACACUCGGUUGGUUGUAAUAUAUUGGCAACAAAACUACAGCCUAGACACAAAACAUGUCAUAGGCGGAGUUGUAGAGGAGGGUAUACGCAAGGGUGAGAUCGAGGGUUUGAUUCCUAACAACCGUGUAGCACGCGAAUUUUGCGCGAAAAAUACUGUGACGGGUGUGGUGGGUCGAGGCCUCUCCUCAGAUAAAAUAUUUUUUUGUUGUUUUUUAAAACUCGUUUUAUGUUUCUAAAAAUAAUUUUCACUAGCGGUUUUAUUACGCCAACCGCUAAUCCUGUAAAAAUGAUGAUUUCUACUUGCCCCUAACAUUUUUUGUUGUUUUUAAAACCUAUUUUAUGUUUCUGAAAAUGAAAAUAAUUUUCACUGGUUGUUUUAUUACUUCGACCACUAGUCCUAUAAAAAUUAUGAUUUCUACUGGGCCCUAACACCGGUGGUUCUAAAAAAACGCCAGUGAAAAUAGGUUCACAACCAUUACUAUAAAGCUUAUGUGUACUAGUGAUUUAUAAUUCCUUGCUAGAAUAGAAGGGGCAUAUGAGCUAACGUUGUUUAUUAUCAUAACUAAUAUGCCCUCUGAUUCAAAUUCUAAGUCGUGUUAGACUGAUUAAAUUUGAUAAACCUUAAAAAUAUAUUAACAUGUAUAAUAUUAGGUGAAUAUAUUAUCAAAAUAUUUUAUAUGGUUAGAAGUAGUUUGCAAAUGAGUCUAUUUGAAUCCUCUUCUCUAAACUUUAGAGCUCAAGUUUUAGAGUACUUAACCUUACUAUUGAGCUCUAAAGUAAGAUGGACUGAAGUUUAGCGUUUGGAGCUCUAAAGUUCAAGGAGAGAAUCCAAAUAGGUUCUAACAGUCAUCCUUCCUCUUUCUUCUUCAUUCUUUCUCCUCAACACAAUGGUGGAAAGAGCUAGAGGUAGAGGAGGAUUCAUUGCUUAUGGAGUGAUAGGAGGGGCUAAUGUAUUAAUAUUGUCUAAUAGUAUAGGUAUUUAUAUAUUUUAAUGAAUUUGAUCAAUACGACAAAGUUAAAACAAUUGCAUUCUUAUUAGAAUGAACAUAAUAGUUUCUAAAUUACUCUCUUCAUUUCAAAUUAGAAGGGUCGUUAAGUUUGGAUUUUAGUGAUUGUCUGCGCCCUCUGGCCGGACGAUUCAUACAGGGCACUCGGGACUUAACCAAAUCGAGGCCCUUCUGACCAAUAUUGUCGGACGGUCUAGUCACUUGGCCCAGACGGUGCACAGUACAAAACUUCUAGAGCACACCUAAACGCACAAAAUCGGUCCAAAUCUUCGUUAGCCUUGCAGACGGUCCAUAAUACAUAAUUUCAACCCCUAUUCAAAUUCGCUUUUGAAAAGGUUUUCUCUCUCAAUCGAAAGCACUACACUCUCAUGCACAUGCAUCAAUUAUAUGCUCUAUGAGGCAUGAAGUACCUCGUCAAGUAAACAUCAUUGGCCAGUACGACUAUCUAGCCUACUAAUCCAAUCAAUUUACUUCUCUAAUCACCUCUCGACCGGCAAAAGCAAAAACCUAUCAUUUACUUUUGCCUUGAGCUAUUCCACAAUCCAUACUAAAGUCCUCCAAGACUUUUAUGUAGCUCAUACGUCAGUGAUCCAACCUACAUUCUUAUUUUCUCCAAAAAAUCGUUGGUCCACAUAUAACUGUCAUUACUUACCAAAACACUAUUAGGGCCUAGAUGCUUCACAAUAGGUUUGGUACCUAGGUUGUAUAACUCUUUUGCGGUAGAGAUAGUAAUACACAUAGCAAAAAUAUAGUGGAUAUUAGCAAAAUUAGAUAUUUUUAACUUAUCUAAUUCACCCCCUCUUAGGCAUCAUGAUCCCUUCAAGUGGUAUCGGAGCCAUUUGGCUCAAUUUGGACCUUUAUGUUCAAUGUCGUUAAGCCGAUGCUAUUUAGAGUGGUUGGUAUGGAUACUAACACUUUGACAGUACUAACUUUACUUAUUGGAGUGCUAUAAUGGUUGGCUAAUAGAAACUAUUAAUCUAGGUGUAUGGAGAGUCACUUGUGAUGGGAUGAAACCCCUAAAUAAUCAUGAGAAACCAAUCACAAGUGAUGAAAAACAAAUUCAUCUUAAUACGAGAGCUAAAAAUUGCUUGUAUAAAUAUUUUAGCAUGGACAUUAUUUGCCAAAUGUUCACCCUAACAAAAGCAAAUGAAAUUUGGCUAAAAUUGCUUGAGCUCCAUGACAUCACAAGCAAUAUCCAUGAGCAAACAUAUUACCUUGCUAAAUGAAGUCAUGAUUCUUCCAAUAUGAUUGAAACCAAGCUUGUUAGAUAUAUGUAUUCAUGAUUGUAUCUAAUUAUUAAUGAGUUAAAUUAUAUAGGAUUGACAAAUUUAGGUGACACGAAUAUUGUGAGAAAGACCAUCACUAUGCUACCACAUAAUAAUUAUGCAAGCAUCAUCACCAUCCUUAACAACAUGUAGGACUUGAGCACAAUGACACCUGCCACUUAUCAUUAGCAUGUUGGUGGCAUUUGAGACAUCACACAAGAUGGAUCAAAAAGAAUCCACUUCAUCAAGAAAAUGCAUAGCUAUGUCAUGUGAUGAGCAUAAGAAUAUGAAUAGCAAGAUGCAAGUUGAGACAAGCUCAAGCUCUUCAAGUGAAGAAGAUGAUGAAGAAGAAGAAGAUGAUGAUGAUGAUGAUGAAGAAGAUGAUGAUGAUGAAGAUGAAGCCUACACUCCUCCUCUAAUGUUGGCGAAGAAACAAUCCAACAAAUCGAGAAGGUGAUGAAGAUGAUUCAUGAGAUGAAUCUUAUAGGUUUGUCCAUCUAGUUCAUGAGAACAAAAAAAGGAUGUUGUGGUUGUGGCAAAGGGGCAUUUAUGGACGAUUGUCCAAACAAGGCCACAUCUAAGGACAAUAAAAGACUAUGCAAGCCUUAGGAUGAUUCAUCUUGAUAAUGAAGCGCAAUACAAGAAACACAAUCGCAAGCAUUCAUCAUUAUGUUUUUUCACACAAUCGCCUUAUGACACAAGGUAACACUAAAGGCUCAUCCUAUAGUGAGAGUGAUAGUAGUAGUGAUAGAGAUGAUGAAAAAACCCUUUAGUGAAGAACUGGCAUAUGUCAUCAAAUUCUUCAAAGAUGUUUGCACUAAGCAAAAAUAUUAAUUCAAAGUGCUAAAAUCAAAGUUAGUUAUCUCAAAAAGGCUUCUCAGAAUUUACUGAACAAUACAAAACAUUUGCAAAUCUUAAUGUUGAACUAACAAAUAAAACGAAGCAACUUGAAGCAAGUCCAACCUCACCCAUUGAUGAGAAAAUAAUUAAGAAAAAUAUAAAUUGAAAGCAAAGUUAGGUAGCUCUUAAGAAGAUUAUGAAAGUUUGCUUUGCAAAAUGCAAACUAUUUUUGAACAUAAUGAUCAAUCAACUAACAAGCUUCAUACUAUCAACUAGGUGAGUGCCCGUGCGUUGCAACGGGGACAUAUAAUACCACGGUAACUUAUAUACAAAAUGUGUGUUAUAAUGUUAUGAGAAAAUAUUUCAUAAUCCAUUUGUGAUCCUGGUCAUACAUAAAUUUUCUUAUUUUAAUCUAGCUGUUUCACCAUUACAUUGCAACCAUCAGUAUCUUGCAGAUUUCGAUAUAUGCCACGAUUUCCAUGGUCUCAUCAUUGGAGAGCACGCCCCACGCCAGCCAGAAAAAGUUCCCUCAUACAUCGCAGUCAUCAGGCACACACCACCAUACACGCUUGCUCAAACAAAAAAGCAAGUGUGUGUGUUUGCGAAGAGAAUUAAAUGCAGACCAGCACAAAAAGCUACCCCGAUGGUGGGAAGGAUGACGAACUGAUCAUUGCUGUCGGUCCUCCUCUGCGUCACCUCCGGCGCCGAGAUGACGCUACAGUCCAUGAUAUAGUAGUCAUCGAACGCGCGCAACAUGGUGAGUACUGAUGACUUUUGGCUGGGCUGCCAGACGAAGUGCACCUCGGGCUCAUCAGCAAGGUAGUAUACCUGGCCGUUGCACCACCGGAUGCGCUACUCCUCUACAUACAUCAUGUUCGAGGACACUCACACAACAUCAGCAAUGACCGUCGUCCCAGCGCACAAGAAUUCAUGGCCGGUCAGUAGCGACUUACAUGACAGGUUGGGCUUUAGAUGGACGAUGAGCUGGACGGCGUGAUGGCGCCGUCGUUGGAUACGGUGCCCAGAAAAACCCGAGAGUCGCUGACAUUGGCAACGACCAUGAGGUCCCCCUGCUUGACGAUGGACAACAUGGUGCAAUCGCUCUGGACCGCGUCCAAGCGGUGGCUGUGUCGGAGCUUGUCAUACAUAGUGGCUCAUGCGGCCACGUAGGACUACUUCCAGAGGUCGAACUAGCAGUCGUCAAGCUUCUUCUUGUCGUCGAUGAGCGACGCCAACGUGAGCGCCUCCUGCUAGUGGUGUUUGUUCAGGGUUUUCAAGCAAGAAACAUGGAUUCAUCCUUGGCGUUGGUUUAUAAAAAUGACUCACAAGUCAGAUCCAUGGAAAAAAUAUUAUGGAGAAUAAAUACCACACAUUCAAAAAAACGGAAUUUUAAGUUGAAAACAUUAUUCAAACAAAAGAAAUUGCAUGUAAGGCUCUUAUUUAAAUACUACUCCUUCUAUCCAAAAAUAUAAUUCAAGAAUUUUGGUGAUACUUAUCUACUACUACGCAUUGUGCAAGGGUAGCAGGUGGACUUAGAGAGAAAUGUAGUAGAUGUUUUCAUGUCAUAAAUGUAGAUAUAAACACACAUGUGGUGUAGCGGUAGCUACUGCUCGCUUUUUCCUGAGAGGUCGCGGGUUCGAUUCCUCUUGGAGUCAUUUGUUUUUUAGCUAGACGUGGGCUGUACGUGGGAAUGGGAAUGAGAAUGAGAAUGAGCUUUGCGGGGAUGGGGAAUGAAAAUGGCAGAACAAGGAAUGGAAAUGACAUAAUAUGAGAAUGGGCUGUGCGGGGAGGAGGGAAUGGGAAAGACAGAAUAGGGAACGGUGGCAGAACACGUAAUGACAGACUACUCUUGCAGCCUUAAUAAGCAGUAUAGAUAAUACCUCGAGACACCUAAAAUUAAAACAAUUAAAAUUGACAAAAUGGAUGUCUUUACUUCUUGCAAUGACUUAAUUGAUUUAGACUCACCUUCUUGCAAAUAAAUUUGUUUUAAGAAUAUGUUUGUAGAAUUAUGUUCACAAGUUGCAAUGGAUAAUGAGCAACUAAAGCAAGAGUAUCUUGCGUCACCAAGGACUUGAUUCAAGUAAAAGGUAAAAUGGAGUAAAUCCAACCUCAUAACACCAUUAAGGGAAUGAAAAUGCUUGAUGAGUAAGCAACCAUGGUUUGCUACAUGUACCACAAGUACUAUGAGUGCAAGGUGAAGAAUGGAGGAGUUAGCACAUUUGAAAAAGGAUCUCGAAUGCUGACUGUGCAGCACUAGACGUGCCCGGUGUGUCAUCAGACGUAACACCGGAUGUCCCUCACCGGACGUGUUUAGUGAAACACCGAGUUAAGCACCCGAUAUAAGUUUAAGAAGGCAAUGAUGCACUAGAGAGUGCACUAAACAUGCCCUGUGUGGGCACCAGACACCACACCGAAUAAGGAACCAAAGAGCACACCUUCUAAUCACUUUGACUCUAAUAGGCACCAAACAGGUAUGGUGCCAUGUCUGCUACGUGCACUGAAUGUCUAGCAUGGGUAGUGAUUAGUCUGUAUCUGUUGGAGAAGUAGAUAUCGGGAAGACCUCAGAUGUGUCCGGUGGAGGCAUCGGUGGUGCACCAGACUAGGGAUGGCAAUUUCAUCCGUGGAUUUGGAUAUCCGGCGGAUAUCCGACCCGACGGAUUAGGAUAUGGAUAUGUUUUUUGACCCGCGGGUUAGAUCCAUAUCCGAUCCGAGAUAAAAUGGGCAUGGAUUUGGAUUUUAAAUCUCACCCGCGGAUAAUCCGUUGGAUAUCCGAAAUUAACAAUUAGUACAUUAUUGAGCCCAGAUGCCAGCCCGCCAAAAUAAUAUUUAGCCCACCAAAGCACCGAGCCACGAGCGUCCAGCCCACUGCCCACCCUAAUCCCUAAUUCCCAAUCCGGCCAUCCCCACUACCAAUCGUACCGGCUUAUCUGAUAACGUGUGAGGCCAUUGCAUUGGUGUACGAGUCCACAGACCCAAUCAGUUGAAUCCCAGGCAUCUGCAUCCUGCUGUCAGCAGCCGGACGCCUCACGGCUCACGCGGCUUCUUUCCUGCGUCCGCUGCGGCACCGCCGGAGGCCAGAUCCCCAACGCGCGGACGCGCCGUCAAACAGGCAGGGGCGCAGGGCAGUUAUCUUUCCUGCGUCCGCCGGAGGCCGGAUCCCCUACGCGCCGUCAGCCCGUAACCCAGGCAAGCUAGGAUAGCCGAGCAGGGCGUUCUAAUCCAGGAGCAGCCGAGCAGGGCGUUCUUUCCUGCGUCCACCAUCGGAUCCCUAUGCCUACACGCUGUCACCCAGGCAAGCCCUGCUCUGAGGUCCGCCCUGCGUAGACGGCUAGACGCAGCUCUGAGCUCCGCGCCUCCGCCCUGCUGUGAGCGACUAAGCUUCGCCCUGCCCCUGCGCAGCUGCGCUGAGCGCCUUCAGGUUCGUCGUUCAGGUUUAGUUAUAUAUAUUAAUACAUGGAUGAUGUUCCAGUUUGGUUCCUUCAGGUUCAGUUUGGUUCCCUGCGUAUGAUGUUUCCAGUUUGGUUCAGUUUUGACAUGCGAUGUAUUAGCAGGAUGACGUCUAGAAUUGGCUCUGGCUCGCAAUCUCCUUGCCCACCAGCCUCCUCACAAGAUGGUUUGAGGAGGCAGAUCUCAAACAGAGGUAGUGCUACUACUCCAACAAGUGCAGGUGGUGCGACUGAUACUCCGACACCGUCCUCAAGUGCUGCUGCUGCUGGUACUCCAACACCUAUAGAUGGAGGUACAGAUAAUGUGGUUGUAGAUGGGGAAGAUGGUAAUGUAACUGUUGGAAGCAAAAGAAAGCUCAAAUCUGAUGUAUGGCUAGAGUUUGAACAAGUGACAGUAGGAGGCAAAUUAAAAGCUGAAUGCAAUUGGUGUAAAAAGCAUUUUGUUGGAGAUAGUAAAUCUGGCACAACUCACUUGCGUAGUCAUCUUAAAACUUGUCAAUCUAAGCAGUGUCAAAAAGGCCUAAAGCAAUAAAUAUUGAAGUUGGGCAAAAAUGAGAAGGGAGGAGCUGUGGUUGAGAAGUAUGUUUUUGAUCAAGUGGUUGCUAGAAAAGAACUUGCGCUAAUGAUCUGUGUGCAUGAGUACCCACUUUCUAUGGUUGAUCAUGUUGGGUUCAGAAGAUUUUGUGCAGCACUACAACCCCUUUUCAAAGUAGUGUCCAGAAACACUAUUAAAAAAGACAUAUUGGAUAUGUAUGAGGUGCAAAGACUUUCUUUAGUGAAUUCCUUCCAACAGUGCUGAAGGAAACGGGUGACGCCUAAGAGGGGGGGGUGAAUUAGGACUUCUUAAAUUUUUACUAAACUAGGCCACAAUUAAAUCCCUAGAGCAAAACCUAUGCAAGAAUCAAAACUAGGAUGUGCAAACUAGGUUUUGUCUAAGUGUUGCUAUCUCUACCGCAAAGGCUAAGUUUCAAUCUACACUAAAUAAGUAUGACAACAAGAUUGAAACUUAAAUGCUUAAUAUAAAUGCGGAAUGUAAAGAGCUAAGUAGAGAGGCAAACUCUCGUGGAUGACGCCGGUAUUUUUACCGAGGUAUCCGGAACCGCGCAAGGUCCCGACUAAUCCUCGUUGGUGCCCCUACGCAAAGGGAAGCCCACGCGAGGGCCAAGCACCUCGGUCGAGUAACUCCGUAGAGAGCCGCGGGCCUUCUCCACGCGCAAGUGGUGCUCCGCUUCCGGCUCCUCUCGGACGCUCCCCGCCGUCUCCACUAUCGAGCUUCCGGCCGAAACGCCGCGGGCCUCGUUCCCUCCGGUACACGGUGGCGGCCGUGACACAAACACGGUUGUCACGGUCUCGCAAGACUCUCGCCCCACUCGGUACAAUUACAACGGCUCGCGCAAGAGCCGAGGGGUUGUGAGGUUUAUCUAAACUCACUCAACUAACUAGGAUUCACCUAGAGCAAGCGCUAAAGCGGUCUAACUAACCUAAGCACUUCGCAAAGCACCUACGCUAAUCACCGAGUGAUUCUAUUAAGCACUUGGGUGUUUGAGCACUUGGAAAUAUGCACUAUGUGUAUUGGAAUGUUGCUUGGGCUCUCACACUUGAGAAUGGCCGGUUGGGGUGGUAUUUAUAGCCUCCACACCCCCAACUAGCCGUUGAACAGAAAGCAGCAGCUUUCUGUCGUCGGGUGCACCGGACAGUCCGGUGCACCACCGGACACUGAACAGUAGAUGUCCGGUGCGCCUAUGUCAGCCGACCGUUGGCGUCUGUAGCAGUCGACCGUUGGAUCCGACCGUUGGAUUCGACCGUUGCCGUCUGCCCGUUGGCACACCGGACAGUCCGGUGCACACCGGACAGUCCGGUGCUACAGCCCGAGAGCGCCUACCUGCGGCCUCUCUGCGCAGACCGUCCGGUUGUCCCACCGGACAGUCCGGUGCACACCGGACAGGUACUGUGCACUGUCCGGUGCGCCACCAGGCGCUGGCUGACAGCCCUUGUCUUGGUUUUCUUCGCUGAUUUCUUCGGGCUUCUUUGUUCUUGAGCAUUGGACUCCUAUGCAUCUUUUUAUGUCUUCUUUUGAGGUGUUGCAUCCUCAUUGCCUUGGUCCAAUUCUCUUCGCAUCCUGUGAACUACAAACACAAACACUAGAAAACUUAUUAGUUCACGGAUUGUGUUGUUCAUCAAACACCAAAACUCAAUUAGCCAAAUGGCCCGGGGUCCAUUUUCCUUACAAUCUCCCCCUUUUUGGUGAUUGAUGACAACACAACCAAAGCAAGCAAAUAAUACAAGUAUUUGAAUGAAAACUAUGCAAUCUACUUGCUAGGAUGCAUGAUUGUCCCCACAAUGUGACAUUAUGGACUUAAGCCUCCCCCUAACUCCAUAAUUCACUUACUUCCUAUUUUUGGACCAAAUAACCAAAACCACUUGAAAAGUCAUUUGUAGUUAUAAAAUUUUAAAUUGGUGGUGUUUGGUGUUUGAUAUAGUUUUCAUUGCUUUGGCCCCUAAACUUCUCCCCCUUUGGCAUCAACCACCGAAAAGGAAGACAUUAAAAGCAUGUAGGAAGUAAAUAAAAGCUUGCCCUCAACAGAUGAUAUCACUAGAGGUAUAUUAAAUUAAGCCAUGAAUGAUACCACUUGUAGAUCAUGAAAGAUACCAUGAGUAGGAGUUCCUCAAAAGAUUAUUUCUCCUAAAUGAGUAUUCUCCUUUGGAAAGAGUUUUUCUCCCCCUUUAGAGAUGAAGAAAUACUCCCCCUGACAGAGAUCCUCUACUUAGGAAAAAGCAUGUGAAAAUUAGAGGUGCAAGACAUGAUUUGAAAAGACUGACUUCCCUUAUGCAUAGGUAACAGAAUAUGAGUUAACCACUUAUGCAUUUUUAGCAACAUGGAAGCAUAUGAUAUGAAAUAUAGUCUAAUCAAAUAUUGGAGAAGACAUGUAAAUGGUACUGAAUGUAGUCUCAAAAGAUACCAAUUGAAGACCAAUUGUAGGUCAAUGGCGAGCUUGAGAGACAUGAGAGUUCUUGGAGAUUUUGCAGUGGAAGAUUGUUGUCUUUCUCCGGGGACUUCAUUUUCCUUACAAUGAGACUAUCAUAUGAAAUAGACUUGAAAAGGUGUUAGUCUCAAAGUGUUAGAUUAUAGAGUAACCUCCCCCUAAAGGUGUGCAUACAAGUUUUGAAUACUUGUAGGAGAUAUGCACUUUGAUUUGAUAUCAAGAGGGGCAAAUUAUCCAUAAUCCUAACUUUGGCACAUAUAAGUUAGAUGAUACACUUGUAGGAAUCAAAAAAUUUUCAAAUUAUGCAUCAUUUAUUAUGGAGUGAUAUAAAAGCUAUGUGCCGUGCUCUAACUAAACAUUUUAAGCCAUGUAGGUUUGCUUAAGUAUAUGAAUUCAAAAACUAGCAAUCCUACCAUAUGAUUUACCUAGUAUGCAUGAUUUUGAACAAAAGUACAUAACAAAUGUAAUACUAGGCAGGAAAGGUAAACUAGAUAAAAGAUAAAUAGAUACGCAUAUCUAAAACGAGGAAUACACUAAAACUAGUUACCUUAGUCAUGGGUGGGAAAUUUGGGUCUAAAAUUUUCACUAACCCACUUGGCAAUAAACUUGAUCCAAUAUGAUGUAUCCCAUGAUAUACAUCCCUAAUUUAGCCAAGUCUCCAAAUUUCCCGAUGACCUUUGGUUCACUCAUUUCCCUUUCGGGAUCCAAACCUUCUUGGUGCUUUUCAUGGUUGAAAUUAUCUCUUUUGGCACCCAGAUGCGUUUGGCCCCCUUUCCUUUGUUGGCUUGCUUGUUGGCCUUGAUUGCUAUCACCUUUCCAUUCUUCUUCUUCUUGAUCAAAUAUGGUGUAGCGUCCUUUUUGUUCACCUUUUUGAUGUAGGUGCUGGAGAUUUUGCUUGUCGGCUUUUGCUUGAGCUUUUGCCUUUGUUUAUUCCCGGUCAUCGCCUUGCAUUGGAAAGACUUGUGGCCUUCCUUGUGGCAUAGCCUACAAAUCACAGUUUCUCCCUCUACAGGCUUGUUCACUCCCGCAGUGGUGUUAUCCUGUGGAGGUCGGAUUUGUUUGGCUUUGCCUUUCUUGUCAUACAAAGCCUUGCCAAGACGAGCCACUUCUUGCUUUAAUUGUUCAUUUUCCUUUGCAACCUCAUCAGAGCAUGUCUCUACAACAAUAUUCUCAACAACAACUUGGUUGCAGGGGUUAGAAUCAUCAAUUAAGUCAAAGCAGGAAGUAGAAGCAUCUUUCUUAAUAAUUUCAGGAAUUUCAACUAAAGAUGCUGCUGGGGUGCUACCAAUGUUUUCUAGCUUAGUAGUUAGCUCAUUAUUGUGUAUGCUAAGAAUUUCCAUUUUCUCUAGCAAAUUUUCAAUAGCUUCUUGGGAGCUAGCUAACUUAGCCUUAAGUUUUUCAUUCUUUUUAAUAAGGCUAUCAUCGGUAGCAGUGGAUGGAGCACUAGAUUCUAGCAGCUCAAUUUUAGUUGAUAGCUCACUAUUUAAGUUUGCAAAAGUUUCAAAUUUUUCUAGCAAACCUUUGUAAUCAUUUUGAGAGCUAACCAACUUAUUUUUCAAAUUUUUAAGUUGAGCUUUUUGCUUAGUGCAAACAUCCUGAAAAAAUUCUACGGCUUCUGCAAGCUCAUCUAGAGAGGCCUUUCCCUCACCUUCAUCAUCACUACUACUUUCAUCACUAGAGGAUGGAAUGCUUUUGUUACCUCUUGCCAUAAGGCAUUUGUGUGAUGUCCGUGAUGAUCGUGACGAGGACCGGUGGCUGCGCGUCCUUGGAGAUUCAUCUUCACUUGAAGAGUCAUCCCAAGUUCUAACACUUGUGAGCGCCUUGCCUUUGCUCCUCUCCUUUUUGGGUUUGGCCAUAUUUGGACAGUUGUCCCUGAAGUGGCCCUUCUCCCCACAUGCGAAGCAUCCUCUCUUCCUUUGCUUUUUCCUGUCAAUAUUAAAGAGAAGAUCCUCGACCUGCAGGGGCACACCCAUUAGAUUAAUCUUGCGGAUCAUCCUCAUUACCUUUCCGACGCGUCGGAUUGUUUCUUCGUCCUCGGAGGAUGAUGUACAUGAUUGAUUAUCUUCAUCAUCAUCACUUUCUUCUUCUUCUUCCUCUUUUUCGCUUGAGGAACUUGGAGUGGGAGCCUUCUUUUUGCCCUUCCUUUCAUCACAUGCAAAAGCAUAUGGCUUUGAGGAAGUUGGCUCCUCUCCCCGACUCAUUUUUCGCGACAUCUCAAAGGCCGCGAUUUUCCCAAUCACAAUGGUCGGGGUCAUGUUGCUCAAGUUCUCCAUGUUGUGAAGGAUGGUGAUGAUGCUCCCAUAUUUUUGUUGUGGUAGCAGGGAGAUAAUCUUCCUCACAAUGUCCGCAUCACCUAGCUUGUUAAUGCCAAUAGAAUUGAGCUCAUUGAUAAUUAGAUUCAAGCGAGAAUACAUGUCUCUAACAAGCUCAUCAUCUUUCAUAGCAAAAGAAUUAUACUCAUUUAAGACUAGGCAAUGUUUUUGCUCACGGACAUUGGAUGUGCCGUCAUGGAGCUCAUGCAAUUUUAGCCAAAUCUCAUUAGCAGUUUUCAGGGUAAAUACUUGAUUGAAAAUAUCCAUGCUAAGAGAUUCAUACAAGCAAUUUUUGGCUCUAGCAUUUAAAUGAAUUUCUUUUUCCUCACUCGUGGUGGGUUUCUCGGGAUUCUUGAGGGGUUUCAUCCCGUCACGAGUGACUCUCCAAACACCUAGAUCAACGGCCUCUAGGUAGCAAGCCAUUCUAGCACUAUAAUAUGGGAAAUUAGUGCCGUCGAAGUGUGGUGGCCUAUGGGUAUCCAUCCCUUCCUCUAAAAAGCGUCGGCUCUUUUAGCGGUGAAGCUAAAACGUUUCAAAUGAGCCAAACCGAGCUUUGAUACCAAUUGAAGGAAACGGGUGACGCCUAAGAGGGGGGGGGGGUGAAUUAGGACUUCUUAAAUUUUUACUAAACUAGGCCACAAUUAAAUCCCUAGAGCAAAACCUAUGCAAGAAUCAAAACUAGGAUGUGCAAACUAGGUUUUGUCUAAGUGUUGCUAUCUCUACCGCAAAGGCUAAGUUUCAAUCUACACUAAAUAAGUAUGACAACAAGAUUGAAACUUAAAUGCUUAAUAUAAAUGCGGAAUGUAAAGAGCUAAGUAGAGAGGCAAACUCUCGUGGAUGACGCCGGUAUUUUUACCGAGGUAUCCGGAACCGCGCAAGGUCCCGACUAAUCCUCGUUGGUGCCCCUACGCAAAGGGAAGCCCACGCGAGGGCCAAGCACCUCGGUCGAGUAACUCCGUAGAGAGCCGCGGGCCUUCUCCACGCGCAAGUGGUGCUCCGCUUCCGGCUCCUCUCGGACGCUCCCCGCCGUCUCCACUAUCGAGCUUCCGGCCGAAACGCCGCGGGCCUCGUUCCCUCCGGUACACGGUGGCGGCCGUGACACAAACACGGUUGUCACGGUCUCGCAAGACUCUCGCCCCACUCGGUACAAUUACAACGGCUCGCGCAAGAGCCGAGGGGUUGUGAGGUUUAUCUAAACUCACUCAACUAACUAGGAUUCACCUAGAGCAAGCGCUAAAGCGGUCUAACUAACCUAAGCACUUCGCAAAGCACCUACGCUAAUCACCGAGUGAUUCUAUUAAGCACUUGGGUGUUUGAGCACUUGGAAAUAUGCACUAUGUGUAUUGGAAUGUUGCUUGGGCUCUCACACUUGAGAAUGGCCGGUUGGGGUGGUAUUUAUAGCCUCCACACCCCCAACUAGCCGUUGAACAGAAAGCAGCAGCUUUCUGUCGUCGGGUGCACCGGACAGUCCGGUGCACCACCGGACACUGAACAGUAGAUGUCCGGUGCGCCUAUGUCAGCCGACCGUUGGCGUCUGUAGCAGUCGACCGUUGGAUCCGACCGUUGGAUUCGACCGUUGCCGUCUGCCCGUUGGCACACCGGACAGUCCGGUGCACACCGGACAGUCCGGUGCUACAGCCCGAGAGCGCCUACCUGCGGCCUCUCUGCGCAGACCGUCCGGUUGUCCCACCGGACAGUCCAGUGCACACCGGACAGGUACUGUGCACUGUCCGGUGCGCCACCAGGCGCUGGCUGACAGCCCUUGUCUUGGUUUUCUUCGCUGAUUUCUUCGGGCUUCUUUGUUCUUGAGCAUUGGACUCCUAUGCAUCUUUUUAUGUCUUCUUUUGAGGUGUUGCAUCCUCAUUGCCUUGGUCCAAUUCUCUUCGCAUCCUGUGAACUACAAACACAAACACUAGAAAACUUAUUAGUUCACGGAUUGUGUUGUUCAUCAAACACCAAAACUCAAUUAGCCAAAUGGCCCGGGGUCCAUUUUCCUUACAAGUGCCAAUCUCGAAUUGCUGUAACUACUGAUAUGUGGACAGCAAACCACCAAAAGAAAGGAUACAUGUCGGUUACAGUACAUUUUAUCAAUGAUGAUUGGAAGCUGAAAUCUUUUCUUUUGAGGUAAUAUUUUCUUUCGUUUCAUGUUCUCUACUAUAGUCUUAUAAUCUUGUUGUGAUGGUGUUGCUAAAAUUGAUAUGUUGGGUUAUUAUAGGUUCAUAUAUGUGCCCGCCCCACACACUGGUGAAGUUAUAAGUGAUGUCCUUUAUGAGGUACUACAAGAUUGGAAAAUAGAAAAGAAGGUGUCGACUGUGACUCUUGAUAAUUGCACCACCAAUGAUAGUUUGAUGAGUUCUAUGCAAGAUAAGUUGCCCCUCGUCUCCCUCAUGCUAGAUGGUAAAUUGUUACACAUGCGUUGUGCAGCACACAUCAUUAAUCUUAUUGUGAAAGAUGGAAUGACUGUUAUGGAUAAAGGCAUUGAAAGGGUACGUGAUAGUGUUGCAUUUUGGUGUGCCACGCCAAAAAGACAUGAGCGUUUUGAACGCAUAACUGCUCAAAUGAAUGUUAAAUAUGAUAAAAGGAUAGCUCUAGAUUGUAAGACAAGAUGGAAUUCAACUUAUAUUAUGCUUAGCACUGCACUAGAGUAUCAAAUAGUAUUUGACCGCCUUGCAAGUAAAGAAAGACUUUGUACUUCAUUUAAGCCAACAACAGAGGAUUGGGAAUUUGCUAGGGAGCUUUGUAGUAGACUAAAGAUGUUUUUUGAUGCAACUGAGCUAUUAUCAGGAACAAAUUAUGUCACAGCCAACCUUUUUUCCCUAAAAUAUGUGGUAUUUAUUUGGCUAUUGAGAAAUGGAGGACUAGUGCAAUCCCUAAGGUAGAAGAGAUGUCAGCAUUGAUGAAAGAAAAAUUUAAAAAGUAUUGGAUAGAUGUUCAUGGGCUUAUGGAGGUAGCUACUGUUUUAGAUCCUAGAUACAAAUUGAAGUUUGUGAAAGCUUUCUAUAGCACCAUUUAUGGGGAAGACAAUCAAAGAACCAACAAUGAAGUGUGUAGAGUUCGCUCUUUGUUGUAUGAGUUGGUACUGGAAUAUCAAGUAUCAAUGGAGGGCAUGGCAACAACUGAUGGUGUAGGGACAUCAAAUAGAAAUGUUGUCCUCAAUGAAGGUGAUGACCUUAUGUUUGGCAUAUUUGACAAAUUCUUGUCUGAGGAACCAGAAGAGCAUUCAACCUUUGUACGGACUGAGUUGGAUUUGUACUUGGAGGAACCAAUACUGCCAAGAACUCAAGAGCUUGACAUUAUCAAUUGGUGGCAAUAUGCAGGGAUCAAGUAUCCAACUUUGAGAAAAAUUGCUCGAGAUGUAAUGGCAAUUCCUGUUACAACAGUGGCAUCUGAGUCUGUCUUUAGUACUGAGGGAGAGUAAUUAGCCCACAUCGUAGUAGACUUGCUCCAAAAAUAGUAGAAGGGUUGAUGUGUAUGCAAGCUUGGGCCCGAGCUGACAUGUUAGGCGACCAAUCCUGUUUUAUAAAUGUACUAAUGACUUGUUUGGAGGAUGAAGAGGAAGAAAUGGUAACAUGAUUCAACUCUUUAGUAUGUUGUUAUAUUUUGGUUAUCAAAUCUGAUCAUUGAUUUAACCAUUUAUCUAUUUUGUUGUUUGCCAGGAUGAACAUGAUUCUACUAUCAUUGACUAGCUCAAGUGCUCAACACAACACUACACUCGGAUCAGAUCAGAAUCAAAAGACUUAAGGCCAAAAGCAGACAUGGAUUUGUUUUUGUGUCGAGACAUGUAGACAUGUAUUUUUGUCAUGUUGAGAAUGUUGCUUGUUGAAGGACAUGUAUAUUUAAAUUUUUAUUCAAUUUUAAGUUGUGUAUGAUGUCGAAUUAGGAAGCAUUUUGAUUAAUUAUGUUAUUCAAUUGUUGAAAAUGGUUUUAUCAUAUCCGAUGGAUAUCCGAAACCCGAUGGGCAUGGAUAUGGAUAUGAAUUUCUACCCGUGGAUAUAAUCGCGGGCGGAUAUUAUCUAUGACCGUGGAUAUGACUGCGGGCGGAUAUUUUCAAUAUCCGAUCCGAAUCCGACCCGUUGCCAUCCCUACACCAGACAUGUCUAGUGCCCCCACACUUUGGCACUUUUUGAUAACAAUGAGUUGUGCCCUCUCUUCUAUAAAUAGAGGGAUCACCAACUCAUUGUAUACAUAGAGAACCUUGGGGAGGUGUUGCCAAAUGUUGUGCUUUACUUAGGACUUCUACUCACAUAUGCUUGAUAGAGAUCACAUCAAUUGUGUGAGUGAUUCCUAACGUGUUUGUAAUGACUAGCACUAGGUGAUCAAGUUGCAAACCCAUGGUGCUUGUUACUUUUGUAGGUUGCCACCUCCUAGAUUGUUUGCGGGUUGUGGCUUCAUUGAAGCAUGCAACAAGGUUGUGCAUGGCUCUAGAGAAGGCACUAUGAGGGGUACCAUGCUCACCCCAUGAGAGAAGUAAAGAACGACACCAAUAGAGCAAGGUGUGAAGAGUGCCAAUUGGUUAAACCGGAUCAAGUGCUAGAGCUUGGUUGUGAGUACUCCAUGUGUGAUAGUAUGAUUUGCGUGUCACCUUUAGCAAGAGAAUUGGUGGCAACCUUGAGCUUGCCUCAACAUCAAGUAAGUGGUUGGAAAGCGACCAAACCCCGGGAGAAAUAUUAUCAUGUCAGCAUUUGUCUCCUCGUUGGUUUGCAACUUCCUAACAGUAGCUUGUUAUUACUUGUUCGUACUUGUGCUAGUGUUUAGUGUUGUUCUUGUGACUUGUUUACUUGUGUAGUAAAUUAUUUGCUCUCUUGUGCUAGUAAGAUUAUGUAGCUUAGUAUCUUUGAUUUGCUUAUGUAGCUAAGUUGUUUAGCUCUCUAGUUUGGCUUGUGUGCAUUUGCUAGUUGAGUAGUGCUAGUGUGCUUAGGCUUUGUACACUUUGCUCGCUAGCACGUGUAGGAGCUCCCAAAUUGCUUGAGUACCAGCUGCAUAGGUUUGUGUGAUCUUGCUAACUAUAGUGCACCUUAGUUAUUUAAGUAGGAUCCUUUUAAGGUGUCUAUGAUAGACAUAGGGGUAUAGUCUUGGCUAAAUCAAUUACUUUAAUUUUGCACUUGUUUUGCUUAGAAGGUGUGUUUAAGUUUUAGAAAAAAACUAUUUUGCCUCCCACUAGCCUGUCAUGUCAACCCCUUCAACAUUAUGUUUCUAGACAUGCUUGUGCAACUAAAGUUACACCUUUUGAGUUGUAUAUGGGUAAGAGGUUGUGUUACCUGUUGAGAUGAUUUUGUAUGCAUAUAGGCUUGCUAAACAAAACAAAUUGUCUAUUGUUAUACAUCAUGAUUUGAUGACGGAAAUAUCGAUGAGGUGCUAGAUAAGAGACUAAAAACUCUCAAGGAUAUAAAGGAAGACAUGGCUUGAGUUGUCGGGAGGAGGAAAACAAGCUCAAACACUACAGAGUGCAACUACCUUCCAGCUUUCCAUCACCUCACGAUUGUGGUGGAAAUUGUGAUGGAAGUUCAAGCCUAAUGGUUCUAAUCUACCUUUAUCCCUACCUACUAAGAUGACUCCAGUGUAAGGGUAUGAUGUCGUUAGCUUGAGAGCAUCUAACCUAGGAUCAACCUCCAAAAUGUUAUAAACUCUUAUUUUUAUUAUGCAAGAGAUUUGAUAUGUUACAUGAACCUCAGAUUCCACCCGCUAAGAUUUAAUCACCCUAUUUUGUAAUCAUGUUUUUGGAGUCCUGCCCGAGUUCAUGCUUUGAGUCGUGGUGUAGAGACGGUCUAGAUAGAGAUAGAGAAAACAAAAACAUGUGAAGCAGCAGCCCUUACUACAAAACUAUAAUUUAAUAAAGAAAAUAAUUAAAUAACGUAGAUGGAGAAAAGAAAAUAUGCUUGGCUAAACAUAGCAAGCAAGGGCUGCAAGGCGAAGGCGACAACCGGCAAACAUACGGGACAUCGUGAUGGGGACAUCUCAUCGGUAUAAAGGGCACAACAAAAUUAUUCAGAUUGAGAUUCUAGUUUACAUGUUCGUUGGCUAUUGGAUCAUUAGAAGAAUAUUAUGAAUUUGUACCGAAUUUGAUUGCACAGCAGCAACCACGGUUUAUUGAACAAAAAAAACGAUCUCCAUUCCCACCCGAAUCAGUGAGCAGCACUGGCCCUAGUAUCUUUUAAUUUUAUGUCAAUAGAUGAUCGCUUUGUCAAGCAGUACUAGUGACCUCUCAUUAUUACCCCGCAGUGGCUCAUCCGCUCAUGGCUGACGGAAGGCGCAUAUAUAUAUAAGCGCCUCUUCCUUUCCCAUAUGCGGAUUUAAAUAACCAACCAACAGCACACACCAGAACAAAAACGAGACGCCAGAUCAAAGGCCACACCAAAUCCCCUCCAGCACAGCAGGGGAAGCCGCGGGGCACCACAGACCACGAGCGCAGCCGCGGAGGCCGGAGACGUCGGCGACGCGCGCGCGGUCCCACCCCGUCGAGGGGACUCGGCCGGAGCGGGAGAGUCACCGCCGUGUGGACCGGCGGCUGGAGCGCUCUGCCUGUGGCCAAUGUCGGUGGAGAGAGGCCCGCCAGCGGUAAGGUCCCUGUCCCGAGCGGUGGCGGUUGGUGGGAACUGUGCGCGGUGCAGUUGAUAAACUUCUAGCUUUCCUGUGAGGGACGGGCGACCUUUUCCCGUGCGUGCGUGGUACGGUUGCUGAACUUCAUCCGUGAGUUUGUGUGGCCGAAUGUUUUUUCAUCGAUUGUCCUAUGUGAUUGAGUUAGUAGGUGUCUUUAGGAUUACGAUUGGAUAUUUGGAUUGGAUGGAACAGGGGUAGGUUUUCUUCAAUUUUGAGCGGCGGAGCCUGCACUGAAGACUGAAGCUGCUUGAGUCACGCCUGUUCCGACGAUUUUUGCAGAAAUCGCCCAGCCUACGGGACUGAUUGGGCUUGAAGUUGUGGCGCGUACGAGAGAUGCCUCAUGCCAGAGCUUCUGUUAUUAGAGACUGAAGUUCUGCAAGCGCGUGCUGCUGCUCUGGAGUUUUAGCAGCUGUGUUGAGUGGUUGGGAGCCAUGGAGUCACGGAUGGAUCAGUACGAGGUUUUGGAGCAGAUUGGUCGCGGCGCCUUUGGUGCUGCCAUCCUCGUCAACCACAAGACAGAGAAAAAGAAGUACGGUUCAAUUUAGUUACUGAGCCUGUUUCCCCGUGAAUUUGCCUAGCCGACAGUCUUUUGCUUUGCUACUGCAGGUAUGUGUUGAAGAAAAUACGUCUUGCAAGGCAGACAGAGCGAUGCCGCAAGUCUGCUCACCAGGAGGUCAGCAGAACAGAAAUUUACACGCCCUUUUUCAUUUGUUUGUUUGUCAUUUUGCACUGUCUUCGGUGAACUGAUAGAGCAAAUGGAAAUUGCAGAUGGCUCUUAUUGCUCGCUUGCAACAUCCUUACAUCGUUGAGUUCAAGGAGGCAUGGGUUGAGAAGGUUGGUUCUUCAUGAACAUGCUUCUGUAUUUGCCUUUUAUUUGGUUCCGUCCUCUGUUACCUCAACGCAUGAGUUUUGAUAGGGCUGCUAUGUUUGCAUUGUGACGGGAUACUGUGAAGGUGGCGAUAUGUGAGUGCUGUGUGCUGUUUUGAACUAGCUUUUCUACCGCCUUUGUGAUGACUUUUUGUCUAAUUGUAUUCCUCUUUGACAAUUGGCAGGGCUGAAUUGAUGAAAAAAGCGAAUGGGACAUACUUCCCAGAGGAGGUUGCUAUGAUUUUUCAGUUCCUUUUUUCACGUGUCAAGAGAAAAUUUUGGAAAUAUGUGCUAACUGUUUCUUAGUGACCUACAGAAACUACUGAGAUGGUUUGCGCAAUUGGCAUUAGCUGUUGACUACUUGCAUUCAAACUUUGUUUUGCAUCGAGAUCUCAAGGUAAGUGACAAAGAAUAGAGAUGUUGUCAGUUUAAGAAGCAGGAUUCAGUGUUGACCUCUCUUUUUUUGGCAGUGCUCAAACAUAUUUCUUACCAAAGAACAGGAUAUUCGUCUUGGUUAGUUUCCCAUGCUAUUUCAAAUUCUAUAACUCUACAUGUUUUGCAAUGCUUCAUUUCUGUGGUUUUAAUAGCUCAUUUCACUUGCAGGAGAUUUUGGCCUGGCCAAGACUUUAAAGGCAGAUGAUCUAGCCUCUUCGGUAGCCUUUUUUCUCUUAUUUCUUUUGUUUCUUGCUUGAAAAUUUGUCCUUCAUUUCUGUUUUUGUUUCAUAUUCUAAAAUCCUAAUGAAAACAGGAACCACAUGUUUGACUAAUUCAUGUCUGUUUUUCUGCUUUCAUUAUGUUAGUUGCCUUGUCUGCUCUCAGAAUCUUAUGUUCUAGAAUGAUGUUCCUUAGGUUGUGGGAACACCAAAUUAUAUGUGCCCAGAGUUGCUUACAGACAUUCCCUAUGGAUUCAAGUCAGAUAUAUGGUCUCUUGGUAAUAGUUUCUUACAUAUAAAGAGAUGCUUAAAUAUAUUAAUAUUAGAUGCCUCUUUUAACUGGUGUCUUUGCAGGAUGUUGUAUGUAUGAGAUGGCUGCUCAUCGACCUGCUUUCAAGGCUUUUGUGAGUUCUUAUUUGGCUUAUACUCCUCGACGCUAGUUUCUGUACAGAGAUGAUUUUCAUAUUUGUCUGCAAGUGGAUGCUGUCAAUUUGUGUUCAGGCCCCAUUUCCAAUAAUGUUAAUUUUGAACCACAUUCUUCUUUCCAUAGAUACAAGAGCGUGAGUGUAACAAAACACUAACCAAGCCAUGGAUUUGGCAUGUAAUCUAACCAUUUUUUACCUACUAAUGAAAUGACACGCAGCUCUCACGCAUGUUCGAGAGAAAAAAAUAAACUCUCAUCCUUCUAUAACUUAUUAACGAGUAAACCAAUCAAUUACGAAAAUGAGCAUGUGUGUCAUAACAGAUUUAUAGAAAAGACGACAUGCCAAUUGAUACAGAAAAUCCCUAAGCUAACUACUGGAAGGAUCAGUGUGAUUAGAGUCAUUCGAAAUUAGGGUAUUAGCUAAGCAUGCUGCUAUUGAAAAAGAAAAGCUAGAACUAUAUGGUUUUCAGAAUCCAAGCCUUGGUAGCGAAGAGUGACUGUGCAUCUUCUGUUGAGGGAUUGUGGCAUCUAUGCCACUUUCAGUUCUUCUAUCACUUCCAUUUUAUCAGUCGCCAAAAUGACCAGACAACUUAGAAAUAUUGAACUCUUCAGCCUGUGGCUCUGGCAUUUGCUUGGUGUUUGACUCCCUCAGACUCUCUCUCUCUCCCUCUCUGCCUACUUGGUUCCCCUCUUUAUGUAUUUGCGAGUGCACAUUACAUGAGCAUGCUACAUGAAGCAUUAUAUAGGGCAAGGAUAAGUUUAUCUUUCAGCUUCACAACAUAUUGGAUCAAAGUUCUUCAUGAUUCAUCCAAGCAAUUCAUUCCUGAGUCCUGACUUUUGAGUGCUUUGCAUUUAAACCUAUACAAGUUAGAGCAUGAAAUUAGAUGGAUAUUUUGAAUUGAAAAUGGUGUAUAUACCACUGCGCUUUAUCAAAUUGCUGCUGUGCCUCAGUUGCAUCUCAUCUCUCAGCCUUUGCAUAUUUUACUAUGUAGUGUUAUUAAUUUCAAAAGUAUAGAAGUUGAGGUAAGCUUGAGCUUACUCCAUGUUUCUUUCAGGAUAUGGCUGGACUGAUAAGUAAGAUAAAUCGCUCCUCCAUUGGCCCUUUGCCUACUUUCUAUUCUUCAUCUAUGUAAGUAUUGAACAGUACAUUUGGCAAUGAAAUUGGUCAUAUGUAAAAGUUUUCAAUCCAUCUUUCUUGUUUGUUUGGAAAUAUUAUCCAGUGCAUGACUAGCUAAUGUACCAUUUUACUGUUGAAUACAGGAAAACACUUAUCAAAAGCAUGUUGAGGAAGAGUCCUGAACAUCGACCUACUGUAAGCUACUAAGCAAAGAGAUACCUCCCCUGCAGCUGCAAUACUUGUUUGUCACGCACAUUUAUUAGAUUCUUAGAGUAUCUGUUACAUUUUUGUUUACAGGCAUCCGAGAUUAUAAAAAAUCCAUACCUCCAACCUUAUGUGAAUCAAUACCGUCCAUUUGCUAAUAUAUUACAUCCUGGUCGAUCACCAGAGAAACCUGGCACCGAUUCACGGAGCAGUCAGAAAAGUAUGUCUGGGAGUCAGUGUAGUAGCAUUUCUGGAACUGGCAGUGAUAUGGAUAGCAUACAAUCAAAUGAAAGAAACACGUCAGGACUAGCUUCAAGUUCCAGCAACACCAUUGAUACCGAGGGUGCUGAAACUACUGAACUUCAGAGACAUAAAGAUACUGCUUGUCCUGGACUCAAGAGACAAGAUUCAUCAAAAUCCGUACAAGAUAAUCAACAUCCUGGACAUGAGAAUAAGCAACCAAAGAUAAUUAAGAAGAUACUAACAACUCUAAGAGAGGAGAGCAAAUUUAGGGAAAGCAAUUCUCCUGUUAGAGCUAGCCGUGUAAAGCUAAAUUCACCUAGCAAUAGAGAACGCUCAUCUGACGACUCAAAGCAAAGUGAUAUUUCCUCCAGUUCAAGGUCUAGUGAAGUUAUGUCACAUGAAUCAGCAAAUGCAAGCUGUGAACCUGUCAAACGAGGACAUGCAUCUCCUCCCUUGAAGCAUUUGGUAAGGAUAAAUGGUUUUCUUGUGCUAAAAGCGUAAAUCCAUUUCUCUAAGUUUGCUAAUUCUUUUCUGGUUCUAUUCAAUCUUGCAGUCACCAAUUGUUGAGCAUUCUCCGAAGGUUAAAAUUAAAGUAGAUGAGCUAUUACAUCCACACCUUGCCAAGCAGGUUGGAGAAGUUGUUGAUGCAGCUGCAGGGAAGGUUAAGAACAGAACACCGCCCAUUUUUAUUAAAUGCACCAGUAUUCCUACUCGGAGGCAAGGAGUAGCAAGUCCAAGCCGUCAACACACUGGGGUAAAGCGAGCUCACAAUAAGGUCAUGGCAGAGCAUGCAAGGAAUCCUUGUCAGCAUCUCCAUAGUCCAAGCAACGCUCUUGUGAAACUUCCAAGUGUUCCAAUGGUUCCUCCAAGUCAUCUAGAAGAUCUUAAGAGAAAACCAGACAAUACACGAGCAAAAUCUGCUCCUCCUAGGGCUUUAGCAACCAAGGAAGACAACAGUGCUUGCUCCAGUUCUACGAUUGGUAAUGCUGAAAACACCAACCAGUCUGAACCGUCUGAACCUGACUCACCAACUUAUUUGGUCUCAUCCUGCAAAUGUUUGAUACCUGACACUAUCAUACAAAAGCACGGCAUAACAAGUAAAAAAAGUUCAGAAAUCAUCACAACCAAUUGUGAGAAGAAAAUGACUAGUAAUGGUGAUCUUAGUCUAAGCGCAGCCAUGGUGCAAUCUUCUGAUAUUCCUGAACAAGAGUUUAUUUGCAAGGAUGGAAUGCUCUCCAGUCAGGUGGGUCAGUGCAGUGAAACAGUUACUGUACCAAGCGAUGAAGACAAGUUCACAGUGCGGGAACUGCUUUCAUCAGUACCAGAUCUUUGUUCCUUGGUCCCAACAACAAUGAUGAACACUGAGCCAGGAAGAGGACCCACUCUCACCCAGUCAUCAGAGAAACCAUCGGGUCCUCAUUUAAAUCCUCCUCCAGUUGAGGACAUUAUACAUGUCAUAAGCCACAGCAGUUUCCAUGUGAAUGGUGAGCAGGCAGUAAAAGAAACUGGAUCAGAGAGCAUUGAUGUUGACAAACGUCUUAACAUGGUAAGAGAAGAGAUAGGUGUAAGAAGCACCGAGCCAAACCUCAUACCUUCUGGACCUAUAGAUUCUGAUACGGUGAAGCCAAAUGUAGUAGAAGCUAAUAUUACCUUUCAGAAACCAUCCAGUACAGAUGCCAUAAAACUGCCAACCAUACCGGAAGGAAAUUUUAGUACUCUGGAGACCAACAAUGGGUUUAAGCAGGAAGCAGCUCCGGCUAAGGAAAUACUAGAUGUGACAUCUUUCAGGCAGCGAGCUGAGGCUCUGGAAGGUCUCUUAGAACUUUCUGCAGAAUUACUGGAACACAGUAGGCUGGAGGAGCUUGCGAUUGUUCUAAAGCCAUUUGGGAAGGCCAAGGUGUCCCCUCGAGAAACAGCAAUAUGGUUGGCUAAAAGUUUCAAAGGCUUGAUGAAUGACGAAGCAAGCCGCAGUUCAACGUGAGUACGCGUAGCUUUUGUGCCACCCUUUUUACUUUGGUUGAUUUCUGCUUGUGCUCUGAAGAUGCUAUGGUUGUCUUGUUCAUAUCUGGCUUCUUGGUAUCGUGUGUCGGUGUUUCCAUUUCGAUAGUUAUUCAUUCUUUACAGCACAUGUUGUAAAUAGCCCAGAUUUGUGAACAGAAAAUAAUACAUGCCAGAAAUGGUGUUAAUUUACAUGGUUGAAGUAACAGAGACUAAUUUGAUCAAUUAUUGUUUUGCCUACGUGCUCCUCUGAAACUAUCAGAAUUCUACGAGAAAAGGUACAAAAUUGUGUUGUUGCAUUUGUUGUCAGUAUACUUAGUUUCUCAACUACUCUUAGAACAUCCCACACCACAUAUGAGCAUCUUGAUUAAAGUAUGUGACUAUUUAGUAAGCCGAUUUAGCAUCCGACACACACAAGUCCUUUUUGUUCAGGCAGAGUUGCAUUUUUUGCAGUAAUUAUACUCCUUCAUUUCCUAUACUGAAACCGCAGAACCUACACCAUAUAAGCUUACAAAUCCCCCCUUGUUAUAUGUGAUGCUCACACUGUUGGGACUUGGGACGGCUUUGUUUUAUAGCCUCUUUGUUUUGUAGCCUUACUAGCUGGUUGCAGUUGGAGCUCCAUUUGUUCCCAAGCAGCUUCGCCACUUUCUAUUUCAGCUGUGGCUGCCUGCGUCCCUGCGCUGCUACUGCUACCAAGCCCAAAUGCUCCAUCUCUUGGUGCUGAGUAAUGUCAUUAGUUAUCAUGGACACAUUGGUCAGGAGUCACGACUCUUAGUCACUUCCACAUAGGGUUCUUCCAUUGUCAAACUCAAACCUCGUUUCCUGGCGCAGAACACCUUUGGAAGUUGGAACGGGAAAGUUCCAUUUAGCUGCAAUUUUCCCUUUUGCUAGGUCGUUGGGAAUGGCAGAGGAACAACAUAAUAUAUUUAGAAAACGGCUUGAUGAGUGUACAGGAGCCAAUAUCAGAGUGGAGAGAAAGGACUGGAGCUUAGCCAGCAAUUGCACAUUGUCGCAUUUACAAUGUGGUUUCCUAGUGCCAGUUUUCAUGUUGCUGGACGUGGUCGUUUCCGUUUCUUUUUUGUCUGUAAUAUAGUUUCAUUAGAUCUCCGUAUCCCUGGGCCUUGAGUCCCUGGCGUCUAGUGAAGACCGCUCUCUAGUGUGUUUUUUUUAGUGCAAUACGUGCCAUGGCCGAUACGUUCUCGAACAAAGAAUUUUUUCCCGAAAGAAAGCAGAGAGCAAUGCUCAACUGCCUAACGGAUGGCUUCUACGGGAGAUCCGAAGAUACCCUGGAACGUAUCGUCCGUCUUGUCUUGAGAUGCCGUCACAAUUUCGCACACAUGUACGUAUCAUCAUCAGCCUUGUAGAACACCGGCCCUCUAUAUCAUCACUCCGUUCCCUGGCGUCAACUCAUCAUAACGGCAUCGACUGAUCUUCAGUCAUGAACCACCAUCCACAGGAGGGGGUUGUCUAUGGCUACACCGAGGUCACCUACUUGGCCAGCACCGGUCCUCCCCCGCCGUACCAUCCUCCUCCUCCUCUUCCUCCUCCGCCGCCGCCACCACCACGCCGCCCGAGCCCGUUCCGCAUCAUCGUAAGAGUCUUCAUCGGCGUGUGCGUCUUCAUCGGGGUCCUCGCUCUCCUCAUCUGGCUCAUCUACCGGCCCCGGACGAUCCAGGUGGCCGUGGCCACCGCGACGCUCGCCCGCUUCGACCUCAACACCACGUCGAUCUUCACCCCGCCGGUGCUGUCCUACAACCUCACCGUGAUGUUGUCCGUCUCGAACCCCAACAGGCGCGUGUCCGUCUAUUACGACCAGCUCCAGGCGGCGGGGCUCUACCAGGAGGAGCGCUUCGGGCGCGCCGCGCUGCCCGUGUCGUUCCAGGGCACGAGGCGCGCCGACGCGGUGCCGGCCCUGCUCGUGGGCGACACGCCCAUGGGGUUCGGGGACUCCGGCGUCGCCGCGUUCGGUGAGGACAGACGCGCCGGGGUGUUCCCCGUGGACCUUUGGGUGGAAGGGGUCGUGCGGUACAAGUUCGGUGAGCUGAUGACCACCACGGCGAGCACGCUGACGAUCAAGUGCCAUCUGGCGCUGAAGCUCAUGCAGGCGUCGGGUUGGGUCGAAUGUACUGUGAGCGACUCAUGAUGGUGGGAAGAACCCUCUCCUUCCCUUUGGAAUUUAGAUGGGCCGCCUAAGAGUCCAUGUACUGCACUGUAGGCUGGCGCCGGAACAGCAGUUCCCAAGGCUUCUUUUAAAGAAAAAAACUAAAAAUAUUUUAAAUUAGUAGUGCAUCUAAAUAUUUUUUAGACAAAUCUUCAACUAGUAACUAGCCCUUAAUUAGCUAGAUUUACACUCAAGCUAGAUUUAGACUCAAAGGCCCAAACAGGAAAGAGCAUGUUACGGGCCCAGAUAUGAAUUGGAACGACUAUUCCUCCCGCUGCGUUUGAUAAAACGCAGACAACACAACACGCAGUGGCAGAUUCAAAAUGAGAUCUAAGGAGGGGCUACUAGCUAAAAUUUGUAGACAAAACUAAAUGAUCUAAUUAAUAUGGAUCAAUUAAACUGGUAUGAAAUCUAUAAAUAUAACACUCAACAUACCAUCAAUAGGUUGUGUUAGAAACAUCCUUUUGGUUCUUUAUGAGAAAUUUAUCCCUAUUAUCUUUAUAAACGUAAAAAUUAAUUUUAUCAACUAACCUAACAAAUAAUUGAACAAACAAAAAUAACUAAAGUCUAAAACUGAAUCUAAUGGCGAACAACAAUAUAUGUUUAGCACGUGAAUAGUGAGCAUUAUAUGUGUUAAAGAAGUACUUAAGUCUGUAUUCUAGUCGAUAGACAAGUGACACAAGUGACGUUGAUUGAAACAGGGCAUAAUUUACACAAGUGACGUUGAUUGAAAUGAGGCACAAUUUACACCAGUGUCCGCUGUGUUGCCGCGCAAGCGCAACCGGGGCCCCGCAGUCCCGGAUUCAAAUCCACUCCUCACAACACGUUUACACACCUUAGAGUGAGUUUGGGAGCAUCAAUACCGGAGGGGAUUUUAGCCCCUCAAAUCCCCUUCGGGUUUUGGACUUCCAAACUAGCUCUCAAGAUUUAUAUUACCAGUUUACCAUGCACAAGAUAUAUUCCUCUAGAGCAGAGGUACUAGUAGUACCUUUAGGACUAAUUUAGGAGAAGUGAAAACAAAUCCAGAAAGGAGAAACCCCUAUAAAUAACUAAAUAUCUUAUUUAAAGGAUACAUUUUAGGAUUACUAUUAGGAAUGAGAGAGAUACGUGAGGGGAUUUGGAUUCCCAAACUGACCCUCUGGCUAUCUCUAGCAAACCGUGUAAAAAGUCGUGCAAAGUUAGAGAUGACAAUGGGUAAAUAUCCACCGGGUGUUACUACCUCGUACCCAUACUCGACACAAAAAUAAUCCUAUCAGGUCACCCAUAUACACUGGUGAGUAUGGAUUUACCCCAUACCCAUACCCAUGUGGGUAUGGGUUACCUAUCGGGUCACUCAUACCCACAAAAAUUAAACAUCUAUCAAAAUAUUAUAUUAACAAAUAUCAAGUAUAUCCAUAUAAAUACCAUUACAAAAUUUCUAGCGACCCAUCGGGUCACCCGUACCCACAAAAAUUAAACAUCUGUCAAAAUAUUAUAUUAUACAAAUGUCAAGUAUAUCCAUAUAAAUACCAUUACAAAAUUUCUAGCGUCAUUUAAUCAUCCAUUCAACACACCAAAGAUAAUUGGAUAAAGUAGUAACACUAGGAUAGUACUACAUAGCACAUUACAUGUUCCAUUACAUGGUCAUUAAAUUGUUGUUAAGCCUUAUAUGACAUUAUGACCUAAAAGAUUGUUAAAUAGUAAAAAAGAUGGAUGACUAAAGUCCAAGUUCAUACUUAGGCUAAGUUUAUAUUGGGUAUUUUAUACCCACACAUAUGGGUGAAGGCGGAAUGUUUUAAUACCCGUUUAUCUAUUGGGUGAAGAUUUUUUGUCCAAUAACAGACCCAAUGGUAGAAUAUUUAGCCCACAUACAUACCCUAAUAGAGUAAAUACCCAUCGGGUAUCGAGUCGUGUAUAUCCAUUGCCAUCUCUAUACAAAGUAUUGUUUUACAUUUUGUUUGUAAAGUGAAGUUUAAAGUAGAGAAUGAGACAGAAAGUGUGAUAGGGAGUGAAUCUACGUGAGAUACUACCAAUUUACCAAGCAACCGGAACUUCGGUCCGGAGCUCUACUAGGCCACGGACGAAUCUGCUGAAGGAGUUAAAGGAGAUAAUCAGGCGUCUCAUGCGCGUAAGACCGACUCGAACGAGGCACCUUAAAAAUUCUGUCCUAUAUUAUACACUUCAACGAUACAUAUUAAAAAAACAUUCUUCCAUCAUAUCGUCUAUAUACAAAGACUCACUCUUAUUUUCUCUAUUUAAUUUUAUACUUUAGGUAAUACAUUAAAUAGAAGUAAAAAAUAUAAGUAUGAUAAAUACCUACGCAAAACAAAACUAGAGUAAAAUAUAACUUUUUAAUAUAGAUGUUUAAAUUAAGAGCUAGAUGUAUAGAAUAUUAUUGGAAGAAAUCUUUUAAAAGGAGUCUAUAGAGAAGAAAAGAUAGAGAGGAUGUGAUCAGAGAUAGUCUAAUUAGACUCUCUCCUGCAAUGUCAUCUAUAUUUAUACUUUAUAGUCUCCUCUAAACAUUUCAUCUAUAUCUCAUUUCUCCCUAAUAGUGUAUCUCAUCAUCUAUACGUAAAUACUUAUAUUAGGGACAUAUCUUAAUUUUAUUUUUUUGUACUUAAGUAUUUGUCAUAAUUAAAUGUGUUGUACUUAUUUUAGUUUUUUUUAUCUAAAUCAAGUAUUAAAAUGGAUUGAUGAGAGGAGAGGAGAGAAAAACUCUAUAUAAAGAGUAUGUAGCAACGUCGCGGAAUUAAACUUUAGUUCCUUCUACUAAACUAAUUGGUUCCAUCUCCUAAUUUUUGAGUUAGCUAUGUUGCGGCUAGGGGUGGAUAUCGAGUCAGCUCGACUCAUUAUGGCUCGUUACUGUAACGAACCAGCUCGGCUCGGCUCGUUAUACUAUCGAGCUAAACAUCUGGCUCGACUCGACUAGUUAGGAAGCUCGAGCCAGCUCGUUAGGCUCGCGAGUGACACAACUAAAUAUAAAAAUCUAUGUACAUAAAUAUAUAUAUAAUCAAAAAAUCAUAUUUUAAGUGUUUAACACUACAAACCCAAAACUUUUAUAAUAUUAUUAUCAUAUCAUCGUCUUAGUUUCUAACUUUUAAUAUUAAAUUAAAUAACCAAAUAUGUAUUAACUUACAGAUUUACAAACCCUUAUUAUAAUGACAGCAACAAGCAUCAUUAUAAAGCAAUUCAUCAUCCAUUCCACAAACAUGUAACAUUUUAUUGCACAACACUAACAUCAUAUGCUGCUAGAAAUAAAGUUCACAAAACCAUAACCAAUAAUCAAAUAUUAAAUAUAUAAUGUAGGUAUCUAGCCAUGCAAUAAUGCAAAUAUUUAAGCACAUGGUACAUCCACACAUGUCCACAUCAUAGAUCAUAACUACGAGAAAACAAGACUAAGAUGAAAUGACACCAACGACUAGACAAACUUGUAUUGUGGCUUGGCUCGUUUGGCUCGCGAGCUAGCUCACGAGUUAACCCGAGCUGGCUCAUUAGAGAACCAAGAUAGAAUGCUAGUUUGGCUCGCUACAAAAUUAAAACGAGUCGAGUCGAGCGAGUUAUCGAGCUAGAGUAUUUCGUCCAGCCCUAGUUACGGCAUUCGGGACAGGUUUUUCGUUCAAAAACUUUCAAAUCCAACACGCCGUACGCCGUACCGCGUACUAAAAAUAUAAUGCGUAGAAUACAAAAAUUGUGUUCUGACUCCAGGCGAACUCCUCGCGACGAAAUUUCGGGCAAAACACAGCCAGUAUAAGAACUUCUGAACUUUCCGCGAAGCUGCCAUCUCUGGCUCCUUCUCGUAGUUCCUUAACCCGAUGUUUCCACACACAAAACAAGAAUGUCGCGCAGUAUAUUCGAAGGCAACGAUCCUGUCCUACCAACAGAAAAAAAAACACGCGUCUCGAACUCUGACUGAGGGGCUGUUCGGUUGAUCAGGAAUGAUGACAUGAAAUUAUUCAUGUCCGGAUUGUUUACCUAUUUUAUAUAAGAUUUCAUGAGGUGGAAUAAAUCUAGGUCCAAUCCUGGACAACCGAACAGGCCCUGAUGAAACGCGGUUCCAUUCCAAUUCCAAGUCCCUCCCUCAUUUCGCCGUGCUCCUCAAUCCUCAUCUCGACUGCUGCAUAUAAAUACUACUGCACACAUGACACAUCGUAUACCUGUCGCUAAAGUAAAGUACGUACGUGACCGGUGGCCAGCCAAAUUGACCACGCACACACCUGUCUGUGCCUGCGACUGCGAAGAAGCAAAAUGGCAGCCUACGAGAAGCAGCAGCGGCCGGAGACGCCGCUGAACGCCGCGUACUACGGCCAGCCGAUCCCUCCGCCGCAGCCGCCCGCGUACUACCCGCCACCGCCGCCGCCGCCACCCGUCCCACGCCGCGGCGGCCGCUCACGCUGCCUGCUCGGCUCCGUCGUGGCCCUCGUCGUCGCGCUCGGCGUCGCCACCCUGGUGCUCUGGCUCAUCUUCCGCCCGGACAACCUCAGGGCCUACGCCGACUCCGCCGCGCUCUCCCGCUUCGACCUCGGCAGCGGCGGGGACCUCCUCCAGUACAACCUCACCGUGGACAUCCGCGUGCGCAACCCCAACCGCUUCGGGAUCCGCUACGACUACGCCGAGGCGCAGGCGUUCUACGACGGCGACCGCUUCGGGUUCGACCCGCUGCAGCCCUUCUACCUGGGCCGCAGGAGCGACGCCCGGGUCACGGCCACGUUCAGCGGCUCGGCGGCGAUGGACGACGGCGGCGACGCGCUGCGCACGUACCGGAGGGAGAGCGGGGAGGGCUUCUACUACGUCACGGUGAAGGUGUACUCGGACCUUAGCUUCAGGGUUAGGGUCGUCCGCCGCCAUGACUUCAAGAGCAAGAUCACCUGCGUGCUGCGGCUGCCCGUGCCCGCUGCCGGCGGCAACGCCAACUCCACCACGGCGAUGACGACGCUCGGGACGAGGUGCGACGUGGACUUCUGAUCAUCCUUGCCGCCGACUGUGCAAAGGGCGCUCUGUGCAUGCAUCCUUUCGCAGUUUGUAUUAUUUGGCCGGCCGGGCCGGGCCGGGGAUAACGUUAUGGACAAUGUCUAUAAUUGUUUGAACGGUACACUGUGAAUGCUCAUUAUUUCCUUCUUUCAUAUGCAUGCAUAUAAUUGAAUAAAGUGUUUGGUUUUUAGAGAUUAAUUUUUAAUCCCUGCAUUUAGUUAUAUUUUAGGUAUUAAAUUGCUAAAUACCGAAAAUAAAAUUCUAUUUGAAUCGUGAUUUUGUUGUGAUUUGAUUGGAUGUGUCUUGUAAAGUUUAAACUGGUGGAUUAUAUAGUGGCACGUGACAGCCAAUCCAUCCCUCCUCGUCUACUAAAAAACAUGAAAAAAAAUGGGAUGGAAAUAUGGAAUUGUCUCAUUAGACCGCAUCCCCUCGUCUCAUGAACAAUCACACCCUAAAUUGGGCAUUAUUGUUCGAAACAAAAUUAUUUGUUAACUGUUUUUAAAGACUAAAUCGUGUUUCAGUUUUCGACGUGUGUUUAAAGCCUUAAAGCUUUGCUGCAAGGAUUCGUAAUUUCGUAGCCUUAACGGUUUCCUUUCUACACAGUGCUUGUUCAAGAUUUGGUACUCCCGAAAAGUGCACAGUUACGUCCACCCAUAAAAUCCCAAUUCUUUUCGGACUUUACUUUUCAACGGGCAGACGCCGUACACAAUUCACCUCCGCGUUCCGUUGGCCGCCUGCCUGCGCGGGUCAAGGACGCAACGGCAACGGCAACGGCCCGUAAUGUCCCGGGAACGUGAGACCCUCAGAAACCACCACAACCUAGGCUACGGCCUGUGUGUCAGUGUGUGCUGUGUACAUAGACGUUCCCUCCAUCGAUACAUGCGUGCACUACUAGCUGAUAAUCGGAAGUUGCAGAAGGCCAUGGCCAGUCACGAGCACAAGAUCGACCAGCCCUACUACGGGCGCCCGCCCAUCCCUCCCGAAGCACCGGCCGCCGGCGUCCGCCCGCUGGCGCGCCGGGACGCGUCGUACGCGCUCCUCUGCCACGCCUUCCGCGCGCUGACGCUGGCGCUCAUCGCCGUCGGCGUCGUGGCGCUGGUGCUCUGGCUCGUCUACCAGCCCAGCAGCCUCAAGGCGUACGUCGACUCGGCGCAGCUCACCCGCUUCGACCUCGACAACAGCGGCACCCAGACCCACCAGCUGCGCUACAACCUCACCGUGGGCGUCAGCAUCCGCAACCCGAACCGGAAGCAGGCCGUGCUGUAUAGGCGCCUGGACGCCGUGGCGCUCUACGGCGGCGAGCGGCUCGGGUACGUGGACUUCCCGCGGGCGCGGCAGGAGCGCAGGAGCACGAUGGAGGUGCGGCCCAGCUUCCGUGGACAGGCCGCCCUCGCCGGCGCCGGCGCGGCGGCGGCGCUGUUCGGCAGGGAGAAGGGCGAGGGGUUCUUCAGCAUCAACGUCAAGCUCCACACGAGGGUGCGGCUGAAGGUGGCCGUCGUGGACAGCGCCGAGUACAGGCCGGACGUGGACUGCUACGUGAGGGUUCCCGACCCGGGCAACGCCACGGCAGUGGCGCUGGGGUUCACGCCGACGCAGUGCCAUGUCGACGACUUCUCGUGACACAGAGAGCGGAAACUGCGAGGAAUAAGUUUGAUGUUACGUGGACGAAUUGAUCUGUCAUUUCCUGUUUUUAUUUAAAUCUAAAGCCAACUAAUCGUAGCUAGGACGAUUGUUCUAUUAUAAGAUAACAUAUAUAGAUCCUGGUUGUCCUUAGGCCUUGUUCGUUUACGUCGGAUUGCAUCUGGAAUCGUUCCAGCUAAUCAAAGUCUAUAUAAAUUAGAGAAGCAAUCUGGUUAGAAAUCGUUCCGACCCAUUAAUCCGGCACAAACGAAAAGGCCUUAAUCCUUAAACUUUUCAUGAUUGUUUGUAUUUUUCAUGUAUGUAAUUAUGGGGGGAAACGCAACUAUUCAUUGUUACGUGGCGCGCGUGCCCCUCGAUAGCACAGCGUCCUUGGUGACUUUGUUAGUACUAACCCCUAAAUUUAGCUAACUAGCUAGUCUCCAAAAAAUGCUUAGUACUCCAUCACUAAUAGAACAAACCACCAAUUGCGUCUACAUUGAAAUGGAUAGGCUUUCUAUACAAUUUUGAAUAGAAAGAUAUUUAAUCACUUUCAACUCUCCUCAAUCCAUCACUAAUAGAAUAAGCCACCAAUAGGUUGAAACGCACCCCAAACUCACCCAACCCAUUGCAAAUAAGUCGUUUUCUCUUACCCCACCCAACCCAAUUAUCCAACUAAAUAACUCAGUCAAACCUGACCAAGCUUGUUCGUUGCGGCUUGCUGCGGCUUUAAUUCGAUUGCGACUACGACUUUUACAGUAUNNNNNNNNNNNNNNNNNNNNNNNNNNNNNNNNNNNNNNNNNNNNNNNNNNNNNNNNNNNNNNNNNNNNNNNNNNNNNNNNNNNNNNNNNNNNNNNNNNNNNNNNNNNNNNNNNNNNNNNNNNNNNNNNNNNNNNNNNNNNNNNNNNNNNNNNNNNNNNNNNNNNNNNNNNNNNNNNNNNNNNNNNNNNNNNNNNNNNNNNNNNNNNNNNNNNNNNNNNNNNNNNNNNNNNNNNNNNNNNNNNNNNNNNNNNNNNNNNNNNNNNNNNNNNNNNNNNNNNNNNNNNNNNNNNNNNNNNNNNNNNNNNNNNNNNNNNNNNNNNNNNNNNNNNNNNNNNNNNNNNNNNNNNNNNNNNNNNNNNNNNNNNNNNNNNNNNNNNNNNNNNNNNNNNNNNNNNNNNNNNNNNNNNNNNNNNNNNNNNNNNNNNNNNNNNNNNNNNNNNNNNNNNNNNNNNNNNNNNNNNNNNNNNNNNNNNNNNNNNNNNNNNNNNNNNNNNNNNNNNNNNNNNNNNNNNNNNNNNNNNGGAAGUCCCGCGGCCUUCGUGUUCGUCCCGCGCCCAGGUCGGGUGCGCUUGCAGUAGGGGGGUUACAAGCGUCCACGCGGGUGAGGGAAGCGAGCGGCCCCAAGAGAGCGCCUGUCCCGUCCUCGGUCCCGCGCGGCCAACCUUCUCUAAGAAGGCCAUGGUCCUCCCUUUUAUAGUCGUAAGGAGAGGAUCCAGGUGUACAAUGGGGGGUGUAGCAGAGUGCUACGUGUCUAGCGGAGAGAGAGCUAGCGCCCUAGGUACAUGCCAAUGUGGCAGCCGGAGAGGUCUUGGCACCUUGCUGGCGUGAUGUCGUGGCUGUCGGAGGUGCGACGGAGCCUGGCGGAGGGACAGCUGUUAGAGCGGUCGAGUCCUUGCUGACGUCGCCCUGCUUCCGUAAGAGAGCUGGGGGCCGCCGUCGUCACAGAGCUUGUGGAGUGCCAUCAUUGCCCAUCCGGCGAAGCUGGCCGGAUGGGACGCCGGUCUUGUUCUCCGUAACCCGAGUCGAUUCGGGGUAGGACGAUGAUGGCGCUUCCUGUUGACGUGGCGGGCCUGUGCCCUAGGCAGGGUGACGUGGGGGCUCCUCCGAAGCCGAGGUUGAGUCUGUCUUCUGUUGCCGAGGCCGAGCCUGAGCCAUGGGGUCGGGCAAGGCGGAGGUCGUUCGGCUGAGGCCAGGGCGGAGUCCGAGCCCUGGGGUCGGGCGAGGCGGAGUUUCGUCGUCUUCCGGGUCUUAGCCCGAGUCCGAGCCCUGGGGUCGGGCGGAGCGGAGUUCGCCGUCUUCCGGGUCUUAGCCCGAGUCCGAGCCCUGGGGUCGGGCGGAGCGGAGUUCGCCGUCUUCCGGGUCUUAGCCCGAGUCCGAGCCCUGGGGUCGGGCGGAGCGGAGUUCGCCGUCUUCCGGGUCUUAGCCCGAGUCCGAGCCCUGGGGUCGGGCGGAGCGGAGUUCGCCGUCUUCCGGGUCUUAGCCCGAGUCCGAGCCCUGGGGUCGGGCGGAGCGGAGUUCGCCGUGGCGCCUUUGGCAAGGCCUGACUGCCUGUUAGACUCACUCUGUCGAGUGGCACCGCAGUCGGAGUGGCGCAGGCGGCGCUGUCCUUCUGUCAGACUGGUCAGUGGAGCGGUGGAGUGACGGCGGUCACUUCGGCUCUGCCGGGGGGGCGCGUGUCAGGAUAAAGGUGUCAGGCCACCUUUGCGUUAAAUGCUCCUGCAACUUGGUCAGUCGGUGUGGCGAUUUAGUCAGGGUUGCUUCUGAGCGAAGCCAAGCCUCGGGCGAGCCGGUGAUGUGUCCGCCGUAAAAAGGGGGGCCUCGGGCGAGACGGAAGUCUCUCGAGGUCGGCUGCCCUUGGCCGAGGCUAGGCUCGGGUGAAGCGUGAUCGAGUCACUCGUGUGGACUGAUCCCUGACUUAAUCGUACCCAUCAGGCCUUUGCAGCUUUACGCUGAUGGGGGUUACCAGCUGAGAAUUAGGCGUCUUGAGGGUACCCCUAAUUAUGGUCCCCGGCAGUAGCCCCCGAGCCUCGAAGGGAGUGUUAGCACUCGCUUGGAGGCUUUCGUCGCACUUUUUUGCAAGGGGACCAGCCUUUCUCGGUUGCAUUUUGUUCCGGUGGGUGCGCGCGAGCGCACCCGCCGGGUGUAGCCCCCGAGGCCUCGGAGGAGUGGUUACACUCCUUUGAGGUCUUAAUACCUUGCGUAAUGCUUUGGCUGGUCUGGUCGUUCCCUCAUGCGAACUGGCCGUAGCCCGGGUGCACGGUCGGGGCCCAAGCUCUCGGGCUGGUAUGUUGACGCUGUCAACGGUUUGGCCGGAGCCGGUUUUUGCGAGAGCAGCCCCCGAGCCUCUGCAUAGGGCGAGAGGACGAUCAGGGACAGACUCGACUUUUUACAUACGCCCCUACGUCGCCUUUCCGCAAGGAGGAGGGGGGUGUGCGCCAUGUUACCCUCGAUGGGCACCGAACAUGGUGUCUCCGGUGAGCUGCAAGCGGGUAAUCCGAGUGGACGUCCGUGCCCCGUUCGUUGGGGGUCGGCUAGGGGCCCAGAGGCACGCCCAAAAGUACCUGCGGGUGAUUUGCCGGACCCGGUCCCCUGGCGACGGGGUCCGAGGGCUCGAUGCCUCCCUCCGAUGGGAUUCCGUUACAAGAUCGUUCCCGCUGGUCUCGGAAAUGUCCUAGGGUACCUCAGGAGCGCAGCCCGAGCCUCGGUUAUGUAUCGAACGUACCCCUGGUCAUCCCUCGCUCGGUGUCUGAGGCGACUGUGAACCCUUCGGGGGCCAGCCUUCGAACCCCUGAUCAGUAAUGGGCGCGGAGCCCGAGUAGCCUGAGGCGGCCAUGGAACCCUUCGGGGGGCUGGCCUUCGAACCCCUGACCAGUAGUGGGUGUCGGGCCCACGCGAUCUGAGGCGACUGUUGAACCCUUCGGAGGGCCAGUCUUCGAACCCCUGAUCAGUAGGGGGGGCUCGGAGCCCGGUUCCUUCGUGGAGAAGGAUCCUUUUCGGGGUAUCCCCCUUUCCCGGUCCCUGUUGCAAGAGAUAGAGAAAGAGGAAAAAGGAAAAGGAUACGAAAUCGAACGACGUGGCGUACCUUUUCUGACGCGGUUAUUACGGCGAAGGUGAAGCGUCGCGCGCUCCUCCCGUCAGAGGCGCCGCGUGUCCCGACGCGGAGUUAAUGCGACGGGGCGAGUGAUUGGCGGGGCGGCCGUUACGCGCGCGCAAGCCGUUCGAGGAACGGGUCACGGUGCACCGUCUUCACGUCGUGGGAGGAGGCUCUCUUGCUGUCCCAGGAUGAGACGUGAGCCUGACUGACGACGUGACUGCUGCGCCCGCCCGCCUGCCACCGCCAUUACUGCCGGCCCACUUUCGGUCGCUUUGACCAACGCGCCAGGCUGGCGCUGCUGGGUCGCCUCGAGUCGCGGCAUAGGCUUCGCAACCGAAGAGGCGCGACGGUGGCCCAAGUGGCGGUGCGGUUGCCUGUAUGCAGCAACUGGCGCGCCGGUUGCUUGACGCGUGGGCCUGGGCUUCUAAGCUGUCGUGUCAGAAGUCGGAGAAGCGCGUCCACCUGGCGCGGUUGCAUGCCGCCUGCAUGGCUGCCCGCCCCUUCCGCCCGUUGGUCUGGGCAAAAGUGGGGGGUCGCUCGUAACCGCUGGGCGGUCGUGCGCACCACGCGCGGCGGAUUGGCUUCUUCUGCCCUGAGCCGGUUUGCAUGACAUGCGGGACCCAGCCCCCGAGUCGCAGGGGAGGGUCUUGGAGCGUGUUGGAGAAGACUCAGCCUGCGGCGUCUGGGGGCGCACGUAGGGAGAGUUGCCUUUAAAAGGAGGGAGACUCCUUUCAGAAGGCAACCAUGUCUUCUUCCUCCCUUAUGCGUCGUGUCUUUCCAUCUUCCAAGCCCCCGGAUGGGGGGUAUCCGCCGUCUUUCCGCCUCCUCGUUGGAGGAACGCAACUCCAUGGGAGUUGGUACCUCUCAGCCAUCAUUCGGCUUCAAGGAUUUUCAUCAGCCGGCCCGGCCGCACCGCCACGCCGGCGAUCACCCAGGAUGGUGACCACCAGUUUCUGGGUGGGGAAGAGCAAGCCGGGCUGCGAUCUUGGUCCCACCCUCAGCUUCAAGGAUGUUCAUCAUCCUCGCUGAGGUGGGGGCCACGCUGAGCCGGCGCCCUACCUCCCGCGCGGGUCCGCGGGUCACCCUUUUCCGCGGCGUUCGGGGGCGGAGGCGCUCGCUGGCCCUGCGGACGGCGCGGACUUAGACAACGUGGGGCUGAUCGACGGCGGGCGUCGUCACCUCCAGCGUGUCGGAGUCGUCGGCUGGGCUUCCGGCGGCCCUUCCUGCCGGGGGGCGACCGCCGUACCGCGUGCACGGGAGGACCACCCACGAUGUCGCGCGCCGUUAGGGCGGCGUUCGUGUUCUGGGGUGGUCCUGCUUUUGCACUGGGACGACGCCCUCGCGCAGAGGCCGGUGCCCCACUCGUCCGGGAGGAUUUGAGUGGGGAUCUGCCGGGGGGCUGGUGUCCCCUGCCAUCGGCGCCGAGGCGGAGGCGGCUCGAGAAGUCCUCGUCGCCGACGGGAUCACUGCCACCACCCGCGCCCCGGGCCAUCGCGCCGGCGUACUUGUCCUCGCCCCUCGAGCGUCGGCGGGGGCGAGAACAAGAUCGCAGCAACGCCGGUCCACUGUCGCCGUAGUCAGAACGGGCGGCGGCGAGCCGCUCGUCAGUCUUCUGUUGCUCCGCAGGCCCUCCCCAUGGAGUGGGGUCGUUCGUGCCUGCGGAGGGGGAACCGGAGUUCCGUUCGUAAUGGCACUUCGAAUGCCGGUGAGUUUGUUCAUUGCGGCUGUCGGGGCCUGAACAUGUAUGUAAUUUCGGCACGGAGCCGUGUUUUUUCCUCAUUUUCGAGCGCUAAGUCUCGCCUAUUGAUUAUCUGAACCGCUUUACCAAGCAUGAGUCGCCCCGUGUCAAGGUGACGAGUGAGGUAUCCGUAUCCCGGAGGCGUAGAAAUCCCUCGGCCCGAUCGGCCUUGUUGUCUGGGGCUCCUCUAGCUUAGUUAAAGAGACCCCUCGGCCGCCCUUCGAUGAGCCGAGGCCAGGGGUAGCGAUAUCAGUAUGAACAGAGGCGGAGUUGGCUCGAGAAUGGGAACCUGGUUGGCUGGAGCCUAGCCGUGUUGUCCGUCAGCGGAGCCGACGCCAAAGUCGAUCAGCCGAGGCCUCGGGUCGGGCUGGCGCCCUUGGAAGCCGGUUGGCCGAGGCCCCAGGGGUAACCGGCCGAGCCGCCUGCUCGGGCCGGAUUCCCGGAGGAAUUCCUGGACCGCGUCGCCGUCCGAGGCUGGGUCGGACUUUGCUGAAGACGUCGUCGAUGCCGAGGGUGCUACGGCUCCCUUCAGCGUGAAGAUCCGAGCCUACAGGAUCAGAUCGUCUUGUAGCGUGUGCCUUCUGCGGCCGCCGAGGCCAGAAAAACACACCCUCGCCGUGCUUGCGAAGCUGCGUCUUUUUUCCUCUUGUUUCGAGCAUCUGGACUCUCUGUCGGUAACAGGGAUGUUUGUGUGAGCGAGAGUUGCUUCUCGCGGAAGGGACGAGUGAGGUAUCCGUAUCCCAGAGGCGUGGGAAUCCCUCGGCUCGGUCGGCCUUGCCGCUUACGCGUACUUCCACCCGUCCAUGAGGCCCUGUCCUCGACUCAGUCGAGAAAGCUUGAAGGACUGCUUCGGCAGGAGAGCUUCCGAACGUGAAGACUUGUUCGGUCCACGGAGUCGCUUUAUCCGAGCGCGAGUUACUUAUCGCAGAAGGUGAUGAGUGAGGUAUCCGUAUCCCGGAGGCGUAGGAGUCCCUCGGCUCGGUCAGCCUUGGCUGCUUACGUGUACUCCGUCGUUUCCAGGAUCCGCUUUCCGAAGUAGUCAAGAAGCACGAAAGUAAUCCUGCUAAAAAGAGAUCCUUUUUCGAGGAAAAAUUCGACGCAGAGGGGGUCUCCCCCCUUUUAGCCCCCGAGGGAGGGUCGGGCUUUGCCGAGGCUAGGCCGACCCUUCCUUGACGACUAAACUUUGCGUAGGUGCGAGGUAUAUGAACAACUUGGAAACAUCUUAAGGGUAGAAGCGACGUAGCUGUUUGAUGUUCCAAGCGUUGCCAUAGAUCUCGCCUUGAUUGUUGGCCAGCUUGUAUGUUCCGGGCUUCAGAACUUUGGCAAUGACGAAUGGCCCUUCCCAGGGGGGCGUGAGCUUGUGCCUCCCUCGGGCGUCUUGCCGCAGCCGAAGCACCAGAUCGCCCACCUGGAGGUCUCGGAACCGGACCCCUCGGGCGUGGUAGCGUCGCAGGGACUGCUAGUACCGCGCCGAGUGUAGUAAGGCCCUGUCCCGAGCCUCCUCCAGCUGGUCCAGCGAUUCUUCUCGGCUAGCUUGGUUGCUUUGAUCGGUGUAGGCCCUCGUCCUCAGGGAGCCGUAUUCCAGGUCAGUGGGCAAGAUAGCUUCAGCCCCGUAGACCAGGAAAAACGGCGUGAAACCCGUGGCACGACUCGGCGUCGUCCUUAGGCUCCAGACCACCGAGGGGAGUUCCUUCAUCCACCGCUUGCCGAACUUGUUGAGGUCGUUGUAGAUCCGAGGCUUGAGCCCUUGUAGAAUCAUGCCGUUGGCACGCUCUACUUGCCCAUUCGACAUGGGAUGAGCCACGGCGGCCCAGUCCACCCGGAUAUGGUGAUCCUCGCAAAAAUUCAAGAAUUUUUUGCCGGUGAACUGGGUGCCGUUGUCGGUGAUGAUGGAGUUCGGGACCCCGAAGCGAUGGAUGAUGUUGGUGAAGAACGCCACUGCCUGCUCGGACCUGAUGCUGUUCAGAGGUCGGACCUCGAUCCACUUGGAGAAUUUGUCGAUGGCGACCAGCAGGUGCGUGUAGCCCCCGGGCGCCUUCUGCAAGGGACCGACGAGGUCCAGACCCCAUACAGCGAAGGGCCAGGUGAUGGGUAUUGUCUGCAGAGCCUGAGUGGGCAGGUGGGUCUGCUUCGCAUAGAAUUGGCACCCUUCGCAGGUGCGGACAAUUCUAGUGGCGUCAUCCACCGCCGUUGGCCAGUAGAAGCCUUGCCGGAAAGCAUUCCCGACAAGGGCUCGGGGCGCUGCGUGGUGGCCGCAAGCCCCCGAGUGUAUUUCUUGCAGCAGUUCCCGACCUUCGGCGAUGGAGAUGCAUCGCUGGAGGAUGCCCGAGGGGCUGCGAUGGUAGAGCUCCUCUUCAUCGCCCAGCAAGACGAACAACUUGGCGCGUCGCGCUACCCGCCGAGCCUCGACUUGGUCGGGGGUAGCUCUCCUCGACGGAGAUAUUGCAGGUACGGGGCCUGCCAAUCUCGAUCUGGCGUGGCCCCGCUCUGCUCUUCCUCGACGUCCAGUGCCUCGCCCUCGGGGGCCGAGGGUACCUCGGGCUGGGCCGAGGGUGCCUCGGGCAGAGCCGAGGGUACCUCGGGCUCGGGUGCGUCGUCGAUCUUGACAGAGGGUUGAUGCAGAUCCUGGGAGAAGACGUCCGGGGGGACCGUCGUUCGCCCCGAGGCUAUUUUAGCCAGCUCGUCUGCGGUUUCGUUGUAGCGCCGAGCGAUGUGGUUGAGCUCGAGCCCGAAGAACUUGUCUUCCAGGCGCCGAACCUCGUCGCAGUAGGCCUCCAUCUUCGGGUCGCGGCAGUGGGAGUUCUUCAUGACUUGGUCGAUGACGAGCUGCGAAUCACCGCGGGCGUCGAGGCGUCUGACCCCUAGCUCGAUGGCGAUCUGCAACCCGUUGGCCAGAGCUUCGUACUCGGCCACAUUGUUGGACGCCGGGAAAUGGAGGCGCAGCACGUAGCGCAAGUGCUUUCCGAGGGGCGAGAUGAAGAGCAGGCCCACGCCGGCUCCUGUCUUCAUCAGCGACCCGUCGAAAAACAUGAUCCAGAGCUCCGGUUGGAUCGGAGCCGUCGGCAACUGGGUGUCAACCCAUUCGGCCACGAAGUCCGCCAACACCUGGGACUUGAUGGCCUUCCGAGGGGCGAACGAGAUCGUUUCGCCCAUGAUUUCCACCGCCCACUUUGCGAUCCUGCCCGAGGCCUCUCGGCACUGGAUGAUCUCCCCCAGGGGGAAGGAUGACACCACAGUUACCGGAUGAGACUCGAAGUAGUGUCGCAGCUUCCGCCUUGUCAGGAUCACAGCAUACAGCAGCUUUUGAACUUGUGGGUAGCGGAUCUUGGUCUCGGACAGUACUUCGCUGAUGAAGUAGACCGGCCUCUGAACGGGCAAUGCGUGCCCUUCCUCUUGCCUCUCGACCACAAUCGCGGCGCUAACCACCUGAGUGGUCGCGGCGACGUAGACCAAGAGGACUUCUCCAUCCGCCGGGUUCACCAAGACAGGCGCCUUUGUAAGGAGCGCCUUCAGGUUCCCGAGGGCUUCCUCGGCCUCAGGGGUCCAAGCGAAACACUCGGCCUUCCUUAAGAGGCGGUACAGAGGCAGACCUCUUUCGCCGAGGCGUGAGAUGAAGCGGCUCAGGGCCGCGAGGCAUCCCAUGACCCUCUGUACACCUUUUAAGUCCUUGAUGGGUCCCAUGCUGGUGAUGGCCGCGAUCUUCUCCGGGUCGGCUUCAAUGCCUCGCUCGGAGACGAUGAACCCUAUGAGCAUGCCUCAGGGCACCCCGAAGACACACUUCUCAGGAUUGAGCCUGACUCCUUUCGCCUUGAGACAUCGGAAUGUCACUUCAAGGUCGGAGAGGAGGUCAGAAGCCUUCCUUGUCUUGACUACGAUGUCAUCGACGUAGGCCUCGACUGUGCGACCGAUGUGUUCGCCGAACACAUGGUUCAUGCAUUGCUGGUACGUCGCGCCCGCAUUCCUCAAACCGAACGGCAUGGUGACAUAGCAGUACAUGCCGAACGGCGUGAUGAAAGAAGUCGCGAGCUGGUCGGACUCUUUCAUCCGGAUCUGGUGAUACCCUGAGUAGGCAUCGAGGAAGGACAGGGUUUCGCACCCAGCGGUGGAAUCCACGAUUUGAUCGAUGCGAGGCAGAGGGUAGGGAACCUUCGGACAUGCUUUGUUGAGACCAGUGUAGUCUACACACAUCCGCCAUUUCCCCCCUUUCUUCCUCACAAGCACAGGGUUGGCAAGCCAUUCGGGAUGGAAUACCUCUUUGAUGAACCCUGCUGCCAUUAGCUUGUGGAUCUCUUCGCCAAUCACUCUGCGCUUCUCCUCGUCGAAUCGGCGCAGAGGCUGCCUGAUGGGUCGGGCUCCGGCCCGAAUAUCCAGCGAGUGCUCGGCGACAUCCCUCGGUAUGCCGGGCAUGUCCGAGGGACUCCACGCAAAGACGUCGGCGUUUGCGCGGAGAAAGUCGACGAGCACUGCUUCCUAUUUGGGGUCGAGCCCGGAACCGAUCCGGAUCUGCUUGGUGGUGUCGCCACUGGGGUCAAGAGGGACGGCCUUAACCGUCUCCGUUGGCUCGAAGUUGCCGGCAUGGCGCUUCACGUCUGGCACCUCCUUGGAGAGGUUCUCCAGGUCGGCGAUGAGGGCCUCGGACUCGGCGAGGGCCUCGGCGUACUCCACGCACUCCACGUCGCAUUCGAACGCGUGUUUGUACGUGGGGCCGACGGUGAUGACCCCGUUGGGGCCCGGCAUCUUGAGCUUCAGGUAGGUGUAGUUGGGGACGGCCAUGAACUUCGCGUAGCAUGGCCUCCCUAGUACGGCGUGGUAGGUUCCUCGGAACCCGACCACCUCGAACGUCAGGGUCUCCCUUCGGAAGUUGGAGGGCGUCCCAAAGCAGACGGGGAGGUCGAGUCGCCCGAGGGGCUGGACGCGCUUCCCAGGGAUGAUCCCGUGGAAGGGCGCAGCGCCUGCUCGGACGGAGGACAGAUCGACGCGCAGGAGCUUGAGGGUCUCGGCGUAGAUGAUGUUGAGGCAGCUGCCCCCAUCCAUCAGGACCUUGGUGAGCCUGACAUUGCCGACAACGGGGUCGACGACGAGCGGGUAUUUCCCCGGGCUCGGCACAUGGUCGGGGUGGUCGGCCUGGUCGAAGGUGAUGGGCUUGUCGGACCAGUCUAGGUAGACUAGCGCCGCCACCUUCACCGAGCAGACCUCCCGGCGCUCUUGCUUGCGAUGCCGAGCCGAGGCAUUCGCCGCAUGUCCUCCAUAGAUCAUGAAGCAGUCGCGGACCUCGGGGAACUCUCCUGCUUGGUGAUCUUCGUUCUUGUCGCCGUCGCGGGCCGUGCCACCCUCGGCGGGUGGCCCGGCCCUGUGGAAGUGACGCCGAAGCAUAACGCACUCCUCGAGGGUGUGCUUGACGGGCCCCUGAUGGUAGGGGCACGGCUCCUUGAGCAUCUUGUCGAAGAGGUUUGCACCUCCGGGGGGCUUCCGAGGGUUCUUGUGCUCGGCGGCGGCGACAAGGUCCGCGUCAGCAGCGUCGCGUUUCGAUUGCGACUUCUUCUUGCCUUUCUUCUUGGCGCCGCGCGGAGCAGACGCCUCGGGAGCCUCUUCCGAUGGGCGGCCCUGGGGCUGCUUGUCCUUUCGGAAGAUAGCCUCGACCGCCUCCUGGCCAGAGGCGAACUUGGUGGCGAUGUCCAUCAGCUCGCUCGCCCUGGUGGGGGUCUUGCGACCCAGCUUGCUCACCAGGUCGCGGCAAGUGGUGCCGGCGAGGAACGCGCCGAUGACAUCCGAGUCGGUGAUGUUGGGCAGCUCGGUGCGCUGCUUCGAGAAUCGCCGGAUGUAGUCCCGGAGCGACUCCCCCGGCUGUUGCCGGCAGCUUCGAAGGUCCCAGGAAUUCCCGGGGCGCACGUAUGUGCCCUGGAAAUUGCCAGCGAAGGCUUGGACCAAGUCGCCCCAGUUGGAGAUCUGCCUCGGAGGCAGGUGCUCCAACCAGGCGCGAGCAGUGUCGGAGAGGAACAGGGGGAGGUUACGGAUGAUGAAGUUGUCGUCGUCCGUCCCACCCAGUUGGCAGGCGAGGCGGUAGUCCGCGAGCCACAGUUCCGGUCUCGUUUCCCCCGAGUACUUCGUGAUAGUAGUCGGGGGCCGGAACCGGGUCGGGAAUGGCGCCCGUCGGAUGGCUCGACUAAAGGCCUGCGGACCGGGUGGUUCGGGCGAGGGACUCCGAUCCUCCCCGCUGUCGUAGCGCCCCCCACGCCUGGGGUGGUAGCCUCGGCGCACCCUUUCGUCGAGGUGGGCCCGACGGUCGCGUCGAUGGUGCUCGUUGCCGAGGUGGCCCGGGGCCGCAGGCGCGGUGUUGCGCGUGCGCCUGGUGUAGACCGAGGCUUCCCGCAUGAAUCGGGAAGUCUCGGCAUGAGGUUCCGAGGGAUAUCCCUGCCUUCGGGAGGCGGUGCUCUCGGCCCGUCGGGCCGCAGCGCCUUCCAGGAGAUUCUUGAGCUCUCCCUGGAUUCGCCGACCCUCGGUGGUUGAUGGCUCCGGCAUCGCGCGGAGGAGCAUCGCUGCGGCUGCCAGGUUCUGACCAACCCCGCUGGAUGCGGGCGGCGGCCUGACCCCGGCAUCGUUGGCGACGCGGUGCUAGAGACCUUGGGGCAGGUGACGUAUUUCUCCGGCCAAGGGUUGGCCCGCCCAUACCUGCCCGACGUCCCGACGGAUCGGCUCAAGCGCUCCUGUUCCCUCGUUGAGCCUGGCCUGCGCCUCGCGGGCUUGCUCGAGUUGUGGGUCGUAACCCCCCGCCGGAGCGGGGACCACAGCUAGCUCCCGUGGGAUGUCGGCGCGAGGCACCGGCCUAGGAAGAUCACCGUCCUCCGGCAUGCCGAGAUGGUUGCCUUCGGAGGGAUCCCCUAGCUCGAUGUGGAAACAUUCGCGGCUUGGGCCGCAGCUCUCGUUGCCAAGGCUGCGGCUUCCGUCAGAACAGUCGGAGAGGCAGUAGUCGCAUGCGGUCAUGAAGUCCCGCACGGCACUGGGGUUGCCAAGUCCGGAGAAAUCCCAACAGAUGCUGGGAUCGUCAUCUUCCUCGGACCCAGAGGGCCCGUAGGUCGAGACGUCCGCCAGCCGGUCCCAAGGCGACCGCAUACAAAACCCCAGUGGGGUUGCACUCGCCUCAAUGAGAGCGCCCGCCAAAGCGAGGUCGUUUGGCGGGUUGAGGCCGAGUCGAAAUGACGCAAGAUGGGAGUUAGUCGGUACCUUUUGGUCGACGAGGAGCGACGUAGUCACAUCGGGGACUGGUUGCACCGUCAUCUCAGGUACGAGGGCGACGUCCUUCGUCUUGAAUGCGAGGUCGACGUCCGGCGUGCCUUCCGUCGGGGCGUCGGGGGCGUCGAUUCGCUCGACGGCCAACGAAGCGCGGCCUCCCGCUUGUCCUUGAUGGCCCCGCCUCCUCCUCCGUUGGCGGGGGAGAGAACGGAGCGAGCUCGAAUGUUGCUCUUCCACCACGCGGGGAAGAUGUCAUCGAUUCCGCUGCCGGCGGGCGGGUUGUUGGCCGCCAUUGUCGUUGUCGCGCGGCGGUGGAAGAAGUAUCAUGUCGUAGCUGCCGUCGAAGGACAUGAACUCAAGAGUCCCGAAACGAAGCACCGUCCCGGGCCGGAGAGGUUGCUGGAGACUGCCCAUCUGGAGCUUGACGGGGAGCUGUUCGUCAGCACGCAGCAGGCCCCUACCUGGCGCGCCAACUGUCGGCGUUUCGAGACAGGGGGGUCCCUAAGCCGACGAGUGAGUGUGCUGCGUGCCCCAGCCCAGAUGGGUCGAGCGCGUGGGCGAGCGCGAAGGGGGGAGAGGCGAGGUGGCCGGAGCCGAGCGUGAGAGAGGUGGAAGUCCCGCGGCCUUCGUGUUCGUCCCGCGCCCAGGUCGGGUGCGCUUGCAGUAGGGGGGUUACAAGCGUCCACGCGGGUGAGGGAAGCGAACGGCCCCAAGAGAGCGCCUGUCCCGUCCUCGGUCCCGCGCGGCCAACCUUCUCUAAGAAGGCCCUGGUCCUCCCUUUUAUAGUCGUAAGGAGAGGAUCCAGGUGUACAAUGGGGGGUGUAGCAGAGUGCUACGUGUCUAGCGGAGAGAGAGCUAGCGCCCUAGGUACAUGCCAAUGUGGCAGCCGGAGAGGUCUUGGCACCUUGCUGGCGUGAUGUCGUGGCUGUCGGAGGUGCGACGGAGCCUGGCGGAGGGACAGCUGUUAGAGCGGUCGAGUCCUUGCUGACGUCGCCCUGCUUCCGUAAGAGAGCUGGGGGCCGCCGUCGUCACAGAGCUUGUGGAGUGCCAUCAUUGCCCAUCCGGCGAAGCUGGCCGGAUGGGACGCCGGUCUUGUUCUCCGUAACCCGAGUCGAUUCGGGGUAGGACGAUGAUGGCGCUUCCUGUUGACGUGGCGGGCCUGUGCCCUAGGCAGGGUGACGUGGGGGCUCCUCCGAAGCCGAGGUUGAGUCUGUCUUCUGUUGUCGAGGCCGAGCCCGAGCCAUGGGGUCGGGCGAGGCGGAGGUCGUUCGGCCGAGGCCAGGGCGGAGUCCGAGCCCUAGGGUCGGGCGAGGCGGAGUUUCGUCGUCUUCCGGGUCUUAGCCCGAGUCCGAGCCCUGGGGUCGGGCAGAGCAGAGUUCGCCGUCUUCCGGGUCUUAGCCCGAGUCCGAGCCCUGGGGUCGGGCGGAGCGGAGUUCGCCGUCUUCCGGGUCUUAGCCCGAGUCCGAGCCCUGGGGUCGGGCGGAGCGGAGUUCGCCGUCUUUCGGGUCUUAGCCCGAGUCCGAGCCCUGGGGUCGGGCGGAGCGGAGUUCACCGUCUUCCGGGUCUUAGCCCGAGUCCGAGCCCUGGGGUCGGGCGGAGCGGAGUUCGCCGUCUUCCGGGUCUUAGCCCGAGUCCGAGCCCUGGGGUCGGGCGGAGCGGAGUUCGCCGUGGCACCUUUGGCAAGGCCUAACUGCCUGUCAGACUCACUCUGUCGAGUGGCACCGCAGUCGGAGUGGCGUAGGCGGCACUGUCCUUCUGUCAGACUGGUCAGUGGAGCGGUGGAGUGACGGCGGUCACUUCGGCUCUGCCGGGGGGGCGCGUGUUAGGAUAAAGGUGUCAGGCCACCUUUGCGUUAAAUGCUCCUGCAACUUGGUCAGUCGGUGUGGCGAUUUAGUCAGGGUUGCUUCUGAGCGAAGCCAAGGCCUCGGGUGAGCCGGUGAUGUGUCCGCCGUAAAAAGGGGGGCCUCGGGCGAGACGGAAGUCUCUCGAGGUCGGCUGCCCUUGGCCGAGGCUAGGCUCGGGUGAAGCGUGAUCGAGUCACUCGUGUGGACUGAUCCCUGACUUAAUCGUACCCAUCAGGCCUUUGCAGCUUUACGCUGAUGGGGGUUACCAGCUGAGAAUUAGGCGUAUUGAGGGUACCCCUAAUUAUGGUCCCCGACAACACAGUACAUCUCCACUAGAUGAGAAUGAUUCACGAUGAAUGGGCCACGAAAGCGUUGCGAGUGUGAUGUUGAAAGUGAAAUCCAUGACCACGAUGCGAGGCCGUUUGGUUGGAUGAAAGUCGUUGUAUUGCAUUGCGUUCAGGUUCUCUUAACAAGACUUUGCAACAAUUAAUGGAGGAUGUUGAACGCACUAGGCAAGGAUGGAGACUUUGGUACGAACCAAGCAAAGCAAGCACAAGAAAACUCAAGCAAAUUCGUCCUGCUUAGAGAACUGGCUGUCAGGAGUUGUGGAGGUAGGCUAUGCUCCAGUGACUCCGAGGCAUCCUCGCAUCGGUCCUCUCUGUCGUCAGAAUGAAAACCCAAUUGGGUUCCGGGUGAUGUUGGUGUCAAAGUGAAUUGCAGGUUCUCUGUCUAAUCCACAGGUAUAGUUGGUCAAACGGGCGGACCUGGCCCAACAUAGGCCCAUUAUAGCAAGACACGUUUAGGGCACCUCGAACUCCGACGGUCUUAAGAAAAAAGCUUAACCGCACUCUCCUAACCAAGAGGACUUAUCAACUGCAACUGUGUUAUGCAUAGAAUUGAUAUAGUGUAUAUAAAUAUAUGUGUGUGCGCGCUAGUAAUUGUAAAUGAAAAAAUGUAAUCGUGUCGUGCACGGACCAAGACAGUGGGCCAGACACGACAUUGUAGCCGGGUCGUGCAUGGAUCGUACUUUUUCGUGUCAUGCCUAAGCCGACCUAUCGUGUUAGUGCUAAUUGUCUAUCUAUAUCCGCAGGACCGAGGGGCACCGUGCGGGAAUGUCCGCAUGCGGGUUUGUUGAGACUUAAGCGACUAACAUGCGCUCGCCACCACGCUUGAUUGGAGCCAUGGUGUGCCACGACGGAGGUCAUCGCCUUUAUGCCAUACAAAACAUUUGGAGGUCACGGAUUCUGCGUACUCGAUGUCCACUAGACACGGAUGGUGUGUGUCGCGGUGGUGCACGAAGUUGGUUAAAGAACAUGGGUGAAAAAGAAUUUAAUCUAAUAAAUCGACAAACUUAACCUAAGUUGACCAGUUUAACGACGAACAUAGUCGACGACAUAUCUUCAUAUCUUCGAAGGACUUAAUAGGUUAGGUUCGUGCGAGCCAACAGACUUAAUAGGUUAAGUUCAUGAGGACCCACGUUCUAAAGUAAAAUUAAGAUCAUCGGCAUCCGCGUUCUUAACUUAAAAACAUGCCCCCAGGAACUUAAAGUUAAGAAUGUCCUUUUAGAAACAACAUCCUCACUCAUAUUAGAUUGGUUAUUUCUCAUGCAUUUCUGAAAGACACGCCGUCUCUAUUAUAUAAAGGAUUAGCCUCAGAAUAACCAUGUGCAAAAAGGAAGACACUAACCCGAUUGGGAUCUCCACCAUCAAAUAGAUUUAAUUGUAAACUUGUUGCGCAAGGCAAAGUCAAUCGUAGCAAAUGGUAGAUACAAACGGAAUUCAUGAGUCACAUGUCACACAAAAAAAUGUGAAACACACGUGUGCACGCGUGCGUGUCACAUUAGCUUUCUCUUUCACUUUUUUUUAAGAAAUAGCAAAAGACAAGUAAUUUAAGUUUGCUCCAUCUCUCUUCAACUCACCACUCUCAUUCCUACCAUACAUGAGGAGGCCCUUGAGAUUUAUUCUAAACUUCAUUGUAAGCUAAAUGAAUAAUAAAGCCUAAUACACUUCAACAGCCUGCUCUAUCUAUGGUUCCCUUCUCUAAUUCUGAAGGUGAUCCACUUUUCUCUUUUUCAGUUAUAGAUUUUGAAGUAUAUAAAAAUCCUACGGUACACUCUUGAGCUUCUUUGGCGCACUUUUGGUUGGACAAAUGGGCUGCCGUUGGUCCGCUUGUCGUUUAGCUGAACAACGACAAGUAUAUAAAUAAAGGAUAUAGAACUAUAAAUGAUAUUAUUUGACACUAUUUGAAGUGUGGAGUUUGAAAUAGAGGAUUAGAUAGAGGAUGUGCUGAAGAUAGUCGAGCAAAUUCCCUAUUCCAACAACAAGCGUGGAGAACGGAAAGACGAAAGUGUCACACUGUUCGGUUGGGAUUAAAGCAAAUUGUUCGAACUACUGUAUCUAUCUAUAAUCAAUAGAGCAAAACACCGUAGACAUAAUAGAAAGCCAAGCGAACAUACUCCGCGAUCAAGCGGAAACCGUCAGCCAUCUUGUGCUGGGCUGCGCGUGGUUAGUAGGCAUCUAAUCCUUGGGUCGAUCGGUGCUGCAGCCACGGCCCACGGUGCCAAACGUUGAUGACAGCCUGCCCGACGGGACUGGUGGUUGCAUUGCACCGAAGGGCAAGUAUGCUGCAACAUGGCAGCCAUCUAGCAGCGAGGGAUCCUUGUGGCUUGUGCUUAUACAGACCCCCUCCCUGAUUUUGUAAUUGCCUCUUACUAAUACAAGCACGUGUCUCUUACUAAUACAAGGCCCUUGAGCGAGUUAUUACUGAUAAAAAAAAUCUAGCAGCGAGGGACGGGGCAGACCCGCAUGCGAGGGUGUCGCUGUUGAUCCCCGAGUCCGCGUUCAAAGCUGGGUUGCUGAGCACGAACGAGGUGGUCCGUGUCCGUCAAUGACGACGCAAGAGGGGGAGAGAGACAGUGACCCGAGUAGCGUAGGAGGCAGGACGUUGCAGUAACUGCUUCCAGUGAUCUCUGAACGCUGAACACGGACCACCGAUCGCUCGCUAGCGGCCGAUGGUUGCACGCAGACCCAGCACGCCUCACUUCCUUCAUCCAGGAGGGGCCGAGAUGUCUGGACACUUUCAGCGGCAUGACGAAUUGACGAUGACGACGUGCAGUUACUUGGAGUAAUUUAUUCGUACACUGUCUUUAGCAGUACACCUCGGUUAGAAACUUCCAUUAACCAGCAAAAAUAUCUUGCUACGACGUAAGUACAUGAUCUUGUACAAAAUAAUGUUACUCUUCUUUUGCAACAUACUAUAUGGUUUCAACUGGCUGUCACGACUGCUUGCUCAUGCAUGUCUCUCUCACACUCAGCUCGUAACCAACAACAACACAGUUACACACGCAGAGAAAGUACCCCCACUGUUACGUUACGCCUGACGAAGCUGCACCGCGACGGUCUCCAUGCCGAGGGCCGGGGCCCGGGCGUCGCGUCGGUCAGGCGACGCCGACGGCGUGGAGAAGGCGGGCGUCGUGCCGUCCUUCUCCGUCCCCUCGUCGAUCGUGGACAUGGACCUGUUCGGGCCGCGGAAGAUCUUCCUCCACCGCGCGAUCUCGAGCUCGUCGGGCUCCACGACCGGGUCGUCGUCCGCCGCGGCCUCGCCGCCGCCGCCGGGCGCGUGCUCCACCCGGCCCUCGCCCGCCGCCCGCCGCGCCCAGCCCCGCUCCACGGACGGCGGCGGCGGCCUCACGGCGUGCCGCUGCUGCCUGUCGUCGGCGAAGCAGACGUCGAACAGGACGAAGCCGCGGCGUGGGGGCGCCACAGCGUCGAGGCGCCGCCGCCAGCAGUAGUGCCGGAGGACGGCGGCGCCGAGCAGGACGAGGAACAGGGCGGCCAGGGCGGCCGCUAACGCGACGAGGAGAGCGAAACCGGCGUCCCCCAUCUCGCACUCGCCCGCGAGUGUUCCACGCUAGCGGAGACCGCGGCGGCAUGCGAGCCAUGUACAGAUGUACUAGGUACCAACCGCGGUGACGGACUGGCCGGCUGACAAGUACUCAGAACGCCUGGACGACGAAAUGUCUUCGCCGGUCACCACACUCCAAAGUUGCCAGCGACAGCGCGAAAACGCCAGCGCAUUUACGUCUCCGGCGACCGAAGCUGUGACAGUAGUUACCCAGCGGCGCUGGUGCCGCUUGUCGUCGUCGAGCACUGCACUGCACUGCACAUUCCUGCUUGGUUUUUUAUCGGCGACUCGUUGAUAUAGACAUUUGCGGGCGCUUUUCGGAUAGGUUAUUCUUAUUGCUCCCUCCGUCUUAUAUAUUAGAAUAGAGCUUCUACUAUUUUUACAUGCCGCCAUCGCAUUAGGUGAUACGAGCCUGAUCGUUUGAUUUUAAUUGGUUUCUACUGUUUUAACAUGUUUAAUCCGAAGCGAAAAGACAUCGGCGCUGGUGCCAUCAUGCCGUGUCGUUGUUGUUUGUCGAGUACUGUACAUUCCUGCUUGGAAUUUAAUUGGCAACUCGUUGAUAUAACAUUUGGGGGCGCUUUUCGUACAGGCUAUAUAAUGUUUCUUCUUAUUGUUCCCUCCGUCUUAUAUAUAUCAAAAAUAAGAGGCCACAUUAUAAUUUUUGACCACCACUCACUCUGAUCAUAUAAAAAAAUUAUGCUAUAAAAGUAGCUGCGUUAGAUUUGUAUUUAGAAAUACUCACUGUCGAUUGAUUUUUUUUUUUUGUUGGCACGUCCAAGGAUUACACUGCUAUGACUGCACAUUAGAGACAAGAUAGGAAUACUUAAGCCUAUGCUAAAGAGUACCCAUUGUCCGACAAUCAUGUAACUAUUUCCUUCCUUGAGUUAUAAAAGAGAGAGUAGAACAACUUUGAAAGGGUUCCUACUAGACUGAAGCACAAACUAGAAUAAUCAAGUAUUCGGUAAGGCAAAGGCAAAUUAGAUGCCCCUUAGUCUAGAACUCCCACCAAAAUUAGAAGAAAAAAAGAGAAGCAGUCGGUCAUCUGUCGAUAUAUGAGUGUGUAAUCUUUUGUCCAAGCGUCUAUAAAUCAUUCGUGUGUUGGUAGUCAUAGCUGCACAGGAUCAAUGCCCCUUAUGUCUAUCACUAGCUAUGUCCCUAGUUCUUUCUGCUUUCCGAGUGCGGUGUCGUUACAUGAUGGUAGCUAUCGUUAUUAAUUUUAACUAAUAAAGAGAUUAUUAGUAACUCCAACUCUUAAUUCUCUGAUGGUGUAAUUUUAAGGGAGGGCAAGAUGGUUUGGUUAGCAGAGAAGAUUACUAACAAUAUAGUAAUUGUAUGGUACUACUUAUAUUGGAGUGACAAAAAUAUCUUUGAUGGUUUUUUUUUGUCCAACUGUAUAGUUUUAGACUUGUCGAGUACUGCUGAUUUGCUAUUGGUCUCGUCUCCAUCUGUUCUAAAAAUAAAUAUCAAAAUUCAUGAACUUAAACAAUGAUGAGACAGUAAUUGACUUCAAAUAUAAAUAUAAAAAAUGAAUAUCUGUUUUUUUUCAACGGCGAUUCUAUCUUCGCUCCCGACUAGAUCAAUUAAUUAAUGAAGCUAUACUUUUUUUUCAGGAAGAAAUAAGAGUUGUACAGUACAACUGUUGAACAGGAGUUACUAGACUAGUAGUACUAGUUCCAUCAUCGUGUGAUGUUAUCCGUACGUGACAGGCCGGCAAUUUCAGGAUUAGCACGGUAAGAAAGGAGGAUAGUAAUUAGUUAAUUGCUAGUACAGGCUUAAUUGUGAUCUACCGUUGAUUUGACUUGCCCACGGAUCGGAAGCAGACUUUGGUAGCUAGGGCCUAGGGGCCAGCAGAUUCCUAAACACCACUCGAAUAGAGCUAGCCUAGCCCUAGCCCACACAAAAAGUAACGCAAAUCCCAUUCUAGUGCGCAGCCGAGAUCUGGACAGAGAGAGAGAGAGGCGAGAGAGCUCACUCUACCGACCAGCUAGGUAGGGCACACAAUUGCCACUUCAAAACUGCCGACCCCGUAGCUGCAUCCAGUUCUUCAGCCAGAAAAAAAAAAGAUUAAUCAGUGGGAGUAGCGAGUACACCGGCCCAUACUGCCGCUUGGAUUUAACUAAUGCACGAGUAAUCAAAUCAACCACAGGCCUGGGUUUUUAAAAAAUCGUGGCUGGCAGGCACUGGCACUGGCAGCGGGGGUGUGGAUUGAACUCUCUGCGCUGGCCUGUCAGGCAGCAUUGGGAUCGGAUUAGACCGGUCUUAAAACUCGAGGACCAGGGAAGCGCAGGAGGGAGGGACACAGCUAGCCCGGAUUCGCAUGGGGUGGAUUUGGAAUGGAAACCCGGCGUGCUCUGCUCCCCCGGCCGACCCUGAUCGAUUCGAACUCGAAGAAGAGCAACGACGACGCACCGCAUCGAGCUCCGCAACCGACACCGCCUUAAAACAACCACUUGUUCGAGACUAGUACGCAGAUCGAUGGAUCGGUUCAUCGGUGUUUGGCGUGCACUGGCAAACGGAGGCUUCUAUUCUGCGAUGAUCCCUUCUGUGAACCUUCCCAAUCCCAAGCAUGCGCAUUGCCCCUCUGACGGCCGGUCUGACUUGAGGCCUCGGGAAGAUCCGCUUUGACUUUUCUCUCAAACGGCGCAAGCGAACUGGGUUAUAUUAUCGGUGCUAAUCCACGCUAGGUAGCUCCGUAGCUGUUGUCAUGUUAUGAGAGAUACUGCUAGCUAAUACCAGCAGGCAGCAGCGCUGCUUUGGGUUAAAGAUAAUAACCGGCCGGGGCUUGUAUGUAGCUAGCUAGCUGGCAAAUUCUUCUGGAUCUGGGAAUGACCAGCGAUUCUUCAACAGAACCCGAAUCUCAGCGCAUGUGACCAUGAUUAGCUUGUUGGUACGCGUGUUGUGCGUGUGCAUCACUUUUUUUUUCAGCGAGUGAACCUCACCCAGCCCGAGCCGCAGUGCCGCACAGUGAAAAAAAAGCGCAUGAAGUGUGGACAGCCCAAGACGGGUCUCUGCAGUCUGGCCGUCUGCUGCAUGCGCGCGGCAAGCCGUAUCGAAAAAACUCCUUUCAGGUUGGCCGCUGGCUUUCAUGGCUUCUCGCCUUCUCCAGUCCACCGCCUUCGGGCAUGUUUGGUUCAGCUUUUUUCUGACCAGCUUUUCUGAAAAUCUGACUGUGGGGACAAUCUGGCUGUAUAGAGAAUCUGAGUAUCAUUAUGAUCACGUGCGAAGAAAGAUAAAGGUAUCCAUAAGACUCAGGAUCUAGAAAGUGACGGAUUCCUACUAUUGCAACGACUCAACCGAUUAUGUGUUUAUGUUGAUUUUGAAUGAUUUUUACCCAAACGAAUUUUAUAGAAGCUGAGCGUUUGGCAGUCCGCAGCAGCUUUUGGUGGCCAGAAGCUCUAAAAAAUUGAAACAAACGGGGGCUUCGUCGGGCCAGGGAGCCAUAUGGAAAGAAGCGAAAGGGUGACCUCAAUGUGCGCAGCGGGCGGACGCUGCAAUGCAAUUUUUCAUCAGGCAACAAUGCGAGAUUGCAGAUUCGCACUUGCAAGCCUAGCCGGGGUAGGCAGUCAGAGCCAGGCAGGAAGGCAAAGGCGUGGUAGCUAGAGCCUGCGGUUAAUUCCAAUGCAGGGGCACAGGCCGCAGGCACAUAAUUCCCCUCGAAGCGCACACGCGCGAGACGUGCACUUCAUCAAUAAUGUCGUAGAUCGUGUCGCAGAUCCAUCUCCUCCUUCCUUUCGCUUACAUUACAUUUAUGCAUGCAUGGCCGUGCCUCCCCUAACCUGACGUCGAUCGACAAUACUCCCACAUGCAUGAAACAUACAGGUUCGGUGUUCUCCUGCCGGGGCACUUGAUGGCAUUCGGUUGAGCACUGUUCCAGCUUUCUCUGGAGAUACGCCCACGAACAGGUCAGUGAGGGACGGGGGAAAGCGAGAGCGAGCGGACGAGACACGCAGAAAGCUAGCUACAGAAGCCACCACGGACAGACAGGGCAGGUACUAUAGUUAGCAGCGCGCCGAUGGCUUCAUGGCGCCGAGGGGCAAGGGCCCGUGGCCGUGACUGCAGGUGCACUUCUUCCACCACGUACGGUCCUGUGAUGGCGUACGUCUUGGUGCCGGACUGCCGGCCGGCGGAUCAAACGCGUGGCUCGUCUGCCCGGAAAUGACGUAUCAGCCGGCCCGGCCGGACCUGGGAGGAUCUUGGACGCAGUUCGUUUGCUCCUCCCUCGUUUCAUUCGUCUAUGUUCCUCUGCACUAUCUCUGGUCUUUUUUUUGCUAUGGUACAUUUACUGGUCGUACCGCAUAUCUAUGGAAAUCUACCUGAUAAAUACUGUUAGAAUCUACAGUACCUCCAGCUUGGUUUUGUCUGCUUGUGUGCUAAAACAAAAAAAAACGAACUGCAUAUAAUAACAUAUCACUAGACUAGCUAGUGCACUACUUUCAUUCAAAAAGAAAAAAGUAGACUAGUGCACUACCUGUUAUUAGUAUAAUCAUCAUGGACCGCUUCUCAAAGCCAUUUUUCGUUCAUCUGGUACAUCCAUAUAAGAACGUACUACAAGAACUAUUAAGAAAUCUACUUACUGCCUAUAAACACUGCACAUAGCUACAUGCAAUUAGCGAGUAGCAGCCAGUCGCCUCAACAGAGAAGCUAUGCACGAGCUGGAUCAGCUCUUGUCCUCACAUGACCAGUUAGUCAACUCCAACAGCUAGCCCUGCAGACGAUCCUGCCGUGUGUGCCCAGAAUUUACUGCGCACGUACGUAAGGUUUAACCACUGUCCAGUCACACCAGCCAUAUAUGCAAAUGCUUACAUCUGUUGCCCCUCUCUGACAUGAUCCUCCACAGGAUCCAAUCUGGACGUGCUGCACACAUCAUCACAAUACACAUGUAGAGGUACUGUAUCUCUCUGCACUCUCUCUCUCUCUCUAGUCCUUUUUACGCUGUGUGUGUAUCUAUCUCAGCCUCAGCUCGUUUUACCAGCAUGCUGCGUGCACGCCCGAAUUUUUUUGUUUUUUAGCCCCUUUUGUGACACAAAUUUACUUUUGGACCCCCAGAAAUUUUAAUUGCAUAUUUGGACCCUAUGCUCGGCGUCAUAGGCUGUGGCGCCGAGGUAACACAGCUCGGCGCCAUAGCCUGUGGCGCCGAGCUGUGACGUGGCAGCACCGGCUGAGGCUGACCUGGCACCGACGUGGGCGACGCGGCCUCGUAGCUCAGCGCCACAGAUCUUGGCGCCGAGCUGCGUCUGCCUAUAAAAACGCCCGCGCGGCUGGCCGAGAGCAGCGGAUUUCCUCUCAUUUCGAAACUUCGUCAAAAUUUGCUGGAUUCAAAGAUUUGACUCGGUUCACUUCGUAGACCAAGGUAUGGUGCUCAACUUGAUUCGUUUUGUAUAUUGGGGUGUUAGUUUCAUAGUUGCUCAUAGUUUCAUAUUUUAAUAGUCUGUAUAAACCUAUUAUAUUAUCAUUUCGAUUAUUAGUUUGUGUAAACUUAUUAUAAAGCAUAUUAGGUACAAGUGAUAAUUAUAAUCGUUUAUUAGAUGAAAGACAUGUACCGAGAGGCGUUGUGGCAGAAGAGAGGUCGUCCUCGGGAGUUAUAUCCGGACGUAUCUAGUAAGGAUGCUCCUGUUCCUCCUGAACUCCCCGUGCCUAACUGUGACUGUGGCAGACUGGCUUGGGUACAUCAAUCACAACAUCCAGACACGACUGCUCGCUGCUACUACCUUUGUGGCGGUUUGGACGUACGUAGCUUAUGACUUGUCACUUAAUUUUGUUCGCAUUCAUUAUUUUGUAAUAGUGCUUCUUUCCAUUAUUUUAGGGACAUCAGAGGUGUUUCUUUUUCCAGUGGAUCGACGGUCCUGAUAAAUUUGACCCUCGAUAUCUUCUUUUCGUUAAUUGGUUGAGUGGAAGGACCAUUCAUGAGCGUUUUAAGCGUUGGGUACCUCCUCCCCCGAAUCCUCCACCAAUGACGGAUGCGGAGAAGGAGGUAGCAACAGAAAGAAGGUUGGACUCACCGCCUCGAUGCGAUUGUGGAGACCGUGCUGUCAUCGACGAAGACUAUGACAAGCAGUUCUGUUGUCCGAACAUUGAUUAUGUGAGCCCAUUGAUACGCUAAAUGUAUGAACUAGUUUUUAUUUACAAUAAAUUACUAAUUUUUUCUCCUGCAGCCAUACGAGUGGCGUAAGUGUCGUUUCAGAGAGUGGUUGUAUGGUCAUUUGUCCCAUUGGCCAGAGCCAGAGGUAAAGGAAAAGAGAUACAAGGGGUGGGCGGCAGAAGAGGUCAAAUUUGAUCCAGUACUCUGCAAAUGUGGUAUUGAAGCUAAGUAUGAAUUAGUUCCUUCGGCAUAUGCACGGGUGGAAUGACUUAGACUGCUAAAUUCAUGUACUGCAGGGUCACGCUCCGGACACAAACGUCUUAUGAGUUCAAUUUCUUGCUCGGUCAUUUCUUGAACCGGACGGUCAUCAUCAAAAUCUAAGGCCCGUGCAGCCUCAUAUGGCUCCUCCUCAUCCUCAAUCUGAACAUCAACACUAUUGGAUGCCCUGCAUAUGUUGUCCAUAUUAUAUGACACAGGCACAUCAAGAUAAGCACCAUUAUCGAUAUGUGGAGAUCCUGCAUCGGGUCGAAGCAAGAAAAACCACAUUACAAAGUGUAAUCAAACGAAAUAACGAUGGAUACGAACAACGUGUCAAAGACACUUACUAGGAUGAUCGUGAACUGGAUCCUGGGUCAAUGGGAUCUCUUGGGGGGUACCACCGGAUUAGAAACCCCACAAACGCCAGGAAGAGGACGAGAAAUCUCAUACUCGUGCGGCCCCGAUUGAGCAUCGGGCACAACAACCACUUCUUCAUGAUGCUCUACCAAAGGAGCUUCAAUACGAGAUGUAUUUGGCAUUUGUGGAGACAAACCGACUGGACCAUCGCAAUGCUUAACGGGUAACUUUUGAACAACCACAUCCAAACAUGGUGGAACCAUCGUCUUCACAAUUCUUAAAUAUAUCACCCAAUCAUCUUCUGAUGUAAUGGAGAUCAAUCGUCGGACAACUGUUCCAUAUGUAAUAUGGGACAACAAACCCUGAAUUGAUAUUGUAGGGUCGUUUAUGUCGCAACUAAUCUCCUCACAAGCUCGAGCGAAAAUCUGGUCAAAAGAUGGUCUUUCAUCGAACAACAUGGUCACGAUCUUCAUACCAUCAAAAGUAACAUUCCCAUAAGCAUCUAUCUCCACCCGUCCUCCAUGGUAUAGUGUUACUAGGCUCUCCAUCUAUUGCAAAAAUGGAUUACUAACUCAAUAAUGGCUAUAUACUUAAGCCUAAAAACUUACUAAGUAAUAAAUAUAUAUUACCUAAUAACUAUAUAGUAAAUAUUAAAUGAACACAUCAAACGAAAUUACAUAAUCUAUGAAUAAUGUACGAAAACAAUGUAUACCUGAGAUCGCGUACGAGUCCAGCUAACGGUGGAGAAGGUCAAGUCGAACGAACACCUACGUACAAAAAAAACUAUUGCCAAUAAAAAAUUUGGCAGCACCUCCCCUGUAAAGUUAUGUUUAUAGAACCUGCAAAUAAACGACAACACGAUGGUUGCCAACAAAAUGCUAACGAAAUGGUUAACACGAUGGUUAACACGAUGGUGCCAACGAUGGUUGCCAACGAAAACAUGUAAUAUCAAUGCGCUAAACAAAAUGCUAACUAUAUAAUCACUAAGAAUUUACUAAACACUAACAAUAUGCUAAGCAAGACACUAGCUAACUAUUUUACUAAACACUAACAAGAAAAUAUCUAACUAUUUACUAAACAAUAAAAAAAUACCUAACAAUAGCUAACAAUUUACUAACUAAUACCUAACAAUAGCUAACAAUUUACUAACUAUGUAAAUACCUAACAAUAGCUAACAAUUUACUAACAAUAGCUAACAAUUUACUAACUAAGUAAUUAAAAAAAACCUAGCGGCAGCGGCCGGGUCGGGGCGCGCGGCAGCCGGGGCGGGAGCUGGCGCGGCGGCCGGUGGCCGGGCCCGGCCGGGGCGGUGGCGCGGUGCCUGGGGCGCGCGGCGAGCUCGGCGGCCGAGCGCGCUCCGCGGGCGGGGCGGGGGGAGCGGGGGAUGCCGGUCGCCGGCGCUGGCGAGCUCGGCGUGCGGGGCGGGGGGGGCACGGUCGCCGGCGCUCGGGCGGCUGGGAGUGCAGAGCGCGGCGCAACGGCGGGGAGGGCGGCGGUGGAAGGCAACGGCGGUAGCGCGCGUAGAGUGAAGACAGAGAAGAAACGAAGAGGAAAGGGAGAGGAUUUCGGUUAAAUCCUAGCUCGGCGCCAAGAUCUGUGGCGCCGAGCUUUCGUAGCUCGGCGCCACAGAUCUUGGCGCCGAGGUACGAGGCCGCGUCGCCCACGUCGGUGCCAGGUCGGCUAGGCCACGUCACAGCUCGGCGCCAUAGGCUGUGGCGCCGAGCUGUGUUACCUCGGCGCCACAGCCUAUGGCGCCGAGCAUCGGGUCUAAACGUGUAAAUAAAAUUUUUGGGGGUCCAAACGUAAAUUUUUGUCACGAAAAAGGCUAAAAAACAAAAAAUUCGGCGUGCACGCUAGCCGCUCUAAUUAUCCCCCUUCACAUGUUUGUUCCCGCUCUCAUCCUCUUCGCACCUUCAAUCUCAGCCGGCCCGCCAGUGUUCACGUUGCUCUCUUUAACUCUGCCAUUCAAUCGUUUCCCCCCCCCCCACGCCGUCACAUGUGGCGCUCCAUUAAUAUAUAGCACCGCGCCACCAAGCUCAUCGUCCCGCUCGCUCCAAGCUCCGAGAACGCAAACAGCUCACUGUACCAGUGUACCCGAGCUCGUGGCCUCGCCUAGCCUGGCCUGGCUAGCGUUUCUUCGUGCGUGCGCAAGCAAGCACCUAGGCUGCAUCCUGCGGCCACCAUGUCGUCGGGCACGGGCACGGGCAGGUCGUCCACCAGGAGGGGAAGGGGCGGCAGCUUCACGCUGAGGCAUCAGCCGCCGGUGGUGGACAUCGGCUGUAACUGCCGCCGCCCCAAGCUGUUCUCCGUCUUCUCGUCGUCGCUGUUCCGCGGCGGGGGCAAGCCCAAGUCCCCCAACGCGUCGUCCACCUCCACCACCACGGCGUUCACG